rnacentral:lncRNA from 1 species
UGAUUCAAUGAUUCAAAUCCUGAAUUUCCUCUUUUGGGAUUUGCUUCUUAUUUGUGUGAUCUCUGUUUUUUUUUUUUUAAAAAAAAAAGAAGAAUUAAUGAAAGAAUGAAUGAAUAAAUAAAGGUAGGAGUUGAUGUGGUAUUUAUGAUAACAAAAAUGAUUUGAGUGGUUUCUUUUUUAUCGAUUGUUUCAUUGAAGUGAACAUGGUUGUCAAAUGUGAAUCAAAUGUUUUUUUUUUUUUUUGGGAAUUUAGGAUCUGUAGUAACGUUGCUUGCCAAGAUUUUAGCAUUCUAGACAGCUGAAUAAAAAAAAACUUUUUUAGUUGUGAAUGACUUGCUUGAUAAUGUAUGCACCUGAUUAAAAAAUGUGAAGAAUUUUUAGCUAAUUUGUUUGAUUCACUUGUUGAUCUUUGGUCGAUUGUAUUGAUGCAUCGUUUGUCUCUUAUAAUUCUUGGUGUUUCUUUUAUAUAUAUAACUGUUUCUUUGUCUUCCUAUGUCUAUGUGGUGGUAUUAUAUUUUAUUUCUACAUCAUUUGAUGCGUAUUUUGUAAUUUUUUUAUUGGUUUUCGCAAGCUGCAGUUUCUUUGUUAAUGGAUUGCUCUGUUGUUUUUUUGUGAUUUGGCAGCCUAGACUGGUUAAAGGCCAGGUUUUGGGUUUUUUUCCCUAUCGUAGUAUCCGGUAUAUAAAAGAUUUUGUUCAUUGUUGAAUACCAAUUUCUCGUUUCUGUUGAGUGAGCAAGCACAACUUGGGAAUCCCAAUUUGGGAUGCUGUGAGGAUCAGUCACUGGAACUCAUGAUAAGGUCUUUCAAUGGGGUCCCUAAACGUGGAGAAGAGAUGGGCUUUCCCUCUUGUUAUAAGCUCCCUCAUAUGUCUGUUCCUUUUAGCAACUUGCUUCAACAUGGGUCUUGUUUCUUCAUUGCACACAAUCAAUCAAAUCUUCAACAUUUUCCAAUUCCGUAUCAACCAGACAACCGAAGUUUAUGCUGAAACAAAAGUCUCGCAAUCUCCUCCCCCUCCUCUCCCUUCCCAAAUUCCUCGAUUUGCUUAUCUGGUUUCUGGGUCUAAAGGUGACUUGGAAAAGCUUUGGAGAACCCUCCAUUCACUUUACCAUCCCCGGAACCAAUAUGUGGUUCAUCUGGACCUCGAGUCCCCAGCAAAUGAAAGAUUGGAGCUUGCGUCACGAGUGGAAAAGCAUCCGGUUUUCUCCAAAGUUGGAAAUGUUUAUAUGAUCAGCAAAGCCAAUAUGGUUACUUACAAAGGACCCACCAUGGUUGCUAAUACACUUCAUGCCUGUGCAAUUCUUCUCAAAAUGGGAAAAGAUUGGGAUUGGUUCAUCAACCUCAGUGCUUCUGAUUAUCCUCUUGUAACUCAAGAUGGUUAGUCUGUGAUUUGAAUUUUAUAUGAAACUAUUCGUUUUUCUUUUUUGGUGGGUGGGUGGGUAGUGGAGGUCAUGGUGAAAUUGUUUGCCUUCAAAUAUCUUUCUGAUUAUUUUGCUAUUAAUAUGCAGAUCUUAUUCACACAUUUUCAACCAUAAACCGAAAUCUGAACUUUAUUGAGCACACAAGUAAAUUGGAGUGGAAAGCGUAAGCACUCUUUCUCUCCCCCGCUUUGAUUUAGAAUCUGUUUCCAGAGAGUGAUCUGAUAUCUGAUGUGGUGUUUAGGGACAAACGGGCGAUGCCUUUGAUUGUAGACCCUGGGCUUUACUCAACAACUAAAGCAGAUAUAUACUGGGCGAUGCCAAGAAGAUCUUUGCCAACAGCAUUUAAAUUAUUCACUGGUUAGUUUUCAUAUUUAACAUAUCCAUAAUCUUUUCACGGAUGCAUGCCAGUAAGGUUGAUUAUUGAUGUUUAAUUCCCUGCAAAAUAAAAAUAAAAUAAAUACUAAUUAGGAUUGAAUUGUUGACAUCUGCAAAUUUUUUAACAAAUCUGUUAGAGCUUUACUCAGUUUCUAAAUGAAUUUAAUGGUAAUCUCUGUUUCUUUGAUAGAGUUUAAGGCUGUCUACUGGCAAUUGCAAUUUGCAACUUUCAACUGGCAAUUGCAAUUUGCAACUUUCAACUGGCAAUGCUUUCUGUAACUAACAUGUUUGUAGUUUCAUGCCAUAAAAGUUCCUUUUUCUAUAUUCUUCAGUUGCUUGUGAUCUAUAGUAACUGAUAGAGUUAAAGCUCUAUGUAUUGAUUACAACUACAGCUUAAUCUGAUGCAUUAGGAGUUUGUUUCAGGAAUGCAUGGCGUCUGUUUCAUAGGUUAUCUUUUUUUUUAUCAGUUUAACAAACCAAUUGGUGUUUAGUCCAGUCAGCUAUUUUGUAGAAUUCAGAACAGGUGUUCAAUUGCAGCCAUUGCUUUACUGAAAAUCGAAGCCCUGAUGGCUUCCAACAUGUGCUUUGCAACUGAAACUCUAAAAAUGCUAGGAACUACGAAGGCCUGCUGUUCUGCUUUCAAUGAACUUCAUAAAUGGAUUCCAUUUGUUUAUGCAGGUUCAGCAUGGAUGGUUCUCACCCGCUCAUUUGUUGAGUACUUAAUUUGGGGUUGGGAUAAUCUACCAAGAACCUUAUUGAUGUAUUACACAAACUUCGUUUCCUCACCUGAAGGAUACUUUCACACAGUAAUAUGCAAUGUGCCAGAGUAUGCUCAAACAGCAGUCAGUCAUGAUUUGCACUACAUUGCUUGGGACAAUCCUCCUAAGCAGCAUCCUCACACCCUUACCCUUAAUGACACAGACCAUAUGAUUGCGAGUGGUGCUGCUUUUGCCAGGAAAUUCAAGAGAGACGACCCUGUCUUGGAUAAGAUUGACAAGGAUUUACUUCACCGGAAGAAUGGGAGCUUCACUCCUGGUGGAUGGUGUUCUGGUAAACCCAAAUGUUCUGAGGUUGGGGACCUGGACAAAAUAAAACCAGGUCCUGGAGCUCAUAGACUGAAACGCCUCAUAGCUAGAGUAGCUUUGAAUACAAAGCUUAAACAAAACCAAUGUAAAUAGGUUUUGGAAAUGUUUCUUGCUUGCAGAUGGAAAAGAACUCAACUUCAAUCUACAUGCCAGAAAAAGGUCUAAAAAAAAUGUUCUGAGAAAUGAACCUUGAUGCUGAAGUUCCAGCUAAGGCUUCAUUCUAUCUUAGAAUCUAAGGUAUGUUAGUUUUUCAUUACAAACUUGGUACGAUCACAAUCUAGUGUAGCACAUUACCUUUCCUCAGGUUCUACCCUCCCAGACCUAUUAUACCACACAGCUCGGAAAAUUUCUGGAGUACUUUUUUUUUUUUUCCAAUUCCUUGUGUUGCUGUAAAAUUUUCUGUUCCAAAUAAUUUGAUCAUUUGUUUUCUGCAGUGUAGUUUUAUGAUAAAAAUCCUAAACACUCAAUUACCACAGAAGAAAUUACUUUGCAUUUUCUAAAGUACUGUCAUGGAGUAUGUUGUCCUAAGCAUGGAAGAGGGCACAAGAUCUGCCUCUAGUUUUCAUCUUUCGGAUAAACCUAUGAUCUAAAUUAAACAUUUUGUGCAGAAUAAUGUUGUCAUUAUUGGUUAAGCCUUUUCCUUGUAUAGCAUAAAUUAGCAAGACUUUUAUAAGCACUAACAUUAUUUGAUUCACUUGAUCCCAUGUUGAGAAGAACGGUCUCCGGUUUGAAUCAUUCUUGGCACACGGUCUUGUAUUAAUGAAGAUCCCCAAUUAAUUAAAUCUUUAAAAAUAAAAAUACCUCUCAACUAUAUAACUGGCUUCAGUUUUAUCACCAAAACAAUCUUUGUAUCCAUUUUGCAUUCAAGAUUUCAAAAAAUCUCAAUUAAGAACUCUUUAUCUAUUUUUUAAAGCUUUCCAUUUAUAUUUCUAAGAAAAAAAUAAAUUUUACAAGUAAUUUAAUGUGGACAUCCAGUUAUUAUAACAGAAUUCCUUAAUCAAAAUAAAUUAGGGAUAAAAUUAAUAUAAAAAAUACUCUGGUAGUAAAAUUGAUAUUAUCUUAAUAGUUGGAUGUAUAUUGAGGUUUGCUCUAGAAUUAAUAUCCAUUUGGGUAUAAGAGAAAAAAAAUCCCAUUUUCAAAAUAUGGUUUUUUGUGUUUUUAUAUUGUUUAAUAAACUUUUGUUUUAAAAAAAACUUGAUAUAUUUUUAAAAAUAAUUAUCACCGUAUAAUUUGGUUGAGGCUAGUAGAGUUGAUCCAUUGUAUUUUUAAAAAUAAUUAUCACCAUAUAAUUUUUUAUUGAGGCUAGUAGAGUUGAUCCAUUGACAUAAAUGCAUGUUCUGACAAUUGCUGGCAAGUAAAAUGUAUUAUAAUUUCCUUGGCCAAUGAAGUCUCAAUUCCACCAACUCAUUUUUUAGCUACGAACUUCUUGUGCAUCUAGUCGUCGAGUCAUUAAUAAAAUGAACAGAUAAUUGCUAGAUCUUCCAUUUUCCUUUCGGCCCCUGUGAUGCCUUGGUUUGUUUUGCUAGUCAGAUAUAAAGAGGAGGUGCUCAAAUCAAAACCAAGUUUAUUAGACCAAGGUAGUCAAAACAUGGUGAUUGACGGCUGAAUUUAAUGAAUUCCCCAGCAGUCGCUCUCUGUGAUGGCUACCUAUUCGGCAUCAAACACCAAAGUCGAGCAAUGUAUUGUUUUUUUCUUUAUUAUUAUUAUUGUUGUUGAAUCAAGCAAUGCAUUGUUAAAUUAUCAGUCAUCCCUCCUCAUUCCUCAUGAUGUGCUGGAAAAUAAUUCCUUGAAACUUUGAUAAUGGGAAUAAUUAGGGUUUUCUUUUUUCUUUUUUCCUUUUUAGAUGGGUAUUUUUUGUUGGGCGGAGGAAACAUGUGGUUUGUUGUUUACAGGGAGAAAAGGUAAUGGUGGCAUUGAAGAGGUUUUGUUGGUGGGUAGCCUACAAUUUGCCUCCACAUUUAAGUGGGUUCAUAAUUCAGAAUUCUUAGGUUCUAGCUUUGAAGCCAUUUCUCAAGCUUGCAUCAUCUAGACAGGCACAAAUAACAAGCAAGGGUGUCCACUACAAAAAAUAAUAGCUGAAUAGGGUUGAAGUUAUAAUGUAUAAUCAAAUGGAGUAUGAUAGUAUUAUUUGUCAAUUGCCAUGUCUUUGUCUCUAAGGAGAUGUUGACAUAAAAGGACAUGAUGCGACUUCUGUUUCACAUUUUGGAUAUCAGGCUUUGUUGGGUGAUGCUAUUGGCUGAACUUUUUGGUUAAAGUGCUGCUAUUGAUUUCACUGUGGCUGUAGAAUAGUGUGAUUAUGUGUUGCUGGGAGUUAUUCUCCGGUUAUGAGCAGUAAAAUCCUCAAUUCUUCAGUAUUGGUGUGGGUAUUUUACUUCUGACUGAAUCACAGAGUGAUGUUCUUAAUCUUGGGUGCAUGAAAUAUUCCAAGAGGUUUUAGUGUAAUGAAUGGAGUUCUCGUCUUCUGAAAUCAAAAGGGUUUCAGACUAAACGCAUCUUUGGACACUAGUCGCAUUUUCAAAUUCUUUCUUCAGAGCCAUUUUUCCAUUAACCAGCAAUGGCCUUUCUAAGGCAAAAUAUUUGGCUCCAGUAAUCAGCCAUAGUGGGUCGAGCUUUCAUAGCACCAAGAAAAAGUAUCUGCGCUCGAUGAAGUUUACUCUUCAUCUGCUCCCGCUCCCAUCUCACCUCGUAACAUUAUUUGUCGAUGUUUCUAAUGAUCAAUGGUCUCUUGACCACGUGAGGUGCCCUUCGCAGUGAGAUUUGGAACUAUCAUCCUUUGGCUAGAGAAUUAUAAGGUGAUGCCAAGAGAAUUCAAGUUUACCAGUGCUUAAGCCUUUUGUAACUAAGUCUGCAACUUGCUUAUUUGUCUUGAUCUAACCUCAUCUCAAUUUCCUGUUGCAAUACUUUUUCUUCGAUAAAAUGAUAAUGCACUUCCACGUGUUUUUUCCUAGAAUGAAACACUGGGUUUUGUGCCUAAUAAACUAUUAAUUGAUUAUCACAUUACAACAUUAUUGCAUAAUCUACUUGUUGAUGCAAAUCAUUUAAUAAUUGUAUCAAUCAAGUAUUUUCUUGAGCUGUCAUUGUUACUGCUCGAUAUUUUAUCUAUGUUGUUGAUAAAAAUAUUAUUGGUUGUCUCUUACUAAAAGAAAUUAUUCAUGGCUCAAUCUUAAACACAUAACCAGUUAUAGAUCAUCGAGUGUCAUGAAAUAAUUAGCAUCAUAGUAACCAUCUAACUUGCAUUCUACACCUUUCUUGUAUAGAAUGCCAUAACAAACUGUAUUAUUCACAUAUCUCAAUAUUCUUCUAACCACUUGCAAAUGAGACUUCUUUGGAUUUUGCAUGUAACGACUUAUUACACCAACUGCAUACGAAAUAUCAAGUCUAGUCAAGGUUAAGUAGAUCAAGCUACCUACCAAUUUUCGAUACAUUGUUGCUUCAUUUAUGUCUUUUCCUCCAUGGGCACACAUCUUGAUGUUCAUUUCCAUUAGUGUUAGAAAUGGCUUGUAAUCAAGCAUUCCAAAUCUUUGUAACAAAUUUCUUGAAUAUUUUUAUUGACAAACAAAUAUUUCUCAUUGUGUAUGGUCAGCCUCUAACCCAAGAAAAUUCUUGAGUUCUCCAAGUUCUUUCACCUGAAAAUAAAUUUACAAGUUCUCAUUUGUUUGUGGAAUUUCUAACUCAUCAUCACUGGUUAUAAUCAAAUCAUUCACAUAGACUAAUAUAAUAGUUAUCUUUCCUCCAUUGACUUUCACAAAUACGUUGGAAUCUGUAGGUGUUAAUGGAUAUCCUUCUUAAAUAAAGAAUUUGGCAAUCUUGCCAUACAAAGCUCUUGGUUUUUGUUUUAAUCCGCAAAGUGUCUUUUUUCAAUUUACAUACAUGUUUAGGAUGAUCUUUACUUUGAAAACACACUAGAUGAUUCAUGUAAAUUUCUCGAUCAAACUUUCCAUAAAGAAAUGCAUUUUUCGCAUCCAUUUGUCAUAGUCUCUAGUUCUUGUUUGCUAUAAGUGCAAGUAGAACACGUACAGUUGUGAGCUUUACUACUAGACUAAAUAUUUCAUCAUAGUCCAAUCCAAAUUGUUGUAAGAACCCGUGAGUCACCAAACAAGCUUUAUACCUUUUAAUUGAUCCAUUUGCUCCAGGUUUAAUCUUGUAAACCUAUUUAUAGGAAAUAGGUUUCACAUCUACUAGUUUAGGCAUAGUAUCCCUGGUUUGAUUUUUCUUUGACGCAUUAACCUCUUCUUUCAUAUCUUUAAUCCAUUUAAAUCUUUGUGAUGCUUCUUCAAGCAUUUUAGGUUUUUUUUCACUUGCUUCUUCAACUAUGGUUGCAUUGGCAUACUUAGAGUUUGGCUUACGAACUCUAAUUGACCUUCUGAGAUGUGAUUGUGGAGCUGAUACUUCUAUUAUACUAGGUCCACCAUCUAUUUGUUGUUGAUAAACAACAAUUUGCCAAUUAUUCUGAUUAAUUUUUUGCUCCUCGAUUGCAUUAUUGUAUAUUGUUUCAGGUUUUUCUUAACUUGAUUGGACCUAUAUAGAUUGUCCAUCAUUUUAUUGUUAUAGCCUUUCUUCAUACUCUUUGGAAUUUGAAAUCACCUCUUUUUUCAAAUACCACCAGGAUGAUGUUUCAUCAAACACUAUAUCUUGUUAUGUGUAGCACCUUCCUAUCAUAGGAUCACAACAUUUUCAUCUCUUUUUUUUUUGUUGUCAUAUCCCGCUAAUAUGCAUUUAACAACUUUCUUGUCAAAUUUGUUGUAUAGUUGGUCAGGGACAAAUACAUAACAAAAACAACCAAAUACUCGAAAGAAGCCAACUGUACGCUUUGUAUUCUAUAGUUUCUCAUUGGGUGGUAUAAACUCUAACUUCUUUUGAGGGAGUCUGUUGAUAACAUAAGCAGCAAUUCUCAACACUUCAGUCUAAAAUUUUUCUGGUACAUUCUUUGCAUGUAACAUAUUUCGAUAAAUUUCUGCAAGAUAUCAAUUUUCUCUUAACCACUCUAUUUUGUUAUGGUGUAUUGGCACAAGUAUAUUGGUGACAUAUCUGAACUUGUGAGUACUAAGAAAACUCAUUUGAACUAUAUUAUCCUUUAUUAUCAAUGAGCAAGCAACGAAUCGUUCUUCAUACUUCCCCUUCAACUAACUUUUUAAACUUUUUAAAUGUAUUUGAUUUUUCUUUCAUAAAAAAACCCACAUAAACCUUGAAAAAUCAUCAAUAAAUGUCACAACCAAAUUAGUAAUUUUUAGUUUUUAGAUGUGAAAAACCACAACUUUUUUUGUACUCUAUUAGAUGCUAUAACUUUUAUUUAUCAUCUAUAAUGUGAUUAGAACACUUAAAGUCAAUGAUCCAAUCACUUUCAUAAUUGAUUUAAUCUUCAAUUUUAACAUUUUUCAUUAUCAAUGUUAAUUCCUCCUCUUUUAUGACAAAGGAUGCUCCAACAUCCCAUUCAUCUUCAACUUAUAUUUUUAAACUUGAAAUAGCAGUAUUGCUUUCUGUAGGCGUUUUAAACCAACAAUCUUUCUUCAUGUGACCACUCUUUCUAUAAUUAUGAUAUUUUCCUUUGAACUUUCUACUGUUGUUGUAAUUUUUUGAAGCUCACCCUUAACAAAAGCCUUUUUUUCUUUGAUAAUUCUUUUUUUUUUAUCACCAUCCUUAUUAGAUUCAUCAUCAAUGGGCCAACUAUGGAUUAUGUCCUUGCGAUUAUGCUAUUGUUUACUCCUGUCAUUGCUAGUGUGGAGUGAUUCCUCCCAACCCUUCAAUAAGACUUAUGUAAUCUAUUUAACCAUAUUUUCUUAACCAAUAAGUAGGUUCUCAAACUAAAUUAGUGAUGGUUGAGUAGGCCAUCUUUGUAAUACAAUAACAAACUCUGGCAUUCGGUCUUAAAUCAUGGAUGACUAUUCUUUUCAUCCUAGUUUCUCCAUUAGUUGCAUAGGUUCUAAUUUAGAAAUCUCAUGACAUGUUGAUUUCAUCUUAUUAAAUAAUUGAGGAAUCGUUGUCUUAUUGUGUCAUCAAUAAAAACUCAUUCUCGAGAAGUUACAAUCCUGUAUCAUUUUUCUUUGAGAAAAGACUAGAAAGGGUAUCUCAUGCUUCUUUUGGCAUUGAAACAUCCUGAAUGUGCUCAAACACAUCUUCUUCGAUUGUUGUCUUCAAUGCAAACAUUGCUUUGUCAUCUUUAAUCUUUCACUUGCGCGGAAUUUUAUUAGUGUCUUCGGCUGGUUGUGUGUCUUCACUGACAUGGACUACCUUUCAUAGAUCUUGGUCUUACAUGUAAGAUAUCAUGCAUGGUGACCAUGCACUGUAAUCUUGAUUGUUAAGCUUCUUAAUCCCUCCAACAAUUUGGAUAUCUCCCAUGCUAUUGCAAGAACAGUUUAAACUACUACUGAACCUGAGAUUGGUUGCAAACUGCCAGUGCUACUCAAUCAACUUGGAAGCUGUUAUUCAAGCUGCUUCUGGCGCGAGGAACGUGGCUGCUGGUGCUGGAGGAGUUUUUGCGACUAUUUUGUUGCUGCAAAGUCUGCAAGCUUGUUGCUACGUCUGCUUGCUAAUGCUAGAGAAGUCUAAUCGCUGCUGCUGCUACAAGCUACUGCCACGAAUGAGGAGGUUGUUGCGUCUGGUGCAAGCUGCUACUACAUCUGGUGUAAACUGUUCUUGUGUAUGCGUUUUUUCGUUUUUGUUCCUCAACUAUGAUUACUCCUCUCCUUUUCAGCCUAGGUAGAUUUUACUUAAAAAAGACAAAACAGCAGCUACGUUUUUUCUCUUGCUCUUGUUCUUAUUUUCUGAAUGUUCAAGGUGGUUUUAAAUAGCCUUACAAAUCCUAUUAAGCUAAGACUUCUAUCUUUUAUCUAGAAACUAAUCAACUAUCUCCUAACUAUAAUAAAACUCUAAUAAAUCAUUGAUCUUGAUGUUGCAGAAUUCUAACAAUAUCAGAACAUCCUAUGAACCAUAAACUCCUAAGCUAAUGUUGAACUCUAACAUAUUUGCCCCAUCAAGUAGAAGGUGAAGGAUGAAGUUAACAUCCAUUAUAAUUAUAAAAAAUGAUCAACUAUAACCAUUUCAGAAUAUACAAGACAUAAUUUUUGCUCUUCCUUUCCCCUGAAUUCUAUCUAUAAUACAGUGAAUCGAGACCAUUAUUUCUCGUGUUGACUAUUUCUGCUAUUAUCUAAUUCCAAAACUUGUUUUUGUUUUCUUUUUUUUAAGGAAAAAAAAAACAUCCGGUUCCUAUAUAAGUAAGCUACACAAUUUCCUUUGGUGAAAGAUUAUCGUCUUCGUUCCAUUUUUCCUGCACUGAGACCAUCUUUGGUCCUUUAAGCUAAAAUCAUGUUGUCUGGAGCGUAGACCAAAUCAAACCAUCUCCAAGAUUUUGAUAUUCCCAGUAGAAUUUGCAGCAACCAAAGUAGAUGACUGGCCACGCCAACAGACAGAAGAAAUAAAUUGUGCAGCGUCAUCCAUUUCAUGGCCAGAAAGCGGGUCCGUGUUGUUAAACUUGAAGGACAGCACUGGCAUAGGGAAAGCCUUGUGAUAGACAAAAACCUAUUCCACAAAAAAAACAUUAAACUUAAUGAUGAAUGAAACUUGCAUUGUACUAUAAUGUGCGCUGUAGAAGUCACUUCACUAGCAUAGUUGCUUGAGUUUUGAUGGGUGUUAAGAGUUGGGCAAUAAAAAAAAAAAAAAAGGCUAUUGUGUUGUUAAUACAAUAUCAUGAUGCGAGUGAAAAGAGUAUGGCUAUUGUGUUGUUUAACAACUUAAUUAUGACUUCCAUUCAACUCAGCUCCAUUCCUCCCCUUAUACACUGAUAUAAGCUUGUUGAACAAAGUAAGGUAAAGGGGAUAGAAGUUUUGAGUCUUGUGUCACCCAAAAGUCAAUACAACCAAUGCAAUUCGUGUUACAUGGAUUAAACUCUGGGGCUCGAGGGAAAAGAUCAUGUGCUGCCAAAAAGAGCGCAGGUAAAGUGUUGGGAUAUGUCUUGAACUAGCUCACUAGUUACUAGGCCCCUUUUCCUUUUUGCCCACUUGGUUUGCUAUGUAUAUUAAUUCUAGAACUAAAAGGGUUGGGGUUUAGAAAAAAUCAAGUUGAGUUUCUUAUAAGGAAUGGGUGUAUCGGGGCCAGGGUUUGAUAAGCACAAUCCAAUUUCAUAGUGAAGCUUGACCUCAAUUUAAAACGAACCGUAUAAAGUUUAUUGUGUUCUUGUUUCCUCCUUUUCUUUCCUUUACUUCUUGCAUAAAAAGUCCAUCAAAUUCAGUCAUAUAUCUUGUUUCCUAAACAUUAGAGGUCAGAAAACUAAACUGAAGAAGAAACAGAUGCUACAGUCUUUUGCCGUGUACAAGAGAAAGUAGCUUGUAGUGCUGUAAUAUGAAGAAAAGGUAUGAAAAGGUGAGAGAGUAGCUUGUAUUGCUGUAAUAUGAGGAUAUUUGGUUUAUGAAAUUGUUUCCUAUUAUGGAUGCUGGUUAUGUUUCUGUGUCCAUUAAGGUAGGUCUUCUUAAUUUUCAGUCAACUUUUCCAAGGCGGCGAAUCUAAUGAGUUAACCUAGUUAGAUGUACGGAUAGCUCCACACAGUUAUCCAAAAAGCAACUGAACAUUUGACGAGGAAAAGUUGAUUUUCUAAAGAAGUUCCUAAGUUCUUAUGCAGCUCAUGUAACAAGGCUUGUCAAACAAGAAGAGAGAGGCCACGAGUUCUUGGAUGGUUAUGCCAUCAUAAUAAAAGUCAGGGGAUACAGUUAAGUUUGUUUUGCCACUGAAAAGAAACCAUAAUUUUAUCCAUUGAGGAAAGGCGAGGUACCUCUAAAUACUAAAGUAAGAUAUAUAGUACCUCAUUUGUUUCCGAGCCAGUUGCAAUGUAACCAUCUGAUACAGACAAACCCACGAAGUUCUACAACAUAAGCAUACAUAGACAAAAGAUGUCAAGCAUGGACAAUUUUCCACCACCAAUAAAAUACACUUAUCACUGUGAAUAGUACAUCUAACAUAUAAUAAACUAUGAAAUUGAAGCAACUUAACAUCAAAUUUAUAUGCAUGGUGAAGUACCUAAGCCAGAAAAAAAAAGCCUUAAUGUUUCCUUUGUUAGUUCAUUAUUUUAGUAGGCAUUUCAAUUUCUAAUAUUUAACAUGAUGACCAGUCAUAAUAAUUAUGAGCACCCAAUCCCUAACUUCAAUGAGCAUAAUAAACAGACUAUUCUAGAACUUUGUAUUCAAAUAUAAAUCCAUGAGAAUACUACUAUCAGAGCUUUCAGCGUAGCUGAUAGAACCCAACAAAUUUCACAGUAGAUCAACACGAAGAAACAUGAAGAUACAGUAGUAUAUUAACUUGCAAUAAUGAAUUUCAGUCACCUCAUCUGCUGCCAGUAACCCCCAUUUGCAAUGUUUAGCAGCCCUAGUUCUGCCAACUAUAUAAUUAGCAUCAUGAAGAUCAAUUGUGCAAUUUUUUAUUAAAACUUUCAGAGGGUCAUAUGCAUUCUCCAAAACAUACUUAAUAAAUCUUAAGCUAACUUUCCAACCAAGCGAAACAUGUUUUGAAAGAAAAUCAACUUCGAAGGCACAGGCUUUCAUGACUAGCAAAACCAUAAUGUUUUCUUUGUUGCAAAUCCUGAUUCUAGUGCAACUUUUAACUAACAACAACUGUGACAGACCAGGAAAAUUAACAGCUAAUCGAAAUGAGACCAAUUCUCAUCCAAUAUCCCUCACAAAAAAGGUCAAAAAUAGUACACAGAUGCUAAUUAUUGUAUGAGAACUGAACAUACCUUUACAUUCAUGUGGCCUGUGAAGGAUUGAAGGGGGUUAUCAAUAACCCUAGACGUGCCCAUUGACAAAUCCCAGAGCUUCAGUGUGUUAUCCGUGGAAGCAGAAACAAUAUUGGUUGUAUCUACAAACUUCACAUAACUCACAGUUUUAUUGUGUCCAAUCAAUGUACACAGAGGAACUUUUGAGUUACGGAGAUCAUAGUAAUAAAUUCUAUGAUCUGCUGAACCAAAUGCAAUAGAACGACUAGAAUCCAUGGGAAACUGAACAGAGCAGACAUUGGCUUUUGUUUUGAUGGAACCAAUACUUACUCCCUGCAUAAGAAAAUCAAGUAUGAGGAUCAGCUUAUUAUAUGUCCAGAAUUAAAUUAGCACAUUAAGAAAUUCUAUAACAUUAGCACGUUCAGUUUCAAAGCUGACAUCCACCAAAUGCAAAAUUAGCAUUGCCUGAUUGAUACUCCAUAGCUUGACUGAACCAUCAUCACUCCCACUAGCCAGCAUUGUUGGAUCUGCUGAUGAAAAGUCAAUGGACCACACACGCCUCUCAUGCUCUCUCAUUUCUGUUACCACUUGACUCCUUGUAACAUCCCAUACCUGAACAUGUUGAGCAAUUGAUUUACAAUCGAGUGAAAUAAAGACAAAAGCCUCAUCAAAUAUUAGGUUUGAGCCAUUACCUGCACCACACCCUCAAAGUUACUUGAAGCAAUUUGGCUUGUAAUAUAUCUGUUCCAACAUAUGCUGCUUAGCUUUGACCUACUUACCAUUUCAACAACAGGAUAGUGGAUAUCACGAGCUUCAUUUAUAAUUGUGUCACAUUCAAAUACUUUUAUCUUUUUAUUUACACCAGCUGUAGCGAAAAAUUCUCCAUCACGGUCAAAACUAAGAGAGCAGACUAGGUUUGAAGAGUUCAACAAAUCCCCUUGCUUCAGGUCAGCCUUCACUUUUAACUUACUAUAAGAUAGAUACUUGCACAAACCCUCCAGGAAUGGACUUAUCCAUCCACUUUGUCUACCCUUAAUAAACCGAUCCUUCAGUGCUAAACUAUUUAUGGAGCUUCUUUCAGUCACAACAAUGGAACCUCUCCCAUCACCACUUACUGGUGAAUUUCUAACAAAUGGUGGUUUCCCUGGUGGCCUGACUGGUCUGGAUCUUGUCAAAAAAUAUGCUGACUCUAAUUUCUUAAAGUUCUUCAUCAAUCGAGAACUUCUAAAAAGAGGACUUUCCUGUGAUUCUACAAAUGUAUCUGAGUUCCGACCUUCAUUGAGAUUAUCAUCACAUCCCUCUGUGUUGAGAAUCUGAAGACCUGAGCAAAAUCGUUUUCGGGAACCCAAGCUAGAAGAAUCGUCAAUAUCAUAAAUGUUCAGGGGAGGGAGAUUUGAUGCUAAAUGAUCACCCUCUCCUCUUUCUUUACAUGUGCUUCCCUUUUUCUUAAGAAAAGUUUGAUGCUUUGUGACUUCUUCAAUAUCAGAACAUAGAAGAGAAACAGUACCUUGCAACUUAUUAGCUGCAUCCUGCUUUCUUUGUUGCAUUGGUAAAAGGAAUUCCAGCAACAAUUCCUGCUCCUCUAUUCUCUCUCUAAGCUGUAUUGCUGCUUCACGCUCUUCCAAAUAGUCUCUUGGUUCAUUAAGAAACUCGCUUUGCAGCAAUUCUCUGUCAUACAAUACAUGAGAGUAAGACAAUGAAAAUUUGAUUGAACAGAAAUCAGAUGAAAUGUCAAUCAAAAAAGGUACUUUGCUCAGGGUGCAGUAACCAUAAGCACACAAUGUACUUGUUUGAAGACCUCGAAAAAACUCAUCCACAUAUUAAGGCAGAUGCUACCAUAAAAUGUAAAGUAAACAAAGGUGCAGGAAAUUAACAUUCACCCCAUUUUUGGCCGACUACUUGGCUCAGGGUGCAGUAACCAUAAGCAAAAUGAAGCUUCUUUUGGCCACUUGAGCAGCAAUUGAGGAGGAAGAACCCGAUGUCUGAGACUAGACAUAGUUCUGCUCUUGUCUUCCCUUGAAGUGAAUGGGCUGAACAGCUGUUCACAAGUAGAACUAUAUCACAUCAAUGUAGACAGUAAACAGCAGAAGCUCUUAAGACAUUAUUGCAGGCCAUUUAGAUAAUGAAGAACUUUCUGCUUGAAAUAGAAGUCAAAAGUUCAAAACACAUAUAAGAAAUGGUUUUGAAUCCACUCUAAUUUUGAUCGUUAACAUCAUAAAUGCAACAUUAUCAUUACGAACCUCGAAAAGAAGAACUCCCAAUUGGUAGAUGUCUGAAGCACAAGAGCUUGGUGAACCAGCAACCUCUUCAGGGCUGGUAUACCAACUGGACUCCAUCAGCAAUAUUUGCUUCAUUGGAAAUGGUUGUUUCCUUUCUUCUUCAUGUUCAACGUUCCUCGUACCAAGGACUUUAUUUUCUUCUGUUUCUUCCCCUAAUGGUAAAUCUGCUGCAUAAAGCGAGCUGGACUGCAUGCAACUGGCUUCCGAUAAAGCAUUUGUUGGAGUAGAUGCAGGUAGAAAAUCUUCACUUUGUAACCUACUUCUCUGCUGGCACAUGUCAUGGGAGAAAGAAGAAGCAUUUUUAACCUCCACAGUUUGUCUAUUCAAUCCAUCAUCCAAAGAAUCAGACCCAGAAUCCGAGUAAGAAGCGGACUCGAUGAAGGAGACAUGGUUAAAUGAUGACAUGACAAAGCAAGAAGGCCGGACAUUGUGAACAACAAUUCCCUGUGAAUGUGCCACAUUUACAAUUUCGACUAUUUGCCUAAAUAUGUGCAAACAUUCAAAUUCAUCAACAGACCGUUCUGGUUUGUUCAACCAAUGCCUCAAGCUAACAUCGUUCCACUCCAUGUUUUGGACAAAAUGGUCAACUGCAGCUUCAUCCUCACAAACCCCAGAUAAAGUACCAGCCUGGUUUUUUAGGUUUUGACGAGCCAGAACAACCCUAUCAGUCUCCUUUCUAAACCCAGAGUUGUAAGAUGCGGAUCUUAGAUUCCUGUUGGUGACUACUGAAGUAUUAAAUCCCCUAUAACUACCAGACUUCUGCCAAGCAGACUCAGAUGAGCCCUCCAUGGUUACCCCCCUUGGGCUGCAUGUAAGCCAGAACAAACGCAUCCAAGAAAUGGAGGAAUUCGCCUGCUACUACCACAUUCGCUAACUUCCACCAUUACCAUCUUCAAUCAAUACCUUAUUUCACAGAAAUAGCAAAAAGAACCUUGCUUCUGAUCAAGCCAAAGCUCAAUAACUCAGCUCCUCGAAUAAAAAUACUAACCCUUGCAGGGCAGCGGACACUAGAAAAUAAGAUGAAAUCUUUUAGCAAGCACACUUCUCCUGAGACAACCGCAACCAGCCUAACAUCAAUAAACCAAUAAGAAAAUUUAAAAAAAGUAGAGAAAAAUCAACACUUACAUUAUACCACACACAUUUUUCCUUUCCUUUCUUCAUCCACCGGAAUUAUAAAACUAAGUCCUCACACGUGCACUGUUCAACACCAAAACAACACAAGCACCAGCACAAAAAAAAAAAUCAAAGACAAGUACAAUAAUAUCCAGAAAAGGAGAGAAACUGAAGAUACCCUUUUUACAAUAUAGAAUUAGAAACACGUACCCAGAGGUUUCAUCAAAAAAACAACACAUGCAUCAGAACCAACAAAAGCCCACACACAAUAAUAUUAUAUACAGCCAUUUAAAAGAAGAGCUAGAGAGAAGGAGGGAGGGAUAAGUACCUGUAGCAGCACCAAGAAUGGAUAUUUCUGAUCCUGCUAGACCAAAAGAGAACCACACAACACAACAAGACUUUAGUUACUACACUCCACUAAACACUACAGCCUCAUAAAUUCCCUCAUUUUUCCCUCACAACUUCAAAAAUAAAAUCAAACAAAACCCCUCCACAAAAGAAAAAAUCAACAUGUUUCAAAUAAAAAAAGGAAAAAAAUACCUCUCUCUCUCUCUCUCUCUCUCAUGCUCUGUUUCACUCUAUAUAUUAUAUAGUUCUUCAUGAAAUUAUUAUGAUAUUCUUUCUUUUUUAAGCCACAAGCUCAUGGUUCGCUCUUUGGCUCAUCUCCCCGCUUUAUUCCAUUUGAGUUACGUGGCACCACCAUAGCCUCAACCUUGUUUGUUUAUUUCUUUGCAAAGAAGCCAAAAGGGAUGGUAAAUUUGAAAACUUUGUGGGCCAUCAGUGCCAAAAAAAAAAAAAAACUGUUCUUGAUGAAAAUAAAGAUCUUGGCUUUCUAGAAUUGGAAACUCAAGGUGAGAACAUGAAAAGCAAAUAAGAGCAUGCCUUACAGGUGUGAAUCAUUAAACUAAUCUGAUGAUGUGAUUCUUGUUAGAACAGCACGUAAGAAACAAUUAAGAAUACUAUAGUGGGCAGUUCUUGUUUCUUUAAUCCGAUUAGUGACACUAAAAAUAAUAUUUUACAAGAAACACUCACAUGAUAAAAAAGAAGCUAAUAAACUAUUGAUUAAUGUAAUGAAGCACAAACAAUGAAGCUAAAAAAAACAAAUAAUGGUGAUAAAAUCAACCUUAAAAUGUGGGUUUGAGUUUUGUGGGGCCCGGGCAUAAAAGUAUACAAGGAAGGAAGGGAAGAGGAUAAUAAUAAUAAUAAUUAAGGAUUGAUAAGAGAGGAUGUGGACUAGUGUCAGGUAGGACUAAUUAUUUUUGGUUUGGUUCGGUUUUUAUCUAUAAAAAUCAAUCAAAUCAUAAAAAAAUAGACCUGGAAUCAAACCGAAACCGGCCCAAACCGACCGGUUUCGAUUUGAUUUUUGCUAGCCAAAACCAAAAAACCUAUGUUAUUUUUUGGCUUUGUAAUGAGCUUCGUAAUUGGUUUUUAACGGAUUUCUGAUGGGCUUGCAAUUAAUGUUGAUAUUGUCUAAUUUUCAUUGAAGAUUCAAAAGCAUAUUUAAUUUUUUUACCACUAAAUAUUAAUUUGUAUUAAAUUGUUAUUGUCAAUCUUAUGUAUAUUGAGUUUUUUUACCACUGAAUAUUCAUUUAUAUGAAAUUAUUAAUGUCAAUCUUGUGUUCAAUAUAUUUUUUACCUUCCUAAUAUUUUUAUGCUUCUGAAAAGUUUAAAUAACACACUCACAAUCACACACCAAUAAGUUAAAAUUCAAAUUACAAAUCAUUGCCUUUAAAGGGCUUAAAGAAAAAAUAACAAAUAAAACUAUCAUAAAACACUCCAAGCCAAAAAAAAAAAAAUCUUCAUUUGCACAUCGUCUCAAUAAAAAAAAACUUCAAGACCAUUGCAUUUUGAUUCCUGAAAUUCAUAAUCUAGAAUUAUAACAUGAUAAAUUAAAUUAGAAAAUAAAAAAAAUAAUAUUUUUACCAUAUGUUUUCAAUAAAUGCAUCACAAUUUGUGAACUAAUUAUCAUCCGUUGCUAGAUGUAACUUUCCAUCAAAUUCUACAAAAUAAAAAAUUAAACAUGUUAGAAUAAAAAUGUGUUAAUUAUUAAUAAAUCAUAAAACAAAAGAUGUAAGUUUUUAAAAAACAUUACCUGAUCCAAGGUUUUUGUAGGUUUCAAAAUCAUUCAUCAAGGUUGUAUUAUCAAUUGGAAUUGGACCAUGAUGCAACCAAUUUUGACAACAAAUAAGUGUUUGAACUGUUGCUAGAGAUAGAGAACUUCGAAAUUGGUUGAGUAUACGACCACCUGUGCUAAAGGCUGAUUUAGAAGCCACUAUGGAUAUAAAAAUAGCCAGAACAUGUUGUGCAACUUUUGAAAGUAUCUUAUAUUUUGAAGAAACAUUAAUCUUCCACUAACCUAAAAUAUCUAAUUUAUCAUUAUUAGGAUCCUCACAACCAUCAACCAAAUACGUCUCAACCUCAUUUCUAUUUUUCACACUAUCUUCCUCCUGUAAGUGCCUUUUGAAUCGAGGUAAAGUGUUAACAUCUACCUCCACAUCAUCAAUAGCAUCAUUAACAUCUUAUUUAUGCCUAUUAUCAUCCACCACUUCAUCAGCUUUCAAAUAAAACUCAUACAAGCUCACCAAAUUAUCUUUCAUUUUUUUUUGUUAGCAAUUGUGCUUUGUUAUAAUCAUACAACUCACCAAAAAAAAAUUUCACAUAUGUUAACUUAAGACGUGGAUCCAAAACAUUAGCCACAUACAAUAAAAAAUUUUGAUUUGCUUCACAACCCCAAUACUUCUCAAACUUACUCAUCAUGUUCAUCGUCAUUCCACUCAAAAGAUUAUCUCUACUUUUACAUAAUUGCAACAAGUUUGUAUGCAUGUAAAUCAAUUCAUUGAAGAAUGAAUUUGAUGUGACAUGCAAUGAGCCAGAAAAUUUCAAUGUAAUCAUGUAAAAGAUCUUUAAAAACUUCAGCAAAGUUCUAACAUUUUUCCAAUCCUCCAAACUAGGUGGUCCUAUGUUUUUUUUAUUCUCCUUUGAAUCAACCUCCAAAAAGUAACUCAUAUACAUAGGUUCACUUUGACCUAACCUCACAAACACCUUUUCAAACUUUUCAGCAGCUUCUAGCAUAAGAUAAGUUGAAUUCCAUCGAGUUGCAACAUCCAAAUACAAUGAUUUCUUACACUCUAUAUGCAACUUUUCUGCACACUUCUUAAAUGCAAGUAGCCUAGAAGAUAAAGAUCUCACAAACCUAAUUGCAUUUCGAAUCUUAACAACCAAAACAUCAAUCUCUUUCAAACCAUCACACACAAUGAGGUUUACAAUGUGUGCACAACAUCUAACAUGCAAAUGUUCAUUUGACAAUAUAUUAGUUAGCCAAUCUUUCAUCACAUUCUUUAAAUAUAAAAUAGUAACACUAUUAGAGCUUACAUUGUCUACUGUAACAGUUAAAAGUUUAUCAAUCCCCCAAUCUAACAAACAAUUCUCAAUAACUUGACCAAUUGUUUCACUCAUAUGAUUGGAAACUUGACAAAAAUUCAGAAUUUUUUUAUGCAAAUUCCACUCACUAUCAAUCCAAUGAGUCGUUAAGGACAUAUAGUUAAUGUUUUGGAUUGAUGUCCAUGUAUAUGUUGUUAAGCAUAAUCGUUGACCCUUAAGAGCUCUCUUUAAUCUUUCCUUCUCUUCAACAUAAAGUUUUAAAUAAUCUCUCAUAAUAGUGAAACGAGAAGGAAUGUCAAAUCUAGGCUGCAAGGUCCUAAAAAAUAAUCUAAAUCCCUUACCCUCAACAAAAUUAAAAGGCAACUCAUCAAUUAUAACCAUUUUUACUAGUGCAUGUCUACAUUUAUCAUAAUCAUAACCUAUUGCCUUAAGAGUUCCCACACUUCGAUCUCCUGAUUCACCCCCCGCUUUAUUAGGUUCUAAUACCAAAAGUUUUUGCUUCUUAUCAACCACAAAAGGAAACUUUUUGUAUACUUUUAAAUGACUCCGCAUAUUACUUGUCCCAUUAAUAAUAGUAUGACAUGCAUAACCCUUUUCACAAUAAUUACAUUCAGCUCUAGGGAUUGUAGGAUCACCAUCAAGUUUGGUAAAAUGAUAUGCUUGGCAAUCAGACUAUAGUUUACCUCACCCCCACUCCCAUCAAAAUUCAAAUGAGAAGCAUGUUAUUCUGCAUAUGAUCUGCUUGGAAAACCGUAAAUAGAAGUGUUACCCCUGUUCAGGGAGCUAUUGCUACAUCAUACAACAUGUUUACUAUUUGCUAAGGAGCUUCACCAUUUAAAAAAAAAACAGUAAAACCUAUAUCAUCCAUUCAUUUCAGAAGCAGUGGAAUGGUAAGUGAUAUUAUCACACUACAAACCAGAACUAGGGCAUAAAACCAACACAGAUAAACAUAAAAAGGAAAUCUCAAAACUGAUAAAAAAAAUACUAAAUGAAUAACAUAAAAAAAAGCUGACCAAAAACUGGUAGAUGAUAUGGAAAAUGGAAAUGCAAGUUUUAGCUGCUAGAUUUCUAUGUUAUACUUAUUUCAGGUUUUAACUUAUAAUCAUAGGUUCUUUAGACAGCAGGUACAAAUUGUCGAAAAAGGUGUUUGACUCAUUUUUUAUUUUCUAUCAAUUCUUAAAAUUUGUGUCCAAGCUAAUUGACAGCUUCUGUAGAGCUUAUUUGAGUUAUUUUUGUUUUCAUUUUUUGCAGAUUAUGUUUUAUGAAGCCUUGAAAGAUUUGGCAGGUUAUCUUAAAGACUUAAACAUCAUUUUUCUUGUGAUGAAACUAAUUUCGUUCACAGAAUCACAGUAAUAAUAGCCAUGAGGAGACACAACACUAAGCAGGCAUGAAUAAACAUUGAACAUAAAAAAAAACCAAUACUAAAUACGGAUGAUUAUACACUAUCAAUAAUUAAAUAGAAAUUCCUAACAAAUUAGUAAAGCAAUUUGAUAAUCAGUAAUUUCAACAAUUUUUUUUUUCUAACAAUAUUGAAUCAAAGAAGGUCAGUAAUCAGUAUCCAAAUUAACUUGAAUAAUCUAAAAAACACAUGAAUAAAUUCUGACAUAUAUGAAACAACAAGCAGAAUGCCUUCAACAGAAUCAGCACAACAACUGUAUCCUUAUUCUUUGACCUCUACAUUGAAAAAAAAAACAAAUACAAUAAAUUAAAUAGAUGAUAAACAGAUAAAUCUAGGCAAAAUAUGAGCAGCCAUUAGUUAAUUAAUUAAAACGGAAAAAACAAAAUUAAAACUCACUGCUAUAGAACUUAUUCGGUUUCGGAGUAAUGGAGAUUGUGGAGUACCAUGUGAUAUUGUGUAGAUGAAGAGGAACGUCAAUCUAUUUAUGAGAGGCUUGACUGGUUUCAAAUGAUGGAAACACAAACUAUUUUGGAUCUGUGUAACCGUGUUUCUAUUUUCUAAGUCUAAAGAGACUAAAAAGGGAGAGGCGAGAGGGUGCGGGUGCUCUGGUUAGGGUUAGUGGCCAGGGAGAGGGGAGACGGUGAGGGCGAGGGAGAGUGUUACUAUGUUAGGGAAUUAGGGUUAGCGGAGAGAGGCGAGAGUGGCAUCGUUUUCUAUUUAUAUCGUCAACACAAAACACUGGUUAGAGACCUUUUUUUGAACCGGUUCGGUUCGGUCCGGGUUAACCGAUUCCUGCAUUACAAAACCGAACCGAAUCGGGAUUUUUUCUAACUAUUCUAAUCGGUUUAAUCAGUUUUUUUUCUCGGUUCGGUUUUUUUUUGCUCGGUUUAUUCGAUUUUCUGUUUUUUUUGCACACCUCUAGUGUCAGGUAAUCUAAAAGGAUGUUCGGCGCAGUUUUUGUUUUUAAAUGUUUUUAAAAAAACAAUUUAUUCAAAAAAAUAUUAAAUUAAUAUUUUUUAAUGUAUUAAUAAAAAAAUAAAAAUAAAAAUAUUUUAAUAAAUUUUCAAAAUAAAAUUAUUUUAAAAAAUACAUUACAUACCCAUCUCAAUUUGAUGUAAAAUUAGGAGCAAGCGAUUUUUUUAUUUUUUUUUUCAAUGUAAAAUUAGGAGCAUGCGAUCCUUCCUCAUAACAAUUAACAGUGGUAAUGUUUGUGGUCCCUACAUCUGGCGGCUAUUAGCACGAUACUAACCAAGUACUCGAAUUCGCUGCUGGGAGGAUUCCAUUCCAAUAACAUGCAAACAUUAUGAAUGCAUUUUCUAGAAUAAUUAAAAAAACAAAUUAGAAAUUAAGAAGUUAAUAUAUGCGACGAAUCACUUUUUUAUCGGUAUAUUUUUAUUAAAAAAUUUCGGAUAAAAAAUAAUUACAAAUAUAAUUUUUUAGGAAAACAAAGCUUGGCAUAAAUAAAUUCAGGAAAAAAGUUAUCAAUGUGAAAAUAAAAUUAAGAAGAAAAGUUAUAAUUAUAAUUGUUAAUAUAAAUUCAUUUUUUUUCUAUUAAUGCAUUUUUAAAAAAAUAUUUUUUUUUUGUUAUAUAUAUAUUGUUUAUUGCAUACAAACUGCAAGCAAUUAAAUUCAAUAUUUAAAAAAUAUUAAUGAUUUAAAAAAAUAUAUUAAAAAAAAUCUUUUUAAUAUUGCAUGGAAAGUGAAAGCAAUUAAAUUCAAUAUUUAAAAAAAAAUAUUUUAAUCAAAAUCUCUUUCCAUUAAAAGAUUUAAUGAUUUAAAAAAAAGACUUCUUUUUUACAAAUUUUUUUUAUAAGAAGUAAUGUUUUUUAAAUAAGAACUUAUUAUAAUCUUAAUAAUAAGUGUUAAUAAAAAAUAAUAAAUUUAUAAUUUUGACAUGAAUGUAUUAAAAAAUAAUAAUAAUAAUAAUAAUAAUAACAAACUUGAAAACAUAUAUAAAACAAAUAGAUAUUUCAUUUAUAUUUAGAAAAUCAUGCACAUUAAAUUUAUAUAUAAUUAUUCUGAGAUAAAUUAUUAAUAUUAUAAUAUAAUAUACUAAUAUUAUUUGAAAAUAAUGAUAUAAUUGGAUUAUUAUUUAAACAUCAUUUAAAUAAAUUUAUUUUAAAAUAAUCUAAUUAUAAAAUGCUAAAAGAGAUAAAAAAAAUACAAGGCUAAGCAAGCACGGGCUAGAAGAAUAAGCCUACAUGUUCGGCCUACAUGAAAACCUAUAGGUUCUGGGGUCUAGAAACUCAAGUUCGCAUGUCUGAUUUUUCUAAAAAAAAACACGAUGUUCACUUUUAUUUUUAAAAAAUUAGACAAAAAAUAUGUUUUUUGACAGUCAAAUUACACAUUAUUUGUCUACUAUUUUUUCUAGUCAUAAAAAAUGUCUUCGUGAUUGAAAAAUUAGGAUUCAAAAACUUGAACCCCAAAAACCUAGAAUCCAACCAUUUUCCAUCCAAAAAUAUAAAGAAAAAAAAACAUUUAAUGAACCUCCAUUACCUCGAUUUUAAUAAUAAAAUAUAUUUUAAUUAGUUUAAAAAUUCUAAAUUAAAUCAAAUUAAAAAAAAAAAACUCAUGCACUGAAAAUGGCCACGCUUCUUAGGGUUUGGACUAGGAUUUGAGACUCAUGGUUUCUUGUUGGUCCACUUUGAGUAUGAGUUCUCAUAUUUUGUAGCUUCCCUUCCCUUGAACAUUCAUUCUUGGUAAAACAUGUCAUGAAUUUAUAUAAUAAAAACAAUUUUUAUUUUUUAUUUUAUUUUUUAUCUGUCACGUAACUAAGUUUCAUCCUCUUUCUCGUCUCGUCCGUUCACCAAACGCCUCCAUGGUUAUUUCCAUGAUCAAUAAUCCAUUGUCUUUUAAACAACCAUUAAUUUUAUUUGUGGUGGGCAGUUACUGCUAAACAUUCAGUGAACUUGAAAUGUGUUUUCAAGUUUAAGUUUAUUUAGGCCGUCUCUGGACCACUGGUCCACCUUCCUAAAUAUAGACCAAAUUAACAUGAUGUGAAGAACAGAUCCCAUUGUGAACAUGAUAAUCAAAUCCACUUUGAAGGUCCCCCUCAAAGUUUUGUGAUUUUCGAUAAGAUUCCCAGUAGAUGCACAGAAACCCAGAAACCCACAUACAUUUCAUCAAGAAAUACCUUAGAAAGGUCUAGAGGAACAUUAAUCAGUGGCCUCACUGUGUGUGUGUGUGAAGGAGCCAUGGUUACGCUCAACUCUUGGAAAGACCAAUUAGUCUUGCUUCGAUCGUUCUUUGCAUAAGACCAAUAUCCGGCUUCCUUGGCAACCAAAGAAGAGAGUGCGCGUUCAUGACAUGUUUAUCAUUAAUAUCAUUGAAUUCUUGAACGUCGAAUUCAAUGCCUAAAACAUGGUUGUUGGGGGUAACCAUCAUUGGUGCUGUUCAAGAAACCAAGAUGCCGUUGUCAAGAGGCACCUUCAAUACCUAGAGAAGGCACGAGAAUGAAUGCAAAACCAUGACCAGGGGGGGAAUUGUUGUAAGGGGUGAUGGAGAAGGUGAAAGAGGACGAGAAUGACAGGAGCUUUGAGGAGUUCGGGUAUCUUAUGGGAAUCCUUGUAGAGGCCUCUACCACCAGAAAAUGUGAUGUCUCCGGUGAGGGAAAGCGUGCCAGAUUGUAGCUCUGCAGUGCCAUAAAGUAACAAGCUCGAAGAGCUGAAACUGUAACUCGACUGCUAUUGUAAAUUGGAGAAAGGAGUUAUUUAAGAAGAAUAGUAGCACAUGGUGGAGCCCGAAGCUUCAAGAACUGGGUUCGUUACUGUCAAGUGCCAUCCAUCACCGGUCUUGUAAUUGCAACUUAGUGCAUGCACCUCCUUGUUUUGGAAGGAUAAUAACGCACUCAGCAGAUACUCUACAUCUUGGGUAUGGUGGAUGCAACAUUUGUCUUUCCACACCGUGGAAUAAUUUCACAUCAUCCAGAUACUCUACAUCUUAUGGCUAAUACAAAUGCUCUCCAAGAAUGGUCAAUAAUUUUGAGAUUGCAGUGAUAGUGGAAAGUAAAUACAUGUGAUAAAUUGCAGAGGGGAGAUUUAUCAGUGAGCUAUAAUCUUGUAGCUAAAAUGGCCACUAGCUAUCUUUCUAAGAACAUAUACAAAAACCCCAACCAACGGUUUUUAACUCAUAUUUCACAUAAGGAAACCACCAAUCAAAUUACUCUUAAGAGUCCCAGCAAUACUUCUCAUGUGGGGCUUACCUCAUCGACCUGAAACAAAUAAUGAAUUGGCUGAUAUUUGGUAGCUUUCAGCCUGGACUUUUCUAACCCUUGCCUUGUCAAAGCGUGCUCGUCUAACAGCUUCUUGGAUCUGGCGAUCAUGAUCCUUCAGCAUCUGAUCCAUGUUCCCCGAUGGAACUAUCAAUGGACCAGAAUAGUGGAUUUUGUGAGCCUUUGACCCAUAGCCAAGCUGGAUCCAAAUUAACAAGAACCAUGAAUCAGGAAACACACAAAAAAAAGGCUCCUCAGAAUUCAGGAAACAUGAAAUUGUAAAUCAAUCAACUUAGAAAAGACGGUUUAUAAACAACUUGCAUGAUAUGAUGCAGACCAGGACAAAGCAGCCAAGUGGUUAAAAAAUUCACUGAAAGGUUAAGCAAAAAAGCAAAAAAAAAUAAACAAACAACGAAAUAAAAGAAAACUGAAUUGUGAAGUGACUUACAAGGACAGGAUCUUUACUGUUAUUUCUCCCAUCUUCCUUUUGGUGGGAACCUGCAACACCCUGUGACAGACGCUGUGGAUCCUGUUGGGCAAAGGAUUCUGAGGUUUCCUUGAAGGAUCCUGGAAACCGUGCCAUUAGUUUUGGAACUUCCGGUUGUGAUAGGCCAGACCUUUCUCUGUGAUCUUCAGAUAAUAAACUCCUCCGCGCCGCCUCUAAGCUUGAAAUUGUUGACAGGUCAGCCCCCGUGUAAAUCUUAGGAGCAUCAUCGGGGUUUCUGCCAGCCUUUGCCCAUCCAGAACGGUGAGACAGUGGCCCAGAAUGUGAGGCUCUCUUAUGCUGAUGACCCUGAGGAUCCAUGUUUGAUUCUGCAGCUUGUGAUGGUCUAGGGGGAUCAAUUGGAAAGCCAGAAGCAACUUCCUCAGGAUGGGGAUUAAACUUCUCACUCCGGCUCUUGGAAUUUGGACGACCAUGUCUUUUCUGUAAUUAGAGCGCAAUCCAUUGAUAUAAAUUUCAUUAGUAAAAUCAAAUUUAAUCAAAUGGAGUGCCAAAAAAUAAAGGGAGUCAACAGUAAAAGAGAUAAUUCAUGAAAAUAGAACAGCAAGAAACAAUCAAUUGUUUAGGUAAUAAUGCUUAAAAGAGGGCUGGAGCAGCUCAAAAGGACAGUAGUCAGAUGUAGUUUGAUAAAAAAAAAAAGUAUGACUUGCUGCUUUCAAGGCAUAAGGAAGAUGGAGAGUGCGAGAGAGAGGACAAAAGAAAGAAACUAGAUAAGAUUUCUUGUGUCUCACAAAGUGCCUUUUGUACAAAGCUGUUUUCUGUAGUGGAGAAUUGCAAUUUCCAUGUGAUCAGAAUGGCAAGAUGGCACAUUACUUUAUACUUCAUUGUUCUGAGAAGAGUGCAAUAAGAAGUGUUCUAAGACUUCGUGUUAUGACUGGCUUGUUUACUAGUUUCAUCUAUAACAGAGCUAGCUUUAAAAAUAACUUCCUUUCUCUUCUGACCAAUCUUUCAACUCAGCAAUUCUCUGAACCUCACCACAUGGCCCAGCAAGCCUACAUACCCAUCUCCUAAUCACAAUACUUCCCCAACCGCACACACACACAUGCAAAAAAGUGUCCUGAGAGAGCUAAGGUUAUCUUAAAGAAAUCACCUGCAUUGAUAAAACUAGCUCAGCAUUGGCAUCAGGUGCUGGAACAGCUCGAGAUUCUCUUUGCCCUCUUCUUUCCAUGUCAGGUUUCUGGCCCUUGCUUCCUGCUGCUCCUUGUCUGUUUGUGUGAACAAAAAAUGGGAUUGUUAGCAAACUACACUACAUUUACAAGUCAAGGAUUCCAUCAGUGAUAGAAGCACGAAGGAUAGUUUAGUGGAUCAGUAAGAAACACACAAUAAGCAAUAUGAGCAAGGGCACUAAGGCAACUGUCACAACCAAAAUACAAAAUUAUGUAAACAGACACUGCAUUCAUCUGAUUCAAAUUGAUUCCUACUUCAACUAUUUUUUCUCUUUUCUCAACUAGUGCACGCAACUUCUAUAUUUUAACAAUGCCAUUAACUGCGGCCAACAUGCCAAAAACGAAAUCUUUUAAAGCUUUUUUUCCGGGCCUUUGCCAGAAGCCUUCCAACAAAAGAUUAAAUGAACAAUAAAUUGGAGAAAAACUUUUUUUCUGUUCUUUUACAAUGUUUACCUUCUAGCUUCUUCAUCUCGCAUUUUUGCAUCAAACUCUUUGCUAGGAGGAUAAUCAGGCAAACUUGAAGGAUCACAAGGAAGCGGCUUGGUCGUAAAGAACUUUAAACAAAACUAAACAAGUCAAAUACAAAUUAACAGAAAGCAAGAGAGAGAAUUGUAAAAUAGAACUAUAAAUACUAGAGCCAACCUCAGCCAGCCAUGAAGAUUAUACUCAUCUUAUGAUUUAUUUAUUUGUCUAAAAAGAAAAGGUUAAAUGAACACUUGCUACCAACUGCUUUGGACCAAUAUGUUACAUUAAAUGGAUGGUAUUUCUCCAAAAUUAUGUUAAGAUUACAAAAAAAAUAGCUGUGCUGCAUAAGAAGCUAUAAUAUCAAAUAAGGAACUCAAAAAUAAAAAUAUACGAUCAGUUACCAGAGCUACAUCAAAAAGGUUGACAAAUUGCAUGGUGAAAAGAAAACACAAAAAGAACAUACACACUCUUGUACAAGAUGCAGUUUUUUUUUCAAAGAACAUGUUACAUAGAAGGAAGCAUAGGGAAAUGAAGGACGGUUCUCUUUUAAUUGAUCACAGAAAAAAGAAGACAUACACAAAAAGAAGAAAUAACAUAUAUAAGAAAACAUACACAGAAAGAAAACAUCACAGAAAAAAUAAAUAUAUAAGAUCAGUUAACUGAGCUACGUCAAAAAGGUUGACAAAUAGCAAGGUGAAAAGAAAACACAAAAAGAACAUGCACACUCUUGUAUAAGAUGCAAUUUUUUUUUUCAAAGAGCAUGUUACAUAGAAGGAAGCAUAGGGAAAUGAAGGACAGUUCUCUUUUAAUUGAUCACAGAAAAAAGAAAACACUCAUCAACCACCAACUAAAAUUCAAAACUGUUCAUGGUUGUCGAAAAUUCACAAACUAAAUGUGAUACACCAAAAUAUACAAAGUGCAUAAAAGAGUGAAAUUGUAGGAGUCUUCGAGUGAGAUCAAGGGACAGAAAAUAAAUCCUAAAAGCAACACAGCAUUUGGCGACAGAUUAUUGAUGAAAACUCAACCCCGUAUAGUUGCAGGCUAGCAGUGACAAAAUGUGAUUAACAGAAACACAAUCACCAUUGAGAAAACUGGGCUUGGGUGCUUUUGUGAAGAAACAAAGUGGAAUGAAUCAAAGGAGCAGCCACAAAAGUUUGGUAAAGUUGAUUAGUUGUGGAAAAAUACAAUGAAGCAUAAUAGAGAGAUCUGAAACCUAAUAUAUGCAACGAGAUGGCUAAAGACCUGUCACAAUCUAAACCCCUUAUGAUACAACUUCAGAGUGGUGUGAAUUGCCUGCUAUUGUGUCUUUGCUGAUGGCACCAGGUGAACUUGAAUGUUUAACAGGAUUUACCUCCGUCCAAUUACAUAAACACAAACUCUUCCAGUGACUUUUAGAUUGCAACAACAUGGUAUCACAUGAGUUGGAAGGAAAACAGACUUCAGUCUCAAAAUGUAUUUCAGUGACAAUAAUAACAAAAAUCCUAGACAAAAUUAUUAGAAAGAUCGAAUUAAAAAUGAAAGAAAUGUUAAUGAGUGAUUUACUUAUUAGGUAAAAAGAAUUGAAAUAUAUGCACUAUCAUGUGUAGCAAUAUAGAUCUUCUAAUUGAAGCCAAUAUGUAUCUCUGAAUCAAAAAAUACCAAGAAGACCAUAAACCACUUUCCAAUGUAACACCAAAUCCCCCCACCCCCAAAGGGACAAAAAACACUCACAAAAAGGGAAGGGGAAUUUGAGAUACAUAGUUCAUGGAUACCUCAUACCUCACUCCUCAGAGCAGAAGCUGCAGAUCCACGAUCUACAGGAUCAAUGGCGAGCAGGGUCUCCAUAAGAGCUAAAGCUGGUGCUGGGAAUUCCUUAAAUGUUUCUGCAACACAGCGUCUAUAAGGCUGCUGAGGCUUAAAGAUAGUCGCAUGAGGCAACUUUGAUUUUCUCCAAUAAUCUUCAGAAGGUGAGCCACACAGCUUGAAAAUUUUAUGCAGCUGCUCCACCUACAAGGCAGAGGCAUGCAAACUAAUCAUCAACAUUUUAAGUAGCUGCACUAAUGUUUUUUAUGACACUUACAUAGAUUAUAAGAAAGCAGAAAAGGGAUACGGCAUCUUGUGAUAAUUAUUCUCUCUUUCAAUCUUUUCUUUUUGAUAAAUCCUUUUUCUUUUUCAUAUUAUAAGAAUUUUGCAAAAGGAUAAAGAAAUUCAGACAUAUCAGACUCUGUUAGGUCUUUGCUUGAGGUCUCUUUUUAAAUAAACUUUUACAAUAGCUUGCAACACUGCUAAAACAUAUUCUUACUCGAGUUCCCUUAUUUUUACCUUUGACCAAAUUUAUAGAAAAAAUAAGGCACCCUCCAAGGUUAAAGUAAACAUCAAGACACGGUUACCUAUGAUCAACACCCAUGAUUUGUCAAAGGUGAGAACUCAUAAGGUAUUAUCACCUAGUGUUUGUGUUAAGUGUUAUAGUAGUAGAAAGUGCAUGACUAUGUUUCUUGCAUUGCCCAACAGCUUGGAAUGUGGAGUUGAGUUUCUAAAUGCUGAAAAGAAUUAGGCACUUCUGCGUAGGGUGGAGAAGAUGUUAAUGAUCCAUUUAGUGGGUUUUUUGCUGACAGGAUGUAAUUCGACAAUCUUCAAAGCAAUAACUAUCUAGAAGUUAGCACGGGAUAAAAUUUGUAUCUGGCAAUAAUUAGUUCAACAUUGUACUUGGAAUGAUGGCCCAUGAAAAAUAAUCUGCAUUGCAGUAUAUUAUAACAUGAAAUAGCAAGCAUCUAAGAGAAACACUCUGUUUGGUGGAGAACCCUAAAAGACAUUUUUUUUUCUCGAGAAUAGAAAAGGAGAGCACCUCAGUUCUCCCUGGCAUAAUAGGCUUGCCAGCAUACAAUUCCGCAAGUAUGCAACCUGUACUCCAUAAAUCAACAGCUAUCCCAUAGUAGGUAGCUCCAAGUAGAAGCUCUGGAGGACGGUACCAAAGAGUCACUACUCGGCUUGUCAGUGGCUGAACCUGGGCAGGAUCAUAAAAACUUGCUAGUCCAAAGUCUGCAAUUUUCAAGAUACCAUUGUUGUCAAUUAAUAGGUUGGAACCCUUUAUAUCACGGUGUAGAACACCACGGCUGUGACAGUGAUCAAGUCCUCGUAAAAGUUGUUGCAUGUAACAUUUCACCUGCCAGCAUAUACAUAUUAGACCACAACAUCCAAAGCAUACAAGCAUGAGUCAAAUAUCAAACCUGUUCUACCUUUUAAGAUUGACAAUUUACACAUGGAUGAUCUUGGAGGAUAAGGAGCAUGUAAAACUAGCAGAUGUUAACAAUAAAAUACGUAUGAAUUUCAUAGUUAGCAGCUGAUAGCCUGUCACGGCAAAAUGCAAACACCCAUUGAAUUAGAAUCUAUUAGAACCAAACUGCCAAAAUUACCUGGGCUUCUGUAAAAUUCAGACCAGGGUGUGAGGCAAGCCCAGCCAAAUCAUGCUCCAUGUACUCAAACACAAGGUACAAGCUGCAUGACAUCCUUGAUGUAACUAGGCCUUCUAACUUUAUUACAUUAGGAUGGUCAAGCCUGCGCAAGAUGUGAAUUUCCCUGGCCAUGAAGCGAACACUCUCAGGUUCCAGGUUAUCAAACCUUACUUUCUUCAAAGCAACAAUCUUCUUCUGAUCAAGGUCACGAGCCCUAUAAACAUUACUGUAGGUUCCCUGGCCAAUCUGCAUUAUAAUAGAAAUCAUCAGAUGAGGGAACCAAAUCCCAAAAGCAGGUCAUUUCAGUUCAAAGAGGACAGCAGCAGAUAAAAAUAACAGGGCAAACCAUUCUACAAGAACUUGUGGGACCUGAAUAGAAUGAUCUGCUGUUGUCAACUACUCAAAAAUUAUACACAAAAAAGUGCAAAUAGAAGUCCAUGAUAUCCAAACAAGAAAUGCUCAACAGCAAACCUGGCCCCUUGGCCCUAGCUUAAAGAGUAAGAAAAUAGUAAAAUACAAUGGUCAGGGACACAGGAUACAGAUUUGCACAUUCAGACCAGCCUAUUCAUGCAAAUCGCUUCAUCCUUCAAGACUAGAAGUUUGAAAAAAUUCAGCCAAAUUAACCAAAACGGAAUACCAAAAGCAGGGAGCAGGAAAUUCCAGCUACUGAAGUUGUUAACAAGCAUCCAUUUCUUGAAUUAUGCGGUAAAAUUAACAAUACAUGUUCAACUAAAAGUUAUAAGCUAUCUGUCCAUAUAAUAGCAGCUCCCUCACACAUCUUUAAAUGCUAUUGUAAAAUUUAAGUUUUUUUCUUUAGGUGAGAGGGGCAAGACAUGAACUCGAGAUCCUGCCGCCUCUCCCCUGAUUCUUGUGGAUUAGAGCUUUUGGGCUAAACUAUCUCAACAAAAUUGAAAAAGACCUGUUACAAACAAUGUUGAUACAUAGCACUCAUCUUCAUGGACCCAACUACAAUUCAGAUAUCACAUACACACAAUGCAAGUUGAAGAUUAUACCACACUUUUAAUAUUCUGCACUUUGUUUACUGUUCUUCCCCCACCAUAUUUGUUUCAAAGUUCCCUCCUUCCUCAGCACACUAACGCUAAUUGACUGGCAGCUUAUCAAAAUUGGAUUCAUUUUAGACCCAUUGUAUCUAUUUUGAUGGAUAAUUAUCUAAAUGUUAUGGGUAUUCCACUAACUAUAAUAAAAAGGGCACAUUAUCAAAGAAUGGUGCUUCUCGAAUAUUCCCCAAUACUAAAUAGCUCUUAAAUUCUCUUAAUAGCCUCUUACAUUUUCUCAAAGCUCUUGGACUCGAACAUGGAUACUUCCUAUUUUCUGAUAUGGUAAUCUCUCUAACCAAAUAAAAAGGUCUAACUACAAGAAAAUCAUUCAAACCUUUAAAGCAUCACUAAUUCCUACACUGUGAUUGCAGAAACAUGGAUCUUUCUCUGGUGUAAUCAGUAUAAGCCAUUCAAAUUCAAACUCUUUCAUAUCCAUACUGUCUCAAGCCUCUCAAAACUCUAUGCUUCUCAAGCCUCCAGGCUCUGACAAGUAAACUGAACUUCUAGCUAACAUUUAUUUAGAAGUUAUCAGGUUCAAAGAAUCCGUCAUUACUCUUAGCAUGUAAAAAUGAGUUAUGCAGAGCUCUUAUGCAUGUUAUAAAUGAGCCUUCCUAAAUGUAUUUUUCACCACCUUGCUUAUUUAUAAAUAUAAAUAUAACAAGCAUACAUACAACACAAAUCUCAAGGAAAAGUCACUUAAUAGCACCAAAAAAAAGUUCCAUAAUUUUGCUAACUGAAUUCAAGCUAAAGCUAUAAAAUUUGACAACACACCAUAUCCAAUGCGUGCACAAAUGAAAAUGCUAAAAAAUGUAACAGUCCAAAAAGGUUCUAAUUCUAAUUAGCAAUCGUCACUUUGUUCAUUGCAUUAUGAACCAAUCGAGGUGUCAUAAGCAUGUUCUUCAACCAUUAAGUUUGAAUUGCUAAAUUUUGAAAAUCAUAAACAGAAUCUUGCUUGCAAUGGAGCAGAGCUUACAAUAACACAUGUCAACGUUGAGCUUAGAGAUUUUUUAUGAAGUUACUUUAAAAGUGGAAAAAACGAUCAUCAGUAAUUGCAGGACGUGUUCUAAACAAAAGCACAUGUCAACGUUGAGCUUAGAGAUUUUUUAUAAAGUUACUUUACAAAAUGGAAAAAGGGAUCAUCAGUAAUUGCAGGACGGGUUCUAAUGAUUAAAAAUGAGAUAUAACAACAAAAACAAAACGAAAAAAAGGGCAUACCUUGUCCAGCUUCUCAAAUGAAUCCGCACGCCGUGGCAACCAACCUUUGAUUGCCUCUCCAGCCACAGCAGCUAGCCAGGAAGGCCACCCAGCUGCAACCUGCUCCCCUUCAGUGGCUUUCGGUAUGCUGCCCAUACCUGGGUGGUGAAGAACUGCAUACUCUGACUUGUCCCUCUUCCUAUCAACAUGCUCAACCCCAUGCACUCUAAGAGACCCAUUCACUUGCUUGUCAAUCAACAUUGUCCUACCAUCAUUACUAUCAUAUUGAUCUUUCGCUCUAUAUGCUUCCUCUCUCCUUGAAGAGGUAGCCCUUGAUACCCUCAAGUCAGACGAGGGCUUACUUGAAAGUCUCUCUCUUGGGCUCUCCUUGCUAUCCUCAAUUGCAGAGGGUUUACAACACAUGCAACCCAUUAUGUACCUAAACCACCUCCAAAAACACCCUUCUCCUUUAGAAUCAAUAAUUACCCUUCAAAAAUCUCAUCUUUACACUUCUAUCCUCUUCUUCCAUUCCCAUUUUCACACAACCAAACUAUACUUCAUCGAAAAUAAGCAAUUAAACUAUGUAUCUCAAAAUCAAUCACCGGAAGAGCAUAAGCAAUUCCCACUCAAGAUUGAAACUUUAAAAUAACCGAACACUAGAACCACACAAUUUUGCACAAUAACUUAACUGUGACUCAAUGACUGCUCUUUUACUGUGAAACUUCCAUUUCCUUAUCAAACCCACCGACUCCUAAUCCAAAAAAGGAAACCAAUUUCCUCAACCUACAACGCUAAAAAUGAAAAAACUAACAACAACCACCACCUUUACUCCAACAACAAAUUAAGAAUCACAACCUGAAAACUAAAUACCUUUAAAAUGUCAUGCCUAAUCUUUUCAGCUAUCGAAUCAGGUGAUUGAAAACCCUCCACCAAACUCACAAUUCCACUACAAAACAAACCCUAAAAACCCAAUAAAAAAAUAUAGAACCCAAAUUACCAAAACAAACAAACAAAAUCUAAAGAAAGUAAAGAACUGGAAACACUUCAAUAUAAAGCAUGCACCUUGAAAAUGGAAACCAAAAUGGUAAUAAACAAUAUUGUGAAAUGAGAAUUGAAGGACCUCCUAGAGAUGGAGAGAUCUAGGGAAAGAGAGAGAGAGAGUGGAGUAGUGUAGAGAAGAUGACAAGAAAAUGAAAAAUGAGAAUAAAUAUGUAAUACAAUAAAUAAAUAAAUAAAUGUGAAAGUUAUUACUAUAUAUUAAUAUUAUUAAAUUAAUUAAUUAAUGAGAUGGCGCGUAAGAACAGACAGGCUUUUAGAGAAGACUGAGAACUGAAGAGUGAGUGAAGACCCCAAUGCGUAAAGACAUUCUUGGUUUGUGUCUUCUUCUAUCCCCACGCGCUCUGUUUAUAUUGACACGUGUAUAUUUUUUCUUUGCCUUCGUUUUUUUUUAAACAAAACAUUAUUUAUCAUUUGAUGAAUAAUCUCUCUUUAGAUUUUUUACUGCCAGUUUAUACCUGACUGAAUAAAGUAAAAAAAAAAACUAAAUAGAAUAAUUUAACAAAAAAAUAUUAAAACCUAUUUCAUUAAUUUAUUUAACUUGUAGUUUAACCGAAUAAAAACUGAAUGUUACUGUAUUAUUUUCAAUAAAAAAAAACUUGUGUAUAUCAUAAAAUUUUCUCAACUUUAUAUAAUAUUAUGAUAAUACAUAAUUAUAUAAUAUAUGUGUCAAAUAUUAAUGUUGUUUUAUGAAUUAAACCCUAGUCAAUAUUCAUAAUAAAAACAUAUCUUAUAAUGGUAUUGUAGCUUCACAGGAUCCGUUUUCAUCUAUGGUAAAAUUUCUGUGUUUCAUUUUUUACCAUGCUUUAUUAAAAGAAAAACUAAAAAACGUGAGAGUUUCAAUGUAACUCUAUAUAUAAAUUAUUGUAAAUUAUUAUAGUAAAAUUAUUCUUUUACCUUUAAAUAGAAAAAACUUAAGUCCUGAAGUUGGGGUUUUUUCCACUUACCUAUUAGUUAUUGAAAAUUUUUUUGGGGAUAUAUGUGUUUUUUCUAAUUUUUUAUACAGUAAAAUACUUUUUUUAUUAAGAGUCAACAAUAUUUAUAAAUAUUGACCAAGGGCUUUCUUGAUUUUUCUCAAAUUUUUUAACAGCAAAAAUAUUUUUUUGCCCCCGAUAUCAAAAAUUUAUGGAGUUGUUGGGCAAAGGUGUUUAUGGUUUUUUCAUGAUCUAUAUACAGAAAGCAUAUUUUUAACCUUAUAAAAGACCAAAAAAAAAUAAGUUUUUCCUUUAAGGGUGUUUUAAUAUUUUCAUAUGAGUAUUCUGUGUAAUUAACAUGUUCAUGAGGGUGUUUUGGUAUUUUUCACAUUUUCUUUUCAAUUUUUUAUUCUAAGAUCUGUUGAAUGCGUGUUCCAAACAUGCUGAAGAGUGGAUGGCGUUCGUGUCAUUCAGGUGAUGAUGAUGGUGAUAAUUGUGGUAGUGAUAUUUAUAAUGAUGAUGAUGUCAUCGUCGUCGUCAUCAUAAUAAUAAUAACAAUUUCAUACUCACAUUUUUUCAUACUCACAUUUUAUUCAAAAAAUAAUAAUAAUAAUUUAUUAUGAUAGUUGUAGUGAUUAUGAUAUCAAUAACUAUGGUGAUGAUGGUAAUAAUAUUAAGAAUUAUUAUAAUAAUGAUAUUGAUGGUGGUGAUAUUAUAAUUAUAAUAGUAAUAAUAAUAAUGAUAAGAAUAAAAAUAAUAGUAAUAUUAAUUGUGAUGGUGGUGAUAAUAAUUAUAAAAAUAGUAUUAACAAUAAUAAUAAUAAUAAUAAUAAUAAUAAUAAUAAUAAUAACAACAACGAUAAUAAUAACAAUAAUAAUGGUAACAAUAAUAAUGAUAGUAAUCACGAUAAUAAUACUAAUAAUAACGAUAAUGAUAUUACUUAUUGAUAAUAGUAGUGAUGAUGACAGCUGUAAUGUUAGUGAUAGAAGUAUUGAUGAUGAUAAUAACGAUAGAAUACUAAUGGUGAUAAUUCAUCAUUCGAUGUUAGAUUUGUUAGGAAUUGAGUUUCACCACUUUUCCAUGUAUGGAAUUUCCGGUCUAAUAUUCUGGGUUACUAGUUUGAAAAGUGUAAUUGGAAACUCGUUUUAGGAAAAGAUCCAAGAUAAGAGAUUUCAAGAUUCAUCUUAUUGUCCGGGUUUAUAGCAUUGCAAAAAAAUCUUUGUGCUCUUGAUAAUUUUUUUCUACAUUUUUUAAAACAUGGUUUGGCUCGUGGUGGAGCGCAAAAAAAUGAACGAGUACACUUUCUAUGUAUUGUUGUUUAUCGUUGUUUAGAGAGCACUUUUUUUAUCUAUUGUUAUUGAAUUAUUUUUAAAUUAAAAUUAAAAUUAAAAAUAAUAUGGAUCAAACACCUUUAUUCAAACUUACUAAAUUUAUGUAACGAUCACUUUCUUUAUUUUAUCAAAAUUUCUAAAAACCAACAAAUCUUGAUAUUUAGAAAUUUUCCUAAACAAAUAUAUACCAAAUGUAUUUGUGAUUUGAGUAUUUUUUUUAAACAUAGAAAUUGACGAAGUCAUGAAAUCUUCAUAUUGGAUUAUGCUUUCCACGGGUUGUGAUUUUAGGCUAGAGAAGUGACCGAUUUCACCACUAAUCAAUAAGAUUUUCCUACAAAACAAUCUCAUGUUGGAACAAGAGGUCUUCUAAAAAUUAAUUUAAUAAAAAACAUGAGGGAAAUAAUAUACAUGAAAGUAAAGAAUGUAGGAGAGUGUAUUUGUGAAUGUUGGAUUGGGUGCAUUGUGUAAACUUGUUGAAUAGUUGUUCGUGAUUUCUAAAAUUGUUGUCUGGUUGCUUGUGUGUUUCUGGAAGUGUUGGGUGGUUGCUCAUGGUUAUUGGAAGUGUUGGCUGAUUUCUUGUGAUUACUAGAUCGAGACCCAAAUAAUUUUUCAAGGUCGAGCCAGCCAAAAUAAACUGAAAAGCAAUUUGUUUGGGUUGUGGCCUAAAGGGAUUGAAGGUAGUCAUUUUGGUUUGCUGGCCUAAACAUGUUAUUUAAUUAUUAUUAUUUUAAAUUUUAACAAAUUUAUCGUGCCAUCAUAUGUCCCCCAAGUCUUUAAAAAACAUGUUUGGAAGACUUUACCGAAAAAAAGUAGGGGAUAUAAAAUACUUAUUGUUUUUAUACUGGUGAUGUUACUUGCUUUUGUUAAUGUACAUACAUGAGAGUUCUCUUAAUUGUUUUUCAUCAUUUCUGUGAAGAGAAGAGAAUUUAGUCAAUUUUAUGUGUUCUUCCUAGAAUAGAGAACAUUAUUACUUAAAAGUGGAGAAUAUUUCAUGUGAAAACAACUUUAAAGUAUUAUAAUAUUGGAGAAGUGGAGAUUUCAUUAGAGAUCUCAAGUUGAGAUCUUUAUUGGAGACAUUAGAAACACAUUUAGAGACAUAGAAACUUCGCUUGGAGAUGUGGAGAUUUCAAUAAAGAUAUGAAGAUCUCAUCAUGAAGAUUUUUUAUUGAAGACAUGAAGAUAUGUUUUGGAGACACGAAGAUCUUACUUUGGAGAUUUUUAUUAAAGACAUGGAGAAAUAUUACUACUUUUAUUCAAAAGUUAAUGGAGAUAUAAUUUCUAAAAAUUAUUUGAUCUUGGACAGUCCAUCAUAUGAAUUUUUUUCAGUUUGUUCAGAUUCUUUUUUUUUUCUUCAUAAAUUAUUAGAGGUAUCCUUUAAAGAUCAAUUUUCCCUCUUCUUUUUCAAGGUAUGACAUUCCUCAAUGUCGUGAUCAUGGUCAUGGUAAAAGUGACAGGAUUUAUUAGGGUUCUUUGUAUUUGCGCUGCUUUUCUUAGGGCCAGGUAUCAUUUCCUUGAUUGGUAGCCAACACUUUAGUAUAUGUAGUGAUAAAAGGUGUGUUCAGGAGCUCGAAGAAUGUUAGGCGAUCAAGAAAUGAUCUCUCAGUGCUCUUUUUCGAUGCCCUGGUAGGAGAUCGAUAACAUUACAGAGAUUUUGCUCUCUCUAAAAACGAUGAUGUCCCUAUUUGGCAACAUUGGCUUCUUAAACGAUAAUAAGAAUAGACAUAAACAUUAAAUUGAUUGAAUAAAAUAAAGGAAAAAAAUAUUAUGCUAGGUUGCACAUAUUAGAAAUAUUAUCUAAAAAUAAAAAAACUUAUUUUAAAAAAUAAAAUUCAUCUAUACAAAAGAUAAAAAAAAAAUUAUAGAUAAAUAAGAAAAACCUCGUAAAAAAUUAAAUGCAUAACAAAAAAAAUCAUCAAUUAAAAGAGGCUCUUUAAACAAAAUAAAAGAAAGAAGAGGUAUUAAUCUAAAUAUAAAUAUUUAAAAAUGUAUAAAAAGAAGCAUUAAUUAAAAAAAAAAAAAGGUCAGGUGCAGUAGCUAACCUGUCUAGCCUUUUUGUUGGGGCUCGCGCGACUAGGCCCUUAUUUGUUUUCGCAUUUAGGGUGGUGUCGCCCCAAAUGUUUUUGAAAAAAUAAAUCAGACGACACGUCGUUUGUUUUUGCCCAGAUUCCAACCAUUGCAGUGACCAAAAAAUCAAGGCUUAGGGUUUUUUACCCAGAAACACAUUUUUCAACAUAUUUUUGACCAAAAACACCUAUAAAACACCUUAAAAACCGUAACAAACCUAUUUAUAGCCUAAAAAACCAAAAAACCAUCUCAAAAAUCAAAAUCAACCCGAGCUCAUAUAUGUUUUUUCAUGAAUUUUAAAGGUAAAAAAAUCUAGUAUGAACUCCCCUCAUCAAAUAGAAUUAUUUGACACAAAUAUCGACCGUUUUAGUGGUCUAAAUUGGUAUUAACGGCAUCUCUCUCUCUACCGCUAGAAUCCAGCGACCUCUCUCUCUCAUCUCUCAACCAGAGACUAAAAGUAACAAAAAUAAAUUUUUAUACCGAAAUUGAAUUGAAAAAAUAUUAAGACACCAAAAUUGUAUAAUUUGUUUUAUUUUUAAAGUGCGAUGACCAAAGUAUAUCUAGAUCUACGGUGUUUUAUUUGUGUAUAAAUAGUGUCGGCUCUACAGCUAAAAUCACAUGCCUUUUUAGAUUUUUACUUCAAUUAGUUUUCUUUCUCCAAUUUGAAGGAUAGUAGAUAGGCAUUUUAUUUGUGUAUGAAUCCAAAAAAUAAAUACUCUAGUUUUGUUAACGAAUCACAUCAUGUGCUAGGACACGGCAACAAUUGCAGGGAAAACUUGAUAAUAAAGGAUGGAUUGAUUUGCUGGAUUUUCUUUUCCUUUUGCCUUUUUAGCAUUCUUUCUAUAACUUGAUAAUAAAUAUCGUUAGGUGGGUGAAUUGGAUGGAAACUCUUGCCCCUCAUUUGAAGGCCCCACUCAAAAUAAUCAUGAUCCUAAUCUUAGUAAGUUGAAUAAUCAUGUGGCUGUUCAAUGAUUGAUUUUUUUUGGGUAAUGCUGAUUUUAAUAUCAUUUUCAUCUAUCAAUUUGAUUAGGUGGGUCCUUGUCGCUGACAUUUUUCUUUGGAUGAUUGGAGACUUUUUUGACCUUCAUCCAUGUAUGUAUGGGUUUUAACCAGCAGUGAGAAAAAUAGUUGACAUUUUUCUGCUUUUGACAUUAAAAAUAUAAAGUUAAAAGGUUUUGGAAUACACUAUUUUUAUAUAUCCACUAACAUUGUGGAUAAUAAUAGUAAUUUAUAGUAUUGGUUUUUUUUUUUAGCAUUUUGACCUUUUUUUCCUUUUAAGUAUUGGUUUUUUUUUUUAAAUUUAUUCCUCAUAUGAUAUGUUUAUAGAGAUUUAGAGUAAAUAAUUUAUUUUAAUUUGUUUUUUAUAUAGUUAUCACAAUACUAAAAAAAUAUCAUAGCAUCGAGUUGGUAUCGGAAAAAAAUUUCAGUAUUACAGUAUGAUCUAUUUUUAAAAAAGUUUAGUGAAACAAAAAAUAAUUUAGAAAAAAAAACUAAGUUAUUAAACUUUGUGGAGUCAAUGACCCUGUUUCCGAGUUUGGCGAGAUAAUCCUGAUUGCCUCGGUUCGCGGGUUUUGUUGGGUACUUUUUUUUUCUAAUUGAACUUGAUUAUAUGAUCAUAUAUAUUUUUUUAUCAUAUAAUUAAAAAAUAGUUUAAAAAAAACAUGUUACUAUAUUUUAGAAAGUCCAUGGGCCUAUUGACGAGUUUAACUUUUCUGUUUUUCUUUUUUAAAAAAAAUUAUUUUUUUUAUUUCAUCCUUUGAUGUUAGGUUGAUUGAGAAUUGAGUUUCAUAAUUUAUUUCGUUUUGCUUUUUAAGAGGUUAUUAUAUUCUUAAAAAAAAAGUCUUAGAAUUGGUUUGAUGCUUAAUUUUGCGAUCAUCUAUUUUUGUUAUCAUAUAGUUAAAUAAACAAUAAUUUAUAUAAAAAAACAAGUUAUUAAUCCCAAUGGAGUCCAUUAUCAGGUUUGCGAGUUUGAAAUGUUGACCCGGGUUACCCGAUUCACGAGUUUAGCCAUCAAGCCUGAUAUUUUUUUUUUUAGAUUUUGGUCCUUUAAUUUUUCUAAUUGUCUUUUUUUUUUAUUUCACUCUUCUUUAAUAUUGGAUUGUUUGGGAAAUGAAAUUCAUGGUUUAUUUUUUUCUACUUUUUAUAAGGUUAUCACGAUCUCAAAUAAAAUGUCUUUUUUAUGGUUACUGCUCAAUUUUUCAAGUAUCUAAUGUUAUCAUAAAAUUAAAUAAAAAUAAUUUAUAAAAACAACAAAUUUAAUAAACUCAUUGAACUUCAUGACCUAGGUUACAAGAUGACCGAGGUCGAUCUCAUCUGGUAUCAUCUCAAUAUUAAAAAAAAAUUAUUGUCUUAAAGUUUUUUUAAAAGAUAUGUCAUGUUUUUAUUGGUCAUCUAAGUUGUAUUUAGACCCAUUAAAUUGAAUGAUUCACUUUGGAUCAACUCUUACGCGAUUUAAUUCAAAACUCGAGUAAGGAAAAGAGUCGAGUUGGCAGGUUUCAAGAUCAAACCGCUUGAUUGGAUUUAAUGAUACUACAAAAAAAUAUCACCAUACUCUUAACAUUUUUUUAUGUUUAGAAAAAGAAUAGUCUGACUCACAGUGAAAUGCAAGCAAAUGUAUUAAAACAAGAAUGUGUGACAUAAGCUCGUAUAUUUACAUUGCUCAUAGUUAGAUUAUUGGGGAAUUACAAAAUUGUCAAGAAGAGUGAUAAAUUGAUAGUUGGAGGCAAGGUUGUCAAAAACGCAUUUUUGACACGACAUGAAAAAUACAAAAUAAACUCGGAUCGUAAAAACGGAUCGUAAAAUCGUAAGGAAUUUUUUCAAGAGAAGCCUAUUGUCCCAAAUUCAAAGAAGAUGAUACAAAUAAAACAAUGUUCUGGAAAGGAAUAAACAUUACCAGCAAUGCUUUCAUAAUCACAAAGACACCAUAACACCAUCCCACGCAAAUUCAAAGAAAAUCAAUACAAACAAAACAAUGUUCUGGAAGGAAACAGACAUUACCAGUAAUGCUUUCAUGGACAGGGACAUUGGUGACCAGUUCCUUCACACUCAAACGUUUGCACAACAACGUUGUAAAAUUCAUAAUGUUCAAUCACCAAAUAGUUAAAAAACCUGCAAAGAAAAAAACAUCGCAUCAAAAGUUUGAACCAUCAAUAACAAAAGACACGCUGAAAUGCAGAGAGAAAAGAGGACACGAAGCAAAGCAAAACCAAGGUUUUUAUUUUUUUUCUUCGAAUACAUAAACCUGUUCAAACUGUCCACAUAGCAAAACAACAACAUUGAGACCUGCCAACAUUACAGGUAACCUCCAUAUGCAAUCUGUGAUUGUUCCUGCACAAACACACUAAUCAGUUCUACCCCAUAGAUUGAUCCCUGAAGCUUUUUCUUCAGAAAUGAAUCCUUUGCUCUUUAAACUUUAAACUGCAUCCUUGAUAAUUUGCUCCAUGGGAAUAAAUUCUAAACCCAAGUCCAUCAGCUUCUUGGCUCCAUUCUUUGCCCUUAACAACCCAGGUUGGGUAUCCUUCAGCAACCUACACCAAUAGGCACAUUAAGGAUCAAGCAGUAAUGAUUCAUACCAUCAAACAACCAGAAAGAAGUUUUAAGAUCUCAAUGAAGCAGGGGUGGCAAUGGACAGAAGUUUGAUCCACAACACAACAACAAGCACAACUUUGUAUGAGAAUAAAGAGCAAGACUAGUUAAAUUUAAUGUUCCCAAAUUCAAAACCCACAAACCACACUUAUCAAGAAAAUCUAAAUUCACCUCAAAUCAGCCUAUAUACUGAUUUUGCGAAAGAAAUUAUCAUAAGAAAAAUUGGUCUCAUUUCACAAGUUCGAUUACCAAACUUUGCUUUUACUGUAAUGACACCUAACCUAGCAAUAAUAAUCUACUACAAUUUGCUCCAAUAAGAGUUCAAACAUUCUGACAGCUUAACCAAUUAUAUAGACCGACCUCCAGAUAUGAGAAUAUUCAAGAAAUUGGUAAAAGCUAAACAAACAGCUGAAAUAUUCUUCUGAUUUGGGGUUUCAAUCUAUAAUCAGUGUUGUCUUUAGGGUUUUUGCUUUCCAGCUAGCAAGCUAAAGCAAAGCUUAACAUAUAUGAGGACAAAGUGAUAGUAUGCUUGCACGGUUUCACCAUUAUCGUCCAGACUUCCAUAAACAAGUGCACUAACAAGAAAAAAAAAAGAACAAAAAUUGGUUGUUGUUUGAGUUUUGCCUAUGCAGAGACAAGACUCGGUGAGUUGUGGAGGCAGAGCAGUAGAGGUGAGUUGUGGAAAAAGAGGCGAGACUGCGAGAACCCUUGAGAUUUGAGAAAGGGGAAAGGGGAAAAGGGAAAGGGGAAAGGGGAGGGUGACGGUGUGUCGGGGAGGGGAGACAGAGUCAGUUUAUUUUUUUCACUCUCUAUCAAACUCGUUAACUCGGUCCGUUUUUACCGAGUUGACCGAGUUUGGUCGAGUUUGACCGAGUUUGACCAUUUUCGAGUUUUUAACUCGAUUUUACAGGUUAUAUGGGAGUUGACUCGUAAAAUCGUACGAUUUUACGAGUCAACUCGCGAUUUUGACAACAAUGGUUGAAGGGUUAGACUUCAGUUUUUAUCUGAAAAAUAACAUUAACUAAAUAAUUAACUCACAUUAAAUAACUGGUUGGGGAAAAAAUUAAACUUAAAAAAAUUUCAAGUUUGUAAAGAAUUUCUAGGCAGUGUCAUUAAAUUUAGCCUAAGUCAAUUUUAAAAUCUCCUGAUCAAACUCAUCUCUUAGUCCAGGUUUUAAAUUAAACCGUAUGAAAGUUGUCCCGGUAUGACUCAAUUGACCUAAUGAGUUUAAAGUGACCCAAAUAACCAGUAAAAAGUGUAAUUUAACUUUUUUUAAAAAUUUCAAGAUAACAUAAUUUUUUUAAAAAAUAUUGAUACGACAAUAUAUUGUAUUGACCUGAGUUUUGCGGCUUAACCCACCAAAACCAUUACUCGGGUUAUGGACUCCACUUUUAAUAAAAAAAAUUUAAACUACUUUUUAUCUAAUUAUAUGAUAACAAAAAUAGAUGUUUGUAAAAUCAACCACUAACUUGAUGUUGGGAAAAAUCAUGGUGUUUGUUUGAGACCAAAAUAAAUUAUGAAGGUCAAUUCAAAAUCAACCAAAAUUUAAAGGAAAAAAUUGAAAAAAAAUCUGUCAAUAAAUAUCCAAUAUUGAAUGAUGACAUUGGGAAAAAUCAAAGGAAAAAAACCAAAAAAUAGGCUAAACAGACUGGCCUAUAUGGUCCAAUACGCCUCUACCUUCUUUAUUUAUUUUUCUUUUUUAUCAUCCACCCUUUGUUUUUUGAAAACAUAUAUAGUAGGCAAUAUGUUGUAUGUUUUUAUAGAUUCUGACCACCACAUGUGGCUGGAAAGUCAAGCUUCUAACUUAUAGGUAAAAAAAAAAAACAAUUUCAAAUAGUUUUCAAUUGAAAACACCUAAGAAACACCCUAGGGAUCUCAAUAAAUCCAUUUUUUUUAAUCUUAAAUUAGCAUUUAAUCAGUUAUAAAUGAAAAAUCAUUUUAAUCCAUUUUUUAAAAUGUGAUCUACUUUUUUUCAACAAAAUAAAUAAAUAAAAAAGAUCUAAAGAGAACUCUCAUUGUCAAAUGGAACCGAUUAACAAAAAUUAGUCAUUCACUAACUCUUUUUUUUGUGUUUUUAGCGACUUUCCCUUUUCUCUCACAAUUACAUGGUCUAAAUAUGAACAAAAUAAAAUUUAGAACAAAACCUCUCAAUUCCCAAACCAAAUAGACCACAAAGAAAAUUAGACAAAAUCCUAAGGCACAAAGGUGCUAACAUGAUUUUUUUAACGGAAGAUCCUUUUUUAUUUUUUUAAUUGUGGUCCCUUGAUUUUUUUAUUUUUCUUAAAUAAUAAAAUUGGAUUCAUUUUCAUGAAAUUGAGUACCAACCUAAUAGCAAGACUUUUUUAAAAUAGAGAUAACAAAAAAAAUUUGAAACAAAUUAUUAACCUUAAAUCUCAAUAAACACAACAUUGAAGCAUCAAAUUGAAAAGAAAAAAUUGAUGAUCAAAGGCAUAAAAAAAAUAAAGAUGACCAAAGUUAAAACCAUAUAUUUUUUUUAAAUGCCUUAUAUUGUUUUUUUCAAUUUUGGUCCCCUCAUUUUUAAUCUCUUGCAAACAAUAAAAUCAAAUAUAUUUUUUUGUGAAACUUGGCACUAACACCAUGUGAGGAUGUUUUUCUAAGAUAGCGCUAAGCAUAUAAAAAGCGAAUCAAAAUAAAUUAUCAAUCCUAAAUCCCAAUCAACACAACAUUGAAUGAUAAAAUUCAAAAAAAUAAUAACAAAAAAAGGUGUAAAAAAAAAAUGAAGCAACAUUGUGUGAAUAUAUGGUGUUUUGCCUUGUAAUCCACAAUGAUUGUAUGAUGCUUUUUCAGUUUUUAACUAGAUGUAGACUUGUACUACACCACAUGGCCAUAUUAUUAUUAUUAUUGCUUAAAAUGAUGUUCAGGUGAUACGAACAUUUUAAAGAAUGGAGAAAAAUGUGUGACACGAGUCAUAGACCCAACUGGGUUAAAUAAAUUGAUUUUAUUUUAAUUAGAUAAUAAAACAAAUAGGCAAUGACAACAGAUGGACCGAAAAACAUUAUCACGAUAACUUGAAGAAAAAACUUUUUCUAAAAAGGUGAAAAACGAUGUAGCUCAUUUAUCAACCAAUUAAAUACAAGAUGAUAAAAUUAGGUGAAAAUAGAACAAAGAAAAUUGACAUAAGUCAACUCAAGUUAGCAUGACAAACCUAUAACCCGGGUAAUAUAGACCAAGUCAACACGGGUUAGCCCGCCAAACUCUUGGCAUAAGUUAUGAGAUUAUGAUAACUUAAUAGAAAAGAAAAUGAAGAAAAUUACAAUGCCUAUUUUUUUUAAGAGGAAAACAAUGUCGAAUGAUGAAAUAAAAAAAAUAAGUAAGAAAAUGUCAACCCACUUUAACUUCUCAAACUCCUGAUCCGGAUCAUUAGAUCAAAAGCACCCUAUCUUAAAAAACCAUGAUGUCUGAUUCCUAACCAAUCAAAUAUUGAAUGAUGAAAUUAUAAAAAAAAAUCAAUUAAACAAAAGAAUCCAAAAUAGAAAAUAGCAAUUAAACAAUGAAGAACUAGAUUGAAAUAAAAAUAAAUUAGAAAACAACUACAAUUUUUUUAUUGAAGGGUGAAAUUGUAAAUAUAAAUCAAUUUAACAAAAGGACCAAAAAACAAUUAAAAGAAUGAGAAUCAAAUUGAAAAAAAAUAGCUUAUCACAAAUUAGGAUUGAAUGAUGAAAUUGAAAACAAAUUAAAAUUUAACAAAAGGGCAAAGAACAAAAAUUAAAAAUCAAAAGAAUACAGACCAAAGUUGAAGUCUCAAUAAAUAAGAGGACAAGUCUGAAAUUUUGAAUGCUCAAUAUGAAUUUCAAGGGGAGGAGGGAGAAAAGAGAAAAAUAGAAAGAAAGCAUUAUUGUUAACAAACCGCCCCCACUACUGCUGCCUUAUGCGGCCCCAAUAAGGAGAAGAUAUCACGAUGACUCAAUAAACACGUAGAAGGAAAUGUUUUGUUAUCGAGAGACGCCGUAUGCGCCGUUAGAACACUAUGGGAACCUCCUAUAUGCUAACCAUGUUUUUUAUUAUUAUAUUUUAUAUUUAUUAAAAUAUCAAAUUACCCCCAAUCAACUUAAUUAUAACUAAUAAACUAGGUUGAGAAUUCAAAAAAGCCCUCAAAUGCUAGUUUUAGAAUUUUUGCUUUUAAAGAUAUUGUAGUUAUUUUACUGCACUUUAAAAAUAUGAAAUGACCAAGUUAUUUCUGAUCAAUUUGAUAAUGACUAGUGAACCUUGUGAAAAGACUGCAUUACCUCUAAUAGUCAGUUUAAAGAUUUUUGGCGGGAAGAGCAAAAUCAUCAUUACAUUGUUAUAAUUAACAAUGUUUUUCCCUCCCAAAUUAGCUUUUGUUAAUUUUAAUUUUAAUUUAAUUAUAAUUUUCCAUAGCAGUAGACUUUUGGCCUAUAACAAGUUAACUCGAUAUUAUUUGUGGCAAAGGAUAAUAAGAUCCUAAGCAAAAAAAUAAAAUAAAAAAGUUCAAUUGAGUCCUUGAUAUUACUCUUUUUUAAUUUUCUACUUUAAAAAUAAUAAAACGAGGACUUAUAUGUCUUAAAAUGGUACUUGUUUUGGCAUGAGUUUUAAUCGUGGACUUAAUUGGAUAACGUAUGAUAGAUAUAAUGAAAUUUAACUUUUAAAGUUAUUCUAAACAUUACACUAUGUAAAUAAAAUGUUAAAAGAUAGUUCUACUCCAUUCAAUCUUGUAAUGACAAAUAAGUUCUGUAAAAAGAUAAUUUUACCUUGUACGGUUUAAAUUGUGAAAGGAGAAAUAAUAAUUUUAUAAUUUUAUUGUGAGGAUCCACAAUAAAUUAUUAUCUAUUAGUAUAACAGCCCGGCCCAACUUGUCAUAUAUUGUCCACUUUGGGCCUUACUGUCCUCAUGGUUUUGUUCAUGGUGACGCGAGCCCACAUCUGAGCCUGACGCCCCAAAACGCGUAUGACAAGUUGGCAACUAGCACUUGCUAUAUAUUGUCUGCUUUGGGCUUUACCGCCCUCACGGUUUUGUUCCUGGCGACGCGAACCCACAUAUGAGCCUGACGUCCCAAAAAGCGUAUGACAAGUUGGCAACCAGCACUCAUAAUAAGACCAACUACCACUCCCUCACCCGCCGAUGUGGGAUAUUACAAUCCACACACCUUAAGGAGCCUGACGACCCCGUCGGCACAACCGGACAAACAGUGAGGUCGGUUCUGAUACCAAAUGUGACAGCCCCGCCCAACUUGCCAUAUAUUGUUCGCUUUGGGCCUUACCGCCCUCACAGUUUUGUUCCUGAUGAUGCGAGUCCACAUCUGAGCUUGACGUCCCAAAACACGUAUGACAUGUUGGCAACCAGCACUAUUAAUAAGGCCAGCUACCACUCCUUCACCUGCCGAUGUGGGAUAUUACAAUUAGUGUGUGUAAUGUAUUCUUGAUUAAUUUUUUUAGCUUUUGCUUUAAUGGGUUUAAGUUUUAAAGUUUCAUUUAAAAGUCUCCCAAUCAUGCAAUUUGAAAUUCCUACAAUUCAAAUUGUUAGAUUAAUUUAAUUUCAGCAUGAAUUUAUCCCGUUAGGAAUAUAUUGGUUGGGACUUUGAUAUGCUUUGAUAUUACCAUGAUGUUACAUGGAAUCAAAGAUUUCUAAACACAUUUUUUCUUUCCCUCUCAUUAAUUAUAACUUAUAAGUGAAUGGUUAAAAAUACCAGUUUCAUAAAAACAAAAUGAUAAAAAGAAUUGAAAAGAGAUUAUGCAAGAAGGUCCUCUUGUCCUAUAUGCCAAAGAUUUUAUGAUGUUUUAUCAAAAUAUGAAACAUAGAUUAUAUUGGAAAGUUAGGGGUAAAUAUUUUCAGUUCAGUUCGGUUUUUACUUAAAAAAAAUAACCAAAUUAAAAUUUAAAACAAAAAUAAAAAGACUCAGGAUCGGCUCAUGAAAGAAAGCAGGAACUUAUGGAGGCCAUUGAACGUUGGAAUAUAAUGAAAAUUCCAACUUGAUUCAAUGUUGUUGGAACCGGUUUGGCUCGGUCUAAUUCAAUUAGUUUUAAACUCUUAAAUCAAAACCAAACCAACAUAAUUUUUUUGUUUUUCUAAUAUUUAAUUCAGGUUUUUUAGUUAAUUUUUAUUUUAUUUUAUUAAUUUUUCGGUUUUUUUCUCCCCUCUAAAGAAAGUAAUAGAACAUAAUGAAAUUACCAUGAUGCAAGUCUUGGUCGGUCCAUUGAACGUGCACAAUACCUACCAAUACCAUCUCACCUGUUAGCGAACAGUAGCUGUCAAUGUCCAAUAAAUAAUGAAUAGUUUAUCCAUUUGAUAAGGCAUUCAUGAAAUUUAUGGCAGUGUCUUCUGAAAUCGAGACAAGAAACAAGUCAAUGGGACCCCUUCAAGCUCAAGCAUGGUGGCCUCUGAGUUCUUCAUGCUCCACGUAGUUCAACACUUUGUAUUCUAGUUACAAAACUGUAUUAUUAUAUUUCGCCAGCUUUGAUUAAAUAAUCAAGUGAAUUCACAUUAAUAUAUCUGUUUUGUAAUCAACUGCAAGUUAUUUUUUUAAGUUUAUAUAUAUAUAUAUAUAUAUAUAUAUCAACACAUCAAAACUAUUAAAAGAUACUUAAAAAACAUUAAUUUAAUUAUUUUUAAAAUAAAAAAAAUCUAAAAAACACUUUAAAAAACAGGUUGAACCACAUUAUCAAAUACAUCAUUUUCGGAUAUGUUUGGAAUUGUGGUUGUGAUUCAAAAUGUUUUGCGCUUAGAAACGCAUCAAAAUGAUGUUUUUUUAAAAAAAAAAAUUAUUUUUAAAAUCAGCACAUCAAAACGAUCUGAAAACAUAAAAAAUUUAAUUCUUAAUAAAAAAAAUUAAAUUUUUUAAAAACACGGGUUGGAUCUCGUUUCCAAAUGAUCCAUUCAUGGUUGUUCCGAGUAAUUAGCUUUUCAUUAGUACAACGUAAAAUCAAAACUUCUUUUAAAUUGUAGGGGUAACAUUGAAAACAUUUAAAAUAUAAGGGUAGAAGUGAAACAUUUAUGAAUCUCUAGGAGCAGUAUUGAAAUUUACCCUUGUUUUUCUACUGGGGAAACCUCAAUUUAGUCCUCAUAUUUACUUCAACGUCAAUUGAGCCCCAAUCCUUAUGAUUUUGUUAAGUUUACCCCAAGCACAAUUUUAACAUCAAAUCAUUAUAAAUUUUACUUUAUACAAACCAGUUAUUCUCCAAAACAUGAAAGCAAAAGAAAAGAUCAAAGACUAAAACCAGAAUCAAUGAAAUCAGCCAAGAGGAAACAGACCUAAAAGCAUUGUUAUUAAAAUAUAUUUAUGCUUCAUACCUUGCAAGAUAUAUUUAUACUAUAGUACAUACAAGUAUCCAAAGUCAUCUUUUAUUUCUUUUAAUAUAAAUGUUUUAAUAUAAGAGUAAGAGAAAUAAAAUAUAAAAUCUAGAAAAUUUUCUAUGAAAUACCAUACAAAAAGUAACAAUCUUUUAAGGGAACGGGUAUAAUAAAAUUCAAAAAAUUCUUCUAAUGUGUAUUCCCACAUAAAUGAUCCUUUUUAUUUGACCUACAAAAACAAAAAAUAAUUAAUUAUAAUAAAUUAAUAAACCCGGCAUAACUCGGGUGAGACCCGACCUUUUUUUUAUAUAUUUUUUAAUAAACCCAAAAAAUGUAAAGUUAAUGUGUGAAUACUUUAACUUUUUCAUGUGGGAUAACUAUAUUUAUAGUCUAUAUCCUCAUAGAAUAUUUCUUAACCUACACUCACAUGAGAUAACAUACACUCACAUGAAAUGUUUCAGAUAGCUAUAUAUAGCCUAAAACCACAUGAAAUGUUUCUUAACUUUUUUAUAUGAGAUAGCUAUAUAUAGCCUAAAACCACAUGAAAUGUUUCUUUUCCAUGUGGAAUAUUAAAACCUCAAAAUAUUUUUUAAAUUUUUUACCGGGUUGACCCGUUUUGACCCGGGUAACUCGUAUGACCUGGACCCGGCCCCUUGGUCGGGUCAACCCUCAGGCCAGGUUUAAUAACUAUGGUGUACACACUGUCAUUUUAAUGUGGAUUUACACAAUGAAAUGAUCAUUUUGUUAUUUUUAAACAAAAUCAUUUAACUUGCUAUUGGAGGUAAAACAGUCUUUUUCAUGGGAUCCAUCUAUCAAUGUCAUAUUGAUUUGGGAGGUCCUGAUCUUUUUACAUUUUAGGUGCAUAUUAAAAUGACUUAAAUACCAUUAAAAGCAAAAAAUAAAUAAAACUGGGGACAUGGAGCUUUUUGAUUUUUUAAUAUUUUGAUUGCACAAUGAAAUGACUAUAUUUUUCUUAAAAGAAAAAAAAACUGAUAUAAAAAAGUAUUUUAGUCGCUUCAUUAUGGUUUUUAAGUCAUUAUCAAUUUUAAUAAGGGGCAUUUUAGUCUUUUAACAAAUAUAAAUAUAAUAAAAAAUUAAAAGAUGGUAAGCGCGUGCCACGUACACACUAGAGAGAGAAGGGCACUAAUGCCUUUUGAAUUGUGUCUGGCACCUCCUAGCGAUCAAAUGCCGCUAAUAUUUUUCUUUUCCUCCCUCCUCUUUCUCCUCGUCUUAGAUUUCACGCCAACCAUUUCAAAUAUCAAACAUGUCUUGUUAGUUUGUAUUUAUAUCAAUUUUGGUCUUCAUUCUUUUGAUUGCUAUUUGUUUUGUUUUUACGGCUUUUUGAAGUUGAUUUUUUAUUUAUUUUGUCCCCCAAUAUUUUACUUCAUUUAAUUUUUGUAUCUAAUUUGGUCUUUAUUCUUAUGAUUACUAUUUUGUUUUUGUUUUUAAUCCUUUUCUUGAUUUGUUUUUUUAAUUUUAUCCCUUAACAUUUUAUUUCAUUUAAUUUUUGUAUCUUAUUUGUAUCUUAUUUUUUUUAUUGCUAUUUUUUGUUUCUAAUCGUUUUCUUGAUUUAAUUUUUUUUUCAAUUUUGUUUCUCAACAUUAUAUUUCAUUUAAAUCUUGUAUUGAACUUGGUACUCAUUUUUUUUAUUGCUAUUUGUUUUUUUUUUAAUGGAUGAUUAGGAUUUAGGAAUUUUGCUUCAUAAUUUUUUUUGUGUUUGCCUUCUAAAGGGCAAUUAUGGUCUCAUGACAUAGGUCACGGAUUUUAAAAAUUAGCCCGGUUUAACUUCGGUCUUUUUUAGGCCAUUGAUUGCUUUUAUGUGGGGUUAUCCCGAUCUUAGAUUUUAGAUCAUAAGUUGGUCGAGUUAACCCGAGUUGACCCAAGUUUUUUUUUUCAUUUUUUAAAUUGAUUUUUUUAGAUUAGUCUUUCAUCAUUUAGUUUGCUUAAGAGUUGACCUUCAUCGUUUUAUUCAAUUUUUUAUGUGUGAGUUUAUCCAUAUCUCAUGACCAGGUCGUGAAUUUGGUAUGCUGACACGGUUUUUUUUAUCCUUUUUAAAAUUGAUUUUCUUUCUAGAUCGUCCUUAAAUGUUUGCUUUGCUGAUAAUUGAGCUUCAUAUUUCUUUUAUUUUUUUAUGAGGUUAUCCCGUUCUCAUUCGAUUUUGUUUUGUUAUCAAAUAAGAUCGUUAAGACUUUUUAAUAAUAUUUAGAAGGUCUAUUUUUGUAAUAUUUAUAAGCAUUUAUUUUUUUAUUAGUCAUUAUCAUUUUUUAUUGUUAUUUGAUUUUUUUAAUAAUCAAAUUAUUAAAUUAAGAAACUUUAUUGAAUCCAUUCAAAUCAUUGAUCUGUCUCAAAUUUUUCUUUCUCUUUUAAAAACACUAUCAUUGUCUGGACAUUUUUUUUUAACAAUAGAAAACAUUUUGUUAGGCCCGCGUCACAGGGUGGGCUACGUUUCCUAUUUUCUUAAGAGAUAUUCAUAAAAGAAGGGUAGUAUUUGGAAUUUGAUGUUAGUUUAUGUAAAGUUUUUGUUUUUUUUAAUAUAUAUAUUGGGAAUGUAGUUUACAGGAAGUUGUAAAUGUAUCGAUGCUGAGGCUAUUUAUCCUAAACCAAAGCAUAUUUGUUUUACAUGUAAGGCUCCGUUUGUUUGCAGGAAAGUUGUUUCCUUUUGGAAAGUGAAUUCCGGGGAAAGUGAAUUCCGAGAAAGUAUUUUCCGAUGUUUGGUAGUGUUAUGGAAAAUGAACUGGAAAACACUUUCCAGUGUUUGGUUAUGUUAUGGAAAAUGAACUGGAAAAUAAUUUAUUAAUGAAUUAAUUUUUUUUCAAGUUUAUCUAAUAUAUAUUAAAUAUUUAAUAUAAAUAUUUAAUCACUUACAAUAAAAGAAUGAAAUCUAAAAAGUAUAAUGAUGAAUUUUUUUAUUAUAUCUUAUAUUCAUACAUAGCUUAUUUUAUAAAAUAUAACUAUAUAUGUCAUAUCAUAUUAUAGAGAAAUAAGCUUGUGAAAUAUUUUUUAAGUUAAAUAUAUUUUUUUUCAAUUUUAAAAGCUUAAAAUAAGUUUUUUUUUUUAUAUGAAGAAAGCCAAAUUAGUUUAUGGUAAGAGUUAUAUAUUACAUUAGAUUAACAACUAUUUUAAUUUUAAUUUUUCGUCACUGGGAACCAAUUAAAUUUAAUUUAGAAACAAAAAUGUCUUGUAAUUACAAUAAAAUGAUUUAUAAAAUCCUUAUGUUUGGAUGCUGGGCCACCCACCCCCCUAAAAAAACGUUCACAUGUUUGUUCACAUGUUUUGUGAACAAAAGAAAGGAAAAUGUUUUCCUUAAAAUAAGGAAAGGAAAACACUUUCCUGGCUUAAAGUGUAUUAUCUUCCUUUGACCGGAAUUUGAAUUCCUUUGACUAGUUUUCCUUAUAGUUGUCAAACAUUGGAAAGUGGGGAAAAUGGUUUCCAGGAAAAUGAAUUCCUGGAAACAAACAAGGCAUAAGGUUGAAGUGUGAUUAUAAACCCUUUUGAUUUGUACUAGAUUUUUUUUACCUGCGCUACGUUGUGGGAUGGGUUUAUUUUUUUAAUAUAAAAAAGAUAUUCAAAUAAUGAUAACAUGAGUGAAUUCAGAUUAACUUAACUAACCUGCGAUUCAAGUUAACCCUAGAGAAAUGAAAGGGAAAAAAUAGAAAGCUCAAGGCCUAAUAAAUCUAAUUUCAAAGGAUAAAAUUAAAAAAAAAGAAACAUGAAAGAAAAAAAACCCGAGUUAACCCAACUUUACUCUAUUAACCUACCACCCAUGACAUGAGAUUGGGAUAAGAAAUUUAAUUUUUUAAAAAUGACUUAGAAAAAAGGAUCAAAGCUAAAUAAAUAAAAAAACAUUGAAGAAAAACCAAGUCACCCUAGGUUAACCUAACAAACCUGUAACUUGAGAUAACCCUAUAGAAAGAAAUAAUAUAUAAAAUCAAAACCUAAUAGCCCUGCGUAAAAGGAUGAAAAAAAAAGAAAAAAAAAUCCAAUGCAACUUGUGUUAACUUAACUAACCCAUGACUCAGGAUAACCCUAGAUAAGGAAAGGAAAAAAAAAUAGAAAGCUCAAGACUCAAUACCCUAAAGUCAAAGGAUGAAAUUAAAAAAAUAAAACAAAUCAAAGUUAAAAUCAGGCUAAUCUUUAAAACCAUCAACUCUUGUCAUGAGACCAAGAUAACCUUACAAAAGACAAACAAAACUCUUCACCAUAAUAUUUUUUUUUAAAAAAUAGUAAUACAAUUAAUGAGGACCUAAUUUGAUCUAAAAACUAAUGAAAGAAAAUAAUAAGGGACUUAAUAAAAAAAUAAAAGGAUAAAAAAAUUUAAAAGAAUUAGGGCUAAAACUAGAUAAAAAAUGAAAUAAAAUGUUGAAGGACAAAUUGACAGAAAAAACAAAUUAAGAAAAGGAUAAAAAAAAAGCAAUUAUAAGAAUAAAGACCAAAAUUUGAUUAAAAAAAUAAAAUGUUAAGGGAAUAAUUGAAAGAAAAAAAGAAACUAAGAAAAAGGAUAAAAAAAAAGCAAUUAAAAGAAUGAGGAAUCAAUUUGAAAAAAAAAAGUGAAAUAAAAUGUUAAGGGACAAAAUUAAAAGAAAACAAAACAGGCCAUGAUAUGGAAAAAAAAUAGUAAAGAGAAUGAGUACUAUAUUUGAUAUAAAAACAAAACAAAAUCAAAUGAAAAAAGGAUGAAAUUGAAAAAAAAUCUAAAAAAAAAUCUAAAACAAUGAAAGACCAAUCAAAAGAAAGAGGAUUAUAAUUGAAAGACAAAAUGUAUUAGAGGACAACUUUGAUUUUUGGCUGACGUAGCACAAAUUUCAAGAAUUGAAAAGAGAAAACAAGGGGACGAAAAGAAAAGUCAACUGUCGACAAACCACCAUGAUUUGAGCAACACGCGCUACCCCAUAAGCUUUGCCUCCACCGGACACUUUAGACAAAAUCUUGGUUGGGAAAUUUUGGUCACUGCUUGACGAGCGCAGAUAGCGUCCACUCCCUAACACGCGUUGUUCACGGGCUAGUAGCCUUUUUUAAUUUAUGAAAAUAAUAAUUUGCCCUAAUCCAAAUAGAGUAUAAGAAAAACUAUAAUAAAAAUAGUAAAAUAUCCUUUGACCAUCUUUUUAUUUUAUUUUUACUUUGAAGUCGAUGAGGUAAUUGUACUAUUUGUAAAAAAAAAGAAAUUAUACAAAAGCUUUCUUAGCCUUUCAUAUUUUUUUUUUGUCUUUUAAAGGCAUUUAUUUAAUUCAAUUAUACUAAAACAAUGUAAACUACUAAACUUUCCCCAAUAAAAUUGCAAAUGAUCUUUGGGUUUUAUGGAAAAUACCAUUCUAGCACCACAAGUAAGGCAAAAACUUUAUACAAAGAAGGGCAAAAUAGUAAUUAUGCUGUCCAAGUCCAUAGUGAAUUACCUCAACAUCCACAACGAAACAAUGAUCAGUUUUAGAGUUUUUUUUUUAUAAUAUUUAUAAGAUAAUAUAUUUUAUGGCCUCACAUAGAAUUCAAAUGCUUAAUGAUAACUCAAAGAAAAAACUCAUUUGUCGACAAACUAAGCCUGCAAUAUUGUAAUUCUUUUGUUUCCUAAAUUAAGUGUAAAAGAUAAUUUUGUCCGUGAUCUAUUACACCACUUUAAAUAUGAUCCUUAAAAACAAAAAAAAAAUCCUACCAGGUCCCUCAUCUAUAGGAUAUUUACUUAUCAAUUCUCAAUUUAAUUUUUCCCCUUUAAAAUCAUAAAAAAAACUUAGUCAUUUUUUUCAAUGCAAUUGGAGCAAAUGAUCUCUUUUUUUCAUCUCUAUUUUUUUCUAGCGACUAUCUCUCAUCUCUCAUACAUAGAGACUAAAAUGUUGAAAAAAAAUAUCAAAGGACUAAAUCAAGUCGACAUUUGUUUGACAACGCAAUAACUCAAUGGUAAUCAAAUUGAUACAAAUUAUGAAACCUGGUCUAUAAUAAACACAAUGUCAAAAGAUUAAAUAAAAAAAUAAAAAAAAAAAUGAAAUCAAGAGCCACUCUAGAUUCCUUCUUAAUGUUUGCCCUUCAUGGUAUGUUGUUCUCACUAAAAUGGAUUUUAUGAAAUUUAUUAUGUUUUGCCUUAUAAAUGCAUGAAUUGAAGUUUAAUAAUCACAUUAAAACCUUACACACGAAAAACAACUUACCUGUAAUAAUAAUGGUAUCAGAAACUCUUUUGGUAAGCGAAUGGUUAUGGAUGUUAAGUCAUGACUUCGUCAUAGUAGAGCACCCUGUAGCUUUUUAAAAGAAAAAAACAAGGGACCUGUAAUGUUUAUGUUUGUUUGUUGCUGUGUCUAACAUAUACCACCAAUCGAUCUUGAAUCUGUGUUUAUAAUCACAGCUGAAAUUAUGUUUUUUUUUAAUUUUCUAUUUUUUUUAAUUUUUUUAUGUUUUUGAAUUGUUUUGAUGUACUGAUAUCAAAAAUAAUUUUUAAAAAAUAAAAAAUAUAUUAUUUUGAUAUAUUUCUGAGUAAAAACAUUUUAAUAAACAACCACUAAUAAACUUUCAAAUAUCAUCUUAACCAUACAUUUGAAUGGUCAUUCAAUAUUUCUAGUGUUCUUACUUAUUGGUGAAUUGAUGAUGCACAUGUUAUCAUCAAUAUUUGUAAUUUCAAAAUCACUUAUGUUGCUUCUACAAAAAAACCAAAAAACUAAUAAGGUUUUUUUUUAUCAUAAUUUUUUUUUCUUAUUUAGACUAUUUAUGAUAAGUGUUUUUUUAUUCAUUUUACGCUUUAAUUAAGAUUAAAAAUUUCUUUUAAACAAUUUUAAAGAUGCACUUCCAAUAUCCUGAUUACUAAAACAUAAAUCAAUCUUAAAAAAUAAUUUUUUAGCAUGCAUAAAAUGUAACUCAUUAAUUGUUUUUUCAAUUUUGAUUUAGUAUUGAAUAAGAAAACUUAAAAAGAUAUUUAUUAUACUAUAUUAAUUAAGUUUUUUUGUCAUGCUUCAUAACCCAUUUUUUACCCCCAGUUUUUUUCAUGUAUUUUCAAAUAUAUAAUUUUUUUAAAGAAUUUAUUUUAAAUGAAAUUUAGUCAAUUCCCAACGUUUUAUAUUUUUUUCAUUUUCAUUUAUUUUAUUUUAAGUGACAAAGAAAAAUAAAAAACUUAAAAACAAUAUAUAGUAAAAAGAAAAAUAAAAAAUUUAGGGAGUGAAAUCACAUGCAAAGGAAGAAAAAUGAAAGACUAGCAAAUGAAAAAUAAUAAUAAAUAAAUAGAGAAUCAAGAUGGGAUUGGAAAAACUGUAAAAAACAAAAAAAACCUAAUUCAAUAAGGAGAUAAAAUAGAAUCUUCCAAUAUUAUUAUUUUUUUUUGACAAAAACCCUUAACAAUAUAAAUAAACAUAAAAAAAAACCUAGAUGGAGAAAAAAAAAGAAGAAAAAACAUAAAAGGAGUCAACUUUAGAAACACAUAGACUAAGAGAGAGAUAAAAAAAGAGGAGAAAAGAUACAAAAAAGGGACAAAGAAAACCUUGCCACAUCUUUUUCAUCUUCUCUCCUCUCUCAAUCACAACUGCGAACCAUUGUUCUUUUCUCCCUCUUCACCACCAAUACCUCCACAAACAUCGACCAUGAUAGUUUCUCCCUCCACCACAUCUUUAUCUCUCUACCCGAUCACAAAACAUCCUUGUUAUUAACUAUAACCUUGGAAAUCAUAGCCACCACAUUAACUAAAAUCGCACUUAUCUCUCUUAUCAUUAUAAAACACUCCAUGGUAGCAACCCUUUGGCAUUCAAUAACCAUGAUCAUAACCAAUAAAGAGAAAAUUGACAAAUAAAAUUUAUCUUUUCAUGUCAACCUCCCUUUUCAGAUCACGACAAGCUUUAUCAUCAACGUAGAAAGGAAAAGAAGGAGCAUGAGAACUUGAUCUAGUAGGUUUAAGGUUUUCAACCUUGUCAUUUUGUACAGUUUAUGUGUUACUUCGUUUACAUGCUUGUCUAGCUCCUGCACAUGACUCCCAUCUGCCACGACUACCCGUUUUUUUAGUAUCUUUUGUUCGAUUCCAAUCGCUCUUGAAGGUCAAAUACGAAUCCUAAUACAUUGAUUCACUUGUUUUUAUCAAUUUGCAAUAUGUGGUUGAUUUCCUAUUCGUAGAUGUUGUAUUUGCCUACAAUGAUUUGCUUGUGUUGAGUAAUUUAUAAUACGAGGUUGAUUUUCUAUGUGUGGAUGUAUUUGUUUUUUUUAUUGUGAGAUUUGUGCUUUAAUUUUCUUAAAAUGAAAAGUUAUGUUUUAUUUUUAUUGAAGAAUUGACCUUGAGUAUGGUAAAAUGGUUUUGUCUUCAUAUGACCAUUUAAGUAUGGUAAAAUGGUUUUUAUUGAAGAAUUGACCUUGAGUAUGGUAAAAUGGUUUUUAUUGAAGAAUUUGCACAUCCAUUAAUUAGUCUUACUUUCAAACCCGAUGGUUUUUAUUGAAGAAUUUGCACAUCCAUUAAUUAGUCUUACUUUCAAACCCGAGUUAUGUUUUUUUCUUCAUAACCUUUUCAAUUAUGGACUGAAAAAAUAGAUUUUAAAAUCAAUUUAGGGGAUUUUUUUAUAAGGUUUUGGAAAAGAUAAGAAUAAUUGAUUUAUAACUUGCAAUUUAGGCAAAAUCACAUCACAAGUAAAGAGAAAAUGAAUCGAUUGAAUAUGCAAGACUAGGCUUUAGUUUUUAUGAUAUUUUGUGUUCUUAGAUAGGAGAGAAGAAAGAGAUUAUAUUUUUAAAUUAAUUUGGGAUUUUUUAGGAGCAUAUUUUGGCUAUUUAUGUUAUAUUAUAUAGGAGGGUAGGUUUGGGUUGUUUAUGUUCACAAGUGCCUUUUAAAAAUAUUUUGCUUGUUGGUUUUUUUUUUUGCCCCUUUAGUCUGAUAGUUCUAUGUUUUGAUAUAAAACUUUAUUUAAUUCACAUUCCAAUUCCCGGGUUUGAAAAAUGAGAUUUAUUGGAAAAUUAUGGAGAGAGAAAGUAAUGGAAUGGUGAGAUUUCGUUGAUAAAAGGUUAAAUUUGGUGUCAAUGUGUUUUUCUUGGCAUAAGAAGUGUUAUUGAGGUAUUUUUGAGCUUUUAUGUUGUUAGAAAAAAUAGAUCGAGGUUAAGAGAAUUUUUUUUUUUAUGCUUUUGAGUUAAUUUAGAGGUUUUUAAGUUGAUAAAUAAAUUUAUCGUGAUUUAAAGGGUAUUUUUGGAAGUAAAAAAAUUGAAAUUUAAUUUUUUAAGUCCUAAAAAUCCUAGCUUGAUUUUCCACCAUCUCUCUAAUGGGUGAAAUUUGAACUCACAAAUAACACAUCAUCUACUUUCUUUUUUAACUCAUUAAAAAAGUCUAAAGGCAUGAACAUGGCCUACUUUUAGGUUUCUUUUUAAUUUCUUUUUAAUUGAAAUUUAAUUUUUGUAAUAUUAAAUAAUUUAAAAUAUUUUAGAUAUUAUUUUAUUAAAUGCCUUUAAAUUUUUACCUUGUUUCUGAAAAAAUAUAUCAGUCUUUUUAUAACAUUAAGAAAUGUUUUUUUUACAACUUAUAAUGAUUUUUUAUAAUUUUAUUUGGUUUCUUUUCCAUGUGCAUGUAUUUUUGCCAUCAUAUAAUUAAAUAAAACGAUAAUUUUUAAAAAAUAAAGUUAUUAAAAUCAAUAAGAUGUGUGAGCUUGAAUCAUGAUUUUAGUGAGUUAACUCAAGUCAAUCCAAGAUGUUUUCAUCUCAAUAUUUUUUAAAAAAAUGUCAUCUUUAAUUAAUUUUAAACAAAAUUAAUUUUUUAUUAGUUACCGAGAUUACCUUUGAACCCUUUAGAUUGAGCAGAUCAUAUCAAAUUAAUUUUCACAUGGUUUAAUUUAAAAUUUAGAUAAAAAUUUAAAUUAAAGGUUUUAAAAAUUACUUAACCCUAUUAAAGAAUCCACUAUAACAAUACAAGAACAUUGUUUUUCCAGCUGUGAUGUCUUUUAGUAAGGAAACGUUUCAGAAUGUAAAUGAUAUUUUUUAAAAAAUUAAUUUUUUUUUGUUUAAAUUUAAUUUUUUUAUAUUUUAUUUUUUUUUGAAAUUUUAAUAUUAAAAAUAACUUAAAAAUUAAAAAAUAUUUAAUUUAUUUUUAAACAAAAUUAUUUUUAAAAAAACCACCACUAAUAUAAUCUUAAAUAUUAUAAAAAAUGCAAAAACAAUAUAAAACACAUUGUAUCCAGAAAGAAAAUAAGAAGACGACUCGCACGCGCACACUGAGAGAGUCAGAUAUUUACCUGCAAAAACAGAAUGAUGAACAAAAAAACCCAUUUUUGAUAAGCUAAGAAAGAAUUCAAAUCUCGCUCUCGUUGGGUUUUAAAUCUCAUUUUCGGAGCCAAAUCCAUUUCUAAAACUUUUUCUUUCUUUUGUUGGCUAAUGUAGGUUGCCUUCUGUUAAUGUUGAGGUUUUGUUUUGUCUAGUUUGGUAUCAUAAUUCUCUUAUGAAUCAGUUUCCCAUGGAAUUCCAUUGAUUUGAUUUAUUAGAACAGAUAGGUAAGAAUUGAAUUCCCUUUCGUUAUUUGAAAGGAUAAAUGGGUAUUAGUGCAUUUGGGAUUUGAUUGAAAUUUAAAAACUGGGUUUUGUUUUCAGGAGUAAUUGCUGGUGGGUUUUGCGACUUAGACCCUGAUUUUGAGGAAACAGGGGGUUUCUUUCUUUUGGUUUGGCAUUGCAUAAGGAGAGGGGAAGUAGAGUUGUAGGUAUUAAAAAUCAGGAGAGAAGUGGGUUUUGGCUUUUGACAGAGAAUGAUUUGUAUAGGAGAAAAGGUGACAUGAGAAGUAGAGUUAUUGUUGGUCCAGAGGUACAAUGAAUGGAGGGUCAUUCGGUCAAAGGGGGAGUUAUGGAUCAUUGCCUUGCUACGGAAAAUUAUCAAAUAUUGCACGAAAACAAUCUUCGAAAAUGCCGCCAGUGAGUUCAAGGGACAAGGAGCGGGUUCUCCUGGUUGUUUGCCGGUGCUUGGGGCGUAGAAGAGUUGCAAUGUUGCUCUUGGUUGCACUUGCUCUCCUAGUUUUCAUCUGGGGUUCCCUUACAGUUAGCAAAGGUAUGGUUCAAACAUGUGUCCUUUCCUAUGAUGUAAAAUGUUUGAGUGUUUUAUGUAUUCUUUUGUUCUACCUGUCCUUAUAUUUUGGUACUGUUGCACUGAGUUACAGGAGGAUGAAAGUUUUCUAAUUACAAGGAAAUAAUCACUUAACAAAGGAAUAGUUUAGGCACCUAUUUAUUAGUUCAUGCUGACUAUUCUAUAUUUAACAGAAAAGAUAAAAUGUAGUAGUGUUUUAAUUCUAUGAGCAUCUUUUAAUUUUUCCUGUUGUUUGAAUGGAAAUGUUUAAGUCAUGUAUUAUUCAUGUCUUGAGAGCAGCUGUAGCAUGCAGUGAGGAGGGGGGGUGGGGAACAAGAAAUAAAGAGGUGGAGGUGGUUCUUCAUGAAUUUUGGUUCCCAUAUAGGUGUGGGCCAUGAUUGAAUAAUGGCCUUGUUUCUAUUAGUUCUCAUUCUGUGCUAAAUCCUUGACAGGAAAGCUGACAGCCAGAGAGUCUUCUUCUUUCUCUCUCUCUAUUUUCAAUCUUGAAUGGAAAGCAUACGAAGACAAAGUUGUCUUCUUGAAUUUAAAACAGGAGAUAAUCAAUCGAUUACAAAUAUUGAUCAGAAUGAAAGAUUCUGUUAUCAAGUUAUUUUUCUGCAUUUAAUUGAUGAUGUCAAAGUCCUGAAAUACUUGGGAUUUUUACUGCUAUUUGUUUUGCUUUAGACUGGUUGAGGCAAUAACUAAUGUGCAUUUUGUGUUAUGGAUGCCCCAGAAACCACAAGUCCAACUGUUAGACCAAUGGAUAGUAUACAUUUUGACAACAGUGAUAUAAUAAGCCAUCCUUCUGUUGCCUGUCGUUCUAGAGCUAAUAGCAUAUUGGACCAUCCAUGCCACAAGUUUGCUCUCCCUCCUCCCCCUCCUUCUGGUGGACGACGGUUUGGACCACGCCGUAAGUUUUGGGUUAUUUUGGUUGAAGUGUUCCUUAUUUUCUUGUUUUUCUGAUCAUUCUAUUAAUAUAUUGGAUUGGACCAUAAGUUUGAGUUGCUACAUCUGUGCGUCAUUUGGAAGUAAAAAAUGACUUCUGGCCUGAAUGUUACUAAAAGUCAUGUAUAUAAUUUUUCUUGCACCAAGAAUGUGCUCUCACAUUUCUGUAACAGAGAAAACUGGCAUGUUUUUGCAAUUAAUGUUAUUAUCUUUCUCAUCAGUGUUUGCUACAGAAGACCUCUUGCAUGUUCAAUUGUAAAUUGAUACAAAAUAACCCUCAAUACCUUUGUAUAAAGUAUGCCAAAAUCUACUCUCUUAGUUGAAGCAAAAAAGUGCUCACAUGCAAUUUAUUUCUGUUGGUGUGGUAUUUACUUUGUUGUCACUCAUUUGUUAUGCAGCUUGUCCAGUAUGUUACAUUUCUGCAGAGCAAGCUAGAGCUAGCAUUCCAUGCUCCUCAUCUGCAUCACCAGUGCUCCGCAACUUAACAUACGUUGUUGAUGAAAACCCAAUUAAAAUUGAAUCACAUGGAGGUUCAGAAUUUGGUGGAUAUCCUUCUCUAAAGCAGAGGAAUGAAUCUUUUGAUAUACAAGAGUCGAUGACAGUGCACUGUGGGUAGGAGUCCUUCUCACCUAUCAUCUUUCUGUAAAAUUAUAAGCAUUGAAGACUGUUUUGCAUGGAUCUCAUGAUCUCUGUCCUCCGUUAUUAUACAAUGUCCUGUAACAAAUACGAAUAACUUAUUUCUUAUAAACACAUAUUUUUCUGUUGGCCGUAUUUUUUAUCAGAUUUGUUAAAGGAAAUAGACCUGGCCGCCAGACUGGAUUUGAUAUUGAUGAAGCUGACCUGAUGAAAUUGGAAGAGUUUCACGAGGUCAUUGUUGCAUCAGCCAUAUUUGGUACUGUUUAGCACUGGACAUUCUGCAAAGAUUUCUUGUUUUAUCCAUGUUUUCUACUUUCCUCAUCAUUGCACUUUCCCAGGGAACUAUGACAUAAUACAACAGCCCAAGAACGUUAGUGAAGCAGCUAGGAAAAAUGUUCCUUUUUAUAUGUUUAUUGACGAAGAGACAGAAACAUAUUUGAAGAAUUCCAGCGCCCUAGAUAGCAAUAUGAGGAUCGGACUGUGGAGGAUUAUUGUCGUCCAUAACAUCCCCUACACUGAUGCAAGACGCAAUGGAAAGGUCAGUUUGCAUUUGUUUGGUUGCUUUGCCUGCUUCUUUCAGAUUUCUCUCUUUAAUUUCCUUGGGCAUCCAAACCUGGGCUGGAUUACAUCACUUUCUUCUUAAUUUUUUUUCUUCCCCUUGUUCUCCUGCUUCUCUGUUAACUCAUUGAAAACAAAGCUAUCAGUUUGUUAACAAAUUUCUGUUUAUCUCUUGGUGAGUCUUCAAGUAAUUUCAAUUUUGGUGCUAAUCCUAGCAUGGCAGAAUUUCCUGAAUAAAUUUCUGUUGAUAUAUUAAUCUAAAAGAUUUUCCUUUUUUUUUCCUUUUCAUUUUUGUUUUGGGCUAUGAUAUUCAAUAGUACCUCAUACUUCAAGUCAUUUUCUUUUCAAUUACUGAAAACCUAAAAUGUUGCUGCAAGAAGUGAUGGAUGCUGUCGUUGUGCUAUGUAAAUGGACAGGUUCCAAAGCUUUUAUUGCACAGGCUCUUGCCUAAUGUUAGGUAUUCCAUAUGGAUAGAUGGAAAGCUCCAGCUUGUUGUGGAUCCAUAUCAAGUUCUUGAGAGGUAUAUUGUUUGUGCUUAAAUUAAGUGGUCAUUGAAUGGAGUCAUUCAGAUAUGUAAAAUGGCUUGUGAAUUCAGUGCAUCUUUUUUUUUAAUUUUUCUGGUAUCUUCAAAUUGAGAUGUAUGGAAAUUUUGUUGUACCUGUGUGUGUAUACUCAUUUUCUUCUGUUAUCUGUCACUGUACCAAUUUCUGGUCCCAACAUGGCAUCACUUCAAAAGUUAUGAACCAUCAUAAGUUUCAUUGGUUCAUCAAUAGGCAACUUACGGGAUUCUGGAAAAAUGCAUGGAAAAUAUAAUUAUAGCCGUAUGCUCUUUUUAUCAGCUGUCUUGCAAUGUUAACAUUAUUACACUGUUAUUGAUCCUACAUUUUCAUUUAAAGCAUUCAAAAAAGGAACUGCUUUUCUUGCUUGGGACAUGGGAAUGUCAUCUUUCUGUUGGUUUACAGUAACUCAUGCUUUGGCAAUGUGUUCUGGAUAUGUUGACUCAUGUUAAGACAGUUUUUUUAGUGUUAGCAUUUACCAUAUAGAUCUUCAUGCAUAUUGCAUUUCUGGCCUCUAGAAGAAGGGGAAAUAGGUAGAUAAUUUUAGUAUAAUUGCAUAAUCUAUGUGUUUGAAUCAUACCUGAGCUGUCCUUUGGUUCAGAUUCUUGUGGCAGCAAAAUGCCAGUUUUGCAAUCUCAAGACACUAUCAUCGCUUUGAUGUGUUUGAAGAGGCUGAAGCUAACAAAGCUGCAGGAAAGUGUGACAAUUCAUCCAUUGAUUACCAGAUUGAAUUUUAUAAAAAAGAGGGUUUAUCGCCAUAUUCCAAGGCUAAGCUUCCAAUAACCAGUGGUAGGUGUAUAAUCCUAUGUGUGUGCGCACGCGCUUCAUGUUCUUGAAGAUUUGUAUUUCUUAUGUUUUCUGCUCAAUGACUGACCUUUUGCAGAUGUUCCUGAAGGUUGUGUUAUCAUAAGGGAACAUAUUCCCAUCACAAAUCUGUUUACCUGCCUGUGGUUCAAUGAAGUUGAUCGGUUUACUGCCAGAGAUCAGUUAAGCUUCUCCACUGUGAGGGAUAAAAUAAUGGCUAAAGUUGAUUGGAGCAUCAAUAUGUUUUUGGAUUGUGAGAGGCGUAAUUUUGUGAUUCAGGUACAUGUUUAUGUGUUGUCUUUCUAUUAUCAGGGGAGAUGAAACCAGUGCAUCUAAAACUAAGCAAUUUGUUAUUGUUCUGCUCUAAAUGAACCUUAUAAGUGAACUUUUCUAAUGAAGUUGGCCAAAAAAGCUGAAUGACUUUAAUUUUAUUGUUAUAUUAACUUAUGUAUUUUUUUUCCUUCCAUGUUUAACAUUGAGCAGCACCUCCUUCCUCUGUUGAAAGAGGAAAGUAUGACAAUUUAUUAUUGGUCUGCUCUAUGUUGCCUGUUUGUCUUAUUUAUUAUUGGUCUGAUUUUAGCCGCAAAUGUUCCUUGUUUCCCAAACACAGAGUUCUGGCAACUAAAUGGAUCCUCUGACAACAGUGUAUUGAACAAAGCUGUCCAGCUACUAUAUACAGUGCACGAGACUGAUCUCUAUGGGUGUCUUUGAUCCCUUCUCUAUUUUUUGAUCCUCCAAGUGUUUCUUUGGGUGUUUAAUGUGGUUACUCCAUGCAUUUUAUCAUGUUCUCCAUACAAGUGACAUUUGAGGCUAAAUUCCGUCCUGGGAGUGCAGCUAGUAUGCUUUGACCAAAUGAUGCUAAAAGCAGGAACGAUCAAAUAAAAACAAUCUUUAAUGGGGAUAAUUAACUUGGAUUUAAAAAAUAAAACUCCUAUGCUUUGGGAUGCUAAAUCCUACUACUAUUAGUUUCUCUGUAACAAAAUGCCACUGUUUUAUGGUACUUUUAUGCCACUUGAUUUUUCUUUUGACUUGCAGGCUUACCACAAAGAUUUAUUGGACCACAUGCCACCUCCAGUUGCUCAUGUUAUUCGACAUCCACCACCAUUACAUCGUGAUAGUUCAGCUGGGAGAAACCCAAGUAAAAAUUCAAGGCGUGGAAGAGAUAGGAGAUCUGGUUCAAGGCAACACCGCAAGGCUGCUGCGGGUAACAGGGAGAAGCAAACCUUUUUGUAGGAGAGGUAAAAGUAGGUGUUUUUUAUUUUUUUUCAUUAUACUGCACGGGGAAGAUGGAUUUGGUUAGAAGUAUUUAGAAUGACCCAAAAACAAAAGCAACCGAAAUUUUGUUUGAAAUUAUUGAUAUCUCAUAUUCUUUCAUUGUUGUAAAUACUUCAUACCAAAUAAGUCCACACCAGCUGCAAUCAUUGAAUGCUUCUUGAUUUUCAUUUACUUGGUGCACGAACAUGCAUUGGCCAUCACUUGUGUAUCUUGAAAAUGUCAGCUUUCAUGCUUUAUGCGUUGUCCAGUUAUAGAAAUGGAAGAUAUACUUUCUACAUUGGCCAUCACUUGUGUAUCUUGAAAAUGGCAGCUUUCAGGCUUUUUGCGUUGUCCAGUUAUAGAAAUGGAAGAUAUACUUUCUAUCCUCUAUACAAUAAAUACCGUGCCAUCCUGAGUGCGGAGCGACUAAUCCUUGUUCUUAGGAGUGUUGUUCAUCUUCUCUUUUGAGCUAUUAAGAUGCACUGCUUAUUCUGCUUUUCUAAGCUUGAAUCUGAUCUUUCCUUCAUGUGUUCUUCCAAGGUUUUGGGAAUGAGUUGUUUAAUUCUAGGGCAUUUGUAAGAUGAGAAAAUCUUAGUGUUUUCAGGCCUACGGAAUGUUUCCUAACCUGUGACUGUACAAGUAAAUAGGAAGAUUUCUGAACUGGCCUCGUCCAUGCUCUUACCUCAAUACCCAGAUUGAAAAUUUUGGUACCCUAUAUGUUGAAUCUCAUGUUUCUCCACUCUUAUCAAAUCCUCAACUAAAUUCAAAAGCAGGAAUUGAAAGUGGAAGGAUAGAUUAUCCUUCAACCCUACAGACAGCACAUAACAUGAUCCUUCAACCCUACAGACAGCACAUAACAUGAAAGGGUCUCACAGGAGAGGAGAGGAGAGGCCUAUCAGCAAGAUACAAGUUCCAGUGGUGAGAAUCGACCAUACACUUAAAAUAACAUACAAUGAAGUAUACCUGCAAAAUAUAACAGCUGUAUUGAAUACAAUAAUGGCUUCUUCUCUGUGAUGAUAAUAUAAUAAUGUGGUUUUGUCAUUCGAUUUGCAUACAGAACAGAGCAAUACAGCUUGAGAUAUGUUAAAAGUAUUCUAUGGAUCCAUUUUUUCAAGUGCAUGCCGAAAGCACUUUUGACAAUUAAAAGCAACCUCAAGUUUUAGCAAGUUCGAGUUAAACUAUAAAGGUUCACACUUUUUAGGCAUUGAUUCUCAUUUUCUGUUAAUUAUUUCUUACUCUUACAGUUCAUUUUAUAAACAAUUUUCUUAAUUCGAUGAUAAAAGAAAUAUCUUCCUAGUAUCAGUUAAAAUUUGAUAACACCUGCAGCUCAACUAAUAAGAUGCAUCGAAGAUGAUGUUGAAGUUAACAAAUUGUCAUGACACUUCCUGUUAGCUUUUUUCUCUUGUUUAAAAUUAUUAUUUUGAAAUUAUUUUAAUAAGCUAAUAUUAAAAAUAAAUUUUAAAAAAUAAAAAAAAUAGGACAUGAUAAAAGUUAUAUUUAUUACACCCUCUGUAGAUUUCUCGUGAGGAAGAAAGGUCGUGUGAACUUGAUCCUCCUACAUGACGAUACAUGGAUUCUAACUUCCAAAAAGCAAAAAUAAAAAAUUCCAAAAAGAGCUUUUCUUCUACAUUUAAGAUAAUUAGAAACACAAAGGGUAGAGGGUCGGCCAGUGAACAUGUGACCCACAAAUGUGGGAUUGCUAAGCACAAGAAGCAAAGAAAGGCAUAAAAAAACGAAGGCAUUUUGUGCAUGGGAGGAAGGUAUGGUAUGGGAUUAUUGAGAGCAAGAAAUCUCUAUGGAUUGCCACUUGAAAGGAUAUAAAACACCAAAUUAUUGCUUUCUCUACCACCUCUCUGUCCAAAUCUACAUACCUUAAUUAAAUAAGUCUGAGCCCACAGAAUUAUUAUAUCCAUUAAUUUAGCUCAAUUAUUAUAUCACCCAUAAAUGUCACAUCCAGAUCAGCACCAAUAAUUUUACCUUCCGUUCCAGUUUCAUUUCCCUUCAAUUUGUUUACAGCUUUAGGGUUUUGGGAUGCAAAAGGGUUUCCUGGAUCUGUCUCUCAACAUCUUGAAUUUGAGGUUAGGAUCCUAUAGUCUUUUAUUGGUGGAUUAAAGGGGUCUUAUAUUGAAAUUUGAGGUGGGGUUUAUGUGGGUUUUUCUUGUUUAAUACACUUUGAUUCAAGAUUUGUUUUCUUGGUACAAUUGGUGGGGGAGAUCAAGUUAUGGUCUUGAUUAAUGGGUUUAUCUUGGUUUUUGAGUCUUGGGUUGCUAUCGAAUUCUGGGCUUUAAAUCUUGAUCAAUGAUUCGAUCGUCUUUCUUCAAGAUCACACAUUUAAAAAAGUAGGUUUGAGGGCUCUUUCAAUAGGGUCGAUGUUACUCUUUUCUUGUAUUGUACUUUGGUAGCUAUGGUUUAAAGGCCUUUUCUUGUUGGGUUGAGCCAUUGUUUCUGAUAGAGUUAAAGAAAGGAGAGGGGAGAGUAGUUCUUUUUGGUGCUUGAUUAAAUGGGAUCCUCUGGCUUCUUUCUGAUAUGUAUGCUUCAUUCUGUGAUGGCUCUAACUUGUGGAGCUUUGAUGAUGUUUUACACAAAUGAGGCCACUGUGUUUGGUCAUGGCAUUGAAAUAGCUACAAAGCUUAAAGGUUCAACACCACAUGACCAACUCCUGGUCCAAACCUCUGAUUCCUUUUCUGGGUUGCUAUUGUUUGCCAUUGGGUUCCUUUUGUUCAUGGUGGCAUUUGUUAAGGACAGAGAGUUCCAGAGUUUCUUUGCUAAAGGUUGUGUCUUGCUACAUGUUUCAAUGGCUUUCUGGAGGAUUUACUUUGAGAGGAAGCUUGAAGAUCUGGCUCGUGAUUUGCCUAGACUAGUUGUUGGUGACAUUGCAUUGGCUCUUUCUUGGGUUUUCUUUCUUGUUUAUUCUUGGAGAGAGAAGUAUGAUUAGCAAGCUACAAGAGUCAGAUAGCCAGUCCAUCAUCGAAUAAAUUUGAGCUGUUAUUGUGGUAGCGUUACGGGUUCUGCCAAGUGGGAUCUUUUUUCCUGGCUCUGUUCUGUAAAUUACAGGGUGAAUCUGGAACUUUAAAGAAAUGGACGCAAAGCAUGGAUCGGAUUCUUGGUUAGUGCGCGUUUUAAAUUCUUGAUUGGAUCUUGAACAAGCUUGGAUUCCAAGAAAAGCUGGAGAUGAGAUCUGGGGGCUGCCAUUUUGUUUUUAAUUGAGAAUCUUCAACUUGAGAAGUUUCUUGCACUUACUGUGGUGCCUCUGUGGGCUUCUUGUAUUGAAUUUCAAUGGCAUUUGUAAAUCAACCUUCUUCAAAUAGAUAUUUGAUAAUAAUUAGAAAUGUGAAUCCCAUAAAAGUUUACUCGUUUGCUGCCAUCUCUUACUUUCCUGGCAAUCUUUUCUUGCUAUUUUUCCAGUCUAUUUGAUUUACUGAUAUUGCAAUUUGCACGCAUCCGCAGCUUUGAGUUUGGGACAAAACUAUGCCAAGACAUUUCCAGGAUUUUGUUAAGCAAUCCGAGGGAGGAAUGAUUUGUCUAAUUAAUCAAACGGCAAGAACUGUAAAUGGAGUCACACCAACUUUUAUUUUUUUAUUUUUUGGUUGUAUAUAUUAUAUGAAUUCUCAUCAUAUUAUAUCAUAUUAUUCGAGCUAUUUCCUCUUUGCAUUUCAAGAAUAAUUUGGAAAAAAAAAUAAUUUUAUUUAUUUAUUUUAAAUUAAUAAUUUUUUAAUAUUUUAAUAUUAUUUUGAUAUAUUGAUAUUAUUUAUCAUCAUAUUUUACAAGUUAUUUUGUAUUUGUAUUUUAAAAAUAUUUUUUUAAAAAAAUAUUAUAUUAUUACUAUUUUUAUUUAUUUUAAAUUAAUUAUUUUUUGGUGUUUUCAUAUUUUUUUAAUGUAUUAAUAUUAAAAAUAAAAAAAAUAUUAUUUUAAUAUAUUUUUAAAUAAAAAUUAUUUUAAAAAAUAAUUAUUAUUAUAAAAUCAAACAGAAUUUUAAUCUUUUAAUUUAUUGAAGAUUGACCUUAAUUUUUGUUGCAAACAUAAAAAAAAAAAGUUAUAAAGAAGGGGGAUUAUACGACUUCUUAUCUUUUCCGAUGCUGAAAUUUUAUCAUUCUAAAAAUAAUAAUUAUUAUUCCUAUAAUAAUAUUUUUUAUUUUGAAAAAUAACUCUUAAAUUUAUAUGGAAGGAAAACUAAAAUUUAUUGAAAAUUAUUUUUAGUUGGUUUGAGAGUGUGAUUAUUUUUUAAAAUAUUUUUAAUUUAAAAAUAUAUUAAAAUAAUAUAUUUUUUAUAUCAUCAAAUCAAAUAAUCUAAGAAAAAUUAAUUUUAUUAAAAAAAAAGAUUUAGCUUCUGUUUCAGCCGCAAUCCGAGUGCUUAUUCUACGUUAAAAAGAAAAGUAUAUGCUGUUAUUGGACCAUGAAGGCUCGGCCCACGGACGCCACAACAUCUUGUCUAGGGACCCGUUUCUUUCUUCUUCUUCUUCUUCUCUCUCUCUGAAGUUUCUAGCAUUCAACCACAACAGAAACCCUGCAGAGCCCCAACUCCUGAAACCUUUGACAAAAUUCUAACGGUAACUUAUUCUUUUCUUUUGCUCUUUCUAUGUUUCCUUGUGUUCAUCUGUUCAUUUAUUGUCUUUUAAGUUGUAGAUGGUCUGUUAUGGUUUAGUGUUUUGCUUUGUUUCUGGUUUUAUUGUUUGAAUAAACUUUUUUCUUUUUCUUUUUUCAGAAUUGUUAUUUGCUUUUGUUUUUUCUUUAAUUCUAAUUGUUAUGAGGAAAGGUCAUCAAAAGCUCAAAUGGUUUUAUCUUGAAGAUGAUUUUUUAGUCAAGAAUGCAAUUUUGUAAUGGCAAAUGAUUAUAAUUGGUAUCAUUAAUUGAUUUUGGUUUCUGGGUAUAUGUUUUGCAUAAAUUUCAAUAUUUAGGUUCCGUUUUAAAGAAGAUACUGUAGUUUUCAAGAUAGUUGAGAAACUGAGAACAUGAUAGACAUGAUCUUUCACUGCUAUGAAAAGGAUGAUCAUGCCGGAGUUCUUAGAGAAAAAGGUCGGAUUUUUACUCGAGGAAAAUGAAUUAUUUAUUUUUUUAAAAAAAAAAGUUUGGUUACUUGAAGUUAUUGAUUGGGAAGCUUUCAUACUGUUGGUUCUGAACUUGGGUGAAGCGCAAUUUUGAACUUUUUAAGUUUCUAUUUUCUGUAUGUUGAUUUUGGGUAUAUAGUUAGUCAGUUGCAUAGAGUACUGCUAUAUAACACAAAAAUAAGUUAGCGAAAAGUUCACAAGCAGAUAAAGUGGCCAGAGAAGUGAUUUCGUUCAACUUUUGGGCUAUUUAUUUUUUGUGCCUGUUCGUGUCCUAUUUGUUACAAAAUAUUCGUGUUAUACAGCUUUCUUCAAUUGGGUAAUUGAGAAGCUUGGUUGAGUUAAGUUGCUUCCUGGAUUUAAAAAGAAAUGGGGUGUCUUUUUUGAGUGGUUGUUUCCUUGAACCCAUAUAUAAGUGCAUUUAUAUUAGGCUUUUGUGAUUGCUUCUCAUGACUGUGUCAGAAUCAGAUUCAUCGGUUUGAUUGAGUAUAAUGUUGACAGAUUUUUGGCCAAAUGUCUAAUUUUUAUGAGGGGAAAUGGGAAUAUGAACAAAAACAAACCUUUCAUGUUGUUGAUUUACCACGCGGAGUACUUAAUCAGGUCUUAAGUUUCUGUCUUAGUAAGCAAAACAGCACUUAAUGGUAUGGCAGUGUUUCAAAUUGUUUGAUGGAGUCGGAUAUCAUACUGAAUUGCUUGUGCUAUGAGCUGCAUUAGAAGGAUGAUUAGUGAUCCCUUUGUAGGAAAACAAAUUGGGAUAUGAGCAAAUCUCAUAUGGUGGAGGACAGUCAUGCAAUGGAACAUCUGAACAAAAAUUUUGAAUUGUUUUAGUGGAGUUGAUUGAUUGGACAAUUUGUAGAACAAGGACUCCAGGUGGCAAAGGCAUUAAUUGGCAAAAAGAGAGAAAAGAAAAGGUGCACUUUUUUCUGAUGAAGAAAAAGAUGUCUCUAUUCACAACAGAAAAAAUCUCCUCUUUUUUUUUUUUCUGAUGAACCAAGCAAUUGCAAGCAGCUAGUAAUGAACAACAAACAAUACAGUAAUGAAGAAAUAGAUGUCUCUCUAUUCACAACAGAAAAACUCUCCUCUAGUGAAUUGUAUAAUCAUUGGAAUUAUAACAACGAAAAAAAACCUAUGUAAUGAGUUUAUAAAUAGAGUAGAGGCUCUUGAAUGAUUUUCUUCAUUCCUUUCUUUAUUUCUUUAUGCCUUACAUGUGUUUUCUGCAGAUUUGUGAUGGGUGGACUGCCUUUGCAAAAUGCUUCCCCUACCCCAGUUGUCAGCCAGGUGUCAGUAAUUACAAAUUCUACUAAAGAAUCAAAGCCCAAGAAGAAGAUCUGCUGUGCUUGCCCUGAAACUAAGAAACUAAGGGACGAAUGCAUUGUGGAGCAUGGUGAAGCUGCAUGCGCAAAAUGGAUUGAGGCUCAUCGACUGUGCCUCCGUGCUGAGGGCUUUAACAUUUGAGUUUGGUAGAUAUGGUUUAGUUCAUAAAUCAAUACCAUUUUGGAAUAUAGAAUACUUGUUUUGGAAUUACACAUACUGAAUAGGAGGAAUAAAGCUAGAAAACACAGGUUUUCUUGACCUUCUGUACUUGCAGUCAUUUUUAUCUUCUUGAAUUAUGAUUUCUUUCCUUCCUCUGUGACAAUUGAAAAUGAUCAGAAUCCUUGGGUGGGGUUGAUAUUGUGUUGUCUCUUCUCUUUGUCAGUGUUAUCUGAUUAUUUUUUGAACCUGUGAUUUUACAGGCAGAGGAAAGUUGUUCCUCUGAUGUAUUGCAUUCCUUACAUGCCAAUAACUCUCCCAUUUGUGAUUCCUUAUUUAAAUUCCAUUACGGUGUUAUGUAUUGUUCUGAACUUCUGAUGAUAGAUUAUAGACUCUCAUCUCGUACUUAUGCAAGCUUAUCCUCACAUGUUGAUUGUUAUCCUUACAAGUAGCAGUUGCUAAGGAUGAAGUGAAAAGUUAUAAUCUGAAGUGUAUUGUCCAGAAUUAGACAUUCUCAUCAACUUUGCUGCAACCUGAAUUAUCCUCUCUGUCACUUUUGAGCCAUUAUAUCUCCCUUGAACUCAAGUGAGCUUGUCGAAGGGCUGAGAAGCAACUCUGAGAGGAUAACUCUGGGUUAGAACGUCUAACUUGGACAAUGCAUCUUCAGACAAUAACAUCUCUUAUCUUCUUAUUUCAUCUUUGCAACUUCUAAUCACUGCAUGCCAGGCCAGUUCUAUCUUCUUUGUCAAUAUCGAGAACAGAUUCUCCUAGUUUUAUAACUCGCGAGUUCUAUCUUUUUUAUUCAUUGCUUCCUAUGCUAAUUGUCAUUUAGUUCAGAGAACAGAUUCUCCUUUUUUUUUUUUCCUUCCUUAUCUGUGUCCAUUGGCUAUAAAAUGGAAAAGGUAAAUAAGAAGAGAAAUCUAGACGUGUGAGUUCAAAGAGUUGGUUGACUGCAAGAAUUUCAAACUGGAAGACAUAUUAGGUCAUCUUUCAUGGUAUUUCAAAGCUUGUACACUACAUUUCAGAUUGUUUGCCAAAACUUCAGUGAUGAAACAGGAAAAUGGAAAAAACCCAGUCUUCUUCUCAUGUUUCUUUUACGUUUUAUGUUUGUAGUCUAGUGAUAAGUUUAUGCCCCUCCUUUAUGGUAUUUGCACUAUUUUGGUCGUUCUACAUGCUGCGGUUAAUUUUCGAUUCUAUUUGGUUUUUACUCAAAAUAAAAAAAUAAUAAUAAUAAUAACUAAACCAAAAGUUUUUAUUAUUUUAAAUUAAUAACCGAAACUGGUUCAAACUAGUUAUUUUAGUUCGGUUCAGUUAAUUGAAGGAAAAAACCGAUUUAAUAAAACUAUCGAGUGUUAAAUCCCCUGCUGCGAAUCACUUCAUUCUAAUCCAGAAAUAGCAUAUUAUCCCGAACGUAAAUAAUAGGAGUAAUAGCAUAAAAAGGAAGGAAAAAAAAACAUAUUUUCUCCCGAUGGAAGCGUAAGUUUCUUCAAUAGGCUUUGUCCAUUGCAGAAGUGUUCCACCAGCGUCCAACAAUAAUGCAUCAUAUGCUUUUUUAACAUACUUUAUUGCUCCUGUAAUGUAAUGAAACAAAGUGAACGAAUCUGAUCUAUUGAAAUAGUGUACGCAUUUAUAUAUAUGUACUAAUAAAUAAAUAAAUAAAUAAAGCACUAAGUAGAAAGGAAAAGUGACCAGACCAGCAGAGUGGAUGGCAAUGGAAGAAGAGCUUGAUAGCUUCAAUUUGAUAGGUUUCAGAGCUUUAAGCAAAUAGUUCCCAUGACAUUGGCCAAACGGGAAAUGGAGAUUUAGGAAUGGAAUUGAGCAAAAUAAAAGAAAGAUAUACCUUUAAAGAUUGCUAGAUACCUUUGUUUUUUCUCGAGACUUUGAACCUUAAAACUGGAGAAGACAAGAAACCAGAGAAGGGGAGAUGCGAGAACUGAGAUAGAGAGAAAACCUGGAGGAGGGCGGCGGCUGGGUUUGACUUGGCCUUUAGAGUUAGAAGAAAAGUUUAUAUUUAUACUGUUUUUCUUUCAGUGGUGGUUUUCUUGCUCACCCCUAAUUACCAUGUCGUGGAACAAAUUAGGAUAAGAGUUGUAUUGAUCUCAAAUAAGCUGAUGCCGUCGUACCAGAGAGCUCAUGAAGAAAAAAAUUGAGGAGUUCCAGUGAAGAUGAUACGCAGAAUAAUCUUGAAUUUAGAACAGUACUAGUUGGCAAAGAAGGAACAAAACUGAAAUGCAUGGUAAAUGAUUUAAAAUUGUGAGAAAGAAAUCGGGAUUCAAUGAUUUUGUUUUGAAUUUGAUGUUCUUAAUUCCUUUCUUCUUCCCCCGUGUCUCCAACCCAACGGUGUCUUGUUUCUGAGUAUGAAAGCAGGAUUCAAUGAUUUUGCUUUGAAUUUGCUGUAAUCAAAGCAAAAGAGGAACUGCUGGCUUGCCCUGAAACUAAGAAACUAAAACACGACAGCAUUUUGGAGAAUGGUGAAGCUGUUUGUGUGAAAUAGGUUAAGACUCAUUGUCCAGUGAGGACUUCAACAUUUGGCAAAUGAAUAUCACUUCGAGGAUAGAACAGAUACGAGGAAUAAAGCUAAAAACCGCAACUUUGCUUGACUUUUUCAUAUCUUCAAUCAUUUUUUCUUGGAACUCCACUAACAAUUGAAAAUGGCCAAAAUGCAUGAAUGAGGCCUUGAUACUGUGUUUGUCUCAUCUCUUUGUCGAUGCUUUAUUCUUGUCUGUACAUGUGAUUUAACAGGUAGACUAAAGCUCCUUUCUCCAAUGUAUUCCAUUCCUUAAGAUGCCAUUGAAGUCUUCCAUUCAUUUAUGAUUCCUUCUUCAUAUUCCUUAAUCAAUGGUGUUAGAUAUUGUUCUCAGCUUUUCUUACGAUGGUUAUUGACAAUUUAUCAUAAGGAGAUCUAAUGGCUGAAAAGCAAGUAACCAAGGAUGGAUAAUUAUUCUACACGCUACUAUAAAUUGAUCUAAAGGUCUUCAGACAGUAACCCUUUCCCCGAUUUCUUCUGUUCAUCUUUUACGACCACUAAUCAUUGCAUGCCUUGCUAGUUGUAUGAUCAAACAAUUGCUGGCCAGGUUACGUACUUUCUUGUGAUCCUUUUGAGUAUUCUCUUUCGCAAUCACUUGAACAUAUUGCUGGCCAUGCCGUUUCUCUUCGAGUUCAGAGAUCUCAGAUUAGAUUCUUCCAAUUUAACUUUCUUUUGCUUUUGGGUUUAUCUUUUAUGACUUCUCAUUGCUGCGUGACAUAUUUCUUGUGGAAUCUUUAAGUGUUGUGUGCAUUAGCAGAAAAUAAAAGGAAAAAAAUAAUCUUGACACGAUCCCAACGAAGAAGAGUUGAUUGCAAGAUUGUGGUCUGGGAAAAAAACUGAUUUCUUAAGCAAUAACGAUCUCAAAUUAACUUGCCUAAUUAUUGUAAUGCUAUCCGAUUGUAAUUCGCUGUGGUGAAGCUAUGCUUUCAUGCAUCAAAUUUUAUGCCAUUUGAUCACAGAGCAUACCGCUUGAUAGGCUAUGAACUCUAGAUUAAUAAAGUUCAGCAAUAUUCUUGCUCUGGUAGUCUAGGUCUACUUUAGCCAUGGAGACAAUAUAGUUGUGAAGUAAAUGAUUAGAAAGAUGAGAGAAGCAGAGUACUACACUAAUUAUAAGACUUCAUUAAAACCACACCAGAGGCCACAGACAUGGCCAAUACAUAACAAUGAAGAAGACACAAAGAUAAAGACACUCACGGACACUUUUGUUUGUUCACUCCACACCCACAAGUACAGAAGAACACAGAUUAUUUAUCAGAAAUUACAUUAUUAAUCCACUCCCAAUCCCACAUCAAACAUGAUAGUUGAUGUGCUUGCUUAAUGACCGCAUGUGCAGGUAGUGCAAGUGCAGCCAGUACCGCAGUUGCACUUGCCAUCGUUCUCAGCUGCUGGCACCUCCAUGACUACGGAGGAGACAUAGCUGCAAAAAGAAUUAGACUCCAUUGUAUUAGCAUCGUGUUCCCAUUUCCUUCAUUAUCAAUCUUAACUGACGAACCAAAAAUGUUUAGGAAUAAAGCAAUAUAUAUUAUUCAUUCUGCUUAUUAAUCAUCAGUGCAUGCUGAAGCUUCAAUCAUGUCUCUCAACGCUAAUUAAGACUACGACAACAGGACUUUAAAGAUAGAGAUGCGAAAGUUACUUCUUCUCAGUCUCGACGAUGCCAGCAGUGUAGCUGCUUCCCUUCUUGCUGCAAAUUAAUCACAAAUUGCAUGGCAUGAGAGAGCAGAUAGCAUAAUGUAUGCACGAAAGCCAUGCAGAAACAUGAACUACCUACUAUACAGCUUGCACAACAUAUAUAAACCAUAAACAAGCAAGAGCUGCUUAAUCAGGUUUGCAAAAGAAGGGGAAAAAAAGAAGAAGAAUUCUUACACACACUGGGUCUUGUCAGCGCAGUCGCAGGUGUCGCAGGUGCUAGACAUGAUGAUUGAUUGAUUAAGCUUAAAUGGAUGAACUAAAAGACUUGGAGUAUGAAUGUGUUCUCUGUGUAGCUUAAUGAGUUGUUAUAUCUUCAAGCCCUGCUCUAUUUAUAGAAGGAGAGAGCGCAUCAGUAAUGGCUGCGAUGAAGAGGAAGGGCAAUUGUGGGACCCUCUUAAGGCAUGAGAGAAGCACACUCUUCUCGAGGAAACGUCCGAAGGAAUCUUGAUAAUGGAGGUAGGGGUUGGCCAUCUUUCCUCCUCUCAUGUCAACCUCAUUUCUCUUUUUCUAUAUAUGUAAAAUUAUCAUGAAUCUUCUGUCAUUUUUCAGGGAAGAUGUUAGCCCCACGCUUAAAAAUCUUCUUUAGCCUAGCAUUGGUUCUAGGCGCUUUAACGGUCCAUUUGACAAUUUCUUCCAUCUUCUUUUCUUUUGUUAACUGAUUUCUCACCUAUCGUUGUAAUUUGCUUGUUUUUUCUUUUCUUUCUGGUUUACAAACUAUAUAGAUAUGGCCUUUGUUACACCGCGUGCAAACAUGAAAAUAAGAUAUUCAAGUGAUAAUAAUUCAAAAUAAAUUAAGUUAAAUUUACUAAAACAUGACCUACAAUAUAUGACCAAAAUAAUUUAAAAAAAAAAGGUCUAAAUAAUGCACCACCGAGUAAUGCUAGCUUAGAGUAUAGUGACUUUGAGUUCAUGCUUUAUUGAAUUAAAAAAAAUAAUGAAUACAAAAACAACUUUAUUUACUAUUAGGGGUGAUUAUUUUCAGUUCGGUUCGGUUUUUAUCAAAAACAAUAACCAAACCGAAAUUUAAAAAAAAAACCGAAACCGGUUCAAACCGACCGGUUUCGGUUCGGCUCGGUUUUUUAGGACAAAAACCGGUUUUGGUCGGUUUUUCGGUUUGGCUCGUUUUUUUCGGUUUGGCUCGGUUUUUUUGGUUUGGAUUUGGUUCGGUUUUUUCAAUUUCAGACUUAUAAAACCGAAACCGAACCAGCUGGUUUUUUCAAAAUUUUAAUCGGUUUAAUCGGUUUUUUUUCACGGUUCGGUUUUUUCGGUUAUUUUUUUCCGGUUUUCUCGGUUUAAUUGAUUUUCCAGUUUUUUUGCUCACCCUUUACCAUGUUUCAUUGUGCCAUUAAAAAAUGGGUUGGAAUUUUUUAUUUUAUUUUCGGUUUCCAUUAAAAAAAAAAAUUACAAAAGCUUAACAUGUAACAUGUAAAAUGAAAUUCAUUACUCGGAUGGUUUUUUUAAAUAUAAAUAAUUCUACAAAUAAAAAUAAGAGUGAGAUGUUUUAACGAAAGAAAAAAAAGAUAAAAGGUACUUAUGAUGAAUGAUAUGUUAACUUCAAAAUAGUUUAAAAUAGCGUUAUAUAAAACACAGAGUAAAAAACCAAAGUUUUAAAUCCCGGCCCGGUUCAAGGCUUGGAUUCUAGGUUUUGACCAGGUCACCGGGUUUUGACCGGGUCGGCCGGGUCAAUUCCUAUUUUAAAAAAAAUUCAAAACGGCGUCGUUUUAGUAAAAAAAAAAAUCAACGGGUUGCAACCGGGUUUUGCUGGGUCAACCGGGUCAACCCGCAGGGUCAGCUGGGUCAUACCGGGUCAUGACUUAUGCAAUUUUUUUAUCAACCCGACCCGGUUCCAGCCCCGGGUCGGGUCGGGUUUCAAACCACUGUAAAAAACACUUCCUCUUUCAUUGCCUUUUUGAAGUCUCCAUAAAAGUUUGUGUAUACUCAAUGUUUCUACUGUAAAUAUAAUUAGCCUUUCUAAAUGUCUAUUAUUACUCAAUAAAAAAGAAAUAAAAAGUCAUCAUUAUAAAUAAACUAUUUAAUGAAAAUUAAAUACUACGUUUUCUUUAUUUGAAUGAUAAAUAGGAAAUCGAAACCUUAAUAAAUAUAUAUUUAUCAGAAAGAACAGUUACGAAUUUUAAAUGAAAUUAGUUUUAUUUUAAAAAAAAAUAUAAAAAUAUCUAAAUAAAAAAAAUAACAAUAAACAUCACAUCACGAAAAAAAGAUUUUCUUUCUUGAGAAAAAAAGAGUCAUUUUCAAGCCUCUCGUUGGGUAGGUGGGGUAUCAUGAUUGAUGCUGUUUGGGACCUUACGCCUCUGCACAAGUGGAUAGAAAGCCACUCUCUUUAGGCAUGUGACUAGCAAGGAGAGAAAAAAUAAUGAAAUUAAAUCAAAGAUUCCCUUAUUUAAUAGAUUUAGGUUAUUUUAUUUAAAAUCGGUUUAAGUUAAGGGUCAUUUAAACAAUAAUUUAAAGUGCUCACUAAACAAAAAUAACUUCAAAAAUAAAUAAGAUAUAUUUAUCAAUUAUAUUUUUAUAAAAUAAAAAUUGCCCCAACAUAACCUAAAAAAACUUCAAGUAAGAAAUAAAGAUUAUUCUAAGCUUCACUUGUUAAAUAUACAUUUUUGAAUACUUUUUUCUUUUUCUUUAAGUUUCAUAUAUUUUCUUUUCCUAAAUAUAAAAAUCGGCACAAACAUCCUCAAAAACUUGUUGAAUAUUUGUUUUUAUACAGGGACUUUUCUCACUCUUUUUUACACGGGGUAUGAUAUGAUUUUUUUAAGGAAAAAGAAAUUUACUGUGAAUUAAACUACAAGUUCAUUAGUAGUGGCAGAGACAUGGGGGCUAGCAGGAGGCCCAAUCCCUGCAAGGAAAUUGUUUUUGCAUCCCUUUCCUUAACAAUAUUUAUAUUUUUAGUUCAAAUAGUAAAACAAUUGAAAUCUUUACCUUGUUUAAUUUUAUUUUUUGGCUCCAUCAUGCUCAUUAGCUAUAAUAUAAUUAGUUAAUUCUAAGUCCACUACAAACAUGGCUAUAUACAUUUUGACUUAUCAUAACCAUAACUUUUCUUGAGAAAUGCAAUAGUUUUACUAUUAUAUAUAUAUAUAUAUAUAUAUAAAAUUCAACUAAAUAUAAAGAAGGACGGGCCAUUGGCUAACACCUGACUAGAGCACAUUAGACCUUGGUUUUUAUAAAAAGUCUAAUAAAAUCUUAAUUAUUUUAGUCUUUCAAAGUUUAACACACAUAUUGAUUAUUUUUUUACAUGAUUUUUCCUUAGUUUUACGUGGGUGUGUUAAAUUCUUACAUGAGAAAAUAUAUAUAUAAAAAAAACAUUUAAAUAUAAAGAACAAUCCAUGUUGAAAAGGAUAUUUAUGAUAAUAGAUAUGGAUACAGAUCACUAGCUUCUCCAGUAUAUAUAUAUAUAUAUAUAUACUUUUGAAGUGACAAGGAAAAGAGAAAAAGACGAGACAAAAACCAAUGGAUUGUCUUGCAAUUGCUUCUCCGGGUUGCCAACUUUAUUCUCUCAAUUUUCUCGGCGAAGAACCACAGCCUUACAUGCAUGUUUCCGAUCUUUUUAUCCACAAGCUGGAAAAGAAAGCAGGCUUGUCCUCUACAUUACCUCUCCAUUUCCUCUCCUGUACGCGUCAAGAUCAAGAUUUUUUGUGAUGGCGUCAAAAUCAUACCACUGGUCAAAUUUGGGAAUUAUAUUUAGGGUCCUUUUCUGUUUUUCAUAUGAUCGAUUGAUUUUUUUUUUUUUAAGGACGAUCUGCCAUGGUUUCUGAUGAAGUCGUACAUCUGGCCUUUUCUUGGUUGUAUCUUAGGCUCAACUAUAUGUGCUUUGAAUGUAGAUUUGAUAUGUUUUUUGAAAAACAAGUUCCUUAGGAUAACAAUGAAACCUCCGAUAUUUAAAUUAAUUAAUUAUAGAAGAAAAAUAAAGUGAACAGGAGGAAGAAGAAGAAGAAUGAAGAGUCAUUGGAGAGAUAGCCAUUAAUGAGAAAGCAAGCACCUUCUAAGAAGACAUGUUAAAGGAGAUAGUCAUUGCUAAGAACAAUAGCGUUGCACUAACAAUUUGUGCGCAAGCAUAGGAGAGUGUGGCGUUGUACUGAAUUUCUUGGACAUAGUAAUUAUGAUUUGUGAUAUGUUGUAACUUAAUUUUUGAACUCUAUUUUUUGUAUGUAUUUUAAAAAAUUAGAAAAAAAAAUCCAAAAAAUACAUCUUUUCAGUAGUUUUAGCUAAUUUUAAUCAUUUUGUUAUUUCUUUUAUUUUUAUUUAUUUUUUAUGUGUAAAAAAAAUCAUAAAAAUCAUAAAAAAAAUACAUAUAACAAUACCUUGUGCAAUCAUCAUUUAUUUUUCAUCUGUAUUUUAUAAUUGAUGAUGAUUACUUGAGAUAGGCUCAAUCAUUCUCUUAAUUGUAUGAUUUUUUUUUAUGGAAACACAUCCUUAAAGAAUUUAGCAUUCAUUGAUUCCAUAUUAGUGUUAAGAUGAAUAUCCUCAAUACUUGACUUGUGUACAAGAAAUCGAUAUGCACUACUAUUGUAUACAUAUGCGACAAAUACACAAUCCACAGUCUUAUAUCAUAUCUUAACCUUUUUAAGAUCAAGUAUUUUUACCUUUACAAGACACCCCCACACUUUGAGGUAUAUGUUAGAAGGUCUUUUACCUUUACAUAAUUUAUAUGGUGUUUUUUCUAACUUUGUACGAAGUACUUUGUUAAGUAUAUAAUUGUUAGUUAGAUUUGCCUCCUCUAUAAGUUCUAAGGUGCUCCCGAACUUAUCGAUAUGGAAUUCAUCAUUUUUUUUAAUGUUUGCUUUUUUACAUUCUGCAAUGCCAUUUUAUUAUGGUAAAUAAGAAAUAAUAGUUUGUUGGAUAAUACCAUUUUAGAAACAAAAUUUACCAAAUUAUGCUUUGUGUUCUCCACCCCUAUCACUUCUUAUUACCUUUGUCUUUUUGUUAACUUGAUUUUUAACUUCAUUCUUGUAAUGUUUAAAUAUUUCAAGAACUUCAUCAUUUCUCUUAAGCAAAUAGAUAUAACAAUACCUUGUGCAAUCAUCUAUAAAAAUAAUACAAUGCUUUCUUCCAUAUCUAGUUUUCACAAACUUUAAAUCACUAAUGUUUGUGUGAAUUAAGUCUAGAGGUUCACUACUGCUUUUUAAUUGUUUGAAAAUAAGGUUUUGUGAAUUUUGAUUCUACACAAAUUUCACACUUGCGAUUUUUCUCAAAAAUCAUACUUGGUAAUAAUUCAUGAUUUAUUAACAUUUGUAUAGAAUUAUAAUUUACAUGAUCUGACCUACUAUGACACACAUUAUAAAACUCGAGUAAAUAAAAAGAUAAGAGAAUCUUAUUAUUAUUUUUUAUCAUUGGCUAUAAUAUUGAUCAUUACAUUCAUUUUAAGGAGGUCAAGGUCAUUACAAAAGUAUAAUUUUUUUUUAUAAAUAUAUCAAUUUUAAAAAUAUAAAUUUAUCAAUUUUAAACAUAAUUUUAAAAUUAUUUUUUGCUCAAUAAUAAGCCCCACACUAAACUAAGAAUGGUGUGGGUUAGGUUCCAUUAUCAUGGAAGUUAUAUCCAAAUAUAAUCGCAUGGAUCUGACUGUGAUUUAUCGGAAGCACAGGAAGACAUGAAUUUGACAGUAAAAUUGAAAGCACUUAUAUUUUAUGAACACGCCAAAAAAUUGCCAUGUGAGCUUGCAGCUAUGUUGUAAUUAAUCCCCGGCCUUCCCUGUCGACAUAGAUAGGACCAAGCUCCCUUUGUUGAAUUAUACUCCCAUGCGCUAUGGUGAGCGUUGACCACAUAUAGACCAUGGAAUAACCUGUUUUGCAUUCCGAUAACUUUUGUUCUUUUUUUUUUUAAUACUUUUUAUAUUAUUUUCUUAAAAAAAAUAUUAGCUUGAUGUUUUUUAUGUUUAUUUUUAUAGUUUUGAUGUAAAAAAUAAAAGAAAUUUUGAGAAAAAAAUCAUUUUAAUAUAUUUUUAGUUGAAAAUCUCUUUUAAAAAACAAUAUGUAGCCCAAUACUAAACAGAUAUGAAAAAUAAUUAUAAAUGAUAAGGAGAGGCUAGAAAGUUACCCACGUCUGCCUUAUGGAAUUUUUUUUUUUUUUGUAAUGUUAUUAAAUUUAACCUAGCCCAAUGAAUUAACAUGGUGAUAUAUGGACCGAACCAAGUUUCAAAGCAAGUUGGGGGAGGGGGUGGUUAACUAGCAUUGCCCAGCUAACUUUGGGUGCACGCGCGCAUUAAUUGAUCUCAUAAAAAUACUUUUUUUAUAUAAAAAUAUCUAAAAAAUUAAUAUCAAUUGGAUUUUCUUUUUAUAAUUUAAAAACAAACUUAAACGAUGAAAUUUUAGAUUGAUUAGGGUGAAAAUAAAUUAACUUCGCGAAUCAUGACCUAGAUAAUGAUUCUGGCUAGAUUUAAUAACGUUUUGUAAUUCAUUUUUAAUCUAAUAAAAAAACACUAAAAAUACUAAAAAAAUCUAAAAAAAAAAAUCAAAAGUGGCUAGGUCUAGGCACUUGGAGCAACAGAAAAAAGGCAUGUUCUAGCCUUUUUCUUCAAGGAACGGAUAAAUUGUCAUUCAUUCUUUUUUUAAAAAAAUAAACAAACUAGAGGACAAGUCAUUUGUGAGCCCAGAUUUCGACCAUAAAAGAAGUAACUGGAAAAUUAAGCUGGAGUUUUUUGACCUAAAAUACCUUUCUUUGAUCUAUUUUCACUUAAAAAUAUCUAAUAAACACUUUUAUAAACUAAUUUCUCAACUCAAACCACCCCUAAAUAAGUUCAAAAACAAAAAAAAUCAAAUAAAAAAUACUUUACUGACCUCAAUAUGUUAUUUAUAGAAAUAUAAAAGCUAAAAAAUUACCUCAAUAACACUUUUCUCGUCAAACCGAACACAUUAACAUCAAAAUUUGGCUAUUUUAUUAAUAAACUGUUUAUAUGACUUUCUUUCUUCAUUCUCCAAAACUUAAAUGCUAAAAUGGAAAUAAAAUAAAAUCUUAAUGGAAAUAAAAUAAAAUCUUAAUCCAAGAUAUAAAAGUUUCAAACGACUAGCACCCAGUAGUUUCUAUUGAAUUAACGAAUCAAAACAGUGAUAUCAUUUGCAUGACUCGGAGCUGUCGAGUAAAUAUAUAUUGAGCAAUUGGGUCAGAACCUAAGUCUAACUACAUGAAUUUUUUCCUCAGUGUGAUGUUCAAAAAAUAUAAAAAAACAGAGAGAGAGAGAGAAAUCCUUCUUUGUGAGUUGUGAUCAACGGAUUGUUGUGCCAGAAAUCAUAAUUGGGCCAGACCUAUUAAUGGGCUCUCAGCUCUGAGUUCAGGCCCUCUGGCUUGGGAGGGGUUGUCCUCUAAACCCAUACCUGAGGGGUCAUCUUAUUGGUGCUUUCCGAGAGAGAUUUUAUCAGCGGAACAGCAAGCGGCAUUAAGGGAUCGCUCGUAAGGUUAUGGCAGAGAUGCUUGGAGUCUAAAUUUCGGAACCGAAAUUAAACUCUAAACCACCGGUGAACACAGUUGCAUUCAAACCAAAGAUUAUAAUCCAAAUCGAGUACAUUAUUUCUUACAAUUCUAAACAUCUUUUCUUUUUGUUUAGACCUGAAUUUGGCAGCCGGAUCGCAUUCCCAGAAAUCCACCGGAGAGUUUGUUUGUGAGGUGUGCCGUCUGCCUCAUGAAUAGUAUGUGAUACAAUGUCAUUUCAUGAGAUAAGCGAUUACAUUCUUUUCAUGAGGUGAGGUGUGGUGUACUUCUUAAACAAAUACAAUGAGACUUGUCAAAUAAUAAAUUUUAAUGGAUUUAGAAUUUGUUUGUUUUUAUAUUUAAGAGUGUUUUUAAAAAAAUUAAAAUUUUUUAUUUUUUUCUUUGCUUUAAUUUUUUUUUGUGUUUUCAAAUGAUUUUAAUGUAUUGAUGUCAAAGAUAAUUUUUUUAAAAUAAAAAAUAUAUUAUUUUGAUGUAUUUCCGAGUAAAAAACACUUCGAAAAAUAAUCACUGUCACUCUCCUGAAAACCCCCUAAGGGUUGAUUUAUUAUCGUGCUCCUACCACCUUUGAUAAUAUUUAGCAAUAUUCAAAUUGAGAUCCUUUUAUGUUUUAUAUUGGAUUGUUUUCGCACGCAUUUAAACAGUGUAUUUUUAAAAAUAUUUAGGGGAUGUUUGAGACAUUGAUAGAUGUUGCUUUUUAAAGUGAUUUUAACUUAUAAAUACAUCAAAAUAAUAUUUUUUUAAUUUUUAAAAAUUUAUUUUUGAUAUCAACACAAAAAAAUAAUCUAAAAAUAAAAAAAAAAUUAAUUUUAAAAAAAUUGUUUUAAAAAGCGUAGUUAGACCAUGCCCGGGAGUGUUUAACCCAUCUUCUACUUUUGCUUUUAAAUACUUUUUAAAAGUUUUUUUGAUGUAAAAAUAUUAAAUUUAUAUAUGUUUUUAGUGUUUUUUUAAUAAUUUUAAUGUAUUGAAAUUAAAAAUUAAAAAAAUAUUUUAAUUAUUCUUAAAUAAAAACUAUUUUAAAAAGCUUUCUCCACUGUAAUUUCGAACAUCCGCUCGCUGAUGAUAAUACCUUUGACCAAACCUCCCCUAAGGAAGAGGACGGGCUACGCAAAACAUCCUCGGUUGCCGUGUCAUCAUGAUACAUUAUUACUGGCAAUAUUUUCACAGGAAUCUUAUGGGAUCCCACAAAUAUAUUUUUUAUAUUAUUUUUUACUGAAUUCAAUUUAAACUUUGAUUUAAUAUUUAUUGUAUCCCACCAUUAUAUAUGAAUUUUAUGGUUUUUCCUUCCAUGACUUGAAAAAUACUUCAUUCAAAUUUUAUUUUUAUUUUUUUUAACUGAAUUACAUGUGCAGCUUUAAAUUACUUUUUCGUAAAGCAAUCACCAAUUUUUAUAUAUUAACAUAUAUCUUUAAUACUUUAGCCUUCAAUUAUUAUUUUUUUAUACCUUUCAUACUUCAUCUUUUAACACUUUAUUGUGAUUAAAAUAAUUUAAUUUAUGAUAGAAUAAAAUAAAAUUAUGAACACAAAAUUUCAAAACAGUUAACACUGACCACUCGAGAUUACCAUAGUUUUGUGUCGGGAAUUUCUACUAUUUGUAGCAUGAAAAGCUUGUUUGAUAUUGUGGUAGCGGUUGCUUUUCAAAGUGUUUUUCGUUUGAAAAUACAUCAAAAUAUUUUUUUUAUAUCGAUACAACAAAACAAUUUGAAAAAAAAAACUUAAAAUAAAAAAAUAUAUAAACAAUUUCUAUUUUUUUAAAAAAAUUCUUGAAACACAAAAUCAAUCUAUCUCAAAAGCAUUUGUGAAUGGGUUUUAUGGCCAUAUGGAUUCCACAUCUUACAAAAUUAUGGGCGGAACUAGAGGGGACACAACUCCCCCAAAGUUAAGAGAAAAAAACUCAUUAAAUUAAGUGAUGGUUCCAAAACAAAUCUAAAUUUUCUUAUGCAAAAUUAUACUUACAAAUAUAAAAACUUCCAAUUUAAUCUUUAAUAUAUAACUUUCAAAUAUAUUUUUAAUAUUUUUUUUAUUAUGAACAUGUUAUUAGACGAUUCAAUCUACGAGAGCAGUUAUUUUCAAGAAUUAAAUCAUAAAAAAACCUCUUUAACUUGAAAUUCCUAGUUGAUUUUAUAUUUACAUGAAUAUUAUCCCUUUCUAGUCGAUUCUUUACAAAUUUAUUUUUAACAUGUUUGAAUACAUUUCUUAAUUUUAAUAUAUUCAUUGACCCUCCCAAAAUUCAAAAUUUAUUGUCAGGCGAUAAGAGGUAUCACUAUCGAAUGACAGGGGGGAAUUAUCUAGUUAAACCACGUGUAAACAAGCCAUUGGCCUAUUAUUCAAUAACUCUCUGACAAGAAUUUGGGCACUAGGCAGCAGGUUAGUACGGACCUUCGAAAACGUCAGUAGAGUGGCUCCCGUCUUUCCUAACUUAUGAAUUCCAUGUCUCAUUUAAAUAAGAUUUUAUGUGCAUUACGUGAACAAUACGUCACAGACUCUGUAUAUCUCUUCCACGACAACCGUCGAUGCAUGCAUCAGCUGCCUUCUCUUCUGUUUCAUUAUUUUUUAAAAUAUUUUUUAUUUAAAAAUAUAUUAAAAUAAUAUUUUUAAAAAAUAAAUAUUAAAACAAUUCAAAAAUAUUUAAAAAAUAAUUUUAAUAAAUUUUUAAUGUUGAUAUAUCUAACACCAUCCAGCAAUUAUUUUACCUAAAAUAAUAGAAUUUACACAAAUCAAGUCAUUUUAUAUUUGCAUGGUUUCGAGUUUUUCUUUUAAUUAAAAUAAAUAAAUAAAUUGAAGUCUAAUGCAAAAUUUGAAAUUCGCAAUGUGAAUGGCCAGAAAGAGAUAUUUUUACAUCUUUCUAAUUUUAUAGCAUUUUAUUUGAUAUUUUAUUACAAGCAUAAAAAGAAAAAAGGAAAUAAUAUUCAUAUUUUAGCGUUAUGUAAUAAUUUCCAUAAAUAAUAUUUAAUUUUAAUUAAUCAACAUAUAGAAUGGUCCAAAAACAAUUCAGAAAAAAACAGUAGAAAGUAAAGGUACUAUAUCUGACGUGGAGUCCAUGAAGAAGUGGGUCCCAUAACCAGACUUUCCACUAGUACAUGUGGAAAAUCCUCGUAUCAUUCCAUGAAAAAUAGCAAAAGUCUACGGAGAAAGACAGAGGGUCCAACUCUUGUGUCAGUACUCUACUACUACCUCAACGAACUUUUUUCUUCGAUCUCAGCCAUUGAUGGAAUUGUUACAGGUAAUCCAUCGGUUGAGAGGUUUUCCAUUGAAACUCUUAAAAUGACACAAUAAUCAGUAUGGUAGCUGAGAAGAUAAUCCAACAAAAAUUACAAUUAAAUACUAAAAAAAUAAAAUUAAAAAAUAUUUUAAGACAUAAAUUAGAAGACACAUAACAAGAAGCAACUCUAGACUCGUGCUAAUCAUCCAUCUCUGUCUUACCCAUUUGCUAGGCGCGAAGCCUUGAAAACACCGAAACUGAACCACUUCUCUCUGUCUUCUCACCAAGCCGAGCCGAGCCGAGCCGCGUUUCAUUCUUUCUUGAUUCUUCCACAAGCCGAUCAUCAUCAUCAUCUUCAUCAAUGAAGCCGCCGCCGCCGCUACACAUCCCUUUGAAUUCCAAGUCUCUCUUCUCUUUCAAUACCUUCUUUACCUUUCCUUUUCUUGAAUUGGAAUUCCUCUUUGUUUCUUUAUUUUUCCUCUCACUUUCUCACUAACGAAACAGGAAAAAAAGAGUGUUCAUGGACCCUGACGUGAUCGAAGUCCCACCUCCUCCAGCUCCGAUUGUUUCUCGCUCUCACACUAAACAGCCAAAAAACAAACAGGUUCUUGUAAAAAAAGUUGUUGUCUUUGUUCAAUUUCGAGCCUUUCUUUUCUUUUUAUUCAUUUAUUCCGAUCAUGAAUUUAUCUUGAUUUUUUUACUGAUUAAUUCUUUUUUCCUGGGGAUUUAAUGUCUCUGUGAUUGUCAAAGUUGGUGGCUUUUUGUUGAUUGCUUGAAUAAUUGAGUUGGUUAUAAUGGGGAAAGGGCUGAGAUUUCGGAGAGGUUUACUGAUAGGUGGUACCCCUUUUGAGCCUUUACUAGUGAGAAUGGCUGUGUUUGAAUGAAAUUAUAAUGCUAACAGUAAGCUAUUUUCGGAGAGAAGGAAUGAUCAACAUAUUUUAGAAACUUGCAUUUGUAGGAAAAGUGGGCUGCUUUGCUUUCUAUUGUUUGGAUUUUUUUUUUUCUCAAAAUGUUUUGUGUUGCAUUUGGCCUAUUCUAAGGGUGUCAGGACUUGGGAUCAUUAAGUAGCCCUCUCAAGCACACUACUUUUGUGGUAAUGUAAUGGUUUUGGAGUUAAAAUGGUUAGUUGUAGGAUGGGUUUGAUAGAUGAAACUAGGUUGGGGAUUAUGUUAGAAUUAAUGAGCGCGAUUUGGAAAGUUUUUAAAGCUAAUUAGGAUUAAAAAUGCUCAGAUACAAGUUUGACUUAUUACUAACAUCUGAACAAUUUUACAUUCUACAUUGAAAGAUGGAUUCGGAGUGGGCUUUAGCUAUUCCAACACUCCGUAAACCAACCUAGUUGGUUGGGUAAUCCGAUCUCACUUUUGACGGAAUAGGGAGCUGUUCUGCGGCGUCGGAGGGAUGAGUGCUACUUUUGGACUUUGCACCUUGGCCUAUGAAGAGGUUGGGAGCGCGCUGCACACUUGCUAUAUCCAGCCAUGGGCAUGGUCAAACCAACUUUACUUGGACUUGGAACCGAUAAAAAGCUAUCCACCAAUUCAUUCUAUUCCUUGUUUUAAUUUAGUAUGAACCUGGUUUGCCACAAGCAAAGCCUUGUGGAGGGCAUCUUCCCCCUUCAUGAAGUGAAGGAGGGAGAGCGCUAAGGGAGGAAAUGUUAGCCAUUUGGUACUAGUGUUCCAAAGCCCUGGCUAUAGCUGCAGAAUUGGGAAUGAAGACAUGUCUUCAGCAGUUCUUGUCUUUGCACUUGUGCAUAGGCCCUCGGACAGCUGCCCAAAAUCAAGGAAAUACUAAAAACUCUCAGUCCUGGAUCUUGUAAGCCCCAGAUUUCAAACUAAGAAAGACUACUUUCUUACUCACUACUAGAGAGAGAAGGGAAAAGAGAGACCAACUAGUUGAACUUGAUAAAUUGACCUGUAAUAUCUUAAGGUUGGGACUAUAUCGGAGUUUGGUGCUCUUUUAUGGUGUUUGGUCAUGGUUCUCUUUCAUCCAAUCUCAUUUCCUUUUCCAUCCUAUAGAUUAAUUUAUUGUUGCAAACAACCUCAGACUUUGCAGCUGCUAUUAACAAUUGGUCUAGUUUCAAUGGGAGACUGUUUCAAACAAAUUUCUAUGAUUCAAGGGUGUUUUGAAAGGCUUAGAUAAGUACGAGCUUCUAGUUUAUGUUGUUUCUGGUGCAAUCACAGCAAUUUUGUUCUUUAUUCUCUUCAACUUGUGUGAUCUUGUAUGGUGCAGAGUUAUGAAUUGUCUUUGGCUCCAACACCAAUUGCUGUGUAUGGGAACACAAUGAGGCAUGGAGCCAUGGAUAUAUUUUGGUACUCCAUUGAGACUUAAGGUUGCAGAGGGAAACAAAUAUAAUACCUCUUUCCUUGUUAAACACUUUAAUUAUCAAAAUUCUAAGUUCAUGAUAGACUUGAAAAGCCAACCUUUUCUAUAUAUAUGGCUUUGAGACGGUAACUACUUGUAAGAGGCUAAAUCCUAGUAACUCAAGAACACAUGUAAUCUUCAUUUUACCUGAUUUGUGCUGUACAAACAAUCAUGAACAAAUUAAAUAAAUGCAAAGACUAGAUACUCUUAAUCCUUACAACAAUGCUGGAAAUUUUACUGGAAUGCUGCUGCUACAGUACCAUAUCCAGCCAGUUUUAGCCCUGCAUCAUUGGAUUUAUCUACUCCAUGGCAGGAAUAGAAUGACUACUCCCUUAAAUGCUUCGAGAUAAAUGGUUUAAGUAGCAGGAAUAUAACACCUACCUAUUUGGUAUUCAGCUUAUUUUGCUGUCAGGUUCUUGUUGUAAUUAUAGUGUUGUAUUUAUUUUUUUUCCAGUUUCUUAAGUUUUGUGCAAGAAAUAUAUCAAAAAUUCACUUUGUAUUGUUAACGUUGCUUUCUUAAUAACUGUUUACUAAAUGAUGUUGAUCUCUUUCCAUGGUUCCUCUUUUUUUUUUUUUUUUUUUUUUUUUUAUCCUUGAACAGAUAUUCUAAAACUAUUUAGGAUAUCUAUAUCUGCAAAGGGAAACAAGUGAAAUAAUGCAAAGAAAAUGAGAGGAAAAGAAAAGAAAAGAAUCAAACUUCUUCAUUAAAAAUUUCUCUUGCUGCGUAGCAUGAGUGGAAAAGAAAGUGAAAUCAAUAAAUUAUAUCUUUUUCCAUUUCAUUCUCAUCAAUAUAUAAUUUUUUUUUUUCUAAUCUCUUCAGGAUAACAUUAGGAAAGUUUCCUUUUCUCAUCUUGACUCUCAAAGAAAAGGCAUUAACCUUUAAUUUCUUUCACUUUCCUUUCACUCCCAUCAGUUCAUGCACUGUAUUUGUAAAAAAAAUAUUUUUUGUAGGUUAUUCUUCAUGAAAUAAUUGAUGUUGACAAGGAUGAAGAUGCCAUUGAUGUGAUGAUUCUUGACAAGAAAAAUGACUUGAAGAACAAAGGAAAAUCCAUAAAAGAUAACUCUGAUGGCUACAGUCAAGCUAAGGUACAUAUUAGUUUAUACACUGUACCCCUGUCAGAGCUAAUAUAUUGUGUUUCUUUUCUUUUCUUAUUGAUAUUUUUAAUUUUUUCUCUAGGACGGUAUUUCCAGUUGUCUUCUCAGUCCUUCCUCUGGAGAAAAUAAUAUAAUUAACAUGGAUGGUCUUGAUUAUGAUGAUGGCACACAUAUGGAUCUUUAUCCUGAUGACUUCAUGGAUUUUGAUGAGUAUUCAUUUUUACAAUCCCAUUUUGACAAGGUGGAUAUUCCUCCUGGAGUUGAGGCCCCCAUUCCUUGGUUGCCAAAUUCUGAUAAUAAUGCUAAGAAAUCUGAUAAUGGAACUAAUUCUUUCAAUACAAACAAUCAAAUGCAAUCUAAUGGUGGUGGUUCAUGGUCAUUGAAGCCGGGCCAUGUAAGCAAGAAGCUGAGUUCAGUGAGUGGUUUAAGUUUUCAUAACCCAAUGGAUUCCAUGAGCCAUGAUUCUGGAGUGAACCUGUCCCCUCCUUGGCCACUUCCCCAAACUGCCCAAGGUAAGGAAGAACAAAAUGUUUCACAACAUGGGGGGAGUGCCUUGAAUUUUGCACCUUUCCAGAGUAAAAUAGAGCUGGUUUCUUCAAGUAGUUUGACUGAUUAUGGUUAUGCAAAGCACUUAGACGGUGUUAUGCUCCCUCAUGGAGUUGGCCCAGCACAUUUGGGACAUACCAAUCCUGCUCCUCCAUUUGUUGGUGGAUUGGAUCAUUUUCCUAUUAUUAGCCCUUCCAUCUCUUCUUUGGUGUCAAAAUUAAAUUACUCAUUUCCUAACCAUACAAGUCAUCCAAAUGUCUAUGAUCCAUUUGAUGCUUUACAUAUCCCUCCUGAAGACAGUGCAGCUGGAACUCCAAAAAAUGUAGAUAAAGAUGAUAUCCUCAGAAAGUUUCAACAAUUUAAACAAUUUGAUACAGUCGAAGAUCAUUCAGAUCAUCACUAUACUAAUAGUUCUUCGAUGAAGCAGGUGAGUAUUUUAGAAGAUGCAACCAUGCUAACUUUUCUUUUAUUUUUCUAUCAAUGAUUUGAUUGCAUAAUGCUAUAGCAUCCUCUUUCUGGCAGUCACCAAAGACCUGGGCAAAGAGAAUUCAGGACGAGUGGAGAAUCCUGGAAAAUGAUUUGCCAGGUAAGCUUUAACCUUUCUGAUUCAGAUCAUUAAUUACUAUUGCAAGUUUGAGUGGAUGUUGGGUCCCAUUUUUUUCUUCUCCCAAGGACCUCCUACCCACCGCUCCCUUCAUGUUGUUCAUAAUGUUUACCUGUUCAGAAUCACAAGGGGGAAACUGGUGAAGGUGUACCGAUGUUUAUGUGUAUGCUAACAAUAAAUGUCAGAAGGACUUUUUAUUUAUUUAUCUCAUCCUCUAUUUCAUUAAUGCUCUUAAGCAUGUUGCCUUUUUUUCCCUUUACUAUCGAGAGAAACUUUAUGAUUUUAAUAGGUUAUAAAUUUUCAAUAUUUGCAUAAUUCAUUCUCACGUUUUGUUUGUCCUACUAUUAUUAUGUCAACAGAUUCUAUAUUUGUUAGGGUUUAUGAAACAAGGAUGGACCUAUUGCGGGCUGUAAUUAUUGGAGCAGAGGGUACUCCCUACCACGAUGGUCUCUUUUUCUUUGAUGUUUUUUUCCCUGCUGGCUACCCCAAAGUACCACCGGUAUGUGAUAGAGGUUGUGUGUGUAUUAUUUUUUCAUCUUCUGUUGAACUGUUUUCCAUCUCAUAAUUUUGGAUUUGUCUGUGCUAGCUUGUCUACUACCAUUCUGGUGGUCUUCGACUCAACCCAAACUUGUACAGUUGUGGUAAAGUAUGCCUCAGCCUUCUUGGGACCUGGCAGGGUAACAAGAAUGAGAUGUGGCAGCCUGGAGUCUCGACUGUGCUACAAGUUCUGGUAUCUAUACAGGCAUUGAUAUUGAAUCAGAAGCCCUUCUUUAAUGAGCCUGGAUAUGAACGAUUGAAUGGUUCGGCAAAUGGUGAAAAGCGAUCUCAGGAGUACAGUGAGAGUACCUUUUGCUUUUCGCUGAAAACAAUGGCUUACACGAUGAGGAGGCCGCCUAAGGUAAGUUUCUUUCACUGCUUAUUUGCUUCAUGAAUUAUUGCUGGUUUAAAUAUUGAUCUGAAUUCAUAGCAAUCCCAGGAGAAGCUUAAAUUAUUGAAAAUAUGGGUAACUUUCCUAUGUUCCAGCACUAAAAUGCCAAUUGGAGAAGUUUUUAGUACAUUUAAAAUAUGUUAAAAGUGAGAACCAGUGGAAGUUUAGGCAGAUAAGGGUACUUGCCAUGAAUAACCGGAACAGUCUGAAUGGUAAUUGUUUCUUGUGCAUAGACCCAGUGAGCACAGACCAGGCUUGGAUUAAUACUAGCAAACUGUGCAUGAGAUUUCCAAGUUGGUGAAAAGGCUUGCUUAUCUUUAGAUUUUAAAACUAAUCAAUUCAAAUCAUGGUUGGCCGCAGCAUUUCGAGGACUUUGUACUGGGUCAUUUCCACAAGCGUGCUAAUGAUAUUCUGGUGGCAUGUAAAGCCUACAUGGAUGGUGCUCAGGUAGGGUGUCUGGUCAACGGUGGGGUUCAGGAUGUUGACGAGGGUGAUAAGAGCUGCUCCAAGAGUUUUAAGGACUGCUUACCUGCCUAUAUUGAUAUACUAAUGAAGCAGUUUUCACAAAUUGGAGUCCAGGACACUGAAAAAUUCCGAACAUCAGGAAACGGGGGUGAUAACUUAUCAGGCAAUGGACCCAUGGCCGCAAUAUAAAUGAGUUAUCGACGAGUAAUCAAUUUUGAGAAGUGACGGAAAGGAUCUUUACAUACCUGACAUGCAAUGCAGGUCUCCUAAUUCAUAUUGAGAAGUACAAAAUUUUAUUAUGGACAAUUAGAUGUUUAUUUCUAUAUGAUUUUUAUUUUCCCAAAUUGUACCUGUACAUGGAUGUAGAUAAGGAUGAGAUCAUAAAGUUUUAUGUACUUGUUCAGUUGCAAUGUAAAAAUGGUGUCGGCAACCUGCAAUCAUGUUGAAAUGCUAGGUACUGGCUGCAACUGUGUUCGAAGUUUUGUUCAUAGAUACAUAACCGAAGCGACAGCUUUCAGUAUUUAUUUUGAAAUUGGUUGUUGUUGAAUUUAGACAUUGUUUUUAGUGAUUAAUGAUUUACUUGGAGUUUCUGGAUGAGUUCUUUUGGGAACUUCUGAAAGUGGAAACAUGUUAGAGAACUUGAUCAACGAUUCAUUCGAAGAUUACACUGCUUGCUUGCUGGCUGUUCAUAUCUCCUGGUAAUCUCGGAAGGUGAUGCUGAUUUUGGGAGAGCUCAUCACAAGAAAUCUAGUUCGGUUCUAAUAAGCCCGUUCCUGCCUUGGGAUCUCUUUUUCUCUUGGACACUCCUCACGGGUUUCACUUUGAAGAUGCCUAUUUAGCACAUAACCAAUAUAAAACUUCUUGUUGUUGUCGGAUUUUAUUGUUCUUUACUUGCCAUAAAAUAACUAACUUCAAAAGUAUUCCAAUAACUCUUUAUUUAAGUGUAUUCAUAAACAAGGUUUAACGAAUUUAAGAGAAUAUAGAUUUAAAUAUCUCUUUAUAAGAAAUAAUCUUUAACUCUAGAAUAAAAAGAAAAUAAAGAGGAAAAAUAGAGCUUGAAAUAGAGGAGUAAAACUGGAAAUAUAGGUGAAAAAGAGUGUAAAAAACUAUAUAGAAUUUGUGCAGAAAAACCAACCCUUAAAACACUCUUUCUUCACCUUGCCUUUUUGACAUGAAGAACUUUUUUUUUAUUAUUUUUAGUAUAAUUAUUUUUACUAUAUUAUUUCCUUAAUAGUUAAGAUUUUUCAGGUCUUAAAGGAGUUCUAGAAGAGUCCAUCACAUAAUCAAGUAAAAUAAGUAUAACUUUUAAUCAUUUGACCAUUAGAUCAAGUUAAAAUUUUGAUAGAAAAUUUUAAAGGCUAUUUUUUAUAUAGGGUUAAGAUUCCAUUGUCAUAUGAGGUCAAUAAAGCUUUUAAAUAAUAUCUGGAAGUUACCAUAAGACUUUUUUUCCCCUUGUAUUUAGAUUGUUUUUUUCUAUUUAGAUUAAGGCUUUAAAUUUAAUUAUAAUUUUACUAAUUAUGAUAUUUUUCUUGUAUUUAAAAACUAUCCUAGGAUAUUUUUUUAUUUGAAGAUUAUUGAAUUAAAUAAUUUUCUGAAUUAAUCAGAGUUUUAUUUACAGUUAAAAGCUGUAACAUGAGGGCUUGAGAACCCUAGUUUCUUUCUCUAUAGUCUAGGGCUAUAAAAAUUUAGAGGGGGGGUGUCAAAGAAUCAUAGUUUUUAUCCAUAUUAUACAUUGCUUCAAUUAGUAUUACAAUAAGUUGGUCUAUUUGAUAGACGAAGCUGAUAACAACCUAUUUCACAAUGUAGAAAUGGAGGUCAUCUAGGAUACUAUGAGGGCUUGAAAGGCAACACGAAAAACCCUAUAAAAAAAACUUGGUUGACGGGAGCAUUCUGUAACAAACUUAACUAAGCAGAUAAAUCAAUUAAGAUGGGUAAGCGCAAAUAAGAAUAAUAAAAAGGAGAGUAAUGCAUCUAGAGUCUUACUUCGGGGCAAGCCUAACCCUAAAUCUAUUUUUGAAAAUUCACCUAGACAACUAGGGCUUUGUUAGAUCAAGGGCAAGCCUAACCCUAGGUCUAUGUAAAGGGUGAAGAUGAAUUUUAUAAGGGUCAUAGGGCUUUGUCAGAUCAAGGUAGAUCAACCUAAGAGACAAAAAUCAAUCCAUAUGAUCGAAGGUCUAUAUGAGUUAUAACCUUUAAUUUAAUUAGGAUUUUACUAAUUAAAAUGUCUUUCUUAUAUUUAGACAUUUUUGUAAUUUAUUUUUAUUUAUUUAUUUAAAAAUUUUUUCUGAAUAUAUCAUAAUACAGUUAAGGGCUCUAACAUUAGGACUUUAGAAUUCUAAUUUGUUUCUAUGUGAUUAAGGGCUUUAAACCUUUAAGAAUUGAGGAACCCUAGUUUCUAUCCAUGCUAUACAUUGUGUCACUUUUAUAGAGAAUAUUAGGAAGCAAAAUCGACAGAAAACCCUCUAUUAUUAGCUUUGGUUACCCUCUAAAAAACUAGAAUUAAACUAGAAUGAUUUAGCUUUAAGUCGGUUGUCUUUUAAGGUGACAAAGCCUUUCAAGUUCUGAGAAUUUUUUUUUGGAAAAAAAAACUAAUCAUAUUCUAUCAUUCAUAGGUUGGAUUAGGCAAAACAAUAGGCCGACAAAAAUUAAUUCUUUAUUGGCCAAAAAAUUAUAAACCCAAGCUCAAGUUUAAAAUAGGUUGCCAAAAAAUAGCCUUUUAUAGCCCAAGAAAAUAUUUUACAUUAAACCCGAGCUCGAGCUGAAACACAUGUGAGUUUAAGCUAAAAACUCAAUUUGCUUAGAUCUACCCUCUAAAAGCUUAAGUGCUUUUUGGGUCCAAUUUUAAUUUUUCAAAUCUCUACAAAAUAAACUACUAGGAAAGCUUGUUUAUCUUCUAUGGAGGAUAAAACUUUUAAAGAGUUAUGAGUUUCUAAAAAAAUGUCUACCAAGGGUAGAGUUUUUUUAGACUAAUUUUUUAUUCACCAUAAUUUAUUUAAGUCAUGUUAAUGUUUUAUGUUAAAGAACUUAUAUUGAAGAUUAAAUUCUAACAAAUUUCUAGCCUAAAAGUGAGUUGAACCCUUAAUCUUGUCUCAAAUGUGUUUAUUGACAAUGAUUUUAAAUGAAAUUCCAAUAAAUUUAGUAAUAACAAAACCAUGAAUAAUUCAAAUUUACUGAAAUUCUAAGAAUAAUGAUGCAGGAGUUAGGAUUUAGAUUGAAACCCAAAUAGCAAUAGCAACAUCCCAAUGAGUUGUUGAAUAAAGUGGCCAAAUAACCCUCAUAAAGGACUAGCCAAAUAAAUGUAAUGGUAAAAAUUAAUUUGAGAACCUUGCAAUAAUAUCUCCAUAUUAUUUGUCUUGGUCAAGUUGACUUUGUGGAGUUUGACGACUAUUUUAUGGUUGCACUUAACUAGAAUUUUAUAAGUAAAUAUGAACUUUAUAGGAGAUAAAAACAUUAACAUUAAAAAUAAUAAUAUUUAUCUAGAUAUUUUGCAUACUAGGAUAACAAACUCCUCCAUAAAUAUAAAUAAAAGCUACCAGAUAAAGAAAAAAAAAACCACACAAAAAUCAUUUUUCUAGAUAAAACCUAAAGUCACUCACCUAUUAAUCUGGAACAAAUUCUUUUUUUUUGUUUAGAUUAAUUUUUUUUUCUUGCAUAAAUUAUAAAAACUAUCAUUGGUAUCAAAGCCUAAGGUUUUUAUUGUGGUUCUUGUAAUUUUUUACUUGCUUCAUAAAAUACUACUUGGUACAUCUUUUUUCUUCCCUCUCAGACCAUCAUUGUGGUUAUAAUUUCACUUUUUUUUCCAAGGCAGAUAAGCAUCAAUGUUAGUCAAUAUGAAGUAAGGUAUACAUAAUUAUAUCAAGGUCCUCCAUUAUUGGUUAGUUGUCUAAUAAUUUUUUUUUAAUUGUUAUAAUUUUGGUUAGGAAGGUUGUUAGUCAGGAAUUAAAAAAAAUUGAGAAAUUGAAUGGUACCAAUUUUCCUAUGUAAAAGCGUUGAAUUUGUCAUAAUCUUUUUCAAGACAAAGUUUAUUGCAUAAUUGAUAUUGGUGUUCCACUUCUAUCACUUGAAAAUGCUAGCUCUUCUAUUAUAAGAGUACUAGAAAAAUCAUGCUUAUUUUUAUGGAACUUGACAUAGAAAUUUUGUUUGAGGAGCAUGAUUUUGCUAAAAAUAUAUUUGUUACCAUCAUUAAUGCUAUUAUUAAAUAUGGUUUUAUAGCUAAUGACUUUGAUCAUUGUGCUUAUUAUUGGAAUAGUAUGGAUACUUUUAUAUUUACAUGUUGAUGAUAAUUUGAUUGUUGGUAAUGAUGUUACAUUGAAAUGUUUUUUAAAAUCUCAUUUUGAGAUGAAAGAUUUAUGUGAAGCAUUAUAUGUAUGGUGCAUCCAAGUUAUUAGAGAUAGAAAAUGUAGAACUCUUUAUAUAUCUUAAUAUAUAGAUAAAUAAAAGAUAAAAAAAGAUUCCAUCUGGAUAAUUCUAAUGCAAUGGAUACUCUCAUUUAUAAACAAAUAAAAUUAUAUAAGAAAAUAUGUCAUGUUAAUGAAGAUGUUGGAGAAAAAUGUUAAAUACUCCAUAUGCUUAAGUUGUAGUAGUAUAAUGUAUGUUAUGCUUUGUUCAGGAUCUGAUAUUAGUUUUGUUGUAAGUCUUGUAAGUAGGUUUCAAAGUAAUCCUAGAGAAGUUUAUUGGUUGGUUGUUAAAAGAAUACUUAGAUAUAUUAAAGGCACAAAAGAUUAUAAUUUGACAUAUGAUAAUAAAGGUAAAAACUCGAAAGUUAUUAGAUACUCUGAUGUUGAUUUCUCAGGUGUAGCAAAAAAAAAAAAAAAAACAAACAAACAAAGUUGUGUAGUUAAAGUACCAUGAAAACUGAAUACAUCGCAUGUAUCAACUUAACUUUUGAAAUUAUAUAAAUAAAAAGAUUUCUUGCAGAUCUAAAAGAAAUUAAUGAUAAUCCAAUCAAAAUUAUGUGUGAUAAUCAAGUUGCUAUAUCUAUCAUAAAAAAUGGUGAGAUUAGUACUAGAGGUAAACAUAUUUAUCGUCAAUAUUAUCACACAAUUGAUGUCUAACAUGUUUAUAUUUAAGCAAUUGAUUUAAUUUAAUUCAAAAUGAAAAUUUAUUUUUUAAAAAACUAAAUUUAACAAAAAAUGAUAAAUAAAAAACCUAAGUUAACUCGAGUCGUUUUCAAAAUUAGUGAAAAACCCUAUAGAAAGCAAAUAAAAAAAUAAUAAAGUUUAAUAUCUAAUUAAAUCAAAUAUUGAAUGAUGAAACUGAAAAAACAAAAGCUUAAAAAAAGAGAAAAAAAAAAAGAAAAUGGGUGAAUCUUUUAAAACUGGGUCAAUCUCUCAAAUUCACAAUUCAUUAAAUUGUAGACCAAGACUCAAUCAAGAAGCUCAAUUCAAUGUUAAAAGAUAAAAUAAAAAAAUAUCAAUCUAAAAAAACUGCCAAAGUAAAAAAAAAAAAAACUUAAGGAGAAUGAAAUCAUAAAAAAAACUAUAAAUGAUAAUAGAAAUUAAAAAAAAUAGAGAAAGAAUUUAACAAAUUAAAAAAUUAAAGGAGGAUGAAAUUGAAAACAAAAUUUAAUUUUAUAAAAUUCAAAUAAAAGAAUAUCAAUUGAAAGAACAUAGAUUAAAUCCAAAGAAUGAAUAAAUUGAAGGGUUGCUUUGAAAUAUUUAGAAAGUCAAGCAUAAAAAUCAAGGAGGAGAGAGGAAAAAAAAAGAAAAAAAAAACAAAUCAGUGUUAAACUAGAGGGAAUUAAGCCACAUGCACCACUUAUAGAGGUAAGCCCUAUCUUGACGAAUCAAAAAACACCAAAGAAAGCUUUUUUGGCAACCAUAAGCCACUGUAUGUACCACUUAAACACAACGAGGCAGCUUAAUUGCUAGCGUGUAUAUGAACCAUUAUAUAUAUAUAUAUAUAUAUAUCAAAUCGCUCUUAGAACUACAUGAUAAUCAUAAGAAAUGAAAGUACGAAUAAUCCUAUGGAAGCAAGGUAAGGAGUUUUUUUAAUUUAAAAUGCAAUACAUUCAUUUUAUUGUGUUGUGAAAAGUAAAAUAUUGAAAAAAUCCCUUCACCUUAGGUAAAUAAUUUUUUUCUUUUAAGAGCAAUUAAAUAAUUAUACUAUUAAAAAAAUACAAAGACCUAGCUGAAUAAAUUGAAGGGUUGCUUUGAAAUAUUUAGAAAGUCAAGAAUAAAAAUCAAGGACGAGAGAGGGAAAAAAAUGAAAAAAAACACAAAUCAAUGUUAAACUAGAGGGAAUUAAGCCACAUGCACCACCUAUAGAGGUAAGCCCUGCCAUGACGAAUCAAAAAACACCAAAGAAAGCUUUUUUGGCAAUCAUAAGUCACUCUAUGUACCACUUAAACACAACGAGGCAGCUUAAUUGCUAGUGUGUUCAAUGCAUAUAUGAACCAUUAUAUAUAUCAAAUUGCUCUUAGAACUACAUGAUAAUCACAAGAAAACCAAAAUGAAAGUACGAAUAAUCCAUGGAAGCAAGGUAAGGAGUUUUUUUUUUAAUUUAAAAUGCAAUCAUUUUAUUGUGUUGUGAAAAUUAAAAUAUUGAAAAAAUCCCUUCACCUUAGGUAAAUAAUUUUUUUUCUUUUAAGAGCAAUUAAAUAAUUAUACUAUUAAAAAAAUGCAAAGACCUAGCUGCCCCCGAUCCAUUAGAUAAUCACCAAUAGAGCUUGUGAAAAUACUCAAUUACUCCUAAUAGAUAGUUAAGUUUUUUAGAAGGGCAAAAUAAUAAUUUUAUUAUUCCAAUCCACAAUGAAUCAAGGCAUUUAUAUUAUAUUUUUCUCAUAAAAAUUUAUCGAUCCAUUAGAUAAUCACCAAUAGAGCUUGUGAAAAUACUCAAUUACCCCUAAUAGAUAGUUAAGUUUUUUAGAAGGGCAAAAUAAUAAUUUUAUUAUUUCAAUCCACAAUGAAUCAAUGCAUUUCUAUUAUAUUUUUUUCAUAAACAUUUAUGAGAAAAAUAUAAUAGAAAUGCCUUGAUUAAUUGUGAUUGGAAUAAUAAAAUUAUUUUAUGAGAAAAAUAUAAUAGAAAUGCUUUUAUUCAUUGUGGAUUGGAAUAAUAAAAUUACUAUUUUACCUUUUCAAAAAACUUAACUAUCUAUAUAUUCAUGAGAGGAGGAUUGCACGCUUGCAAUCAAGCAAUCUUUUAUUCAUCUACUAUUUUCUCACGUUCGUUACAAUCAGUUUACAUGUUUUUCGAGACAAAGUGACAAUAUUAUAGGUUGCUUUAUACAUUUAUAAAAAUUACAAUUUUUUUAGAUAUUAUUAUCAAGAUUUGAAAUUCUUUCUUAGAAAAAUCUUUUUAAACGUCAAGCGAACCCUUCAAGGUUGAUAAGUUUUAAUUUAAUAAUAACAAUUAUCAAAUUAUUUGUUUGGGGUGCCCUUCAUGGAGUCUUGAAACAAUAAAACAUAGGGAUAUUUGUUUAGCGUAAAAUAAUUUAUUAAUAAAAAAUAUAAGAAAUUAAUAUAUUUUUUUACCAUAUAAUUUUGUAAAAUACUUUACACGAAAAAUAUUUGAAAAUAUAAUUAUAAUACAACAAUAAAGACUAGUGAUAUUAAUUAUUGUAGUAACGUGAAGUUGGAGGUGGAGGUUGUUAUAGAGGUUGUAAUGAUAGUGAUGCUAGAGUAGUAUCAAUGAUGAAAAUGAUGAUGAUAAUUAUUGUAAAGUGAUGUAGAUGACGGUAGUAAUAUUUAGAGUAACAUAAACGAUAAAGAUGGUGAUAAUAAUUGUUGUAAAAUGAUAGAGAUGACGGUGGUAAUUUUGAAAUAGUGAUUGUGGUGAAGAUAGUAACAAUAAUAAGGUAAUUGUUAUGAGGUGUAUGGUGAUAAUGAUGAUAAUGAUAAUAUGGUGAUGAUGGCAAUGAUAUAGAUAUUUCGGUAGUUGAAAUAGUUGAAUAAUAAUAUAAGUGAAUUAGAUUGUAAAAUACUUAUAAAAGAUAAAUAAAAAAACAGAAUAUAUAUAUAUUGCUUGAGUUUUUUCAUUAUUUAUUAAGGAGCAUUAUAGGGAAGGAGAUUAAAAUUUAAAAUCUUCCUAGCAAAGCAACUUGGCCUCGACAAAUCAUCACGAACACGGUCUCUAGAAACUUCCUUCAACCUUCCCUACUGCCACGUGUUCAUGCCCUCCACCGUCGUAAAACCCUAAACCCUCCCUAUAUAAAGCCCCUGGACAAGAUCACUACCCGCCUCCAAAACAGAGCAAGCAAAACACUUCUCUAGUCUCUCCUCUCAAAUGGCAACCCCAGCAACAAGGAUGAUGCUGUUCAAGAACGGCAAGUCGUUCCCUCUCAAUCUCCUACCCGGCUCUCUUUUAGGUGGGUCCAAUAACAUCACCAGCCAGUUCAUGAUUUCUGACCCUGCACUAUUCCAACCACAGCAAAAGCCCAUCUUCAAUUUACUUGGGGGUCUGUCUAAUGCUGGUCUUGUGAGUGACAUUAACGGGGCUUUGAAUUGGAGAUUUGGUCGGUUCGGAGAGAUGGGUCGUGUGGAGGCACGUGUGAAGAGCGAGAGAGUGAUCAGUGAUGAGGAUGAAGAAGAUGAUGAGGACGUUGAUGAUGAUGAUGAGGAGAUUGAGGAUUUCGAUGAAGAUGUGGAGUAUGAGGAUGGAGGUGAUUUUGAUGAUGAUGAUGACGACGACGAAGACGAUAGGAAAUGAAAGUAGAGUUUUUUAUUUGUUUAAACAAUGUUUGCCAUUUCUCUUCUGAGGUUUUUGUAAGGGGAUAUUAUCAGUCUAUUCGAUGAACUCUCUUUUCUUGAUUACAGCUUCUUUGCACUUUUACUUUCCACAAGUAUUAUACGUGUUUACCUUACUGAUCUUUCUUUCUUUUUCCUUUUCUUUUCAAUUUAUGAUUUUCUUUCGAGUAAUACACUCGUCUAUUCAAGACUUCGAAGUCCUGCUGCCUCCUGCAGGGCUUUUCAGGUAGGGAAAUGGCACUGCUCGUUCGGUGGCCAGUCAUCUUUUAGCCAUUAUGCAUCAACUUUCUUGCCAUUGGUAGGCGAAACUAUGCAAUCAGCUAGCCCUGGGCAUGGAGAUGCUGCUCUACAGCGCGUCAGUGGGAUACAAGCCAUCAGUGUUGGCUUUUUAGGUGAAUCGAUUGAACGUGCUUAAAACUAAACCGCCAUGUAUGCCUUAUUUGCAGAUGAAAACACUUGAAUCUAACUCAGCAAAGUGCAGGGACUGCAAACAACAGAACGUUUACUUGUUCAUUCUUGAUAACUCUGUACAUCUAAAGUUGAGCCUUCGUGUAGACCCGUGUUAUUUGGAAGUGUCGGGCUUGUCAAAUUCUGAACUUUAGAUACGGUGACACCAUUAAUGAGUUUCAAGAUUUUAUACAGGGAUACGGAGAUGCUCCAAUUGAUAUCUUUAUACGCCCACUUUUGCUAUUUGGCUCCGCCUAAUGAAUUGAUGUCAAGCCCAAUACUUAAAUAGCUUCAGCACUGUACCCAUUGGAAAUUGCAUAAUUAGGCUAAAUUAUAAGUUGAAAAACUGAGGCUAAUGUGGAAUGGAGGUCCAAAACCACCUCCUUCUUCUUCUUCUUCUUCAUUUUUUUUUUUUGUCUUUUAGGUUAAGUUAACAGGGAGUUUUCGUUUUUGUGAUUAACCUACUUUUUAAAAUGUUUUUAAAUUUUUUUUGUCUAAAAAAAAUAAAUUAUUAUUUUUUUAGGUGCUUGUUGAUAGUUCUAGAUGUAAAAAAUAAUAAUAUUUUAGUUUAUUUUAAAUUAAAAAAUAAUUUUUAAAAAGACUAUCACAUUAUUAAACAUACAUUUAGUUCUUUACCUCAAAAUUCAAAAUUCAAAAAAAAAAAAGACAAGUGAAAAAUAAAAAGAAGGGUAAUUUAUUAUUUUUUUGGUUAUUGCAUCCGCCAAAUAUUUCUGGUUAUUGCUUUUCUUAUUUUUUUUUAGUUUUUUUUUCAAAAGAAAGGUAAUUUAAAAACUCAUUUCCCUAAACAGGGUUUUUUAAGACUUAAUUUACUAAAAUCAAAAGAAUUUUUGCCACAGUUAUUAAGCUUGUUCCAUUCAGGCGGGAACUAGCCUUGGGAUUGGGUGAGCAUCCACAUUCUUACUCACUGCCAUGGCUCUUUAGCUAUAAUAGCUGCAAGAUAGAAGUUUUUGCAGAGCAUCCUUGUUCUCUAAAUAACUCGUUAUUUUGUGUCUGUGAACAUUACUGGCUACGCAUAGCGAGUACUGUAGCACUCUUCAAUUUGUAGCAGGAGACGAAAGGAAUUUGCAGGAAAAGGAAGAAGGAGGGCUUCACAUUAGCUUACCAGAUAAUCACAAUCUUAUUUCUGCUUUUCUUCUCUCUUUGGAUGUUUGUUUCUAGUUUCAUUGUUGAUUUUAUUUUUCACCACUGCUUUUAUGAGUGCUUCUUCAUUAUUAUAGAAGGUUCCAAAAGGAAGGAAAGAGGGUGUUGGAGUGAGUUCCUUGGUAAUUCCUUUGCCUACUGCCACUUUUUUUUUAAAAUUAAUAUAGAUGUUCGGACCAGUUUGCGCAUACCUCGACUGAUUUUACAGGCCCUGAAGUUAAUAAUCAUGUAAACUUCCAGUGGCAACCACACCACAGGGGGAGCAAACCCUCUAAUUCCAAGUUCUUACCACUAGGCCACCUACUAAAUAGUUGACCUAAUGCUACUCUUUUUUUUUUUUUUUUAGUUUAACAUGGGUGUCCGGGCCAGCUUGCGCGCACCUCGACUAAUCUCACGGGCCCUGAAGUUAACGACCAUGUAAGCCUCCAGUGGCCAUCAUAUGAGCAACCACAGGGCUCGAACUUGAGACCACAGAGGAAGCAAACCUCUUGAUCCCAAACUCUUAUCACUGGACCACCACCUAGAUACUCUUUAAUCUACCAUGUAGUAGUCUUGAAACUUUUUCUUGUUUCUUUCUUGAUUUGCCUCUCAUCCUCAAAGUGCAUGGACAUUUCUCAUGUUUGUAUGAUUUACACGUGCCAAUUAUAUUUUUUAUUUAAUUAAUGAUUAAUUUGUAUAAAAAAAUUAAAUUGCUUCAAUAAAACUGGUAAUAACAGAAUAGUCAGAGUGAAAAGACAAAAAAAUCUUUAGAAAAAUGGUUUAAUUUUUUUAUAUGAUAAACCUGUCAUUUUACUUUAUUUAAAAAAAAUAAAAGGAAAAGAGUAUCCAUCUUAACUAGUUUUAAAAAAUAUAACUUAGAGGGUAAUUAGAUUAUUUUACAAUUGAAAAAACAUAUAUAUUCCUAGCAAAUUCAUUAAUGAUUAAUGGGCCGAAAUCAAAACUACCCCAACGCAAGAUAAUUAUUUAAAAAAGCAAAAAUAUAAUUACAAUACUAUAGUGAAUAAUAAAUUGUGUUUGUAUAUAGUGAAAAUGCCUUCAAUUUUAGCCUAGUUUUUAUUUUCAGUUAAACAUUACUCAUAUUACUAAAUUAAAAUUAAGAUAAACAUGAGUUGUAGUUGCGUUGAUAAGUUAAAAUAUAUAUAUAUAUAUCAAGUUGACUAGACUAGCAGGGAGAAUCGAGCGAAAUUUUCAUUUGGUGGGCAAAGCUCGGGGAAGAAAAAUACUGAAACUUUAAGUAAUGAGGUCGAGGUUCAAGUUCCAUUCUAGAUUUUCUCGACUUUGUGUUGGGAGAUCUAUAUUCCAUUAAUUAAUAUUAAUAUAAAAAGCUGAAUUAUAUGAAAAAAAAUAUUAUAAUUAUUCUCACAAACCACUGUAAUUGCUAUAAUAUUUUUCCAGCAUUGAUUAUGCUGACAGCAGUUGCAAUGGAGGGUUAUAUGGCUUAUUAGCCACCAAUUAACCCAAAAAAAAAAGAAGCUAAUUUAUAUGAAAAAAAUAUUAUAUUCUGUGGAUUGCUAAUCUGAUAUAUGACUGAUACUUUUGGUCAAUGGAGCAAAUUUUCAGAUUGAACGAAGCUGGCUUUAAGUCUGAUGCAUGAAUGACUGGACUGCUGAACGGGAGAGGGAUGGGACACUUAUAACGUGGAAGACGGACUCGACAUUUCCAAGUUCUUGCUGGACCUUAUGUUUAAGGAAUGGACUCUUGUUCUCGAAAAGAAAUGGAUCAACUUUAGAAAUUUCCAAGUUCUUGUUGGACAUUCUGUACAUUUAGGAGAACAUACGUUUAAGCAAAUCCUUGUAUCAAUCAAGGUGUUAUUAAUGUAUUUUUUAGUAGAAUUUUUUUUUUCUUCUAAACUAUAUAAGAGUUGACUUGAUGUGAUUUGAUCAGGUUGGUAGAUUCAAAGAUAACUCGGAUAACUGAUAAAAUUAUAGUUUGACUAAAAUAACCAAGAUAAUAUUUUUUAAAAUAUUAAAAUAAUAACAUAUUAAAUUAACAUGGUUCCACUUAGAUUCAUCUAUUGAAUUCGUUAUCCAGGUCAUGAGACCCUGAUGAUCCUAUAGAAAACAAAUAAUUUUUUUUAAUUAAACUCAAUUCUCAAUCAACCUAAAGUUUUAGGAUGAAAUUGAAAACAACUUUAAUAAAAAAAUAAGUUGAGUCAACUCGGGUUAAACUAACAAACCUAGAUCAUGAGAUCGGGAUAACCCCAUAGAAAGUAAAUCAAAACAAAUAAUGAAACUCAAUUCCUAAUCAAUUCAAUGUUGAAGAUACAAAAAGCCAUCUUAUUCAACCCGAGUCAACCGACCAAAUCCGUGAUUCAGGUCAUGACACCAGGAUAACCUCAUAAAAUAAAAACCAAAAAAAAUUAUGAGGUCUAAUUUCCAAUCAAUUCAAUAUUAAAGAAUGAGAUUGAAAAAAUAUAAACUAAAAAAUAAUAAGAAAAAACCAAAGGUCACCGGCCUAAACCGCGACCCAGGUCAUUAGAAUGUGAUGACCUCAUGGAAAGAAAAUGAAAAUAAAAUUAUGAAACUUAAAUUCUAACCAACUCAAUAUUGAAGGAUUAAAUUGAUAAUAAAUAAAUAAAUGAUUUAGGUCAACCUAUCAAACCUUGAUCAAGAGAUUGAGAUAAAUGGAUAGAAAGAAAAUAAAACAAAUAUAAAAGUCAAUACUCAAUCAACCCAAUGUUGAAAAAUAAAAUUAAAAAAAAUAUUCAAUAAAAAAAGAACAUAAAAACCUAAGUUAAUCUGGCUAACUCAUAAGACUCGCGACCCGAGUAAUGAGAUCAUGAUAAUCCCAUAGAAAAAAAAUUAAAAAACAAUUCUGAAGCUUAAUUUCUAAUCAAUUUAAUGUUAAAGGAUGAAGUUGAUGAAAAUAUAAUUAAAAAAAAAAGACAAAAGAAUAACCCAAGUAAUAUGGGUAACAUGUAAAACUCUUGAUCCGAGUUAUGAAACCAAGAUAACUUUAUAAUAAGAAAUCAAAAUAAAUUAUGAAGUUCAAUACCCAGUAAAUUCAAUAUUAGAGAAUGAAAUUAAAAAAAAAUAAGCUUGAAAUUAUAAAAAUAAAAAUAAAAAUCCUCUAAAAUUUUGAGGAUCAAAUUAAAAAAGAUCUUGACAUUUCACUAUUUAUUUCUAUAUUUAAAUUCUAAGACUUUUUUAACAUAUGUUAAUUUGGACUUUGAAUUUUUAUUAAGACAUUAGUUUGACAAGAAGGUGUGUCUCUAGAAUCUUUUAAAAAAUAAUAAAUAUCUUGCUUGAUACUAAGUUGCCUUAAAGAUAACUCUUAUUAUUGAACUAAAAAAGAAAAACUUUGAAAAAUUCUUUCGUAGUUUUCCCAUUAUUGAUUAUUGAUUAUUUUUAAAUUUUUAUUACUUAAUAUUUAGUAAAUAACUGUAGUUGAAAAUUCUUGAGAAAUUCUAAAACUUGAUAAAGCAUUAGACCUUACAUUAUAAUAUUUAUAUUUCGAUAUUAUAAAACUAAAAUUUCAUCUUUUACCAAGAUCACUAUUAUAUUAAAAUAUUUUUGAAUUAUUUCCUAAGGAGUUUUGUUUUAGAAAUAUAUUAAAAUAUUUUUGAAUUAUAUUUAAGGAGUCUUUUUAGAAAACAAUUUAUAGUAAUUUUGGUAAAAUAUGAAUUUUUAUUUAUUUAUGGCUCUAUUAACUUUUCACUUGAAAAUAUUAGAAUUGUAAUUUUUAUGAAUCAUUUUAUUUUAUAAAAGUUCAUUUUUAUCAUAUUUGAGAAAAAUAUUAUAGCACGAAUAAAAUUUUAUACUACCUUUUAAGAAGUCUUUUUUUAAUAUUUAGUAGAGUUUAUCAAAAGCUAUAAUUUUUUUUCAUCUAUAUAAGUCAAAAAUAAUAUAAGACAUCAAUAAAGCCCCUUACAAAAUAAUAACCGUGUUCAAAUAUUAUUAUUUUUCUAAACUUUAAUAUAAUUUUAUUAUGUUUUGAUUUUAAUUAUAUAUGAGUGAAUAAAAAUUAGAAAGUUGAAUUUACAUAUUGACUUUAAUAUCAUAUAUAGAAAAAUAAAUCAUUAAUUCCUUAUAUGGAGUGGAAGUAUUUUUAAUUUUUGCAUAUAGCAACUUUAUUUAAGAUAAGAACACUAAUUAUUUUUUUUAAAAAAAAAUCAUGUGAUGUUUUUUACAAUUUAAGAACAUUUUUAUCAAACUAAAUGUCAUCCCUACCUAAUUUUUUAUAUACUAGAUACUUGACUCGCGUUUUGCCACGAGUUAGAUGUUUUGCUUCUAAACAAAACAUUUUCUAUACAAGCUUUUUUAACAUAUUUUUGUAAUUUAAAAAAUUCUAAGUGAAAAUUAAAAAGUUUAUGCAUAUAUUUAAUCAAAAAAAUCAAGAACUAUAUAUGUUAAUAAAAAAAACUUGUAUCGUGUCAUCCUCUCUAGUUUUUUUUUUUAAAUAAAUUAGAUGACGCACCUGUGGGCCAUAAAUUUUUUUCUCUUACAAAAAAUUUGUACAUGUAGGCUUUUUUGAUGCAUUUUUGUACUUACAAAAAUCUAAAAUGUAAAUUGAAAAGCUUAUGCAUAUAUGUAAUCAAAUAAAUUAAGAACCAUGUAUGAUAAUAAAUGGGAAAAAAAGUUAUUAACAAUAACUAAAAAUCAAAUAGAAAAAUCAAAUGUGUUAAUAAACAGAACAUUUAUCCGGUUGUGUUUACUGAUUUUAUUUAUUAAAAUUAAUUUUUUAUUCAAUCAAAUGAUAUUAAAAAUAGACACACAGAUUAAAAAAAUAUUGAUGAAUCAGAAUAAUUUUUUUAAAAAUUAAAUACGCUAACCACCAUAAAAAAACAAUCUCUAUCUAAAAAAGGUUAAAUAAGAAAACAAAUUCACCGAUGAGAGAUAUUAAUCGAAACAUAAAUUUUUCAAUUAUUUUAAUAAAAGAUAUAAAAAAAACACUACUAAAAAAAGCAAUAUUAGAAAAAAAAUAAUAGCCCAGUUCUUGUGGCUUAACUCGUUAGAUUCGUGAUCUAAAUCACGAACUUAUUCAGGUUUAAUAUUUUUUUCUUUACGGGCCUAAGCUAAUUUUUAUUUUAAUUUUUUUAAUGGGUCCACCUCUAUUUUUUUGAAAAAAAUUAGCAGGCAACAUGUUGGCUGCAAUCCCAGAUUCCUGCGCCACACAAUGGUGGCUGGAAAAUCAGGCGAACUUGUCUUUUGUCCAAAAAACUCAAUUUCUAAGCUAUUUCAACUGAAAAACACCUCACCAAUACCCAAAAAUCAUUUCGUCAACUCCAAAUACCCAAAAAACAAUCCAAAAAUCUGAAGUCAAACUAAUUUAGUUUUGGCUGUCUCGGCUCAAAUCUGGUUUUUCAUGUAACAUCGAGGCUAUAAACAACCAUUAUGAAGUCUCUCUCAUUUCAUGAAACCUGUGGACACCAAGAAAACUCGUUUUGGUGGCCGAAAUUUUUCUCUUUUCGUCGAAUUCCAGCAACCCUCUUUCUUUUCCCUCUUUAACCAAGAACUGACAAAUAACACAAAAAAAAUUGUGUAUGAAAAUUGAUUUUUAAAAAAAUUAAAGGGAUCUAAAUAGUAUAUAUUGCGUUAUUUUUAAAGAUCGAGUAUCUAAGUGGAUUUUUCAUUCAAUCUUUGGCACGCCACUUAUGUUUGGUGCCUGUUUCAAUUCGUAAUUUUGUAAGUUUUUUAUUUUUUUAUUUUAAAUUAAUUUUUUAUAUUUUUAAAUCAUUUUAACGUGAUGAAAUCAACUAUAAAUUUUAAAAAAUAUAUUUUAAAAAUCAACGUUACUAUGGUAAGAAACACCCGGAUGUACCAUGGUCUUCAUCAGGAAUAAUCGAAUUAAUUUGAAGACACAGAAGUCGUCAUUUCUAUUCCUGUGGAAUCGAACCUCCUAGCGUAUUGGUUGGUCCCAUAAGUAGAAUUGAAUUAAAGUCGUCGUAUGGGACAAUGUACCAAAUUUAUUUCUUCUGAUUUUGUAUUCUUCACAGACACAAUCAAUGCCGUUGGUUUGCUAUAAAAGGCUCUCAACUCCAACUUCUGAGUUAACAACAAAAAAUUAUCGACAGGAGCAUCAUUAUGGCUUCACCAUCGUAUGGGCCUUUGUCAUUCGUGUGCUUUUUGACACUAUUGUUUCUUUUAAUAAACACUGUGCAACCACUCUGUCAUGGCGUUGAGAGAUCUGCCUUGUUGCAUUUCAUGCAAAGCUUUUCCAUCAGCAACAACGCUUCCAUUAGUUCUUACGCUUAUCCAAAGACUGCAUCAUGGAAGAUCAGAGGAGAAAGCAGUGAUUGUUGCUUAUGGGAUGGCGUCGAGUGUGAUGAGGACACUGGCUAUGUUAUUGGCCUUGACCUCGGAGGUAGUUCUCUCCAUGGUUCUAUCAACUCCACAAGCAGCCUUUUUCAACUUGUUCACCUUCGAAGGCUUAACCUGGGGGGUAAUGACUUCAAUUAUUCUCAAGUUCCAUCUCGACUUGCCCUUCUCUCAAGUCUAACAUACCUCAACCUUUCCAAUUCUAUGUUCUACGGCGAAGUUCCCUUAGAAAUCACAGAAUUGUCUCACUUGACUUCUCUUGAUCUUGGUCGAAAUGUUGACUCAUCUGCAAGAAAGUUGUUAGAACUCGGAAGCUUCGACUUGAGAAGGCUAGCUCAAAACUUCACCGGGCUUGAGCAACUUGAUCUCAGCUCGGUUAACAUUUCUUCUACCGUGCCUGAUGCCCUCGCAAAUUUGUCUUCAUUGACAUUUCUCAAUCUCGAGGACUGCAAUUUACAGGGUCUAAUUCCAUCCUCCUUCGGUGAUCUCACCAAACUAGGCUAUCUAAAUCUUGGACACAACAAUUUUUCAGGUCAGGUUCCUCUUUCGUUGGCAAACCUAACCCAACUUGAAGUGUUAUCUUUGUCUCAAAACAGUUUCAUCUCCCCAGGUUUGUCUUGGCUAGGAAACCUAAACAAAAUUAGAGCUUUACAUCUUUCAGACAUCAAUUUAGUUGGUGAAAUCCCUUUAUCUCUUAGGAACAUGACCCGAAUUAUUCAAUUACAUCUCUCCAAUAAUCGAUUAACAGGGAAAAUUCCAUUAUGGAUCUCGAACCUUACCCAGCUCACUCUCGUGCAUCUUAGACACAAUGAGUUGCAAGGUCCAAUUCCAGAGUCUAUGUCCAAACUUGUGAAUCUAGAAGAGCUCAAAUUGGAGUACAACCACUUGAGUGGCACUAUAGAAUUCAGCAUGUUUGCUAGUCUCAAACACCUAACAAUGCUCCAAAUACGCCGUAACAAUUUGACUGUGCUCACUAAUAUCAGUGAUAACACUACACUUCCAAAGUUUAAGUAUUUGGCAUUAGGUGACUGCAACUUAAGUGAGUUUCCAGAUUUCCUCAGGAGCCAAGAUGAGUUGAUCUACUUGCAUCUAGGUCGCAACAGGAUUCAAGGCCAAAUACCGAAAUGGCUAGGGGACAUAGGUCACAAAACUCUCUCGAUUUUGAUUCUCCGAAACAAUCUUUUCAGUGGCUUUGAGCAAUCAUGGGAGCUUUCUCUUUUGACGAAGCUACAGUGGCUAGAACUCGAUUCUAACAAGCUUGAAGGUCAACUCCCGAUUCCACCACCUUCCCUCAUCGGUUAUAGUAUUUCAAAUAACUCUCUGACAGGAGAAAUUUUACCAUCUCUGUGUAAUUUGCGAUCUCUUGGUUUCCUUGAUUUGUCUUACAACAAAUUGAGUGGCAUGUUUCCAAACUGCUUAGGCGACUUCAGUGAUUCGCUGCUUGUAUUGAAUCUAUCAAACAAUUUCUUCCAUGGAAGAAUUCCUCAAGCGUUCAGAGAUGAAAGCAACUUGAGAAUGAUUGAUCUAAGUCACAAUCAACUGGAGGGUCAGCUGCCAAGAUCAUUAACAAAUUGCAGGAUGAUGGAGAUUUUGGAUUUGAGUUACAAUAGAAUUAGCGACAAAUUCCCAUUUUGGUUGGCAAACCUUCCUGAGCUGCAGGUACUCAUUUUGCGAUCUAACCAAUUCUUUGGAUCAAUAAAAAGCCCUGGUGCCAUGUUAGAGUUUCGCAAGUUGCAAAUCAUUGACCUCUCCUACAACAAUUUUACGGGUAUCUUGCCAUCAGAGUUCUUUCAGACCCUGAGAAGUAUGAGAUUCUCUGAUCUUAAGGAGUUCACGUAUAUGCAGACAAUCCAUACUUUCCAGUUGCCCGUUUAUUCCAGGGAUUUUACUUACAGAUACGAAAUUAACUUGGCAAACAAAGGUGUGUAUAUGAAAUAUUGGCAGAUCCCAAAUGUGAUUGCAGCCAUUGACCUCUCAAGCAAUGCAUUCCAAGGGGAUAUUCCACAAUCCAUUGGGACACUUGAGAAGGUUAAUGCGCUUAACCUUUCAAAUAACCAUCUCUCAGGUGACAUCCCGUCAGUGUUGGGGAACCUCGCAAAUCUUGAAUCAUUAGACCUUUCACAAAACAUGCUCUCUGGAGAGAUCCCUCAGUAUUUGACGCAGCUCACAUUCCUUGCAUACUUCAAUGUCUCUCAUAAUCAAUUGGAGGGUCCUAUACCACAAGGAAAACAAUUUAAUACUUUCGAUAACAGUUCAUACGAAGGUAACUCAGGACUGUACAUGAAACAUUUGCCAAAGAAAUCCGAAUGUUCUGAACCUCCACAGCAUCCAAACUUGCCAAAACAUCAAGGCUUCAAUAAUAUUCUUCCAAAAGAUAUUGAAUGGAUAGCAGUUGUGAUCGGAUAUGGAAGUGGACUUGUGGUAGGAGUGGUUGUUGGAUUGAGAGUUUCCGCAAGAAUACCUGAAUGGUUUGUGAAGACGUUUGGAAGGACGCAAGGCAACCGAAGGAGAAGAGAGGUUAGGGGCGUGCGCCGUUGAUUGGUUUUUCUUGUUUCUUUUUCCCUCUCCCUUUCCUUUCAGUUGGUGAAGGAAUAUAUUUAUGUACUUGUUCAUUAAGAAUUUAGCUUUGUUUUUCCUUUUUUGAAACUCCAUUUAAAAGGGGAGCUGUCUGGAACUUCAGUUUUUAUAUCAUUCCUCUUUGUAUACACUCAUUGUUAGAGUAUUGACACUUUUCCUACGUACUCGAUAAGGAAGGUCUGGUGUAUGCCUAUAGAGAUAUGCUUGUAAUCUCAGUUGUGAAAUCAAGAAAAAAAACAUCAGUUUACAGAAACAAAAAUGUACAAUUUCCAUCAAGGGGUCUUCAGACGAGCCCUUCCUUAAUACAAAAUAAUAAUAAUAAUACUGAAAUAGAAUUUCUUAUGAUUGAGAAAAUGCAUUAUGUUUUCGACGUAUCUUUCUUUUCUUCCCCUCUCCUCGAUAGGAUGAUGAUUCAGUGUUUACCUCGAUAUAAGCCAGAGUCUGUCAAGAGAGCCGAGACUAGUUCUGAAAGAAUGAAAUAUGUAAACUGCCAUGCUGAGGAAGGUGGUGGUGCGUACUAGUUGCAUGGUGACAUGCGCAUCAUCUAGUAAAGAAAGCCACUGUCGAUGCCACAAAAUAUCCAUGGGGUCCAUUGACCUCGCUAGAUUAGGAAGAAAUUCUUACCUUUGCCAUAUAUAUAUUUUGUGGAUAUAUGGAUGACUACUACGUUGUGGGCGAAUUUAUUUAUUUUUUAAUUAUAGAAAAGAUAUCAAGAUAAUACAAAUAUUUUUUUUAAAAAAAUUAAAAUUUAAUUCAUUGAUUUGAAUGAAUUUAAUACUAAGUUAAUUUAAUAAUAAUAUUAAAAAAAUGUCAACAAAAAAUAAAACAAAAAAAAUGAUUCAAUGCAAAAAUAGAAUGAUUGCCAAUAUUAUGGAAAUAUAUCUUUAUAAUAUUCUUAAAAUAUCUCAAUGAUUUUAUUUGUUAACAAAGUAAAAAUAAAAUAAGAAUAGGAUAAUUGCAUAGAAAAAAAAAUGAAAAACAAAAUGAAUCUCAAUUCUCAGCAAAUAAAAUGUCGAAUUAUAAAUUAAAAAAAAAAGAAAAAAGAAAUUAACUCAAUUCUAUUUGAGUCAUCACAAAGGUGAAUUUUUAAAAAUACUUUCUUCGAAAGAACCGGACAUGAUAAUUUUUUUAUCAUCUGGCUUGAGAAAAUAUCAAAUCAAAUCUAUAACCUAGUCGUGAGACCGAGAUAACUCCGUGGAAAGUAGACUAAAUAAAAUCAUGAAGUUUUAUUCUUAAACCAACCUAAUAUUGAAGGGAAAAAAUAAAAAAAUAAAAAGAAAAAGAAAAAAAGAUCGGAGUCAAACCUGGUGAACUUACUGAAUCCACGAUUCAAGACAUGAUAUCGAGAUAACUCUACAGAAAGAAAAUGUAAAAAAAAACAAAGAAUACCAAUUUUCAAUAACAAAUUCAAUGAUAAUGGAUGAAAUUAAAAAAAAAUAUGACUAAAGCCAACCUGGUCUAACCAUCAGAGCUUAUAACACAAAUCACAGCAUAAAAGGCAAAACAAAAAAAAAACAACAUAAAAUUCCCAACCAACUAAAAUAAUUAGGAAUAAGCUUAAAAAAAGAUUUAAAAAAGGGAUAAAAAAAGAAAAAGAUAUAUAAAUUUUUAAAAAAAAUGAGAACCAAAUUAGAUAAAAAAAAUCAAAUCAAAUCAUAAAUGAUGAAAUUGAAAAACAAUUUCAUUUAAGAAAAGGGUAAGAAAAACUAAAAAAUAACAAUAAAAAAAUAAGGACCAUAUUUAAUAUAAAAAUUAAAUAUCAAUGGAUAAAAUUGCAAAAAAAUAACUCGAUAAAUGAAUCAAAACCAAAUAUAUUGUAAUCAAAAGAAUAAUGAUGUAAUUUGACUCAAUAAACAAAUAACUAGACUUCUUUGUUUUUUUGCAAUGACUACCAUAUUUUUCUAGGAGGAGAGAGAUAAAAGAGAGAGGAAAUAAAGAAUGUUUGGUCAAAGCUCCAUCGUCGGUCCUAUGACAGCACGCACCUCACUACUGUGAUGGGAGCGAUGAGGUGCAUUGAAUGUCGUCCUAGAUGGUGGCGUUCAGAGCUAUUUUGACACUACACACACCACUCAAAUAACAUAGGUCGCCAACCACUAAAAUAUAUAUAAUAUUUUAUAUAUAUUAAAAGAUCAUAUUACUGUUGUAUAAAAAUAACAAAAAAUUCAUAAUAAAAUAACUAAAAUAUAUUUCUAUCUAAUGCUAAAAAAGCUAUUUUUGUUAGGGUUGUUUUAAUUUUGUUUUUAUGUCACAAAAAGAUUUGAAAACCCUGAAAAGCCAGGACAAACAUAAGAAGAUUCUGUUUAUUAUACAUGAAAAUUUCAUUUGGUAAGAAAAAUAAGAAUACGAUGCCAUAGCCUUCAAUCAAGUAUAGCUCCUUUUGAACAAAAGAAAACAAUUCAUUAAAAUUCUGGCAUUAAUUUCCAAAUUCGCAUGUUUGAUCAUGAACUUUGUAAUUAAGAUGUUAGUACGUGGAUUAAUUAAUAUUUGAGGUUGUUCGUGUUUUCUUCUACCAUCAUUAAUUAUUAAUAGAGACAUAAUUAUUAUUUAAAAUUUUCCUUUUAGGACUUUCUGUUUGUAUAUUAUUGUUUUAAAAAAUAAAUAAAAAUUAACCAAUAAUGAGUUUUGAAAACUAUAUACCUCAACUCCCAAGAACCCCACUACCAGGCCCAACUAUGUGUUACUCGAUUGUAUCUAGAGGUCUGAAAUAUGUAGGCUCGAUGUUUGAUGGUCAAUGACUCAAUUGCUUAGGGCAACAAAGAGUAGAGCUAGUUCCGUGUCAUGGAAAUUCUAGAUUGAGCCUAGUUUAGUUUGCAUGUAAAAGGUUAUUUGGUAUUGAAAUGAAUUAAAAUAAUAUUUUUUAUUAUUUAAAAUUUAUUUUUAAUAUUAAUAUAUUAAAAUGAUUUAAAAAUAUCAAAAAUAAUUAUUUAAAGAAAAUAAAAAAAGUUAAUUUUUUUCAAAAAACAACUUCACCGCAAAAACAAAGUGCACAUUACAUAUGAUGGAUUACAAUAAUUUAUAAUCUGCUAUAGCUUCUUCUUUUUUUUUUAAUUCUCCCCAAACAUUUUUUUUCCUAACUAGUUUGAUUCUCUAUGCACUACAAUGUGGGAUGGAGCAGAUUGUUUUCAACACUAAACAGGCGCAAGUGUUAUUAUAAAAUUUUUUACGAUUAAGAAAAAAUUUAAUUAUAAGCUAAAAAGUUUGUACGUGUAUUUAAAAAAAUAAAUUUAAAAAUAUAUGUGCUAAAAAAUAUAUCAAAUAUGUUGAUUCCAAUCAUUAUUUCUUAAAAAAAAAAAGGUUGAAUAUUUGUUUCGACUUGAAAUUAGGUUUCAAUUUUAUUUUUUCAAAUUAAGCAUUAAUUCAAUAUCAAAACUUAUUUUUAAUAUCACAAAAACCUCGUAUAAAGCCAACCAAAUAAUAAAUGAAACUCAAUCACAAGUCAUCAACUUAAGGUAAAAUGGUUAAAUUAAAAAUAAAAAAAAGUCAAAUGAAAAGGAAAAAGAAAGAAAAAAAAAGAACACACAAUUCAUAAUUAGAUUGUAUAUUUAUUCUAAUUAUGAAUUGUUUUUUUAAUGUUUUUUUUUUUAUCUUGCAUUACCUUGCAUGUUCAUAAUUCCAAAUAUUACUUCAUUGUUUACCGAGUGUCAAUUUUACUAUAAUUGUUAAAUGAGAAACAAAAAGACUCAAUUAAAAAAAGGGUGUGAAUGAAAAAAAAAGACUCAAUUAUAAAAAUAUGAAUAAAAGAAAGUUUAAAAUGGUUCAAUAUUCAUAAUUCAAAUAUUAUUUCAUGAUUUAUAAAGCAUUAUUUUUUGCAGAAUUGAAUUACAAUUGUUAAAUAAAAAAUAAAAUUACUUAAUAAAAAAAAGAUGUAAAUAAAAUAAAUAGACCUAGUAAAAGAAAAGGAGGAGGAGGGUGUGAAUGGAAAAAAAAAUUACGAUUAUUUACUAUGAAAAAUGUUUUCAUCUCAAAUCUCAAAUCUUUUAAUGUUUUUGUUAAUUUCAUUGUACAUUAAUUGAAUGUUAUAUAGUGUCCAAAUACUAGCCAAAAACCCCUUAAUUGAUCCAAAAAAAUAAUCAUAAACAUGCCCUAAAAUUCCCAACAGUUCCCAAAUUCAAAUUCGUCUUCUUAUAGGCAAUAAUUAAUCAAUUAUUGAAAGCUUUUGAAGUUGAUUUGACUGAUUAUUAUGGUAAUCUAGAUGAGUUAAAGAGAGCUGUUAACUAUCAUUAACAUUAGCUGAUUAUUUAUUGAAUCAAAUUUGUUCACAAGGACAAGAUUGAAAGGAGAAUUGGAAAAUAUAUAAAAAAUAGAUGAUGGGUUUAAAGUUAUCAUAAAAAAUUAUUUUAGUUUUUAAACUUUAUAAAUUACACCUAUUUGGUUUUUUUAUAUUUUUUCAAUUUAAUUUUAGUAUAAAAAUUUAUGUUUUAAAUUUUUGGUCUCUGGUUUGAAAUAGAAGAGGGAGCUUACUAGAUUGCAACGGUAAAGAAAGAAAAUCAAUAUUAACACAAAUUUCAACUACCAAAAUGGUCGAUUUUGAUGUCAAUAGAUUUCAUUUCAUGAGGGGAGUUCCACUUAAAUGUUUUUUUACCUUCAAAUUGCCUAAAAAAUCAGAUUUAAGCUCAGGAAGAUUUUUUUAUUUUGGGUUAAUUUCAGGUUAUUGUGUGAUUUUUUUGGUUUUUUAAGAUCAUUUAUGGGUUUGUCAAGAUGUUUAGGCUUUUUUUUUCUUGGUGUGUAGAUAAAAAAACACAAACUCUAUUUUUUUGUUCACCACAGUAGCUGGGAUUUAUCGAAACCAGACGAUGCAUCGUCUUGAAUUUUUCUUUUUCAAAAAAUAUUAAGGUAGGCGACAUGUAGUCUACCCUAAUUGAGUUUUUUUUUUUAAAAGGAGCUCAUGCGCUGACACUUUCUCUCUUAUUUUUUACUUUUAGCUUUUUUUAAAUAGUUUUUUUUAUAUUAGUUUGAAUAUGUUUAUUUUUUGAAGAGAUUAUUCUAAUUCAUGUAUAAUGUUUUUUUAUGUUUUAUAAUAUAAUUGAACUUUAUUUUUAAAAAUAAAAAAUAUUUAUUUUUCUAUAGUAUUUCUAAUAAGCGCAAUAUUGUGUGAUAUUUUUUUUCUAUUUAAUUUUAUUAAUUCAAAUGUGUGUGUAUCUUUUUUAUUAUCAUUUAAUUAAAAAAUAAUAAUUUUAAUAAAUAAAAUUAUUAAACACAAGAGUAAAUAAUAUAUUAUAAGAUCAAAUAUUUUUAUUUAUAUCCGUUUCUCAACCCGAACAAGUGAAUAGUGGUUUCUGCUGUAAUUUAAGAAGAAGAGGAGAGAAUUUGUUUACGAGGAGACAUAGACGUAUGAUUCAGGAUUGAUUGUUAGUGUCAUUGACAACAUAUUUAUAAAGUUUUUUAUGCUCAAAGGAACAAUUAAACUAAAGAAUUUAAAGGGCCAAUCUCGCUUCAUGUUAAUUUUAACAAUUAACUUUCAUCUAGAAAUUGCAUUCAUAAGAAGAAAAAAUACAUUAAUUAAUCCAUCAAGAAACAAGGAAAAUUCUUCUGCUGACAAUUGAGAGUUAACAAAGAAGCAUGUCGUUGCUUUUUCUUUCUGUUUGCUCUACUUCUUGCUCGCCAUCUUCGUGAUGGUGUUUCUCUAAUCUUUUAGCUUAGACUGAGAUCGAUUUUCAUCAAGAAAACAAGGAAUCAUGUCAUCAUACAGGAUCUCGACAGAGAGGGCAGCUCUGAUUCUUAUCCAGCCAUUGCAUAAAACAUCCUGAAUGGAAAACAUGUUUGCACGAGGAAAGAACGCAGCAGUUCUCCCCUUUCUGAAAAUCAUCCAAGCAUAUCACACAUCCACUGCUAAAAUUGACUGAGCUUUCAUCGAUUUGAACAUAAUAUAAUUUCAACAUGGAAAGAGGAGCAGGUUCGAGUCUUCCAGUUACCUGCCCACUUUCAACAUCAUGAGGAUGAUGACGAGGAUCUUGGUUACGGAGAGCAUGGCGCCGAUAUUCUAAAUGCCUCAAACAAAAUUCUAACAGUAAAUAAAAUAUCACGAUCAAUAUCGCUGCAACAAGAACCAUAAUUAUAAAUAGUAGAGUAGGGAAGUGUUCAUUGUUGCCAGAAGCAGAAGUAAAAGGAGCUUCUGUCAUGGAUAUGAAACUGGUUAGUUUGUAUAUGAUUCAGCAUAAAAUAUUGUUAACUGUUUUGUACUGCUAUAUAAAUAUUGGUUAUUUCAAUAGCUGUAAGCCUUUUCCUCUCGGAAAACCACUCUCCUUGUCCUCCUCGGUUUACGACCUAGUUUGGGAUUGCAGCUAGUGACAAUGGCAACUUGACGAGAGAAUUUUUGGCACACUUUUAUACUGUUAAAAGGGAGAUUAAAAGAAUAUGCCCCAUGAAUAUAUAUAUAUAUAUAUAUAUAUAUAUAUAUAUAUAUAUAUAUAGAAGUUGUCUGUGACUCUGUGUAUUGUUUUGUGUUGAUUAUGAGAGAAAGCGAGGUUGUGAUGACCCAGAAUCAAGCCCGUGAUCCGUAUGUAAAUCAAGGCAAAUCUAAGUUCAUCUUGCGCAAGCUAAGCCUUGAUUAGACCUGUAGAAAUUCUAACAAAAUCCAAAAUAUAAAACAAAACAAUAAUUAUUUAAAAAUCAAUAUAAAAAUAUUUGUGUAUCUCAUCCCAUCGGUAAAUAAAAAUGCAUUCGAAUUUAUAUUCAAAAUUGAAAAAGAUAGAAAAUUGUUUGGGGACCAUUACCGAAACUUAUUUUACAUUCAAUAAAAAAUAUUUUUUUUAUAUCAUUUCACAGUAAAUAAAAAAACUCGUUUUCGGUAGACUCUACCAAGUUAAUUAAUACAGUUAGAGAAUAUAAAGAAAAAAAAUGCAAGUUUGAAAAAAAAAGUCAAGUUUUAAUUGAAAUUUACCUAUCACUUGUUAGACAGACAUGAUGUAAAAUCAUCUCUGAUGUAUUUCACACUUUGUGGAUCCAUAUAAAACAUAUAAGAAUCAAUGUCAUAUUUUGUUAUUUUCACACUCGACAAUAACAAUAGUAUAAGCAAUAAAAAAACAGUAUAUUAUUUCCACCCAAACCAAUUAUUAAUAACAAUACAUUUUUAUAUAGACUCUUGAGAUGGUAUAUAUCAAUUCUAAUGAAAGGCCUACAUAAAAAAAAUAAAGGCUUCCUUUAUCGUUUUCAAAUAAACAUACACAUGUUUAAAUUUUUAUGGUGAAUGCAUAUUUAUUUUGUUUUAUAUGUUAAACCCUAAAAAUAUAUUAAAACCCGGAUUAUAUUGCUUCAAUAGUUAAAUGUACCUAAAGAGUCUUUUAAAAGACUCAUUUUGACUUCCAUCCAGAAACUCUUUAGCCUUUGUCCUAGCUCUCAAUCAUUGCAUUUUAUAUGGUUAAAUCCUAAAUUUAUCAUCUAAAAUUGUUUCAAGUGAUUGGAGAUGUUUGGGUCAAUACUAAUUAUUGGUAGCAAUUGACUUUGUUAUCAAUGUUGAAUUUACAAUUUUUAUACUUGUAGGUCAAAUUCACUUAUGCUUGUCCCUUAAAGACUUAAUCAUGAAUGUUUUACUACCAAGAACGAGACAACCUUAUAUUCGUCAAUUAAAACCAUAAGCCAUAUGUAUGGUUUCAACCUUCUUUUUAUGAUUAAUAUAUCUUUUAACAUGACAUUCAUGCUUCACCUCAUACUUUCACAAAAUAUCUUUAAAGUGUGUUUAUAUUACUAAAAAUUUGAUAUUCUUCAAAAUUUAUUGAACAAUCAACUGCAACUUUAAAUCUCUUACAUUUGAAAUCAGUAAUUGGAUCCAUUAAUAAUCUUUUUCCCCUCUUCUUGCCACUUUCCUCCUCAUCAAUACUAUCAGAUUGUUCACUGACUUAUACGUCAAUAUCAUCUUCAUCACUACUUAUCCUUCUUUCGUUAUCAGAAUCAGAGGCACCAUACAAGAUUUGACCAAUAGAAAAAUCAACUUGUAAGUUAUCAAUCCAUUCAUCCGUAGCUACAUUAUAAAAUUCAAAUCCUUUAUCGGAAUGAAUAUAAUAAUUGUCUACUUCAUUAUCAUCAUUAGAAUCCAUGUAAACUCUAACAUUAACAUAACAUCAGUAUCAAUGCUCAUUUAGAAUUCAUUCCUUCUUUCAUCCCAACACUCAUUUAAGUGCCCAUUUCAGCACCAACUUUAGCACCACACCUAUUUCAACACUCAUAUUAGAUCAAUACCAGAACAUCAAACAUCACUACCACUAACAUCAUCACCUAUUUCAAUACCCAUUUUAGCACCCAUAUUAAGAUUUUUCUCUCCAUCACCACCAACAUCUAAAUUAGAACUUUCUUCCCCCAAUAAGCAUACCACUUUAUCAACAUCAUCAUCAUGUGCAUCAAAAUAUUUGGUUCUGGGUGGCCUGUUAUUUUCAGGAUUGUCUAAAUAGCACCUCGACAUUUUCAUUAUUAGAGAUUAGCUGUUAGAUCAACAUCAUCAUAUAAAUGCACCUUAUCUUUACCUUUAUGCAUAUAAAAUACCUGUAAGGUCGAAGCAUCAUCUAAUAUUUUGUUGCCUUUGCCAUUCCUUGUGCAAAUCUAUGCACUAUAUCAAAUAUUUUCUUACAUGUGAAUAAUAUGUCUAUGCAAGAAAUGUAGUUAGAGUUGUAAUUUUUUUUUUGACAUAUGAUGAAUUCUUAUCAUACACAAAUAUAUUAGGCAUUUUGUAUCUUGCAUGAUUUAUAGAAGUUAUAGAAAAGUAACACAUAAAUAAUAGUAAAAAAUAUAAAACAAUGACUAAUAAGAGAAGAUUAUAGCCACUAGAUUUUACUAAUUAAUGCAUAUUGGUUUAUGAAUGCAUUUUUUAUUACUUUAUAAUUAGGCAUUUCACUGUGAAGUAGGAAGUUUAACAAUAAUAUUAAAAAAGAUUCAGAAGACUGUUGUAAAUAUAAAUAAAGAGGUUAGAGAAAUAUGUUAUUUUCUUAUCCACUAUAUAAUUCUCUAAACUAUGUAGUUAGUGUUUAUUUUUGUAGUGUACCAUAUCCUUUAAAGAAUUAUUAUUAUUAUUAUUAUUUAUUUUUUUAUAUCAUUUUAGCAUAGUAAUAUUAAAAAUAAUUUUUAUUAAAAUUUUUAUUUUAAUAUAUUUAAAAAAAAAAAAAACAAUAUUUCAGUCUAAAACACUGGAUCAGUGCCUACGAACAAAAAUUGCUCAUUAACUAGAAAAAGGAAAGAAGUAAAAUUCAGAUGACUACUACUACUUCAUGCACGGUAAAACCCUAGUUAGUUCCAGAACAAGAACAGCACCCAUGUUGGUGUCCAUCUCUACUUUCUACCUUCCCCAUAUAUAACCCUACAAAACUAUUCAAAACCCCAGCAAACAAAAACCCUAUCAUUGUUUUCCCUUUCACUGCCACAACAAAACCCAACUCCAAAACUCUUCUCCCCUGUUUUUAUUUUUCAAUAAAGUUAUUCCCAGCUAUGGAAUCCCCAGUUCAAGCCCAAGCAAUUCCUCUUUACGAAACCCUAACCCUAACCCCACUUUCUCCUUCACCCACUGCCACUCCAAUUCGAUCGCCGCUGUCCGAUCCUCUCCAACCCUACUCUGUAUUCCGCAAUGAGAUUUCUCUCUCCGCCUUCAAUUCUGCUGCUGCUGCGGAAUCUGCUGCACCUGAUUUCUUCUCUCUUGAUGUUGGAAGCGGUGAUGAGGAGGAGUUGGAGCUGAAGACGCCUGUUAAUGGAGAGGCUAAGGGGAAGAGGAAAGCGGAGGUGGAGACGGAGAACUUGCCGGAACCAAUGACGGAGAGCGUGUGGUUUAGAGGGGAUAGUAAAUUUAGGAGUCCGAUGUUACAGUUACAUAAAGGUAUACCUUGAUGAUAUUGGACAAAGGAGUGCUUUUUAGUUUUUUCUUUCUUUUUGUUGAUUUAAUUUGUGGGUUCGUCCUACUAAUUCUUGUUAUUGUGUGUGAAAAGUUGAUUUCUUGCACAUUAAUUCUUUAGAUAUAUUGUGGUUAUGGAGGAAAUAUGAGUACUUUUCAUAUUCAUUGAUUUAAUUUGACUCUAGUAGUAUCUUAAAAUCUGGAUGGUACCACAAUAUUGGUUAAUUUCGAUUCCCUCUUGAGCAAAAAAUAAAAUAAAAUAAAACAGAGCGAAAACUAUAAUCUCUUCAAGAAUUUGUUGGCCUUAAUUAUGGAAGUCCAGUGUGGGUGACAAUGUGGGUAUGCUAAAUUUUUAUGUGUAGCUUACUUGGAAUGUUUAAAUUUGUGAACUUUUCAUGUGAUGUUUGGAAUAUGUUUUAGCUUCUUUUUAGUUUUUUGAGAAAUUCUGGUCAACGAGCAUUUAUAGUGAGCUCAUAUCUGAUGGUGGGUGAUGCAGAGAUAGUGGAUUUCUGUGAUUUUCUGUCACCAACUCAGGAGGAACAAGCUUCACGUGCUGAAGCUGUACGAUGUGUUUUUGAUGUUAUUAAAUAUAUAUGGCCCAAUUGUAAGGUAAUUCUUAGUUCCCCUCUCUCUUUCUCACUCACCCACACAAUUUCUUUAUAGAAGCAUAAAAGCUAGUAAAAUUGCGUUGCUGUGUUUGCUUUGUAGGUGGAAGUUUUUGGUUCGUUUAGGACAGGACUUUAUCUUCCAACCAGUGACAUUGAUGUACGUAUAAUGUGACAUUUGUUAAGAAUUUACUGUGGAAUACUGCUGACUAAUCAACUGAAACAAAAGCUUUUGUUAAAUGCUAUUGAUUGUAGGUUGUGAUUCUGGGUUCAGGACUAAAAAGCCCACAGAUUGGUUUAAACGCUCUUUCCAGGGCCUUGUCUCAGAAGGGCGUUGCAAAGAAGAUACAGGUAUGCCUCCAUCAACAGUUGGAGUACUAUUGCUGCCAAAAAAACAAAGGUCUAUUGUGCUCUCUUUUAUUGUCUUAGGUGAUAGCGAGGGCUCGUGUGCCCAUUGUUAAAUUCGUUGAAAAGAGAAGUGGUGUUUCCUUUGAUAUAAGGUCUGUCUAUUUAUCAUUUGUAUUUCCAUUUCCUAGUUUGAUUUUCUCCUUGCAAUGUUUUGAGAUUAAUUUUUUUUCUCAAGGUUUGUAGUCCAUUUCAAUCCUUAUUGAAUUGAUUCCUCUGAAUAAUUGUCCAAAUGCAUUUCAAAGAAAAAAAGGAGAUGAGAUGUAAAGGGGGGAUUGCUUAUACUGUGUUCUAGUAGUUACAAUGUAGUUAUUUUUUUAGUGUGGGUUUGGUAAAUUAGCUUUCUUAUUGGUUCAAUUAUUGGGUGAUUUUAUAAAUAAAUAAAUAAAGGAAAUCCAAUACUGAACUAUGAUUGAGAGACUUGGUCUAGAUAGAAUUUUAGUCAGUAGCUUUGGGUUUAAACUUGCAUGACACAUGGGGGGAAGCCAAAUGAGAAACUGAAAUUAUGAGAUGCUCUAUGAAGGCUGAUCAUUAUAAGAUGCUUAAUUUGUAGCCCGGGUAAGUGCAUAUAGAGAUUGUCAUAAAGAAAUUCUACAUACUUUAGCUAAUAAAUGUUUUAAGGAAUAUUUUAUACUACACUUAAUUAAGCAAAGAUGCCCUUCUUUUUUUCUCCGAACUUUUUAUUUGACAUAUCAAUUUUGUAAAAUCUUUGUAUUUUGUGUUUCAUUUAUAUUAUGGUUCGGGAGCUGUAUAUACAAUCUGUAGGUUUUAUCUCUUUGUCAGCUAAAUUUCUGACUACAUUCUGCAUUGCUUGUUUUGGAAACUGAUCAAUGUUUUUUGUGGAUCUCAGUUUUGAUGUGAACGGUGGACCCAUAGCUGCUGAGUUUAUCAAGGUUUGUUGUCUGUGUUCUUCCUUUCUGAUAUUUCGUUCUUUAUGAUGUGAGUAACAAGUAUAACAAUCAUCUCACUUUCUCUUAACAUGUACACACGCACCCUUUUUUUAAUUGCUGGUGUGUAUAAAAGUAGUUUGAAGUCAAAGCUAAAUGUUGUUUCUUUCAGAAUGCAAUAUCCAAGUGGCCUGAACUACGACCAUUAUGUUUGAUUUUGAAAGUAUUCCUACAACAAAGAGAACUCAACGAGGUAUAUAUCUGUAUACCAGCCAUCUAAUAGCAUUCUCAUAGAUGUCAACACUUUAUUCUCAAUCAUUGUUUUUUUUUGUUUGCCUGAUUCAAGUUUUCUUUAAAACAUGCAGGUAUACUCUGGCGGCAUAAGUUCUUAUGCUCUGCUUGCCAUGCUUAUGGCAAUGUUGCAGGUAAUGAAUUAAACCUUUGAAUGAAUUCUUCAUCUGCAUUCUAGCUUGCAUGCAUGCGCACAUUGUUGCCAGUUAAUCCGUUAAUUCCCUACUAUUCAUAUGCUGUAAGAUGCCAAAACAAUGGUGAGUUUAUCAAAGCUAUUGAAAUGAUGGCGAUCAGGAAGAUCUUGUAUUUGGUCAAGCUGUGAAUGUAAAAUGAAGAGAUUACAUAUUGUAUUUCUAAUAAGACAGAAAAUAUACCUCAAAUGCUACCAUGUUUCAUCUCAGCUGAGGUUUGGAUGCUUGACAGACCACUUUCUGGAGUUUAUUUCAGAUAAGAUAGGACAUUUCUUCCUUCUUGUUAGAGCUUUCUUGCAUUUGACCUCUAGAGAGCUUUCUACUUGUAUGAGGGCAAAUGAGUUUUUCUAUGGUUUAUUGAUAUGAUAGAAUCAUGCUUCUUACAAACAAUUUAAAGUAUCUCGAUGUUUCCCUUGGCAUGUUACCAUUUCCUUUUCUCAUCAAACAAUAUUGCCACUGCCUCAUGACAUUUUUGAUGCUACAGAAUCAUAGGGAGUGCCAGGCUUCUCUAGAACGUAAUUUGGGGCUUCUCUUGGUACGUUUUUUCAAGCCCUUGUUCAGCACAAUGUAACUUCAAGAUAGCAUGGUGUUCAUGAUGCAGUUGAUAUGUUCUUUGUUUUAUUUUUAUUCUUGUAAACUUAAUUGGAGAAUAUAUGAACCCUUUAAUUUUGGGGGGUAACAGUUUGUAGACUUCUAUAUUCUUACUAGUCUGUUUUUGGAAAGCAGAUACACUUUUUUGAUUUUUAUGGACGCAAAUUGAACACCACAAAUGUUGGUGUAUCUUGCAAGGGGACUGGGACAUUCUUUUCAAAGCGUACCAAAGGGUAAAGGAAAAGCAAGGCUUUUAGGAUUGAAAAUUUUUAUUUUUUCUUUUAGCUUGCAGUUAUUAAAAAUAUUACGUUUGAUCUUACCUCAUUUUCUGUUUUAGGUUUAUGAACAAUGGACGGCCAUUUCUCAUUGCAAUUGAAGACCCACAGGUUGACUUUCUUUACUAAGAUGUGACAUUUCCAUAUAUUAAUUGACUAUUAAGCAAAUCAAAGAGUGGGAUUGAUUUGUUGCCUCAAAAAAUUAUUGAUAUGAUUUUUUAAUUACAUCUUUUACUGCUUUCUGUGGGUGUUGGAUGCAUCUCUAGAGCUAAAUAUAGGAUUCCCAAGCAUUCCCCAGGAAAGACCGGGUCCUGUCUUAGCUAUUACAAGUUCACACUUGGUUUUGCCUUUGUAUUCUGGUUUAUGGGCAUGCAUUUCUGAACCCUUUUCCAGAAUAUUGAGAUUGGGAUCAGACUGUACAAUUAAAAAAAAUAAAAAUUGGAGACCUUUUCCCAAAAAGCGGUCAUUAUUUUGUUUCUGUUUGAUGAACUAAAACUGUUUAUUUAUGAUGAAUAGGCACCAGAGAAUGACAUUGGCAAGAAUUCAUUCAAUUAUUUCCAGGUUUGUUCACUGUUAUAAUAUUAUUUUUGCUUGCUUUUCAUCACUUUCACUGCACUAGGAAUAAAGGUUUUUGACGGAAAGGUUCAUUUUAGUUUAAAUGUGGGGGCAGCAUUCCAAAAUCUUGUUUGUAUUUAAUAUAUUUCAUAACAUUUUGAGUUCUAACUUACCUAUUUUUUAUAUCCUCAGUUUGAUUUACCAAGUACCCUAGAUGAAUUGCUUUAGCUUUGAGUUAUGCUGGGUGGGUCGUAGCACUUCACCUCUCUUAACAAGUUUCAACUAAUCGGGUUGUUGCAUUAGAUGGGAUGAGAAACUUGUGUGACUCAUACCAUCCUUUUGCUUCCAUCAAAUGAAUCAAAUUGAUAAUAUAAAAAGCUUUGAAUUUCUUUUGCUAUUCUAAAUUUUACUGAAAGUCCUUUUACCAUCCAUAUUGCAGAUUAGAUCUGCUUUUGCAAUGGCUUUUACAACCUUGACAAAUCCGAAGACCAUCCUAAGCUUAGGACCCAACAGGAGCAUUCUUGGUACCAUAAUUAGACCUGACCCAGUUUUGCUGGAACGCAAAGGAGGGAAAAAUGGAGAGGUAACUUUUAGCAGCUUGCUGCCUGGAGCUGGGGAGCCCUUGCAGUCAAAUUAUGGACAACAGGAAAUUUUGUGCAAUUGGCAGUUGGAUGAUGAAGAAGAAGCAUUACCACGAGGAGGCGGGGAUGCUGGAGAUGGUAGUGCACAUUCCUCUGGAAAGAAGAGGAAAGCUUCUUCUAAAGAGAAGUCUCGGAAGAAAAAGUCGAAAGAAAAUGGUGACAUUGGGAAGGUGAGACAUGAUGAAAGUGGUUCAAAGAAAGAGAAGUCAACAAAGAAGAAACAGCGAUGGAGAAAAAAUGAUAGCUCCAAGGGUUUUGGCAGUCACGCUGCUGGGUCUUCAUAGAUUUGUUAAAAACAUAAACAUAUCUUUGGCAGGCUGGAUGAACGAGUCAGGCAUGGCUGAUGCAGUUCCUUCUCACCUAUGAAUGGUUUACUGCAACUACAACAAUCAUCUAACAUUCUGCCUCAAGACUGCUAAAGACUGCUUGGGAUGGCAUGCUGUCUGAUUGAAAGUAGCAUCUGAAGCAAAUUACUGGCUUUAAGGUGGUUGCGGCUCCUCCCAUCUCUGAAACAUUGUGUCUUGUGAUUGGCCAGUAUUUGACUUUUGUACUAUACUAAUACAGAAGUAUAGAGCCAAGUUCAACGAACAGGAAUAGUGGAUGUGUAAUUGAAUCCAAUUUCCUGAGUCGUACAACAUCAAAGUCUCAGAACUUGAAAACAGGCCAGAUGGAUCUAAUAAUUUUGACACCGUUUGGAGCCUCCAUGUUUGCUAUGAAGGGAGGAGCUGCUUGUGGCGUUUAAGUUUGAAUGCCGAGCACCCAUGCCGUCUGAUAAAUGACAAUAGGGCUGCUUGUAUUUUUUUAUUUUUGUUUUUAUUUAACAGAGUAGUGGUUAAUUGUAUCCCUAUUAAUUGAUUGAUUUAUGAGCUCCAGCCUUGUUUUCUGCUACAUUCCCGCAUAGUGACCCAUGAUUCGCUGGUUCAAAUCCAAACUCUGCAGCAGCGAUACCAGGUUGGCUGUUCACUAUCGGCUAUGAAAUGCGAAGGUAUCUCUUUGCCUAUAAAACCUUUUCUUACACUACUAUUUCCACAUCAAUAAUAGAAGAGAAGAUUGAGAGGCUGUCUUUGUUUGCGUUUAAUAUUAUGUUACUGAGCAUUUUAAAAGUGUUUGAUAUAUAUAAAAAAUUAAAUUAGUGUUUUUUCAGUGUUUUUUUGAUAAUUUUGAUGUGUCAAUAUCAAAAAUAAAAAAAAUUAUUUUGAUAUAUUUUUAAAUAAAAAAUAGUUUUAUUUAUACCAUGAAUUAGAUGUAAUAACUUACAAUAUCAUCCUUUUAGCCAUUAUAGUUGUAGAAAACACUAAAGGGCGUCGACAUAUCACUAUGCUCCUCGCCACACCAUUGUUCGCCAAUAUAUAAUUCAUCAUGAAUUGCUAUAGUGAAUUUUUUUUUUCAUUUUAGUUAUUAAUAGUUUUUCUCUCCUUGAUUAAGUUCUUUUUAUGGUUAUGGUCAACUGACUCUCAAUUGAUGUCAAUUUAGCCCACUAUUCAUGGAUUUUUUUCGAUAAAAGGAGUUUUUUUUAGAUGUUAUUUUGGUUUUUUCAUCAAUUGAGAUAAUAAAUCUCAGCUCAAGAAAGUUUUGGUUUUAGAUUGAUUUUGAAUUUUUGUAUUGAUUUUUUCAAUGGUAGAUAAAGAUGUUUUGGGUAAAAAAAAUGAAAAAAUUCACUGCAUAUUGAAAGGAGCAAGUGAUGUGUCAUUUAUUUUUUUAUUAUCAUAUUAUCUCUUAACUAAAAAAAAAUUAAGUUUAAGCCUAUAUGUUUUUGGCCAUCCAGGCUAGGCCAGAGUGUCCGGGUUGGUGGUUUUUUUGUCCUUUGAUUUUUUUUAUUGGUUUAUUUUUUUUUUACUAAUUUUAUCCUUUAAUGUUUGUUUUUUAUUGAAUUUUUGUAUUGGCUUUUUUCUUUUCAAUUUUAACUCUAACACAUUUUUUUUAAUGUAAUUCAAUUUAAUUUAAUACCAUUUAGUUUUUACUUAAUUUACAAAUAAAAUUUCAAUGUUUUUUUUAUGUUUUUUAUGAUAUUAUGAGGCAUUGUUAUUUAUGUAUAGCUCUAUUUAAUUUUUUUUCUUUAAUUUUUAUUCAAUCUCUUUCUUAAGUGUGUUUUUUAUUAUCAUUUUAUUAAAUAAAUAUUAAUUUCAAGAAAUAAAAUUAUUAAACACAAUCGAGGACCUAUCUAUAUUGUGAGAUUAAAUUUCUUGAUUUAUAACAAUCUCUUGAUUUUUUCAGUUUGGGUUUUAGUUAUUGUUGAUUUUUGUAUGUUUAUAGGCACAAAUGAUUUCUUAUUUAUUUAAUUAAAUGCAUGCAUCAACUUUUUAAUUUACGGUUAUGAUUUUUUAUGUCAAAAAUAUACUUCUAAAAAAAACAGGGUCUUUAAUGGUCAUUGCUCAUAUGAAAGUGAAACAAUUUUUUUUUUGGUUUUAAUUGUACCUUUCAAUUGCCUAAUUAGAUGGAAUUAGUGUUGCAAUUAUUGUAGAAGUACUAAAUAAAAAAAAAGGGACUAAACUUUAAAACAUGGAGAACAAUAAGUCUAAUUUGAAAUCUAUGCCAAUGUUUAUUUCGAUCCAUAAGUUUUUUUUUUGUCCCUAGUAAUAGAGAGACUCGAUGAAAAUGAUAAUAAAAAGAGAAAGUGGUUGGUUGUCGUGACUCAAGCCAUAAAAGUGAUCAAGUUUGGUGCUUAAAUGUUUCAUUCGACGAAGGAGUGGGGAAUUAAAUGGUGGUGGUUAUUGGCUGUCACAUUGCUCAAAAAAAUAGAUCGGAGCUUGGAAAGAUUUGGGAUCUUAGGUUGAUUUUUCAUUUUUUGAUGAAUUUUUGGCAACUUUAGGAGCAUAAGUUUGUUGAGUUGUGUAUUGUAACAUCCUCGUUAGCAAAAUCAUUAUAUCAUCAUUUUCUUUCACAUUUAAACAUGCAUAAUUUAAUAAGUGAAGGGAGCAUGCAAACGUCAGGAAUUCAAACACAAAAUAGUACAAUCUUGUAUUACGACAUCUAAUAUAAAUAGAAUAUUAUUACAAUUUAAGUUACAUAAUUACCCAAAAAAAAACCAAAAUACAUAGAUGUUUUCUUAAAUUCAUGAUUCAUACAAAAGGGAACGACCUAAAUACUACUCCUGAUGUGGGUGGGAAGGACAUAUAAUUUCAUAGUUUUUUAAAUAAUAUAGUAAGGAUAAAUAUAGCUGAGAAGGAAAAAUUAUACAAUACUAGCACAUAUAAUUAAAUAAAUAUAUUCAACAGUAUCCCAUCAUACUUCUUUGAAAAUUAUCAUUUAACUUUACAUCAAUACAUUCCUAUUCAUCAUUCUCGAAACCGUUCAACAUUUUCAUUUUAUAAACAUUCAUAAAUGUAUCUCCCCUUCUCUUUUUCAUAAAAGAUACCAACAAUACUGCUUCUUUCCAAACCUGAAAAGGUCAUUGCUAACACUAAUAACUCUUAUCAUAACCUAAUUUUUAAAUAAAUAAUAAAAAUUGAAUAUAGUUGACAAUAAGAUUAUUAAAUUUAAGAGUUAAUUGAUCGAUAAUUGAAGAAUUAAAAGUUGAAAAGUUAAUUAAGGAUCAAAUUGAACAAUCCAGGAAUUAAGGACUGUUUUGUAAAUAGUGCUAUAAUUUAGGGAUUUAGGUGAAAUUAAUCCAGUGGCAAAAUUAAAAGAAUUUUUUUAUUAUUAUUAUUUGGGAUCCAAUUGUUAGAUUUCCAGAAGCAGGGGUCAAAUUGAAAAUUUCCAUUUCUGCCGAAACGGCACCGUUGCUGGGGAACAGUCGUGCGUCUUCUUCAUCCCGAUUCAACAGGGAAGCUGGAAAAUCAGCAGCAAAGCCGACCCAAUCGUGACCACGUUCUCUGCCCACAAUCCCGUUCGUGGAGGGAUAACAGUCCUGCAAAGGCAGGACUGGUUUAGGGGCAAGCUCUCUGGGCCUUAUAAAAGGCAGAGCAGAGCAGAGGCUAGGGAGACAGAAAAAAAACAGAGGAAAAACCCAGAGAAGAAAAGGGAGCAGAAGGAGACAGACAGGGGAGACGGAAAAUCAGAGCAAAAACAGAGGAAGAUCCAGAGCUAAAAAAAAACAGAGCAUAAACCCAGAAAAAAAAAUACACAGAGAGAAGGAGAGAAUAAGAGAGUAGCACAGAGAGGAGAAUUAUCCCUGCAAUUGUCUUAGUCCCUGCAGAAAAAGAGCAACCCGGAAUCAGUAAAAAAUUCAGAGAAAACAGACAUACCCAUUACCUUCUCAUCUUCUUCAUCUCAAGAACUGAGAAAUCAAAAGAAGGGAAGACAGUGGGCACAACGAGGAGAGAGAGGAAAGCAGUCGAACGAAAGUAGCCACUAGUGUUGCAGCCUUCUUCGCCAUCUCCAGAAACAGGUGCGCCCAUUCCCUUUCAUUUGCUGUGAUUCAAUAACAUUUGAGCAGUGCGCAGGUAAUUUAAAUACCUUCGCACUGUUGAUGCACGCGUGAAAUUGCUUCACGCGUGCAUCUGCCAUCUGCCCAGCCGAUCACUGGCUUGCGCCAGUGACCGGGCUGGCUGGCCCAGCCCAGCCUAAAAAAAUAAAAAUAAUAAAAAUUGUGUAAAAAAUAUAAAUAUGAAUUUAUUAUUUUUUAUUCAUUGAUGCCAGAGUCAGAAUAAAAAUACUGAUUCAAAUUUAUUUCAUUUCAUUGUAUUUUAUUUAGUUACAUAAAAAUAAAAGUGUGCAUGCAAAAAAAAAAGAUAAGAUAAAAUAAAAUAAAUUUAUUGGUUUAUUCACUGACGCCAGAGUCAGAAAUAAAAAUACUAAUGCAAAUUUAUUUUAUUUUAUUGUAUUUUACUUUUUAGCUACAUAAAUAUUUUUUGUAUGUGUAAAAAUAAAUUUAUUUUGUUUAUUCACUGACGCCAGAGUCAGGAAUAAAAAAUAUUGAUUUAAAUUUAUUUUUAUUUUAUAGCUACGUAAUAUUUAUCAACGCCAGAGUUGGAAGUAUCCGUAGUUGAAUAUUCACUAGCGCCAGAGUCAGGAAUAUUAGACGCAAACCAUCGUAGUAUAAACCAACAAAAUGUUAAUAAUCUAUGACAAAAAAAAAUCAGCAAUGCAGCCUGCCUCAAGCAGGAUGUUUAAGGGGUGAUAAUAUCUUUCCUUUUACAUAACCAAUCUCGUACCAUAGAAUCUAUGUUGACCAGUUAGGAUUCUUAGUGACCAUAAUACUAGGUGGUGACUCCUUAAACAAGACCAUUCUCAUCAAAGAAUAGGAUGCCAGAAAUCCAUUCUUUUCCAAAAACAUAAUUUUAAGGCCGCCGCGAUGUCGGGUGCGACAACUCUCAUCAGUUCCUUUAGUCGCCCAUUCCAGGAUCGAUUAAUCAAAUCCUUGGGAAUGUCAACAUCAACGUAACUUGUUGAUGUCAUUGACUAUUUCUAAACUGAAAUAAUCAAUCAAUGUUCCAUACCACCUUGGAGUAUCCUCGAAAAUACUGAUGUUAAGGAUCCUUGAUAUCAUUAGCUUUCACCUCAGGAAAGCUAAUCAAGUUUCAUGAAUUUGCCGAUAUCAAUGUCACCCGUCGAUAUCAUUAAUUAUUCUCAACCCGAAUAGUUAAUCAAGCUCAGCAUUCCUCAUCCUCUGUAAUGGUCAUGCCGAUGUUAGCAAAUCUUACUAACAUCAUUAGCCUUUUAUAUUCAGGACCGACUAAUCAAAUCCAAUGAGCGGUUAUUCGUGAAAUUCAUUAACACCAUUCAUCAUCCCCGAUCAGAUCCAUAACUCAAAUCUAAUUUUUCAUUUCCCAUUCAUUCCAUUUUAUCUUUUCUCUCGUUGGUCUCUUUUACAGGCACAAGAUUCACAAUUUAAAACAAACUACUAAAAUUACCAUUAUUUAGGGAUGGUAUACCUGCCACGGAAGCUCAGUUUGCACUCGCUUGUUGUUGUUGUACUCCUCUUGCAAUUCCUCCUGAAUCCACAAGUACAACCCAUUUUUCUAUAUUCAAAUCACAUUUUGAAAAAUAACAAUAACAAUAACAAUAACGACAACGUUUACUCUUCUUUUAUAAUUGUUUCUCUUACAUUUACGUUCCCGAUACACCUCUUAAGAUUAUGGUUCAUUAUCAAAUCCUAACGAACAAUCACAAAAUUCCAUUCCGAGUAUGGUUUAUUUCUUUACGAAUAUCAAGGCAAGACGCUAUAAAUUUAUGAAAGGAAGGAAACCGGUUUCUACCUUUGACGUGGGUAAAUUUCCCCAUUUUUGCUGAAUCUGCCAGCAGAGAUGGCAACUUGACCUCCCCUCAGAUUUUUACCUAUAUCCGGGGCUCUAGAGCUCUAAAUUAAAUAAGGUCAAACCCGUUGGAAAGCUAACAUCUCAGACUACAACUUCUAUGAAGAAGCUUUUCCAGAAUUCUAUUGUCUCCAGGCUCGAAUCCUUUUGGGAAUCAAGAUAACGAAUCUAUCUAGUUUUCAUCAAUGAGUGAAAUGUAUCUCCAAUUAUCUCCAAUACCCCUUUCCUCCUCCGAUAGAGCCCUACCCACACUAUACAUGGUAAACUUUUGUUAUGUUUUUGGUCUCUCCUUCUCUCAAUUUUGAUAGAAAAUCUAGAAUUCUCCCUCCUUUUUUUAGUGUUGCCAGGUUCUAAAGGAGGAAGAAAUGGGGUAUUUAUAAUCCCCAUUUCUUUUUAAUUAUACUUUGGCCCCAAUUCUAUCAUUUUUCAUAAUUUGGACCACCCUUUUAUGGCUUUCAAAAUUAAUAAAUUUUUUUGUAAUUAUAUUAUUUAUAUAUUCUAUCAAUUUUUUUUUGUAUGAUUUGUUCUCAGGGUUUCACAUGUAUGUUGUUUUUCAUGGGUUUUCAGGUCAAAAACUGGUUGAAAAUGGGUUAUUUGGUCCAAAUAACAAAAACCAGGUUUCUAGGUAGUUGGGCUACUGGAAACUAGGUAAGUGAAUGAUACGUCGUCUAUCUCAACAUUACAUUAAUAAAAUGACGUGUUGUUUGUUAUACUUUAUUUUUAAAAAUAAAAGACAGAUGACAUGUCGUCUGUCACUUUAAUAAAAAAAACAAAACAAAGACCAGAUGCAUGGACCUGGCCUCCAAGCACGUGGGCUUAGACUCUAGGCUUGCAUGCACAUGCUACUAGAGGGCCAGACACUAGAACUGUUUCUUUUAUGUCCUUUUUUUCCCCUAUCACGCAAAAAACUAAAAUUACUAACUGAGUUUUUUGCAGUUUUCUCUUUACACACAAAAAAAAAAUAUUGCUUUCUAACUCAAAUUUUAUAUGUAAAUCCUUAAAAUAAACAUUAUGAUAAAUUAUUUAUUUCUUAGUGAAUUUACUUUUUCUAUUUUGAUUGAAUUUCAUAUUUAUUAUUUUUUAUGUUAAUUUGAAUUCAAUCUGCUUUGAGAAUUAAACUACAUAUAAAUCUUUUAGAUGUUUUACAUAAAACAUUUUCUGAAGAGUUAAUUAAUAAACUUUUUAAGGAAAAAUUGAAAUUUAUAAAAUAUAACGAUUUUUUCAUUUAAUUUUCUUAAAACAAAAAAAAAAACCUUAUUGAUGAACGUAUUAAAUAUUAAAGAAUGUAAUUGAUAAAGAACAAGUAUUUGAGAAGAAAUUGAUAGAAAUUAUACUUCUAGUAGGUAAAAUGAAAUUAAUUCUAAGAAAAUAAUUAAUUAUCUAAUUUAUUUUUUUAUAAAAAAAUAAAAUUAGUAUUUUACUAGUAAACCCUUUUCACACUUUGUAACUUCAUUUUAGCAACUAAACUAAAUAUAUCUGGAGGUUUUACUCUAAACUCACUCGCAUUGUGGAUUGUAAUAUUUCAUUGUAAAUUUUUUUUUUCAUUUCUAUUUUUUAAUCAUUUGACUUUUUUGUUUUUAAUUUGAUCCUUUUAUGUUAGGAUGUUUUAGGGUUAGCCUUAGUGAUUUGUUUUGGUUUGCUUGAUAUUGAGUCCUCACGGUGUUAGGAAACAAAUCCAAUGCUUGGUUGAUACUCGAUUUGAUAAAUUCAAAUUCAAAUUAAAUUUUUGUUAAUUCAAAAUAAUCUAAACUUUAGGGACAAAAUUAAACCUUACACAAAUUUCCAGCCCCCCGUUUAGACUAAUUAGGGGCUAAAAGGAAAACUUAGUUGGUGCAUGAAACACAUAAGCCAAUGUGUGAGGGAAGGCCACCACGUUAUGGUGGCGUGUGUGCCGUCCUCCAAACUCUAAAGGGAUUCCCAUCAGAAUCGUCUCGAUAAUGCAUGCCUUAUAAGGUGGCACAUGUUAGCGAAAGAGCUUCGGUGUAGUUUUGACGACUCAUAAUUUUUUUCUUCUUUCUCUCCCUCUCUCUUCUCUAUUCUCUCAUUGAUUUUGUGUCUGACUCUCUCCAAAAUAUAAAAAAGGGGUUGUUGAUUGUUUUUUUUUGCCAAAUUUAAUCAUCAUUAUUUUAAUUGCUAAUUGUUUUGUUUUGAAUUCUUUUUUUGAAACGAUUUUUUUUAAAUUUUAUUCUUCAAUAUCGGAUUGGUUGAGAAUUGGACUUUGUAUAUUUUUUUAAUCCAUCUUAUACGGGGUAAUCUUGGUUUCAUGACCCGGGUUCUAGGUUAAAAAGGUUAAUCCAUGUUGAGUGGAGUCUUUUUUUUUGUCCUUUUUUUCAUUGAGUUUUUUUUCUUUAACAUUUGAUUAAUUGAGAUUUGAGUUUCGUAAUUGUUUUUUUGAUUUUUUUUCUAUAAGUUUAUCCCAGUUUCAUGACCCGGUCGUGGGUUUGGUGGGUUAACCUGAGUUGACUUGAAUCUUUUUUUAUCGUUUCUUUUAAACUAGAUUUUUUUUUAUUUUUGUCCUUUAAUAAUUGAUUGGUUAGAAAAUGAAUUUCAAAAUUUUUUCAGUUUGAUUUUUACUAGGUUAUCCGGUUCUUAUGAUCUGAGUCACGAGUUUGACAGGUUUAUCAAUGUUGACUUGAAUCGGUAUUUUUAUACUUUUUAAAAAUUGAAUGUUUUUUUUUUAUAAUUUUUUUUUUAUCUUGGGUUGAUUGAGAAUUGAAUUUCAUAAUUUGUUUUGAUGUGCUUAUUAUAAAAUUAUUAAAAUCUAAUGUCUGAAUUAUAAAUUUUAUAGAUUAAAUUAUAUUGAUUAAAAUCAAUUUAAUAUAUUAUUAUCUUAUAAGUUUUUUUAAAAUAAUAUUAUUUUCUCAAUCUUUAAAAAAAAAUGUCGCUCAUUUUUUAUUAGAUUUUGAAUUUAUAAUUAUUAUUUUUUAUAUAAAAAGCACGUUAGCAACAUUUUUAUGUAUUUAUUUAUUUUAGAAAGAAAAAUUGAUCCGACCUGGCCAAGGAUAUAGUGAUUUGAUAUGAGAUCUACAAGUGCCAGAGAAGAGCAGUCAGGACAACCAUAGACAAAAAUGUCGAUGUGUUCUUCUGAGUCUUCAUCGAGCAAAUUUUGGAUCGUGCACAGCAUUGUAGCCGGGGCUGCAAUUGCUGCUGCCAUUGGCGCUGGUGCAUAUCUGGGUCGAUACAGAAAGUUCAGGAGCCGAGUUGUUGGUAUCAUACCCGCCCGUUAUGCUUCUUCUCGGUUUGAAGGCAAACCACUUGUUAAUAUCCUUGGUAAACCCAUGAUCCAGGUACCCUUUUGCCUCCCUUUCUUUUAUUUCAUUCAUUACUUCUUUUAAAGUUUUUUCAUUUCUUGAUUUUUAGUUUUGCAUGUGAUUUUUUUGAGGUGUUAAUUCAGUGAUUUGAUAUGAGAUCUGAUAUGGGUUUUGUAUAUUUGGAUUCCUUCAGUGAUUGGUAAUUUGUUUUAUAGCAAAAGCUUACUAAAGUGCCCAUCUAACCCUUUUUUUUGGUCAACUUUCUUGUACCUUUUCUUAAGAUCUUUUUACAACCAAAAACUUUUUCAAGGGCUGUUUUGUGCGGAAUCGAGCUUGUGUGAAAUUAUUUUAAAUUAGUGUUAUCCCUUUUUACAACAUAGUUGUUGGGGCACUAUAUGUUAAGUGAUCCAGUACUGAAACAAGGAGUAAAGAUUAGCAAACAAAGGUGUUUUCAUUGAUUGAUCUUCUGUACUCAAUUUCUCAUCUUUAGAAUUAACGUGUUUAUCUUGUGCUAAAUCUUUUGAAGUGAGAUUAUUUACUUUAUCUUGUACUAAGUUUUUUGAAUUAUAGUGUACUGUUUGAUAUGGGGAAAGAAAUGGUUCUUUUAAUUUAUAAUUAAUUAAAAAUUAUAAAGUACCUCGAAAGAGAGUUCCUUUAUACUCACACUUUUAGUUGAUCAUCUACAGAGAACUUGGGAAAGGGCCAAACUAGCAAGUACACUGGAUCAUAUAGGUAAGUAACUAGCCCGAGCUCCACCUUAAUUUGAUGGGGAGCUGUUCUGCUUCGUGUAAUAUUGUCAUUGAGAAUAUCUCUAUAGAGGUGUUCCUGGAUUAAUUUAUGGAUCAAAACUAAAAUGCAUUGAGAAUCUCUAUGUUCGUUUGAUCUGGUUAGACUUUUAAUGCAUUUAGAUGCCUAAAGUCUGGCUUUGAUGUUGUGGUCGCCAUCAAAAGUGAUCUAUUAUGUGCUAGACUUGUUCGAUAACUGCUCGGUGUUAGUAGUCUUUCAUUUAUUUUUCAAUUGUGACCCAUAGAAGGGGAAAAAACUGCUUGCUACAAUAAUUGUAUUGGUGUAGAUUCUUUUCUGUGACUUGAAUGGUGUAAUGUGUUUGUUGAUGAUCUUAACAAUCUCUUUCAUAAACUUUGCCAAUGCAGUUGUGGCUACGGAUGAUGAAAAAAUUGCAGAAUGUUGUCGAGGAUUUGGUGCUGAUGUGAUAAUGACUUCAGAGUCCUGUCGAAAUGGUAGGUAUCUCAGUUAUUGUUCAAUGUAACUCGUAAUUUUUUUUUUUUUUUCCAAAGGCCGGGUAAUGAUCUUUCGUUGUUGUGCAGGUACUGAACGAUGCAACGAAGCACUUCAAAAGCUAGAUAAGAAAUAUGAUGUUGUUGUCAAUAUUCAGGGUGACGAGCCUCUCAUUGAACCUGAGAUAAUAGAUAGAAUUGUUAAAGCACUGCAGGUGAAUUUAUUUAUCUUUGUAAUGAACAUCUCUUGAAUCAUGACCAUGAGAACUGAUGAACAAAAGGUUCAUUUUUUAUCUUUAUAAAUUUUUAUAUUUUCACAAGGUUUGUUUUAAGCAACUUGAAAAAUCCUGUGAAGUGAAGAAAAUGAAUGACCUGUGCAGCUUUAAAAUCGUUUCAGAAGUUAUACUGCAUUGGUUUGAUCGUAUUGCAGUACUUGUCAUUAUUUAAUACCUUUAGUUGAAGUUUAUCAUUAUUCAUAUGGAUGCAGGCAGCCCCAGAUGCAGUGUUUAGCACUGCUGUAACUGCUUUGAAGCCUGAAGAUGCAUUCGAUCCCAAUCGAGUGAAAUGUGUGGUGGAUAAUCAUGGCUAUGCUAUCUAUUUUUCAAGGGGAUUAAUUCCUUACAACAAGUGAGUUUAUCAAGUAUUAGUUGGCUGUCUUAAUUUUCCGCACAACUCUUCAUGUCAGACUGUUAAUGAAUAUAUUUACCCACUUGAUACAGAACGGGAAAGGUCAAUACACAAUUUCCUUAUAUGCUUCAUCUAGGAAUUCAGGUAUGAAGAUGGCAUCUUUUUUGGAAGUUCUCUCCAUGUUUGAGUGAUUGCUGGGUUGUCUGCACGGGUUCUGUUUUUCAGCCACGUUGUUUGCCAUCCUGCACUUUAAUAACACUGCAUAUCAUCUGAUGUUUGAUCAGAGUUAUGAUACAAAGUUUCUGAAGAUAUAUCCUGAGCUUCGAUCUACUCCACUGCAACUAGAAGAGGAUUUGGAACAGCUUAAGGUCCUUGAAAAUGGUUACAAAAUGAAGGUAUUAUAAAGAACUUCUACUGUUACUCUACCCCCUUGACUGGCUUGUUUUAUUUGAAACUUCUUGCAUAAUAGUUUUAACAUUGCAAGGCUUUCUCAAAGCUGUUAUUUGUUUCUCUUACAAUAUGGUCUAGGCCCUAGACUAGGCUGUUUCGGUAAUGAAAGCAAAAUAUUUCUUUUGGGUGUUACCCUUUGAAAUGGAAGAAUCUUUCCCAUUUUUUGUAUUCUUCUCUUGUAAAAACUUUGUUUGGAUAGAAAAUUGAAGCCAAUUUGAUUUUUAAAUCGUAUUGAGCGUUAUUUUCAAAGGAAAAUAGGAAGAGAAAUUUGAAAUAAAACGGUCGAUUAAUUUUCUCUAAUCUUUUUGCUAUUCUACUUAUCCAUUAUCUCAUGUUAGAUGCCUUCUUCUCUUCUCUUUAUUUUUUCAGGACCACUGUAUAUUGUUCACUUCCUAAGAAAACUGCAUGUAUUUUCAAAUGUUAUUAUCUAAAAAUUAGGUUUUUGUUUUCCUUUUCCAUAUGAAUGAAUUAGAUUGUGCUUGCUAAAAUAUCAAAAUUUAGAACUGUACACAAAUUUUGCAGGUGAUAAAAGUUGACCACGAGGCACAUGGUGUCGACAUUCCAGAAGAUGUUGAAAAGUUAGAAACUUUGAUGCGUGAGCAAAGCUUUUCUUAGUUCAAUACUAACUAUGCCAAAGGUUAGUUUUUAAGAUGGAUAGGGUUGUAUGCGUGUUUAAUAAACAGGUCCAAUAUACAGUUCAAUACUAACUAUGCCAAAGGUUAGUUUAGAAGAUGGAUUGGGUUGUAUGCGUGUUUAAUAUACAGGUCCAAUGGAUAGGGAUGUCAAGUAGGAUGCUGAUUAUUGGUUGCACAAGCCAGUUUUUAAUAUUAUAGUUAUAUAGUGCAAUGCUAUUCUUUAUAGGUUCAUUUACUUUUUGAUUAAUUUUUUGUGUUACCAAGUUCAGUGAACUAUUAUGCGGCAACGAGUGCCUGUAGCUAUAACAGAAGAAGUGGGGAUAGCUGAAGUCUUUGUUUUUGUUAACUGUAGCUCGUUCUUUUUUUCUAAAUAUAAACCCUCUCAAUUUAUUCACAUUGUUUAUCUGAGCCUUAUAAAUAAAAAGAAUUAAUGGCUCAAUGAUCCUUCUCAACAUCAUGUGUUGUAGUAAAGUACACACUGGGUUGAGAUUACUAGGUUGCAUUAGAGAUGAAUGGUGGGUUUUCAACUCAUCCUCUGUGUGAUUUAAACCAUUCUCUCUAAAAGUUACUGGUUUUGGACCUAAACGUUGUCUUCAGUAGAAAUAGGGCUCGGGUUGCCUUCUUUAACACUGCUUUUCUACAGUGGAAUCUCUGAUGUUCAUGUUCAUUAAACAAAAUAAAAAAAAGAACCCCAAAUAAACUGUAUCGAAGUUGUUAGUGUCCCAUCAAGAUUUAGUAGGUUAGAUGGGCACCGAGCUGGCUAGAUCUUAAUGCCAUACGGUCCAGACCUGUUACUUUGUGGACAUCGUUUGUCAUCUCAAUGUUUUCCAAAUAGAAAGUUUGACCAGGUAAGAGCACUAGCUAAGGCAAAGUAGAGAUGAAGGGCACAGAAAAUCAAUCUACACUAGUGUCAAUAUCAAUUCAUGCUUUCAGCAACAGAAUAUUUGAGAUGAACUUCGUACAUUAUUUUCUUUUCCUCAACCCUGACAUGGGUAAUCUACAUAAUUUCACAAGAUCAACUUGCUCGAAGGAAAAAGAAAUAAAUAAAAUCAUCAGGCCAGUUUCUGGGCUGACUGCUACUGAGAAGUGGAGUAGCUUUAACGUUAACAUCUGGGAAGAUCAGCUGGUGGAGGAAGCAGUUUCUGAUUGGGAAGCUUUCCAUCCAAGACAAUACAAGCCAUCUUCAAUCACUUGAUUGUCCUGCAUAAUGAGCUCCAAGCUUGGUGUUAAAGGAAGCACAACCAGCCUGGUUCCAUUGCUCACCAUAGUGUUGUUUGGUGGGUUUCCAGUUUAAUUAAAGGGAGUUAGCGAACUGAUUGGAAAACUAGGAUUGUAAACACACUUUAAUUGACCAAAAUGGUGGGUUGGAGCAGAGCUGUAGUUGGCAUUGCAAAUGAAACAUUGUUCACUAAACCUUCAAACAUUGUUCCAUUUGGUCCCUGACAGGUUUGAGUUUGAGGACAUGGGUUUGUACCAAGACGCACUGUGAAGAAAAACUGCCCGUGGGCCUUUUGUGGCACGUUGGCAGGGAAUUCCGCACCAGCUAAGCUACGAAGUUUGCUUGUAAAAUUUGUCGCAAAUGAAGUGUCAUUUAGAGGUGGUAGAUCUGCUUUAUAGAGAGUGAUUUUAUUUUUUAUUUUUUUAACUGAGUAGCUUGUUUGAAGGGUUUUGGAUGACACUUCAUGUUCUAAAAAGCCAGCAACAGUUGAAUUGUCAAAAAUACCUUGUCCUGUCGCAUAAGGUCUAGCAGUCAUAACAGGAGCAUCAAAUGGUUUGACAUAAACAGCAUCAUCUGCAACCACUGUGAGUGUAUGGCUUGCUAUGCUCAUCAUCGAGUGCAGCGCUGAUCAGGCGAAGAAGGCAAGUCUUCCCAGGCUUUACCUUAAGCUUGAAAGCAUCUGUCAAGUGCCAUUUGUAUAACGUAGAUGAGAGAAACAUCCGCACGUAAACGCUUAAUUUUUUUAUAGCCAUAAUUUAGAUACUUGCACGACAAACAUUUGGCAGAGCAGUUAUAUAAUGGCUCUGGAAAUCCGUUGAUAGUAUAAGCAUCAGACAGAUUUGGCCCCCCACCUGUUUGCAUUGCCUGGUUUAACGAUUGCCUCUGGAUCUGCUUUGAACCACUCUCUUGCAAUUUGUAUUGCAUUAUUGUUUGUGUUAGCUGAAAUAGGACUACCUCCACCGGAAAAAAAGAGAGUAAAUUUCAAUUACCAAAGAUGAUUGGAACAUUCAUGUAAGGUUUAGCAAAUGGACUAGUGCCGUGGGACGCGCAUCAAAAGUCUAAGUCCAAACGAGUCAAAUGAGGUUUAGCUUAUUUUUGGAUUAUUAAGAUAUUAUUUAGAACUUUUCAAUUCCGAGUCUCUAUAGUAUAUGAGUGCAAUUAAGAUAUUAUUGGUAAGAGCCUGGGACCAAGAGGUUUGCUCUCUCUGUGGUCUCAGGUUCGAGCUCUGUGGUUGCUCAGAUGAUGGCCACUGAAGGCUUACAGGGUCGUUAACUUUAGGGCCCGUGGGAUUAGUCGAGGUGCGCGCAAACUGGUCCGGACACCCACGUUAAACUAAAAAAAAAAAAUGAGUGCAAUUAUAGUGCUUGAGAAACCCUAACUUUCAAUCUUCCAUUAUAAGUUGCAUUAAUUGGAAUUAGAGCGGGUUGACUUGUUUGAUGGAUAAAGGUGUUGGUAACAUAUUUCCACCUGAAGUGGAGGCCUUCUAGGAUGUUACGAGGGCUCGAGAGGCAACAUGGAAAGUACUGACACAUAAAUUUGAUUGGUUGGACAGGGGGAGGCCCAACAAGGGAAUGUGUUGAGGAGAGGGACGUGCCUAGAUAAUUACCUCAAGAAAGACCAAAGCCCGUAUUUAUUCCUACAAACUCAUAUAGGCAUCAUGUCAAUAAGAAAGUGGUAUUUUAUGAUAGAUGAUACAUUGAAGACUUAACUUGCAGCUAACCUUUUCAUAGAUGUAAAAAAAUCAAUAUUAUUUAAAAGAGGCCCUCUAAACUUUCAGUUUGUUUGUAAGAGUUGAAAGCAUAUUUUCAAUUGAAGAAGAUUCCUAGUUAUCAGAAAGGUAGGAUUUGAUCCCUUAAUUUUUAUAAAUUUUCAGUUUGUUCCCUCAAUGUUUAGAAAUUUUUAGUUUUCAAAUUGAUUUUUAUGAAUAAUUGAGGUUUAUUGACUUGUUUUGUUUUGAAUUAAAAUUUUAGAAACCGUUUGAUUUUUGGUUUUUUUUUGGAAAAAAAUUGUUUGGUUCCUAAAUAUAUAGAGUUAUGAGUUAGACCCUAGGAUGAACGUAUUAAAUUGACUUUAUGUUCCUUUCAAGUUUGUUUUGAGCAUGUCUUCUUUUGUAUUCAAAUAUUCCUGACAUUCCACAUAAGUAUAUUAAUAGAAUUUCUUUCAGCAUCUGCUUAUGUGUUUGUUUUGCUUUUGUGUUAAGCGAGUAGAUAAUAUUUUACAUGUAUGAGAAAUAAUAUAAACUAGCUAUGUGACCCGCGCUUCGCCGCGGGUCAAAUAUUUUUAUUUUUCAUAAAAAAAGAUAUAUGCAGGUUGUUUUCAACGUAUUUUUGUGGUCAAAAAAUGUAACAAAUCAAAAAGUUUAUGCACACAUGUAAUCAAAUAAACUAACAAUUAUGUAAGCUAAUAGAUAAAUAAAAAAUCAUUAAUGACACCUAAAAACAAAACCUGAAAAACUGAGAGACAGAUGUAGAUCAAUAUAUUUAAUCUUGAAAAAUAUGACAUGAAAUUGAUUGAAUAAUAAAAAAAAGAAUAACAUGUAAGGUUACACAUAUUAAAAAUAUUAUCUGAAAAUAAAUAUUUUGUAUUUUCAAAAACAUAGUUUAUCUAUAUAAAAGAUAAAAACAAAACCUUAGAUGAACAAGAAAACCUUUAUGAAAAUUAAACGCAUAAGAAAAAAAUCAAUAUUAUUUAAAAGAGGCCCUCUAAACAAAAUAAAAGAGAGGAGGUUUUUUCUAUUUUUUUAGUUUUUAGUUUUUUAAUCGGUCAUGCCAUUUUAUUUCUUUUCAAUUGCAUUCUUUAAAGUUAUAUUUUUAUGGCAACCAUGUCAGAUCCAAGGUGCUUGGCGCUUGGGUCUGGCAACCAUGCCAGCAACAGCGAUGCGUUGCCUGUUUUGCCUAAAUUCCGGUCAGUGUGGUGACUGAAAAAGCAGGGCCUAUGCUCUUAUGACCCAAAAACCUGUUUUGCAAUAUGUUUUUGACCCAAAACACCUAUAAAACACUAUAGAAAUCAUAAUAAACCCAUUCAUGACCUUUAAAAAAAAAAUCCAAAUAUCCGCCCUAAAACCAAAUUUAACCCAAAAUAAAAAAUUAACCCGAGUUCAAAUCUAUUUUUCACAAACUUUUAAGGUAUAAAACACCUAAUAUGACUCCCCUCAUCAAAUGGAACAAUUUGACACAAAAAUCCCUUAUUUUAGUGGUCUAAAUCGAUGCCAACGACAAGUUUCACUCUCUACCGCUAUAAUUCGACGACUCCCCUCUCCCUUCUCUCUCAACUAGAGACAAAAAAUUAACAAAAAUAAACUUCUGCAUCAAAAUAGAAUUCGAACAAUUUUGAGGGACCGAAAUUGUAUAAUCUGUUUAACUCUUUACCGCUAGAAUCCGACGACUCUCCUCUCGCUCCUCUCUCAACCAGGGAUAAAAAAUUAACAAAAAUAAACCUCUGCAUCAAAAUAGAAUUUGAACAAUUUUGAGGGACUGAAAUUGUAUAAUCUAUGUAAUUGUUUAAGUUGGAGGACCAAAGUGAAUGUUUCUGAAAUUUAUGGUACGUCACCCAUGUUUGCCCCGUGUUUCAUUUCGGUCCCUCCUCUUCGAAUCCUAUCAUUUUAUAAGAAUUUGAAAUCAAUUGCUCCUUAAAUAGGACUUGAUCGCCCAAAAACAAAGUUUGAUGACCAAACUGAAAAAAAAACAAAUUUUUGCAUAGUGACAAAUGUACAGUGAAAAUACACCGCGUUUUGCUUUAUUGCCCGUGUUACGUAACAUGCAUGAUGAAUUAUUUUUAGCAAAUAUAUAAACCAUUCAAACAUAAUAAAUUUCUAAAUAUUUUUGUCAUAUAAAGCUCCAAGUGCAUGUAAACAAAGCAAGCAAUAGCAAUAUUAUAAAACAUUUUUUAAUCCGAGAAUUAAUUGAGACACAACGUUGCAUGAAGGCCAAUCAAACAAAAGACAUAAUAUUUAACAAAAUGACCAUAGUGCAACAAAAAGGUUGCAUGGAGUUUGUUUCAACAAUUAUAGUCCUAGAGUAGGCAAAAAGUUAUAGCAACCAACAUGACAUUUAGCAAAAUGAUCAUUGUGCAGGAUGUUGUCUUCUUGAUCUCUCGCUGUUCCUGCAAUAAAAUGGAGGGUAGAAGAAGUGGGUAAGUAUCAUAUGAUUGAAUAUAUACAUGUAGGGUCAAGCAACAAAAUGGAUGAGAUAAUUAGUUAACAAAAUAAGAACGUGGAUAGAAAAUUAAGAGCAUCACCUUAGCAGGUAUAGAAGAAAUGGGUCGUUGUUUCUUAAAAACCGGUUCCGCUGGAUUGUUAUCUCCUAUGAAAUAAUUAUUUUCUGAAAUGUAUACACAAAAGCUACUCAUCUUUUUUUUUUUUUUUCGUUCAAACCAUUCUUUAACCCUGACACAUGAUCCUUUUGUCAAAUGAUAGCAGUUCUUUUCACUAUACCAUAGCAAAGUGAAAGAUAACAAAUCAAAUAACAACCAUAACAACUAGGAAAACCAACAAGCAAUGACCAAAAGAAUAGAAGGUUGGGAAAAUACAUCAACCAAUUUUAAAAAACACACGACAAACUAAAUUAACAAAAACCAAAUCCAGCAAAACUCAGAGAGAAACAAACAUGGAAAAUCAACGAAGACGAAAUGCAAUGUAACUAUGAAAGCAUGAAAACUGUGGCCAACACAAAGUAAAGGAUGCAAAAACAUGGCAACCCUCGAAACAACAAUACGAAAAUAGAAAAAGAAAGUCAAUCAAAUAGUACAUAAAGUGACAACACAACAAACACACAUUAACAAAAAAGAGCAAAUCAAGCAAGUUAACAAAACCAAACAGUAAGGAAAGGACAAACCUUUUAUAACUCACCAAGAGAGGAUAUAAAGGAUCCAAUACCCCUAUACAGAGGAUCCAAAACCCCCAGAUUAAAUGUCAACACCUCAAGAAAUCAUCUAAUCAGAUUCAGUCUGCUCCUCUAAAGACCAACUACCCAGCCUAGCAUCCACUGCAUUAAAUGUAAAAUCCUCAUCGCAAGCCACAUUUCUCUAAGCCUAGACUCACAACCAAUUGAACGCCAUCCUGGAAAUCAAACCCCACAACUAGAGCUCUUACAAACCGACAGAGCUGACAACGUGUCACGGAUGGAAACAGAGAAGAUAGGAACUAACAAGGGAAAAGAGGGAUGUAAUUCAAAUCAAGCAUAACGAUUAUGUUUUACGAAAGCAGGAUUUAAUUCAAACAUAGUUAAACGAUUGUGUUUCACACAACCCGGUUAAAGUCACAAAUAACAAGAUAGCCACGUGUUGAGGUCAGGCAUCUUGUAGAAGAGAAUAGAUGUUUUUGGGUUCUUUAAAUACCCUAAGAAUUAUAACAGAUGGUUAUGACAUUUUAUAUAAUAGAAAUCCAAUAUUCUCUCAUUCCUUUCUCUGACGUGUUCCUUGGAAAUCCAUGUAGAGUGCAUGAACACAACCUUCUUCUCUUCUUCCCAACUCUUUCCUUCUUCACCAUUAUACUCAGCAUACGCUAGUUAAUCUUACACGCAGCACAACACCCAGCCAACCUGAGCCAACACACACAAACUAACCAAAAUCAAACCUUGCCACAACCAAAUCAAAAGCACACAGAUAAGAAAAAAAAAACAAAAUGAAGGGCAAAGAAAGCUCACCUGACCAACCCCCAAACAAAAAGCAAGAGAAAUAGCUGCCAACACCCCUCUAUUCUAGCUGGACCAAGCUAGAUCUAGCCACCAUGAGGCCUGGGAGAACGAAACAAAACCAUGAGAAUAUAGCCAAGACCAAACCACCCCCAAGCCUUACACAUCAAUAGCCGCGAAGCCAAACCAACCAUGCCCACAACGGAGAGGGUCUAGGUCAAUAGUACAAAAAAGUUCUUUCCCCACACAGUAUACUCUUGCCACACAUAUCAUAAUUGAAAAAUUGGAAAACACUGUGGACCUGAACAGUUUUUUCCCUCACCACAUCAUGUCUUUCCUCGAGAAAGAGGAAAAACAUUGUGGACAUGCACAAUGUUUUUCCCCACCAUACAUAAGGAGAGAAUGGGAAAAACAUUGUGGACUAGUGCAAUGUUUUUCCCAUGCCAUUUAGAUUAUAAGGUAAUAUUUGAAGAGUUAACAUGAACUGGAUCAUGCUUCUUGAUAAUAUAUAUUGAUUAUUAGCCUUUGUUAUAAUAAAACAUGAUCAUUUGUUGAAUCUGAAUUUUGGAUAUGAGAUAUAUAUGUGUACGUUUGAUUUAAUAGCUCCUUAUUUGAUUGAUGUUAUGAGUUGAGCUUGGGAUAUCAUUCUAUUUGUUUGAUUGUGAUAUGAACCCUUGGUAUACCAGUCAUAAUACCAAUAUUUAUAGGGUAGUGUUAGUCUUUGUGCACAUCGUAUCUAAACCCUAGUUGGCCAGGGGAGUCACCAACCUAUGAUGACUAAUUAUCCCACAAUCUGAAGCAUCAUACUCAUUGUAUUUUGACGAGUCUUACGUUAUGACAUUUUUUGUUAUGACGUGUAUGCGAAACUCUUUUGUCAAAGCAUAAGCCAAACUUGUAUAUAUAUUCCCCAUUAAUGUAUUACCUUGUAUGUGUAUAUUGAACAUUAUCUACUCACUAAGUUAUUGAACUCAUUCUCUCGUCAUUUAUCAUUUUCAGGCAUAUAGCUUGGUGGUAGGUCACUUUUUUUGAACUUCAGAACCUGAAUUUUGUUGUUGUUGUUGUUGUUGUUGUUGUUGUUGUUGUAAUUAACAUUAUCCAGUUAUAUCUAGUUAGUGCUCCACAAUUAUAGAAUUUGUAUUAACUUUUGUAUUAUGACGAUCAAUUUAUAUUAUUAAGAUAGUUUUAUUAUUAAUGUUGCAAAGAAAUUUGUUUUGUUUAUAUAGGUGAAAAAGUUUGUAUGUUUGUCUAGGUUCGUAUUGGUAAAGAAAUUUUGAGGGAGUCCUUAUUUAUGUGCCGGUCAUGAAUCCGGGAAUCGAGUCGCGACAAGUUGAGCCAUUAAUAAAAUAGUUUUAUAACUUAUUUUUAGAUUAUUAAGAGAUUAUCCAGCUUGAUUAUUUAAAAGUUUUUUUUUUUGGUAAUUUUUAAGGUUUGAAAAACCCCAUCUUUUUAUCUUUUACUAUACUUUGCGUCAAUAAAGAAAGCCGAGUUUGGGAAGAAUAAUCAAGCGACCAUAGACCGUUGAUCUUAGGCAUGUUAUAUGGCCAUGCCACCAAAAAGUGCCUGUUUGUCCUGCAAUGGUGCAGUUAUAUACAUAGUUCUGUCCACAAUCCACCGGCUUCGAAGCUGCCGAAUUCCAUGUAUCAGUGAAAACAUACAUAGAAAUUUAGAAUUUGCCUUCUCAAAAACAGGUUGACUAUUUGGUGAAAUUGUAAAAAAAGUCCGUAUAUUUGUACCAGUGGAUAAAGAUAUUGUUUUGGACAAGGUUAGCCACUUUAAUAAGAAGACGAUCACAAACCCUCCCCCCUCCCCAGCUACAAUGCCAGGCCCUGGGAGAUUGACUGCUACUAUGCUCAGGUGGGACAAAGGCAUGUCACAUUUUAAACAUAACCUGCAAAAUUUUAUUUUCUUUAGACUGUUAAAAAUAACCUGCAUCUUGAUAGCUGAUAUACUAAAUUGUCAAUAGCGUCAGAAACAAAUAUAGAAAACAUUUUUUUUUUUUCCUUUGAAGUUCAAAUUUGAUGUGUGUGACAAUAUUAGCUUGAUAAUUUUAGGUGCCAAAGCUGAAGGACAUAACGUAUCAUUAAGCUUGUAGUGCCUGAUAAUGGCAAGUGUAGGCUUAGGAUGGAGGCACAAACUACAAAUGAUUAAAAAAAAACCCUGCCAAAAUGCUGGUGAUGAUGGAAGAAGAGAGACCCACAAUUUUUUUUUUCUGUUUUUUCUUUCUGGCCAGGUGCACCAAUUUGUGAAUUUUGAAUUGUUGUUUUUAUACUCAAAGGUACUGUUAUGAGCAGUAUAUAUAGAGUGUUGAAAGAAAAAUAUUGGUUGAUUAGGCGAUAGACAUUGUAUAUUUUAAAAUGACAAAACUAAAACAGGCUUCAAGAAUCAUGUGUCCUUGUACAUAUUUUCAGUUUAUUAACAUCCUCAAUUCUAAAUCCUUCCAUGCAUUUCUUGUCUUUGGCUAAACAGACUUCCAUUUACAGCAAGAGAAAUGGAGCGUUGAAUUUAGCAAACCGUAUCGGCAUGGAUGCCUGGUAGGUCAGACUUCCCUUAAUGCUUGGCGAUAAAGCUAACAAGUAACCAAAGGCUGCUAUCAAACAAGUCAUUUCAGUGUUAGAUGUGCUAUGGUUUUUCUGUUGUUUUUGUUCUUUUUCUGUGUCAAAGAAGUCAUUGUUGAUUCGCGGGGGAUCAAAUAUUUUGUUUCUCAUUAAAUCUCACAAAUCCAUAGCCAUGGCCACUUCUGUUGGGGUUCUUAUUAAUGAAGGCAUCAGCCAGACCGCUGUACGAAGAAAAAUCAUACCAUAAGUCAAGAGGCUGGACAUCCUAUGGGAAGUUAUCAACAAAGAAGGAUAGGAUUUGAGAGGGAGACAUGGGAGCAAAGAGGCAGAGAUGGAUUGACCAGAGGAAUAGGUUAAGGUUGGCUAAAAAGAGUAGGGAGUGGUGGAGGAUUGUAAAUGAUGGGGGAGCAUAAGACUAGAGAAAGAAAGCUGUCAUUGAGGCACUAAAGGGUAAACACUUUAAUAGGGAUUUGGAUUGGAGAAACAAAAGGGAUCUGAUGCAUGUAGGCUUGUAGCUUUGGAGUGGUGGCCUCGGAAGAAAGGCAAACGAUCCCAGAUAUAAAAAUUGUGAUAUCUGGAGUUCUUGUAGUGUUAGCUCAAUCCUUUGUUUUAAAAAAAACGAAAAGAAUAGCGAAAUGUUUACUUGCAUUAAAAAGAAACAGAUACGUUCGUUUCCUUUCCUCAACUCAAACAGGGUAAUCAGAAUAAUUUCAGAGCUUUAAUGCUCAGAAAUGGGCAAGGAAAUAAACUGGCUGGUUACCAAAAAAAAAAGUCAUCAAGGAUUUUCUGGUCUCAAUGUAGUUAAGAAGUAGCCAAAAGCCUUGAAUUUCAACACUUAGGAAGAUCAACUGGUGGAGGAAGCAGCCUGUGAUUCGGAAGCUUUCCAUCCAAGACAACCCAAGCCAUCAUCAAACCCCAGCUCAUGUGCAAUUCUACAUGACAAUGCAGGAACCAUACACCUGAUGACAGCCAUCAUCCACAUCGAACAAGUCAGGAAACCAUGGUAUUACUACAUGAAUUUAAUUAUCUAAGCUAGGAUAUUACUUAGCAUUAUAUACUUUUAAUUAAUUACCAACCUGGAUUGUCUGCUAAAAACCGUAUAGCAACCCAGCCUCCAGAGGGCACUCCCACAGUAUUCCUUUCAACGGGGUCGACAAGAUUGAAAUUUGCAGGAUCCUUUUUUGGAUCAAAGUUCCCAAAACCUUGACCAACAACAAAGAAAUUGAAACCAUGCAAAUGAAGAGGGUGGCUCUCAGCACCAAGGAUGCUGGUGUCCUGCAUAAUGAGCUCCACGCUGGUGUUAAAAGGAAGCAUAACUAGCUUUGUUCCAUGGCUCACCAUAGUAUUGUUUUGUGGGGUGCCGGUAUAAUCAAAAGGGAUUAGUGGACUGAUUGGAAAGUUAGGACUGUAAACGCCCUUUGAUUGACCAAAAUGAUGGGCUUCGAGUAAAGCUUUGGUCGGCAUUACAAAUGAUACAUUAUUAACUGAAGCUGCAAACCUUGUUCCAUUUGGUCCCUGGCAGGUUUGGUUUUUAGAGCACGGAUUUGUUCCGAGGCCUACGGUGAAGAAAAAAUGUCUGUCGACCUUUUGCGGCACAUUGGCUGGGAAUUCUGCGCUUGCUAGGCUGCGGAGUUUGCUAGUGAAAUUUGUAGCGAAUGAAGUGUCAUUUAGAGGUGGUAGAUUUGGUUUAUAGAGCGGCAGUCUCUUAGAGGUGUGGCUUGAUUGAAUUGUUUUGCGUGCAACUUCAUAUUCUAAGAUUCCAGCAACAGUUGAAUUAUCAAAAGUUCCUUGACCAGUCACGUAAGGUCUAGCAGACAUGAAAAAUUUGGCGUCUGGGUGGUGGGGCUUGGUCUUUAGAAGAACAUCUGUGGUUUGUCCUGAGGCAAUCAGAAGUGUCUCGGUAUCAAAUGGUUUCACAUAAAUAGCAUCAACACCAACAACUGUGAGUGUAUGGUUUGCUAUGCUGAAGAAGAGCUCCUCAUUGAGUGCGGCAUUGAUCAAGCGAAGAAGGUAAGUCUUUCCUGGCUUUACCUUCAGCUUGAAAGUAUCUGUCAAGCACCAUGCACACAAGGUCAAUGAGAGAAAAAAAAAAAUGCUCUGUAUUGUUGUAGAAGGCCUGCUGCGCUAACAUAUUAUACUUUUGGCAGAGCAGUUAUACAAUGGCCCUGGGAGUCCAUUGAUAGUGUAGGCAUCAGAGACAUUUGGGCCUCCACCCGUUUGCAUUGCCUGGUUAAUGAUUGCCUCUGGAUCUGCAUUGAACCACUCUCCUGCAAUUUAUUUUGCAUUAUCGUUUGUGUUAGCAGACAUAGGACUUCAUCAACAGGGAAAACAAAUGAUCGGAACUUCCUUACUGUAGAUUACCAAAGAUGAUCGGAACUUCCUUGUCAGGUUUAGCAAAUGGAUAAGGAGUGCCGAGUUUGGGAAGAAUGAUAAGUGGACCGUAGAGAGUUGAUCUUAACCAUGAUAUAUGGGCAUGCCACCAAAGAGUGCCUCUUUGUCCUACGAUGGUGUAGUUGUACACAUAGCUCUGUCCAGUUUGUAUAGGGCACUGAGUUACGUAUGCCGGUCCAUCAGCCCACCCACUUCGAAGCUGCCGAAUUCCAUGCCUGUAUCAAUGAAAUCGUCGACAGAGAUUUAGACCCAGCUUUUCGAUACAAGGCUCACUAAAUUUAGAGAAAAUUGAAGGAGGUCAGUCAAUAUAUAUGUACCAGUGAAUAGAGAUAUUGUUUUGGACAUGGUUAACCACUUUAAUAAGAAGACGAUCACCCUCCCUAGCAACAAUACAAGGCCCAGGGAACUUGGCAUUGACUGUUACCAUGCUCUUGGUGUGGCAAAGGCGUGUCACAUUUUGUAACAGAACCUGCAAAAUUUCAUUUUCUAUAGACCGUUAAAAACGAGGUUAAAAAAGAAGAAGAAGAAGAAGAAGAAGAAGAAGAAGAAGAGAGAAAAUUUGAACAAUUUUAUGUACUUUCGACAAAGUCAUGUAUGUAACACAUACAUCAAAUUUGUAGUGCCUGGUAAUGGCAAUUGCAGGCCGAGGAUGGACAAACAAAGUGACAAAAGAGGAGAGAAAAACCGCCAGAGAUGCUGGUGAUGGAAGAAGAUAGACACCCAUUUUUCUUGUCUGUUUUUACUUUCCAACAAGGCUAGAUGAUGCACCAAUUUGUAAUCCAUGAAAUGCUGUUUUUAGCUAUAUGUUCAUCGAAUCUUAGAGAGUAGCAUAUAUCAUUAAGGAAUCAGAUUGUGAUGUUUAAUGGCAAAUCCACACUUGCCGUUAGCUAUUAAAUUCAUACUUAAUGACAUUUAUUUCUAGAAUCUCCAAUCUUGCUGCGAAGAUGGCAACCUAGCUACUCCUUGAAUUAAAUUUACCAAUAAUACUUCUUAUACUCCUGUACAAUGAAUGUCUAAGUAUUAUUUUGAUUGAGAAAAUUUUAAUUUUUGCAAUAAUGUUUUAUUAUCUAGUUUUUAUGUGAAAGUCUUAUUAAUUAAAAUCCUUGAUCUCAUUUGGUUAAACAUGCUUCGCUACAAUCUAACAAGUAAUGUUGCAAUCAGAAAUAAAAGGAUAAACGAGAUUUAUUAUAAUUUAAAUUAUUCAAAGACUAAAAAUACUGUAAUUAUAGAGAGACAUAAAAGAUAUUUAAUUUUUAUUUAUUAAAGUCUUCUUUACCUUUGUAUAAUUAUGAAAAAUCUCUGCUUGCAAGUGAAAGGCAAGUUAUUACUUGGAAGUUUAUGAAAAUAUAAAUGUCAGGAUUGAGUGUUGUGUUAGAGAAUAAUAUAGAUCAUAACUUGAAAUCUCACUUAACAGCUUAUGCUUUUGGGUUGAAUUAAUUCUUUGAUAUGAUAUCAAAGCCUUGAUGAUCAAGCGUUCACGAGUUUGAAUCUCACCAUCCCUAUUUAUUUGAUAAAAAAAUAAGCAUAAGGUGGUAUAAGUUUAUGCAAGUUUUAAGCCCAAAGGGCUUUCACUUGAGAGAGUGUGUUAAAAAAUAAUAUAAAUUAUAUCUUGAGACCUCAUCUAAUAGCUUAAGUUUUCGAGUUGAAUUGGUUCUUUGACAUGUUGAAUAUGAUUUUAUUGAUUUUGAAUUUUAUUUACAAAUUUUCCUUUCAAGGGAAACUGGAUCUUAUUUGUUUAUAAAGUAUAGUUGUUUCAAGGAAAUGUUUGAUUGUUUCUAGUAAAUAGUUUUGAUGCAUGAGAUUAUAGGAUUCUUAUAUAUUAGCUGGUUGUGUUUUUCUCAUGAGGAAUGAGUUGAUGCAUGCCUCUUGAAUUCAUUUAUUUGUUAAAUUUGGAAGAUAACAUCAUUUUGUUGAUAGGAGGAGGGGAGGAUUGUUCAAUGAGAGGAUUGUUCAAUGAGUCUAGGGUACUUGCUUAAGGAACAUGCAUCACCAAUCUUAACAAACCAAGAUCAUGAUUUAUGGUCUAGGAGAUAAAUGAACAACCUAAAAUAAUCUUUAUAGUUGCUUAAAACUUGUUUAAAAUAACUUUUACAUAUGAUUGGAUUAUAAAAUUGUAAAAUUGCACACUCUUAAAAGUACCCCUUAUAAAUAUAAUACAAAAAAUUGUAUUAUUUUAUAUCACUAUUUAGAAAAAUAUUAAUAUUAAUACUAGAUUUAUAAGAAUUUGCUUUAAAAAAAAAAACAGAUCCUAAUACAUUACCUUUAUGAAUGAUAUAAUUGAUCAUAAACUACAUUAAGAAAGGGUUUGAAAUUUUCAAACUAUGAUGCUAUAUAUAUAUAUAUAUAUAUAUAUACACUUCCUGUUUACUAUUUAAUCUGUUAUCUGGUAUCAGAGCCUAUUGGGAUCUGGGUGGGAAUAGUAACAUAAAAGCCAGUAUUCUUAGAAAGAACAAGAGACCAUUAGACUAUAGGUAUGCAACUGAAUGGUGUAAGUCCCGUUUGAGUUUUAGGGCAAUAAAUCCAUAUAACCUGCAGCCUGUUUCCUAGUUUAUCUUUCCUUUCUAUGGAUUCCGUCUUUCACAGGACUACUUCUCUUUCGGCUUCCUCUACCUCUGAAUCUUCUGAAAGCAGAAGAAUAGUACAAAGUGAAGAGAUAACUAUUGAAGACUUUACAAAAAACAUUGAUGACUGGAAAAUUCCAAAAAUUUCCCAAACUCAGAUUUAUCAAAAAUCUAAAUAUGAUAUUUUCAAAACAGAUUUUACUAUCAAAACUGAAGAGCGAGAUAUUCAGCUUACCAAACCUUUUGAAACCAUUCAACUCCUCUCUCAAAAAUCCUUACAAAAACAUCUAGCCCGAAACUAUAAAUAUAUUCAUGUUGGCCUUGUCCAGGUUGGAAUAAAACCCCUUACAAAAGAAGGCUUAAACACCUCCAUUCUAGCUGUCCUCCGUGAUGCUAGAUUUCAAAACUUCCAAGACUCCCUCCUCAGUUCUAUUGAGUCUAGCCUUUGCAGUGGGCCGGUAUCAUUUGACUGUUAUCCAAACAUAACCAUAUCCCUCAAAGACAAAAAUAUCUUGCAAAGUAUGCUACUUCAAAUAAAGACCCACAACUAUGACAUGCUCGAAGGAUCUAUCCCUGUUGCUCUCAUAUUCAAAAUCCAUUACAAAGCCAUGUUCUCAGCCUUUGCCAGCAAACAUAAAUUCCAAUCUAAAAAAGGCGAAACACUCCUACUACAAACAGAUUUAUCCCGCUCAAACACUGUUGUCCCAAAAGCAAUCCAAUGGAAAGACAUAUCCCUACCAGAAGAUUGGAUCCUUGAAGGUGCAGCACCACCAGAACUACCACCACCACCUCAACCCAAUGUCCAAAUUAAAAACAUUACCCAAUAUACAGAUGGAAAAGUCAAACUGUCUUUCCACCGACACUCUACAAGUUCCAGAUUCUCAGAAGCCUCUUCCUCUUCCAGUACAAUAGAUUUGGGAAGAAUUUCCAAAAUCCCUUCUGUUAUCAAUAUCCCUUAUCACGAAAACCUUCCAAGAAAAUCUACAUCCGAUAUCCCUUCUCCUAGUUUCCAAAAUGCAGACUAUACUACAAGUAUACCAAAACCUGUCUAUACAAACCUUGAGCAACCAUCUCCUCCAACUUCACCGACCUUUUCAGCUAUUACUGAAAAUAUCCAAAACGAGCUGAAUGUUUUGACUUCAGAGAAACAUUUCGUCCUUGACAAAACACUUUUCAAAAAGGAUUUCUAUUCGGCCUGUAACUCUACAAAACGAAUUUGGUUUUUUCAAAACUUUCUCGAACAUAGAAGUGAAAUACAAAAACAAUUUUAUAAUUUCAUUGAGCUACAUAAAAUACAAAUUCUAUUCUUUGAUUGGUUCGAAUUAUAUUAUGCAUCUGAACAUCACAUUUCAUAUCCUUUUGCAUCCAUUAAGCAUGCAUGCUCGGUCACAUCAAGGUCAAAAACCCCAGUAUGGAACCUCACCAGUGGACCUACAGUUGAGUCUGAACAUCCACCUUUGAGAAAUAUCCAAAUAACCCAUAAUAACCAGACUGUCGAGGCAGCCCCUUACAAAUUAUCCACUGAUGACACCCUUUCCAAUACAAAACACAUCAUUAACCAAAACAACUUUACAAACACCAACCUUAAUACCUUGGGAAAGCAGCUUACAUGGCUUGAGAAACAAAUACAAAGAACUGCUACAAGUUCAACUGGCAUUAAAACCUCAACCGACUUAAAGCUAAAAAACCCAGUCUUCAAACCCUACCAAAUUACAAAAACCAGCCAAACACAGAUCCAAGAUAACCAAACAGAUUUUCUUAAAUAAGAAUAGUUGGUUCAGUAGUUAUGGAAAUAUCUGGGGCAAUGGUUGUUUUGGGAGUUUGCCAAGUAAGUCUGUUUAGGGUAAGAGGUUUUUGUGGAGAAGUACCUUCAUCAGAAGAUUCCUGAGGACUAUUCUGUAACGUGUUGACUUGAUUUGUAGAGGUAGAAGGGUUGGUUGUUUGUGGUGUGUCGGGGACAGUUAAAGAUGAACUGUCAAGGUGUUGUAGAUGCAUUUUAAUAGCUUUAAGAAAAUCUGUUUGGUUAUCUUGGAUCUGUGUUUGGCUGGUUUUUGUAAUUUGGUAGGGUUUGAAGACUGGGUUUUUUAGCUUUAAGUCGGUUGAGGUUUUAAUGCCAGUUGAACUUGUAGCAGUUCUUUGUAUUUGUUUCUCAAGCCGUGUAAGCUGCUUUCCCAAGGUAUUAAGGUUGAUGUUUGUAAAAUUGUUUUGGUUAAUGAUGUGUUUUGUAUUGGAAAGGGUGUCAUCAGUGGAUAAUUUGUAAGGGGCUGCCUCGACAGUCUGGUUAUUAUGGGUUAUUUGGAUAUUUCUCAAAGGUGGAUGUUCAGACUCAACUGUAGGUCCACUGGUGAGGUUCCAUACUGGGGUUUUUGACCUUGAUGUGACCGAGCAUGCAUGCUUAAUGGAUGCAAAAGGAUAUGAAAUGUGAUGUUCAGAUGCAUAAUAUAAUUCGAACCAAUCAAAGAAUAGAAUUUGUAUUUUAUGUAGCUCAAUGAAAUUAUAAAAUUGUUUUUGUAUUUCACUUCUAUGUUCGAGAAAGUUUUGAAAAAACCAAAUUCGUUUUGUAGAGUUACAGGCCGAAUAGAAAUCCUUUUUGAAAAGUGUUUUGUCAAGGACAAAAUGUUUCUCUGAAGUCAAAACAUUCAGCUCGUUUUGGAUAUUUUCAGUAAUAGCUGAAAAGGUCAGUGAAGUUGGAGGAGAUGGUUGCUCAAGGUUUGUAUAGACAGGUUUUGGUAUACUUGUAGUAUAGUCCAAACACCUUGACAGUUCAUGGUUAGCUAAAAUGCAUCGAAAUAUGCAUCUGAACAUAUUUUUUAUACAAUCAUAAUUUUGAAAAAUUACUCUACUAUUAAAAAGGAAAUCCUUUCAAUUGUUCUUUGUAUUACAAAAUUUCAAAGUGACUUAUUAAAUCAAAAAUUUCUCUUACGUGUUGACUGCAAAUCCGCAAAAGAAGUUCUCCAAAAAGAUGUCCAAAAUCUUGCUUCCAAACAAAUCUUUGCCAGAUGGCAAGCCAUUUUAAGUAUUUUUGAUUUUGAUAUUGUUUACAUUAAAGGAGAAUCAAAUUGCAUCCCUGAUUUCCUAACCCGAGAAUUCCUUCAAAACAGGUCCUGAUGCCUCCUAAAGCAAAAGCCAAGGACAAGGGAAAAGCCCCUCAAACACAGCCUACAAAACCAGAGAGCCCCAAGCCUUCUACAAAACUCAUGUCUUCAGCCAUCCUCGCUGCCAAGCCUAUCAAAUCUUGGUAUGAGGCAGUUAUUGAAGAUGAAGACACUACAAAACCACCACAAGUACAAACAGAUGCAGUUCAACAUUGGGUUGACACUAUAUCCAAAUCGCCAGAAUUACUCCUGGCAUUGCAAAAAGUAUCUCAACAAGCCUCCACUGACUCCGUGUCUCCAACAGGUAGUAUUUCCAAAUCACUUUCAAAACCCCAAGGAGGCAUUUUAUCUUCAAAACCCCUCCUUUCCUUACAACAAACAAGUUUUCCAAAAACCAAAUCCAAAUAUAUUUUCAAAAAUGCUUUCCAAAACAUUUUAACUAUGGAAGAAGGAUUUUACCAUGAAAACCCUUCCAUUGCUGCUUCAAAAAUUUUCCCUCCAAAAUGGCACUAUAAACCUUGGAAUCUAGCUCAACCACAAUCCUAUUAUGCAACUAUCCUUGAAAUUACCGAUUUCAGGUCUUUUUAAGGCUCAUCUGUUUAGAGCCCAUUUCUUUUAGACUCAGAUGUUUUGAGCCUUUUAUUUUUCGGCCUAUCUAUUUUAAGGCCUUUUCUACAAAAGUUACCGGUUACUACAAACCCACCAAUCAAGUGUCGGUGGCAAGACGACAACAAACGAAGCUCAACCAAAAACGUGGACAAUUUCCAUUCUGUCGCCAUCCAAUCAAGGCAGACAGCACCACAUGGGCUCCUAUAGGUUCUGCCAAAGGCCACAUGGGUUCACAUGGGUCCUGAAGAGCUUCCCCAACAGGACAAUUUGGCCUCUUCCAUGCCAACUCGCCUAUAAAAGGCCACUUCAAAACCCUGAGAGGGCGGACUAAUCUUUCCCCUAGAAAACUUUACUCUCCCCUAAAAAUUUGUAACCCAUUCUCCUCUGUAACCAAUAUCUCCUGUCUUAAUUUUGUUACAAAUUUAAAGUAAGAUAAUCUUAUCUACGUUUUUUGUUAUAUCUGUUGGCCAUGGUCAUUUGUUGGAGAGUGUUUAGGAUAUUAUAUUCGGACAUUCCAUCUAUAUUCCAUUCAUAGAGGGAGGAGGCAUUAUACUUGUGUUGAGUAAGAAUAGUUGGUUCAGUAGUUAUGGAAAUAUCUGGGGCAAUGGUUGUUUUGGGAGUUUGCCAAGUAAGUCUGUUUAGGGUAAGAGGUUUUUGUGGAGAAGUACCUUCAUCAGAAGAUUCCUGAGGACUAUUCUGUAACGUGUUGACUUGAUUUGUAGAGGUAGAAGGGUUGGUUGUUUGUGGUGUGUCGGGGACAGUUAAAGAUGAACUGUCAAGGUGUUGUAGAUGCAUUUUAAUAGCUUUAAGAAAAUCUGUUUGGUUAUCUUGGAUUUGUGUUUGGCUGGUUUUUGUAAUUUGGUAGGGUUUGAAGACUGGGUUUUUUAGCUUUAAGUCGGUUGAGGUUUUAAUGCCAGUUGAACUUGUAGCAGUUCUUUGUAUUUGUUUCUCAAGCCGUGUAAGCUGCUUUCCCAAGGUAUUAAGGUUGGUGUUUGAAAAUAUUAUGCAUCUGAACAUCACAUUUCAUAUCCUUUUGCAUCCAUUAAGCAUGCAUGCCCGGUCACAUCAAGGUCAAAAACCCCAGUAUGGAACCUCACCAGUGGACCUACAGUUGAGUCUGAACAUCCACCUUUGAGAAAUAUCCAAAUAACCCAUAAUAACCAGACUGUCGAGGCAGCCCCUUACAAAUUAUCCACUGAUGACACCCUUUCCAAUACAAAACAGAAUUAUUGUUUACAUUAAAGGAGUAUAUAUAUAUAUAUAUAUAUAUAUAUAUAUAUAUAUAUAUAUAUAUAUAUAUAUAUAUAUAUAUAUAUAUAUAUAUAUAUUGAUAUAUAUAUAUAUAUAUAUAUAUAUUCUUUUUGGCUUUCAAUAAUUGCUACAAAGGUGAGUUAUCACAAACCACAAGAUAUCCAUGUGUUCACUCUCUAACGGUAAUCUACACGAACCAUCAAUGAGAAAUCUCCUAAAUUCUUUUAGAAUAGAGGAAUUUCUAUACCUUUGAGUGUUAACUCUUUUCUUUUGUGUUUAGAUAUUUUUGUAUUGCACUGUCUUGUAUAAAAAAUAAGUAGUAUAACAUUCUAUUUAUAGGGAAACCUAAAAACCCUAUAAAUAAAAAAAUAUCAAUUCACACUUUAAAUAAUAUCACAUAUAUUAUUUUAGAAUAAUUUUAGAAAUUUAUUCAAUCAAGUCCCUAUUCGAUUUUUUUUCUAAGUCUAGAAUUGUAAUCUCUUAUAUUCAUUACAUUAUAGUACUUAAUUUCUAAAACAUAAUUACAAUCAAGUCACACUUGAUUAAUCAUUCCAUUUUAAUUUCUGACUAAUAAUUCUUUUAUGUGUGAGUCAAUACGUUCCCUAAUAAGAUAACCCAAAUAUAAAUUAUAAUCCUAAAUAAAUAGGAUUAAAUAAAUUAAACAAUUUAAUUUAUUAUCAGUUCAACAAUUGAUUGAUUUAUAUUUGAAGAUCAAAUAAAUAUAAUGUCUAGCAACCUUUCAUGAUCCUCUAAGUAUUUAGAAAGUCAUAAGUGAUUCGACUUAAUCUUUUAUUGACCAGUUUCUCAAUGUAAUUAUUAUCAUUUAUCAAUAAUGUUUUAAUUUAAACAUUAUAGCAUGGAGUAUGUCAAGGUAGUGACUCCCUGAUCUUGACAUCCCGUUACGCUACGCGCCCACAUGCGACUCACUCAUUCCACUAGUUUACCAAGUUUUAUUGCUAAAAAGGAUAUAGGAUACACUCAUGGAGAUCAGUUAUUUCUUUAGAGAUAUAUGCUCCAACAAGUUGCAGAUAUAACACAUGGAGAUGCUUGAAAUGAAUAUAGUCUAGACAAUUUACAAACUUGAAAUGAUAUUCCUUGCAUCUUUCUUUGACUCAAUAGAGCAUCUACUCAUACAUCUACCGUUUAAGGCAAAAGUUGAAGACCCAGUCCAUAUAGAUAGAUGUAUCCAUUCGAGAAGUUAAUGAUUACACAUACAUCAUAAUUAAAAUUCUAUUGUUUUUUUAUUAAUUCAAAAUAUUCAUUUAAUUUCAUGCAUGUACUUGUUCAGCCUUAAGAGAAAAGUAAAAAAAUAAGGCGUAUGUUGAGGCUUCGAUAUAUGAAGCUUAUAUUGUUAAAGAGAUCUCAACAUUUAUCUCGUACUAUUUCGAGCCGUACUUGAGAACAAGAAUCAAUUGUGUUUCAAUACAUGACGACGAUGGGGAAGUGACUUCAAAUGGAAACUUGUCUAUACUUUUCUAUCUUGGACGACCCGUACCAAAACAUGUUGUGAGGAGAACAUAUUUAACAGAAAUAGAAUUCAAACAAGCACAUAAUUAUGUGCUAUUUAACUCCAAAAAAAUUUCACAUGGUUUAGAACAUUUGUAAAAACUGUUUAAUUAUUCUUAUAUCUCGAGAUAUUUAAUUUCAUUACACAUUUCUCAUUAACUAUGAUGGAGAUGUAAUUUAUGUACCAGGUUUAUCAAUUGAGAAGGAAUGCUAAUGUUACUUUGAAUUUACUAAGUCUGGAUCCUGAAAGAAAGGUGAAGUGCUAUAACAGGUAUUUCAUCAAUAGACAUAUGUUUCAUACUGAAGAGUAUAGUCAGAGUAGAAAGACAUGUAACAGUGGGAUCUGUGUUAAAGGAUCAACUUUUAAGAGUUUGAAGUUGACUAUUAUGGAAACUUAGAAGAGGUCAUUGAAUUGCAAUAUAAUAGCGAGCAAAAUACAGUCUUUUUAUUCAAAUGUUAUUGGUAUGAUACUACUAACAAAAAAAUCAAAUUAAAUCUCCAUCAUGGUUUGGUCGAAAUUAAUACAAAGGCUAGACUCUGCAGCGUCAAGGAUAUCUUUGUUUUUGCCAAGCAAUGCCAGCAAAUUUAUUACACAUUCACUCCAUUUAAAAAUGAUUGUUCAAGAGUUGAUUGGUUAUCUGUAGUGAAAAUCAAACCCAAAAAUCAUGUCCAGGUUGUUCAGAAUGACAACUAUGAAUUAACUGUGGGAGAUGAUGUUUUUCAACUUGAUAAGUUAGUUGAUCCAUAUCGAGUUGCUCCAUCUAAUGACUUAGAAGAAAAAUCAAAUUUUCGCAUCGCCGCGAGAAUACUUUGGUUAAUGUUGACAUUGGGGAUUUAAAUGGUGUUUUGAGAACUAACGGACAUAUAGAAGUUGAUGGAGAUGAUGAUAGUGAUGAAAUCAACGUAGAAGAUUGCAAUGGAGAUGACUUAGUCCGUUGUUAUAUUCCAGAGAGUUGGAAAAAAAUUACUGCAAAUGCUAUUGAUUUUCUGUUUUUGUUUAGUAGAUUUUUUUUUAAAUCUAAAUUAUUCCUGAUGGGGUUACCUAAAAUCUAAGUUCAUCGGUAUAUUCCAAAGAGUUUGAAAAGAGUUAUUACAAAUGUCAUUGCCACUGUUUACUCACCAACGGAAUAACAAACAGUUUGUUUGACAAUUAUAUGUUAAAUUCAACGAGUGAAAUACUGACGGACCAAAACAGAACCACCGAUGAAAUGACAUACGGUUUUUCUGUCGGUGAUAUAUUAUAUUCAACAAUGGAAAUACUGAUGGAAUGAAGCGGGUAAAAAAAAAAUUAGCAUUGUUUUUCCAUCAGUAAAUCCAUCGGUAAAAUUAUUACUGACAGACCUCAAAUCACUUAUGAGAGUUUUUUCAACAAAUUAUUUCUAUCCGUGAGCCUGUUUUCUAAGUAGAAGUAUGGACAAAAAAAUCUGUCAAUAAAUCUAAAAAUUUUAGUUGUGUUUGGAUGUCUUAUUCUUAUAAUAAUUCUACAAUUUUUUUUAUUGCUUUCGUUUAUUGUCUAAUUAUUAGUUCUGAAUAUUUCACUUUACACUAAACAAUUGCAAUUUUUACGAACAAUUCCAACCUCCUCUAGCAGCGUACUCAAGGAGGACAAUAGCUGCAUAGCAUGGCUUGACAAGCAAACUCGUAAAUCAGUUAUCUAUGUAAGCGUGGGAAGCGUACUUUUCAUGCAGGAGAAAGAACUAGUAGAAAUGGUUUGGGGCCUAGCCAGCAGCAAGCAGCCUUUCUUGUGGGUGCUUAGGACUGACUUUCCUGAUGGUAUAAGGAGAAAAAAAAAAAACACUGUAUGGGAUAGAGAUUGCAAUGUGAAACGAACAGCACAAAUGGAAGUGUUAGCACACGCUGCAGUUGGAGGGUUUUGGAAUCAUGGUGGCUGGAAUCCCACAAUGAAAAGUUAAUCCGAAGGAGUUCCAGCGAUAUGCAAAACUAACAUACUUUGGGGAUCAAAGGGUGGAUGCAAGAUAUGUGAGUCAUGUAUGGAAAGUAGGCUUUUGAGUUUGAGCCUGAAAUGGAGAGGGGGAAGAUUGAAGAAAGAACUGUAAGAAAACUAAUCGUGGACAGAAAGGGGGAGAUGAGGCAGAUAGCAAUGGACUUGAAGCAGAAGUUUGAAAUGAGCAUAAGCGAUGCGAUGGUGGUUUUUCUUCUAAUUCCUUGAAUGGAUUAGUAGAGUUCAUAAUGUCUUGUUGUUGAUUGCCUACAUUGAUUAGUUUAUGUUAGUUUCCUCACAAGCUUUUUCAAUAAGUAGCUAAGUUUGUUCGAAAGUGCAUUUUGGUGAUAAUGCUAGUGUGGAUUUUAGAGAUGAGGGAUUUGAAUCACUGGCCAAAUUGUACAUUUUCAAAGUUAAAAGUUGUGGUUUGAGUCUUCUGCGCUGGUUUUGGACAGGCUCAAUCAUCAUUUUGUCUUACGCUUUGUUAGUUUUGAUCAGUUCACUAGCUCACUUUUAUUGUUUUAUUCAUUGUUCUUCGUUCACUGGCUCACUUUUAUUGUUUUGUUCUUUGUUCUUAACCCUUAGCAAAAUCUUCCUUGCACAUUAAAUAAUUAAUAGGUUGAAAAAAACAUAGUACAUUCGUUUCCUUCCUCAACUCCGACAUGGGUAAUAAAGAUAAUCUCGGAAGACUAAUGCUCAUAAAAAAAUUGCUCAAAGGAAAUAAAUUGACUAGUUGCAAAGAAAAUCCGAAGAAAAAAAAUCAUCAGGGCAGUUUCUGGUCUCAGUGUAGUGAAGAAGCAGCUCGAAGCCUUGAAUGUCAACACUUGGGAAGAUCGGCUGGUGGAGGAAGCAGCUUCUGAUUGGGAAGCUUUCCAUCCAGGACAACCCAAGCCAUCUUCAAGCCCCAGCUUGUGUGCACUUCUAGAUGGCAAUGCAUGAACCAUACACCUGAUGAUGCCAUCAUCCACAAAUGAUACAACUCAGCAAAACAUGGUACUACGUACAUACAUAAAUCUAAUUAUCUAAGCCAGGAUAUUACUCAGCACAUUAUAUACUUAUAAUUAAUUACCAACCUGGGUUGUCGGCUAGAAAACGUAUAGCAACCCAGCCUCCAGAGGGCACUCCCACGGUAUUCCUUUCAACGGGGUCAACAAGAUUGAAAUUUGCCGGAUCCUUUUUUGGAUCAAAGUUCCCAAAUCCUUCACCAACAACAAAGAAAUUGAAACCAUGCAAAUGAAGAGGGUGGCUCUCAGCACCAAGUAUGCUGGUGUCCUGCAUAAUGAGCUCCACGCUGGUGUUAAAAGGAAGCACAACUAGCUUUGUUCCAUUGCUCACCAUAGUAUUGUUUGGUGGGGUGCCGGUAUAAUUAAAAGGGAUUAGUGGAUUGAUUGGAAAGUUAGGGCUGUAAACGCCCUUUGAUUGACCAAAAUGAUGGGCUUGGAGUAGAGCUUUGGUUGGCAUCACAAAUGAUACAUUAUUAACUGAAGCUGCAAACAUUGUUCCAUUUGGUCCCUGGCAGGUUUUGUUUUUGGAGCAUGGGUUUGUUCCAAGGCUUACACUGAAGAAAAAUUGCCUGUCUACCUUUUGCGGCACAUUGGCAGGGAAUUCUGCACUUGCUAGGCUGCGGAGUUUGCUUGUGAAAUUUGUAGCAAAUGAAGUGUCAUUUAGAGGUGGUAGAUUUGGUUUAUAGAACGGCAGUUUCUUAGGGGAGUGGCUUGAUUUAAUGGUUUUGUUUGAUUCUUCAUAUUCUAAGAUUCCAGCAACAGUUGAAUUAUCAAAAGUUCCUUGACCAGUCACGUAAGGUCUAGCAGACAUGAAAAAACUGGCGUUUGGGUGGUGGGGCUUGGUCUUUAGAAGAACAUUUGUGGUUUGUCCAGGAGCAAUGAGAAGUGUCUCGGUAUCAAAUGGUUUCACAUAAAUAGCAUCAACAUCAACAACUGUGAGUGUAUGGUUUGCUAUGCUGAAGAAGAGCUCGUCAUUGAGUGCGGCGUUGAUCAUGCGAAGAAGGUAAGUCUUUCCUGGCUUUACCUUCAGCUUGAAAGUAUCUGCCAAGCACCAUGCACAUAAGGUGAAUCAGAGGGAAAAAAAAAUGCUCUGCAUGGUUGUAGAAGGCCUACUGCGCUAACAUAUUAUACCUUUGGCAGAGCAGUUAUACAACGGCCCUGGAAAUCCAUUGAUAGUGUAGGCAUCAGAGACAUUUGGGCCUCCACCCGUUUGCAUUGCCUGGUUAAUGAUUGCCUCUGGAUCUGCAUUGAACCACUCUCCUGCAAUUUAUUUUGCAUUAUCGUUUGUGUUAGCAGACAUAGGACUCCAUCAACAGGGGAAAAAAAUUGAUGCAAGUUUUAACGAGCUCUUAUUCAAAGUAGCUUAAUUAAUUCCUUAUAGUAGAUUACCGAAGAUGAUUGGAACUUCCUUGUGAGGUUUAGCAAAUGGAUAAGUAGUGCCGAGUUUGGGAAGAAUGAUAAGUGGACCGUAGAGAGUUGAUCUUAGCCAUGAUAUAUGAGCAUGCCACCAAAGAGUGCCUCUUUGUCCUACGAUGGUGUAGUUGUACACAUAGCUCUGUCCAGUUUGUAUAGGGCACUGAGUUAUGUAUGCCGGUCCAUCAGCCCACCCACUUCGAAGCUGCCGAAUUCCAUGCCUGUAUCAAUGAAAUCGUCGACAGAGAUUUAGACUCAGCUUUUUCUAUAUAAUGUUCACUAUAUUUGGAGAAAAUUGAAGGAGGCCAGUCCAUAUAUAUGUACCAGUGAAUAGAGAUAUUGUUUUGGACAUGGUUAACCACUUUAAUAAGAAGACGAUCACCCUCCCUAGCAACAAUGCGAGGCCCCGGGAACUUCCCGUUGACUGUUACAAUGCUCUUGGUGUGGCAAAGGCGGGUCACAUUUUGUAACAUAACCUGCAAAAUUUCAUUUUAUUUAGACUGUUAGGAAUCAAGUUAAAAACAGAGGAUAAAAAAUUUGAACAAUUUUAGGUACUUAGACAAUGACAUGCGUGUAACACACACAUACAUCAAAUUUGUAGUGCCUGGUAAUGGCAAGUGCAGGCUCUGGAUGGAUAGACAAAGUGACAAAUGAGAUGAGAAAAACUGCAAGAAAUGCUGGUGAUGGAAGAAAUGAAGCACCCAUUUUUAUCUGUUUCUUCUUUUCGAGAGGAGCUGCUCUUUUGGGACUGUAUGUACAUCAAAGCUUAGAAACCAGUAUAUAUAGAGAGUUGGAAGGCAGGGUGUUUCGUUGAUUAGGUGACAGAAAUUGUAUAGUUUAAAAAUGAAAAGAAAACUAGAACAAGCUACAUGAAACUAUGCAUAAUUUUCAGUUUAUUACCAACUUUAGAGUGCAGUCAAAGCCAAUUGCCUUUGUGUCCUUCCUUUUGAAGUAAAAAACCUGUCUUCCCUACUUAAAUAAUAUUAUCCCAAUUUUACUGGCAUGUCAUUUUCCAGAUUUCUUACAUGCAUUUUCUGUCUUGGGUAAAAAAGACUUCCAUUUUCAGCAACAAGUAGGGUUUCCAUUUAAACCGCUUCCACCCAUCCAUGGUCAUACUGGUGUAACAGUGAUAGGUUUCCAUUUUCUGUUGCGUAUCAAUGCUGCUACGUACCAUAACAGCAAUGCAUUGGUUAGCUAGCUCCCCGCCAUCAUCAAAACUUAAGAUGGUAUUUUCAGUUGGUCGAAAUACUAAUUGCAAGCAGUUUUUGAAAGAGCAAUCUUAGCCAACAUCAAGAAAGUUUAACUAUAAUCAUAUGGGGUGGAGCUUAACUGGUUAGAUUCUGAAUUUGCUGUUGCUAAGAGAUCAUCAUUUCGAGUAUUACAAAUCUCAGGGUUAUUGAAGACUUACAUAGUUAUUAACUUUAGAGCCUCGAAGGAUUAAUCGAUGUAUGUGUAAACCGAGAUGGUUAUAAAAACAAAAAAAAAAAACAAAGUUUAACCACGUAUGUAAGAUAACAGCGCAGUGCUUGCUGACAAAGCUAACCAAGAUUGGUGUUUCUAUCAAAGAAAGUCUAUUUCAGUGUUAGAUGUGUGUAAUGAAGUACAGGCUACAGAUGAAUAGGAGGGAGACCGCACCUGAAGCAAUUUUAUCUCAAGCAAACAUAGCAACAUACUAACUACCGUGGGAAUAUAUAAAUAUAAUUCCCAGAGAAUUUCUACAUUUUGAGGUGCAAAAUGCUGUUUGAUUUUGAUGGGCACAAAUCGAGCCUAUAGCUGAGAAUUUCAUCUUCACAAUUAUGUCAAACUACCCUUCAUUUCGAUGGGUCGUGAUUUUUAAAAAAUUCGUUGGCCUACACAGCCAUGGGACUUAUAUUCAGGGCGGCGCAAGAAAAAAAAAAUAAAAGGAUCAAAUUAAAAAUUUAUUUUUUAAAAAUAAAAAUUUCAGUUAUUUUAUACAAAGAAUAGACUGAAAAAAACAUUUCGUUGCAAGGGCCGGAUCCCUGCCAGCCCCCGCCUCCGCCACUGUGUAUAUUGCAGCUAUUUGGACUGGAAAAAUAAAUAAAUUGAUAUUUAUGUUAAUUUUGAUACAAGAAUGUCAAAACCAUCUUAAGACAAAACUAAAAAAAAUACAAAAUAUUCAAAUUUAAAAUAUAUUUUUGUAAAAAUAUCGAUAUGAACCAUAGAGUAUCUUGAAUGAGUUGUUUUUUGAUGGAUACAUCCCAACAUUCUCAAAAGCAAUUAUGAAAUUAAUAUCCAAUAAAAAUCAACUCCUGUUGGAGCUGUGGUUGUUGAAAAGCAUCAAUACCCUGACAAAUGUUCUCUCUUUUUAAAGGGAUGCGUUUUAAUUCGAAAAAAAAAAAACAAAAAAAAUCCUCGCAUUUCUGGUUUUCUACAAAAGUGUAAAAAAAACGACACUGUUCCGUGGUUGGUUCUAUCUCCAACCUUCACCAACCCAAAUAAAACACUAAGUUAUUAACCAUCUAGGUGAUGGCCCAGUGGUAAGAGCUUGGAACCAAGAGGUUUGCUCCCUCUGUGGUCUCAGGUUCGAGCCCUGUGGUUGCUCAUAUGAUGGCCACUGGAGGCUUACAUGGUCGUUAACUUCAGGGCCCGUGGGAUUAGUCGAGGUGCGCGCAAGCUGGCCCGGACACCCACGUUAAACUAAAAAAAAAAAAAAACACUAAGUUAUUAAUGGUGUGUUUUGGAGUACGGUCAAAUCAUGUUUUUUAUAAAUUUAAAUAUUUUUUAUAAAAUUAAUUUUUUUAAUUUUUAAGUUGUUUUGAUUUGCUCAUAUUAAAAAUAAAAUUUUAAAAUAAUAAUAAAAAUAUUAUUUUAAUAUAUUUCCGACUGAAAAACACAUUUUAAAAUAGAUCCUAAAUGUCUAAUUAAUUAGUUAAUUCAGCUGUACUUAAUAUAUUUUUGACAAAAAACACUUUAAAAAAUAACAUUUAUUACACUUUCAAAAAGGUCCUAAAUAUCUAAUCAAUUAGUCAAUUCAGCUCUACUGUAAAUAAUUUGUUCAAUUGAGUCUCACAUUUUAAAAUUGCAGUCAAUUGAGACAAAUACUCAACUUAAUCCGAUUAGUCCGUUACCAUGUUUGUUUCUCGGAAAGUGGUUUCCCGGAAACUACUUUCCAAACUUUCCUGUAUUUAUUUGCCACUAGGAAAGUUGGUUAACAGAAAACACUUUCCAGUCAAAGGAAAAUUUGGCUUGGUUUCCAGGAAAGUGUUUUCCUGGAAAAUUUGAGCGGAAAACACUUUCCGGAAGUUGUGAAAAAUUAUUAUUUGCUGAUUAUAUCAAAUUUGGUCCUCAAACUUUUGAUUGCUAUAUAUAUUUUGUUUUGAAUAUUUAUUUUUCAAUUUCAUCUCUUAAAAUUUAAUUUUUAUAUUAACUUUGGUCCUCAUUUUUAUAAUUGUUAUUUAUUUUUUCCUUAUCAUUUUCUUAUUGAAAUUUUUUAUCUAUCAAAUUUGGUCCUCAUUCUUUUGAGUGUUACUUAUUUUAUUUGAAAUAAUUUAUGAAAUGUUAAUUAUUAUUAUUUUAAUUUUUUCAUCUUUCAUUUUUAUUUUACUUUUUAGAUUUGAUUUCUAUUAUUUUGAUUAUUAUUUAUUUUAUUUGAGAUAAUUUAUGAAAUUAUAUUUUUUUUCAAUUUCAUCCUCAUUCAACUUUUUAAUUUGUAAAAUUUGUUCCUCAUUAUUUUAAUAAACUUGAGAAAAUAAAACAUUGAUAAGUUAUUUUCCAACUCAUUUUCCAUGACAUAACCAAACACUGGAAAAUGUUUUCCAACUUAUUUUUCAUUACACUACCAAACAUCGAAAAAUAAUUUACUUUUCUGGAAUUCACUUUCUCGGAAUUUACUUUCCAAAAAGAAACUACUUUCCAGCAAACAAACGGGGUGAAGUGGACUGUGGGGGCAUAUUUUUCUAUUUGUAUGGGACCUUGGUAUGGAAUUAAAAUUUUCUUUUCUUUUUCAAAUUUUAUUUAUUAACAUGAAACUUUCUUCUUCAAUUUUACUUUUUGUAUUUCUAUUUUUAUGUUUGCUCUGUUUGAACAGAAAAAUCCCAACUCCAGCUCAUUUCACAUAGUAAUUCGAAGGAAAUUAUAUAUUGUACUCGAUUGACUAUAAUUGGAAAACAUGGGGCUCGAUUGAGCAAAUUAUUUAUAUAAGGGAUACAUUGAUAGAAUGGGGACUAGUUAUGUGCCCGCAUCAUACAUGACAGGAAAAUAAAUAACUUUUUAAAGAAAAUUAAAGAUUAAGUGAGAUAAAAAUAUAUAUGAAAACAUCUAAUCUAGGAGUUUUUAAUUAUUUUUUUAAUUUUUUAAUAUUAAAAAUAUUUCUUGCUGUUAUGUUUAAGAAAAAAAAAUCAAAUAAAUUAUGAAGCUAAAUAUCCAAUCAACUCAAAUGUCAAAGCACAAAAAUGAUAAAAAAAAAUAUUCAAAAGGACAAAAAAAAAGACUGAAGUCAACCUGAGUAAACUUGUCAACUCACAACUCAAGUUAUGAGAAUAAGAUAGCCCUAUAAAAAACAAAUAAAAAAAAUAAAAAGCCAAAUUCACAACCAAGCCAAAUUUUAAGGACAAAAUAAAAAACAUAGAUUUAAAAAGAAUGAUAAAAAAAAAAAAAGACUUGAGCGAAACCCCGGUCAAACUUGUCAAACCAUGAUCUAGGUCAUGAAAUUGGGCUAAUCCCAUAAAAAGAAAUUAGGAAACUUAAUCCGCAACAAAACCAAUGGUGAAGAAUGAAGUUGAAAAGAAAUAAUUUUAAAAAAUGACCCAAGUCAACCUGUAAACCCCGGGAUAAAUUGAAAAUAAUAAUAUAAUAAAAAUUAAGGUGUAAUGCAAUGAAAUAAGAAAAGAAAAGGAAAAUGGUGUUAAGGAGAUAAAAGAGAAGAAGAAGAAUAAGAGUUUAUGGCUGAAAAUGCCUAUUUUUCCAGUAGCGAAAACGGUCUAGCCGUUGCUUAUAAACCAGUCGGAUCGUUUUUUAAAAAUGAUUAGACCAUUUUGACUACUAUCUCUGUUAUAACUUGAUGGUCUGCAGCAAGAGUGGAAAGGGCCAUUCCAUUUCUUCUUCUUUUAUUUCACCUUGAAUGACUAGAAAGUGAUGGUUAGGAGUAAAUAAAGAGUAUUUUGAUAGAAGAGAACACAUCUACACUAGAAAUUUAUCAAAGAGAGAAAAUAUUGAAAUAGAGAGAGAAAAUGAAGAAAGAAAAUGAAAAGACAGAAGCUUUGGGAAAUUCGGAUGAAUCAACUUUCAAAAUAUGUUUGGAAAUCGGGUAAGGUGUUUGAAACCCAUUUAUAUCAAUUUGAACAAUAGUUUAGUGAUUUGAGCAAAAAGAAAAAAUGAUCAAAAUUGAGUUAGGGUUGUGAGAUGAAAUUUUAGGGAAAAGUAAAAUUCGUAGAAAUUAGGUUUUUAAGAUCCUUAGAGGUUGUUGUGGGAGUGGAAUCAUGUUGAAUUAACAAAGAAAUUUGAAUGGGUAAUGAAGCCUAAGGGCCGACCAUUGAGAGAUAAAAACAGAGGUUUGAUGAAUUUGUGUUACUCUUGUAAAUUGUGUUGAAAUUGUGGUAACUAAACACAUGGGUAAUAGUUUAGAUGAGAAAUUAACGAAAUUAAAGUGAGUUUUAGUUGUAUUAAUUCUUGUAGUGUUAUUGUGAUGGGCUGCAUGUUGAAUUGAUGAGGAAUUGAUGGUUAAUUGGAUGAAUAAGAAAUGGUUGAGGUUUCAAUCCAAGAAAAAUUAUCCUUUAUUUUUAUAAGGUUUCAACCAAAACAAUAAAAUGAAGGGGGAGAAUUGUUAACAUGGGAUUUUGUUUAGAAUGUGUUAGGUUGAUCAUUUGAUGAAUGGGUGAAGGAUUAAUGAGAAAAAAAAUAGAAAGAAAAAAUAUCUUCUUCUUUUGGUAUUUUCAACUAAAAGAUAAAUGAAUUGUAUUAACUUGUUUACGUGAAAUAAAGUUAAUGCAAGGGUAAGAGACGUUUGACAUUGAGCUGUUAAAAUUGUAGGAGAGAUUGUUUUGAGGUACCGAGACAGGAUCCAACACAGAGCUCAAAUGUCUGGUAGGUGCUCAGCACCUUAUUAAUUAUAUUCUAUUUAGAAAUGUUAAAACAUCGUACUUAGAUUCUUGAUUAUUCAAUGGUAUUAUUCUCUUAUAUGAUAUUAUUGCCCUGUUUUGGACAAGAUAGCUAGUUCUUGGUUUAAGAAUUAGUAUCAUGUUUUGGAUUGGAUGACUAAUUCUUGGUUUAAGAACUAGUGUCAUGUUACAGGCUGGAUGGCUAGUUCUUGAUUUAAGGAUUAACGCCUUAUUUUGUGCUAUGAAUCUAGAUAUCUUGAAUAAGAUUAAUGCCUUGUUUCUAGGCAAUAUGGAGGUUACCUUGAAUGAGGGUUUACUACCUGGAUCCGGGUUAAGGAAUUGUUUUAAUUAAUAUGAGGAAAAGAUAAAGAGAACUUACUUAAUUUCCAAUGGUCUACUUUAAGUUAUUCAAUAAAUUUAUUAUAUGAUGUUGAAAACUUUAUGUCAUAUUAAUUUAUUAAUGAUAUAAAAUAAAUUCAAGAUCCUUGCAGCUUCAUCGGGUCUAAUUGAUAAUGUAACCCUUGCAUUUUGUAUUUAUAAGAAUAUUAAUAAAGUUGCAUAUUGUGUAUAGUUAUUUUUUUUUUUGUUAUGAUAACAAUAUUAAUGAUGUUGCAUAUUAUGUAUAGUUUUGGGGAUGACAACAUGAAUGUUAAUUAAUUAUUGUAAUUACUAUUAUAGGAUCUUAUGAUAUGUUGGACUUAAAUAUUAAUUAAAUCCAUGACUACUUAUAUAGAUUUUAUUUUGAUAAUGUUUGUAUUAAAUUCUUAAUAUAGUAGAUAAAUUAUCUUUAUUUUAAAUUAUAUGUUAUCAUGUUCUAAUUAUUGUAUGAAUGAUUCAAUUAAACCAUAAUGAAAUGAGAUGAAUGUGAUGCGUUGAUUUGUGAUGUGAUGAGUCCAAGAUAAUUGUAUAAUUUAACCAUAAUGAUUGUAUGAAUGAUUCAAUUGAACCAUAAUAAUUUAGUCAUGUGUUUAAGAGUGUGGUAGAAGUUACUUUUAAAAGUAUUUUUUAUUUGGAAAUGUGUCAAAAUAAUGUCUUUUUUAUUUUAAAAAAAAUUAUUUUUUAUACCAGCAUAUUAAAACAAUCCUAAAACACCAAAAAUAAUUAAUUUAAAGCUAAAAAAAUUCAAAAAAUUUUAAAAACAAGAUUUAACCUUAGUACUAAACAAUACUUAAAUGCGCUCAAAUUUCACCACCAAAUGGUUUCAAAAGGUUUUACAUCCAAAAGAAAAUAUUUAUUUCUUUUAUAAUGUGUUAGGCCCAUCUAAUAGGCCAUCUGUUUCUGGGCCGACUUUUACAAGUUCUAUACGCUAAGAGAUUUUUCUUAGGCUCUCUCUUUGUGAUUAGACCGGGCCUUUCAUGGAUUAUUUAGGCUGGAUUUGGGGGUUUUUUAAGUAUUGCACUGGUGCAGCAAAAAUCAAUACCCUCUAGGCCUCUUAGUCAACAAAGUAAUUCAUAUAGUGGGCCUAGUAGAGCUUAUGUUCAUAACCCGCUUAGGAUUUUGGGUUAUUAGAUUAACAAGGGUUACUUAUCCCUUGUUUGUUUCCAUGAAAAGUGCUUUCCUGAAAACCACUUUCGAGACUUUUCUAUAUUUGUUUAUUAUUAGAAAAGUUUGUCAAUGAAAAACACUUUUUAGUUAAAGAAAAAUUUAACUUGAUUUUCAAGAAAGUGUUUUCCUUUUAUCUUGGGCUGAAAACAUUUUCCAGAAGUUGUGAAAAAUUUAGAAAUGUCAUGUUAUUUGUUGAUUAUAUCAAAUUUCAUCUUCAAACUUUUGAUUGCUAUAUAUUUUGUUUUGAAUCUUUUUUGUCUUCAAUUUCAUCCCUUAAAAUUUGAUUUAAUUUGAUUUUUAUAUCAACUUUGGUCCUUAUUUUUAUGAUUAUUAUUUGCUUUUCUCUUAUCAUUUUUUAAUUGAGAUUUUUUAUUUAUUAGAUUUGAUCCUCAUUCUUUCGAAUAUUAGUUAUGUUAUUUGAAAAAAUUGAUGAAAUUGUAAUUUAUUAUUUUUUAAAAUUUCAUUAAUUUUGAACUUUUUUUAUCUAUUAGAUUUGAUCUUCAUUAUUUUUAUUGUUUUAUUUUAUUUGAGAUAAUUUAUGAAAUUAGUUUUUUUUUUCAAUUUCAUUACCAUUCAAUAAUUUGUAAGAUUUGUUCCUCAUUAUUUUAAUAAACUUUAAAAAAAACAUUAAUAAGUUAUUUUUCAACUCAUUUUCCAUGACAUAACCAAAUACUAAAAAGUAUUUUUCAAUUUAUUUUCUAUGACACUACCAAACAUAAAAAAAUAAUUCACUUUUCAGGAAUUUAUUUUUCAAGGAAACUACUUUCCAAAAAGAAAUUACUUUCCAGCAAACAAACGGGGAGUCAACUAAAGUUUAUUAUUUUUGUUUAAAAUAAUAUUGUUUUUUUUUUAAUUAUUGAUUUUGUAGCCGAGUUGUAUCAUGUCAACCGAGUUAUGACUCUUUCAAGUUUAGCCAGUUCAAUAUAAAAAAUAGCUCAAAAUAAAAUCUUGUUUAAUGCCUCGUUUGUUUCCAUAGAAAGUGAUUUCCUAAAAACCACUUUCUAGACUUUUCUAUUUUUGUUUAUCAUUAGAAAAGCUAGUCAACAGAAAAUAUUUUCUAGUCAAAGGAAAAUUUGACUUGGUUUCUGGAAAAGUAUUUUCCUUUUAUUUUGGGCGGAAAACAUUUUCUAGAAGUUGUGACAAAAUUAAAAAUAUCAUGUUAUUUGCUGAUUAUAUCAAAUUUGAUAUUCAAACUUUUGAUUGUUAUAUAUUUUAUUUUGAAUCUUUUUUUUCUUCAAUUUCAUCUCUUAGAAUUUGAUUUAAUUUGAUUUUUAUAUCAACUUUGAUCUUUAUUUUUAUGAUUUUUAUUUGUUUUUCUCUUAUUAUUUUUUAAUUAAAUUUUUUAUCUAUCAGAUUUGGUCCUCAUUCUUUUUAUUGUUAUUUAUUUUAUUUGAAAUAAUUUAUGAAAUUGUAAUUUUUUUUAAUUUCAUCAUUUUUCAACUUUUUUAUCUGUUAGAUUUUAUCUCCAGUAUUUUGAUUGUUAUUUAUUUUAUUUGAGAUAAUUUAUGAAAUUAGAUUUUUUUUUUCAAUUUGAUUCUCAUUCAAUUUUUUAAUUUGUAAAAUUUGUUCCUUUUUAUUUUAAUAAACUUAAAAAAAAUAAAACAUUAAUAAGUUAUUUUCCAGCUCAUUUUUCAUGACUUAGCAAAAUACUAGAAAAUAUUUUUCAAUUUAUUUUUCAUAACACUAUCAAACCUUAAAAAAUAAUUUACUUUUUAGGAAUUUAUUUUGCAAUAAAAAUUAUUUUUUAGAAAAAAACUACUUUAUGAUAAACAAACAGAGUUUAAGUUAAGAAUGGAGCAACAAGGUCAUUUUUUGGUCCAAACCGGUGUUUAAAAACCAUUGAAAAAACAACAUUUAACUAAAUAAAUACGAGAUUUUUUAAGACAAUUUCAAAAAACCUUGGCGCAAAAAAUCGUCAUUUUCAUCCCUGAGACAGUAUCAAUUCAGCAUAUAAGUAGCUUGAAAAAAAAUGACGAACACAGCGAAGUUAGGAGCUCAGUUCACCUGCAAAACUAGAGUGCUACUGGAAUUGAUCGUGAUAGCCAUUUAAAUUUGUAUCAUUCAUGGAGGGACAAGAGCUUCACUGCAUAUCCUCCAUUGCCCACAUAGUCACAUUGCCAGCUUUGAAGAGAAAUUAACAAAAUGGAAAAAAGAAAAAUAACAGUAGUAGAAGAAUAUGUAUGGAUGGUGGUGAAUGAGACAAAAGAUAAGAAGAAGAAGAAGAAGAAAGGCUAAAACCUGCUCAAUGAAACUCACCUGCCCCACAUUGAAGAUAUCAACAAAUCAAGAUCUGGAAGAACAUAUAGGACAGGUCUGAAAUGCCACCCAACAGACAAAAUCAUCUGUGUUCAUCAAUGCCGUGAUGUCCAUAUAUGUUUACGUGUCUUCGUGGAUGGAACAAAUAAGUUGCUGCCAAGGAAAACUUGUUCGGUGAGGCUUUUCAAUGGAUUCCAAUAUAAUUUUUUUUUAUUAAUAUAAAUAUUCAAGUUAACUUGCGUGCACCUUACUUAUUCCACGAGUUCUGAAGUUAAUGACUAUAUAAAUCUCUAGUAGCUCUAAAAGAACUCAAACUCGUAACUAUUGAAAAACAAACCCAAAAUCUUAUCAAUAUUUCAACAUAAUCUUGUAUCUAUGCAAGGUGUUCACAUUAUUUUGAUCUGUUUCUGGAAGACAAACUCAUCAAUGAUUGGAUCAGAAUGUCGGUAAAUCACAAGUUAAUUGUGGUUAUAGAGAGUGUUCUUGAAAUUUUCUUUCUCUCUCUUUGUGUUCGUGUUUCCAUUUCAUAAUUUAAGCAGAGUGUCCUUUCUUAGAUCAGGAUUCAAGGAUCAUGACAAGAUCACUCGGAAGUAAAAAAAAAAAAUUAAUCACGAACAUGAUUUAAAUAUUACCUUUUAUCAGCUUAAUGCUAACAUAACAAAAUGCAAGAGAAAAAAUAAUUUUUUGUUUUUAAUAAUGAAUAUUCUUAUAUCAGUUUUUAUAUAUUAAGGUCAAAAAAAUUCUCUUUCCGUAUCAAAAUUAUAUAUUUAUAAGGAUCUUUUUCGGCUCUUUAAUUUUCUUAGAUUCAAACUAUUUUACCAGCUACUAAGUGGAUCGGAUAAAAAAUAUUUAACAUGUUAAAAAAUAUUUAAAUUGUAGAAAACUAUUUAGCUUUAUUAUUAAACUCGGUUUAAUGUCAACCUUAGAGUGUGUUUGUCUAUACGGUAGCGGUUGCGUUUUGAAGAAACCAUAAAAAAUUGUGUUUGGUUAAAGUGUUAACCAGUGUUUUUAAAACAUGGGACCCACCAAAAAACAAGGUAGAAACACAGUUUCAGGAGAAUCAUUUUGCACCAGCUUUACUGGCACUAUUCAUUUCACAAAAGUGAACAGUGUGCAGAGUGAAUUAAUUCACUCUGCACACAAAAGUGAACACGUGAACAAUGCAAGUGAACUUUGCACUGUUCACGUGAAUAGUUAAAAAAUUCAAUUUUUUUAAAAUUGUGUUUUAUUUGAAAAACUAGUGUUUAAUAUUAUUUAAUGACACUACAUAAAUGGCGUAGCAUUUGCAGAAUUUGAUCGUAAUCUCAAUUUUGUUCCUGAUGAUAUUUUACCUGAUUUUGUUGUACGCUAAAAAUUUUAUUUUUAAAACCUCAUGAUUUGACUCCUUAUCUAGCCCAUGUUUAAAAUUAAACUGUGUGUAAGUUGUUCUAACAUAACUCAGACAACUUGGUCAGCUCAAAAAAAACCCUACUGACUUGGAAAAAAUUCUAAGGAUAAAAUUGAUAAAAAAAAAAUCACUCAACCCAAUUCUUGUCUAGCUCGGGUUUAAAAUCAAAUUGUGUGAAAGUUUUCCGAACAUGAUCUAGUUAACUUGAUUGGUCCAAAAACAAUCCACGUGACCGAUUAAAAAAAUAUUGAGGACAAAAUUGAGAAAAAAUAAUAAAAUUGACAGAAAAAACUUCUCGACUUAACUCAUUGCCUAGUCUGGAUUUAAAAUUAAUACAUGUGAAAAUUAUUUCGAUGUGAUCUAAUCAACUUGACAUUUCCAAAAAAAUUGAAUGACUAUCAAAAAUAGUUUGAUUAUGAAAUUGAGAAGAAAAUGAUGUAAUUGAAAAAAUAAUAGGGGAUUGAAAAUAAAAAGGAGGGGCUGAAUUGAAAAAAAAAUUAUUAAAUUUUCCAUGUUUUUUUUAAUUAGAGCAAUUCCACUUACCAUCACUCGUGGCUCUAAAAAAUUGAAAUGGAUUUGUUGUUCAUGUGCAAAAGCUGGACUCGAAGUUGAAAUCUAUUGUCGGCUACUAUAUCGAAAUGGAUAGCUAUCUGGAUGAAAUUGACAUCCAGAAGUUUGAAAAGAUUAUUUAAGACAUGAUAUUGAAGUUAUGUUUUCCACCGCUUAUUUUUUUACUAUAAAUUUGAAGUUUUUUUUUUUUUUAUGUGGUAUUUUGUUAUAGAGAUAUUAACGGGCAAAAAAUAACCACUUAAUUAAAAUUUGAGAUUUUUAAUUCUGAAGUUGAUGAAUACUGAUCUAAUUUGAUUUGAAUGAGUGAGUAUUUUUUAGACUCGAUAAAUAAUAAAUAGAAUAUAAAUAUUGUCAAAACCUAUUCAAAACUCACCCGAAAUAUAUAUUUAUAUCAUAUAAAUAUAUUUGUGGAAUAUUUAGAUUUUUUUUAAUACAAUAUAGUAUAUACAUAUUUUAAUAUUGACAUAAAACACACACAUAAAUAAUAUUUAUCAUUUUAUUAUUCAAUAUACAUAUACAUAUUUUAAAUAUAUAUAUAUAUAUAUAUAUUAACUAUUUUUUUAUUGAUUAAUUAAUAAUAAUAAAUAGUGGAUACCUAUUAUGAGAUAUAUAUAUAUAUAUCUAAAAAUUUUAUUUGUAAAAUAAUAGAUAAAAUAUGAAUAUCAAGAUAUCCAAGAAUAGUCAUUAUCAUUCCUAAUUAAAAUAUCUAUUAAUACCAUUUUGUGUGUUUUCUUACAUCUUCACUUUUAAGUGGGGGUCUACCUUAAUCAAGAGGAUUAAUUGCAUCGAAUUGUUUAAAGAAUCCAUUUUUUCCAUUGAAAAGAGGAGGGAAAACACACAAGAAAAGAAAAUUGUGUUCUUGUUUCUUUCUUAAUUAGGUGGAAAAAAGUAAAAACAAACAAAAAUUCAAGACAGGUAUCGUUUCUCAAGAGAUGGCCUGUGCCCUGUGGCAGUCAAAGUCAGCAACUACACAGCAUUUUCGAAACCUUCAAAUCGAGUCAGCUGAUCUGGGAAGAAGGUUCCAAUUCCGUGACCAUCUUCACCUCUGUUUUGAAGAGAACAAUAAACAGCGAGUCGAUAGAGAAGUACAUGAACCCACCUGGUGAGUGAGUCACAAACGACCCAAAACUGUUCCCCGCCACACAGUGCCAGGCCACCCCAUAUACCGAGUCAAAUUCCUGUCCAAAUUAACCCUCUCAGUUCUUGAGACUCAAAACACAUUGGCUAAAACCAGUUUGUAAAUGCUAUCAGUACUUAUUAGCGAUUAGCAAUUGAUAAUCUAAUUAAUCACUAAUUAAUCUUCUGAUGCUGUAAGAGUAUCAAAGAGCUACUGAACCAAACAUAUAUACGUGUUAUUAGGAGAUGGAGAAGAUGAGAUACACCUUUUUGAGGGCUCGAGCAAGGAGGGUAGGAUUGGGGCGGUGUUUGGGAGCUGAUGAUAUUGAUGGGUCGUCGAGAAAUGAUCUUGCAUAGCGAAGGGCACGUUCUUGCAUGUCGACUGGCAUGUCGGAAGAUCUUAGCCUUACAUUUAAGCUUAGUGCAAUGGCAGCUAGCUUCAUGACUUCCUCUGUCGGAGACCUAUCUUGGGCCAUUAUUAAUGUCGCUUCUUCUUGUCUGUUUUGAGCAGUGAAAAAAUGUUGUUUCAAGCCAGCAGCUUGCUCCUCUUUCUGUCUUUGGGAUUUAAUGAUAUCCAUGAAUAAUAAACAAAGAGAAUAAAUGUUAAGACAAAGAAUGGAGCUCUGCGGAGAGAAUAAGCUGUGCUAGCUUGCUUGCAGUGCUGGUUAAGGAGAUUUAUUGUGUUUUAAAGUUUUUUUUAUUUAAAAAUAUAUUAAAAUAAUACAAAAAUACUAAAAAUAUUAUAAUUUAAAAUAAGAAAAUUAAAAUUUAAUAAAAACUCAGAUCCAGACAUAUAUUGAUUUGUUGUGUAUGUCAUGAGCAGAGUUUAGUUAAGCAUUGGCCAAUAGUAGGUGUACAAGUGUUGAAGUUUGGGUAAGUUUGAGUUGUGUGAUUGGACAGUUCUUUCAUGUGAGUCACAGGGCGUGGGGUUAGUCAAGGUCACUGUACCAGUCUGGGUAUGCAUGCCGACACGGGGAAAGCAUGGAAAGGGUACGGUGAAAGGUAUGAAGUUCUUUGUUGACCACCGUUGAACAAAAUCAAUCAUAUUAAUCACGAAUCUUUCUAUGCUGAUGUUUUUGCCUGUAGAAAUCGAUGGGAAAGUUGCCUUAGAAAUUCUGUAAAAAUUAGGUUUGAAACAAUUUUGAAGAAAGGAUAGAGGUUGCCUUAGUAAUUUUCAAUUGGCAUCUGAUUGUAAAUUUAUUUCAAGCUAUUAUAUGCCAAUAAUUUUAAUUAAGAGUUUCAUCAAAUUGGACUUGUAUCAAAUUAAUUAUGAUCUAUAAGAUAGAGGUUCAUGAUGUUGUAAUUGGUGUGUUAUAAUGUAAGAAAAUAUUUUUAAGAGUUUCAGUGUUUGACUAUGUCAUGAAAAAUAAAUUAUAUCAUCUAAUUUAUAAUUUUAUUAAUUUUAGUUUUUAUUUUAGUACUAUUUAUUUUGUUUUUGAUGUUUUUUGAAGUUUAAUUUAUUUUUUAUUGCAUUUGUUUUUUAAUCUGAUUUAGGUUCUCAUUCUUCUAAUUGCUAUUUUGUUACUCUUUUUCUUGAUUUAUAUUUUUUUAUUUAUUUUGUCCAUCAACAUUUUAUUUUAUUUUGUUUUUUUUAUGUCCUCAUUCUUUCAAUUACAUUUUGUUUAUCCUUUUCUUAAUUUUUUUUCAAUUUAGCCCCUAAUUAUUUUCUUUCAUUUUGUUUUUAUACCAUAUUGUUUGAGUUUUAAAUUGUUUUACGGUUGUAAAUUUUACUUUGUUAUUUUUUUAUAAUUUUUUUUCUACGGAGUAAUCUCUAUCUCAUGACCCGGACUCGAUUAAGUUCGGCCUUUUUUUGGGGUCGUCUAUUUUUUUUUUCAUAUUCAUCAUUUGACAUUUGGUUAUUAGGCCCUUGACUUCAUUGUUUGUUCCACUUUCGUUUGUUAAGUUAUCUCGAUCUCAAUCUUUUAUCUUUGUUUUGUCGCUUUAAUAUGACAUUUCGUUAUUUUCUCAAUUGUUUUUUUUUCAUCUCUUAAAGUUUUUAUUUUUUAAUUUCAUCAUUCUAUAUUAUAUUUUUCAACAUUUUCAUUUCAAAAAUUUCUUUCAUUCUGUAUUUCCUAGUGUGUUUAUAGUUUUGGACACCGUUUCAUUAUUUAUCGGACAUCAAUUUUGCAAAAUUAAAGUAUAAAUAUUGUAAAAAUAACAAUUAAAAGAAUGAGAACCAAAGUUUACAUUUCAAAAAAUGAAAAGUCUCCUUUGAAAUUUUAAUAGAUCAAGAAUGGAAACCAAGACAGAGAAAGAGAAGAAAGAGAGGGAAAGAAAAAAGAAAAAAAAAUGAUUGUUGAAGCUACUCCUUUCACCACACGCCGCUGUGAAGGAAAGACCUUGCCAAGACAAUUCCUAUAGCAUUAAAGAUGGCCCCCAUUAUUAGAGCUUAGAGUAAGAUGCACGUGCCAUCACAAUGUGCGGCCUUCCUCACAAGCUGGAGGAUGUGUUACACACGCUAAAUAAUUUUUCUCCUUUCAUUCAACUAAGUCCCUAAUUUUCUAAUAUCUCUUCAAUCUAGACCUUGAUUAUUUAAUAUCUUUUUUUUUGUUUAAUUUUGUCCAUGAUUCUUUAGUAACUCUUCAAUUUAAUCCCAAAUUUUAGCUCAAUAAAGGCAUGAUUAUGAUAUGAGAAAAGAAAGAAAUAAAAUGGCCUAACUGGCCUCAAGUGCAGCUCGACCAAACACAAUAGGUUAGGGAAAAAAAUACUCACACUUCGAAAAAACAUUGCCAUGCUCUUUUUUAACUAUUCAAUUUAUACAUAUCAAAAUAUUAUAAUCUAUCAUUAAUUGUAGAGAGAGAAAAAGGUAUUCAAACACUUUAAAACCUAGGUUAGACAAGGAGUUUGUCAAAAAGUUUCAAGUUUAACCUAUUUAGGUAGUGUUUGACAUUAUGGUAGUGAUUGUUUUUCAAAGUACUUUUAUCUUGAAAGUGCAUCAAAAUAAUGUUUUUUUAAAGUUCAUUUUUGACAUUAACGCAUCAAAACGAUCCAAUAACAAUAAAAAACUUGAAUUAUAAAAAAUUAAAAAGCAUGGUCACACCACAAUAACAAACAAGCUCUUAAUCGAGUUUAUUAAUAAUAUUAAGAGUUCCUUACAACUUUAACUUUGUUUUUGUUUUUGCUAAAACAUAAAUUUUAUGUGAUCCGCGAUAAAGCACAUGAAAUAACCUCAUUAAGAAAUACUCUAAAAGGCAGGGGGGAAAUAUUGUUCCUCGUGCCACUAUUUACCAAUGAACAAAUCAUUGCAAUGAUUUGUCUUUUUUAGCCCUCCUUCUCUGUGUUUUUAUUACAUCCUUAUAAGCCUAAAUUAAUGGUCAUUUAAGGCACAUUUAUUAAGAAAAGCCAAGAUUCAAAGAUAGGAGACUAAAAUGAAAAAAGCAGGAAAAAAAGAUGGUUUUUCUAAACUUGAGGUUAAACAUACAUUUUUGUCCUCCAACUUCUCAAAUUAUAUACUUUCAGUACCUAACAAUUUAUGAAAGUCAAUUUUGGUGCCAAACUUUAUUUUUCUUAAUUUUUGUUUCUAGUUUGAGAGAUGAGAGAGAAAGUGGCUCGAUUCUGAUCGUAAAGAGAGAAAGUCUCGGUUGAAACCGUUUCUGGCCAUGAAAACGGGUGGUUUGGUGUUAAUGGGUUCCGUCUAAUGAGAAAUAUUUACAAAAUGUGUUUUUUCCUUUAAACUUGUCUGAAAUGGUAAAUUUGAACUCGAAAAGUUUUUUUUGUUUUGAGCUGAUUGUGAGUUUUAGAGCCAAUUUUUGGGUUGUUAAAGGAUAUGAAUAAAUUUUAGAAGGUAUUUCGGGUAUUUAUUUUUUUUAAGUUUUUUCGAGUUAAAAUAUGGUUGAAAUUAGGCUUAUCUGGGUUUGAAAUAGACCAGCCCUGUUUAUAUGAUCAGAGGUUAUUGGAAUUUGGGCAAUGCAAGUUAUGCGUUGCUUGAUAUUUUUUUUCAAAGCAUUAAGGGACAAAUGACCUAUAAUCCACCACUGAAGAAGAUUGAAAAAAAAAGCCCAGGCCCCUGGAUCUUUUUCUGAAGACCUAAGAACUCUGGGCCUUUUUAUCCCAAGAGACUAGGUCUUUUUUUUUUUUUUAUCCAUUACAGUUGCAUUUUUUUUCUUGCAUUUUUUUUUUCAAUUUCAUUACUCAAUAUUUGGUUGGUUAUUAAUUGAGCAAUGUGAUUUUGUUUUAACUUGAUUUUCUUUUCCAAUCACUUUGAUAUUUUGUUGGUUAUUGAUUUUAUAGUUGUUUAUUUUAGAUAAAAAAAAUUAUAUAAAAAAAAUUUAUUGAAUCCUAUUGAAUCUAUAACCCGAGUUAUAACAUUGACUGAUUAAGUUUGACUAGGUAGGGAUCAAGCUUAAUAAUUUUUUUGUUUCAUGAAUAAUUCUCGAGUUAAAUUUUUUGAAUUUCAUUUAUAAUUUUUUUUAUAUAUAAAAAAACAUUAGUGUGGAUGAAAUGGCUAGUUAAAAAAAAACUAAAAUUUCCUGUAGCAUGUGAGGAGAAUCAUUGUGGAUUUAAGCAGUGUAAAGAUUAUUUUGCCUUCAUCGCUAACAAUUGCCUUGACAUUAAAGGUAAAAUCAUCUUUUCAAAUGGAUUCAAAUGUCAUAUGUGGAUUGAUCUGGAAUAAUUUUGUCAUUCAACUUUGAAAAUGCACAGUUAAAAUAAUUUUUUACCUUUGAAAUCUGAAAAAAAAAAGUCUUUCGUUAAGGGUUUGUUUUGUCAUUUUCUUUUUAUUUGCAUAGUAAAAUAACGCUUAUAUCCUUAGUUGCUCAGGAAAAUGACCUUGCAGAGAGGGGUUUAUUUGUCUUUGCAUUCUUCUUGUACAAUAAAAUUACAUAGUUAACUUUUGACUUUUCAGAUUUAAAGAAUGACUUCGGAGGGCAUUUUUUUUCUUUGCGCCAUGGUUGUUUUUGUAAUAAUGUUGUGCCCUCAGCCCUUUUUUUGUGAUUUAUCUUAUUAAAAUAUUAAUAAAUCAGUAAAAUAUGUUGACGUGUGCCACACAGACGUCAAAGUCCUCCGCGCUAUUCCGGAGGUGCGUGAGGACAAUUACGGUGGCAAAAAAAACUCGAUCGUCGUCUCAUCAUAUGCACAAGGAUGUGGCACUGUUGGGGUGGCACGUUUGCCAAAGCGGGCAGUGAUUCUGCUACGAUGAGUUUUUUUCUCCUGGCUUUCAUUUCUCUUUUAUGGGCCUUGGUAUUCAUGUCAGGCCUUUAAAAAUUUAGUUGUGCCCUCCAUUUUGUAUUUGUUUUGAGUUUGAUCCUCUACUCCUUUAAAUUUUUAUUUGCUUUGAUUUUAAUGCUUCUUGAACUUUAUUUUUUUCAAUUUCAUCCCUCUCCGCAUUUAAUUUAUUUUAUUUUUUGUAUUCAAUCUGGUCCUUAUUCUUUUGAUUGCUAUUGUUUUUUAUUCUUUGCAUUUAUUUUAUUUUUUUGAUCUUGUCUUUUAGAAUUUUAAUUCAUUUUUUUUCAAAUUUUGGUUCUCAUUUUUUUCAUUACUCUUUUUCUAUCCUUUUCUUCAUUUAUUUUGUUGUCAAUUUAAUUUCUGAUUAGUUUCUUUCAAUAAUUUUUGGUGCAAGAUUUAGUCCUCAUUGUUUAUUUAUGUUAUUUUUAAUUUUUUAUAAUUGAGAAUUUUUCUUUGUAAUUAUUUCUGCUUUUUACAGAGUUGUCUCAUUCUCAUGACCUGGUCCAUCACUUUCAAUGAUUUACCUGGUUUGAGUUUGGUAUUUGUUUUUAAAAUAUUUUUUGAAUUUUUUUCAUUUGACAUUGACUUAUUAAGCUAUGAGCUUUGUGAUUUGUUCAGUUUUUUUUUGUUAUCCCUGUCUCAUAACUCGGGUCGCGAGUUAGUCAAGUUAAAAUAGAUUAACUUAAAUUUUUAAAAAUUAAUUUUUAUUCAAUUUUAUUCUCCUUCGUUAAAUUAUUAACCUUUAAACAUUGUAAUUUUUUUCAUUUUACAUGGAGUUAUUCCAAAUAUGCGAUGUUCAAACAUCUCAAUAUCUCUCUUCUACUUGUAUUAUAUAUAACAAGAACUCCGCAGUCCAAAAAAAUCUUAUAGAGAUGAGUGCAGUAUAUUUGACCCUAGACAAGAAAAGGACUCCAGACAUAAAUGGAAGGAAACAAAUGAGAUGCAAUUUUUUUCACCAUGAAGUGGUUUUUGGUAUGUACGCAGUGAACUUUUCUGUAGCACAUGUGCUUAUCUAGACAAGUGAGCUGGUAGUGAGCCCACUCGUUAAUUCCCAAAUCUAGUUACGGAAAUGAACAGUCCUUCCUUCCUGACAUGUCCUGUCCUGGUUAAAAACAAAUAUUAAAGAAAAGCGUAAUUUCCACUUCUCAGGUAAACUCCAAAUAUCAUCAAUUCCCCAUCUCUCUCUGUCUCCGCAAACCCAAUCCAAAGCCAGUAAUCCGAUUCUCCUCAUGGCUGCUCUUCUUGAAUCCCUCACCGUUCCUCCUCUCACCUUCCCUAAACCUAAACCUACUACUACUACACCUCUCUGCGCUUUUGCUUCACCUAUUCACCGGAGAUCCCUUCGGUUACCACACGUCAAAGGCCUCAAGCUCUCCUUUAAUUCGUCGACUAUAAACCGCUCUCCUGGAUCGUUCGUGACUCUCACCAGUUCCAGACUCUCUCGUGGUGGACGGAUUGUUUGUGAGGCGCAGGAGACUGCUGUCGAAGGUCAUCUGGAUCGUAGAUUUUUUUUUUCGACUAUGUUUUGGGCUUAUUUUGUUAAAACCUAAGCUGGGAAAAGAAAAGGAAUUGUCAUUUAAAAAAAAUGUUUUCUUUUGGAUAAAUAAAAUUGUAGAUAUAGAAAUUGAAAAAGUCAUAAUUCAAGGGUUUGUUACUGAAAUAAUUGAAUUGAAAAUGGAACUGCAGUGGCUUCUGUAACGGAUGCAACAUGGAAGUCAGUGGUGCUCGAAUCGGAAUCCCCUGUGCUGGUUGAAUUCUGGGCCCCAUGGUGUGGUCCGUGCCGGAUGAUUCACCCUAUAAUCGAUGAACUGGCCACGCAAUAUACUGGUAAGCUCAAAUGUUACAAAGUUAACACUGAUGAUUGCCCUUCCAUUGCAACCCAAUAUGGGAUUCGAAGCAUUCCCACUGUUAUCAUCUUUAAAAAUGGUGAGAAGAAAGAGGCGAUUAUCGGUGCUGUUCCCAAAACUACCUUAACCACCACCAUUGAGAAAUUCUUGUAAGUGAAACAAGCACUUGCUGCCAAUAAACUAUUUAGCUGCCACUGCUCCAUCUCCAGAUGCUGCUGUAUUUUUAUGUUACCUUCAGAAAAUAUUAGUAACUAUAUGUGUCUUGUCUUACGUAGCUGAAUGCAUGUUUGGUAGCUUGUUCUUGCUUAGUGUAGAUUAAUAUGAGAAGUAUUGGCUUAUCCUUCUUUACAUCCCUCCUGAAGUUUGAUUGUUGUGUGCGAAAUGCAUUGGGAACUGAAAACUGACGAUGCAUUUGGGUUCAUGUGGUUCGAUUAUUUGACCACUUCAGUUAAUUUUAAAAUUUUUAAAAUUUCAGUUUUGAUUUGGUUUGAUUUUCUUAAGCUAAGGAAAUCAAGAUGACCAAAUUGAUUUUUUUUUUUAAUUAUUUCACAUGAUCCACGUACAGAAAAAUAUAUGGUAUGAGAUUUGUGUGAGUCCUUGUGCCUUCUACUGUUAAGGAAACUGAAAAUUUCAAAACUAACCUAUGAUACUAUAUACUGAAUAUAUAAAUGAAAUGCUUGCCAAAAGAUCUUGGUGAGCUGGUGGUGGUGUGGCCAAUCGGUCUAUAGUUUUAUAUAAUGCUAAUAUUGAUUGGUGGAAAUAUUUGGUCUUGGAUGCUUUGAAGAAAAUAUAUGAGAAAUUAAGCAGAGUUUCUCAGUUGGCCUUGUGAUAUGAAACAUCAAUUAUCUCAUCCUAUUCCCUAGGUCUCUGCUUGUUGGCUUAAGUUGAUCUGUGGGUGCAUCAAGUUUAGAACAAGUGUGUUUCAAUUUAACACACUGUUCAUGAAAUAUCAGAUGCGUCCAAUUGUUUGUAUUAAAAAGCAUGUGUUAAUGCUACACUAGGCAACUGGUAAUCCAUGAUGAGGAUCAUAAAGCAGGUGUGAUUACAUGUAAAUUACGUGCUUGUGUCAUAUGAUAAGCCAUUGAUAUCUCUGUUCUUUAAUUUAUUAGAAGGGGUGACUGAUUGUCCGUCUAAUGUUCUGUGUUUUGGUAAUAAAGUGGGGGGUGGGGCUUAGAUUGUUUGGAAUGUGUCCUAGUAGCUGCACUCUUACCCAGUUGCUCCCACUUGUUGGCUUUGUUUGGAGGCUUUAGUUCUGUAUCUUUCUCAAAGAUGGAUAAUGUGCAUCCUGGGAGUAGCUUUGAGUACCUUCUUUCUGAGGAAGCAAGCUAGAACAUGUCUCUUUAAGUCAACCACUCAAGACCAUCAGUUCAUUGGAUUCUAAGUUGCAAUUUUUAAGUAUAACCACGCCACAACUUCAAGUUUUAGUAUCUGAAAUUGAUCCUGGUCUGUUAAUUAUCACUAGUGUCAUUAUAAUUUGUUUAACUCAUAGCUUAGACUCGGAUGGCUUUCAUUAGCUUUUGGAUUAAGACCUUGUUCCUUUUAUACAGUUCCUGGAUGGUUAGUACUGAAGUGUUGGUUCAUUUAGAAGCCAUUUUUUUUUCCAUUUGUUGUUCAUCUGGAAUGAAAUGAAUAAAACUUUUGAGGAAUUCUGGUUACUGAACGCACAAGUGGCUUAUAGCAUAAUCAUGUCUCCAAGGUGCUCUAUCUUCAGAUUUCCUUGGGUCUUUCUUUACGACCACCAUGUGAAAUUGUUUUAAGCUGUGCUGUAGUGAUGUGAAUGAGAAUGAAGGGACAAUUUGUUUUUCACAUGAUUUGGAUUGUGUAUCACUGUAGCUACUCUUCUGGAAGUGUUGUCAUACCCUCUUGGGCAUGAAAAUGUAGCCACCUGACAUGUUCUAACAUGGAUUCAUGUAUAAACUCUGCCAGGACAAUACUAGACCUUUUUUGCUCCUUUGUCUAGAAAUUUGGUCAUAUAAAUGAGGGUCUGAUAGGACUAAGAGUACACAUUUAAGAAGGUUAUAGUUUCUGCUUUUCAAUGUUCUGGGUGGAUAGUUUUUUUGGUCUCCCACCUGGGAUAGGACCUAUAUUUUCUGGACAGAAGCUUUUAGUAGAGACAACAACGUAUGGGUAUCCAAUAGCCUCUUGCUGGAUUGUCAAAAGUGUUUAUGCUCAAGAUUAUAUUUGAAUUCAGGAAUAUGCUGGUCAUUUUAGUGUAGGCGCUGGAGGGGUUAAAUCAUGAGGAAAGCAUCACUGGGAAUUUCUGAAGCAUAUCCAAUACUAGAGAAGACAAACGUUUUUCAGGUUGUGGUUGGAGAGAACGAAGGAUUGGAAAUGCUUGUUGGCGGUUACCUGAAGCAUGGAUGUUGGCCUCGAACUUCAGAAUUAUCUUUUUUCUUGAGGCCACACUUUGAAUUUGGUGUUUUUCCUAGCGCAUUUGUUGGUUUCCUGUGAGACCUAAAGGCCACACGUUAGAAUCUGAUAUUUUUUUUGUCCUAGAGCAUUUGUUGAUUUCCUGUGAGACCAUGCCAGGAGCUUAUUUAUUGGUUUCAUGCAAGACCGUAGCAUGGGCAAAUCUUUUUCAUCUUGAAGUCUUGUUCAUCAAUAAUCAGGUAGAAGCUAAUGGUUCUAAUGGUUGUUCAUGUUUUGGGCCAUCAUUGGAUUAAUUAUUAUUAUUAUUAUUAUUAUUAUUUUUGAGGAUAAGAUUUUCUCUCUUCCAGAUGGCAACACAUUACAUAAUUUAUCAAUCUAGUGCAUUUGACCUUAUAGGGCACCAAAGAUCAUUUACCUUAUUAUUAUUUUUUUAUGGAAGUGUCAAACAUGUAGACAUGCAUGCGAGGAGGUUUUAUAUAUAAUAAUAAUAAUAAAUAAAUAAAUGAACCAACCUUUCUAUUGAUUCAAAGAAGGAUAAUUCUAAAUCAAGAGUGUGAGGGAGUUGUUUAUGUUAGAUGUAUAGGCCUGUCUUUGCAUUUGCUUGAAAGGAUGUAUAAUUCUAAAAUCCGAUUUGAUUUUAAAAAAAUUAUUUUUAAAACAACUCUUUAUUGUUUUUAAAUAAAAAUUAAAAUGUUAUUAUUUUCUGCGCUUUCCCUCGAGCUAGUAAUCCAGUGGGCGGUCGCCUGCAUUCUGGUGUCUCCAGGUAGGUGGGUGCAUCGCAUGCCGAGAUGGUAGAAGAGGUCAAAUACAAUUCGACCAUGAAUAUAGUCAGCUUAUCUAGAUGAACUUACGUGACAGAAUAAUCUAGAUGGUCAUUAAACUUAUCUUUAAUUCUGCUGAUUUUUUUAAUCCAAGUUAAGACUUUUUAACAACUUUUCCCCCAAGAUAUCUCUUUAUUAUUAAAAAAAAAAAAAAGGUUCUUUAACGCCAUGUCUUUCGCAUCUAAUUAUACUAUACAUUAAAAAAACAUAGGGGUGGAAAAAAUGUUCAUAUAAAUGGUAAACCGUCUCAAGGUUUUUUUUUUUUUUUUAAUUUACAUCUUUUCUUUUACUGGGUCCUUCAAUUUUUCUCAUUCAUGUUCUUUUUUUUAUCGAGUUAUUUGUUUCUCAGUUUAGUUUUGUAAAAUUAACUCUUACUAAACAUAAAUGAUGUUUGGAAUUAUAUGUAUAUGAAACAAUGCAAGAUGGAUAAAGAAUAAUUUCAACCCAAUAGCUUAAGUUGUUAGGUGAGGUUUCAGGAUAUGAUUUAUAUUAUUUUCUAACACACCCCUUCAAGUAAAAAUCUUUUGGACUUGAAACUUGUAUAGACUCACAUUACUUUAUACUUAAUUUUUAUUAAAUAAAUGAUGAUGAUGAGAUUUGAACUCAUGACUACUUGGUCAUCAAAACUCUGAUAUCAUAUCAAAGAAUCAUUUCAACCUAUUAGAUGAAAUUUUAAAAUAUAAUUUAUAUUAUUUUUUAAUAUAUAAUUAUCCGGCAGCAUAUUGCGAGGAAUCAAACUAGGAAAAGAGAUUAUGUUAAUACUGUAAUCUUAGUAAAAUCCCUUCCAAUUAACUUCUUAUACUUGCUUGGUCUUUCGUUUGGAAAACAAACCCUAGUCAUCAUCGACUAUUUUCUCACUGACAAUGUAUAGUGCUUUGAUCAUAUUUUCAUGCAAUGAGAUGAUAAAUAAGGCACGCACACGUGGUGAAAUGCAAGCGGUCUAAAAAAGUACGGGUCUACGUAGCAAAUCUAUGUACUACCAACCCACAGACAGACGGUCCUGUCAAAACGAAAGGCACACUGUAUUUUUUUACCCCAUUCUUUUUAAUUAAUUAUAUUUAUCCUUAAGAUCCUUCAUCAAAUCUCUCCCUCCUCUCUCUCAACAAUUUCACAUCUCUCAUCUCAAGAAAAUAAAAAGAUUUGGUCUUUCUGCGUUAAAGUUUCUAAGCCUAUUUUCUGUUUCUUCUGAUCCAGCCUUCUCGUAAGAGGUAUCAUCUCCUUCUCUCUGUUCUCUUCGUGGGUUUGUUUUCUUGUUUCUAGUUUUUAUACUACAAACAUUGCGGGGUUGUUUCUUUUCUUCUAUUAGAUCUUGAUUGGAUUCUGAGUAUAAUUUAAUGUAGGGGUUCUGAUUUUAUUUUGUUUUCAAUCGUGAUUGAAUUGUAGGCUGUUUCUUUUUCAUGGGAUGGUGAGAGAAGUUUUAAAUUUAUCGGGUUUGAUAUUGUCUUUCUUUAAUAAUGCCAUGCUUUAAUAAUAAUAAAAAAAAACAAUGGGAAAGGUGGAUAUGUGUUGCUAUUUGUAUUCAAUUUGUCAAGCUGUUGAUGUUUAAUUGUUUUUGUCUUGGAAUUACUUGUAUGUUUCCUUCAAAGUUUUGUUUGAUUUCUCAAAGUCAUUUAAGCCUUUUGCUUUCUUCUGAUAAAGAAGGUUAAUGAAUUUCUAUGUUUUUCUUAAUCUCAAGUCUUAAAGGAUGAUGGGUUCUUUUGGGGUGUGAAAAUCUGUGUUAUUUUCUUGAUUUUAUAUGUUAAGAGGGCGGAAAACUAGUUCUUUGAAACCAAUAUAGGUAGUGCCCUUUUGGCACUUCUCAAUGUGAAAGAAUCUCAAUUCUUUAGAAAUCAGUUUGUUGUAAAAAAACCCAACAAUUGUGUUUUUUUCAUUUCUUUUUUUCAGACUAGAAAUUUGUAAUUUGGGAGCACGUUAGGUUAUGAUAGCUCUAACUGGCCUACUAGUCUUAAGGUGCUAGAUAUGUAAGAUUAGCGAACUCUAACAUAAGUUAUUCUGCAGCCGUUCUUGUCAUCAACCUUUAGAUCUCUUUAUUUGUUUGGGAGACUGAUAGUAGCAACCCACGUUUUGUUCUUCUCAUAUAUCGUUGAUGGGUUGAGGAAUCUUUGUAUAUGGCUCUUCAUUUUACUAAUUUCAAGCCAGUUCUUUGUCAUUUUCUUGUAGUCAACCUCAAGAUUUUAACCUUUUGCUGUUUAGAACUUCAGCACCUCCGGUCUUGUUUGUUUGUGCUUACUUGGAUGCAUAACUUAUCGUGUUUGAAACUUUAAAUAUCUGGUCUCUGGGAAGGAGAUUUAUUGGCAAUUGAACUCUAUUGCAUAUAGCAGCUUUUUUUUUCCCUGGAAAAUUUCGUUUUUCUUUUGUUAUUGCCGAUAGAUGGUUUUUUCUGUAUGUUUCUGUGUCUCUCGUGCAUUGUCACACGCGCACGCACAUAAUUUAUGCACACAAUGGUUUCUCUUUGAAUAUUAUCAUUGAUAUGCUAAGAAACCUCGCUUUUAAUGCGGAACUUGCAGAUAUGGAACAACACUUCUUUGAUCAUGAGGCACAUUUUGAAUCUGAGGAAGAUGUUGGACUUAAGCAGAAACAUAAAUUGAUCCCAGUCCCAACAGCAGUCUCAGACAAUGACAGUGGCUAUUUUGAAUGCAACAUAUGCUUAGACUCUGCACAUGACCCUGUUGUCACCCUAUGUGGUCAUCUAUAUUGCUGGCCAUGCAUUUACAAAUGGCUCCAUGUUAAAACUUCCUCCCCUGAUGCUAGUCAGCAGCAGCCGAGCUGCCCUGUCUGCAAGGCUGACAUUUCUCCAAAUUCAUUGGUCCCUCUAUAUGGCCGGGGCCCAUCUACAUCUGAAUCAAAAUCCAAGAAAGACCCAGCGGAUGUAGUCAUACCCCGUAGGCCACUCCCUUCUGAGUUGAAUACAGUGAAUGCUAAUACUUCGCCACAAAAUCGGCAACUUCAUUCAAAUUUUUUCAAUCCACAGCCUCAGUCAUUUCAACACCAACAAUACUUCCAUGAUCCUCAUGGAGGUUAUGCAGCCUUGACCUCUUCAAACCUUGGGGGUACCGUGAUGACAGGUUUUUUAAAUCCAAUGCUGGGGAUGUUCAAUGAGAUGGUGUUCACAAGGAAUUUUGGGACGUCGAUCACCAAUAUGUUUGCUCGCCCUUACACAAAUCCUCUCAUGGGAAGUAACAGUCCUAGGAUGAGGAGGCAGGAAGUGCAGCUUGACAAGUCUCUAAAUAGAGUGUCCAUCUUUUUUCUUUGCUGCAUCAUUUUGUGCCUCCUCUUAUUUUGAUUAGGUUAUCUUUCAGCUUUUGUAAAUAGGUGAUGACAUACACAUUGCAGGGACAAUCUGCUGUAAUUUUUUUUUCUGGAAACUCUCUUUUAAGAGAUUUUCCUCGACAGUUUUGCAUUUUAUCUGUCAUUCUUUACUUGCAUAUGCUAUUGUAACUGUUGGAUUUCAUGAGUUGUAUUAGAUUCUUGAUUACAAAAUGUAUACGCGGCUCAUUUUGUAUUUUCUGUAAGGAAAUUGCCAUUUCUAGUUUGAAUUUUGUAGUAUUCAUAUAAUGUUAGGGGCGAGUUUCUUUCUUUGUUUUUUUCCCCCCGCCUUUUUCUUGAAAAUUUUCCCUCUGCAAGUUUAUAUUGGAGUCUUCAUGUUGGAAUGUCAAGUGCAAGAUGCUCCAAGUCAUCAAGUACGCACACGACCUUGAAGCACCCUGGUUCCAUGUUAGCCCUUAUUCUUUGCCUCCUUGUAUGAUCAUAGUUUCGAAGCCAUUCUUUUCCUUUUUCCUUUCUUUUUUUUAAUGAUUUUCGCUUUUAAAUGAUGUACAUUCUCUCAUCUUCUUCCAUAGAUUUUGUAAUUUUGAAGAUAGGUUUCCAUAUAGUAGAUAUUGAAAUAGAUUCAGUAGCAUGCACAACACAACGGAAAGGUGGGACAAAUACAGUGUGCAGAGAUGCAUUUCUAGAAUUUGAAAGUUCAAAGGGGAAAAUAAACAAACUUCGAAUGUCACUUAGUCAGGUUCAUAUGCAAGAUAAGAAUGUCACUGGGUUGUAUUAGAAUGUCACUGGGUUGUAUUAGAAUUUGAAAUGAUUUUUUUAAAAUUUUAUUUUUAUUUUUAACAAUACACAUCAUAAUUAUAAGAAAAUACUAGAAAAAAAAUAUUAAUUUGAUAUAUUUUUUUAGUCAAACAUACUUUUAAAAAACACUUUCAAACAUAUUUCUAAACACCUUUUUAAUCCUUAAAGUUAUUAAUUAAAAAUAAAUAUUAGAAAAAAACACUAAAAUAACCAAAUUUAUAAUUCAUAAAUUCCGAUUUUUUUUUACAAUUAAAAAUAAAGUCAACUAAUCAAUAAACUAAACAAGCAAAUAAUUAUAAUAAAUCAACCUCAAGAUUUAAGUGAAAAAUUCUAUAUGUGAAAAAACUAGUUCACCUAUAAAUUUCCAUUAUCAAUACUAAUAAUGAGUAUGCAAGUGUUCUUUCUUAAUUAAAACUAAAGAUUACAACUUCAAUUAUGGAGAAUAAAAUAUUUUUAAAAUAUAUUAAUAUUAACAAAAAAAAAUUCAAGAAAAACCUUAGAAAACUGAUACCGCGCUUAUGUGAACGAUAAAUCAUCUUAGAAACUCAAUGUCAAAAAUUCAGCAAGAUCAAAUUGUGAUAUCGCUAUCCUCUCCUCUUUUUUUUUUUUUCUUUUUUUUUCUCGCACAUGUCGGUGUCUAACUUGAAAAUAAACUACAAUUGACAUUUUAUACCUAACAAGCUGUAAUAUCUAAAAGGCUUUAAUUUAUAUGAGUUAUGGCUAAAAAAAAAGGAGAAACCAAACCCAAAAAAAGAGUGUAGUGUGGAUUCAUCUUUCACUUAUUACUUUUCAAAAUUAUAGGAUUUGUAUAAAUUUAUUUCUUAUAACAUAAUUUAAAAUUUAAAUUCUCAUAACACCGUACAUUUUAAAUUAAUCCCGUCAUGUAGCUUAAAAUAUUAUAAUCAGAACCGGAACCAGAUUUUCCUUUGCGGCCAUAGCACCUGUAAAGUUUUGAAAAUUCUCAAUUUUACCAUUGAAUAUAUUAGUUUUUCAUAAUAGUUAAGUAAUUAGAUUAUUGUGUGCGCUAUGUUGUGGAUUAGAUUAAAUUAUAAGAAGAUUGAUCUAAUAUGACUUGAUUAACUUGAUAAAUUCAAAAAUAACUCGAACGAGCAAUACAAAUAUAGUUUGAUUUUAAAAAACAACUAGGACAACAUCUUUUUAAAAUAUUAAAAUGACAACAUAUUGUAUUGAUUCAGAUCAACUCAGGUUAACCUGACAAAUUCACCAACUAGGUCAUGAGACCCUGAUAACUCGAUAUAAAGAAAAUAAAAAAAAAUUAUCGAACCCAAUUCUCAAUCAACCUAAUGUUGAAUGAUGAAAUUGCAAACAAAAUUAAACUAAAAAAAUAAUUUGAAUCAACUUGGAUUAACCUAUCAAACAUGGAUCAUAAGACUGAGAUAACCUCAUAUAAAGAAAAUCAAAAUAAAUUAUGAAACUCAAUUCCCAAUCAACCUAAUAUUGAAGGGUGAAAUUAAAAAAAAAUCAAUUAAAAAAGAACACAGAAAACCACCCGAGUCAACCGACCAAACUUAUGAUCUGGGUCAAGAGACCUUGAUAACCUCAUAGAAUGCAAAUCAAAAUAAAUUAUGAAGCCUAAUUCUUGAAUAAGUUCUAACAUCGUGUCGGAAAUCGGUGAACAUGUUCCCUCAAAUCAUCAAGAUACAAUCCAUACAUCAACCUCAUAUCACCAAGAACAAAAUUGUGACGGCGUUAAGGCCCAAAGCGGACAAUAUAUGGCAAGUUGAGCCACAAUAUAUGACAAGUUGGGCCUGACUGUUACUAUUAUUAUUACCACCACCACCACCACCAUCACUGCUACUACCAAAAAUGUAUUCUUGACACGACACAGGAAAUGCAAUAUAAACUCGGAUUGUAAAAUCAUAAAAUUACAAGUUAAUCAAUCACAUUAUAUUGAGAACAUGCUUGAUAAGUUUAAGCAUCUCAAUAUAAAGGAGGUUAAUUCCCCAUUUAACUCUAGUAUGAAGUUAAAUGAUAAUUGUGAUAAAACAAUAGCACAACUAAAAUAUACUAGUGUCAUUGGAAGUCUUAUGUAUGAUAUGCAUUAUACAAGACCAGAUAUGACUUAUGAUACAUGCAAGUUAUCAAGAUAUACAAGCAAGCUGAAUAUGGAUAAUUGAAAGGCUAUUAUAAGAGUCUUUGAUUAUCUAAAAAGAAUGAUCGAUUUUGGCUUGUUUUAUUAUUAUUUUCCAGCUAUGUUGGAAGGAUAUUGUGAUGCAAGUUGGAUAACCAGUUCAAGUGAUAAUAAGUCCACACUAGGAUGGAUUUUUUUCACUUUGAGGAGGUGUAAUAUUUUGAGAAUCUAAGAAACGAACGUGAAUCUCUCAUUCUGCAGUGAAAUCAAAAUUUAUUGUUAUGGUCGUUGCAAGUAAAGAAGCAGAAUGACUAAAAAAUCUAUUGUUAGAUAUUAAGUUGUAGUCAUAAUCUAUGUUAGCUAUUUCUUUAUACUGCGAUAGUGAAGCAAUAAUGUGUCGAUCUUAUAGUAAUAUUUACAAUGGUAAAUCAAGACAUAUAAGUAUUUGACAUGAGUAUAUUCAAGAAGUUGAUUGCAAAUGGGGUAAUCAUCAUUGUCAAUAUAAAAUCUAUGAAUAACUUAGCGAAUUUGCUCAUAAAAAGACUAUUUAGAGACAUGGUAAGGAAAAAAACUAGUAGAAUAGAGUUGAAACCCGUUAUUAAAGAUAUUGAUAGUAAGAACCCAACUUUGAAUUAACAAGAAGUUUAUCUAUAAGUUUAAUGGGUAAUGAUAAGUAACUGUUUAGUAUCUAUUAGACAUUGAUAAUUAAUUUUGGACCAUAUUAUUAUAGUAUUACAUGUGUUCUAUUACAUAAACAAUGAUGAACGUAGGCUUUUAAAGGAAUUUAAAGUUCAAGUUUAAUGUAAUAAAGAUAUGUAUAAUUCCACCUAUAUGAAUAUAGAAGUGGUGUCGUUUAUUUUUUAUAUUUAUAAGAGUUAAGGUUUUCUCUUAUAGAUAUUCAUGAAAAUGAGAUUUUAACACAUGACCAUAAUAAGUGCUAAACAAUUGUAAACUCUUGCAGGGUUGUUGAGUGGUGUGAAGGUUGUCUUGCAGGGGAUGGUGUGCAGUCAUUAUCAUGCAUUAAAUGCAAGGUGUGAUUGUCUUCGUCCUUUUUCCUUUUAUGAUCUCGGGGCCUGGUUAUUGCUCUGGUGGAUUGGAUGUUGAUUCAUGUAUGGGGGUUUGGUUUCUAGAUUUUUAGUUUCUUUGCCUUUGUUUUCUCUGCGUUUGGUUUGUGGAUUUUUUAUUUCUUGGCCUCUGUUUUUUCUUCUAAUGUUUUGGUUUGGCUUAUUUUUUAAAAUUAUAGUCGGUUUUAUUUGCGUUAUGUCACUUCAUGUCCAAUUUCAUGUGCAGAGUCUUUUUUAUUGUCAUUUUAAAUGAUUUGUUUUUUUUUCUUUUCCUCUUGAUGGCUUAUCAGGUUUGGCUUCCCUGUUAGUAGAAGCAUUCUCCUGUGGUUUUCUCAUCUUUUUAGCUCCCUGUUUUCCUACUGUUGUUUUCUAGGUUUAUUUCUUACCUGUAUUUUCAAUUUUCCCCAUUGUUUUAUCCUUCCAUAUUUUACUAUGUUUUUUUUUUUUUUGUGAUUUCAGACUAAAUGCUUGACCUACACUUUUACAAUAAUUUUUUUUUAAAUCUUUAAGUUCCAACCACGUUAUAUUCAAAAAACGAGAGACAUGUGUUGAUGUCUCACAAGCCAAAAUAUUUACCCGGAUAUCUUUGCUAUAUUGAAUUGGACAAUUAUUGACGUACAAUAAUUAUAUAAUUUGUAUUCUUUAAAAGUUGGAGGACCAUAGUGUAACAUUUCCUAAACUUCUAACACGUCCCAAGUGUCAUGGGUCUAGCAAUCAUGCUAGACCAUGACGACAUGGGCCUGACAACCAUGUCAGACCCAAGUCAUGCCAGCCCCAAGACACUUGAGUCUGGCGAUUUGCAUUUAUUUAAAAUUUGGAGGGCCAAAUUGUAACUUUCCCUAAAUGUCUAACACAUCAUCAUGUUUGGGGCCCUUUUCUUUCUGGUACCUAUUCUUUUGAAUUCUCUCUUGAUAGAGAAAUCAAAAUCAAAAGGCCUUUAAUUAGGAUUAGAUCACCCAUGAUAAAACUUCGACAGCCAAAAUGAAUCAUUAGAAAUUGCACAAUAUAUCCACAAUAUUUUUUUGUUUGUGUGGGUAUUGCUAAUCAAGGGCAAAAAAGCCAGCGCCUUUUAGAUUUUUGCUUGAUGUUCAUAGUUUUGAUAUUUUGCCUCUAUUUGAUGUUUUAGUUUGAUCUUCACACAAUCUUCAACCACGCCAGGCAUAAGUGACUAGGGUCUGACGAUCGUGCCAGGCCCCAACGAGUUGGGUUGGCAGGGUUGCCAGACCCAAGAACUGGUGGGUGAGAGGAAAGGAUGGCUGAAAUCCGGCCUAGAGAGAGAAAAUUGUCAUUUCUUCGAUUUCGGCAAUCAAAAUAUUAGAUUUUUGUUCCAAAUAGUUUCAUAUGAUGAGAGAAGUUUGACUUAGGAAUUUUUUUUUUAUCUUGAAAGUGCCUAAAAAUAUCAGAUAUGAGAUCGAGAAGAAAUUGGUUUUCAAGUUGAUUUUUGGUUUUUGAUCGGUUUUUUGUGCUUUUGAAGGUUAAAGAUUGGCUUAAAAGGUUACUAAGGUGAUUUUCUAGGUGUCUUGGGUUGAGAAUGGUUUGAAAAUGGGUUUCUAGAAGAAGAAAAAACAGUUACCUUGAUUUUCUAGCAACUAUGGUGGCCAGAAUCUGGGUAUGAUGAGCGAUGUGUCGUCUGACGCGUUUUUUUUUUAAAUCAAUUAGGACGGACGACAUGUUGUUCGCACCAUUAUCAAACAAAAAAUAAUAAAGGCUCAAGAUACUUAGGUCUGGAAACCAUGCCUAAUCCAAGUGCUUGGGUCUGAAAACUGUGUCAGAUCCAAGUCGUUUGGGUUUGACUUGGUUGCCAGAUUCAAGCGCCAUGAGUCUGAAACUAAGCCAGAUUCAAACGACUAGGGUCUGGCAACCAGCGCAAUGAUAUAAAAAUAUGUCGCAACGGAGUGCGGAGAUGUAUUAUAUAUAUAAUUUGAUUAAGAAACUUCAAGCCAAGUCAAUAAAUGCAUGUCUAACUCAAACUCAUUAAAAAUAAGCAAGAGUACUUACUAACUAGUAGCAUCUAACACAUUUUAAUUUAUCACUGCUUCCUCCAAGAGAAACUGAAAGAUAAAAAGAAAAAAACUGUGUAUGUUUUCAGCUUUAAAUAUUAUUUUUGAUAUCAUGUGCAUGGAAAUACUUAAUAUAUUUAUAGGUUGGAAGUGAAGCUUUUUCUUCCUUUCUCUCUUUCUAAAUAAGACUAAAACCCGCGUAUAUACAAACAUUAUAUAACGUCAAUGGUCAGCACCCUUUUAAUUUUUAGAGCGAUAUAGCUAGUUAGGCUGUCAUCUUUAAAUUGUAAAACAUCUCAUUGGCUAUAUAUUCCUCAAUUUUCUUAAGAUAAUAAUAAUAAUAAUAAUAAUAAUAAUCUCACUUUGAUUCAAAAGUUAUUAAUUAGUAUUCAACCAGUAUUUGUUUCCCGACCAAGAGUAGGAGACUUAAUUAGUAGAAGUACAAAAGGACACUCAUAAAGUGUUCAUAAUUAAUUAAUUCUACAAAAGCAUAGUCAUUGAACUCAUUCAUUCAUCUGAAAGGAAAAAGAAUCCCAAGAAAUUAUUUAAAAAAAAAAAGUUGUCUAUGAUAAGCCUUAUAGUACAUGGAUAGCAUACUAUUAUGAUAAAAUAUUUAGCUGGAGAUAGAAAACACCGACAGGUGACUUUCAAGAAGAUCAUGGCACACUAAGCAUCACAUGCAUUUGCUUGCUUGCUUGCUUUCUUCAUCUUGUACAUAUAUUCCGUACUUUAAAGGACGUGAAAAAACGCGUUUUCAUUAAUUUCCAUCGUUAAUUAUCUGUUAAUAAUAUCCUCAAUCAGAAAUAAUAUCGACAUAUUCCCAGAAAGAAAUUAAUGCAUCGAUUCAGAUUCUAAAAUAAACACCGACAACCGCGUAUAUGGGCAUAUGUUUGCCUAUAAAAUGGAGACACUUUCCUCGAGAAUUUUGUGUACUAAGUUUUUUGAGAUUAUUUACAAAGGAAAAUGGGACCUUUUGUCACUCUUUCUGUUUUGGUUUGCCAAUUUCUUUUCUUUGUUUGCUUGCUUAGUUUGAAGGGGAUUAAUGGUGGUUGGCUCAAUGCUCAUGCAACCUUCUAUGGCGCCAAUCAGAGCCCCGCCACUCUUGGUAAGUCUUAGUUUCUUAGAAAAAAAAGAACCCAAGAAUAUAUAUUGUAAUGCAUGUCACUCUUUCUGUUUUGGUUUGCCAAUUUCUUUUCUUUGUUUGCUUGCUUAGUUUGAAGGGGAUUAAUGGUGGUUGGCUCAAUGCUCAUGCAACCUUCUAUGGCGCCAAUCAGAGCCCCGCCACUCUUGGUAAGUCUUAGUUUCUUAGAAAACAAAGAACCCAAGAAUAUUAUUGUAAUGUGAGAUAUAGAAUAUAUGCAUAAAAAUGUAUUAUUUUUAAUAAUGAAUACGCGUAAAUUACAAUAAAAAAUUGUAAUUUUAGUUUGCUUAUCUUUCUCUCUCUUUUUCUCUUCCUUCAAUGUUUUUCAGGCAAAAUUUCAUAUAUUUAAUAUAAUCAUCAAUAAAAUUUGAUCAUCAUUAAAACAAAUCAAUCAAAAUGUCCAACAAUUUAUAAUUUUUUUUCUUAAAAGUUCCAUGUAAAUUAAUUAAACCACUUUAUGUACGGAGAAUUUAAAUGCAUAGUAAUUACUUUGGUGUGUAUUCUAUACGUCAGGAGGAGCUUGUGGAUAUGACAACACCUUCCAUGCCGGAUUUGGAGUGAACACGGCGGCCGUGAGUGGUGCACUGUUUAGAGGUGGAGAGGCAUGUGGUGCUUGCUACCAAUUAAUGUGCAACUAUAGGGCAGAUCCCAAGUGGUGCCUCCGACGUGCAGUUAUUACGGUAACUGCCACCAAUUUCUGCCCUCCAAAUAAUAAUGGAGGGUGGUGCGAUCCUCCUCGCCAGCAUUUUGACAUGUCCAUGCCUGCUUUCUUUCGCAUUGCACGACAAGGCAAUGAAGGCAUAGUUCCUGUGCUCUAUAGGAGGUAAUAAAAUCAUAUAACACGCACACAAAUUCCCAUAUAAAUUUAUAUUUUCUUUAUAGUAUGUUUAAAAUAUGAUUUUGAAAAUGCAUGAAUUGAAGGGUAUCGUGCACAAGAAGAGGAGGAGUUCGUUUCACUCUGAGGGGACAAUCAAACUUCAACCUGGUCAUGAUCUCUAACGUUGGUGGUAGUGGUGAUAUCAAGGCUGCAUGGGUUAGAGGCUCAAGGGCAAGAUCAUGGGUGCCAUUGCACAGGAAUUGGGGUGCAAAUUGGCAAAGCAGUUUCGAUCUUCGAAACCAAAAACUGUCUUUUAAGCUCACUUUAGUUGAUGGAAAAACACUGGAAUUUUUUAAUGUUGUUCCUUCAACUUGGAUGUUUGGACAGACAUUUUCUUCUCGAAGUCAGUUCUCUUAAAACUAAGGAGAUUUUUUCCUCUUUUUACAUGUCUUGAACUGGCAUUUUUCGAUUGUUCAAGAACAUGAAGAUGCAUUUUUUUCUUUUUUAAGUAAAACAUCUUUAAUUUGGAGGAACGACAUAUUAUAUAUAUUUCGUGGAUUAAGAUUUAUGUUUAACAAGUUUUUGUUACAUGGUGAUUUACUUUUGCAAAGCUCAAUAAUCAAGAGCAAUGCUAUUUUGUAACCUGGAUUGAAGAUAUAUUAUUGAUAUAGCAAUAAAAGGAAAAUUACAAUAAAUCUAAAUAUAUAUAUAUAGCAUGACUGAUACCGAAUUUUUGCAUCCUUCAAGCCUAUGUGAUUCACAUUUUUCAUCAAGGAUUUGUUCCACUCAUGUCAAAUAACCAGGUGUGUGCUUCUCAAAUUCAAUUCCUAACCGUCACAUCCAAACAAUUCCACGUUUAGCCCAUAAAACGUGCUUCCCUUGGUUGAUUUUUUUUUUCAAUAAAAAAAUGAAUAAAGAGACAUUUUCAUUGUAUUUUGAUUAUAAAAAAAAAAUACCUAAUUAUAAAUUGAAAUGCUUAUACAUACUGCACCAAAUUAAGUCAAAGGAUGAAAUGUGAAGGAAAACAUAAAAAGAAGCUUGAAAAUCAAUUUUCAAAAUACAAUAAAUGUCUAAUAAUGAAAUUAAAAAAAUCAAUUUAAAAAAAUUCAUAAAAAAAUAAAGUUAACCUAAGUAAACUAUCGAAACUUAUGACCGUGGUCAAAAGGCCUGAACCGACCAUAUAGAAGGUAAACCUAAAAAAACAAUGAAGCAAAGUUAUUAAUAAAAAAAUAUUGAGUGAUGAAAAUGAAAAGAAAAAUAAAAAAAAAUAAAAAAAAUCCUAGUUAACCUAGGCUAACCCCCUAACUACACAAAAGGAAACCUUACAGAAAUGAGGAUUGAGAUAACCUAACAGAAAAAAAAAAAAAAGAACAAAAACUAAUUAAAAAAAUCAAAUGUUCAAUGAUGAAAUUAAAAAUAAAUCAAUUCUAUAGAAAAACCUAGAGAAAAAAAUCAAAAUCAAAUCAUGUUAACCUUCGAAACUCGUGACUUGGUCAUGAGGUUGAAACUAACCCCAUAGAAAGCCGUUUAAAAAAAAAAAGCUAAUGUUAAAGGACAAAAUUAAAAAAAAAUUAAAAAAAAAAUAUGUCGACCUGCGCUAACUCUCCAAGCCCGUGACAUAACAAAAAAAGAGCAAAGUCCAAUCUCUAGUAAAUUAAACGCUAAAGGAUAAAAUUAAAAAAAAUCAAUGCGACAAAAUGAUAUAAAAUAUAAAAAAAUUAUAAUUAAAUGAAUGAUUGUGAUUAUCAAAAUAAAAAUUAAAUCAAAGGGCAAUAAAAAAAUUUAGAUCAAAAGGCUAAAUUGAAAAAAACUUUAAUAGAAGGGAAAAAAAUCAAAAAAAUGAGGAAAAAAACACCAUAAACUACUAGGAAGAGGUGCCGCCCAAUCAAAAGAAUGAGGAAAAAAGCACCAUAAACUACUAGGAGGUGCCACCCACGUGGCUUAAGGACGCAACACACUAGCUUUUUCGAAUAAAAAAAAUAAUUAAUAAAGGAAGAAAGACCAAACUACUCUUAAUGGCAAUGAAAUUAACAAAAAAAAACUAUAUUGAAAAGAUCAAAGUGCCCCUAGACCUAUGUUUUAAUUCCAUGGGGUCAAGGGGCAAAUAUGUCUUUUCUAUGUAUUUAAAAAACUUAAAAGACCUAAUUCUUUUCAUCAAAUAGUUAAAAUAAAAAUAUAUAAUCUAUGGAGCAAAGAGAUUAUUUUAUUGUUCCAACAAACUUGAAAAGUUACAUAAUCACCCUCACAAAUCAUUAAUUAUGAAUGGGAUAAAUGAAAAGAUUAAAAUACCCUCAACAAUAGUCAUCUCAGCAAUGAAUAGUAAAAACAAAGUAUGUCCAAGUGUUUUCCAUAAUGUUUUUGCUUCAUGCUUUAGAUGUUGUUCAUUUACACAGCCACAUCAUGUUUUUUAUAAAUUGAUAUUUUUUUGUUUUAUUUUUUUUAUUUUUAGAUCAUUUUGAUAUAAAAAAUAAAUUUAUAUAUAUAUAUAUAUUAUUUUAAUAUAUGUCUAAAUAAAUUAUUUUUUUAAAUUAUCACCACAACUUUUUAUUAAUCGGUUGUUUAUGCUCCAACAAUGACAAUUAAAAAAAGAUUUGUAAUUAGGUAGCCUCGAGUGGGAUUUUGUUCAACUUGGGUGAAGUUACUCAUCUAAUUUCCUUGGACUGAUAAGGAAAAAGUGGCCCUCUAUGCAUAGAGGAACUAGCCUUAGGUUAGCCAUGUUGUGUGUCCAGCCCAACUUCCACUCAGGCUUGACCCACUCCUUUUGAUAUAAUUCCCAAAAUAAAUAAACGCUUGCUCCUUUCUUUUCUGUCCCUUCACUCUCUCUUUUUAACACCAUAUUUUGUUUUUCUUUUUUUAUUUCAUUAUUGUUUGAUUGGUAGAAUUUCUUUUGAAAUUUCGUCCUUUGAUAUUAUUAUACAACUUCGCAUACUAUUGCAAAACGCGGCUGAGAGGGUAGGCCUUGUAGCUCCAUUGUCCUUUGUCAACUUUAAUUAAUAUAUAUAUAUAUAUAUAUAUAUAUAUAUAUAUAUAUAUAUAUAUAUAUAUAUAUAUUUGUCUAGUCAAGACAAACAACUUGUGAGUUCGUGUCGAUGUUUCUCUUAAUCAUUAAGUCACUAUUAAGUGCUUAAUUAGUUAAUUGGCAUUUAGUAUCACGACAAGUGGCACAUUAAAAAGCUUCAUCUCUUAAUUACAAGAUUCAGGCUUAAUCACUCUCGAGUGCUAGAUGGAGUGCAGCUAGCCGUAUAUAGUGGGACUUUACAUCUUGUGCAUGCUCCCACUAAAACAUCUUUUUAUGCUUUAACAAAUUCAAGUUGCUAUAUUUGAUUCUAUGGGCUUUAAGCGUUCAUAAAACCAUGCGCACUUGUUCCUAGACUGGAAGGAAGAGACGGUGGACACAAAUUAACCCAGAUAAUUAAUUAAUUUUCUUUAUUUAGAAGAUCAUAUGACUACAAAAUCCCACUUGCUAUUUGAACCAUGGGGCAAUUGGGUGUUCGUCUUUCUCACUUUCUCAACGCAUAUAUAACACGAUCAACUAGUAAGUUGUGAGCUGUGGUGCUGAUAAUAAGCUCUGAGGACUGAGCCAUGAAGCCUUUUUACUUGAGUUGCUUUAUCUUAGCUUUGCUUCUCUUGACCUCCUCGGGUACGUAUUAAUAAUUCUCUCUUGUUAAUUUAAAGUUUCCCAUACAACUCCUUGUGCGUUUCCCAAUGUAUUUAAAGAUAUCUAGAGGUGCCUUUUGAUCGUCUUCAAAGAUAUUGGAAAAAGCACAUGACAUUCCUUGAUAGUUUUAUAUCUUUAUCUUGUUUCUCUCCCAUGGUGUGUGUGUGUAUAUUAGAAUAAUGUGUUUUAUAUACCAAUUGAGUUAGCAACCAUGCACGCAUGUAGAAUAAUAGUUUGUUUGCAUGAAAUACCAGUUUCUAUGGCUUACAUGGAUAUUAUAAAGUUCCUGCUUCUCGAUUUUCUUGGUAAAAACAGCGGAGAUGAUGGAAGUGAUGAGAGAUAACAAUGGAAGGUGUGCCGCAGUGAUGGACCCUGACGGAUGCAAUCUUUCAUCUUGCAGGCAACGCUGUCUUCAGCAGAAGAAUGGCAAUGGUGUUUGUCUGGCCAAUUUGAAGGGGGGGAGUUACCAAUGUGUUUGUUACGUAAAUUGUUAAUCAAGCUGCUUCCUGUUGGGAUUAGAACGAAAGCUCCUAAAGUUAAUUAGCACGGAUUAACGUUUGCAAAAGAAGCAUUUUCAUUACAAGCUAGUGUUGCACGAAUGUUUUGUUGUCUUUCAAUGUCUUCGACAUUUGUAUUCUUGCAAAGUAAGAGAAGCGAGGUCUUUGAGUUCAAGUCUUCCAGCACAGUUUUACUGCAAAUCAGCUUAACGAUAUAUCAGAAAAUGAAAUAUCAUUAUAUCGACGACCACCAUCAACCACGGUGCCGAUUAGUGUAAUAAUGUCUAAUAAUGUUUUACAAGAAACCAAUUAGAAGAAGGGCGUUGCCUCGAGAAUUACACUAAUCAAUCUAAAUAAAGAAUAGAUCGUUCAGGAAAAAGACUUUAGACAGAUAGCUGCAGCUUCUUUUCAAGGCCUUGUGGUGAAGGCUGAAGAAUGGAAUCUGCAUUGUAAACAACCAGAGCAGGUAUAAUGGCAUGUCAACUUCUGUUUACAAGGACUAUAAAUUAUUCUGUAUGCUCAGCAAAUUGCUCUUCCUUCUCCCCGUCAUGCGGGGUGCAAUAGAAAUGAUCACACGUUGAUUCAAUCACGGGGAGGAAUAUGUACCGUUUAUAUUGAAUAAUGUUCUGCAUCCAGACAUUCUUAAAAAAAAAACGAAAGGGAAAGAAUACGGAAAUAAUCUCACUAUAUUUAGGCACAGUUUUGAAUUUUUUUUUGUUUUUUUAAAUUGUUUUAAUUAAUGUGUUGAUUUCGUAAAUAAAUUUUAAAAAAUAAAAAAUAUUAAUUCAGUAUAUAUAAUAUAUUUUUAAACAAAAUAUACUUUAAAAAAUAAUCAUUACUGUAAUAUUGGGCUCUUAAUCAUUAUUUGGCCAAUCUCAGCCACCACCUUAGCUUUUAGCAACGCAGCUGGGGUGUAUUUUUGUUAAAAUUAAUUUAAAUUUUUUUAUUUUAAAUUAUUUUUUAUAUUUAUGAAUCAUUUUGAUUUAUUGAUAUUAAAAAUAAAUUUUAAAAAAAAUAAAAAAAUAUUUAUUUAAUAAACUAUAAAAAAAAUUAAAAAAACAUAUAAUCACAAAACCAAUCAUUACAGCUCCACCGCCAGGUCCUCCAGUGCUGUUGUGUGAUAAUAAAACAAUUAGUUCUCGUAAGAUAGCACCAAGCCACCAACCUCAGCAGCUCAGCCCCAUUUCCUUAACAAGAAUAGAACAGGAAGAAAGACUCCUCAUUGCCAAUGUGAAUGCAAAAUCUUAUAAACAUCAAUCAGAAAGAAAUAGGUGAGUUGUUUCAGCAUUUUCUUUUGAAAAAUAAAAUCACCACAUUUUUUUCUUAAAUAGAAAAGUAUUUUCUUCAUAUAAAAAAGAAAAGUAUUUUCUUUUAAAAAAAAUUAUUCUAGUAUUUAUCAGAAUUAAUUUUUGUUAAUUUUGGUUCAAAAAAUGGGGUUGGAGGAAGAGUUGUAUGCACAAUUUUUUACUAUUUUUUUCAUAAUUUUCAUACUCUUCCUCGCCUAAUAUUUUUAAUUUUUCUCUUUGUUUUUAUUUUCAAUCUAGAAUUUAGAUUCAGUUUUGUAAGAGAUAUUUAUAUGUAUUUUCUCGUGUUUGUAAAUCUUGUUUAAAAGUAUAUCUAAACAAAUUAAUAUAGUUAGAAUCUUGUUUAAGCAAAAUGUGCUGCUUUUAUUUGUAAGUAAGGAUGUCCUUUAACUCUCUCUUUUUUUUUAUAUAGUAGAUAAAUGACAUGAAUUCUCAAAAACAAAUAAGCUUUUCUUUGGAAAAAUAUUGGAAGUUUGUUGUGAGUUUCGAAAUAUAAGUUUUUCCUUCAAAAGAGGGGAGUUAAUAGAUAAAAUGAGAGUAUAAUACUUUCUAUCCUUCUUUAAAAUAGGAGUAUUUUUGGAUUUUUUAGAAUUUUAAAUAAAAAGGUUAACUCUGCUAAUUUGAGGAUGGAAACCAUAAUUUCUCAAAAAAAAAAAAAUUGCAAAAUAUAACGGUGUUUAAAACGGAGGAUGGUGGAGGUAAUUAACUCUCAGCAAAAACAAUUUGGAGUCACUUAUACUCACCAAGGAUGCAUAAUUUUGAAGGCAUGUUGCAACUUAUCACUGCCCCCACAACUGAGAAGUUACUGGAAUUCAAAGAGCCCAUGGACGAGAAAUACGUGAUUCUCAGAAGCAUGCUUCUUCCUAGGCCUGAACAUUUGCAUAGCUAACAAUCUGUAUAAGAACAAAUAAAUAUGAUGAGAUUGAACAAGGCCUUUAACAUCAUCAAAUGGACAGCCAAGAUACAUGCAUGAUCAGAAUUAUUAGGGGGGCAUCCAAAGAAUUGAAGAUAGAAAUAAAAACGGGAAAUUGCAUGGGGCAUUAUUAGUGUCGCAUCGCAUUCAACAAAUUGAAGAGAAAAACAACCAUAAUAUCAGCAAAAGGCUUACAAAUCAAUGCAAUUAGCUGGUGAUGCUUGGAGGAGAUCAGAAGGAAUUAAGUUGAAGUGGAUACUUACAGAAUACAACUUCAGAACCUGUAGAAGAACUCUGUCAUGAACAAUAUGUCAAUACGAAAGGUUUGUAUUCUCUCUACCUUGCAGUUGUAGAGCACAUCUGUAACAAAAACGGGUGCUGGGAACGAACAAUUCAAGGCAAAAAGUCAAUUUGAUAAGCAUAUGCAGAGCCCUUUGGACAAUUUAACAACCUCUGUAUUACAUCUUCUUUUGAAUUAUCAAUCUCCAUCUCGUAUCUGAUAGUCAUCUUCUUCAAGACCCGAGCAUUCCUUAAGCAAUAUUCCACAAUUUUUAUCUCUGCUAACUGCCCUUCAAGAUUUUUAAACUCAAUCACCUCAAGGCAUGACGACAAGCAAUGGGACAGUACCGCAUUUCCAUGAGGACCUCGCCAUUGAGGGGUAUCCUGAUUAUCCUGAAUGAAUAUUAAAGUUAGAAACACACAAAUGCAUGCAUGGGUUAAUUAAGAGUAUUUAUAUAAUUGGAACUAACCUUCUUAGGGAUUAAAACCUCCAAACUAGCACAUUAUCUGAGUAUAAGAAGCAAAAUCAACCACUUAUCUGCACUGGCUUCAACCUCCAAACGAGUAAGAUACCAAAAAGGCACGAAAUUUUGCAAGACAAGACAAGUCCAGUUCAUGUGCAUCUUUUAAACUCCGAGGAGGGAAUAUGCGAGUUAGUGAUUAUCCAAACCACAAUUAGGAAUAUAACCAUUGAAAAUAUAAGCAUAAAAGUAAAUGGGGAUGGGAAUCAUUCCUUCCAUAGUAAAAUCAGACAAAACUAGAAUCCUAACAUCAGAGAUCGAUCAUUAUGAAAAACCCAACCACCGUUUCUGCAUAAUCAUCAAAAUAUUUGGUUAAAAAAGGUGGAUGGCCAUGACUGACAGUUGCCUCUGCUAGUGAGAGUGUCUUGUGCAAUAUGUUCAACUCCUCGGAUGCAGAAUCAGUGAGUUUAAGAAGCUCAAGGUUCGGGGUGUCAAGAGUAAGUAUUCUAUAAGCUCGAAGAUCAUCAUCUUCAAGGUAGUCAUAAGCACGUAGUAAUUGCAUCAUCAAACGUUUCAGUGAUAAUACUAUCUCUAUGCAAGCAUUACCAUGCAUUGGGGAAAGACAAUCAAGAUGAAGGACCUUUAGACGUGGAAAGCAUACAGUGCUUGGAUAAACAUGAAAAGCAAUCCGAUAACUAACGUUCAAAAGCACUAAUGUCUCACAACUAAAAAGACUAUGCUUGGUGUCUUCCGCAAGCAUAAGCAUCUCCCCAACUCUAGCCCUAACUGCUGAGGAAAUCCAUGCACUAACACUGGAAGAAUGAUAGGUUCCAGAUAUCCUGAGCCGAGACUUUUGCAUGGGAGUGGAGCAGUACGUAGAUUAAAACACCACUCCACGAAAUUCGUAAACACUCUUUAACAAAGAACUAAAUUAACUUAAAAGUAUUAAUUCGUAAACACCACUCAACGAGUGACACGUGUGAUUUAAAAGUACGAAUAUAGUCUAGGGAAAAAAGUCACGGGUCAGCAAGAUCACCGAGUCAACUCACCUUAAAAUUGUAAAUUGAUUUGCAGAGUUUCAGCCGCAAUGACUUGCCAAUCAACAUCUUAAGAGAGACUUUUACAGAACACAGCUCAGUUUGGACCCAGGAUAAACUCUCCAUUUACACAUUAUCUAGCCCGCAAGGCACAAACAUUAUUUGGAAAUUUUUAUCGACUGGCCACCCUUAAUGAUCAAAACUUCAACCCACCUUUUAAAGGAUAGUCAAGUCUUCUGCUUGACAGUUUAGCAUUGAGUUUUUCUAGUUUCAGACAAGUUGCUGCGAGACUUGAUAACCUAUGAUGCCAGAUUUUGGUUGUGAGCUCCUAAACAUGUAUUUUUCCGCAAAACUCAAGUGCUUUGGGUCAAUCGCAUCCACUUGAAUUAGUAUUAUCUGACCAUUCCCUUCAUCAGUCCAUUUGAUUGAUUCCUUCUCCAGUUGUUUCAUGAUCUACACAAGAAGAUAUGCAAUGAUAAAGCAAUUCAAGAAGCUUACAUCUGUAUUAGCAUCAAGCACCUAAACAGGGCAUUCUAUUUUAAAAUACAUCUCCCCUGCAUAAUCUCUAGAUUAACGUUACAAAUUCACUAGAAACUAGACAGAUACGUAUCCUACAUCAGCCAAACCAAAAGGUUAAAGGCAGAAUAAUCACAGACACCUAGAAUGUAUGCCAUAUAUGGUUAAUUUUUCAAGAACAAUCAAGUCCAGGUUCGUCUUUUCAGUUUUCACAGGAAGCGAAAAAUAGUUGUUCUUCAAUUCAGAAAAAGAAAUGAAGAAGAUAAAAUGGAAAAUCAUUUGGCACAUUUUUUCAUAGUGAAUUUUCUUUUUUCUUUUUUUUUUCAAUCAAUUGUCAUUCCUUCUAUUAAUGAAACAACUGGAAGUUUUUUUUAAUGUUAAAUAUGUUGAACAGAACAUAGUCAAAGCAUCAAAAAAGUCAUCAAGGGAUCUACUAACUUUGCAUAUGAAUCUGACUAAAUCUUUAUUGUUCUCCAUUUCCGGACUUUAAUUUAUAAUUGAUUAACUCUUGUUAUAGAAUUAUUGGUUUCUUGCAAAUCUCAGCAUCCUUGAAUAUUCUGUUACUAAUCUAUUUAGGUAUCAAUUAAGAACCUUGCUCAGAGACAUUUAGAAGAUAAAGUAAAUCCAAUGUUAUGUAUCUGAUGAGGAUAGAAAAUCUAUGGAAGAAUUGUCUCCUUCUCACUUUUCCAGUUGAUGCUGUAAUAUCAUUGGAACUUGACUGCUCCCAAUCUACCAAUGUAGUUUAAAAAAAAUGCCUAAAGCUAACAGAAAUGAAAUUUAUAGCAGAAAGUAACCUUUAAUCUAGUCUUACCAGUCUUCUCCGUUUUCCUUUUGUGGUAUCUUUUUCAUCAUUCUCAAUUACGACUCUGAGGUAUUUAAUAGCUGACACAAAGCAAGAUGAACAAAUCACAUAGUGCUUCUCUAAUACUAUGUGGAAAUAGAAAGGAAGAGAAAAGUAGCCUACACGGGAUGCCAGAAAAGGAAGUUAAAUGAAACCUCAAAGAAUGUAAAGCUUCCUUGGGUUCAAAGCCAAGCAAAUCCAGAGAUACUAUUUCAUCAUCUCUACGUUCAUACUCACAUUUUGUUACUUAUCGUAUAAUAUAUAGACAGAAGUCAAAAGCAAAAUAUAAAUUUUGCACCAACCUGGUUUCCAUAAGCUUUUGAAAAGAUUUUUCAUCUGCUUCUCGAGCCUUUUCGUUAAAAAAUUGUCCCUGGACAUUCAACACAUUCAGAAAAUCAAGUAUCAUUGUCUUAGCUUUUUUAAAAGCAUCAUCCAGGUUAGAUGCUCAUGAUGCUUGUACUUUUUUGAACUUCCAGUUAGUAUAGGAAAUCCUUUCCUUCUUAGAAUGCCAUGCCAUGUUAGUUAAGUUUACCUUGAAUCACAAUAUCUCAACUGCCUAGCAAUUAGAUUUAUGGCAAAGUUACAUACGUUGCUUGUUAUUUAUUACCAUAAUGUUGAAGCAUUGAUUUACUAAUUGAAAGGAAUUUUGCUUAAGGUAAUUUUUUGAAAAAAAAAGGGAACUAAUUGACGGUACUGAUCUGUCAAUGAGAGAAUUACAUCUGUAACAAUGGUGAUUGCUAAUAUUGAACUUUACACGCAUAAGUAGUAUGUUAGUAAGUGCAUGUGGAAAUGCACACACGCAUGUAUAGAAAAAACCUGGUCCAUGAGUUUGUCUGCCCUUGCAUGAUCACCCUCAGCAAACGCAUCAGCAGCCUGCAAAGCAAUGUGGUUAUGAGACAGAUCAACAAUGACAUCCAACCCUACAGGUAGCAUAGAUGAUCAACUUAUCACAAUUUUAAGACUGCAAAAGAAAAUAAAAGGUAAAGAGCCAACCCGAAAAAAGUUCAAAAGAAACAGAAGAGUAUGUAGUGGUUAUUCAAGAAAAAUGAUCACCAUUAUAUCUACGAAUGCAGUGCAAAAAUAUCCUGCAAAAAUAUUUUCCACAAGUUUAUACAGUAAAAAGCUUACAGCUUUGUAGAACUCUUUCUUUGUGAUCCAAUAUUCCUUGACAGCUUUGCGUAAGACCUCAUAGCUGUUUUCAUCGCCUUCUGCUUCUACCAACAGAAAAAUAUUCAUGUGGCAUGGAGCAAUAGCAUUAGAAAAAAAAUACUAAAAGAUUAGAAAGGAAAAUGUUAGAAAAUAAACAUAAACACAAACAGUAAACCAUGAAAUUAAAUUGGACAACAUGGAAAGUUAAAUCACCCAACAAACUUAAGAAUAUUUGCUAUUUGUGACUUCAUGAUUACUGGGUUUCAGUGGGUAAUAUAGCAUCUUAUAUUACAAGAUCAGUCCAUGUGCAGGUGAACAACGAGUGGACCCUAAUGAAUCAUAAAAUCUAAAUCACACAUGAAAACUUAAUCUGCAUAUUCAAGAAGGCUUCCAUGUUUGUGGUAUCGUGAUUGAUGGAGCUUGCAUGAGAUCAAAUGGCAUCUACCAUAGCCCUAGGAGAACCAAUAAACUCAAUGCUAUGAUAGAGAAAGCAAUACCUAUGAACAACCAUGGGGUGUAUGUAGGCAAUACAAUUAAGACAGACUGCAAGGAUCAAUUUAAACUACCCCGUCAUCUAUAUAACUCAAUGUGCCAUCUAACAAACUAUUAAAAGCAAGACAGCCCAAUUAAGGUGAAUCAACAUUUGGAAGUCCAAGUUGUUGAAAAACCAAAGAAUAAACAGGAACCUGAAACUUCUUAACUUCAUAAAUGUCCUCCCUACUUUCAUCUACUAUGAAAAUAAUCUGUGGCAUUAACAACUCUUUGAAAACUGUGAACAGCGUAAAAAAUACAGUGGGAACCUCCUCUAGUAUCUGCUAGUGGCUUUGCAGCAGAAGGCUUGUGUUCUUUAGCAGUGUCCUUGUGAGGGGUAACUGCCGGUUUACCAAAAACACUCCUUGCUUGCCUCACUAGGCGUGUCUUCUUUGGUGCCUCCUCAGAUCUUUCUGGAAGAUCAAAUAAAGAUUGCAGAAUUUCCCUCUCGAGACUUACUCUAUUGUGUUCUCUCUUCAACGAUCCAGUUAAAUUUUCUUUGUGCAACCGAGCUCCAUCACUUCUUUGCAUAAAAGGUAAAACAAAAAACAAGAGAGAGAUAAUGAUUUAUGCUGCUAGUGGACAAAUUUGACUUAAUUUUAAGCGGCCUAUUCCAUAAAUAACAAAUUCUCUUGGCAAAAUCGAGAUUCAAGGAAGUAAACUAGUAAACAACAAAAAUGGAGAUGUGUAUGGGAAACCUUUGGGUUCCACGUAGCUGCUGCGUCUGUUCUUGAAGGGAAAGGGAUUCCUGGUCUGAACAUUGUUUAGUGGACUGUUUAAACAAAAUAAAUGAAAAAACACUUUAUCAUUGUAUUCUGGAUUACAUAUUUUAUGAAAGAUGCAGCUAUUAUAUUUACAAAAACUGGGUAGCAUACAUCAAAGGCUAAGGCAAAAGCUUACUUCUUCCAUGGCCAUGCUAACAGCAUCAUCGGAUUUUUCCAAUGUUGAAGCUGAUAAUUCAAGAAGUUCAUCAAUGCUCUGCAUGACCAACAGAAGCAGUUUCAGAGGUUGUUGCUAAAGUUACAAUGUUGAUAUGUGCCAACACAAAAAUGCAAAAAUGUACAAUAUAUAUGCUACUACAAAAUUAGGUGACAGUAUUCUAAAAAUUGUAUGAGCACUUUGGAUAUAAUAAAUUUCUCAAGGUUAUUCAGCAGUAGUUGAUAAAUUGAAAAAAAUCACUCAAGGAAAAUUAGUGUAUAUUAGGCCAAGAAUUGUUACGCCAUGCAGCUUGGUUAUAAUAAACCCAAAAAAAAAAAAAGAAUUUGGAAGAAACAGUGCAAACAGCUAGGUUUAUUCAUCUUCUAUUUUGUUAAACAUGCAAUUAGUUUCUGAAGACAUGCACUCAUAACAAAAUUCCAGUCAAUCAAGUAAAAUAACAAAUGCACAAAACAAUGGCUCCCAACCUGUAAUUUUUUCUUUCUUUUUUGAACUUUCAACAAUGAAAAUAUGCAGUGUAAAAAAUAGAUGAUAAUCUUUUCCUUCUAGAAAACAAUAAAAGAAAGGCCCAAAAAUACAAAGACAACUGUAAUUUGUUACUUUACCUUUUGAAUAUCAUACCCACAACGGCCUGCAAGCCACAUUUCAAAUGACAGAUUAAAGAGCAAGCCAACGAAAUAUGAAAAAGGAAACCAAACAUGGACUAAUUUUAGGGGUAAAAGACAGAGAAGCUUUACCAAGAACUUCUUGAAUCAGAGUCAUGUCAAGUUGAAAGCCAUUUCCAAGCAUUUGAAAAAGAAAUUCCUCAACGCCAGCUUGCAUAAUGCCAUGUCUUGCUACCAUACUUGGUGGGUUUUUCUCUCUCCAAACGUCAGAGACUGGAAAAUCUUUGGAGUCUAAUUUCAAAGGUUUUGUAGCUUCAACAGAACGAUGCGUUAAUGGCUUGGGUUUAGCAUAUUCUUUUCCAAGUACACUUGAAACGGCUCCCAUUGAUACAGGAUAUCUUUUUGACUUAAAUUCUCUGGUAUCUUUUUCUCCAAUAGGAGCCAUCUUAAAGACUUUAGGUGACAGUUCAGAGAACAUUGGUCUCAUACUGUCUCUUCCAGAUGCCAACUUCAUAGAUACUGCAUUUUCAGCCUCCGAUUUGCCAGUAUUAGCGGUAGUAGAGUUGCUACCGUGAAUUCCACAAAGAGUUUCACCGGCCAGAUUUUUAUCAAAGUUGGCACUGACAAAAGCUGAUGAAAUGUCCUCAAGAGAAAAUCCAGACCCAAGAACUUCAAAUAACUCUUCUAAAUCCUUCUUGUCAACAUCACAGGAUGCCGUGCAUGAAAUGUCCUCCAUUUUUAUAUGCUUCACACAUGAACAAGAAUGGGAAGCAACAGAGGGAAAUGAUGUCAGCAUACAGUAAGAAAACAGUCGACAAGGAAGAGGGUCAAACCAGCAAAAUGGUAAGAAUUUCAUCUUGCACAACUUCAUGUUACUGUGAAUUCCCAUGACUCUAUCCCUUCUAUUAGAUAAUUACGUAAAAAACACACAGCUCCAUCUUCGCUAUCACUACUAUUCAUCAAAUUUUAAGAAGUUUAAUAAUUUCUUAAAUAAGAAACUAAUUAAUAUUAAAAUAAAAAAAAUAUUCCCUACAUUAUCUCCCUAAUUACUUAACAGAUUAAAAAUAAAGACAGGCAAAACACAUAGAAAGGAACUUCAAUCUAAACAAAUCAUAAAUUGAUUUCUUUUAUUAAGAUAUAUACACAUACACACACCAAACAAAAUUUUCUUUUAAUUUGUUUUCUCUACAACCAAACAGGAAUACUCCGAAAAUGUGAAGAACAGUAACAAGCAAACAAAUAGAGAUUACAGCAAGCAUUGAUCAAUCGCAUUUCUUAACAACUAGCGAUUGAGCAAAAAUCAUAUGUAACAUUAUAAAACGGAAAAAAAAUCAAUCGACAAUGCUAAAUUAGUUUCAAAUCAGUAUAUGAGAAAAUUAAUGGAGUGAUUAAAGUACUUACAUUGAGAUUGAUUGAUUGAUUUUUGGGAGAGAGAACAAAUGUGUUUGGUGUGGGGGUUGGCUCUAGCUAUUUCCAGGGGUUUGCUUCGUAUGCAAGUUAGCAAGAAAGUAGGAGGGUGAGAGAGAGUUUUGGUGUUCGGGUAUACGAAGCUUGGUAUAGUAAUUAAAAUAAUUAUUUUUUAAAAUUAUUAAUAGUCAGUUGAGAAGGUAAAUGAUAUAUUAUUUAAUUUUAUAUGGACCUUGUUCCAUUGAAGUAAGAGAAAUGAUUAUUUAUUUCAACUUCAUAAAUUACACUACAAAAUAAAUAUUACUAUGCAACCAAAAAUGAAGUGAUAAAAUUAAGAAUUUAUGUGAUAAAAUUAUUAAAUCUCCAUUGAAUGGCAUCCCAGAAGGAGCAAAUUGAGGCGUUAGAAACUAGCUAGCUUGCAAACUGUGAGCUUGUUGGUAUCUAGGAUAUUGUCCACCAAUGGAUUAGCCACACAGAGGAGGUGAUCAUGAAGGGACUAGGGAGGCGCCAACUGAAGCAUGGACUUUUUCACAUAUAUACAAGCAUUCCAGAUUCUUCUUGAAGUACACAGCACUCGAAUAAUUUUAAAAAAAAAAACUAAAAAGGCUCGGGUUUUACUUAGCUCCUCUCCUAAUUCACUACGGAUUUGCACCAUAAAGUUAUCAAAUUAUAUCCCUAGAAAAGAGAAACACAAAAGAUGGUGUUAGGGGGUAUUUUUAGACUUUUACAUGAGAUAUAUUUGGUAUUUUCAAAUUGGUGAGGGGUAUGUAUGACUUUUAUUCUUUUUAUUGCACAGUGUGAAGUCCUCGAUAACGUUAGGAGCAGAAUUUCGGUUUGCUUCGGGAGAGGGUCUUUUUCGGUUUUUCCUUUUCUUGAGAAUAGUGAGAUUGCCAAAAUAACUUUGGAUUUUAAAAUAAAUGCUUUUGUCUUUAGAGGUAUUGGCAUCUUUUGGACUUUGGUUUUUUGUAAAUUUUGUGUGGGGUUUGGAGUAUUUUAGUAUUUAAAAAAAAAAAAAAAAUUGUUGGCGCUUGAUAAAAACACGCUAGUGUGUGAAGGUUCUUCAUGUCAAUUGGGCGGUGUAUGACACCUCCUUUGGUAUCAAAAAAUACUCAAUCACGAUAUUGUCCACCAAUGGAUAUUGUCCAGACCAACACGUGUUGACCUAAGGGCUAUUAUUAGGUGGCGACUCGAUUUUUUCUUCUUCAUCUUCUUUUCUCUCUCCUCCACUCAUCUAAAGUUAAAAAAUACCCUAAUCUUUUGUAGUAUUUGAAUUGUGGUCCUCAUAGUUUUUAUUAUUCUAUAUUUGUUUUAAAUUAUUUUUAUGAUUUUUUUCAAUUUCAUCAUUUAUCAUUUUAUUUUUAUAUUAGAUUUUAUCAUCUUUCUUUUAAUUAAUAUUUAUUUUGUUUUUCACCCUUCUUCUAAUUGAUUUUAUUUUCAAUUUCAUACCUAAUUUUUUUUUUAAUUUAGUCCUUAUUCUUUUCAUUAUAAUUUCUUUUGGUCUCAUUUAUUUUUCUUAAUUGAUUUUUUUUUCAGAUUCAUCGAUCAUUAUUUGAUUUUAAUGUCAAAUUUGAUCUUUAUUUUUUCAAUCUUGAUUUUUAAACCCGAUCUAGGGGUCGACCCUGGGCAAAUUCUAGGUUACAAAUCGAGUGGGUUGGUCAAGGUUACCCAGAUCAACUUAGCCUAAAACAAUAUUCAACGAGUUUUAAAAAAAAAUUACAAGUUGCAUCCUUAUUUUUUUAAUUAUGGUUUUUAAACCCGGUCCGGAGGUCGACCCCGGACAAGUCCCGGGUCACAGGUCGUGUGGGUUGGCCAGGGUUACACAGGCAACAAAUUUUUUUAUUUCACAAAUAUGUAAAAAUGACAUUAUUUUGGUCAAAAUUUUACAAAAAAAAAAUCAAUGGGUUUUAAGAUGGGUUUAAAAAAAUAAAAAUAAUUUAGUGAAGAAAUUGGGUCCUCAUUCUUUUGAUCAUGGUUUUUAGACCCGCCCUAGGGGUUGACCCCAAGCAGCUCCAGGUGCAUAGGUCGAGUAAGUUGACCAGGGUUACCCAGGUCGACUGAUUUUUUUAUUCUCCAAGAAAGUCAAAAUUAUUUUUUUAUAUAAAGAUUUAGCAAAUAAAAUCAAUGAAUUUUGAAAAAAAUUUAGUAUUCGUGAUCGUGGUUUUUAAUUAAUUGUUUUUUUUGUUUCAUCCCUUGGCAUUCAGUUUAUUGAGAAUUUUGCUUUGUAAUUUUUUCAGAUUUACCUUAUGUAAUGUGGUGUUGGCCUCAUAACAGGGGUUACAAGUUUAAAAGGUUAGCUGUAAUUACUUUUAUUUUUUUAGCGUAUUUUUAAAUCUUGUUUUUCAAUAUUUGGUUAUGAAUUAGCUUUUGUUAUUUUUUAUUAAUUUAAUUUAUUUGUUAUCAUUAUUUUUUUUAAGUAUUAUUAGAUUAGAUGAGAUUCUUAAACAUGUCGGUUCAAUAAUUCAAUUCUCUAAUUUUUUUAAAAUUUUAAAUUUCACAUGAAGUCUUUUUAUAUUAAAAAAAUAAUCUAACCUACAACAUAUCACGAGUUAUCUAUCUACUGAUCAUCUAAAUUUGAAUUGUUUAUUUGUUAACAGUUACAAACAAGCAUUCCAGGGGAGAAGAGUGGUUCUCCACACCACGGGACAUAAAGUACAAGAAUUAACAAUUAACAAAGAAAACUAAAUCAUGUGGCAAAAAUGUUGUUCAUCCACGCUCAAUCGUAUUGUGGGUACCAAUAAUAACCUGCAGUAGAAUUCAAGAUCUUCUUCUCUAAUUCUAGCCGUGCAAGAAGCAAUAUGUGACAGGUUGCUGGGCAAUAAAUGCACUGGCAGGCAUUUAAUGCUCUGACAAGCAAGUAAUCCUGUCAUGGCAGGCAAGAAAUCUCAAGUAUAGAAAGCAAAUGGUUGGCCAUUGCUAAAUGAAAUUCUGAGAGAAAGGAAAAGUCAUGGCAAGAAUUAAAGCAUGCUAUAGGGAAAGAGAUAGAAAAUUUAGAACCAAGUCAAUAAACUUGCAGGAAGUCGAUGAAAAUAUUGUAGGAAAUGGGCCAUUACAUGGAGAUAGAAUUAAUAAUCACAAGUUUUUUAACCACCCAUUUACUUACUCUUCCCACAAGCUGGCCUGCCAUCUUUGGCAAUCCCUUCUAUGUCAUCGAGACACCUUCUCCGAGACUCAAAAAAGAUAUUUAUGUUGGAGAGAUGCACUUGCUGAUAUCUAACACUGCUCAUGCGAGCUCUUUAAUGUGACUUCUAGGUGUCGCAUGGUUCUAGACUCGUGGCGCUGGUUUCUAGGUCUAAGACGCUUAAGUCUGGUGUGGUUGUCAGAUCCAAGUAACUUGGGUCUGACGCUUGGGAUUUGCAUAAUUUUUAUGAGCCAGGCAAAUGAAAUGGUUUUGUUAAGAAUCAAAAUACUCAUGAAAUAUGUUGAAUGGUCUGAGAACAUCUAAUUAAUAAUUCCUUGUAAACUUUUGAUGUAUUGUUAAGAAAAAAACAAUAAAUAUCUCUGUCAAACACUAUUGAAUUUCAAUAAAUACAUGCAGAAUUUAAGCUAAACUUUGUUAUGUUGAUACCAAUUGUUCUUUGCAAAUUCAACAUUAGUCUUGCAAAAUAUCACAAAAGUAUGGUAAUGAUUUAUCCAUAAUGAGCUAAUGAACACCAACAAAAGAGUUUCUAGAUCAUGGUAAAAACAAAGCAGUGUUGAGGCAAAUAACGAACUAAAAAUUCCAUUCCAAAAGUGAGGGUCAAUCCAUUUCGAGCUAGUUGCUCUGCGUGAAUCGGGUAAGCCGGGCUAGUACGGCGAACCUGUGAACUGGAUUAUGGACUCCACUGGGAUUAUAAUUUUUUUUUUUAAUUUUUUCUUUAACUACAUGGUAACAAAAAUAGAUGAUUGCAAAAUCAAAUGCCAACUCAAUACUGAGAUAUUUUUUUAGAUCACGAUAACCUCAUAAAAGGCGAAUAAAACCAAUUAUGAAACUGAAAUCCCAAUUAAUCCAAUAUCUAAGGAUUAAUGUAACAUCAAAUGAUGAAUUAUCAACAUUAUUAUUAUAACAAUUAUUAUUCUUAUCUUAUUAUUAUCAUUAAUAAUAUUGUCACUAUUAUUACAGCUACCACCAUUACUACUAUCAUCAAUAAGUAAUAUCAUAAUUGAAAUUAGUAUUAUUAUCUUGAUCACUAUCAUUAUCAUUAUUAUUGUUGUUAUCAUUGUUAUUAUUAUUAUUGUUUAUAUUAUUGUUAUAAUUAUUUUCACCGCCACCAUAACUAAUAUUAUUAUUAUUUUUAUUCUUAUUACUAUCAUCAUCAUUAUUAUUACUGUUAUAACCACAAUUAUUAUUAUUGUUGUUGUUGUUGUUGUUAGCACUACUACUACUACUAUUGCCCGCGCCCCGCCACAACAUUUUUUUUCCUGUCAUUGCUCUAAACUUGGUUCAUGUUUGUGUUAAAUAUGUAAGAUAACUUAAACUUUAACUACUAAUAAUGUAAAGAGAAAUUAACACAAACCAUAAGCAGUAACAUAGAUAGAAAGGUUUUAAGAUGUAGAGAAGUUAAUACACAACUAAGACAGCGAGAAUGGAAUCCAAAUAAAAAUUAAAGCUUGUCCAUUGUAAUUUUUGCCAAUUCCACAUAACAUGGGUUAAGCAUGCUUGCCAGACCCAAGAUGCUGGACCCAUGUUGCUUGGGCCUGACGUGGUUGCUAGACUCAAGGUUCUUGAGUCUGACAUGGUUGUCAGACUCGAGUAACUUGUUUAUUGAGGACUAAAAUACUCAUGCAAAUGUGUUGAAUGGUCUCAGGAUAUCUAACUAAUAAUUCAUUGUGAACUUUUGAUGUAUUGUUAAGAAAAAAAAGCAAUAAAUAUCUCUACCAAACACUGCUGAAUUUCAAUAAAUAGAUGCAAAAUUUAAGCUAAACUCUAUUAUGUUGAUACCAAUUGUUAGAUACAUGUCUGUGCUCUUGCAACUUUAAAAAACUAUGAUCAAAUGCAAGGAUAUACUUAUUGUCCUCCAAUAAAUUAUUGAUUCAACAUACUCAAAGUUCUCUUGUUCUACCCAUUAAUUUGUUGUCCAAACUUUUUGUUACUCAUUUCUAAUCCUCCUAAUAUUAUUGGAAAAAAAAAACAACAAAAACAUGUUAGAUCUUUGAAAAAGAUCCCACCUUUGAUGUUAGAACCCAUAAAGUCCAAUACUUUUCCUUAAAAAUUUAUGGAUUUGAUGGUGAGAUCAAGAAUGUUCUCAUUAGAUACAUCCAUUUUGUUAAUGGAAGAAUAAUUAUCAUAUCAAACUCUUAAGAACAGACAAAAGCAAACCACAUAAUUUUCUCCCAUUAAUCAUACCAUAAAAUUCCACACUCUCUUUGUUGUCCUUUUCUCUUCGUCACAACUUUGUCCUCUUCUCUGUCAAUUUGAUGCCCUCUUCUCUUCCAUUUCUUCUACCGAUUUGGUUGAGAAUAAGGAGAAGGACUAAACUCAGGAAGCACCAUCUUCAUCCUCUCUCUGCAAUUUCCUCUCAUCUAAUUCAUUUUCAUUCUCUUCGUGAUCUGAGUUGUAAAAAAUUAAAAGAAAAGGAGAGAGAAGAAGCAAUGAAUGAGAAGAAAAAAAAGUCAAAGAAAUAUUUUUCCGCUUGCAAAAAGAUGAGAAAUUAAAAGUAAAAUUACUAUUACAAUCCACAAUAAAAGAUCUUUUGAUCCACAAUGAUUUUCUCAACCAUUUAGCUUUUGGUUCCGAGAACUUGAUAAAACUACAAUGCAUUGAUUUGAGUUUUUGUUUUCUUGUUUGUACCUUUAUUUGUUUUACUAUCUGCUUUAUAUAAUUAAGUGAUAUCAACUCCUAAUAACAUUUAUUUUUCAUAGUGAUUUCCAGAAUCUCACGUCCACAGGAAUUAUUGCUCCUUUCUAAUUACAUAACUUAUUAUACAUGUUUAUUUACAUGUCCCUUCUUUUAUAUAUAUAUAUAUAUAUAUAUAUAUAUAUAUAUAUAUAUAUAUAUAUAUAUAUAGUAAACCUUAGUUGCCAGUGGUGGAUUACUAGAAGGCCACCGGAGCUGAUAAGAAUUAUUGCUGCCAUUCUCGGGUCAGAAAUUAUCGAGAUGAUAUGAGGUUCUCUCUGGGAUAUGAAUUAAAGUGACACUAACAAUUGUUCUUUCAUGGGUUUUGGAUUUAAUAUUAUAUGCACACAAUGUUUGAUAAAUUUUCAAUUAUGAAAGUUUUUUUUAAUUAUAACAAAGUAGACAAAAUUAUAAUAUUUAAUAUGAUUCCCUAAAUAAUUUGAUUUUUUAUUGAUUUUUCUUAGGCGAGAUGUAAAAUAUUAUAAACUUUAAAAUAUAAAUUAUAAUUUUCAAGGAAAAUUAAAAAAAAAUCAACCUAAUUAUAUAAUGGUCAGGGUGUUUUUUUUUUAUUAUUAUUAUAUUUUCAAGGGACAGGCCUGAGCUGUAUAAAAAUCAACCGGGUCUGACCUAGGCUCGGCCCGGACCAUGAACAGGUCUACACGCUUAACGAAACGUGGAGACCUUGCUGGAAAGAGCUAUUCGCACACCGCGAUGUCUAUUCGCACAGCUAUUAUAUGCUGAUGGACAAAUUUGUCCCUUUAACUCUAGAUUAACUUCCAGUCUGUGCUCUGGUGGAGCACAAAUUAACAUUUUUCAAUUUAAUUAAUUAUUUACAGUCUCUCUUCAACACUACGGUAGUGGCACUGCCAGUAGUUCCUUUGGCUUUCCUUAUCCUACAAAAAGUCUCAAUUGUUGUGGGGUUGUAAUUGUUAGAUUGCCAUAAGGACAGAUAAGUCCAUUAACUCGAAAUUGGUGUGCGGAUAGAUAAUGAAGCUCUGCGAAUACCAAUCCCCGACCUCACAAUAAAAAUUAAAAUCCCUUGAUCUAGCUAAAACCACACUCCCGUUAACAGUCUUCUUCUUUGAAGAAUCUGCUUCAACUCACAAACCAAGGUACUGUACUCUCUAUACUCCAUGUUAUUCUUAAUUCUAAAUCAAGAAUGGUAAAAUAUCCAGAUGGGUCUUUUACAAUUUGCUUGUGUUUUGAUCGCAUCUUCUCUUAAUCCUUUCCUUUUGGGUGUGUAUCAUAAUGAUAUCUAUUUGUUGUUUAGCCCGAGUUGUAGUUACUUAAUUCUUGAUCAGUUCUAUUUCAAUUCCUUAAAUUUACUUUAGGAAUCUGGAUCAAAGAAAAUCUAGCCAAGAUGCUAUUGAUUUCUUCUUUUUUUUCACGAGCUAUACGGGUUUAGAAUGAUUAAUUAGUGUGUUUAUCUCAUCGUGGUGUAUUCUUCCAUUUAGAUAAAGAAACUGUGUGAUUCUAAACCCUUUAACUGUAGAUUAGAAAGUGUUGGCUUGCAUGCCCCAAGUCUCAUAUAGGCUUCUUGUUCUUACUGUAAAUUUAUUUAUUUAUUUUUGUUAAGGGAAAGUGUAGUGUAGGUAAAUGACUAAGGACUAGCAACAUUUAUUUGCUUUGCUGAAUAUAAUCCACUGGUUGUAUCAUGAGCAAAUGGGAAUUUCGAGCUCGUUUACACCUUCAAUGUUAAAAUGCCCACACAUUUCUCCAGAAUCAUGCUUCUUUUGUUUUAGGAGGUUGAAUUUGGGAAGUUAGGGAAAACGGGAUUUUUGUUUUAGCUGAUUAAUUCUUUGAUCCUUUUUAGGGUGCUAUUUGUUGAUCAUGGUAAUGUUAGCAAAAUGCUUCAAGGUGGAAGUACAUUUUUUUCUGGAAAUCUUUUUUCUUAUGAAUAUUAGAUAUCCACUUCGGGAUUUCUUUCUGCGAGCAAAAGGUUUUCUUUCGUUAGCCAUUGUAAAACUCUCUUGCACUCCCCUUUUUCCUGUUAGUCCAUAAUUUCCCCUCAACUGUUAGUUGAUUAGCUGCUCAUAGUUUUCUCUGCUCAAAAUUUUCUAUCUGUUACUUUUCUUACGAGAUCUUCCUUCUCAGUUCCCCAUUACUGCAUUUAUUAUGUUGCUUAUGAGAGAAAUAAUGAAAAGAAAAGUAGCCAUCCAAGAAAUCAACUUUGGCAUUAAUUUGUAGUGUAUAAUGGUAUGUACUCAGCAGUACUUUAGUGGCUUUUUGCAGCGAAAGAUGGGAGGCCGAGGAGUUAUUGGUGAUAAAUGGUCCUCGAGGGUUCUUUGGGCCUGUGCUAUUGGAAGUGUAGUCAGUAUGUUUUCUUUACUCAACUCCUGAUUUAUUGCUAAAAAUAUUGUAAGACUGACAACCAUUUGUUUUAUUGGAAUUGUUGCAUCACGAGCUUUGUUUUUCCUCUAGGUUACCCUCCUUCUGAUAGUUUCUGGUUAUCUCUUAUCUAGGCCUGUAUAUGGUUGUUGUUGAAAGACAAUUACAAAACAGGGAACGAAUGAUGGCUGAAGGUUUAAAGAAUAUUGAUGCGGAAUCAGGCGCUGGUGACAAUGUUUAAACGUGUGACUAAAUGCCAAUAAACUCUGCUGUAUUUUCUUUUGAAGAGCUUUCUCACUGUGCUAAGUUGAGCCCCCUGUUAAUGUAAAAGGUUGAAGAUUUCCUCUUGUUUUGUUUUGCAUUUGGAGCUUGAGGGUUCGUCUCUGGUAAUAAUUCAUUUACUUCAGAUGGAUGUUAGUGUUUCAUAGAUCGGGAUUUAACAGUUCACACCAAGGAAUAUAAAGGAGCAGCCUUUUAAUUUUGCUAUGCUCUGGUUAAAAUCUUUUGGUUGUGUCAUCAAUAUGGAAAUGCUAUGCCGUUGAUGGAUGACCCAUUUUAGGUGAUAUGUUUUCUUUUUUGCUUAUACAGCCAAAGAGUCGAAUAUUGUCCCGGCAGUCUUGCUUGAGGCAUCUUACUAGAUCUUCCGGGAAAAAGGUUUCCAGCUCAAGAAAAUGAUUACCACCACCCUUUCUGACGUUUUGGUAAGGAAAGGGUUCUUUUCUGAAGGACGAAGAUUUUGAUGUCUAAUCAAAAUCCUGACCGGAGGACGGAAAAGACCAAAUCAGGGGGUUGCGCAAGGCUGUGGGCCGAUUUAAUUUUUAAAAAAAAAAUCAAGCGGUAAAAAAAAACACUAAAACUUGGAUUAUUGAAUUGAUUAGAAUUUAAUAAGUUUGGUUUAUUUAAAUAAUAUAAAUAAAAAAAUACAAUAAUAAUAAAUAAAUAGUUAAAAAUACUAUUAAUGCAAAACAGAUAAAAAAAAGAACCAAGUUUAUCCUGAUUAACUUAUUAAAUUUAUAACUUUAUUGAGUUACCAGUGUUUAUGCCUUAGAAGAAGGUAGUUGCAAUGGAUGGAAAAUUGAAAGUAAAUUAAAUAAAAUCAUGAAGUUCAAUUAUAAAAUAACAUAAUGUAUACGGGCAAAACUAGAAAAAAAUUAAUUAAAAAAAAGAUUUGUGUCAUCUUGGGUUUACCUGCUAACUCCACGGCCAUAGAUACAUGAUUAGGAUAACCUCAUGUAAAAGAAAGCAAAAACAAAUAUCAAUUCUUAAUAAAUUAAAUGUUGAAAAAAAAUUAAAAAAAAUUAAUUUUAUAAAAGGACUUUUAAAAAAAAAACAAAAUCAACCUGUAUUAACUUUCAAAACCCGUGACCCUGAGACUAACUUAUAAAAGACAAACCCUAAAAAAACAAAGUAAAAUUAUAAAUCAAUAAAAUAUUAGGGGAUAAAAUUAAAAAAAUGCAAUAAAAAAGUCUCCAAAGCAAAAGAAAUGACAAUUAAAAGAAUGAGGAAUAAAUUUAAUAGAAAAAUAAUUUGAAAUCAAAUGUUGAGGGGUGAAAUUGAAAAUAAAUUUCAAAUGGAUUAGGGAUAAAAAAACAACAAUCAAAAGAAUAAGGAUGAAAUUUGGUAUAAAAAUCAAAUCAGACCAAAUGAUAAGGGAUGAAAUUGAAGAAGAAAAAAUUAAUAAAAAUAAAAUAAAAACAAAACAAAUAACAAUCAAAAGAAUAACAAAUUGGGUAAAAAAAAAACAAAUGAAAGGACACAUUUAUUCUUUGGCAAAGAGAAGAGAGAGAAAGAAAAAGGAGAAGAAAAGAAGUUCAUUAAGCCCAACCACUGCUAUGAUGGCAACACGCUCAGCAUCGUUAGAAAAAACAUGGCGAGUUGCUUUAAACACCACCCUGGAAGACAGUGUUUGGAAAGAGAAAGACGCUACAAACAUCGUCUAAAAAACGCUGACAUCAUCGACUUGCUAGCACAUACUAAAAAAACCAAAUCGCUCCCAAUACAUAUUAAUUACAAAAAACCAGCUUGAAAAUAUGCAAAUACCUCUAGUUCUAAGGUUUAUUUGUUUUGACUUUUAAGGGAAUGAAUAUCCUUAAAAUGAAUAUCUUUACACUCUUUUUCAUAAAUAUUAAAAGCUUAAAUUCAUCCCGAGCAACUUGUUAAUUAAAAAAAAAUCAACUUCAUUACAAAAAUAAUCCUGCCUGAAAGUCUUUACAAUGUUUUUUAAAAAAUAUAAAAAAAAAUUAAUUAUCCUUAGACAAAUUUAACAGGUAAUAUAUAAUGCUAUUGAAAGGUCAAAAGACCAAUUAUCAACGACUCCUAGAUUUUAUUGUCUCUUUCAAAAAAAAUUUAAUUAAAUUUCAAUUUUACUUAUGCAUGAGUUAAACUUGCAGUUUUUUAAUAUAUGAUCAGUGGUUCUUUACAACUGAUAAAUUGGUGGGCACAUGAAUCCGAGUUGUUGUUUAUGUCCCCAUUUGUUUCAUCAUUCUAGUUCAUAAUAACCACUGGACUGUUGCUGCAAGAAGGUUUUUUUUUUUUUGUAAUUAUAGAUAUUUUGAUUAGUUUACGUAUGCUUUGAUUAAUUUUUAAAAUUUUAAAAUUAAUUAUCAUAUAAAUUUUCAGUUACGGUUAAAUAUAUAACACUCAAAUUAAUAAUUAAAAAACAAACUCAACCUUACCGAUUAAACUACAUUCCAUUCGAUGACAUUGAAUUCAAAAUUUAGCCGUAAUCUCCAGUUAUGCCUGUUGGGUUAUAGGUUUGGUGUUACAGCUACAACACGUAAAUUCUCACACAAGCAUCGUGGCUGCGGGUUGCAAGAACAAACCAAUGCAGACAUUUUGCGCUUUUAUUAUUACACCAUAAAUACCAAUUUAAUUUUCCUCUUAAGCUUUCAGUAUAUAAAGCCAUGUCUUGAUUUGCUGUCUUGCAGAUCGAUACAAAACAAAAAUGGCAGCACUAAAAUGUGCCUACGUGGGUCUCUUGGUCUUGCUAUGCUCAAGCUUCAGUUUCGCUCACAGAUUCUUUUUGGACAAUGAUGACCAAAUGCAUGAAGGCGAACGCCAUGGUAGUACUGAUGAUCCUGGGACCGGGACUGGAAUUGGAAAAGAUUUUGGGUUUGGCAGUGGCGCCGGGUCAAGUGGAGUAGGUGUUGGGUUUGGGUCAGGUUCUAGUGGACAUGGCAAUGGACUCGGGUCAGGAUCUGGUGGUUAUUGGUUAGGGUAUGGAGUCGGGUAUGGAUCUGGUCGGAAUGGAUAUGAAGAUCCCGGGACUGGUGGAUCCGGCUGGGGCAUUGGAGUAGGUUCAGAUGGGUCUGUGUCUGGAACUGGUGGAGUAGGCUUCAUCCCAGGAUUGCCUGGUUUUGGUCUUGGGGGUAGCAUAAGAUGGCCUGGCUUUGACUUUGGGGGUAACAUAGGUGGAGGGAUUGGAACAGGACAAGGCAGCGGUGGCAGCAGUGGUGGAAUAGGGCAAGGUGGCAGCAGUGGUGGCACGAUAGCAGGAAUUGGUAUGCCUCCACCACACUUCAUUCCGGGGUAUGGUCAAAUAGGCAAUGGAUGUAACUGCAGCCCAGAAUGUUAUAAUCAAGUUUCAACAAUGAAGGGAGGAUCAGCAUCAAAAACAAAUGAUGAGCACAACAGUGGAGCUCAGAAUGAGGUCUCUAGAGACGAGGCUCAUGAGUCCAUCGAUGUGGCCAUGGAGCCAUGGAGUCCACAUGAGACUCAUGAAUCCAACGUUGCAACCACGGAGCCAUACAGUCCAUGAGCAAGGCGCUACUAAAAACAUGAUCAAACACAGCGCAGAACCAAUAAGUGAGAAAAACAGUCUGUGCUUUCCCCCGAAUAAGUAGCUGAAUGUUUCGAAUAAUUCCAUCUCAAAUUUCAUUCAAGAAUUGUUUAAAAACGAAUAAAAAAAACCCUAAUUCUGUAUUAUUUGGGACAAGAAACAAGGAGAUUGUGAAGGUAGAAAUGUAGAAAACAUAUAUAAAAAGUAAAUUGCCAAAAUAAAUAAAUAAAUAAAUAAAACUUAAGGGAAAAACGGAAAAGACAGAUGAUCAUCAAAUCAAUCCUGUUGGGUUAAAAAAUCCUUUUGUCUCUAAAAAAAGAUCUUGUGCGUUAAUCAUUGCAUUACUUUAGCAGUCAAUGUUUAUGCAUGGUAGAGUGAUCGUAUCAUACGUGAAAAUUCCGUGCCUUUUCUUCCUCCUAGCUAUGUCUUCCCUAGCCAUGCAUGGAGUAUACAUUGUCUCCCAUAAUUAUUCUCUUGAAAUGGAGACGCUGCACAGUCUAUGACUUUGUUCCCAUCUGAAAAGGGGAGAAAGCCUUGGAUGAGGAUGAUGAUGAUGGUAAUCGGGCUACGAUGUUAGAAAUACUCCUCGCUUGAUGCAUGCAUUGCGUCAACAACAGCUUAAGGAUGGUUGCAGUCGAAUAGGAGAGCUAUACAUAUUUUGCACUACCAAAGAAUUGGCUCACGGAUUGCAUUCUGCCUCUGGCUUGAAGGUUGGGGAUCGAUCUUCCUAUCAUGGCUCCGGAUUACCCACUACCAAGGUUGUUAAAAUCACGAAUUGACUUUUAAAAUCUUACGAUUUUACGAGUCAACAUGUAUAUAACGUGUCAAAUCGGGUUAAAACUCGAAAUCAGUCAAACUCAGUUAAAAUCGGACCGAUUUUAUGAGUUUGACUGAUUUCGAGUUUUAACCCGCAAAAGUUAAAAUAUUUACUGUCUCCCUGUCCGAGUCCCCUGACACUCCACUACUUAGUCCCCACUCCAUAGUCUCCCCUUUCCCCGUUGCCCAAAUCUUAAAUUUUCAAUCUUAAUAGACUAACACUAGCAUUAGAGGAUCUUGAGUAUGGGAAAGCCUUAUACUGUAUUUUAGGCCAGGAAGGCAUGAUCGGAGGAUCGAAACCAUGGGAAGACAGAGGUAGAUGGUGAGGAAUCAAAGGAGUAAAAUAAGAGAUAAGAAUACUUAUAUAGAGAGAAAUAUUGUGUUUAAGACUAACCAUUUGUUAAUUACAAAGAGAGACGACAAAGACUCAGAGAGAACUUGAAAUACAUGUCUUGCUUGGUGGGAUAUUUGGACAUUAUUUCUAGGACUUGUUACUAACAUAAAAAAGGUGGAAGGUGAGGUGGCAUGAGAUUAAAUUGAUGUCAUUUUGUAUGUUUUUGUUCUCGUUGUCACGGGUUCACUGUAUUGGUCUUUGUUAAUUUUUUUUUAAGUUGGUGAUAUACCUUAGAAUGUUGUAUCAUCUCACUAGUUGCUUGCAGUGUGUUUCAAGACCUGUCCUCUAGAAAAUGUUCUGAAACUCUAUCAAUAAAACAUAGUUGUUCAAUCUUAUUUUUUUUCUUUUCGUAUUUUUAAGUUAUUUAAACCAUUUAUGAAUUUUUAUUUGAAGUAUGUAUUUUAAGGUGUUUGGACAUUUGUAUUGUUUAUUUCAGUUUUAUUUUAAUUGUGUUAUAUUAUUAUUUACUACUUGACUGAAAUUGUCAAUAUAUAAAUAAUUAAAAUAUUUUUCUUGCGAUUUUACGAUUUUACGAUUCGAGUUUAUGAUCCGAAUUUAUAUUAUAUAUUUCGUGUCGUGUCAAAAAAGCAUUUUUGAUAACCUUGCCCACUACCCAUUUAGGAAGCGUUUGGGAACGCAGUUCAACCCGCGUUCCCAAAAAAUUUGAAUUUUUUUUUUUUUGCUAAAAUUUAAUAUGGUUUGUACGUUUUGGAUCGUUUUGAUGUGCUGAUGUCAAAAAUGAUUUUUAAAAAAUGAAAAAACAUCAUUGGCAUGCAUUUUGGCACGAAAAGUUAUUUGAAAAGCACCCGCAACCACACUGUCAAACACGCUCUUAGUCUGUCCCUUAAGCUUUCACUCACUAUAUAUCCAAGACUUGAUUUGCUGCCAUGAAUAACAAAUCAAAUCAAAACAAAAAUAAGAUGACUGCACUAAAGUGUGCCUGCGUGAGUUUCUUGGUCUUGCUAUGCUUUAGCUUCAGCAUUGCUCACAAGUUCCUUUUCGACACUAAUGACCAAAAACUCGGAGACUUUCACCAUGAUAGUUCUCACGUUAGUGGGGCUGGAAAAGGUAUGGGGUUUGGUAGCGGAUCGAGUGGAGAUUAGUACUUCCCGGGGAUCUCUUGCUUAAUUAUGGCUAUGGGAUUGAAAUAGGUAAUGGGGGUAGCGGCCACAGCACAGUACCAGGAAUCGGUAGAGGUUUUGGUAAAUUAAGAUGGUGUUUGGAUAUGCUGGUGCGGCUGCGGUUGAAAAAAAAGCAGUGUAACACAUGUUUGGUUAACCACUAACCACAGUUUUUUUUUACGUGGGUCCCAGUUCAAACUGCGGUUGAAUUGCAAAAAUUGAAAAGCAAUUACGCAUUGCUUUUCAUGCGUUUCUCCUCUCUCUCAUCACCGAUAAUUUGCAAUUACUUUCCCAACUGUCCUUUGUCCCUCUUUAACCCAAUUUCCCAACGGUCACAAAAACCCAACAAAUUGUUCACAUAAGGUUUUAGAUCAAUGUUACCAUUGAUCUAAACUCCCAUUUUCAACCUUCCCCAUACUGUUCCUUCAUGCGUUUUACUUCUCUCUCACCACCGACACUUUCCCAGUAACCAUGGUCAAUUACGGUCUUCUACCUCACAAAUUUUUCUGUUACGGUUGCAGAUCAAUAUUAGCAUUGAUGAACUAAACCCCAAUUUCCUUCCCCAAACUGUUCUCCUCUCUCGUCUCUUACUACAACCCCGUUUCUAUUUUACCCUAAAACCACCAACGCACAGGACGACGCCAGAGCAAGCUUCUUCCCCUCUGUCCCUUCUUUCCAAAUGAAGAUUAAAAACACAAACCUUCAUCGAUCUAUCCCUCCAUUGUUACAAUUGCAAAAAAACCCAAGAGAUUCGUGCUGGGAAAGGUCCACGAGCGAGAUACCCGUAAGUACUAUGCGUUCCCCUUGUCAAUUUUGUUUAACAUGUUGCUCAAAAUCUAAUUUCUGUAAUGGGUCUCUAUUGUUUUUGUUUUUGCAGAACAAAGCUGCAGCACCGUGGUGGUUUGCAAAACAAAGAGAGAGACUGAGGUAAGUUCCUGCCUUAUCUCCAUCUUCAUUUUCAUUUUUUUAGAUGAAAAAUUGCAUGUUUGUGCUGCUGCAUGCUCGAUUAUUGUUAACACUGCAAUUGUUGAAUUGAUCUACAAAUUUCAUUGUUGUUGCUGCUUGUGUUCUAUUUACUAUGCCUUCGUCAAAUUGUUUGAAUUUAUAGCAAAUUUCAUUGCUUCUUCUGCUUGUCUUCUGCUUUGCAUAUGUUUUUAAAUUUUUUUUACUUGAAAACCUGCAUUUCUGUGAUGCUUCUGUGUACUGUGUUACCCAUGUCAAUUUUGUAGUAAUUGUAGCUCAAAAUCUAAUUUAUGUUCUGGAUCUCCAUUGUAUCUGUUUGCAUGACAAAGUUGUAGAACCGUGCUGGUUUGGACACCUAAAGAGAUAGACUGAGGUAAGUUCCUGCCUUAUCUCCAUCUUCAUUUUCAUUUUUUUAAAUGAAAAAUUGCAUGUCUGUGUACCUGCAUGAUCAAUUACUGUGUGUUCUGCAAUUGACAAAUUUCAUGGCUGUUGCUGAUUGUCUUCUGUUUAUUGUGCCUUCGUCAAUUGUUUUGAAUUUAUCAAAAUUUAAUUGCUUCUAUGUACUACUUGUCUGUUGUUGUUCUUUGUUUAAAUCUGGUUUUGUUUUUUAUGUCUACUACCAGCAGACAAUGCUGAUGCUGGAUUAUUUGCUUACUGGAAACAAUGUGAUGCUUUGAAAUUUCAUUUAUGUGUUGUUCUUCAUGGUCUGAUAUGUUUACUAUGCACAUUAAUGUUGUUUCUGUUUGAGCAACCGUAGAUUUCUUUACUGUGCGUGUGUUUAUUGUAAUCGUAAUGAGUGCCCUGUUAGCAUGUCGUGUAGGAUUACUUUUAUUUCUAAUUGUGCAGUCAAAAUCAGAAUUUUGAGUUUCCUUUUGUGUUUGCAUGCUGCGAAAGAAAGCUGGGUUACUUUGAAUGUAGAAAUAGAUUCUGUUCUGUUUGUUUUUUUCCCUCUGUUUUCAGCUUCCAAACAAUAUGAUGACAAUGAAGUGUUGCUUGAUAAUUCAAAUAUUAUAUCAUGGCUGAAACUGAGUUUUCUGAACAGUUGAAAAUUAAUGGGUUUCAAUUAGUUUUCAUUACAAAUUAACAGGAACAUUCUCAUUCAAAUACAUGCAUGGUUAAUGUUUGUUGCUAACCACACAGCUUAAAUGCUGAACAUUGAGUGUUUUAUUAUUGUUUUAGUCCACGGUUUAUGUAUGUGCCACAAUGUAAUUAAUAUCAUUGAUUGAUUUCAAACUUUUGUUAAAUGUGUUAAAAGCUAUCAUGGAAGGUCUUGAAUAUUUUGAUAAGGCUGCUUGGACAAAGGAAAUGUUGCAUAUAUUUUGUGAUAUAUGCAUUAAGGCAAUUGAUAUGGGAAUGAGACCUAAUACUCAUUUCGAUAAAACAGGGUGGAAAUUUCUUAUAACAUCAUUUAAAGAACAAACUGGCCAUGCAUUCACUAAAACACAAUUGAAAAACAAAUGGGAUGGAUGCAAAAAGGAUUGGAGGAUAUGGAAUAAGCUGAUUUCUGAAACUGGUGUUGGCUGGAAUAGUGAAUUAGGCACAAUUUCAGCUAGUGAUGAGUGGUGGAAACAAAAAAUUCAGGUACAUUCCUUGUCAUCCUAACAAUUUCUUUUAUUGUUGUCAAAUUCCAACACCAAAAUUUUACUAGUCUUGAUCCUUCAUUACUUGAUUUAAUUUAUAUGCAGGAAAUUAAAGGAGCCAAAAAAUUCAGACAUGUCGGUAUUGAGCCGUCUUUGAAGAAUAAAGUUGACCGAAUGUAUUCCAACAUUGUCGCAACUGGAGCGUUUGCAUGGGCUCCUUCAUCAGGUGUACCUGAUGGCAGUGAUGUUGAUCCUGGUACAAGCAAUGCCGACAUUGCUCAUGAUGGUUUGGAAGAGGGCAGCGGUGAUUCAGAGAAAGAUGUGAUUCCAGAUUUCCAGACUGACAUGGCUCGAAUGGUUGGAGGGAUAAAUAUGUCUACCAGCAGCAACACAAAAAGCGGUGGCAAAAGAAAAGAACGAGAUCAUUAUGAUGUGCAAGGUAGAAAAAAGAAAACAUCUGGAAUUCAGCUAUUGUCAAGGUGCAAUCAACUACUUGAGAGUAUGUCGACUAAGAGUGAUUCCACGUCUAUUAAUUUGGAUCGCGAAGGCUGUAGUAUUAGCAAGGUGAUGGCUGAGCUGCACUCAAUUCCUGAAGUUUCAAUUGAAGAUGAGUUCCACGACUUUGCUACGGAGUAUUUGAGUUUAAGAAGGAAAAGAGAAAUGUGGGCUAGUAUAGGUGAUAAGGAGCAGAAGUUGAGAUGGCUGCAACGAAUGUAUGCACGCACUAAACAUGCUUAGCUGACAUGGUAUUAUUACAUUUUCUUAACCGUUAAUCAAUUAACUAUUCACUUGCUUAAUGUAUUUAUACAAGUUUAUUUUAUUGUUGCAGAAUAAUGGGAUGCCGGUUUUAAAAAAGAGUUUUUUCCAAUUGACGAAGUUUAUCUGAGUCAUUGUAUUCUUCCACAUUUCGUGUUGAGAUAUAUGGGCAUUUCCAUUUGCGGUAAUUUGUUUACUAUUGUAUUUAUAUUAAACUGCUUUUCGGGAGCUAAUAUACUUGUAUGAGGAUAUUGUUGGUUUUUAAUGUUGUAUUUUAUCAAUGAAUUAAAACUGUCACUUUUGUUGUUAUUAAUGUUAAAUGGUUGAUCAUUGGAUUGAAUUUGUUGGUAAUUUUCCUUCACUGUGUUGUUCCCUGAAGGUCUUGAAUAUUGAGUGUUGCUGUUAAAAUGUAUGUUCUAUUAUAAUAUACCAUGUGCAGCCUUGUUUGUUUUCUUUUAUACCAUGAGUUAAUGGGAGUUGUUGCCUUGUGUGUCCAGCUGUAAUUGUAAUAAACCAUGUGCAGCUACUGUGUGAAAUGUUGGUGUGUUUUCUUUUCUGCCGUGAGUUGAUUGGUGUUGUAUGGUGAUAAGAAAGCUGCAAGUAAUUGAUAUACAAUGUGCAGCUACUGUGUGAACAUUUGUUUGUUUUCUUUUUCAGUCGUGAGUUAAUGGGUACUGCAUGGUUAUAAGAAAGCUGCAAGUAAUUGAGAUACCAUGUGCAGCUACUGUGUGCUUGUGCAGUGUGAUAAAGAGCAUUUGUUUUCUUUUCUGCCGUGAGAAUUGAUGGAAGCUGAUGCCUUGUUUGUUAAUGUUAUUCAUUGCUGUUAACAUGAUUGUUUCAGCUAUUGUGUGCAAGUGAGUUUUGAAUAUUGUCUCAGCUACUGUGUGCAUGGGAGCCAGUGUAUGAAAUAUAUGUGUAUGUGCUCCUAUAAAUGUUGUUUGAGCUGUCGGAUUUGUCACCGAUUAUUGGAAUACAUGUUGCUCUCUUUGGUGCGUUGCUAUUGGAGUUCAUAUAUAUAAAUUAUGUUUAUUUUGUGAGGUGUCAAUUGAAUCUCCAGUUACAGUUCUUGGAAUACAAUAUUUGUUGCUUUUUAGAUGAUUUCUGUACAUGUUGGUGUGCACUGUCAUGGUGAUAAGAAAAGGAAAAAAAGUGGGCCAAGGAAUCUUGACUAAUAGAAUGAGAACAAAAAAUGAAAAAAUACAUGUCAGAAUAUAUUAGCAGUAAGAUUAACAUUAUAUGUUACUUUUAUAGUCUAUACAUGUGAUAAUGUACUUCUAUUGAAAGCUGAAUAAAAUAACUUGUAAAAGAGACGUAAAAAGCAGUGAGUUUUUUCUAUAUAAAGAGGAUUGUUGGUAAGCCAACUUUCAAAGAACUUUUUUGCUUCAUAACAAACCUCUCAAACCUCAACUGAAUUUCAUACAAGCAAGUGGAACAUUGUUUUUGUUGGCUUUACAGGUAUGAAAAAACUUAUGUUGCACCAACUAUUUGAUAGUUCUUUUUUAUUGAAUGAUAUUUAAUUAUUUAAAUAUUUUUAUUAGCAACAUAUAAUAUUUUUUUUUGUUUUCAUGUAAUUGAAGUUAUGGAUGAUUCACGGUUUAAUGACAUAUUUAAUGGGGAUUUCGAUGGCAAUUAUGAUAAUGUAAUGAACCGCAUUGUAGACCACAUUAAUUAUCCUAGUUGUGAAGGUAUUGGUGCCUCAUUUUCUAGUGCUGGAGAUGACAGUGAUGGAAACGACGCCGACGAUAGUAACCAUUGUCGCACCCGACAUCGCGGUGGCCUUAAAAAUUAGUAUUUUUAGGGAGAAUGGAUUUCUGGCAUCCUAUUCUUUGAUGGGAAAUAUUCUUGUUUAAGGAGUCGACACCUAAUAUUAUGGUCACUAGGAACCCUAACUGGUCAACAGAGAUUCUAUGGUAUGAGACUGGUUACGUAAAAGGAAAGAUAUUAUCACCCCUUAAACGUCUUGCCUAAGGCAGGCUGCAUUGCUGAUCUUUGUCAUUGAUUGCUAACAUUUUUGUUGGUUUAUACUAUGAUUGUUUGCGUGUAAUAUUCCUGACUCUGGCGCCAGUGAAUAUUCAACUACAGAUAUUUCCAACUCUGGCGUUGGUAAAUAUUACGUAGGUAUCAAAAUGAAUAAAUUUAAAUCAUUAUUUCUUUUUAUUCCUGACUCUGGCAUCAGUGAAUAAACAAAUAAAAAUCAAUUUAUUUUUACGCAUACACAUUAUUUUUAUUUUUAUGUAGCUAAAUAAAAGCAAAAUACAAUAAAACAAAAUAAAAUAAAUUUACAUUAGUAUUUUUAUUCCUGACUAUGGCGUCAGUGAAUAAACCAAUAAAUUUAUUUUAUUUUAUCUUAUGUUUUUUUUUUGCAUGCAUAUUUUUUUUAUAUAUAUAACUAAAUAAAAUACAAUGAAAUAAACUUGAAUCGGUAUUUUUAUUCUGACUCUGGCGUCAAUGAAUAAAAAAAACAAUAAAUUCAUAUUUAUAUUUUUUACAUACACAAUUUUUAUUUUUUCUUUAUUUUUUUAUUUACAUUUUUGGUCUGGGCCCAGCUCAGCCCAUAUGGGCUGGGCUAGACCCAGCCAGCCCGGCCCGGUCACUGGCCCAAGCCAGUGACCCGGCUGGGCAAAAAAAACUAAAAGCACGCGUGAAGUGACUUCACGCGUGCAUGAACACUGUGUGAAGGUAAUUAAUUACCUUCGCACAGUGUUCUUGUAACAAUUCAAUUUGAAAUGAAGAUGCAAAGGUGAAUGAAGAAACGGGCGUACCUGCUUCUGGAGACCGAAGAUGCUUGCAGCGCUGAUGAUGAUUCUCGCCUACUGCUUCCCUUUGUCUUCCUUCUGUGCUCACUUGUCUGUGUUUUCCUUUUUUUUUUUCUCAGCUGCUUUUAAAACUAAGAAGAUGAUGUCGGCCUGCUGUGAGUUUGUUUUGGGUGUUUUCUUUUGUGCAGGGGUGUCUGCAGAGAUGAAGGCAAUGGCGGGGACAAUUAUCUUUGAAUGCUGGUUUCCUUUCCUCUCCUUCUCUCUGUGUAUUAUUUCUUUCUCUGGUUUUUCGUCCGUUUUUGCUCUGGUUCUGACUCUGUUUUUUUGCUCUGGUUUUUUUUCGGUCUUUUUCCUUUUCUGGUUUUCUUCUUUGGUUUUCUGGGUUGGUUCUUCUUCUCUCUUUUUCUCACUGUGUAUUAUUUCUUUCUCUGGGUUUUUGCUUUGUUUUUGCUCUGGUUCUGCUUCUGUCUUUUCUUUUCUUUUCUUUUUUUCAUUCUGGGUUUUUCUUCCCCUUUUAUCGAGAUCCAGCAGCUUGCCUCCAACUAGUCCUGCCUUUGCAGGACUGUUAUUUUCCACUAACGAGAUCGUGGGCAAGAGACGUGAUCCACGAUUGGUCGGAUUUGUUGCAGAUUUUCAGCUCCCCUGUUGAAUCGGGAUGGAGAAGACGCACGACUGUUCCCCAGCAACGGUGCCGUUUCGGCAGAAACGGGAAUUUCCACUUUGACCCCUGCCUCUGGAAAUUUAACAAUUGGAUCCCAAAUAAUAAAUAAAUCUUUUAAUUUUGCCAUUGAAUUAAUUUCACCUAAAUCCCUAAAGUAUAGCACCGUUUACAAAACAGUCCUUAAUUCCUGGACUGUUCAAUUUGGUCCUUAAUUAACUCUUCAACUUUUAAUUCUAUUGUCUUAACCCUAUUUUCUACUAUAUUUAAUUUUUAUUAUUUGUUCAAAAAUUAGGUUAUGACAACAAUGACGAUGACAAUGAUGAUGACGAUGAAUUUAUUUUAAUGAGGCAUUUUGAUACAAAAAAAUUAAUUAUAUGCACAGCUAGAGCUAUAAACAUGUAUUAUAUUAAUUAUAUCUAUAAAGAAUCAUGUAUGAUUUCGUAUAAUACAGGGAUGCGUUGGUUGACAGAGGUUUUAAGAGGUCAUUGGAAACGAAGUGUUAACAUGUUUAGGAUGGACGCAACCACUUUGUUGAGUCUGUGCACUGAAUUAGAAACGCACCAUGGCUUAAAACCGUCAAGAAGAAUGAGCGUUAUUAAAAAGGUGGCAAUGAUUUUAUUUACAAUAACAGUUGAGGCGUCAAAUAGACAAGUACAAGAACGAUUUCAGCAUUCAGGUGAAACUAUUAGUAGAUGUUUUAAAGAAGUGUUUAAAUCAUUACGUUUGUUUGCUGUGGAAGUCAUAAAACUAGUAGAUCCACAAUUUACGAGCACACCAAGAGAAAUUGCUAUGAAUCCAAGAUUUAUGCCACAUUUCAAGGUAAGAUGAAUUUUUGUUUAAUUAAGUUUAAUUAAGUUGUUUAAAUGAGAAUGAAAUAUGUUAUAAAUGUUUAUGAGUACUUAACGUUUUUGUGGGUUGUAGAAUUGUGUCGGUGCAAUUGAUGGAACACAUGUCCGUGCCUGCAUAUCAUCUGAAAGUCAAAUUCCAUUUAUUGGAAGAAAAGGUGUACCAACACAAAAUGUCAUGGCCGCUUGUAGUUUCGACAUGCAAUUCAUGUUCGUGUGGGCAGGAUGGGAAGGCAAUGCACACGAUAUGCGUAUUUUUCUUGAGGCUAUUGACAAUAGCAAUAUCAAAUUUCCAAAACCUCCAAAAGGUUGUGAUUUUGACUAAAUUGAAGAUUUGGUAAUUGAAGGAAUAUAAUAUUUUUUUUUAAAGUUCUGUUAUUAAUUACCAUGUUGUUAUUAUUUACAGGAAAAUACUAUUUGGUUGAUGCUGGAUAUCCAAAUGAGUAUGGGUAUUUAGGUCCCUACAAAGGCAAGAGGUAUCACUUCUAAGAAUUUAGGCGACGUGGACAACCAAGUGGUCGGAAAGAAGUGUUUAAUCGUGCACACUCGUCACUACGUAACGUGAUCGAACGUUCUUUUGGGGUAUGGAAACAAAGGUGGAAAAUUUUGCAAAACAUGUCUGCUUACCUAUACAAAACACAAGUUGAGAUUGUGGUUGCAUCAAUGGCACUACAUAACUAUAUUAGAAGGAGAUCGCAAGAUGAUGCAGUUUUUUCUGAGUAUGAUCGCAACCCCAAUUUAAUUCUAGAUGACUUUUUACCUGAUAUUGUUUAGGCUUCGGCCGUUCAAGGCUCACAAAAGCCUUCACGUAUGGAUUUUGUAUGUGAUGAAAUUGCAAAUAGUUUGAUGGAACAAUAAAAGAGUACAUUAAUGUAUAAGGAUAUUUCAUUUUGUUAUGUAAUCAUAAUUACAAAACACAUAUGUUUUGGAAUUAUAUAUAUGUGUCUAUAUAUGUCCUUUUAAUUAAUUCAAAUCAAAUAUAAAACACAAACCAUAUUAACCAAACAAAAGAAACUAUUUUUUUUAACCACAAUUUAAAUCACAGUUUUACCAAACACAAAAUUGCUUUUUUUCUACCACAAUUUCAGCCACAGUUUUUUAACCAAACACAAGAAACUGUUUUUUUUAAAACCACAACUUCAACCACAGUUUUAACCAAACACCAAUUUUUUUUAAAAUCAACCUCAUAAAAAAUACUUUUUAUUAAACUAUUUUUUUCAAAUCAUAACCAGAAAAGUUUUACAAUACCAAACACGCAGUAUCGGUUACAGAAGCAGUUCCGAACGUCAUCCAAGAGGGAGAUCAAGAUCAAAAGCAAAUGAUGAGCCUGACAGUGAAACCCAAAACUACGUCAACAAAGAUGAGGCUCAUGAGUCCAUCAUUGCAGCCAUGGAGUCCACAUGGCUCUUACGAGUCCAUUAUUGCGGCCUCGGAACCAUGGAAUCCACACAAGGCUCACGAGUCCAUCCUUAACGCCCCAGAGCCAUGGAUUCCUUAUGAAGCUCACGAGUCUAUCAUUGUGACCUGCCAUGGGGUCCACCUAAGGCUCACGAACCCUUCGUUGCAGCUACAAAGCCAUGGAGUCCACGUGAGGCUCAUGAGUCUACCGCAAGCAUGGAGCCACGGAGUCCAUGAGCAUGGUGCUACGAAACGGUUGCAAGGCCACUCACGGUGCAGAGACCAGUAACUGAGCAAAACAGUCUGCAUUCCCUAGGCAAAGGGGAGAUGGUGUUCUAGAAAGUACGAGUUUAUUCUUGUCUUAUCUAACUUGUUUUUUAAAAUAUUUUUUUAGAUGUUUUUAAUUAAUUUUAUAUAUUAAUAUAAAAAAAAUCUAAAAAACAAUAUAUAUAUAUAUAUAUCAAACAUGAGCAACACACACUAAAUAUAAGUAUUAAGAUCAAGAUUGUUAAAAUCACGAUUUAGAAUUUCAAAAUGUACUAGUUAUUGUUUUUUAAAAUAGUUUUUGCUUGAAAAUAUUAAAAUAAUAUAUUUUUAAUUUUUUUAAAUUAUUUUUAAUAUCAUAUAUCUAAAAAUACUAAAAAAUUAAUUUUAAAAAAAUCAAAUUUUCUUGAAAAAUAUAAUAAACCACGGCUAGCAUUGUUUGAGUUGACACAUUGCAUGCUAUCAAUUGAAAAACACGAAUCAGCCUGAUACAAACACAUCAAUUACCGAAAAAGGAAAAAUAAAAUCAUAAAACAACGGGGGAAAGAAAUAUACACUCAUCAAAUCUUGUUGCCUUGAAAAAAACAACUUUCUCGUAGGUCCAUCAUUACUUCAAGCAAGAAGUUGGUUUGGUUCCAUAGGAAACAUAAAACAUACAGUGGAUCAAUUCAUAAUAACUUGCAUCAUUUCUAUUACCUGUAAGUUAAUAUUACAAAGAGCAAGAUUCUAUUACAGUAAACUAAUGUAUUGAUUUCCUUCUUCUAUGUACUCAUGCUACGACUGAAAUCCUAAGAGUAUAGUAUGAACCUUGAUUCGAUAUUGGAAAAUACCACAUACGAUCAAGAAAAGAGUACCUACUUUAGCUGGAUCCUGAAAAGAACGAGGGAAAAGGGAACUGCUCAAAAUACUAGGUUCGCUUAUUCGUACGCUUUUCUACUUUCAAUUUCAUUCCCUUGUACUUCACAGGAUCCCUGCAAAGCCUAAAUUUGACGACAGAAUACCUCCAAUUUAUUACCUUCUAACUGGCAUAGAAGAUGACCUAGGAAUACCUUCCACGUUAAGAUUUGGUGUUUCUGAUGAUGACACAGAAGCUGAUGGACGAAGAAGAGGAGUGCCAACCCUACUUGAAGUUUCGUUGGCAACUGGGCCAGGACUAACUGAAAUAAAAGCAGACUGCAACUCAAUUUGAGUGACUGGACCAUCACCAAUCUCAGGAAUAUCAAGCAACUGAUGAUCAUCUUCCUCAAGUGACAUUACUGUGCUUGUGUCUGUGUGUAUGGUAGAAUCAUCUGUGAAAUUUCCAUGCCUUCUCUUCCUCCUAGCCGCCUUCCCCCACCCAUGGAUUGUCUCCCUUAUUCUUUGCGGAAUUAAUGCUGCCUUGUAGUUUGUUCCCAUCUGAAAAAACAGAGGGAGCAUUACAUGAUAUUAAUAAUAACAGGAAAUAAUUGAACCUAAAAAUAUGAAACAAUCCUAACCACCUUAACACAAUGAAAACCUGCUCAAACAUGAUUCACGUUACUAGUCCUGAGGAGGGGGGCAUGUCCUCCUCACAAGAGGAUAAAGAUGAUUUAAUGCCAUAAAAAAAUCAGGGCAAUCUAGAGGACUCAACUCCAUGACUUGUUCUCAUGUCUAUUAAAAUAUGAGGUUUGCUCCACAACCCAUGCUCGGUGAUGGAUUGUGAUACAAAACUACAGCAUUGCUCCCAGAAAAGAAAGAGCAGAGGAGAUUUAAAAAAAAAAACCUAAGACUUGGUAGCUGACAAAUCAGUCCGUGAAGGUACACCCAUAAACUGGGUGCUUGCGGAAUACUGCAUAAACAUAUAGUCACGAGGAACUUCACUCAUCCUACUUGGACAUAUCAAUGUAUCUGAUUGCCAUUCAAUAGUUAUGUAACUCCGGCAUUAUUUAUACACUGCAUAGAUAACUAUAUAUAGAUGAAGUGCCUUCUCUCUUUCUUUGAGAUACUGUGGUUGGAUUCAACAAUAGGCCCAGGAAUGGAGAUAUAUGCAACUGGCAUAUGCUGGUAGGCUAUAUUGGCAGUCAAGAGUCUUUAUCCCUGGAAGUUCCUGUAUAUCUGUACUGGAUACAGGUUAAAACUAGCUUACAGUAGAUUAUGCAUUUCUAAUUUAUUGCUCAUGAUAUUUGUUUACUAGUAGAUUAUGCAUUGGUAUCUUGUUGCCUAUAAAUAAAAAUUAACCAGUAAUUUUCCUUGGGGAAAAGCACUUCCCAAUGAAUAUGAUACCUGAGUAACUAGUGCAUAUAGUGGCAAGGUGCUGUAGCUACAGAGGAACUGCCCAGCAAACCUACAAGAUAAUUCAAUGAUGCAGUGGCUGUAAAAAAGCUGUUAAAUCCUCAAGAAAGUCUUAACUAUCUCAGAUGUAUGCAUACCCCAAAACAAGUCGUGUGUACACCAGCCAAUGGUUCCUAAUAAAGCAGGAUUUGUACCCAAAUUGCCACUGUAAAUCAAUCAACAAAAGACAUAUUAGUUCAAUGUACAGAUUCAAAAUCUCAUUAAGCAAGGAAAAGAAGAUUUUUGUAUUUCCUCAUUUGUGAUUCCUCUGGUCCGCUAUAUCAUUCUUUAAGCGAUUUCCAAAUGUUUGUCAAAUGAAUUUAUUAAACAUUGAGGCGACAAAACCGAGGAAAAAGUGAGAUUUUUGUUCAACCAAAUCAUAGAAAUUAUAAUAAAUUUGAGCUUGGUAGAUGUCAAGAAGGACAAAAGUGAACUCUCACAGUCCAGUGAAUACCAAUCAAGUAAGGGAAGAGGAGUUACCCAAAACCAAAAGAACGAAGCCAAUUCAAAUGCAUUCUGCAAUGAAAUUUCAAAGGAAAAAAAAAGUGAUGUCAGUUCUACUACUUUGGCACACCACCAUAAAACCAUUUUCUAGGAAAGAAUGAACUGAAAGGAUGGUAUGUGUUACCAUUUUAAUUUGAGCAAUUGAUCACGGUGAGAAUUGCUUACCUGGAACAGAACAAAAUGAAUCAAUGACAACAUUAAUUCUGGCUUCUUGAACCAGAAAAGAUCAUCUCGAGGCUUCAGUUUUGCUCCCACAGAAUGUCCAGUUAGACCAGCAGUCUCCAAAGCCAAGGUUGCAAUUACAUGCUGUAGCUUUGCACCCACAAGAAGAACAAGCUGCCCAUGAUGUGAAACAUUAGAGAAACCCAAUACAAUUGCAAGGGUACAUAAAGCUUUAUUCACUCUAGAUACAAAAUUUGUUAGGUGCGAUCAGUUGCCUGUUCAAGUGUCUGUUCCUCACAGCAUACUUGUGCUACUACCUAAGAAAAUGCCUUUUGCAGCAUCCAAGUGAUUGACAAAACCAAAACUCAAAAGAACCAGUACUCACAGUGAUUGGAAUGAUUGCUAUCCAGAAAUAGAGAUUAGAUCCUGUAGGAGGUUCCAAAUCAAACAAACCAUAAUUUAGUAAGUUUAAGACCUGGGAUAACCCUGUCAUACACUACACAACAUAUGACGUAGAUCACAUUAUGUGCAGUCCAAUGUAUGAAAACUGAGGCUGGUAAUUGUCGUGGUAGAUUGAAAAGAGUCACAAAUAAUUCAAAAGAAAAUGCACAAAUCAUCAAACUUGUAUAUUGUUAUCCAAAAGCAAGUGCAAAACAAAAGAAUUUAUACCAUCAUUUUUCACCUACAUAACUGUACCUUUUACAUUAAAAAGCAUGAAUGCAACAACAAAUCCCCACAAUGGACCACUGCAAGGAAUUGAACAAGCAGGCAUUUAGCAGGUCCAUUUUCUCCUACCUCAAUCAUACAAAUGAAUGACCUAAAAAUACAAGAAACAUCCAAAGUACAUAGAUGUUACCUCACACCAACAAUUCUUUGGAAUUCUUCUUCCAUAGAGCGAAUCAUGUAGCUGUGAAAAUCAUAUUUCAAUGAGAGGUUGUGAUUCUGCCAUGAUUAAGAAAAUAGAAGGGAUGGAUGUUAAUAAAGCAAUCACUAAUAGUACCACCAGUCUAUCAGCAAAGACGUUCCAACUGCCAGAUGCCUCAAACAUGGAUUUGGUUCUGACUCCGAUUCAACAUCUCAUUUUAAAUAUCAAAAGAAGUAAUAUGGUGUCAAAAUAUUUUCCAUUUACCAUAAUUUGAGGUUGGUUUCAAAAUAUUCCAUGACAAUAUAAUACCCAUCUGUUAUGGUCUAUCUUAUAUUAUGUUUUUUACUGCAUGAGUUUAUCUAUGUAUAUAUACUCCGAUAUCUUCUUUUUUUAUAAACCCUAGUACAAGCCCCUGCCUUCCUUCCAUACCAUUGAAUUCCUCACCUGAUUCUGGGAUCAUAAUUCUCCUACUUCCCUAUUUCUCCAGGAGGAGAGUGCCAUCUUACAUUUGUAGUACAUCCUAAAUGCUAGUAAAUUAAAUUUCCCUUUAUGCACCUUCAAUGUUGUAAAUGCUAUUUGAAAAUUAAACUUCACUUAAAGUAUGGGCUAACAAAUAACAACAAAGUAUACCAUGAUGAAGCCCUUACGAAGAGUAAGGUAGUCUGUGCGAACCACUGAACACCCAAAUUGCCGGAAGAAACAUGUCUGCAAGUUGAUAAAACGAGCAACUUCAGCAGAAAUUAUCAUCCGGACCCAAAAAAAAAGUGGCAAGCAAAUAUAAACAGAUGCUCUUUCAAACAAUAGAAGUAAAAUGACAACAAAAUGAAGAAAGAAAGGAGGAAACUAACAAGGUUAAAAUGUACAUUAUCAACAAACAUGAAAAGGAGGAAAUUGCCUAAUGCCCCUUCCUAUACCUUCAUGAAAGAAGAAACACUAGCAUCUCAAAAACCCAUAACAAAGAAGCUCCAAAUGUAAAUUCCAAUGCUUCAAUUUCAGUGAUCCAUAUUUAUUUAUCUUUUUGGUGAGUUAUGAGAUUGUUUACAAAGUGGAGCAUGGAGGAUAGACACAAGGAUUGUUUUGGAUCAGGUGUGUGACAUGAAGAUCAUAUUGUGAAUGCUGUCAAUGUAAAAUUGCAAUACUGUCUCUCUGGUAUUGAAAUACAUCAAACAAAGAUCAACACAAAACAAGGCCUGGUAGCACAGCUCCAAUUUUAUCACAGAAUUAGCUUGAAUAACAAGCAAGCAUGGACUACCAGCAUAGAGAGCAUUAAAAGAGCAAGAAAAAGAGUUUUGUACCUACCACCCAAAUAAGAAAACUAUUCUUUACCAAAGGACCUGAUGUAUGAUGUCUUACAAAGGUUGUUUGCCUUCGGAAUGUCUUCUCUCUAUUGAUUUCUGUUACAGAAUAAAUUGCUAAAGUCAUUAUUUCUGUCAUAAAAAUAUUUCUUAUAAAAAUAUUUCUUAAAUACGUAUUUGCAAUUGAAAUGAUUGGAAUGUGAAGGUAUCCCUUGCAAAACAGUGCUUUUUUAUCACACUAAUUAUGGAAAGCAUAUCAUAAAUAUGCUGAACUGCAUCAGACGUAACGAUAAGCCCAGGCCUACAGAGAUCUGUCAUGUUUCUGCUAUAAGGAUGAAUGCUCAAAUGAGAACUCAGGAGCCAAAGUAAUAUCUUUUCCAAUUACUGUCUUCAAUUCUACCUUCCUUCAGGCUCCUUGCUGACUUCAUGUGAGGUCUCCAGUUUUCAUAACCAAAUCUACAGAGAUCGGUCAUGUUUCUGCUAUAAGGAUGAAUGCUCAAAUGAGAACUCAGGAGCCAAAGUAAUAUCUUUUCCAAUUACUGUCUUCAAUUCUACCUUCCUUCAGGCUCCUUACUGACUUCAUGUGAGGUCUCCAGUUUGCAUAACCAAAUAAACCCUUUCUCUUGUCCAACUCAAAAAAAAAAAAAAAAACACUAUUGCAAGUUCCUGUUCUUUCCUAAAUAUCUCAAUUCCACCUUUGACCAUCAAGAUACAUAAGAUCAAGUCUCAAUCUCCUUAAAGGUCUAGCAUCUAGACAUAUAUAUGUAUAUAAGAACAAGCUAAAUACUGUAUACUGAAGAGAGUGAGAGAUUGGGCAUGCAUAUUCUAGAUCAGCCAUCUUCUAUAAAGCUGAAAUAGGCGAAAAGAAUUAGGCAACACAACUACUGUUUAAAAUUUUAAAUCUAUCCAAAACCACUUUCCUGCUUAAAGCUUACCUGUUAAUACAUCAUGUCGAUCCAUAUGAGCCACAUCCUCCCAUAUCCUCCAACUGUGAAUCUGGUGAACCAAUUACAAAGUUAGACAGAUGGCCACAGUGAUAACAACAUUAUGGUUCUCUAGUUUCACAAUUCAAAUAAUGUCUUGUCUUUAAUGCAACUACAGUUCAGGGAAGAACUUGGUUUAUAUGGUCAACAUGGUUUCCUCUCCUUGAGUCAUCUUGACAUAAGAUAUCACAAGUUUGACUUGCAAAUACUGGAUGGGUCAGCACAUAUAUUCUUAUCACAGAACAAACAGAACCAUAUUUUAGAUACAAAGGACCAAAGGUUGAAACAGCAGAUGCUGAUUGUAAGGCAAGCAUGUUGCUUCUGAGAAUGCUGUUAAAGCUUCCAAACAAAAAGCUAAUGCUUGUAGGAGGAGAGACACAUAUCACGAAUUAUAAAAGGCAACUAAACAAGAUCAAACUGUAUACUCUUUUCAUAGUCAUGCCAAACUUUAUACUUAUCCAGUAAAACAUUACUCAACAACCCCCCUGAUGUCCAAGCUUAACAGAGAGCACUCGGGCAUACUUGAUAGCAGCAACCAUGGGCCCAGCACGAGGGGCAACAGCAACAACAGAAAACAAAAUGGACUCAAAAUAACUUGAUGUUUAACACCAAAGAGUUAAACCUAUAGAAGGAGAGGCCCGUAUAAAACAUGAGAACAAGUCAUAUUUAAACCAAAUUGAAAUCAUUCAACCAACGGGGAAUGCAUACCUGGAACAAAAUUUACAAACUCCUUUCCAUCUAACAAUAAACCAAAACAUUUUAUUUCUUCAAACACGAGAAUAAAUUGAAUAGUGGAUCUUGUUCUAUACAUAAUUUAUCCUUUUUCCUUUCAUUAUGUUGUGUAAUUUUUUUAUUAUGUGAACUUAAUCAUUCCUAAAAUCACUCCACCAUUAAGAAAAGCAACAACUAUAAUGGAAUACAAAAAAAUGCUUAACCUUCACAAUCGCCAGCAACAUUGUUAAACAACUGUAAGAUACAUGUGUGAUUGCCAUGACAAAAAUAAAGCGAUGCAACUGCUCAAGACCUUGAUAUGACACAAACGGCUCAUGUCCCUGCACAUCAAACAGUUUUUAGAAUACUAAUUUGCCUUCUAAAAGUGACCCAAAAAGAAAAUCUCUUUUCUACAUAUUUUAUCAUUGAGGAGACAAAAGCCAUAAUAAAUCAAUUUUAUCAAUACACUGUGUUGAAAAUUCAAAUAUUUCAGACACCAUAGAUAAAUCUCUAGCAAGAUCAUCAGCAAUGUUCAUAUAAGAUAAAUGACAUACCUCUUUGCAGGUAUUCCGAUCCAAGCCAUUCAAUAUUCUUCGAAGUGGAUGAGGAAGAACGGGAAGCAUCAGCAGUUUACGUCCCUGGGAAGAAUUAUCUUCAACUUCCUCAUCAAUCUCAGACCUAGUGCAAGGAGCAAAAUUACCAUCAUAGAACUUUGAUGGAAUGCAAAUAUUGGCAAUGGUACUUGAGGUAGCUGUUAGUAGAAGUGAUAUGAAUCCGAGCAGCAUCAACUCUGAAGACAAGUACAAAACAAUACUUGUGAAUGAAAAUUGCAAAAAUAUAUGAAGGGGAACUAAGAAUCACUUGUAACCAAAAGAACAAAAAGAACUUUCUGCAGCAUCAAAUGGUGCAUUUAGAACUUGGAAAAUACCUUCUUUCAUUUUCUCCACGGCUGCAAGCAAAGGUUUCCUGUUGGUUUUUCGCAACCACUGAAAUACAAACAUAUAAAGCAUCAAGUUUCAGAGCAGUCACCAAAGCUCUAGAAACUAACACAGUAUUGACAUUCCAGAAAGGAAAAUAGACAAAAUAUGAGCUAAAAUUACAAAAAUGAUCUGACAGAUUCUGUUUCAAUUCAUCUGUCAAUAUACAGUUCUCCUAAAGCAAACAGAUUAAAUUUAUCAUAACAGUCAUCCAAAACGUAAUUUUCAAAUCUAAAGCAUUUGAUGCAAUUGAAACAAUCAAUGAGAUCUCAGCCUACAGCCAUGACUAUGACACAAACAGGAAACUAGAAGUAUCAGCUAAAAGCCCUCAAAAAAGAAAUAAAAGCUAUUUCGCAACUCAAAGUCAUCAAAACAUGGGAAAAGAAGUAGUGGCAGAAAUCAAUUACCAAGUAAAGUGCCUUGAAAUUUCAAAGGGCUCAAAUAUAUAAAUAAAAUUUUAAGAGAAUUCAUUCUAGACCUUGAACUUUAAAUAGAAUGAAAGAAAAGAACAACAAUCAAAUUCUGUAUAAACACAGACAUCGCAUGUCAAAGUGAGUCUGCUAAAUCAUAACAAUGAGAAAAUACAACCUCUGGAACAACAGAUGAGAAAAUAAGAAAAUUACUAUACAGUGGGUAGACGAUGCCACUUACAUUACUUAGUUUGUGAAUUGAGCGCUCCACAAUCAAAGAAACAACUACAAAGAUUGUCAGCACAGUUGCUACUGACCAUGUUGGAGUUAAGGCCAAGGAUCUCAUUUCUUUGGUAUCUCCUUCCAUUCUAAGCAAUCCUACUCGGAGACACACGAACCUUUGUUUUAAAUCUUUAACCCCCCAAAGUCUCUCUCUCUGUUAAUUUUAAACCAACAGCAGCAAGCAACCAAAUUUUUUGCCUAGAAAGCAAAACCUUUCUUCAAAACCACAAAAAAACACAACUUCAACUCCAGAUUCCUCCUAUAAUGAAUUAAUCAUACAAAUACAUAUUGUACAAAUACGAAAAUCAAAAUCCUAAAUUUUGAUCCCCUUAGUUUUCCAACUCCAGAAGCAUUCAUGUACCAGGGCCAAGUUCACAUCUUUAGCUGUAUAAAGAAACACACCAAUAAAAAUAUCGUAAAUGCAGAAAUGGGAUAUGUCCCAAAACCUGAAAUCUCUCUUACAAUUGACUCCAAACUUUGAAUUCUCUACAGAAUCAUGAAAAAAUCAAAGUUCCUUCCUUUACCAAUUUGCCUAGAGAAAACGCCAAAACUCCACCAUUGGUGAGUGACGUUUUCUCAGUUGCAUAUCACAGUUGAUUCAGGUACCAGAACCUCUCUCUCUAGAAAGUUUGUAUUUUUCUCUCUCAAAAAAAAUAAUUCCUCAUGGAAAAGCUCACUUCUUUAUGUGGUACGUGUAGGCUGUUUGGUUCUGCGGUUGAACCUGCUUUUCACUGAAUUUUAAAUUUUUUUUUUUUUGCUAAAAUUGAGUACGGUUUGUACUUUUUGGAUCGUUUUGAUGUGCUGAUGUCAAAAAUGAUUUUUAAAAAAUAAAAAAACAUCAUUGGCAUGUAUUUCGACACGAAAAGCUAUUUGAAAAGCAACCACUACCACACUGCCAAACACCCUUAACUUGAGCUGGUUACUUUAUUGUUUGGGUUACUACAUUUUGACCAGACUGGAAAAACAAUAAAAUCCAGCUCAGAGACAACUGUAGAAGGUUUAAGUUGGUUUUUCCAUACUAUAGCCCCUGAAAUUAUAAAGGAGGAGACGGGUUUGUUUUUGGUAAAGCGGUAAAUAUUAUUUUUUAAAAUGUAUUUUAUUUAAAAAUAUAUAUUAAAAUAAUAUUUUUUUAAUUUUUUAAAAUUCAUUUUUGAUAUCAACAUAUAAAAGUAUUUUAAAAAAAUAUUAAAACUAAAAUAUUUAAAAUUUUAAAAAAAUAAAAUCUAUCUUAAUUUCAAACAAUACUUUAAUUUCGGUAUGAUAAACAAAGAUAAUAUGUUUAUGAUGGUAUUGUGUUUUUAAAAACAUUUAUUGUAAAUUAAAUUUUUGUUUUUUUUAUUGUUUUGAUAUAUUAAUUUUUAAAAAAAUAAUUUUUAAUAUAUUUUGAAAAAUAAUUAUUAUACCAAUCACAAUCACCACCCAAAUAGAUAUCUGUCUUGCCUACCUUGUCCCAUCUGGCUGUGAUCAUAUUAACAAAAUGACAGCUCAAAUUUUAUUUGAAUUUAUUGGCAGCCCGUUUAAUGCCAAGUCCAGAAGGUUGCUGUAUUAAUGGUCGGGUUUUAGUAUUAUUAAAAAAAAACCUAACUAAAAUAGUUAGACAUUUCACUAUAGAUGGAACAGUAUUUUCUUCUUCUUGACCUUAGAAAAAAAAAGAUCCUUCCCAUGUGUUUAAGGGUAAAAUAGUCUUUGUCUUAGGAUAAUUUUGGUGUUUUAAAAUUAAUUGGGUGCAUGAUGAGUAUUUUGUGUUUUGAUUAUACAGUAAAUUUACAACACUACUUUGAAAAGAAAUAAAUUUUUGAACUUUUGCUUAAGGUUAGUUUUGUAUUUUCAAUUAAAAAUACAGAGUAAACUAACCUUUUUCCCUGUAGAAUAAUAAAUAAAUAAAAACUAACAGGCAGAUGGCAAAUGGACGGUGUUUUUGUUAUUUUCAAUAUUGUUAUACAGUAAAAAGACUUUAGCGUUUUUGGUGUCAAAUAAUUUAAGUUUUAGGUUAAAGGGUAUUUUGUGUCAUUUGUUACUAGUUUUUUUUUAUAUAAUUAAUUGGUCGAGUGAAGUCAUUUGAUUAUUUUAAUAAUUAAAAAAGGAUAAAAAAAGCUAACGCGUGCGACUUAUUCCAACAGCCAAAAAGGUUAUUCCAGGGUGGUCUUAGUUUCAUCUCAACAUCUCCUCUCUGGAUAUAUGGUGCAUGCAUCGAUAAAAAGAUUUGGUUUGUCAUCGGCAACCAUUUUUUUUAUUUCCUCUUUCUUCCUCGAUGUUUGUGCCCUACCAUUCUAUUUUUUAAGUCAGCCCUUAAACUUCUUUAUUUUAUUUAGUCCCUUUUCUUUUGGUUAUAAUUUUUUUUUUAAUAAUUCAUUGAAUUAGAUUUUUCUUUUGAUUUCAUCCUUGUUCAACCUUUUGCUUUGUCAAAUUUGAUCUUCAUUCUUUUAAUUGUUGUUUUUUAUGGUCUAAGAUAAUUUUUAGUUUUGUAUUUUUGUUUUCAAUUCCACCAUCUGUAAAUUUUUUUCCUGAUAGAUUUCAUUCUUAUUUUUUUUUAUUCUUUUGGUUUUUUUUUUCUUUGCAAAAUUUUCUAAAAAGGUAUUUUUUUACCCGAUUUAAUUUUUCAACAUUUAAUUUUUUUGGAUUUAAACUUGAGCCUUUGUCUGAGAUUUCACGAGUUGCAAACCUUGAAAACUAACCUAGCUUCAUGAGGUAUGCCUAGGAUUGCUUUAGUUUUUUUAUCAUUUUUUUAAGUUAAUAUUUUUUCGAUUUUAUUCUUUAAAAUUUGUUUUAUUGAAGAUUGAGCUUUGUUUUUUUUUCCAUGCUUUCUAUGACCUUGAUUUUAUCAUUUUUUGUUUAUUCUAUAUUUGAAUUUAAAAUUAUUAUUUGAAAUCUUGAAUAAUAGUUUUUCAAGUCGGUAGCCUUUUCAUUUGAAUUAGGUCAGGUACAUAUUUUGAAUAUUUGAACUCAAUCCAAUCAGCUUAGGUAUUUACUAGAUUGGUGAUUGUGUCGUGACUCAGGCUGUACCAAAUUUUUUUUAACUAUAUAAAUAAAAUGUUGAAUUAUAAAAUAAAAAAAAUUAAUAAAAAAUAAUAAAAAAAUAAAAUAAAUAGCAAUAAAAAAAUAAAGGUUAAAUCUGACAUAAAAUCAAAGGAGCAAAGAUAUUGAGGGAUGAAAUUGAAAAAAUAAUUCAAUUAAAAAAUUAUAUAAAAUAUUGAGGGAUGUAAUUGAAAAAAUAAUUUAAUUAAUUGAAUAAUUAAAAAAAAUAACUUAACAAUCAGAAAAACGAGAAUUAGAUCUAAAAGGUAAAAAAAUCAAAUGAUGGUUGAAUUGAAAGAAAAUUCUAAUUCUAUUGAUUAUUUAAAAUAAAAGAAAUAUCAAUAAAAUGAAUAAAAAUUAAAUUUAAAAAAAAAGAAUCAAAUAGCUGCUUUGAAAAUAUACAUAGAAAGGCUUUGAAACCAAGAAAAAAAAAGGAAGGUAAAAAAACUGUAAACCAGAUGUUCUUUCACCACACACGCCACCCAAGAAUAAAGAUGACACUGAAAGGAUUAAAAUGUUGUUAAUGAAGCCAAAACUUGCCAUCCGAACAGUGUGGAAACACCAAUGCAUGUUUGCGUGAAUUUCAAGCGCAGUCAAUUUUUAAAAAUAUAUAAAUAUUAUAUAUAUGUCAAAAUAUUAUAAAGUAACCUUCAUCGAAUCUAGAAAAAAAAAAGAGGAAAAGACAAAAAAAAAAUAACCUUGACAAAAGGCAAAGAAAAUUAAAUGCAAGGGUACGUGACAAUAAUCUAGUUAAUACUACUAUACCUUGUAAUUAAAUUUUAUCAAAAGAUGUUAAUUACUAAAAUAACCAAUGGGAAAUUUUUCCUUUCUUUGUUUCUUCUUCUUUGGGGGUGAAGUGGUUAAACAACACUAUUAGGAUCUUGGAACUCGAAUGACGUAUUGUAUUUUUCUUAAUAGUUAUUUAUGCUGCCCGAUUUCAACCUUUUUUUUUUUAUUAAUUUUAAAGCCCCCGCUAAUCUUGGAUACUAAGAAGAAGACAAGAACACAUGCUUUGGUUUUCUUUCUUGAUUAGUGGAUGCCACAUGAUUUGCUUCAAAAAAUAAUCCCACCAGACUCGACUUCUGGUCCCAUUUUUCUUGCCCAAUAGUUGACUUGUGCAGUACUGAUCAGAUUCCCUUUUGUUUCCCAGGUGAAAUUCCUUCUCUACUCUAAACAACCAUUUACCAAGAAAUGUUUAGAUCCAUGUAGCUGCCCAAUCAAUUUAUGUCUCCAGCUGAUGAAGUCGGAAAAGAAUCUUCACUUAAAAAUCAAGUUUUUACAGUAUAAAUUAUUUAAAUAUCUUGAUCAUGUUGGUUUAUCUUGAACACGAAAAGAAGUGUUACAAUUGAUUGAUAUAAAUACUGGUGUCAAACUUUGAGAGUAUAACUCAAUUGAUCAGGUUCUGGGUUUGUUCUCUAGAGAUCAUCAGUUCGAGUCUUACAAACCUCAAGGUUACUGGAGGCCUACAUGGUUGUUAAUUUCAGGGCUCGUAGGAUUAGUUCAAGUGCACACAAGUUAGCCCGGACACCCAUGUUAAUCUAAAAAAAAAUAUUGGUAUCCAUCAUUAAAUAGUAUCUAAUACUAUUAUUGAUUGGUAAAUGUCAAUCCGUGAUAUAAUCACUAUUUGAGAAAGUGGUGCUUGAGUUGGGUAGAAAAUAGUUUGUAUUUAUACUCUUAAUUAUUAACUAAAAAAUAUGGUGAAUGCUUAAAAAUUUAUGUUUGAAAAGAAUCCAUCAGAAAAUUCAGAAAAUAUAUCAAUUAAUUAUAAAAAAUAUUGUAUGUGUGAACGAUUCACGAUGCCGCAUUUUGACUAAUCAAAACUCAAAAAAAUACGUUGAAACUAAUUGAUAAAAAAAAAGGGGGGGUGGUGUCCGUUAGGCCAUAACUCAAAUAGUUGCGAUCUUAGAUUGUUGAUGUCUGGGUCACAUGGUCUAAACGGACGGGGACAAAAACAAAAGAUUAUUGUCGUUGGGGCAACAAAUUAGUAAUCAUGCUAGAAUCUUUGGAAAAUCAUGCUAUAUCAUUAUAUCCUUGAAAUUCUUAUAAUUCCAUGGGUGGCUAGAAUCUUACUAAUUAGGUGUCCCUUAAAAUGAUGUCAAGUAAUUUUACAGACUAAAUAAUUUAUAUAUCUAUUUUUUUUUACUAUUAAUAUGAGUAUCCGAGCCAUCUUGUAUGUACCUCGACUAAUCCCGCAGGUUCUGAAGUUAACGAUCAUAUAAAACUUCAGUAGCCUUGAAAUUUAUGGGAAUUGAAGUGAUAAUCUCUGAAGACCAUUCCAUUUAUAUAUCUAUUUUUUUAUUAACGUGGAUGUUUGAGUCAGCUUGUGUGUACCUUGACUAAUCUCAUGACCUCUGAAAUUAACGAUCAUGUAAGCCUCUGUCGCCCUGAGAUUUAUGAGACUGAAACUGGUGAUCUUUAGAAAGUAAAUUUAGAACCUGAUCAAUUUAGCUACACCCCAUGAAUUUUAUAUAUCUAUUUUAUUUUAUACAUACGUGUGUGUCAAAAUGCUCAAAAUUACAGUCAAAGUUUUUUCAAUCCUAUACAUUGAUCAGGGCGGGGGUCACGGGUCGCAUUGAUCUGGUGUCUUCUAACUACCGCAUCCUAUCACGGAGUAUGGCAUCAAGCCACCAUCCAUGUGAAUCGACGGCGAUGCCCAAUUGCAUCAUCAUGAUUCAUGAGCCAUGCCCCUUGUACACUCUCUCCAUAUCCCUAUUGGAAUUUUGACUGCUAUAGCUUUGCUAGUCAAUUGAUUCCACAUAAAUUGAGUGGUCUGGUUAAGAUGGUCUGACUUGAAAACAAUUUUUUAGUUUUGACUUUGGAAUGAAUCAUUCUAUUAGAAAAGGCGGUUGAAAUUAUAAUUCCUAAAAGUUUGAAUUUUUUUUAAAAAAAUUAUUAUUUUUAUAUAUUUUUAAAUCAUUUUAAUAUGCUGAUGUUAAAAUUAACUUUUAAAAAAUUAAAAACAUUAUUUUGAUGUAUUUCCAAACAAAAAACACUUUGAAUCGCAACCACUACCAUACUUCUAAACAUCCUUUUAACUACAUUGAAGUUUAGGUUUUAUUCGAGGUGGUUCUCGUAGGUUUGCAUGCUCUAAUGCCAAAGUUUGUUUUUUUAGGAUGCUUGCAUUUUAGAUCAACUCUUAUGAUCUUAGAUUUUAUUUUAUAGUCUUAGAAACAGCUCAAUCAAAUAUGUCUGUCAGAUUUAAUUUAUGAAGUUAAUUUUAGGGUCAACUAGCAUAACUUACAAGGUAUAUGAAAGUCCUAACAUUUAAGAUCUAAUUUAAACAUAGAAAAUGGAUUCCAUAGAUGAGAGGAAGAGUAGUGAUGAUGCAAGCCAGGGACCAGCUUGGUCUUGGUCAUGGGUUGCAUAGUAGUGAUGAUGCAAGCCACGGACCAGCUUGGUCUUGGUCAUGGGUUGCAUAGGUAGAGCUUUGUCCUGUGACAAAAUCAAAGUGAAAAUGACAAGCUUAGAUAGAUCUCACCUUGCACGUCUUCUAUUCACCCGUCAAGGAGGGAUUGCCGGAUGGUCGCUCAUGUCCUUCUCAAACAUACCUAUGCCUAUAUACAUACAUAUAGGUAUACCAAGCACCUUUUCAAAGAGCAGUCAUUGUUUGGUUUUUCGGGGAGGUAUCGUUGUUAUAUUUUAAAGUAUUUUUUAUUUGAAAAUAUAUUAAAAUAGUAUAUUAAAAUGAUUUGAAAAUAUAAAAAAUAUUAAUUUAAAAUAAAAAUUAUAAAAAAAUUUAAAUAUUUUUAAAAUGUAAAAACAACAUAUUUUAUGCAUAGUUUUUAGAUCCGGUCCAGUCUAAAGCCCGGGUUCUGGGUUUUGACUUGGUCGCCCGGGUUAUUUUUUUUUAAAAUUAAAAUUACAUCGUUUUAGUAAAAAAAAAAAAGUCAACGGGUUGCAACCAGGUUUUUGACCGGGUCUUGCGGGUUAACCCGUCAGGUUACACUGAGUUUUUUUUUUUCCUAUUUUUUCUUCAACCCGGCUUCAUUUCAGCUCUAGAUUCAAGAUCAACUUGCCAGGCCGGAUCAGAUUUCAAAAGAAUGGUUUUAUGCCAAUCGUUGUCGUGUGCUAUACUUUCGAUCGCUUUCUAAUCUAGACCACUACACAUGCCAUGCAAAAACAUGACGAAAUCGACCAUUCCUAUCCCAGCAUGACAUAAGUUUGGCCCAUCCAUAAAAACCAAGGCCAUGAUGAUUUGAACCAAUGGCUCACAAGCAAGGCCAUGACGAUGCCAAAUGUUGUUUUCUUGCAAUCUUGCUGCCAUGUUUAGAGAGCCAAAACGACAAAUGAAUGAUCCAGUUUUUGGAUGUCUCGCCGUGUUUGUGAAAAAAAAACACAGAGGAGUGGAAACUGGACCAGAAGAGCUGAUGGUUCUCCUUUACGUGUCUGAAAGUGAUAAAAUUGAAGUAAGAAAUUAUGCCGCUAGAAUUACAUUUUUGCCCACUAUUCGACCUUCCUAGCAACAAGGACUGAUCCCUCUAGGUUUGAAUAAAGUCACAUGACAUGUUGGCUCUGAAAUUUUAUCUGCUGCUCUAUUAAUGCAAGUAGAUGCGCAUUCAAUUAUAGGGUUUUCUCCUCUAAUUAACAGAUAUAAUAAAAGAGAUUCGUGGUUUAUCAUGCUGCUAUUAUUCAUCCUUUCUCAUCUCAUUAUUCAUAGCACUGCUUAUCAGGCAAAUUCCCUUUUUAAAUCCCCCAAAUCUUAGAUGUGUUUUAGUUUGUUCACCGAACUUUAUUUUCAUUCAAUUUAGUCCUUAAAAGCUCUGCUUUCAUUGUCAUGGGGUUCUUUAUACUAUUCAGAUUGCAUGUUAUCGCGUGUCCAAAUACCAAAUAUCAUUUUGAAGCUCAACGGCAGGUGGAUUUUGCAUGAUUCACCUUGGUGAUCAUUUCGGAGUUCAAUAGGAAGUUGAUUUGUAUACUUUAAUCUCUAAUUAUUGUAAGAAAAAAUAAUCAUAAGAACAAAUAACAAAGUUGACAUUGAUAAAAUCAGAAGGCUUUCCUCAUUAUAUUGUUCAAAAGGCGUGUAAAACUACAUGUUAGCCCUUAUGUUUUUACUUUUUUAUAUCAUGUCCCUUCUAUUUCUAGAUUCUUCAUUUGGUAUCAAAGUUUUUUUUUAACUUUUCAAUCCUUAGAUCUUGAGAGAGUUGAGAGAAAAACACCAAAAAAAAAUUAGGAGAGGGAAAGCUCUUGGAUGACAGGAAUUCAAUCACUGAUAACUUUGAUUUUGAUUUCUAUGAAUUUAUCUUUAAGAGAAAGACUCAAUGGGGAUGGUUUCCACCUUCAAUAAUGCAAAAAAACCUAGAUCAAAAGUGGGAAAUUUUUUUUAUUUGAUUUGAUAAUGAGUUUUUAGACUGAUUAAAAUGUGUUUCGUUGUUAGAUAUAUGGUUUAAGAAGUUCAUGGAAUGUUUUAUUUUUUUAAUGUUUUUUGGAUGAAAAUUAGUUGAAAUUCAGAUUUUAAAGGUUAAAAAAUAUGAACCUUGAUUUUUCAAUCAUUAGAGCCACCUCUAAUAACAAGAAAUGUUGUAGAUAGAUGACAUAUCGUUAGCCUAGAUAGGUGACAUAUCAUCCAUUUACUUUUUUAAAAAAAUAAAUAAGGACAAACGAUGUGUUGUACGACCUAUAAGGAAAAAAACCCAAACAUGUGGGCCUAAGCUUCCAGGCCCAAGCACACCUAGGUUUUAAAUGUGGCUUAGGGGUGUAAGUUCAUUUUUCCAGCCUAUGCAUGUCUAGUCCUUCAAUUUUUUAAAAAAAAUUUAAUUAUUUUUUAUUUGCAUUUUAUAAUUAGAUUCUUUUGAAAUAAAUUUAUUGAAAUGAUAUUUGAAUAAUUAUCCAAUUAUGUUAUCGUUUCCAAAUAAUUCUAGCUUCUUUUAUAAUAAUUUAACAAUUAUUUUUUUAAUAAUUAUAUAUGAACCUUGAAUAUUUCAUACAAAUGAAAUUUUGUUUGUUUAUUUUUAUAUUAUAAAUUUUUUAUAUAAUUUUCUCAAGUUUAUUUUUCUUAUAUUUUUUUAAGAAUGGAACCCCGAAAGUCAAAGGGAGGAAAGAAAAAUGCAAUUGCCACCUCGUUAUAUAAAAAAACUAAGAAUUUUAAAUAUACACUGGUCUUAAAGAUAUAAGUAAGGAGUUAGUUAUGCUUAAGAAAAUAUAGAUAUCUUUCGUACGACAUCCUUCCAGCCGAAAGGUUAACUUUAUCAUAUAUUUUCUUUUAAAUUUGUUUUAUGCAUGCUAUUUACUAUCUAAACUAUUUUAUGAGCUUACUCGUGAGUUAUUUAUUUUUGGUUGAUGUUUAUCUAGUUAGUAUUGGAGCCUGAAUCAUGAGUUUCACAACAAGAUGAUUUUUAGUUUUAGUUUAUAUAAAUAAUUUAUCUUGACUCUUUAUUAUUAUUGUUGUUGUUAUUGUUGUACCAAAAUAUUGAAAAGAAAACCACGUUGGUCUGUAUUUGAAGAAGACUCGUGGACUUAAUAUUGAACUCGUUUUAGGCUUUAAAGCAUCGCACUGGGUCUACGCCAGUCUUUAAAACUAGGAGACAUAUCGAUCUAAUUGUUAAAAAUUAAGCUUUGGUGAAAACAUGAUGUUAACUUGAUGAAAACUCGUCGAUGAAUUUUUUAUUCUUUGUUAGAAAAAAAUAUGAAUAACUAUACAUAAGCAAAAAUUUCAACACCUAGAACAAAUUAAUAAUUACAUCCCGGAUAAACUUGUUGAAACCCAACCUCGUCGCAACAUAUUGAUUCCACUCUUAGUCCAUCCCACAAAUGACGCCAAAUAAUAAGGCUGAAAAAAAUCACCAGGAGAAAGAUUGCUGGCACUUUUCAUGGACUGAUAAAAUUGGACUUGGAGGAUUUGGUUGGCCUGACGACACCUACAAGAAAAACACUCUGAUGAUUAAGUCAAUAUAGUGUUUGUAUAGGUGACGAGGUGAAUGGGUAUUCUCCUGGCUUAAAUAUUCAUUAAACCUUGUUUAAAUCUUGUGUUUCUCUUGGCUUAAAUAUUCAUUAAACCUUGUUUAAAUCUUGUGUUAGACUUGUAUUGUGUUAGACUUGAAGUCUAGAAAGAUAAUCUUUUUUAAGAUAAAUAUCUUAAAAAAUAUCUAAAAUAUUUAAUAUAAAUAUUUUGUAUAAAUAUCUUAUAAAUAUAUAGGAUAUUUAUAGAGAUAUUUAUAAAAAAGUAUACAUUAUAUAAAAUAUUUAUGUAAUUUUUUAAUGUAUCAUCAAUUAUGAUGUGAAGCCAUGUAAACACAUGCGGAGACUUCCUUUCUAACCCUUGAGUUAAAGGUCGCCCAACCACCAUGGUUGGAUAGCAUAACAUCAUUGUUGAAUAGUUUAGAGUAUGUUUGUGUUUUUGUAUUAAGAAAAUAUUUUUGAAAUGUUUUUAUAAGUUUUUAUUUUUCUAUAUUUUUGGAUUAUUUUGAUGUGUUAAUGUUAAAAGUAUUUUAAAAAAAUAUUAUUUUAAUGUAUUUCUAAAUUAAAACACUUUGAAAAACAAUCGUUAACAUAAUAUUCCAGUACAACAAAAUUACGAGGGUUGAUAGGAGCAGAGGUUCGAUAUGUACAACCCAAUGAAUUUAUCAUCUGAAAACUAAAAUACUCGAAGGAAUUAAUAAUGUUAUCACGGUACGUCUUUUCAGUAGGAAAUGAAAACAGUUGCAGACUGAAUUCUACAGGCCAGGCAGCCUCAAGAACAACAUGGAACAACAGACCGCGAAGACCUUAGGGGGAGGGGAUCACAAAAGUAUGAAUACCUAAAGCUAGCUCUAUACAUGAAAAAAUUGCAAGCAAAUCGGUAUAGACGCUGCGAUUAAGUAAGGUGUGACGAAUAUUUGACCUUCCAAUACUUUCCAACAAGGCUCAGUUUCAAUAAUAACAAAAUGUUCUCCAUGAUCGCGAAGAGCCUGAAAUAAAAUUCUCAAGCCCGUCACCCUAUGCUGAUGAGGCAAUCGCAACCCAUGACAGGCAGAUGGCAACAAAAAUCCUUGCUUUUGCCAGCUUACCAUCAAGAACUACGAAAUUUGUCCGCUAAUGGGUAUCAUUGGCUGCCAUUCCUCUGUAACUUUCUAUCACCAUUGUUCUUAUUUCGUAUCCUAAUGGGUUGCUUCUACAUUACAAUCGAAAUCCUCCAAUUACAGACCUAAUUAUUUUUGCAUUAAAAAAAAAAAUUAAAACAUCUUGAAAUUUUUUGUAUUUUUAAAUUCAAAUUAAUAUUUUUUUUAUAUCUUCAUAUCAUUUUAAUAUUUUAAUAUAUUGAUGUUAAAAAUAAUUUUUUAAAAAUAAAAAAUAUAAUUUUAAUAUAUUUUCAAAAAAAUAACACUUUCAAGAAAUAAAUGGUAACAUACUGCCCGGAGUUUUUGACUGCGACUCCUCUGCCUUGCAGAACAGGUGUCCUAGAAGUGAAACUCAGGCUCAAACCAGCCCUCGUUACCUAACGGGAAAGGAGAAAAAGGGAGACAGUGCUAAGCCUUUAUUACACAGUAGGGGGCUGAAAAACAAGAUAAACGACUACGUAUACUGGCACAGUUUCUUGCAAAAUCUUAGUCGUCUAUUCAGUGGUUGGAAGCUCGUCAGCCAUAUCACCUUCUGUCCCUGAAGGCUCCUCAGGGAUCUCAUCCUCAGUUGCUACAGCCUGUUCAUCAUCAUUGCCCUUUAACUCAUUCUCACUAAAAAGAUCCCUUUGAACAGGGACAGUUUUUUGUUGCUGGGAUGACAUAACAUUUGCAAUAGCUUUCAAAGCUGCAGAUGCCUGAUUACUAUCCCCUGCAUCCUCCGUGUCAAUACCAUUGACGGCAUUAGGCUCCUCCUUGGACUCGUCUUCUAGGCGCGGUGGGGGAACAAAGAAAGGUAUCUUACCCCUCUGCCAGUCAUGAAGAACCAUCUUUGCUGCAGUCAUUUGGUCAGGUUCACCACCCUGAACACAAGUUGUUCAAAAUAUAGAGUUAUAAGCAUAAUCCACGCAAAACAUUGGAUGAAACUUGAUAUUUAUGUGUUUGAGAAGUGCAUUUAAAUGGUAUAAGCAAAGCGAAGUGUUUGCAGUCGAUACAUCAAACAUGCUGUUAUCCAAAUCUAACCCAGUAUAUCCUAAGUCAGACGCCAUUAGCUCCAUCUAGAGAAAUUUUCCACUACAUCAUGCAAUGCCAAAUUAUUUAUCACUGUGUAAAAUUGAUGCUCUCGUUUUGGUUUUGCUUCUUGUGCAUUCAUUUUCUCUACAUGUUAGGAUUAAUCAGGAGUGAGAAGCAUUCUUCUCCUAUGCACUUGGACAGAUUUAAAGAGCUUGAUGAGCCUACUGGCAGUCCCCCACUAUUUCAAUAGCACCAGGAUAAACAUGCAAUCAUGACAAGCAUUUAACUGAUUCCUUUUCUUUUCCUUUUUAUUCCUCUCGUCUGAUAUUUAGGGUUUGGAAAUUGGAAGCUUAGCACUCCAACAGCCUAUCAAUAUUUGAUAUCAAGCACUUACAGGUUAAAACACAUGUUCUGCUCUCACCAAUAAACAAAACAUACCUUCAAAAGUUUGCCCGUUGAUUUGCAGAGCUGAAGCAGAAAGUCAUUCUCAUCAUCCCUGACAACAAUGAGGUAUAGUUAAUUGUAGCUCUUGCAUGCUUUAUAUCAAAUAAAGACUUCGGCGAUAAGAAAUGCAUGUUUGGGAAUCUCAAAACUCCAUUUAAGGUCCAUUGGUGCAUCACAUAGAAGUUAAGGUAUACUUCUCAAAUGACCAAAUCCAAUGAAGCAAAGUGGUAAAUACAAAUCAGUUUUGGCACAUAUUGAUAAGUCGGAGUUUAUAAACCCUCCAGUCCUCAUAAGUCUCGAGAAUCAGAUGAACAGCAGAACAAAACAUGGUGCAUUUGUCAAAAAUAAAAUGCAUUUCAAAUUUAUGACAGUCAGAAUAACUGGCCACAGGCCCAUGCUUCAGAUCUAAUGAGGAUUCAGGGCAAGGGAAGAGCACUUGUAAGUAGCAAUAUGGUAGGGACAUGGGCAUAAAACCUCUGACACCCAUCUGGAGCAGGAAGGCUUAUAACUUAAAUAGGAGAAUUUAUGGUAGGAGCCAAGCUCAUCAUUAGGCAUUAGCCCACAGUCAUACUGUUGGAUUAUGCAUAAAGUGCAUGGGAAAAUGAUGAGCCAAGAUCACAAAAUAAUUUUUCUUUCACUAGGUGCUCCUUCCAAUAUUCUAGUUACAAACGCUCAUUCCAGGUGCUCCUUGAAAAGAAAAUCAUAGACAAUUAAGUAGCUCACCACUCUUUGAUCUUAUAUGCUCUUCUUAGGUGCUCCUUCUUAACACGUUUCAGAACCUCUCCUAUGUGUUCAGUAGCAUCAUGCAAGUUUGUGACACGUACCUGGAAAGGGCCCAUUCAUAAACAAAUAAAAGGUAAAUUAGAGUUACAGACUCGAGAGCAGAGACAUUCACUAGAAUAUGCAUGACUAACAUAUCUUUACCAAAAUAAGCAAUCAUGGAACAGAAAACCCAUGACCAUGCAUGGCUUACUUUGCAGUUACCGCGCAUAGCAUGUUCCAAAAAAUGAGAAAGGAAAACAAGCAGCAGAGCAAAUUCUGUUUCACCUAUUUUUUGGUUUCUGAGAGAAAUUUCUUCUAUUGGAUUAAUUUUCUGAAAGCACUCAAUAAAAGUUUUUCCUGGUCUCAAUAAUCAGACAGUUAAAAUACGAUGACCAGAAAAAGUAUUGCAGAAAUUAUGAUUUUCUGGUUUUGGAAUGCCUAACAGUUAUUGAGAACAAACAAACAAGCAGCACCUAUGCUUAAAUUGAAUUCCAGUGCAAAAAAGGUCAUGUCCAUGUGUCAUUGCUAGACUAGCAAACUCAGUAAAAUAGUAGGAAAGCCAAUAAAGAAUAGACAUGAAGAUUGACUACCACACUUGUAUAUAGGUAAUUUCUACAGGCAACUGAACAAACAACAUACCACGCCCUUCAAUACAAUAUCUGUUUCUGAGUCUUGGUUCUGGUAUACAACCCCAGGGCAGUCAAUCAAGAAAAUCCUCUUUGUGAGUGUUAUAUACUGCCAGACCUUAGUUUCCCCUGGGAUAGGAGCAACCUUGCAAACCUAAAAGGAAGGGACAAAUUUUUAUCAAUUAAAUUGGAACUAACAAACUUUGUGGCAACACAUAACCAGAAGUAGCAAAAGGAGAGUGCAAUGUUUACAUUCUUGGUACGCAAUGUGUUGAUAACUGAUGAUUUUCCAACAUUGGGGUAGCCAACAAAACCCACCGAUAUUGCUUGCUUGUCACUUUUUAAGCGGGCAAACUGUCUCAAUACUGACAGAAGAGAACCCUAAGUUCAAGAAAAACAAUUUAAAAAAAUUAGGAUACAGAUUAACAUCAAGAUUAAAAAAUGAUUGAAUGCUAAAAUACGAGCACAAUAGAGCAAAAAUAAAAUGUAUGCGGGGGAGCAAGACAUAAUUUUUAUAAUUCUCAAGGUAGAAAGCUUGAAUUUUUCUAUCUAUAUUUUCCUUUAAUUAUAAUUCUUUUCAUAUGCAGGUUGCAAAUAAGAUGGUUCGUUUGAAGAUUAAAUAAAAAGCUGAGAGAGACAAUGGAAUGAAUACUGAUUUAUAUCAAAAAAUGUUAUCAAAAAACAAGAGCAUCCAAAAAGAAACAGUCCAAUCACUCAUGAGAAGGUUGCUAGGUGCAUGGCAACAACUACAACAUUAUGGAAAUCAUAGAAUUCAAAGAAGUAAAAACAACAGCAUAUAAUCUUUAUUGCAUCUGAACAUAUUAUAAUACCUUGCCAAAUGACUUGUUGAUGCUUGCAUGGAAUGCUAGAGUUGGAUACUCCUUGGAUAAAACACGAAGCCAUCCCUUUGUUGCCCAAGCAGGAAUAAGAUCACACUGUAGGAAAAGCGAGCAAGAAAGUACCAAAUUAUCAAUAUUUACAAGCAGCUUCAAUUGAACAAGCAACAUCUUCCUCAAAUAAAUGUUACAGAAGCCACAGAAAGAAAAAAACCAACUAACCUUGUUUAACAGAAGAAUCAUAUGUUUGUGUUUGCAAUGUUCUUUCAGAUGCCUCUCUAAAUGAUAACAUCUUGUGCCUUGGGGGUCCCUAGCAUCUAUAACCUGUAGUGGAAAGAAGGUGAUAUUCAGCAUUUGGCAUCAAGAUUCAUGGAAAAUAUUAGUGAAUCUAAAAUAUACUUGAAAAUUCUCAAGAAAUAUUUGGAUAUCCUGAGUAUGAGAAGGAAUGGUCAACAUGCAAUGGACAUCAUACUAAUCACUAAAUCACGGUCUGGGUUUAAACUUGCUUUUUUUUGGAUAAUCAGUGAAUUUAUGAUGUAUUUUAUCAUUUAUAAAAUCUCGUGGUUGUUGAACGUGACAUAAUUCUACAGUAGUAGAGCUCCAUGUCUUUUGAUUUAACCACAGAAAAUUACACUAACCUGAACAACAACAUCUGAAGAAUCUAUAACUUUGUAUAGUUCACCCCAUAUACGCUUACUUUGGCCCUUCUCAAACAUAUUAUGACGGACCAGAUCUCUAAACCCAUCUGCUUCAGUUCCUUCUCUAGUUGCCUCAUCACCACACUUCUGCUCAAAAUCAUCUGCCAAGUUGCCAACAAAAUCAUUGAGCUUGUCAUCUCAUUAUCUCACUCAGAUAUCACAUAUUCACAUUCAUUUACGAUUCUAAGAAAAAUAUAAAAACAAAAACCAGCAGUUACAUCUAAACAAGGCAAAGCCUGUGUAUGGAAGGACAAAGAUUUAAUGAACCCCAAAAAACAAGGUAAUCAAAAUAAAAAUCAAAUCAUUUACCCUGAGAACCAUCAGCUUUCUUAACUAAAGACUCAUAAUCUGCUGCCAAAAGCCUUGGGCGUUUCCUCUUUGUCUUAGGUCCAAAGGCAUCUUCAAAAGGCUGUGUAUCAAGAAGAUGAACUCUGGCUUGCUUCACAAAUUUAAAACAAAACAAAAUUUCAGAAAAAACUAAAAUUAUUAAAUCAACAAAACCAAAACUUCACUCCCAUGCAUUGCAUAACAAUAGUUACCGUCAGACAACAGUUUCAAGAAAAUCACCAGGAAGAUAUAUUGAGAAAUUACAAAUUUACCUAAUUGAGACUCAUUACACAUUGUUUAAACUUUUAACAAAACGGCAUAGUCAAUCAUUCACUACCAAAAAAAUAUCGAAAUCAUCCAAUAUAAACAAGCAUGUCAGUCAAUAUUGCAAGCUUAUAAUAGUAAAAUUUCUCCAUCUUUAUCAAAAAAAAAAAAAAAAAAACAAAAAUGAGAAGGAGAAGCACUGGUGCCCUUAUUUCAUCAAUUUUAAAAUAAGUUCAAAAUACACUACCUUCUGGUGAUCAUUCAAAAGCGACAAAGGCAGCUUCCUCUCCUUCAAAAUAACAUUAUAACUACUAGACAUCCGACUUUGUAACUCCUCGCGAAAAAAUUCAAGCUCUUUCUGAUUCACAACUCGUGUAUUCCCUAAAAUAAAUAAAUAAAUAAAAAUUAGCUAAGAUAUUUAUAACUAUGAAAUUAGGACACUGCAAAAGUUAGUCAUAGUCUGUUUGUAAAUUGUAGAAAUACAUACCGAACCAACGGCGGUCGGGUUGGAUGCGAGUGUUGGGAAGUUCGUUAGAUUGAAAAUCAUGCUUUAAGAUUUUUCCUUUGCUGUCACGUUUGGGCCUGACGUUGUACAUCUGGAGGCGGCGCACGGUGGCGGCGCUGCGGGAAUUGGUGUUUUUGAUAGUUCCAUUGCUGCGAUUUGUGUCUAGUGAGUGUUUCGGCUUGCCGGAGAUGUUCGACUUCCUCUCUUUCUGCUUUGCCAUUUGUGAGGUUGGCGGUGCUAGCGAUUGCAGACGAGAUAGCUAGGGUUUUUCAAAAGAAUGAGGAAAUGGACAAUUUGGGGAUUUAAAUCUAACUGGACCGGGUUUUGGAGUCGGUUCGAUCCCCGCCCCAUCAAGCCCAUAGGCCUGAGCCUACUAAAAUUCAUUAUAGCUCUAGCAAAAGUAAAUAUUUCUUUCCCUCAAUGUGUGCACCUUUUUUUUUAAAAAAAAAAAAAAGUUUAAUCCAUUUCUUUAACGUAUUUUAAUUUUUUCUAUUUUUUAUUUUUUAAAAUAUUUAAAAUAAUUCAUUUUCUUCGGGCUUUUCAAUUUCCUCUUUCAAUUUUUCAUUCUACUAUUUUGUUUGAAAUUACUUAAUAAUUUGCAAAUUUGUAAUUUUGAUUUUUUUCUAAUAUGUCUUGGCUUUUUUAUAUUUUUUCUAUUUUUCAAAAAAUUAAAGUUUAAAAUUCUAUAUUUUCUUAUAUGUUUUUUUAUUUAAUAAAAAAUUUGAUGAAAUUAUAAUAAAGUGAUUAUAUUAAGAAAAUAUUUGGAGUUGAAGGUUAGAUAAAUACAAAAAAAGAGGGAGAAAAUUAUUAAAGAUAGAAAGACUAAAUGUGCUCUUAAUCUUUAAAAGGACUAAUAUCCUUUUAUUGUUUUUUUAAUAAAUUAAAAAAACCUAAAUCCCUAUUUGUUUAAUGAAAAGUAAAUUUUUUUUAAACUUUUUCAUAUUUGUUUAUCAUUAGAAAAUUUAAUCAAAGAGAAAACAUUUUCCGAUUAAAGAAAAAUUUAACUUAUUUCUCAAUAAAGUAUUUUUCUUUUAUUUGGGGUAGUAUUCACUUUUUAAAAGUUACAGAAAAUUAAAAAUAUUAUAUUAUUUAUUAAUUGUAUCAAAUUUGAUCCUUAAUUUUUUUAUUGUUAUAUAUCUUGUUUUAAAUUUAUUUAUUUAUUUUUAAUUUCAUCCUUUUAGAUUUGGUUUAAUUUGAUUUUUAUAUCAACUUUAGUCCUUAUUUUUUUUAUUGUUAUUUGUUUUCUUAAUUGAAACUUUUUAUCUAUUAGAUUUGAUUUUCAUUUUUUUAUUGCUAUUUAUUUUAUCUGAAAUAAUUUAUGUAAUUGAAAUUUUUUCAAUUCCAUCCUCCUUCAACUUUUUUAUUUAUCAGAUUUAGUUCACAUUCUUUUUAUUGCUAUUUAUUUUAUUUAAAAUAAGUUAUAAAAUUUGAUUUUUUUUUCAAUUUUAUCCCCUAACUUUUUCAUAUGUCAAAUUUGGUCCCUGUUUUUUAUUGUUAUUUGUUUUAUUGUCACCGAAUACGUCUUUUGUCAAUCAAAAAUGGGUCGUCAAUUUUGUCAAUCUUGUACAUUCUGUUCCUUCAACUUUUCACUUGUCAUUUUGAUCCCUCACCACCAACUUAGACAAUCUUCUAGGCUUUCUUCAUGUGUAUCCUUUUGUGUUAUUUGAUUUUCUUUUUUUUUUUCUUAAUUUUUUUAGGUAAAAAAUGAGUAAUAAUAGUAAUUCAAAUAAUGAUUGAAUUGAGAAUGAUGAUUAUAUUCAUGAUGAUAUAGGAGAGCUUGCAGGAUCUGAUCAACAUCAGGGGACCAUUUCACGAGUGCAGACACCAGGUAGAUGAUUUACACAUUCUUCACUUCAUAAUAAUGUUAGGCAGAAAUAAUUGUAAAUUAUUUAAUUGCAAAAUUUUAUAUAAAUGCUUGUUUGCAUGUAACAAUUUAAAAAGGGGAAGAUCGACUAGCUACCCUAAAUGAGACUAGUGGCAUCAAUUGUCUGACGACCGAGAUAUUUAAUUGACUAGUUAUCUUGAACAGGACUAGUGGCGUUAAUUGUCCAACGACUGAGAUAUUUAAUUGAAUAGUUACAAUGAACAGGAAUAUUUGCGUCAGUUGUCUAACGACCAUGAUAUUUAAUCGACUAGUUAUCCCAAUGCAUACUAGUGACAUUAGUGGGAUUGAUAACCAGGAUUCUUGAUUUGAUAAAAAUUAUCUAAUGGAACCAUAAAAGUAAAUUGAAAGGAAAGUAUAUAAUCGUGUUUGAAUAUUAAAAAUGUAUUUUUUUAUCAAAUAAAAUCAGUCAUUUGAAUUGGGUGAAUUAAUCAUAUGGUUAUAUUUAUGCUAUGUGUUAUAUAAUUUUAGGUACAUCACAACCUUAUACGAAGCAGUAACUAUUCUUAGAUAUUAUUGUGUCAUAAUAUAAAUCUUUAUGGGAUUUGUUUUGGAAUGUGAUAAUAUUAGAAUAAAUGAUGUAUAUAAUUUAAUUAAUAGUAUUUACUCAUGAGCAUAUAAAUAUUAAGAACUUCACCUUUACAUAUUAAAAUUUAGCGUGAUGAUAAAUGACUUGAAAUCUGCACAGCAGGUCUCGAGUUUGAGUCAGGAAGUGCACCUCUUGUAAGAGUCUGGGACAACCAGAGCUUUCCUCGCUCACCUGAGCCCACAAAGUGCGCUUUCCGGGGGGUGGGGUUUCCUCGAAUCCAAAAAAAAAAAAUUAAAAUUUAGAAAUGCAUGAAUUUACUUUCUAAUGUCUUUGUAUGAAAUGGUAUAUAUAAUUUGUCAUGAUUGUUUAUUGUUAUGUAUCAAUAUAUAAAAUAUGAAGUGGUUAAGUUGUGAGAUUAUACGUAGUCCAAUCUUGAAUUAUGAUGAGUGAAGUCCAGGAUGGUUGGACCUUAAUGACAUGUUUCUUAGAAUGACAUGUUUAUUGAGUUGUCGAUAACUUUGUACCAAUAUUUUUAGAAGAAAAUCUGUUGGGAUUUUGGUAAAAUAUAUUUAAAGAUUUUUCCUAAUUUUUCAUUUAUCUAUAAUGGUAAAUGUGUUGAUAUGUGUUUUAAAAAUUAGGGAUGUUACAAGAUAAUUCUAUAGAAAGUAAAUCAAAAUAAAUUAUGAAGUUCAAUAGCAAGUAAACUCAAUUUUAAAUGAUGAAUUUUUUUUUUUAAAAAAACUAAGUUUAUUAAAAAAAAAAUCCUAAAAACUUUUAGGACUAAAAUAAAAAAAAACGUUAGUAUUUUAUUGCUCUUUACCACAACUGAAAUGACAAAACCUUUUAAUAUAUAUUAAUGAGUGGAUUAAUGGCUAUGCAGUGAUAGAGCUUAACUGCUUCUUAAGAGAUGGUGAAACCAAAUAUGAUAUAAACUCCAGUCAUAAUCACAAAACUACAAUAUAUUAUCAAAUAAAAAAAUAGAUAUAAAAACUAUAUACUAUAAAUAAUUGUAAAAAUAUAAUGUGUAAAAUAUAUGAAAUUGCAUAAUGCAUUAUUAUUAAUUAAAUAUUAACAUUAAAAUAUGUAUUUAAUUAUAAAUUUUCAUAUCACUAAGUAGAAAAGAAUUUGGUAAUUCAUUUUAAAAACAUCAAAUAUAAUUAAAAAAAUCAUAGACAUAAAUAAUCUAAAAUACAAAAUACACUUCAAUAAUUGAAAAUUAAAUAGAAUUAGAAACUAAAUAAGAAACAUAACUUUUCACUAUAUAUCAUUUGAAGAAAGGAAUGCUAGGUGGCCUUUUUUUCCUAGACUUAAACAUGAGAGGUGAUAUCCAUACUCCCCUCAUGUUAUUAUUAUUAGUAUUUAUGUUAUAUAGCUAAUUGUUUGGUUAUAUCAUAGCAUUGAUUUUAUUCAUAUAAAAUAUAUUUAUUAUUAAUAAAUACAUUUUUUAUCUUUAAUAUUUAUUUAUGUUUGAUUAAUGAGUUUAGAGUAAAGACUAUGUCUUUGAGACCAAAAUGUUUUGUAAGAAAAAUUAUAAAGUUGUUAUAAUUAUGAUAUUUUUAUAGCUUCAUGUUGCUCAUCGAUAUUCUAUUAAGAUUGGACAUUAAUUAUAGUAAAUGAAACCGAUACAUAUCAUAUUAUUUUCUUAUGAAAGGAAGCAAUUGUUUUUAUAAGCUGUGUUUGAGAAAUACCUGAAAUUAAUAUGUAAGUGCUUGUUAGAUGAUAAAUAUACUGGAUAGAUCACAUAUGUUUGUGAAAAGGCUCAUGUAACCAUUGUGUAAGUAAUCCUAGACUUGAGAUCAUCAAGUUAUAUUAUAUAGAGAAUAUUAUGCUUUGAUCAUGACUACACUUUUUCUUAAUCAAUGGUAACAAAUGGAAACAUAUUGAGUAUAUUAUGAACUAUAUAAAAGUAUUUGAAUGUUCAAGAAAUGAUUCAUCACCCUAAGUGAAUUAAGAAAAAUGAUAUCGAAUAAUAUUGAUUAUGAGAUAUUUGCGUAAGGUGGAAUAUGAUUUGAAAUCUUAUUCAAAAAAUCAAUCACUAUGAUUUUGAGAACAAACAUAAUUUGAUGAAGUAGAUGCAUUCCAUGCUAUAAAAAACCUAAAAGGGAUAAGGGUUUCACUAUAGCUCCAAUCUCAUUGUACUAUGGAUUGGAGCAGUGUGAUGACCAUGUUGUCAUUUCAAAAAAAUUAAUGAACCUGUUAUUUGGGGUAAUAAAGUCUUUUAAACAAUUCAUUAGUUAUUAUCAUAUUAAUUAGGUAUAAUUCGGUUUUCUAGAUUUUUUAAAGCAUGGUGAAAUGACUAAAGUACCCUUUAUAGUGAAAAUUUUCAAACUAGCAUCCAAUGGUUCCUUUUUAAAUUAUUUUAGGUUCUUUUUCAAAAUUGAUUUUUUUUUCAAUUUCAUCUUUCAACAUUUGGUUUAUUGAAAAUUGAUCUUCAUGCUUUUUUUUCCCCACUUUUCUUUAUCCUAAUCUUAUGCCUAUAGUCUUGAGGUCAGCGGGUUAACCCGUGCUGACUUAGAUUUUUUUUUAGCUCUUAUUUUUAUUUUUUAUUUUUAAUUUCACCCUUUAACAUCAAAUUAUUUGAUACUUGAACUUCAUAGUUUUAUUCAAUUUUUUUCAAUAGGGUUACCUCGAGAUCAUGAUUAUGUCACAAAAUUUGCAUGCUAACUCGAAUAGGCUCGGGUUGGGUUUUUUAAACCUUUUUUACAUUAUUAAUUUUUUUGUUGUAUUUUUUAUUCAUAUUAUUUAAAUCACUUGAGCUUACCAGUCACAUCAAUGACCCGAGUCUUAAAUUGUUUUUCUUUUUUAGGAACACUUGUAUUGCAUUAGCAUUUUUUUAAGAUGGAAAAAAAUUGGAUUGGCCUGCGGCGUAGCGUGAGUCACCUAUGAAGUAAUGUCUAAAUCAAAAUGUUCACCAUAAUGAGAUAUUAAUUACACUAAGAAACUAGUCACUAAAAGAUGAAAUCAAACCACGCAUGACUUUUCUAAUAUCUUAAUAAUCAUGACACGUUGCUAGAUGAUACUCUUGAUCUUCAAAUGUAAACAAUCAAUUAUUUAAUGAAUAAUAAAUUAAGUUAUUUAAUUUAUUUAAUUCUAUUUUGAUUAAGAUUAUGAUUUAUAUUUGGGCCAACAUAUUAAAAACUUAAUGGGUCACACGCACAUUAAGAACCAUUGGUCAAGAAUUAAAUUAGGAUGAUUAAUCAAUUAUGACAUAAUUGUAAAUAAAUUUUAGAAAUUGAAAACUAGGAUGUAAUUAAUACAAGAAUUAUAAUUCUAAACCUAUACAAAACAAGUAAGGACUUUAUUGAAUAGAUUUCUAAAACUAUCAUGAAAUAAUAUGUGUGAUAUUAUUUAAAUAAAAAAUUAAUAUUUUAUCAUUUAUAGGAUUAUCAAGUUUUUCUUAUAAAUAGAAUGUCAUGUCUUAUAUUUUGUGAAAGGUUAUGUUACAAAACAUAUGGUAUAAAGAAACACCUAAAAAAAAGUAAUUACUCAAAGGCAUAUUGAUCCCUAUUUUCUAAUAGGGUUCUAGGAGAUUUCUCACUAGUGACUUUAUGUGGAUUAUUGCUAGAAGUCAGACACUUAGAUAACUUGUUAUUUGUGACAAUUCAACUUUGAAGAAGUUAAUCAAACCUCAGAAAGAAGAUAUGAUCUCCAUUUAAUCUUUGUUCAAACCUUAAACAACCAUAUAUUGUCAAACAUAGUCAUUUAAAAUUAUUGUUUCUACUGUAUCUAAGAUUCUCGGGAAACCCAACAUUGGUAGCGAAGCCAUAACUAGAUAAUUAGGAUUGUUAAUUGUAUGUUUUAAUUGUUAUUGACAUUAAUUAUGAAUUAAAUUUAUGUGUAAAAAAAUUAAAAUAAUGAAAAUCAAACUUGAUAAGAAAAAAAAUUAAAAAAAAUGGAGACCAUAUAUAAAAAGAUUGAAGGAUGAUUAAAUAAAAAAAACCAAUUAUAUAAACUACUUUAAAUAAAACAAAGUAAUUAAAAGAAUAGACACCAAAUCUGUAGGAAAAACAAAUUGAAGGGUUGCUUUGAGAAUUUAUAGGGUUAAACGUGAAAAUCUAGUAGGAGAAAAAAAAAAAGAAAAAAAAGUUAUCAAUACUAAACCAAGAUUUUAUUUCUCACACACAUUGUCUAUUAAUUAAGGGGUCAUCGAAACAAUCCAAACACCGCCCUUGAAGUCGGCGUUUAAUUGGCGAGCAUCACCUAAAAUGCGCAACCACCACCCACCAGUUGAAACUUACAAUGCAUAUGUUAGCCGUUAUUUGAAUAACACUUAUAAUUUUAAAAGAAUAAAAUUAUGGUUCAACCAACCUGAUAAUAGCAACGAAAAAAACCCGGAAAAAAAAACGUGCUAGUCCAGCUUUAAGAAAUCUUGAAUCAAAUUUUGUAAUACAAGGACAUGUCAUAUUUUAACGGAGGACACCAGACAAGCCAUGGGAGUUGGGACCAUCCACUAGCUCACAACAUUUUUUUCAUUUUAUGUUAGACCCAACCAGCUCGCAUCAUAUAUAUAUAUUUUUUAUCAUUUUCUCAAGCAUGGGUCCGUCCAGCACAAGUUUUGUCAGAAUUUACAAAAAUGUCGUUCUCAUAAAUUCAAAUCAGCUGUGCCGCUGUGGCUAUUAAGAGGGCGUUUGUUUUAGGCUUUUUAUGGUUGAGAUUGUGGGAACGUUUGGGAACGCGGCUGUGGUUACGGCUGCGUUUCUAAAAAAAUUAAUUUUUUUUAUUAAAAUUUAAUAUGGUUUAUAUGUUUUGGAUCGUUUUGAUGUGCUGAUAUCAAAAAUGAUUUUUUUUUUUUUAAAAAAUCAUUGACAUUCAUUUUAGCACGAAAAAUUAUUUGAAAAGUACCCGCAACCACACUGUCAACUCGCUUUAUGACUGUGUGUUUGGCCUGUACAGGAAAUAAUACGUGGAUUAAAGGAGGCGUGUGAAAAUAGCUUUAGCAUGCCACGUGGCUUUCAAGAUAAGAGCCGUUGCCUGCCCCUCCUCGAGGGCUUCAUUUCUCUAUAAAAGAAGGGAUCGUCUCCUCCAUUUCUCACAACUCAAAAUCCCUCUGUAAGUUUAGCAGCUGAAUUUCUCAUCCCCUGCAUUCGGUAUGGCCCCUUUCCUUUCUUGGUUUUAACUCUUAAUUAUGGCUCGGCAGUGCUAUUUUUAAGCUAAUGUUUGUAUGAUCAUUAAAUCUGUGUGUUCUUCUCUUCUUUUUUUCACUAUUCAUCGUUGUUGCUGCCCGGAGGACAACAAGUUUGGUAGUCCUAUUUUUAAAUUAAAAUGAUAUAAUUGUAAAUUCUCUCGAUUUCUGUAAUGUAACAAUGGAAAAAUUGUACUUUUUGGUGUUUUUAUUAAGAAAACAAGAUUUUCUUGUACUUGAAGGGAGCGUUUGGUAGUGCGUUUCUACCUGUGUUUUGUGAAAAUUUGAUUUUUUUUUUUUUUGCUAAAAUUGAGUGCGGUUUGUACUUUUUGGAUCGUUUUGAUGUGCUGAUGUCAAAAAUGAUUUUUAAAAAAUAAAAAAACAUCAUUGGCAUGUAUUUCGGCACGAAAAGUUAUUUGAAAAGCACCCGCAACCACACUGCCAAACACGCUCGAAAAAUAGUACAAGGUACAUGGCCAGGGUAUAUACGUUUUUUCAAUCUGACCAGAAGCUUAUUUCCGUGGAAUCAUUUCCUCCGUCGCCAUCGAAUCCACAUCUCUUAUCGUGUCGUGCAAGUAAUAUCUACGUACAACCAUGCAUUUGACAUGCACAUUUUAAAUUAAUAUUUUUUUAAUAUUUAUAUUUUGACAUGAAAAAUAAUUUUUUAAAAUUAAUUUAAAUAAAAAACAAUUUAAAAAAUAACCACAUUUAUAUUAUCCAACACACUACAAUUAUUAUGAGUUGAAAGUGAACAUGUUGACUUUCGGAAAAAUUGCAAAAAUCACACUUGAUUUUAUAUAAUAUAUAAAUAUAUUUUCUUCAAGAUGAUUAAUGAACAUAUACAGUAAGUCGCCGGAAAGAUUAUCACGUUCUCGUAGCAGUAGCUACUAGCUAGAUCAAGUCAGAACAGUACUAAGAUUGUGACAAAAGGUCUCCGGUCCUUUUCGUUUCAGUUAAUAAUGCUAAUUACUUUAUCUUUUUUUUUUUUUUUGAUAUGUAGUACUUGUUCAAGAAAGUUAGUCAACACAACUGGCAUCCAUGGAUUUCGACUUAUCUCCAAGGUUAGCCCAACAGUUAUUUGAUGGAGAAGCUGGAUCUUACUACAGCUGGUCAAGUUCUGAGUUUCCGUUGCUAGCAGAGGAAAAGGUUGGUGCAGGAAGACUUGUCCUUCAGCCUCGUGGUUUUGCUCUUCCCCAUUAUGCCGAUUCCUCUAAAAUUGGCUAUGUUCUGCAAGGUAUAUGUACCAAUUCAUUAAUUCUCUCCUCCUCCUCCUCCUCCUUACAAAUCAUUAGAUAUUUUUUCCUUUAUAAUUUAUUAUGGUUGGUGAUGGUUAAAUUAAGUGGGUCCGGUACAAGUUUUUCUGGCACGCGUGUCUGUAGUAAAAGACUGUAGAAUUCAAUUAUUUGAGCUUUGAUCAUAAUACAAUAACACAACUAGCCAUGAGAAAAAAAUAUAUUUUAAUAUAUAAUAUAUAUAAAUUAGAUCAUGAGAUCUUAUCUAACGAUUUUAAAUUAAAUAACUAUUUAGUAUAGUAUUAGAAUAUUGUUAUUAAAUAAUCACGAUCUAAAAUCUAUUCAUUUUAUUAUUUUUAAUUAUAAUUAAUUAAUAUUACAAUAUAAUAUAGUCUGAGUAAAUAAUUUAAAGUCUUCAUUGUUUUUAUACAAUUAUUGACAUGUAUAAUCUUGGUCUCCUGCAGGUAGUGAUGGAAUAGUGGGAAUGGUGCUCCCAAACUCGUCAGAAGAGGUGGUGUUAAGACUCAAGAAAGGAGACGUAAUACCGGUGCCUCUUGGAGCAUUGUCUUGGUGGUACAACAAUGGAGAUCACUCAGAAGAAGUCGUUGUAGUUUUCUUAGGGCAAACUUCCAAGGCACACAUCCCUGGCGAAUUCACCUACUUCUUCUUAAGUGGAGGCCAAGGUAUCAUGGGAGGGUUCUCGACAGAAUUCAUUAGCAGAGCUUAUAAGAUGAACGGAAAGGAAGCGGACAAGCUUGCUAAAAGCCAGACUGGGAUUUUGCUCAUUAAGCUAGAGCCAGGAAUAAGCAUGCCCCACCCUAACACGGAAAUUGUUGAAAAAAUGGUGUACAACAUUGAUGCUGCUUUGGCUGACGUUGAUGUCAGAGGGGGUGGUGUGUUUAAGGCAUUGACAGCAGCUAGAUUUCCUUUUCUUGAAGAAGCAGGCUUAAGCGUUAACCAUGUGAAAAUGGAAGCUAAUGCCAUGUACUCGCCAUCAUACACCGCCGACGGCACAUUUCAAGUUUUUUAUGUUGCUAGAGGCACCGGCCGCGUCCAGGUUGUGGGGAUUGGUGGUAAGCGUGUCCUGGACACCAAAAUACAGGCUGGUCAAUUACUUGUGGUGCCAAGAUUCUUCGUGGUUGCUCAGAUUGCUGACAGUGAAGGAAUGGAGUUUGUUUCCAUUCUCCCUGGUACAAGGUAUAUAUUGCAAUUUCUAUUGCAAAAUUAAAUUAAUAUAUUGGUUUAAAAAACCUCAUAUUGAAUCCCAGUAUUUCCAUACAUGUUUAUAAUUCAAUCCCAGUAAGAUUCUUGAAGAGUUUGAAUUAUUGUUAAUGUUUUUUUUUUCUCUUGGCAGCCCCGCCGUUGAAGAGUUUGCGAGCAAGAAAUCAGUGUGGAAUGCUUUAUCUCCAAUAGUUUCACAAGUUGCUCUAAGCGUGACUCCAGAGUUUGAGGAAUUUUUCAAGUCCAAUAUGCAGAAGACCACUAUUCUUAUCCCGCCCACCAAUUAAAUCUGAAAAAUUAAAAUUAAUGUCUGUACGUGUAUGAUCAUGAUCUCCCCUUUCGGUCGAUCAGGCUGUAAUGAAUAAUAUGUUGAGGUGUUAGAUAGCACAUCAGCAAUGGUGGGAGCCAUAUGAAAGAAUAUUGAUGAUAUUUGAGAAUAUUAAUUAUGACUUCUGAGGAUUGCACUCGAACAGUCUCUGAUUUAAUUACUUUUGAAACUCUUGAUCAGUAAGAUGUCCAAAUCUCUAUAGAUGGAUUUUGGUAUUUAUCAAGAUAGCAUAAAUUUAAUUUAUAAUAUUUAAUAAAAACAAUAUUAUCUUGAUGUAUUUUUAAUUAAAAAAUAUUUUAAAAAAUACUUAAUUUACAUUACAAUGUUAAACACAUAUAUGAUUUGAGUAUUAUUUUUGCCUAACCAUUAUAUAAGAAAAUAUUUGGCUUUGAUAUUUAUAUCUUUUUAUUAUUCUAUACGGCAUCAAUUGGCAAGACCAUAAAAUACUAGUAAUUUCAUUGAUUAGAUAUCAAGACAUGUUUGUUUUUAUAUUUAAAAAGUGUUUAUAAAAAAAUUAAAUUUUUUAUUUGCUUCAAAUUAAUAUUUUUUUUAAUUGUUAAAGAACCAUAACUUAAGCUGUUAGGUAAGGUCUUAAGAUAUAAUUUAUAUUAUUCUUUAAUAUAUCACCUCAAGUGAAAACUCUUUGAUCUUGAAAUUUAUACAGACUCACAUUAUGUUGUGUUUAAUUUUUAUCAAAUAAAUAGAAAUAGUGAGAUUCAAACUUGUGAUUACUUGAUCAUCAAAGCUAUGAUACCAUGUUAAAGAAUCAUCUCGACUCAAUAGUUUAAACUGUUACACAAAGUCUUAUUAUAUGAUUUAUAUUAUUCUUAAUAUUUUCAUAUUAUUAAAAAUUGUACCGUAAAUGGAUACUGCAUGUGGGAGUGGUUAGAUGCAUGCAAAGUAGUCCUAAUUUUAUGCAAUCUUUUAAUAAUCACGUACAAUUCCAAUUUAGCUCCAUAAAAUUCUUCCCAUAUUGCUCAAGUUUUCAUCACUUUGUUAAUGUUUCCCCGAGGAAUAAUCUUGCCUUUAACUCCAAUUGGCAGAUAAUCUAAGAUAUGCCACCGCCACAUGCAUUAUUGCAUGGGCAGUCCUCGUUUGUUGCCGUCGUGUAACGUUCUGCCGUAACAAAACUUUCCUCUGUCUUGAUUACAAAUUUGACUGCCGCAUCGUCAACUUCGUUGCCGUAGUCUUUUUGGAAACCAAGACUAAACAUCUGGCCAGAGGAAUUCGGCGCCCUUUAGCUAGAACAGAGGAGUAAUCAAAGUUUGAAUGAGAUCUAAUCAGUCUCGUGAUUCUGUUUCCAUGCAACUAUAUCCAUACAUAUCCGUCUAAAUUGUGGAACUGCAGCAUUGCACUGGCAUAACUAAUGUAAUGUUGGCCUUUCUAACAGCUAUAAUCCUCGGUGAAAAGCAUGAUUUCCUGACGUAAAGUGCUGGAUGCAGACCUAUUAAUAUCAAAAUUACUUGCAGGAAGAUUGAUUUUUGAGGAGUCGAAAACGAGGACAGCGAAAAGCCUCUCCGCAGGAAAUUAUAAACAGAGUGUUACAUUAUAUACGUGUGUGUGUUAAAUUCAAUAAAAUUGCCAACUACCUGGGACCUGGGAGAACCUACUGAAAUUACCUAACUAAGAAGAAUCAGUUGUUACUAUCAUUAACAUCGAAGUUCUAUCAGGCUUUCUCUAUUCAAGAUUUUCAGGUUGCUGAUGUCAUUUCAGCAUCUUCAACAUUCUAAAAUAAUAUAAAUUAUAUCUUGAAAUUUUAUAUAAUAAUUUAAAUUAUUAAAUUAAGAUAAUUUUUUAAUAUGAUAUCAGAACCUUAAUUACUAAGUGGUCACGAGUUCGAAUCUUACUAUCUCUAUUUAUUUGAUAAAAAUUAAACACAAAGUAAUGUUUUAGAAGAGUGUGUUAAAGAAUAAUAUAAAUAAUAUUUUGAAAUUUUAUCUAACAGUUUAAUUAAUAUAGUUCUUGAGAUUCAGUAACAGUCUAAACUGUAGGAUCUUUUGAACUUUGAAGUUGUGCAACUGGCUCCACUUCCUUAGUUUGAGCUUGGUUUGGAUCUAUUUAUUAUAUAUCUACCUGCAAAAAGGUUCGCUUCUUCUUGAACCAAAGGGGCAGCUUCUGCAAAGACACGUUUUUGCUGACAAAAUUGCAGUAACAAACAGGAAUCAUUCAAUUAUCUUGGUGAACCAUUGCCAGAAACAAUUGGCUGCAAUCAGAAAGCCAAAGCUGACUUGGUGACCCCGAGUCCUAGCUCAUGCACCGAAGAGAGACGCGCUAUCAAAAUUUGAUGCAAGGAAAGCAGCUUCUUAGUCUAGUUCCUUAAACCAAAGAUGACGAAUAGAGAAGAGCUCACCAUUUUCUGAGAAAACAAAGCAUGUACCAAUUGUAUCUUCAUACUUGCCAAUCUGAGAAACCAAAAAAAAGAGAACCAAAUUUAUAUUUGUUCUUAAUUUGUCAACCAACUGAGAAAAUACUUGGAACAUGCAGGCAUGCAGUGCCCUUCAAACUCAACAUGAAGGCAAAAUACGUCAAAAUAUAUACAUGAUACCACAAGCCAUACCAGCUUCACUUUGUCAUCUAUAAUCAUUAUUGGCUCCGGAGUGUCAAGACCCUGGAAUUCAAACAAAUGAUUAACUAUGACAAAAAUGAAAGUUUUUGACAUUAAAAAUAACAUCAAUAGAGAUCAAUUGAUUCCAAGGAAAAGGCACACUGAGUCAACAUAUUUCGGAGCCAAAAAAGAGUUUAGAAGCCAUCAUCACCCUUUCCAGCUAUUUCCAACUAAAAACAAAGCACACAGCCAAGGCUUUUCCUUUCCAAAUCAUUCAAGCAGCACCAUCAGCCAAUUUUUUAAUAUGGGCUGGUGACAAGUAAGCAAAACGCCUUCUUCUUCAUUACAUAAUUGUAAUAAAACUUGAAUUGCAGCAACAAAAAAUCAAUGAAAAGUAUCCGAACUAGAAAAUUACAAAUCAAAACACGAACAUAUAAUUGUUUCAGCCUAUUUUAGAAAAAGCGCACACAAUUUGAAUUCAAUGAUCAAAAUGAUAACAAUAGCAUGGACAUGUGAACUCAAAAUAAGAAGACCUCCUCAUUAAUCCAAAAGAAGAAGAAAAAAGUCAUAAAGCAUGAAAUGCAACAAGUAGAAAUUAAUAGAAAAGUUUCCAAAUUGUAAACCACGGUACAGACUGUGUUUCAGCUUAAAUAAACCAAAAAAAAAUAAAAUCUAAAUUCAAUGAGCAAAAAUUAUAACAAUGGCAGGGAUAUAUCAAAGAAAUUGAAGGGCGAGGAUGCCAAAGAAGUUAAAGAUAUAAUCUUGAGUGUCAAAAGACACGAACAGAAACUUGGCAUAUUGUAAGAAAGGGAUUGAUUAGAACGUACAGAAAGAACAUAUGGUGUAUUUGGAGUAAUAUCAACUUGAGCGAAGACAGCUUCAAGAUCAAGAAGAACAUAAUCUUCUUCUUCUAGUGCUUCUUCAUCAUCAUGGUGCAUCAACUCUGCUUCCAUUAUCUUUCUCUAUGAACACAAGAAAGGCUACACUAGUAAAUUUGAAGCAAAAAAACUCAAAGAUUUUUAGAAGCGUUUUUUGUACUGAAAAAACAAAUAUACUCUAAGAGAGUGUUUGGAAACGCGGUCCAACCGUGUUUUUAAAUUUUUUUGUAUUUUUGUAUUUUAAAUUAAUUUUUUUAGUGUUUUUAAAUUGUUUUAAUGUGUUAAUAUCAAAAUAUAUUAUUUUAAUAUAUUUUCAAAUAAAAAACACUUUAAAAAACAACCUCUACCACUGUUUCAAACACCCGUUAAAUGUAGCAUAGGCAAUGUGAUAUGGUGAGGUGCCCUUCUCCUUCACUUCAUCCAACAUCUCAUAGGCUCAAUCUAUAUUUUUAAUUCUUUGAUACCCAGCAAUUAAAGCAGUAUAUAUAUUCACAUCAGUUGUGACAUUAUUUCUCUUCAUAUCUUCAAUCAACAUGUUAGCCAUAUCCAAGCGUUUUAACUUGCAAAAUCCAUCAAGUAGACAAAGUAUACGUCUUCACAUCGGGCGUGAUAUUGUUUCUCUUCAUUUCACACAUGGGAAGUCCUAAAAUUGUGGGAAAUUUGUGGCAAGAGAAAGAGCCCAUCAUGCUAAACAGGUCUAAAAUUUGGCAAAUUUUGAAAAGUUGAUUGUUCCUGAACGUGAAAAAUCUCUUUUGCAGAAAGUUUUUAGCCCACUGGGACUCAUGAUCCCAUCAACCUGUGUUCCUAUUAAUUCCACUCGGCUGCAGAACAAGACCCCAGACAGCUUUUGAAUGAGGGCAAUUAAAGAGAAGAUGAUUUCUACCCUCAUCGCCACCGCUGCGAAGCAAGCAAACAACGUCCAAAUUUCUACCUGAAGAGGCUUGCUUGUCUGGUACUUGUAGAUAGUCUAUUGAGUACUGCGACCCGUGAAACAAAAUUAUUACUCGGUAUAAAUUUGAGGGGUAUAGCUAAACUGGUCAAGUUGGAUUUAUUUCCUAGAUGUUAUCGGUUCUAGUUCUAUAAACCUCAGGAUUACUGGAGGCUUACAUGAUCGUUAACUUCAGGACCCGUAGGAUUAGUUGAGAUGCAUACAAGCGGGUCUGAACAUCCAUGUUAAUCUAAAAAAAAUUAUCCCUUGGUAUAUGCAAGGGCCAUACUAGUUUAUACCAAUAUAUAAUAACUCCUUUGCUUCUAACAAAAUUCCAAGCACUCUUGGCAGAGAUUUUUCCAUCUGAACUAGAUUUUCAAUUCAUCUGAUCAUCGAUUUAAGAGGGAAAACACCACUGAAAUGACACUAUACACAAUCACCAUGACAUCAGAUCUUGUUGGGGCCAACACCAAUCAUUAUGUGGCUUUACAGCUACAACCUUGGCAUCAAGGGGACCUCCCGCUUCAUAAGCAAGUCUCACUCAAAAUUUUUUUUUUUUUGAUUUUUUCUUAAGCCAGGGAUUUGUGUUUGGGUUUUUUUUAGAUUUGUACUAGUUACAUGACCCGCGCGAUGCCGCGGGUCAAUGAUUUUUGUAUAAAAAUAUCAAAAAAAAUUAAGAUCUAAAAGUAUGAGGUCCUUUUGCAAAUCUAUACCCAAGAGUCUUGGGUGUGGCUGCAACGCCUGACCCAAAAGUAAUAUUUAUAAUAUUAAUAAUAACAUUAAACUUGCAUGACCCAAGUUUAAGUGGGUAUGACUGCAAUACCAGACCCAAUAGUCUUGGAUGUGGGUCUGGCUGCAAUGUUGUGUCAUAAAAGUGUGAUAAUUAAAGAUUAAUUAAAAAGAAAAAAAACAAAGAAAAAAACCAAAAGGAAGAAAAAAAUUAAUGAAGAAAAAGAAAAAAAUCUGAAUUAACUGGGUUAACCCGUCAAACCUUGGAUUCGUGUCGUGAAAGUUUGAUAACUAAAUAGAAAAAAAAAUUGACAGGUUAACACAAAAUUAACUGGGCUAAUCCGUCAAACCAGGUUAACCCGUUUGAACAUUAACAAACUAAAUUAAACGAAAAAAAUUAAUUAAAAAGAAAAAAACAAACAAAAAGGCAUCAAUCUUUUCACUGUGGACUAUAGUGUGCAGUCCACAGUUAAAGGCAUAAAAACAACAAAAAAGCAAAAAGAAAAACUAAAGGCAUCAGUCGAUAACUAAUUAAAUAGAAAAUAAUUUAAUAUUGAUGAACUAAAUUAAAUAAAAAAAUAUUAAAUAAAAAGAAACAAUAAAAGAAAAAAAACUUAUAAAAAGAAAAAAACUAAUGAAGAAAAAAAAAUCUAAAUUAACUGAGUUAACCCGUCAAACCUGAGAUCCGGGUCAUGAAAGUCUGAUAACUAAAUAGAAAAAAAUUUAAUAUCAACAAACUAAAUAAAAAAAAUUAAUUAAAAAGAAAAAAAAAGUAUCAGCCUUUUUAUCAUGGACUGCACUGUGCAGUCCACAGUGAAAGGCAUAAAAAAAAGCAAAAAAAAAAAAACUAAAAGCUUCAGCCUUUUCACUGUGGACUGCAUACAGUAUUAAAAGAUGAAAUCAGAAGAACAAAACUAAUGAGGAAAAAGAAAAAAAAUCUGAAUCAACCGGGUUAACCGGCCAAAUCAGGUUAACCUGUCAAACCUGAAAUUCGUGUCAUGAAAGUGUGAUAACUAAAUAAAAAAAAGAUUUAUUAUUAAUGAAAUAAAUUAAAAAAAAGAUUAAUUAAAAUGGAAAAAGCAAAGAGAAAAAAAACUACAGGAAGAAAAAAACUAAUGAAGAAAAGGAAAAAAAAUCUGAAUAAACUGGGUUAACCCGUCAAACCUGGGAUCCAUGUCAUGAAAGUCUGAUAAUUAAAUAGAAAAAAUUUAAUAUUAAGAAACUAAAUUUAAAAAAAUUGAUUAAAAAAGACAAAAAAAAAUAAAUAAAGGCAUCAGCUUUUUCACUGUGGACUGUAUUGUGCAAUCCACAGUAAAAGGCAUAAAAAGAAAAAGAAAAAAAAAAACAAAGGCACACGCCACGGGUUAAAUUUUUUUUCUUGCAUAAAAAAUAUCAAAAAAUGCUAAGAUCUAAAAGUGUUAGGUCUUUCUGCAAAGAUAUGCCCAAGAGCCUUUGGUCUAGCUGCAACGCUUGAUCCAAGAGCAAUAUUUAUAAUAUUAAGAAUAAUAUUAAACUUACAUGACUCAAGUUUAAGUGAGUCUAGCUGCAACACCGGACUCAAGAGCCUUGAAUGUGAGUUUGGCUGCAAGGUCGUGUCAUAAAAGUGUGAUAAUUAAAUAGAUUAAUUAAAAAAAACAAAGAAAGAAAAACCAACAGGAAGAAAAAAACUAAUGAAGAAAAAGAAAAGAAUCUGAAUUAACUGGGUUAACCCUUCAAACCAGGUUAACCCGUCAAACCUGGGAUUCGCGUCAUGAAAGUUUGAUAACCUAAUAGAAAAACAAAUUAACGGGUUAACCCGUCAAGCCCGGGAUACAUGUCAUGAAAGUCUGAUAAUUAAAUAGAAAGAAAUUUAACAUUAAAAAACUAAACUAAACGAAAAAAAAUAAUUAAAAAGAAAAAAAGCAAAAAACAAAUUUCGGGAUAACUCGUCAAACCAGGUUAACCCGUCAAACUCGGGAUCCAUGUCAUGAAAGUCUGAUAACAAAAAAAAAAAUUAACAUUAACAAACUAAAUUAAAAAAAAACAAUUCAUUAAAAGAAAAAAACACAAAAAAAGCAAAAAAAAAAAACCCAUAAAGGCAUAAAAAGCAAAAAAAAAAAAAACAGAAAAAAAUAUUAAAAACGAAAAAAAAACAGCUUAGCGUUUCACUAUGGACUGCAUAGUGAAACACUGAAUAGUUUUAGUAUAUGUUAUUAAUUAAAAAGAAAAAAACAAAAAAAAAUUGAGGUUAACUCGUUAAACCAGGUUAACUCGUCAAACCCGUGAUCCGUGUCAUGAAAAUCUGAUAACUAAAUAAAAAAAAUUAACAUUAACAAAAAAAAUUAAACAAAAAAAAAUUCAUUAAAAGAAUAAAACACAAAGAAAAAUGCAAAAAAAAAACUCAUAAAGGCAUAGAAAACGGAAAAAAAAUCAAAACAGAAAAAAAUAACAAAAAAAAUAAAAACAGCAAAAAAACAAAAAAAAAAAGGGAGAAGACAGCUCAACGUUUCACCAUGGACUUGCACAGUGAAACACUGAUUAUUUUUAGUUUAUUGUUAAUGUGAUAAGGAGAGCUUGAGAGGAGAGAGAAGAUGAGCAUGAUAAGAGAGAAUAAAUAGGAUGAUAAUGAUUAUUUUUCAUACUUUAAUAUAAUAUAUAUAGGUGUAUUACUAUUAUUUCAUUGAUUUUUAAAACAUGUUUUAACUCACGAUAGAAUUCGUAAUAUUUAAAAACUUGACUAUAAAGUGAAAAAAUAAAAACUAAAACAUGCUCGUAGUAAUUUUUUUAAUAAAAUAUAUUAUUAUCAAACUUACAUAUUGAAAAAUAAUUAUAUGUUAUUUAUAUACUUUAGUUUAUAUUGAGUAUUGAAAUUAAUAAUAGUAUGAUAACUCUAAUUAUAAAACUCGAACUGACUCAAUUGACACGGGGCCUGUGCCAGUACAAGUUUUAGAAAAAAAUAGAAAAAGGACUGACCAGUCUAAUUUGAUCAAAAUCUGUGACUCGGUCAACUUAUGGUAAAACCUGGUGAAAAAUUAAAAACUUUGUUGAUUUUUUUUUAUAAUUGUUUUUUUAGUCAAACCAUGUUGUUUUGAUCUUUUUUUAAAAUCUUUUUACCAAAAUCACGACCUUGGUCUUACCCCAAGUUGAUCAUUGAGUUGAGUUUUAAAACUAUAAUAAUAAUUAUUUUUAUCUUUACAUGUUUUAGUUGAACAAUUUUGAAAUUAAAGUUUUUUGUAUAGUGAUAUUUUAGAGUUAAAACAUAAUAAAUAUUGUCUCUAAAUACGUGUCUUCUCUUUGCUUCAUGUUUUGAAAGUAUAGAGGUAUAUAUUUUUUUGUCCUUUUCUCUUUAACAAAAAUUGUUUUUGACUUCAUUAUUUUUGUCUCUUCUAUUUUAAGAUAAUAACCAAACACUACCUAAGAGCUUUUUGGGUUAGUUUUUCAGUGUUGGCAUUAAAUCUUUUAAUUUGGAUAUUAAUCAUUUGUGUUGAUAAGCCUUUUUUAAGAUAUAUUCUAAAAAUCAAAUCAAUUAUAACCACUGUUAUUAAACCUAACCUGAUUAAGUGGGUUGAUCAAGGACCUAGCUAUUUGUUCUUGGUUUAGGUCGAGUGUAAAAACAAAGCCACCUUGAUGCUCACUCAAUAAAACUGAUCAAAAUUAAAUUGGUUUUUUUAAAAUAAAAAUUUUCAAAAUAAUAUUAUUUUUAUUUUUAAAUUUUUUUUAGUAACCCAGAUUGAUUUAUAUAACUCGAGUAUUGCAUUAAGUCAACCCUAUAGUUAGUUUUAAUAACUAUUAUUAUAAGAUAGGAAGUAAGAAGCAACUCCCUCGUUAGCCACGCUUAACCUCAAAGGUAUAUAAAAAGGAAAAUAAAGAGUAACAUUAAUAGCUCUAGAAUAAUAGGUGUUUUUUUUUUCUUGGGAGAAGGGAAAAUGCAUAUUCUCUAUGAAAUAAACCUAAAAUUCUAUGUUAUAUUAAAAAAAACAUGGAAUUUGAGGAUUAAAAUGGAAAUUUUGUCAAUCUUGGGGGUGAUGGUCCUCUAUUCUUGUUAAGACCAGCCAUUUAAAUCAUGAGUUAAUGGUUAAUUUAUGUUUUUGAAAAUUUUCCUUAAUAUUUUUUUAAAAAAUCUGCAGCAGGCCUAGUAGUUGAUGACUGGCCCAAAUUGUGCGAUUAUGGUUCAAGUUUCAGAAUUGAGUUCUUUGCACCUUGAAAAUCUUCAGCGAAUUAUCUUGCUUCGUUACUCAUAAUAAUCAUUGCUGUCUUUUUGGUUAUAAGAGAUAAUUAUGAAUGUCUUCAAUUACCUUUCAAGGGUGUUACUUCUCGCAGAAUGUGUUUAUAUUUGUGGUUAAAAGUAUUUUUUUAAAAUUAAUUUUUUUAUAUAUAAAAAUUAUUUUGAUAUGCUAAUAUCAAAAAUAAAUUUUAAAAAAUAAAAUAAAAAUAUAUUAUUUAAUAAUUUAAUUAGGAAUAUGAUCUUUGAUGACUUCAGCGAGUGCCAUUGCCAGUUCUCCACGGGAGAAGAGCAUGCAAAUAAGACUGAGAAACAAACUAAAUAUCAUUAGUAUUAAGAACAUCAAAUCACAACUCACACAACCAACCUUGACUUCAACUUUAUACCACCCACGGCUAACAUCGCCAGCUUUUAUACAAAAUGUUUUUUUUUUUUUAAUAUUGUGAUAGGUGUUUUUGUUAAGAUAUAUUAAAAUAAUUUUUUAAAUUUUUUGUUUUCAAUAUUAAUAUAUUAAAAUCGUUAAAAAAUAUUAAAAAUUUAGUUUAAAGCCUAGUUUUUAGGAGAUUUUUAGGAGAUUUUAUUCAAAAUAUCUCCAUUAUCUCGUUCGCAUGUUAUGCUACGUCUAGACAUGGUGAAAUUAAUUGCUACCAAAAAAAUGAAAAUAAAUUGAAGGACUUUUGAAAAUAAAUUGGGUAAUAUUAUACUUGGUUCCCACUAGUCUCUGGAGAUUUUAGAAGGCUCUAGAGUCGAGUCUCUCCUAGGCCUUUGGCGUCAAAAAAACAUUGCACGCGUUACGCGCCGGUAUACAACCGCCGCUUGUAGUUGUGUGGUCAAGGGUGCAUUUGUUUUCUACUUGUUUUUAUGUUUGUGGUGUAAAAAACACAGAAAGAUGUUUGGUAACUGUAAAAACUAUAUUUUAUACUGUAAAACCCACUAAAAGAUGUUUGUUUUACUGAAUUUUGUAAAACACGUUUGUUUUUGCGUUUUAAAAGCGCUUUUGAAAAAUUUUAUAAUUUUGUUUUAAAAGCGCUUUUGAAAAAUUUUAUAAUUUUUUAUUUUUUCUUUACUUCAAAUUAAUAUUUUUUUGGUAUUUUAUAAAAAUAAAAAUAAGUUAUUUUAAUGUAUUUUGAAGUAAAAAAAACUUUGAAAAGCAACCGCAACUAUACAAUUACCAAAUAUUUUAUACGUGUUUUUUGUUGUACAUAAACCUCAAUCACAAUUUUUACCAAAUAUGUAUUUAAAUCCAACUUACCACAUCUAAUUAUAUUUUUUAAAAACUUAUUUUUUUCAAACUACAACCACAAAAGUUACCUAAGAAAAAACUUACUCUAAAAAAAGAGAGGCUAAUCUCGUGUGUGGCCACUCAUCCAUGAGUGUGAGGUGUUCAUAAGCCGCAUCUUUUAAAGCUUGAGAAUUAAAGAAUAGAUUACUAGUCUUGGUUAUUGUGCUUAGUUGCGAGAUUAUACUAUUUUUUUAAUUACAAAAAAUAAUAUUAAAAUAUUAAAAUAAGGUUAAAAAAUAACAAGCUUGAAAAUAUUAUUUUAAUAGUAAAGUACCGGGCCAUCCUUAUGCAACGUCUCCUGUUCGUUGACGUGUCUAUAACACACGUCACCAGCUUUUUCUAAUUAAAAAUAUUAUUUUAAUAGUAAAGUACCGGGCCAUCCUUAUGCAAACCAACAAUUAAAAAAAAAAUCAAAGCUAAAAUACUCUAAGAUCCCUUACCUUAAUGCAUUAAAUUUCUUGGAUCCAAAUGUACAUUUGUAAUUCAACUAUAUAUAAAAAACCAAAAAUACCAAUAUACCCCUACCGAUACAAUUGUUUUUUUUACUCCAAAGAGUAUUUUUGUUAUUUUACUGGUCAUAAAAAUAUUGCAUAAUAAUGAAUAACCGGUGUAAAAAUACCAAAAUACCCUUGAAUCAAAGACAAACAAUUUUUUCCUCAAAUUUAUAGACGUUAGUUUACUAUUGUAGUGAAUAGUGUCCAUGCGUUUUAGUAUAUUUGUUAUUUUCAUCACUUAAUUGAUGCAACUUGCCCAUAUUGAAUAAAAUCCAUAAAUCUUAUAGCACUAGCAAACUUUAGUUGCAUAUUAAUAUCAAUUUAUUUGUAUUAUAUUUAAGUUAAAAAAAAACUUUAUUGAUUGAUAUUUGUUGUUGGUUUAAGUUAAUUUAAUUGAAGUUAUCUAAUUAGAGAUAACAAUUCAAUUCAAUCCAAAUCUGAUCGAUACCAAUUUAACCUAAAUAAAUGAUUUUUUGGAUAAGUAUUUUUACAUGAUAAAUAUUGAAUAAGGUCUAAAUAUUGUUAAAUAUUUUGAAUAAUUAUUUUAAGGACAUUCUAUGUGUAAGUUGACUAAUGAAUGAGAAUCUCAUUUACUAAAUGCUCGACUUGUAGACCGAGAUAAAAUUUUGUUUUUGAUCUCAAACUCUUUUUUUAAAUAAUUUAUUGUCUUUGGUAUCUCUCUAAGAGUUCAUUUAAUACUUAAAUCAUCAACAUACAUGCCAAUAAUAGCAAAAUUAGAUUCUGACUUCUUUAUAUAAACACAUGGGCAUAUAAGAUCAUUAUUAUACCCUUUUUUUAAUAAAUAUUUACUAAGAUAAUUAUACCACAUGUGUCCUGAUUGCUUUAAUCCAUAUAAGGACAUUUGAAACUUAAUUAAGUAAAUUUUUUAGAGAUUUGAAUUAUAUGUUUCAAGCAUUUUAAAUCCUCAAGGGAUUUUCAUAUUAACAUUAUUAUUAAUUAAAUCAUUUAAAUAGAUUGUAACUAUAUCCAUUAGACACAUAUCUAAUCUUUCAUGAGUUGUCAAACUAAUGACAUGCCAAAAUAUAAUUAUAUCUACUAUAGGAGAAUAAAUUUCAUUAUAAUCUAUUUCAGGUCUUUGAGAAAACUCUUAUGCCACUAGUCAUGCCUUAUAUCUUACGAUUUUAUUUUUCUCAUUUUGCUUUCAUUCAAAUACCUAUUUUACACCUUUAGGUGUUUGGACUACAAGUCCAAUAACUUUAUGUCUUGCAAAUGAAUUUAAUUUUGUUUGAAUUGCUUUUUUCUAUUUUGGCUAAUCAUUUCUACAUUAACAUUCUUCGAUAAAUUUAGGCUCAAGAUCCUUAUUUUUACUAAUAAUAUCAAAUGAUAUAUUAUAUGAAAAAUAUUUGUCGAUAACUAUCUCAUUUCGAUUCUAUUUUUUUGUAGAGAUAUAAUUUAUCCAGAUCUUUUUUUUUUUUUUGUUGUUCUUAGGUACUUGAACCUCUUACGGGGUUUUAUGAUUAGUUAUGUCUUUAUCCUUAUAAAUGCUUACCUCCUCAAUAAUGCCAACUUGAUUAUUUGUUUCUUUUAUUUUUUUGAGGAUUUUUGUCUUUUGAAUCAGUUGGUCUACCAUGAUUCUAGCAUGCUUUAAAUUCAUUUGUUAUAAUUUUAGUGGAUUAUCCUAUAAGGACUUUAAUCCAGGUCGGAGCAUUUACAACUAGUAUAUGAGAUCUGAUUACUUCUUUUGAGUGAGUGAAUGCAUUUGAUAGUUGAUUUGCUAUGUUUUGCAAGUAAAAUAUUUUUUGAACUUCUUGUUCAUAUUGUUUUGUACGAGGAUCAAAAUUCAAUAAUGAUAAUACACUCCAUGUAAUAUCUUUAUCGAACUAUUUAAUUUAUCCCUCUAAUGCUAGAAAUGUAGUCUAAUCAAAAUGACAGUCGGUAAAUCGUGUUGUAAAUAAAUUAUCUGUUAAGGUUCAAGAUAUUUAAUUAUCAAUGGGGACUCAAACCCAAUAUAUAUUCUCAACCUUUUUUGAGGACCCAUCCUUUUACAUUGUGGAUAAUAAAUUAAAACAUAUAUCGCAUAACUAAAUAUUCUUAGAUGAAAAAUGUUUGGCUCAUGAUCGAAAACCAAAUGUAAUGGGAUAAUUUAUGAUAUGAUGUUGGCUUAAUGCUUACAAGUGCUGCUACAUAUAAAAUAACAUGUUUCUAAAUAGAGUCAGGGAGUUUUUUUUUUCUCAUGAGUAAUGGCCUUGUAACUAACUGGAAGUGUUUAAUAAAUGAUUCAACAAGAUCAUUCUGAGUAUGAACAUGAGCAACAUGUUUCUUUAAUUUUUAUCUUAAGUCACAUGCAAGAAUAAUUAAAUGAUGGGGAUGUGAAUUCACCAGCUUUGUCAAGACAAAUUGUCUUGAUUAUAUGAUCUGGAAAUUAUACUCAUAAUCUAAUGAUUUGAGAAAGUAAUCUCGUAAAUGUCAGGUUACAAGUUGAUAAUAAACACAUAUAUGACCAUCUUACAGAUGUAUCUAUUACAAAUCUUGGGGAUUCAAUCUCAACUUUAGACGGUGAUGGUCUAAUAACCAAUUUUCCUUGAGAACAAACAACACACAAGAAUUCUUUAAAUUGAAGAAUCUUUUGGUUCUUUAAUAGAUGACCAUGAGAGUUUUUAAUAAUUCUUCGCAUCAUUAUUGAUAUGGGAUGGACCAACCGGUCAUGCUAAAUAAUAAAAUUAUUUGGUUUAUUGAACUUCUGGUUCAUUAUUGUAUUGACUUCAAUUGUACUAAUACUUGUAUAAUACAAACUUGAAGAUAAAACGAGUAACUUUUCUAAUAUUUGUUUUUUAGUAGAGACAUUUGAUACAAUAUGAAGAUAUUUUAUACCAUUUGUCAUUGGAAGUCUCAAUAUGAUACCUGCUACGAUGUAUAUCUUUAAAACUUAAUAAAUUUCUCAUUGAUUUAGUAGAGAGCAAAACAUUAUCUAUUAUAAAUCUUGUUCUCCUUGGAAGCAUCAUGUUGGCUCUUCUAGAGCUUUAAUUAAGUCUGUUAAACCUGAUAUUGUAUUCAUUUUUUCUUUCAUCAUUCUCGGAUUUGAAAAAUAUUAUUUAUGUUUAAGAAUGAUGUGCGUCAUUGCACUAUUGGCUAAGCAUAUAUCUUUACCAUUGAUAUUAAACUCAUUUACAGUAUGAUGCAAGUCCAUGUUUUCUUCAUGAAAAGGAAUAAAUAUAUCAUAAUCUCAUAAGAAGACAUAGUUCUUAAAGUUGCAUAUGACAAUUAUUAUAACACAAUCCUUUACAUUAAAUAAGAUAACAAGAAAGGAACAAAUCAAAAUGUAUUGAAAUAUAAUAGCAUAAAAGAAACUCACCUAAAAGAUUAACAAAAUUUAAAUUUUGAUAGUCUUAUAUUUAACUAACUAAUUAUUAUCAAUACUAGAAAUAUCAACUUUCUUACUAGUUUGCUAAAAAAAAAUAACAACAUCAAGGAGUGCCAUAUCUAAAGGAUCAAAAUAAAUAUUAUUAUUAUCAUGAUAUUGGUGAGAAAAAUUUCUUUAUAUGUCCUUCUCCUUUCCUUUCAAUGAGAACUAAUAUAAAUCAAUAAGAUGUUUGACCAUAUGACAAGCAUGUGACCAAUGUCUAGUCAUUCCAAACCUAUAACAAAUAUUUUCUAUCUCUUGGUAUCUCUAUCAUACAUAUUUUCCUCUUUUCUUAUUUCUCUUUAUUCUAUGAAGGCUUAUUAGAAUUGUGACCAUUAUAAUUGUAAAACUUAAUCCGUCUUUGCCUAUGGUCAUGUCCACGGCUUCUACUAUGACCACGACCACGACCAUAAUUAUUAUUAUAUCUCGUAGCAUUCACUUCAGGGAAUGAACCAGAACUAGUCGGUUAUUUUAUUCAACCAUAAAGAGACAAUAUUUCUUAAAACCUCGUUCUCUAUAUUGCUGUUGCAAGAGCACAUUCAUGGAAUGAAAAGUAGAGAACGUUUUUUUUUCUAAUAUAUCUCCAUCGGUGAUAUUAUCUCCAUAUAAUUUUAAUUUAGAAUUGAUGUUAAACAUUGCAAAAUUAUAUUCACUUGCCAAUUCAAAAUCCUGCAAUCAUAAAUUUAUCCAAUCAUAACAAGCUUUUGGAAGAAUAAUUCUCCUUUGAUGGUUGGUUCUUUCUUUUAAGUUUUUCCAAAGAAUAAGGAGAUAUUUGAUUGUAAGAUACUCAAUUUUCAACUCUUUUUUUCCAUGGUCUUUGCCUUUUUUUUUUUUAUUAGAUGCUUCAUUUUCAUGUUUAAUAGUGUCACCAAAACCCAUGACAUCCAGAUGAAUUUCGGCAUCAAGAACUCGUGAUAAAUAAUUCUUACAUGUAAUAUCAAGUUCCACUAAAUCAAUUUUGACAAGAUUUGUCAUGGUUACUUUAUUAAAAAUAUCAAAAUUAUUAUAAAUUUGGUUUAAAUAUUAUAAUGAAAAUUGAACAACCAUUUGGUCAAAUAUUGAAUAAGUUUGUUAUGAACUUAAGAAAAAAUAUGAUUCACUUAAAUAACUAGAAGUAUUUGAAAAAAAAAAUUAAAUAGAUAAACAUACUUUUAAAUAAAAAAUCAUCUGCUUCAAAACGAAAAUAAGGAGCAUAUGUGCCAAUAAUGUUUAUUAAACUAUAUAUUUAGAAGCACAUAAUAUACUUAGUAAAGAGAAAAUGAAAUAAAUAAGAAUAAUAAAAAUUAUAGAAACAAAAAAAAAAAUUCUACCUCAACAUCAUCUCAAUAAUAUUCAUACUUAUAAUCUAACGUACAUUAAUACUUGUACACCUAAAUGCUAUAAAAAGAUAUAAAAUUCAAAUAAACUUAGAAAUAAUAAAUAAACAUAAAAAUAAAAAGAUAAAAGAAGAUAAAUAAACAUACACAUAUAUAAUUUCAUAACAAUUCCUCGUAUUAUUAUGUAAAAUUUGAAUCAAGAAUAUAAAAAUGAAAACUAAAAGCUUAGUGGGGGCGAGUAUGCCCAUGUAUCUACUCGCGAAAACUGGUUGCAGUUUGCACAAUCAUCCUUCUUUCCAUGGGUGCAAAGCUGACGCAUAAACCACUUCAUUCCACCCACAUGGCAACUCCAACGAAUUCCACGUGUCAAUUACAAAAAAGUCUGACAAAAAAUUAACGGUGAAGUCAAAAAGUACAAUCCACAAAAGAAGCCAAAAGACUUUUUCUUCUUCCCUUCUUUCUGUGCCCUACCUAAUUCGCUCCACUGCAAUCAUCUCUCUCAAAUCCAACCUUAAAAUAAAACAUUUAACAAAAAUUAGAGUCUAGAGAGAGAAACCAUGACUGACAACUAAGAAAAAUGUGGUCCUAAAGAUACCUCCAAAACCCUAGCUUUCAUUAAUUUUCUCUUCCUUUGCACUUUAUGUGCUCAUUUUACCUACAUUUCGGUUUAUAAAUUUGAGAUCAGCUCUAAAAAAGUGAAAUUCUAUUGCUUUUUUCGUUGGUUUGGUAAGUGAUCACCAGUAUCAAAACCCUUUUCUUGUUUAUUGAUUUUGAACCCAUUUUUUCCCUCAAAAUCUCACAAUUCAUUCACUGUUGUGUCAAAGUAGGCAACUUUACUGAAACCCUUUCCUCUUUUAUGGGUUUUGAAUCAAAUUUUAGUCUCAGAAUCUUGCGUUUCAUUCAGUUUUGUGUUAAAAUAGUGCACUUUGGUCUAAUUUAUUGUUGAAUUGUACUCAAUUUUGCAGGUAAAGCUGUUGGUUUUGUAGAAUUUGACUGAUUAAAUUUUGGGAGGUUGUGUGAGAAUUUCGUCACUUCUGAUGUUUUGUUUCCAAUCAUUUUAUCAAAAACCCAAUUUGAUUUUUUCUCUUAGACCCCCUUUCUCGUAUUCUAUUCCGUAUAUUUUUCUUCCCUCUGAUGUUGUUUUCUUCAUAUGUUGCUUUAAUUGCAAUAAAUUUCGCCUAAAAAUUUGAUCUGUUUUCUUAUUUACCGUCCCUGUUUGAGCUUGGUCUUGUCAAAUUAAGUUCAAUUGUUACCGCUUUUGGAGAGCUAGUGUUGGAUUUUGAGGGUAAAAGAUUGGUGGGCUGUUAGCGUGGAGGUGAAAAGUGAGGAACUUGAUAUAAAUGGCUAAUAGGUAUAGGCUGGCUUCUAUCGAGGAUUUUCCAUCACAUUUGAUUUUUGAAAUUCUGACAAUCGGUAGGCUUAGUGCUGCUGACCUCGUGUGCUUAGAGUUGACUUCUAGGACAUUUGGAGCGAGUCAUGGGCUGUACCCUCAAAAAUUCAGGUCGUUGGUGGAUUUUGCAGCACAUCAGUUAUGUGUGUCGCAUAGAGUGUAUGGCGGGAUGGGGUGGAAUGCUCAGAAAGAGUUGUUUGAUCGUUGUGGAGGAAAUUGGAAGCGGGUUUUGAGGUUCUUGCAGGCUGUGGAGGAAUCAUCAGGCAUGGUCAAGACCUCAGCAUGCAAUGUAUGCUCUCUUUUCAUAUACUUGCCUUUACAUUUCAAAUAAAAGAAAGAAGAACUACACAUGUGCAGAAGUAAUUGUAUUGUUUUCACAUGCACUCAACAUUUUUUUGCAGUUGUGUCAAUUGUUUUUUGCUGUGUGCAGUUCUUCUCUAACCCCCCCCCCCCCAGCAAACAAUUCUCAAUGAUGCAAAUGUUACUAGGCGUUUGGGCUCAUCAUAAAGUGUGGUUAUCACAUUAAGGCUUUGUUGCUGUUAUUCUCCUCAUGGAUCAUCAUAAAUGUGUGUAUCAUGGCUUGGAACAUUUCUGCCGGCUUUCUCAUUAUGAAAUAAGAUAAGGAAAAACCAAUAUUAGAGAGGGAUCUAAAGUUCUAAUGAUCAUUAUUGUUCUAAUGAUCAAUUGGCAUACGUCACAAGAAGUGUCAGGUUCCUAGAAAGUAAAUAUUAGGAAAAUUAUUUAAUUUCCCCUUUUCUUAACAAAAGGAAAUUACAAUUGAUUUUUAAGAAGGAUGGCCUUUAAUUUCACGUGGUAUUACCUAUGUGGUUUGUGCCAAACCUCGCCCACUUUUUCUCUGUCUUUCUUUUCAUUAUAGUAUUUAGGCUGAUGCUUCCAGAAUAGUUAUUAACGUUUAUUAUCUUUGGCUUAAAUCAACAGAUGCAGGUUACAACUGGAAGAUAUCACACGUUGCUGAUCAGAGAUUCAUCUGUAUAUUCUUGUGGUUCCAGUUUGUGUGGUGUUCUUGGACAUGGUGCUGAAACAACACAAUGUGUAGCAUUCACACGGAUUAGAUUCCCAUCUUUGGCUAACGUGGUCCAAGUCUCAGCCUCCCAUAAUCAUGCUGCUUUUGUUUUGCAGUCCGGAGAGGUUUGUAACCAUUCAUAUUUCAUCAGUCAUCUGUUUUGCUCUGAACUAAUUGCUAGAUUGAACAGGCUUAAGCGUAGACCUUUAGGGGGCCACUGUGGUCAUGAUAAAAUUAAGAUAAUAAUAUUGAACAAGUUGCUUCAUGGUUAGGCUCUUAGAUUUUGGUGGUUUCUUGUGUGAAUGAUGUUUGACCCAGCAACGAUGGUAAACACCAAGUGUGAUUUGCACUGGUAUUGUUUUAGGGAUGCUAUUGUUACAUAGAAUUGGAUACCUAGAAGAAAGUUGUGUUGGUGCAAGUAAUCUAGAUCACUGCCUUUUCUCAUUUUCAUAUUCCAUUUUGUAAUAUUUUAUUCUUUUGCCCAUGUCUGAUGCCUUGGUAUGGGCACUCAGGAACUUUUUGUUUAGAGGAGUUAGGAGUUCAAGAUUUCCAGUUACAAAAAGGUACUGAUACUGUUUGGCAUAUUAAUGAUGAAUAUGCUAUAUAAUUGUGGUAACCUUGGACUUGUAUUGCUUUUGUGUUGCCUAGAAGCCUCAACUCUGUGGCAUUUAUCUCCUUCUGUUUUCAAAUGAUGCCUCUGAUUCACUAAUGAUGUAGAUGUUUUUUAUGCAUGACAAGCAUAAUAUAUCAAUGAAUUUUCAGACACUGUAUUCUUACUGGCAGUUGACAUAUAUGGUAUUAUAAUCAUGUGUUUGGUUUUGAGAAGUGGUUGUCAUAUCCGUCAGAUGAUGCUAAUCAAUGAUGCAGGUUUUCACUUGUGGUGAUAAUUCAUCAUUUUGCUGCGGUCACAAAGAUACAAAUCGCCCCAUAUUUAGGCCCAGGCUUGUUGAGGCACUAAAGGCAGUUUCAUGCAAGCAGGUAACAUUCAUUUCACUAUACUAUAUUCUAAUUGAUGUUGUUUCUUAAGAGUGUUCAUACCUUGUUUAAUGGGUUCCUAAGCAACAGGCAUGUAUUUUAGUUGGUGUUGCAUGUUCAAAGUAAUAUGAGCGAGGGGACAUAUGCACAUGAUAAUUCCUAUCCACAUUCAAGUGCUAUUGUUUCUUAACAAUACUUGCCUUAUUUAGCUUGGUUUUUUUAUUUUCUGCAAUAUCCAACCAUUAUAUUGAGGUUGAAUACCAAAUGCUUGUGUUUGAUUUAGAGCCAGUUGCCUGUGAAGUAUCAAGCUUUUUGUCAAGCUGCCUGGAUAAUGCAUUGUGCCAUGCCUUCAAUGCCAAGUUAAUUUUCUGAUAUGUCAAAUCACCAUUUAAUUUUUUAAGGGCAGCAUCUAUGAGUAUAUUUUGAAAGAAGAUCCGGACCCCCUAGCAUCAGUGACUUUUUUUGCUGAAUCACAUGUUACUUGAUUGUUUCUUGAAGACUUGAUUAAAUUAAGGAAAAAAGCAUUUAGCUUAUGCAUAGGAGUAGUACUUUCUUCCUCCUAACAAUUAUAUGGUUCUUUCUUCAACACAAAAUAUUGUUAGUGUUAUUGGACCAUUUGGCUUUUCCCACCUGCUUUUGUUUCUCUCGUGAUUUUUUUAUUAAAAUUUCAAAAAAAUAAAAUAAAAAUGGGAAUUGUUUCAGGUUUCUGUGGGCCUUAACUUUACAGUGUUCCUCACAAGACAAGGCCAGCUUUAUACAUGUGGGUCGAACACACAUGGGCAACUUGGUCAUGGUGACACGCUAGACAGACCAACACCCAAAAUCAUUGAACUGCUUGAGGGAAUUGGUCCUGUGGUUCAAAUAGCUGCUGGUCCCAGCUACGUGUUAGCUGUAACUGACAAUGGUGUAGUUUACUCUUUUGGUUAUGGUUCUAAUUUUUGUCUUGGUCAUGGAGAGCAACACGAUGAGUUCCAGCCACGUGCAAUCCAGACAUUUAGAAGAAAGGAUAUUCAUGUGGUCCAUGUUUCUGCUGGGGAUGAGCAUGCUGUGGCACUUGAUUCAAGUGGAUUUGUUAGUCUCUGUGCCCAAUAUGAACUUGUGUUUCAUUGAUAAUUGCUUUGUUUGUCUGAUCUAAACUCUUCAAAGAAUUUUUCUUACCUUGUCGUGGUGGUUGUAGGUCUAUAGUUGGGGAAAAGGUUACUGUGGAGCAUUAGGCCAUGGGGAUGAGAUUGAUAAGACUCUUCCUUCCCUUGUGAACUGCCUUAAGAGCCGCCUUGCUGUGCAGGUUUGGUCAACUUUUACUAUUGUACCUUGAAGUAAAUUGAGUAUAUUCAUUGAUUUUCGUUGAUCUCCACUAAGAAUGUAUGCAUAUUGUGUAUUUAGUUUCUAGGCCAUGUAUGGUUCUUGGUAACUGAGGGUAGAACUGAAAUCCCAGGAUGUGCUUACAAUAAGCAGUUAAAUGUUGUUUAGGGACAUGUUUAGAAGAAUUUCAGUUAGAAUAAACCUGUUAGCAAUAAUCCGUGAACAGUAGCACAGAUUUUAUAGCAUAAAAGAAGAACAAGAGGAAAAUAGAAGAAUGAGAGGAAGAAAACUCUUAGGCACCAAGCUUUCAAAAAACUCUAGUAGCUCAAUUUUAUUCCACCAUUCCACUCAAUGAAAAAAGUUUUCACAUAGGCAUUUAUAACAAGUAAAAUAAAACUCAUAACUGGGCCAUAAUUCCCACAAAGACUUGGAUUCUUAUGUAGUAUUAAAACUUCUAACUAAAACAGGAUUGCUAAAUAGACUAGGUAUAUUAGAAAUACUUAAAUAUAUAGAAUAAAAGAUUAAAUUAAAAAUCAUUUCCUAAUUUCUCUCCAAUUGAUUGCACCGCCCUCCUUAUCGUAUGAAUUAUACUAGAACAACUCCAUAACCUUGGUAACAUGCACUGUGCCUGCUGGUUGUUUGCUGUGUCCUUUAUGUUCUCUUUCCUUCUAGUUCUCUGCCUUACUCUUCUCUAAACAUAUAGCUGCUUCAUCUCUCCUUUCUGUAAGUUUAAAAAAUAUUUUUUUCAAGCAAAACCAUCCUUCGAUGACAACUGUGUUGGCUUAAUUCAUGCAUCUCAUGUCUGUUUGCAUGUUGUGUAUUCUUUUUCCAAUCUAUUUUAUCUGAGACCCAAUCAGUGACAACGCUUGUUAUUUUAUAGGCUUGUGCAAGAAAAAGAAAAACAUUUGUUCUGGUCGAUGAUGGUUCUGUUUAUGGCUUUGGGUGCAUGGGAUUUGGUAGCCUUGGCUUUCCAGAUAGGGAUAUAACUGAAAAAGUGAUGACACCUCGAGUCCUUGAUAGCUUAAGAGCUCAUCGUGUUUCUCAGAUUAGCACAGGCCUCUACCACACUGUCGUGGUUACCAACCAGGGCCAAAUGUUUGGAUUUGGAGAUAAUGAAAGAGUACAACUUGGGCACGACACAUUGAGGGGAUGCCUGCAACCAACUGAAAUAUUUGUUCAAGAAACAGCAGAUGAUACAGGCCUUACUUUGGAAAGGAAAUGACUGUCAAGUCUAGGAAACCUUCUCUGCUUUGUGGAUGCCACUGUUAUAUCAGAAGUUUAAACUCUCAACACAACUACUCAAAUGAGUUAAUAUUCUCAUACCAGAUUGAGUCGUCUCAUAUUUUUGAAAACUUGAGUUAGAUUGCUUUAAUUGGACCUAUGAAAUGCACUUCAUGUAAUAGUUGUCCUGUGAAACAAUUGUCACUCAUCGCAACGUUCUUUCUAUUGAUUCACAUUUAGCUGCGUAUUCUGUGGAUACCAACUUCCCCCCGUUACCUGCCUAUUAUUUCCUAAUGCUCUUUUCCCCCUGUGAUCGCCAUUGCUGUUUUCUGUGCUGUUAAGGUUCUUUGAUUCAUUACUUGCUUUCAGUUGCUUUGCAAGGUUAUUUGCCACUAAAGUCUGAAGGAGCAUGAUUCAAUAAUAGGUUGACCUCUCUUCUUAUCUUAAUUUUUGAAAAUUUCAUUAUUACGUUCAUUUUUUGUCAAGUUUAAAUUUGUGUCUGGUCUCAGUGCUUGAAUUUGAUCAUAGAUUAUUGUUCAAGGCCUCAAAUAAUUCAACUAUGUUAAUUAAAAGCAGCAGCUAUCUUGUUUAGUGUACGAGUAAUUUAUGGUAAUUGUUUGUGUAGUUCUGGGGUGUCUAAACAAGCAUUGGUUAGUAGUAAUGAUCAGCUAUUAAAUUACUAAUCCUUUGCUCUCCAUCAUGUUUUGUAAUUUGUUUUACUUUCUCGUCUCUGGACAUCCUACAAACGCUACCGAAUAGUCUACUUGCGGCCAUUGCAAACGAGCCGAUGGGGGGAGAUGCUGCGCUGCUUUAGUUUGUCAUGUUGGAUGAUACAACUAGCAUGGACCGCUUGUUCUUGGUCCCAGCUUGAAGGAUCUAUGAUACAUUACGUAUAAAUUCACAUAAAUUGGUAUAACUCCAUGGUACUUAACAUAAAUUCAGACGGUUUUUGUUGUUGGGGGAGUUACUGCAAAAUUAUGUCUGGGACUCUUGCAUUAUUUCUCGGAUCAGAAGUGGAUGCGUGCAGCGAGUGCACUGUAGACGCAUCUAAAGCAGCAACCGAGAGUCCUCAUCUGGUGGUGGGAAUAGGGAAGAAAAACCCUCUCAUUUACUGGAAACCGUACAAGCCACCAGAAGUAGGUGAAAAUUAAAUUUAAUGAAAGAAAAGUAAUAGGGCUGCUAAUUGCAGUGAAAGAAACCAAGUGGAAAUUUCAGGUCCCUCUCUUUUCCAACAACGUUUUUAUCAUGAGUUGAAAUACCUUCCAGCUGUAUUGACCACACCUAACUGAACCCACCAGCUAUAUAUAAAUAUAUAUAUUGGAAUAUUUCACUUUCUUCCGAAAAGAUGCAUUGAAUUAAGCUGUUUUUGUUCGAGGGAAAUGAUGACAAAAGUAGGAAAAAUCUGAAUGAUCCUCAUAGGGUCCAUCUGUAUUUUGAAAAAAUUAAGCAUGUGGAAAAGAGAUUUAAAGAUACCUGUAUUAGAAUUUAGAUUGUGUAACGAUGAGGGCAUCUGGUGUUUCCAAUUCCCUACAGCAGUGUGGACUUUUUGAGAGGUGACAUUUUUUGCAAGGAAGAGAGAACCUGGCAUGCACUCCUUGCAAUGACCCCAGUUACUUCAUCUGUUUUUGCCUUGCCGAAGGUUUAUUAAGAAUGCCAAUUCUGAGGAGAAAGAUACAUGGUAUUGCAUUGUUUCCUGUAGAUUGCAUGCUGAAACAACUGAAUGAAUCAUCGAAGGCUGUUGCUUUUGUUAGUGCCAUGCUACCAUGUGCAAUUCAAGCAUGUAUGUGCAUCACUAAUUAAGCAUCAGUGUCUUCCUGCCUGCAGAAUUUUCAUAUUUCUGCAGGAAUGUUACUUUUCCCACUUCAAUGAGCUGUCAUCAUAAAGACUAGCAACUCUGACAGGUUGCUGGUAGGAAUAGGUUAGUGUCGGAAAGACCAACCCGCCCACAUGUGGGCUGAUUCACACACGAUGCUACAAGAAUUUCACUUCACUUAAAACUAUGAUUUAAUAUACACAUGACAUAAUCUUCAGCAAAGUCAUGAUCCACAAGGCACACACUCUAUAAACAAAGGACAGGGUGUCAAAUCUGCCUAUACCAGCUCUUCAGCUUCAAUAAUUAAAAGUAGAAAAGAGACAAACAAAAAGACCAAGAAAAAGAAAACACAUACAUUUUGUUAUACAACCGAAGGCCAACUGUCCUCAUCUCAAAAAGUGUUUCAAAUUCACUCAAUUCUCUUACCACUUAUUUCCUUAAUCUAAUCUCACCAUGAUCAGGAUUGAGCCUAGCAGAUGAUAUAGCCAUAAAAAAAAAAAAAAAAUUAACACAGAAAGCUCCUCAUCUUUUUAGGCCAUAUCCUCUAAACUUUCCCUGAAAACUUUUAGCAUAUCAUAAAAUCUGACAAUGCCAACCAAGCUACAGUCAUCCUCUAUGACCCACACGUAAUUUACUCUAUGAGCAAUUGCUUGAAUCAUCACUGCAACAAGUGAACUCUUGGGAUGACAAACUAUUGCCUCCGCCCUUCUCACCAUCCUGGCUGAAUAACUCAUGGACCUACUAUACUUUCCUGAUCUAUGCAGUGUACUGACUGGGGUGCUGCUUGCUGACUCUUCAUCAGAUGACGAAGAUUGUGAUUGACAUGAACUGGUAGUUGAGUAGCAACUAGAAUUAGUGAAUUCUUGAAGCAUUGCUUCUAGGCCUCUCUCUUUAAGUCUUUCCAUGACCACCUUGACAAGGUCCUCUGGGGGUCCUCCACAAUCAAUGUAGGCCAUCAAGUCCCCAGAGGAAAGGGUAGUGAUUGCAGCUGCAACACUGUCAUCACAGCAGGCUAGAGUGAAUGGAGAGAGCUCCCCAAUCAAUAUGCCAUCACUGUCAAUGACAGCAACUGAAGUCUCGUCUGCUAGAGAGCGAGAAAUGGCUUCAAGUUCUGAGAUAGCAGGGGAGUGAUAAUCAAUUGUAAGAAAUUCAGUGCUUAUAAUGCCAAGUGUAUCAAUGGAGAGAGCUGGAAGUGGAGCAAAGAGGCCAAUUGAGCCGAGGAAGAAUCUGAUUAUGUCUUCCUGUGUUAGCCAGCAGAAUUCCCGGCCAUUGUGGAUGGUGGGGCUGGUGAUUGAGAGUUUUUGGUGCUGUUUUCUUCAUGAGAUCAAUUGCUUCCAAUAAGCUGAAGGAUCAAAAAAGUAUAGUGAGGAUGAGAUCAAUUGCUUCCAAUAAGCUGAAGGAUCAAAAAAGUAUAGUGAUUAUUAAUAGAAUUGAAAGGUGCUGUCUAUUGAACACACACACACACACACACACACACACACACACACACACACAUAUAUAUAUAUAUAAUCAGAUUUGAUACCACACACACACACACACACAUAUAUAUAUAUAUAAUCAGAUUUGAUACCAAAGCAUCCUGAUUUGUAUAUCAAAUUGAGAUUAAGAAUUGGUCUUGAUUAAGGAAGUAAGUGCCACAUAACUAACGGCAGAGCAUCAUAAAUCUUAUGCUAAAGGGAUUACUGCCAAGCAUGCCUUUGAGCAAAAAAUAAAUAGCUUGGAAACUCCCAUAAAGAAAAUAAAACUGAAAAAUCAAUAAAAACCCAGAUAAGAACACCAAUAAAAACAGAAUAAGAAGAGCUGCAGAUUUCAAGAAUAUGCAAAAGCAUAAAACUUCAAGAGAUAUAGCAAAACUCCAAAAAACACAAUUCUCAAUACCUUGAAGUUGGUUCCACAUGAACAACCAUUCCAGGAAUCUCAGGCAAGAGAACAGAAACAGGUGCUUUCAAAGCAUCAGAAGGGAACAACAAGUUCUCAUCCUUGCAAAGAUAGCAUACCACAUCCACCAUAGAAACCUUACCGACACAUUUACAUUCACAAACAUCACAACCUUCCUCUUCACAAUUGCCUUUGUAAUCGUUGUUAGUCUUUGCUGCGUGAUCACAAUUCCAUACACUUAUAAAGUUAUCAUCAGAGUUUUUAAGAGCAAAUAGAGCUUCAGCUAUUGUUGUGGUGAGUGCGAGAGACCUCAAAGCAGGCUUGCCUAAGCAGAGGUCAGAUACCUCAUGUGCAAGUAAACUCACUGCCAUGCAAGGAUUAGCAAAUCAAAUAAAAAACUCCAAACAAAGAGAAUAAAAGAGCAAAUUCAGUGGGCAAAACUAGUGAUUAAGGGUUGUUGGUGUAGGGUUAUGAGGGGGGAUAUUUAUAAGGAAAACUUGGAGUUAUAGGUGGGUGGGGUUGAUGAUGAUAUUAUAGGUACGGUAUCAGGUACAAAAAGCUGUGGGGUCUAUGAGUUUUUGCUGGCUUCUUGGUGUUGCAGAUUUUACAGAUCAGCUGCUGGUGUGUUCAGUUUGGGUUAAUGGGUGCUGCUGUGUGUUGCAUGUGCGUUUCGACUUUGAACUUUGACGAGCAUUUAUAAAUAAUUUUAAGAUAAAAAAAUAACUCAAAGUUAUUUUUUUAUAUAUAAAUCUUUAAAAACAUGAUCUUAAUGUAAAAACAAACAGUGAAUUGUUUAAAGCUUGUGUCUAUCUGGAUAUUUAUUGCAAGUUUGUUUGGUAGUGUGAUUGUGGUUGUUUUUUAAAGUAUUUUUCACUUAGAAAUGUAUCAAAAUAGUAUUUUUUUAUUUUUAAAAAAUUAAUUUUAAUAUCAGCGUAUCAAAAUAAUCUAAAAAAACCAAAAACAUAUUAAUUUGAAGUAAAGAAAAAAAAUUAAAAAAAUUUAACUUUUUUAAAAACGCUUUUAAAAGUAAAAAAAACAGAAAUAAGAGUCUAACAUCAGUUUAAAAGACAUAAUUUAUUAUUCAAAUAGUAACCGAAAAAUUUACCACUAAUAUCAGAUUACCACUAAUAAACAGAAUUGGGAAUGUUCUUGCCACAAUAAAAGGUAAUGUGAUUCGUUAUAAAUCAAAAUUCUCAAAGGUGAAUAAUAUCAUAAUAUAAGAGCUUAAAAUAUUUAUUUUUUUAUUAACUAUAGUUUAGCUAUUACGAUAUUUUAUAUAUAAAAAAACUAGAAUAUUAUAAUAAUACCAUAUAAAAAAAUAAAAUUUUAAAUUAAAUAAUUAAGAAUAAAACGAUUAAACCGAUUAAAAUUUUGAAAAAACCGACCGGUUCGGUUCGGUUUUUUAAGCCUGGAACCGGAAAAACCGAACCGAACCGGAAAAAAACCGAGCCAAACCGAAAAAACCGAGUCAAACCGAAAAAACCGAGCCAAACCGGUUUGAACCGGUUUUUUCUCUAAAAAACCGAACCGAACCGAACCAAAACCGGUCAGUUUGAACCGGUUUCGGUUUUUUUUUUUAAAAAAAAAAAUUCGGUUUGGUUACUUUUUUUGAUAAAAACCGAACCGAACCGAACCGUGAACACCCCUAGCUAUUACGAUAUUUUAUAUAAAAAAAACUAGAAUAUUAUAAUAAUACCAUAUAAAAAAAUAAAAUUUUAAAUUAAAUAAGAAUAAAAUUAAAAAAUAUAUAAUUUUCUUAAAAACUGAUCAAUCAAUCUCUCCGGUUUAGAAAGAAAUCAUCCUGAGUUCAAACCUAAGUAAAACAUUGUCCUUUAAUCAUGUCUUCUACUACCGUCAAUUAUGACAAUAAAAAAGCUUUACAAAAACAAAUGAUAACAUGUCUUUUCAAUAAACUUAAUUAAUUUCAAUAAUUUUUAUCAUUUUAUUUUAAUUUUUAUGUGUCAAGUUAAGUUAGAAAUAGUAAAAAUAAACAAAAAAUAAAAAUAAAAAACACUUGCCAAUAUAAUUUUAAAAAAGUUAUGAUCUUAGAUAAAAAAAAAUUCCCAAAAUAAUUGUUAGCCAAUCUACUUUAAUGUAUUGAAAUUAAAAACAUUGAAAAAAAAAAAACAAGCUAGGCAUGUGUGCCUAAAUAGACCCCCUGUGUGCCAGGUCCAUAAAGAAGGAGUCAUGAACUAUAUGUCAGGCCUCCCUUUUUCUCAUCAUGUUAAAGGAUGGAUGACACAUCGUCCAUUCUUAGAUUUAUAUAAAAAAAACACCAACACAAAUGACAUGCCAUUUAGAACAAUAAAAAACACGUCGUAUGUUGGUGUAGUAUUUGAUGACCGAAGAGGUCGCUGGAAAAUCAAGAUAGAGAGUUUUUUUUAUUUAAAAACUCAUUUCAAGUUAUUUUUACUUGAAAACACCAAUAACAACUUAAUAAGCCAAUAUCUUAACCAAAACACCCUUAAAUUGAUCAAACAACAUAAAAUCUAACGAAAGAGAAAUUUUAUUUCUCAACCCUAAUCUAUUUUUUCAUAAAGAUAAAUGAUAAAAAAAAACACAUCAAUGGAACUUUGCUCAUCAAAUAAAACACAUUGAUACCGAAAAUAAGUUUUUUUUUUUAUCUUUAGAAAGUGGACAAUCAUUCGCUUUCCCUCUUUUCUCCUGUUUUUUGGCAACUCUCUCUCAUUUCUCAAAAUCAAGGACUGAAACAUGAAAAAUAAAUUUUGGAUCAAAACAUAAAAAGCUUCAAAAAACAAGGAUCAAAAUUGAAAAAUGAAAAAAUAUUGUGGACCAAAUUAAAAAAUACACCUCAUAUACAGUUAAAAAGAAUAAAUAUGGGUUGUAAUUUUUUUUUAUAUCAAUUUUGGCCCUCAAAAUCUUAAUUUGCAUUAUUCAAGUGAAUGGUAUAAUGUGAGGGGAGAGUGAAAUCAACAAACCUUUUAGGUUAUUAUAUUGUUUUUAACACAUUAUGCCAAUUAUAAUUAUCAAAAUGUUUUUUAUUUUAUUUUAACGUGCUUUUAUGAUUUUGAUGACAUGCCUUAAAAAACAAAAAUUAUGGUAAAACAUGCUAAAAAAAAGAGCAUGUUAAUAAGAUAAUGGAGUUUUAAUAUAAGAGAUUCUUUAUUUAUCCUUAUUUUAAAUCAUCCAAAAAACAAUUUAGGUGACGAUAACAUUUUUAAAUAAGAGAAAUUCAAGAGCCAGGUUAAACCUUGAUCAAUUUGAUAAUAUGAUAAAAAAAAAUUAGCAAGAACAACAACAAAUAAAAAAGAGAGAAUGAUAUUAAGUUAGGUCAAGUUAGGUUAACAUGUGAAACUCGUGACCUGACGCAUAAGAUCGAGAUGACUCCAUAAGAAAAAAUCAAUUAUAAAAAAUGACCUGAAAAAAAUAUUUAAUCCAAAUUACUCUAAUCUUUCAAACCCGUGACCUAAAAUGUUAACAAAGUCUCGAUCAAUAAAACUACGAGGGAUAAGAUUGAAAAAGAAAGUUUCAAUAAAAAAAAUUAAAAAUAAAAAUAGCAAUCAAAAGAAUAAGUACCAAAUCUGAUAUGAUAUAAAACAAAAUGAAUUAAAAUAUUAAGGGAUGCAAUUGAAAAGUAAUAAAAAUAAUAGGAAUCAAAUCUGAAAGAAAAAAAUUUAAAAAUUGUUUUGAAUAUAUAUAAAAAAAGAAAAAGGAAAGAAAAAGAAGACAGUCACCAGCAUAAAACCCUACAUUUUCUUGCUGCUAUCCAAGAAUGAAAACGACGUCAUGAGAAUUAAAAUGCUGUCGUGCAAGCCAUCAUGUAAACAGUAAUAAAGCUACAGUAGCUCUUUUAGUUUCUUUUGACGAGUCACUGAGAAGAAACACUUUGCUACUUGACUACCUCUCUUUCGAGACCUUCCCUAGUUCUGAUCAUCUCCUCGGUUAGUACCUUCUUCUUUCCACAAACUUCCUAUUUGCCCGGAGAGAAAUUAGGUUUUUUUGUCAUCUUUUCCUGUCCCUUUGUGAAUUAAAUACUGAUGACAAUAUUGACAUUAGCGGAGGUAGUGCUCCUUUAAAGGAAAAGUGUUAUAUAACAUUAUCCUUUGCAAUAUCACAGUAAGAAAGAAAAUAAAUAAAUAAUAAUAAUAAUAAGAGCAUUUUUUAUUUUAUCCCUUCUUCUAGAACAACCUCGUAGAGAGCCCAAUAGAAAUACAAAAUCAUGGUAUGAAAAAUUGUCAAAUCUACGUACUCUGGGCUCUUGGUCUGUCUCUUCUAUGCCAAGUUUUCAAAGAUUUCUAGGUUAAAUAAAAGAAGCCUCGAUAAUGACUUCUUCCCUGAAUCCAUGACACAGUGUAAGAUUGGUCCAUCAAGGGUCGUUUUUCACAUGAAAGUUAUAGAGCAAGAAAAGGUGAUGGGAUAUAUUAACUUUAUAUUCUCUAGCUGCAUGCUUAACCAAUCUGUGAGUAGAGUGAAUGGCUUGAACUUGCUGAAAAUUAGCUUGAUGUGAUGAAAAGAAAGAAGUGCCCUGCAUUAUGGCCCCUCGUUUCUAAGAUUCGAAGUCUUCGAUUUGUGUUUUACGUUUCAUGAAAGGCAAUUAGGAGAAAUGAACCGCUGAUAAGUUUCUAACACUGUUAGCUGAAUAAAUUAUAUGACCCACGUAAUUAUUGUCCUCUCUCAAGUCGAUCUCAAACACAUCAAGAUGAAGUUCAUAUUGAUGGAAUGAUCUGACCAGAUGCAAGGUGGUUGAUACUGAAGUCAUGGCCAUGAGUCGUCAAAACAGCGCUGAGCUUGUGAAAAUUUGUAUAUAUAUUGGAAUUUGUCUCCACCUGGUCCACCGUUUCGAUUAUCUCCCCUAUUUUGGACUAACACUCAUCCCUCCCGUAUUUUUGUAUAGUAAUGAAGUAUCGAGCAUGAUCGCCCCGACGACAUCUAUGCUCUAGCUGUAAACACAAUCAUGCCAAAAUAAUUUGAUUGCUUGCCACAAAAAAUAAUGACAACUAAUAUUUCUCAAUAAAAGAAUUUGAAACAUUCAUUCACAUCUUUCAUCUCGUCCAAUAUCACUUCAUAUAUUAGAUGGGGUUAAAAUCUUUACCUCCUCCUAUUUAUAUUUUGGUGCCAUAUGUUUAAUUUCCCUUUCUUUUUCUUAGUUAUAGGGAUUGAGAUCUUGCGUUUACUUCACAAAGAUCCAACCCUGUGCUUCCACAAGCUAGUAUAUAACUUUAGUUGUAAUUAGGAUCCUUAUUUAUUCGAACAUCAUGUUCGCAGGGUUACGUAACCCAAAACCAAGAUUGAGAAAUAAUCUCGGAAAGCCAAAAGAAAUCUGAUAGGAGUGUGACAUAAUAAAAACAUAUUCCAAAACACUCGCACUAUUGGAAUGAAAUCAAAUGAUGCCACGAAGUCAGUUAAUCUUCGAUAAGUGAGAUUCAAUUCGUUUAAGAACCAAAGAAUGCAAGAAUCUCUCUCACAUGUUAAACUGAAAAGUUCAGAAUUGUUAUUCAUCAAAGGUGUCAAAAUUUAGGCUUAACAUUUGUUUAAAUAGUUCUGAGAAAUUAAUCAUAAUAAAUUUAUCAUUGAGAGCUGAAUUGACUCACUUACAAAAACUAAUCCAAAACCUUUAAUAGUAAACUCAAAUCCUAAUCCAAAUUAACAAGCCUUAAAUCUUAACUGAAAUCCAAAGAAUUAAUUAAGCUUAAACAUAGAAAUAAUAAUAAGAAUAACAAGUCUAAACAGUAACUUGUUGAUGCCAUAUAUAAUAGAAAUAAAACAAGAUAAAAUAUCUUAAUUUCCUAGCUUAAAUAACCCUUGGUCGAGAUCCACCUUCCUAGAUACUUUAGAAUUGCUUCGCUAACUUUUAAAAUCUUUUAGAUUCUAGGAAAUCUUAUCUGAAUAAGAAUUUAAUUGCCGAAAUCUUUUUUUUGUAGCACUAAUCCCUUUAGAACAUGAAAAAUAAUCUUUGAAAUUAAUUCUCCUUGUAGCUGCCCAUCAAUUUUCUUGAUUGACUAGGAGAAUCAAAUCUUUAGCAUUAAAUAAUUCUUUCAAGUCUAGGAUUCAGAUAUAACAGUCCCUUUAGUUUCAUUAGAAAACUUCCUCUUGACGAUUUUUAUAGUGUUUUUCGAUGAAUUUUAUGUGUUGAUGUUAAAAAUACAAAAAAAAAUCUAAAACAAUAAUCUUAAUUUAUUUUUAAAUAAAAAAAUAUUUUAAAAAACAUUUUAUACUACAAUACCCAACACAAGAGAGCAGCUACCCAGCUUACUGACUUCUUUUAAAUUGUCUUGUUACUAGUUUGCUUGUUCAUUUAUGCGAUCCAUUUUUUAUAAUGAUAACUUGUGGUCCACUUAAUUUUAAAUGGUGUCGUAUCAUUCACCCUAAUAUCACUUAAACCACCAACACCUCCAGUACUCUCACACCCAACACCCACCAUCCUGCAACCACAAUUUCACUUUAAACCUUUUUGUAAAUGAUCAAUCACUUAAAUCCUUGAUCACCAUAUAUACAUCUUUUCUUCCUCUUUUUUUAAUUACCUGGAGAAAAAGUGCUAAUAAUUAAUUAUUUUCUAUGUGAUUUGUAGGUAUAAACAGGUAAAAGAGUAUUUCGCCUGGAGUCUUGACCAUUGGAUCUUUAAAUCAACCAUGAAAGAUUAGUUUUCAACAAAGAUUUGAAAAAAAAAAGAACUAAAAGAAAAGAAAUGCAGUGUUGAAUCUUUAAGAAUCACUCACGUCUUAUUGAACCAGAAUCAUUUUCACACUCGAAAGAUGCACAAGCAACAAAAUUAAACUAUAAAGUAUAAAACAUUGACACCAAUUUUAGCAAGAUCCCUUAAAUUUAUAACACCAACUUGAUCACCUGUGAAAAUCCCAUAUUACAAUAUUAGUGCAGACACAUUUACUGGGUCCGCCCCAGAAUUGUGAUCAAUUUUCUUCGAGCUUCUCCUUCUAUAUAUUAACUCCAACUAAGUCAUCUAUGAAAGGUACAGGACGAAUUAUUAAUAAACUAAGUGACAAAAAUACAGGUGAGUUCUUAUCUUACCAAAUUAAAGAAGGCAUGCACGUAGUUGUUGCUCAUUCAAAUCAUUUACCGCACAAGGACCCAGUCACCCAGUCAAAGACAUUUUUAUUUUCGUACUUGAUGUAGGAGGCUGGUGGGCUAGAACAUAAGGAAUAUUUAAAGGAGAAUUUCCAGCACCUUGGCUUCCCAUUUCUUAGCUAGAAGUUCCUGUGAUUUAACCAUAAUUUGCAUCCAUCUUGACAAUUUGCUUAGAGCUAAACAACUAGUGAAGAACCCGUCUCCAAAAUGAGUCGGUGUAUCCGAAAUGACCAAGCUAGCUCCAUACUAGUGUGAUAACAGCAUAUACCUGUGUUGAUGGUGAACCCCUUGCACCACAAUCCCAAGCUCAAGCUGUCUCUUAGAAUCCCUCCAGCUACUACAACCAUCCGCAUUUAAUAAUAUACCCAUUCUUGAGUAGGAUACUUCCACCCCCACAGAGCUGGUCUGCUCUCUUUUUUGAACAAUAUUUGCAUGGAAGUUGAUGAGUAUGUAGAAAUGGGCCUUGAUGUUACAGUACUUUUUUUAUUAUUAUUAAUGUGGAUGUUCAGGUCAACUUGCGCGUAUCUUAACUAAUCUCACGGACCUUGAAAUUAACAACCAUAUAAGUCUCCAGUAACCCUGAGGUUUGUGGAACUCGAACCAGUAAUCUUUAGAUAAUAAAUUAAGGAUCUUAUCAGUUAACCUAUACCCCUUUAUGUUUUUGUUUUUACAAAAAGAAAAAAAGAAAAGACAGGCUCCACGCGAAUGCGUUGGCCCCUCGGCUAGUUGAUUACUAGAAUUAGGUCGUGCUGGUUCGUGCUUAAACGGUGUGAACCAUCAAGUUCAUAAUUGUCCUGUUUCCCUCAUAAAGAAUUCUGGUCUUUAAAAAAGGUGAUGCAUGUGAUUUGCUGGUCAUUCUCAUAGAGAAAUGCAAAUAUCAGACGAACCACAUGUUUUCGAAGCUUCUUAAUUACAGAGACUGUUUUCUAUAACUAUCAGAAGAUAAGACAGUGCAACCCUUCCAAGCUAAUCCUUCUAUUAGAAUAUGCUAUUGGCAAUCGGUAACCAUUUUUAUGGAAGACAGAUACCUGUACUUCGUGUAGAGCUGCAUCUCUUGAAGACCCAGAUGAUGAAUUGAGAGACACAGGUAAAAUGGCGAGCUAGCUUGUAGCUAUCCCACGCAUCUGCAUCAUGACAUGCAUGUUUCAUCAAAAUAGGAUACAAGAUUAGACAAGGGUACAACGCCUUUGAUUUUCACUGAAGAGAGAAAUGGAUGGUGAUAAUCAUGUGUCUGGGGAUGGACCUACCUACCAUGUGGGUUACUUUUAUUUUUUCAAUCCAUGUGAAAGGUUUAAGAUUGGCCUACAUUCAUGGACAGCAUUAAUUGCAUAUUAAUCUUGGUAUUAUCAAAUAGAGGGGUGGUGAGGUCAACUAUAUCUUAAAAAAAGGUAAAAACAUAAAAAAAUAAUUGUUAUUUAAUUUAAGGUAACUAAAAUAUUCUAACUAGUCUGUUAAAAACGUGGACAAAUAGUUGGUCAUGUAAUAAAAUAAAAAGAUAGCAAUCACUUUAUAUAUUAUAUCUAAAAUAAGUUGUAUUGUUAUUUGUUUUUAAUUAUUAAUAUGUUUAAUAUACUUACAUGCUAAGAUUUGUCUAAACUGGUACAUGUUUAUUUUGUUAUUAAAUGUGAAAUACUAUUAUGACCUAAGACAAAUAUUUUAAAUCUGUGUCUGGUAAUAAGAUCAAAUUCUCAUUUUUAAAAUGCCAAAACAUGAACACCAGAAUAAAUUCACACCCAUCAUGAACAUAAGAAAUUUUGAUUUUAAUAACUAAUGAAUAUUUACUUUUAAGGUCCUGUUUGUUUCAUGGAACACUACCAGAAAAUCGAUAAAUACAAACGGCAAUACCUAGAGAAUAUUUUUGUCUAUAAAUUGCCGACGGAUUUUACCAACGGAAAUAUUCCCUCGGUAUUUACCGAAGGAAUUACAGUGGGAAAAAAAUUUAAAACAAAGCAAAAAAAAAUGAUGACUAGCCAUUUUUACCAACGGAAUUACUGACGGAAUUUAUUCCAUCGGUAAAUGUCAUAGGUAAAAUCGUUGGUAAACUAUUAACACUAUCCAUCAUGUCAAUUACAAAGGAAAUCACCGAAGGAAACUUCCGUCGGUAUUUUACAAAAAGCUCUAGAACUAUUUACUUCCCAAUUGCACUUUUAAUUAUUGUUCUUUACAAACAAAAUCACCGACGGAUUGAAAAGUCGUUGUUGUUAUUUGGUGGUUUUCUGAAAAAUUUAGCUUAAAUUAAAAUUUUAAAUUAAAUAUUACUGACGGAAUCACCGACAUAUUGAAAAGUCGUCGGUGAUAUUUGGCGGUUUCUGAAAAUUUUUUAUUAAAUUCAAAAUUUAAAUUAAAUAUUACAAACGAAAUCACCGACGAAAUGAUUAAAAAUAUUAAUAUUUAAUUAUCCGUUAGUAAAACGCCCCAAUAAAAAGCAUAGAAUUCCUAAUUUCACAACAGACCCGUCUCCAUUCUUCUUCUUCUUCUUCUUCUCUUCUCUCCUUAACUCCUUCACUUCUCCUCCAUGCUCAGGUAUGUCUUCUUCUCCUUUCUUAUUUUUUCUUCUCAGUUUUUUUUAAUUAGUAUACUUUACGAAUUUGUUUUUUUUUUCUCUUCUUAGCUUCACUUGCAACUACAUUAAGGUAAAAAAAAAUUCUUCUUUUUUCGUGUUUUUUCACUAUAUUUGUUUUUUAUUUUAUUUUAAUUGUUUUUGUUCUUAAUAAUUGUAUGAAUGUUGUUGUAGGAUUUUUUUUCAUAUGAGAUCAAUUUUUAGUUGAUUUAUUUAUAGGAUUUUUAAAUUUUUUCCUAUGAAUUUUUUUAGUUGAAUUUAUUUUUUCAUGUUAUUUAUUUGUUGCAAAUUUGUUUGAGUUGAUUUUCUUCUUCUUUUUUUCCAAUCAUUUUGAGUAUUAUAGAGUGUUGAUUAAUAUUAAUUUAAUUAUUUUAUAGUUUUUUAAAAUAGAUUUUUUUAAAUAAUUACCAACGGAAUUACAUACGGUAUUUUUCCGAGGGAAUUACCGACGGAAUGAAGCGGGUAAUUUUUUUUUUGCUCGCUUUUUUCAUCAGUAAAUCCAUCGGUAAUAAUAUUUUUUUAUUACCAACGGACAAAAAAUUACCGACAAAAGAUUCACAGACAGAGCAUUUCCGUCGAUGAUUUCGUUGGUAAAUUAAUUACCAACGGAAUGGUAGUGCAAAUACCGACGGAAAAUUCCGUCGGUAAAUCUAAAGAUUGUGGUAGUGGAAAUGGUUUCUUAGAAACUACUUUCUAAAUUUUUCUAUGUUUGUUUAUUAUUAAAAAAUUUGGUCAAUGAAAAACAUUUUUCAGUCAAAGAAAAAAUUGUCUUGGUUUUCAGGAAAAUAUUUUCCUUUUAUUUUGGGUGAAAAACACGUUCUAGAAAUUGUGGAAAAUCCAAAAAUAUCUUUUUAUUUGUUAAUUAUAUCAAGUUUGGUUCCCAAUCUUUUGAUUGCUAUAUAUUUUGUUUUGAAUAUUUUUUUCUUCAAUUUCAUCCCCUAGAAUUUGAUUUUUAUACCAACUUUGGUCCUCAAUCUUUUGAUUGUGAUUUGUUUUUCUCUUAUUAUUUUCUUAAUUGAAAUUAUUUAUCUAUCAAAUUUGGUUUCUAUUCUUUUGACUGCUAUUUAUUUUAUUUGAAAUAAUUUAUGAAAUUGGUUUUUUUUCAAUUUCAUCAUCUUUCAUAUUUUUUAUCUAUCUGAUUUGGUCUCCAUGUUUUUUAUUGCUAUUUGUUUUAUUUGAAAUAAUUUAUGAAAUUGAAUUUAUUUUUUCAAUUUCAUCUUCCUUUAAUUUUUUAAUAUGUCAGAUUUGAUCCACAUUCUUUUAAUAAACUUGAAAAAAAUUAAAAAUUUAUUUUCUAGUUCAUUUUUCAUGACAUAGCUAAACACUAAAAAAAUAUUUUUUAACUUAUUUUUCAUGACACUACCAAAUAUAAAGAAAUAAUUCAUUUUAUAGGAAUUCACUUUUCAUGAAAAUUAUUUUUCAAAAAGAAACUACUUUCCGACAAACAAAUUAAUAAGAUUUAAAACUUUAUGUUAAGGAUUUUACAAAUAUUUACAUUUAUAAUUUUAAAAAUAUUAACCUCACCGGUAUUACGAGGACAUCCUCGAACCCACAGGUCUAGAUUAACAAGAAAAGAAAAACAAACUAUAUUAUUGUUUUUCUUUCUUAAAACAAAAUCUCGAGAAAGAAAAGAAACAAUAUCUUGAAAAUAUUUUUCUAAUAACACCCUGUAACACUAUUUGGUGUGAGAGAGGAAGAAGUGCCUUAUGUUUUUUUUUUUUCCUUUGUUUUUAUAUAACCUUUUCUUCUCUCUGCACACUACUCUCUCUUCUAUUUUGUUUUCUCAAAAUCUCUCUUUUUUUCACUUUUUUUUUCUUCUUUCACUCAGUUUUUUGUUUAUUUUUCAACCUGAUCCCUUAUUCCUUAAUUAUAAGUUGACAUACUUUUCAUUGAUUUUCUUUUUACAAAUAUUUCUCAAUAAUUUAAUUUUUAAAAAUUCAUUAACAUAAAUAAAAAGGUUGAAAAUCAUGAAAUGAUAUAUAUAUAUCGUUCACCUCAUGCAAGACAUGAAUUUGCAGUGUGUUUCAUUUAUUUAUUUAUUUUUCUUCUAUUUUAAAAAUAUAGUAAUUAAUUAUAAGGUAUAUUUCAUUAAGAAAAACAAAAUAUUUGGACUAGAUCAAUAAAUAAAAAAUUGAACAUGAAUCAUUUAAUUUUGUCAAACUUUAUUAGUAUCACACAAAAUUUAUUCUGUUAGAGGUUUAGAGAGUUUAGUUUUAUUCUAGAGGUGUUGCCUCUAUAUAAGACUAAUAAACACUUUAAAAACAGUGUUUUCAAUCCUUAAAACAAACUUUUUAUUUAUUUUCAUAUUAAACAGUUUCUUUUACAUUCAGGACAAAUAACUUAAUUUUCAUUUAAGAUUUUAAUUGGUUAUAUUUAUUUAAGUAUUACUUCAAAGCAUCAAGAUGAUGUUUUUUUAUAUAGUUUUAAUGUGAUGAUAUCUAAAAUUAAAAACAAUCAUGCAAUACAAUAUUAAACACAAUAUUAAACCAUCUAGCAAGUGGCUCAGUGGUAAGAAUUUGAGAUUAAGGAGUUUGCUCCUCCUGUGGUUUCAGGUUCGAACCCUGAGGUUGCUAAUGUUGAUGGCCACUAGAGACUUACUUGGUCGUUAACUUCAGGGCUCGUGAGGAUUAGUCGAGGUACGCACAAACUUGCCCGGACACCCCUAAUGAAUAAAAAAAAGAAGUAAUUUGCAAGUGUGAAACGUUACUGUUUCUUAAGGGAGCCGCUCAACAAUAAUGCUUGAUCGAUAUAGCUUGUUGUCAACAACAUCUGAGGUCAUGGAUGAUGGGAAAUCGAAAGCUUAAUUAGCAACGUUAUUCAUGCUUUAAUUUUGAUCAACAAACAGCUAGCAAGACACACACAGCUAAUUCACUUUCUUUUCUCAUCUAAUUACUUUAUUUAGCUAUCCAUAUCAUCAUUUCCAUGUGUCCCUAGCUUAGCAUAUGCAAAGCAAAGCAUUAGAAGUAGACUAAUACAAGUUGGGGGAUUGGAAAAUGGGUUAAAUUGCAGCCUGUUUAAUUCUCUAUUUGUUCAUCUCCAACUUGAAUCAUGUGCCUUUAUGAAAAGUUGAAUUAAAGCAACUUAAUUAUCUUUUAUUUUUUUAAUUUUACGUUAAAUAUUGAAUGCGAAACAUCAAAAUUGGUAAUUAAGGUUUAUAACUUAAUUAAUUCCACUUAUUAAUCCCCAACUUAAAAUCACUUUUAAACCCUUUAUUUGUUUUUUGGUUUUUUUUUUAAUGAUAAAAGAGAAGCUUGAACUCAAGACUUGUUGAAGGAAGGAGAGGUGUUAAUGUCAGUUGAGCUAACUUUUAAACUUAAAAGCAACUUCUAAUUUCAAGAUGUUAGGCUGAAUCGCAAACGAAUGUGAAACACCAAGAUUGACGAUGAUAAGUUAUUACUAUGAACAUCCAUGUUUUCUUGUUGAAUCACGUAUAUACUUGUAAAUGCUAUCUUCAUGCCAAAAGUUGUAUGAUUAAGGGUUAUUUAUUUUUGUAUUUUAAAAGUAUUUUUUUAAAAUAAUUUUUUUUAUUUUUUUUAUUAAUUUUUUUGAUAUUUUUAGAUUAUUUUGAUGUGUUGAUGUCAAAAAUAUUUUGAUACAUUUCCGAGUGAAAAACACUUUGAAAAGCAACCACGAUCACACUCUCAAACACCCCCUUAAACCUCAUACAACUACGCGGUCAUGCCGUGUUUUAUCAAAAAAUUGAUUUUUUAUGCUUUUUAUUAAUUUUUUAGGUGUUUUUGAAUCGUUUUAAUAUACUAAUAUCAUAAAUAAAUUAAAAAAAAUAUUUUGAUAUAUUUAUUGGAUUUCUUGAAUAUAAUAAACGUAAGAGAAAUAAUAAAAUAUAAUUAUUUAGCAUUCUCUAGUAUCCUAUAAAACAAAUCUAGAAAUUUUUUUUAUGAUUUGAUUUCCUUUACCAAGUCAUACUAAUCAAACUCUAUUUGAUCCCCCCGUUAAGAAUGUAGAACAUGCACGGGAUGCGACUAUUAACUUAAAUAUUUAUUAAUAAUAAAUAUAUAUAUUUAUAUAAAUAUAAAAAAUAUAAUUUUUUUUUAUGAUGUGUGAUCAAUUAAUUAAUUACAAUACAUAUUAAAUUAAUAAUAUUUUUUAACAAAAAUAUUAUUAAUUUACAACUAUUAAUAUAAUAUCAAACACGACUAAAUUAGUAGAAUUGUUUUUCAUUACAUGAAUAAAUUAUCCUUUUAUCAUCACCGUAGUGGCAUGAUGAGCCCAAUAUUGUACAAAAUUUAUAUUUUGCUAUAGCUACAUUCUUCACGUGCUGGGGUCAGUACCCUAGUUACUUUUGCACUCUGUUCUCUCAUUAUUAUUAUUGUUAUUAUUAGUAAAAGGGAGAAGAGGCGGAGGCCGUGAUAUUUUAAACAGGAGAAGGAAUCAAGAUCAGAUGAAAUCUGAAAGUAGGGGUGAUCAUUUUUGGUUCGGUUCAGUUUUUAUCAAAAAAAGUAAUCAAACUGAAAUUUUUUUUUUGAAAAAAAAACCGAAACCGGGUCAAACCGACCAGUUUCGGUUCGGUUUUUUAGGGCAAAAACCGGUUCAAACCGGUUUGGCUCGGUUUUCUCGGUUUUUUCGGUUUUGGCUCGGUUUUUUCGGUUUCGGUUCGGUUCGGUUUUUUCGGUUUUUUGCUUAUAAAACCGAAUCGAACUGGCCGGUUUUUUUAAAAUUUUAAUCGGUUUAAUUGAUAUUUUUUUCGGUUUUUUUUUUUCGGUUUUCUCGGUUUAAUUAGUUUUUCAGUCUUUUUGCUCACCCCUAUCUAAAAGUGGCUGCUUGUACUGUUGUCUCUCAACCCAUUAAUUACUAGCUGACAAAUGCCUACUCUAGACAUGACUAAUAUUAAAAUCCUGCUUAAAAGUAAUUUUAUUUUGAAAAGUGAAUUUAAAAAAAGUGAAUUAAUUUCUGAUAUUUGAUAGUGUAGUGAAAAAUAAGUUGAAAAAUAAUUUCUAGUAUUUGGUUAUGUCAUGGAAAAUGAGCUGGAAAAUAACUUAUUAAUUCUCAAAUUUAUUAAAAUAAUGAGGAACAAAUCUUAUAAAUUAAAAAGUUGAAUAAGAAUGAAAUUGAAAAAAAAUAUAAUUUUAUAAAUUAUCUCAAAUAAAAUAAAUAAUAAUCAAAAUAAUAGAGAUCAAAUCUAAAAAAUAAAAAAAUUAAAAGAUGAAAAAAUUAAAAUAAUAACAAUUAACAUUUCAUAAAUGAUUUCAAAUAAAAUAAGUAACAAUCAAAAGAAUGAAAAUCAAAUUUGAUAAAUAAAAAAUUUCAAUUAAAAAAUAAUAAGGGAAAAGCAAAUAACAAUUAUAAAAAUGAGGACCAAAGUUAAUAUAAAAAUUAAAUUCUAAGAGAUGAAAUUGAAAAACAAAUAUUCAAAACAAUAUAUAUAUAUAUAUAUAUAUAUAUAUAUAUAUAUAUAUAUAUAGCAAUCAAAAGUUUGAGUAUCAAAUUUGAUAUAAUCAGCAAAUAAUAUGACAUUUUUAAAUUUUUCACAACUUCCAGAAAGUGUUUUCUGCCUAAAAUAAAAGGAAAAUAUUUUCCUGAAAAUCAAGCCAAAUUUUUCUUUGACUGGAAAGUGUUUUCCGUUGACCAACUUUUCUAAUGGCAAACAAACACAAGAAAGUUUAAAAAAUAGUUUUUCAAAAACCACUUUCUAGAAAACAAACGCAGGCUAAAAAAAAGCCCUUAUGUUUUAGAAAGAACUUAAAAUGGAUAGAAAUUGAGAUUGGAUCAAUACUUAAUUAUAAAUUAGAAACACAAGUUAAUUUUUGGCCACUUAUGAUGACAUGAUAAGGCAUCGAACUACUAGAAAAUGGGAGCUGAUAACAUCAUUUCUUGUUGACGAAUAUAUCCACAUGAUUGGAAUGGAAAUCUUGACACGAUGCCGUCUUGCCAUUAAAGAAUUCCAUGACACCUUAUCAAACAAUUCAAUAAUGUAAUUUGAUUAAUAACCAUAGCAUAUAAAUUCCAAAUACAAAUUCUCACGCAGGCGAAUAUUCUCUUUUAUCUCUGUUUUUGCUCAAUUUAUAUAGCUACAUUAUAAUGACACUGAGAAAUUAAUUACUAUAAAUUGGGUGACAGUGCUGGAAAAUCGAAGUGUCACGCUACCAAGUGAUUAAAUUUAGGUGUUGCUUACCAGUGCAUAACCGCGUAAACCGCGUAUCAAUCAAUCAAUCAAAUAAAUAAAUAAAUAUAUAUAUAUAUAUAUAUAUAUAUAUAUAUAAAAGUUGGUGGUCACAAUUGCACCAACUCUAACUAGCUUGUAUAUAAAAACAAAUCAUGCAAAGUCAAGAAUCUUUUCGGUCAACUGAAAUAAUACGAUCAAUAACUUAUAUUGGGCAUUUGCUCCAUUGGUUGCAAAACUAAACAAGGAGCAAAGACAAGUCUUGAGAUCUAUGGACUUGUGCCCUUCUCAUCUUAUCAACCAAACAAAUUUAUUAUAAAAAAGACAAGAACCAAAGAAAUUAUUGCUCGAGACUAAAUUAUUACUCCUAUGGAUAUUGUGUAUUGAAAUAAUCAAGUCUUUGAGUUUGUUUGUUAAUGCAGCCAAUCACGUGAUUGGCCGCUUAACAAACACAUAUUUAGACCAUGUUUGAUAUUGAAUUUUAAUAUUUUUUUAUUUAAAAAACAGUUUGAAAUUCAAUAUCAAACAAGCAAUUAAUCUUGAAGAACAAAAUCUAAUAAGAAAUUGAAUUUUGUAUACAGAGACAAGUCACCUACUAGACUUGUGAUAAAAUAAAUAAGAAGGAGAGAAAGGAAAUAGCUAUUAGAUUAUUUAAAAAAAAAAAAAACUAAUGCAUCUUUACCCUAUAGUAUUAGAAUACAACUUUACCCUGUAAAACUAGCUCAUGCAUAUGCAUUGUGUAUGUGUGUAAACAAUCAAUCAUAUAAGAGCACACAAAGAAUUUACUUGGUUUGGUAACUUAUGCCUACUUCACGGGCAAGACAAUAAAGGAAAUUCAUUGUGAAAAAGUAGGAGAUUACUGGGUAUUAUACAAAAUUGAUUUCUUUCUCACCUAAAAUCCCAAAGUAACCCAAACUUGGGUGACUCAAAAUUAACGCACCACAACCGAUAUUCCUUCACCUUAGAUACAUAGCCUAGAAAUAUGUAUUUUCUCGCUCUCGGCCCAAGUUUAUCUUUCUUAACAUAAACAGAAGUAGGACAAUCAAAUAUUCUUAAUUUAGAGUAAUUGGUAGGAGAACUAGACCAUACUUUAUAUAGAGUCUUCAGCUCUAAAAUUAUUGAUGGAUAUCUAUUCACCUAAUAACAAUUCAUGUUAACUAUUUUAGCCUCUAAGUCCUCUGAUAAUAUGAAAGAUUUAUUCUCAACUUGUGAAAGCAUACAACAGCUCUUUCCAAGAGUGUCCUGUUUAUACAUUAUGCAACCCUAAUUUGUUGUUAUGUAUUUCUGACAGUACAAUGUCUAAGAAUUCCUUUAUUAUUGUAUAACUCUUCAAAAUCACCUAAGCAUAAUUCCAAACCAUUAUGAGUUAUUAAAUAUUUGAUCUUUUUAUUAAUUUGUUUUUUAAUCAAGGCUUUUCACUGCUUGAAUGUAACAAACACAUCACAUUUUCUCUUUAAAAAUACACUCAGAACUUCAUAGAGUAGUCAUCAAUAAAUAUCAAUAGAUAUUAUGCUCCAUCUUUUCACAUAACAAGAGAAGGACCCUAAAGGUUAGAAUGAACAUAAUCCACAGUACCUCUUGUUAUGAUGAAUAGUAUUACUAAAUUUUACCCUAUAUUAUUUACAAUAAACAAAAUGUUCACUUAAAUUUAAUUUACUUAUUUUCUGACCACAUAGCAAAUGUUAUUUGCUUAACUCUAUCAUCCCCCUCUCAUUCAUAUGUCUUAGUCGCACGUGUCAUAACUAAGUAGAACCAUAAUCCAAAUAAACAACAUAUGAUACAUGAUACAUGAGUUAAAUCAAUAAUUGUUGAACCUUGAAGAUGGUAGAGGUCAUUAACCAACUUUCCUUUCAUCACGACAAGAUCAGCCUUGCGAACUUUCAGAACUCUACGUGUAUUAGAAUAACCAUAACCUUUGAAAUCAAGAAGACUAAAAGAAAUUAGAUUUUUUUUCAUCUUCGGAACAUGUCAAACCUUUAGUGUCCUAAUAAUAUCAUCAUACAUCCUAAUUCAAAAUGUACCCAUACCAAUAAUUGAAAAUCCUUUGUUGUCUCUGAAUAAAAUAGUAUCAUUAACAACUUUAUAAAUAUCAAGCCAGCUUCUAUUAGGAUAAAUAUAAAAUGUGCAAGCCACAUCGAGAAUACAACUAUCAAUUAAGCUAUCAACAGACACAAUUAAAGCACUUUUAGCAUCAUCAGAAAUUUCUCCUUUCACUAACAAUAUUUGCAGCAUCAAAAGUUCUCUCAUUUUUCCUUAUAUUUUCACUGAAGAGAGUUCUUCCUAAAGUAUCCUACUUCAUGACAUUCAAAACAUUUAUUUCCCUAAAUUUUGAUUUUGAUUUAAAUCUAUCCCCACUACCUAGACUCUUAUUAUUUUUUUAUACCCCUCAUAAUCAAGCCCUCUGCAUGAUCAUCAUUAUAACUCUCUAACACUCAUUUUUUUUACUCUACAAAGUUUACGAAGCUUUGACAUCUUCUGAACUAAAAAUAUACCUUCCAUAUAAAAAAGUUUUUUCCUUCGUUGUCUUCUAAUAAAACAGUAUCAUUGAUAUAGACAUUUCCCCACUACUUAAACCUUUUUUUUACCUCUCACAAUCAAGCCCUCUAUAUGAUCAUCACUAUGACUCUUUGGCACUUAUUUUUUCAACUCCCUAUAGUUUAAGGAAGGUUUGACAUCUUUUGAACUAUGAUUAUAUCUUUCAUGCAAUAAAGUAUCAACAAAAUGAUCAUAAGUUAACAUCAACAUCAACAUUUUAUAAAUCUAGAAUUACUCUGUUGAAUUCAUUAAGAUGGUCUUUAAUGAGUAUAACUUCUUUCAUCCAGAGAGUAAACAAUUAAUGCUUCAGAUAUAAUUGAUUUGUCAAGGAUUUGGUUAUGUAAAGAGUUUGGAACUUUAUCCAUAAUCCAAUAGUUGUAAUCUCCUCAAUAACCUCUCUCAUAACCUAAUCAGACAAACAAAAUUGAAUAACAAUAUGUGCCCAUUCAUAAAAUCUUUUUUCUCCUCAUCAUUCAUUUCUUUGUGCAAAUUAUCUACACCUUUCAUUUUCUUAAAUAAACCUUGUUGAACUAAUAAGGCAUGCAUCUUGAUACAUCACAAGUUAGAAUCGUUUUUACCAUUAAAUUUCUAUACAUCAAAACUAGUUGUCGAUGUUACUUUUAUCGCCAUCACAAAAGCCAACUGAUAACUAGGCAAAUUAUCAAUGAUUAUAAUGUUGCGAACAAAUAUGAUUUGAUAUAACAGACAUACUUCAUGCUAAAAUAUCUAAAUCAGAAUAUUAUUGAUGAAGGGAUAAUAAUUACAUUGAGAAACCGGUCACUGAAAGGUUAAGUCAAACCACUUAUGAAUUUUCUAAUAUUUGAAGGAUCAUGACACGUUGCUAAACGGUGCACUUGAUAUUCAAAUAUAAAUUAAUCAAUUAUUGAAUUGAUAAUAAAUUAAAUUUUUUGAUUUAUUUAAUUCUAUUUAUUUAUAAUUAUAAAUUAUACUUGAGACAACAUAUUAGGAACCUGAUGGGUCACACACAUUAAGAACCAUUAGUCAAAAAUUAAAUUGAGAUGAUUAAUCAAGUGUAACUUGAUUGAAAAUAAUUUUAUAAAUUAAGCACUAAGAUGUUUUUAAUUCAAGAAUUAUAAUUCUAGUACUAGAAUAAUGAAAUAGGGACUUGAUUGAUUAAAUUUAUAAAAUUAUCCUUAAAUAAUAUAUGGAUAUUAUUUAAGGGGCAAAUAGAUAUUUUGUCAUUUAUAGGGUUUUUAGGAUUCUCUAUAAAUAUAAAGCUAUGCCUCUUAUUUUUUUAGAGAUUAUUUGUUAGACAGAAAAACUAUAUAAAUCAUUAAAUAGAGAGCUAGCACUAUAGGUAUAACAAUCAUUCUCUCCUAAAUAAAGAUUUAUGAGAUUUCUCCCUAGCAGUUCGUGUAGAUUAUCAUUGGAGACUAAACAAAUUAGACGGCUUGUGGUUUGCGACAACCCAACCUUUAAAGAAUUAUUCAAAGCCGGAGAAAAUCAGAUCUUUAGUUAAUAAAUUUCUAAAUAAUUUUAAAUCUGUCUAAUGCAAUCCUAGAAAUUUUUAAAUAUUAUUUUAAAUUUAUUAUUUUUACUGCAUGUAUAAAUUAUAGAAAACCAACAGUUAGAAUAAAAAAAAAAAGAAAAAAAAAAGAAGCAUGCUUUCAAUAAUUGAUACGGCCUUGAACAUAACAUGCAAUACCCCGACACUUUUUCCAAACUAAAUAAAAUUCAAUCUUUUUUAAAACGAUCACAAGACGGCCAGUACAUCAUGUUUUGUGUCAUUGCAAAUAAAAAGGCAUAUUCUUGACUACGAAAAGAACGUGAGUGGCAUCUUGAGUUGGGAAUAUAUGAUAUUUUAGUUAAGUUUAUUUUUUAAAAUAUUUUUUUUGUUUAAAAAUAUAUUAAAUUAUAUUUUUUUAUUUUUAAAAUUUAUCUUUGAUAUUAAUAUACUAAAAUAAUCUAAAAUACUAAAAAAAAAUUUAAAACAAAUAAAAAAAAUUAAAUUUUUUUAAAAACACUUUUCAAAAUAAAAAUAAACAUACUUUAACACAGAUCUAAACGCAACUAGACAUGUUCUCCUAUCCCCUGAUUGUGUUUACACGUAUCUUUUUAUGUUUGAAAAUCUUAUUUAAUUUGCUCUUUUAAACUUAUGAUAGAACAUAAUUGAGACAAAGACACCAGCCUAUGACCAUAAUAGAUCACAUGAAGUUGAAGUUUGAGCUAAUUUUUCAGAUUUAAUCCAUUCUUAAUUCAUGAUAACGUGAGCCAUGCUAAAAUAUAUUAUUAACAAGCUAACUAAAAUCUUUAAUUAAUAUUUUUUUCCCCUUUGUCAUGCCAAUAUAUACAAAGUGUUACGUUUUAAUCUUGUUACAUGUUAUCUUGAUAAAUAUAAUACAUAGACAGAUAUUGGAUAUAACAUAAACUAUAUAUAAGUAUUUGAGUGGAUUCAUCACCCUAGGUGAAUUAGAGAAAAUGUUUUACAUUUUCUCAAAGUAUUGAUUGUUAAAUCCUUGCGCAAAGUGGAAUGAGAUAUGAAAAAAAAUUAAAUCUUAUUCAAAUGAUUAAUGAUUAUAAUGUUGCGAACAAAUAUGAUUUAAUAUGACAGACAUACUUCAUGUUAAAAUAUCUAAAUCAGAAUAUUAUUAAUGAAUGAAUAAUAAUUACACUAGGAAAUCAGUCACUGAAAGGUUAAGUCAAACCACUUAUAAAUUUUCUAAUAUUUUGGGGAUCAUGACACGUUGCUAGACUGUGCACUUGAUAUUCAAAUAUAAAUUAAUCAAUUAUUGAAUUGAUAAUAAAUUAAAUUUUUUGAUUUAUUUAAUUCUAUUUAUUUAUAAUUAUAAAUUAUACUUGAGCCAACAUAUUAGGAACCUAAUGGGCCACACACAUUAAGAACCAUUAGUCAAAAAUUAAACUGAGAUAAUUAAUCAAGUGUGACUUGAUUGAAAAUAAUUUUAGAAAUUAUGCACUAAGAUGUAUUUAAUUCAAGAAUUAUAAUUUUAGUACUAGAAUAAUGAAGUAGGGACUUGAUUUAUUAAAUUUAUAAAAUUAUCCUUAAAUAAUAUAUGGAUAUUAUUUAAUGGGCAAAUUGAUAUUUUAUCAUUUAUAGGGUUUUUAGGAUUCCCUAUAAAUAUAAAGUUAUGCCUCUUAUUUUUUUAGAGAUUAUUUGUUAGACAGAAAUACUAUGUAAAUCAUUAAAUAGAGAGCUAGCACUCUAGUCAUAACAAUCCUUCCUUUCUAAAUAAGAAUUUAUGAGAUUUCUCCCUAGUAGUUCGUGCGGAUUAUCAUUGGAGACUAAACAAAUUAGACGGCUUGUGGUUUGCGACAACCCAGCCUUUAAAGAAUUAUUCAAAGCCAGAGAAGAUCAGAUAUUUAGUUAAUAAAUUUCUAAAUAAUUUUAAAUAUGUCUAAUGCAAUCCUAGAAAUUUUUAAAUAUUAUUUUUACUGCAUGUAUAAAUUAUAGAAAACCAACAGUUAGAACAGAAAAAAAAAUAAAAAAAUAAAAAAAGUAGCAUGCUUUCAAUAAUUGAUACGGCCUUGAACAUAACAUGCAAUACCCGAGACUAAAUAAAAUUCAAUCUUUUUUAAAACGAUCACAAGACGGCCAGUACAUCAUGUUUUGUCUCAUUGCAAAUAAAAAGGCAUAUUCUUGACUUCGAAAAGAACGUGAGUGGCAUCUUGAUUAGGGAAUAUAUGAUAUUUUAGUUAAGUUUAUUUUUUAAAAUAAUUUUUGUUUAAAAAUAUAUUAAAUUUAUUUUUUUUAUUUUUAAAAUUUAUCUUUGAUAUUAAUAUAUUAAAAUAAUCUAAAACACUGAAAAAAAAAUUUAAAACAAAUAAAAAAAUUUUAAUUUUUUUUAAAAACACUUUUCAAAAUAAAAAUAAACAUACUUUAACAUAGAUCUAAACACAACUAGACAUGUUCUCCUAUCCCCUGAUUGUGUUUACACAUAUCUUCUUAUGUUUGAAAAUCUUAUUUAAUUUGCUCUUUUAAACUUAUGAUAGAACAUAAUUGUGACAAAGACACCAGCAUAUGACCAUAAUAGAUCACAUGAAGUUGAAGUUUGAGCUAAUUUUUCAGAUUUAAUCCAUUCUUAAUUCAUGAUAACGUGAGCCAUGCUAAAAUAUAUUAUUAACAAGCUAACUAAAAUCUUUAAUUAAUAUUUUUCCCCUUUGUCAUGCCAAUAUAUACAAAGUGUUACGUUUUAAUCUUGUUACACGUUAUCUUGAUAAAUAUAAUACAUAGACAGAUAUUGGAUAUAACAUAAACUAUAUAAAGGUAUUUGAGUGAUCAAGAAAGGAUUCAUCACCCUAGGUGAAUUAGAGAAAAUAUUUCACAUGUUCUCAAAGUAUUGAUUGUUAAAUCCUUGCGCAAAGUGGAAUGAGAUAUGAAAAAAAAAUUAAAUCUUAUUCAAAUGAUCAAUGACUAUAAUGUUGCGAACAAAUAUGAUUUAAUAUGACAGACAUACUUCAUGUUAAAAUAUCUAAAUUAGAAUAUUAUUAAUGAAUGAAUAAUAAUUACACUGAGAAACCGGUCACUGAAAGGUUAAGUCAAACCACUUAUAGCUUUCUUAAUAUUUGAGGAAUCAUGACACGUUCCUGCUAAACGGUGCAUUUGAUCUUCAAAUAUAACAGUGACAAAGACAUCAGCUUAUGACCAUAAUAGAUCACAUGAAGUUGAAGUUUGAUCUAAUUUUUCAGAUUUAACCCCUUCUUAAAUUCAUGAUAACGUGAGCCAUGCCAAAAUAUGUUAUUAACAAGCUAACUAAACUCUUUAAUUAAUGUGGGAUUGUCCUCUUUCUUUUUCUCAAGUUGCCAAUUGUUUGGUAUCUUUCCUUUUCAAAUCGCUACUAAUAGAAAGCUAUGCAUCAACAAUUCCAAUCACGCAGAAAAACAUCACGAGGAGAAGAGAACAAAAGGUUAAUUAACUCAGAAUUUCCACUCCUAAUUUCUUUGAGUUUGGCAAACUAAUUUGUCCAUGGCCAACCCCAAGAAUGGAAGUUACUCGUUAUUCAUAACUUAAUUCAUCAUUUUAGGCCACAACAAGGCAGGCUAAGCCAUGAAAGGAGAUGGAAUCCAGUUGUCCAUCCCAAGAAUAAAAACAAGAAGAAGAAGAAGACGACGCAAUGCCGUCAAAGUACAAAACGUAGAAAAGUCCAGAUUAGGAGAUGGAUUCACUUGAUCUAGAUUUGAGAAAUUUAUGGGUGGUAUUAGCUGUCAAGAGCCGUACUUUUCAUGUGCGACAAGAUAAGUACUCAGAUUUGUCUGGUGCUCUCUCCCUGUUGAAAAAUCAAGAAACUAAUUGAAACAUAUUAUUCCAAUAUUCAUAUUCCUCAUCUGUCGACAACCCGAGUGAUGGGUGAAAUGUGCGGCAGGUUAUCAUCAAUGUCUUUUUCUUAGUUGUCCUCUCAUUACAGCUAGGACUGCUCUACGCCAUGGAUCUUUUAUUUUCCCCCAUUUUCUUUAAAAAAAUAUGUGCCUUGCAUCGUCCCCAAGUCUCUCUGUGCUCUGUAUAUGCAUGCAAUGACUGGAAAUAUAAGAGAGAUCUAUCCUCUUGAAUAUCAGUUGAGAUAUCUUCAAAAUCACAUACGCUGUGUCAAGAUGUCUUUGUGUUCAACAAAAUCUCUCAAAAUGUUUCAGAUUUUAACUAAAAAUUAAUAACAGAGUUUGGCAGAUGUUCAACAUGAUCGUGGAUUAUCAUGUUAUGUUUAAGAACACGAAGUUAAACUAUAAUUAUAAAACUCAUGCACAUGGUUAACGUAAGAAAAUGGAGAGUCUGACUUGGUGAAAAUCAUGGUUGAGUUUUUUAUGAUUUAUAUAAUUUAAUCAAACAUGAUCAUGAUCCAAACCUGAUUGGAUCAAUUGAAAACCAAUUUUUUUAGCUUUUUAAUGUUUUCUAAUUAUUUUAAAUAUAUUUAAAAAUAAAAAUAUAUUUUUAUUUUAAUCUGAUUUUCACCAAGUCAGAUUCUCCAUUUUCUUACGAAAACUAAGAAAAUUAAUUAAAAAAAUAAUCUUUACCAUAUUCUGCCGUAAAUACAUAAACUUUAGCUCUACCUUGAGAAAGAGAAAUUCAGCGGCAGUGGAAGGCUCACAAGACCACAUAAGGGCUUUCUCACAACCAACCAGCUUCAUCCAUGGCGUCGAUGAUGAAUGCGAAGGAAGAUCAAGACUGGAAGGGCGUUGCAAGUCCGAAGAAAGCAGCAUGCAAGGGAGAUAUUGGGCCUGAACAAUGUUAUUAUAUUGCAUAGCGAACCCCAUGACAUGGGCUGGACCAGUUGUUUGUAGCUUAGGCCCAUCUAAUGACAAAGGAUACGAAAGUCCAAUCUUCGAAGUCCAUAUACAACGUCAUUCGUAUUUAUGUAAUGGGCUUUUUAGGACAUCAGGCUAUGGUCGUUAGUGACGGGGGGCCCUAUCCAAUUCAUGUUCUGCCUCCCAAAAAUUAAAAUCUAAAUUUUAUAGUUGUAGUCUAAAAAAACAAAAGGAAAUAGUACUCAAGUGCAGAAAAGGGAAGAUUUUUACGUGCAAAAAUACUUUUGAAAAAAUUAAAUAAAUUUUAUAUAAUAAAAAAAUAUUAUUUUAAUAUAUUUCUAAAUAAAAAAAAUACUUUAAAAAAUAAUCGGUCUCACUUAUCAAACCUCCCUUAAUCAAUUUCUUUCACCGGUUUCUGUUUUUUUUCUACCUAUUUGAAAGUGUAUUUGUGGUUGCUUUUUAAAGUGUCUUUCAUACCGAAAUAUAUUAAAAUGAUGUUUUUUUAUUUUUAAAAAAUUAUUUUUGAGAUUAACGCAUCAAAACAAUCCAAAACAUGUUAAAAAAUUAAUUUUUAAAAAAAAUUAAAUAAAUUUUAGAAAAAAAAUAUAUUGAAUUUUUUCUAAGGUUACAAGUUUCCAUGUAUAAAGAUUUGGUCAAUAUUCCUCCAUGUGAGUACCAUUAUUAUAUGGGGCUCACUCACCUACACCAUCAUUAUGUCCUCGGCAUGGCUCCGGUGAUAAACUCAUAUCGGUUUAACAAAAGAAAGAAUUAUAAGAAGAAGAAAAAAACUUAUGUGAAAAGCUAUUUUAAUCAAUUUUAUAUUUUUAUCAACUUUCUUUUUUCAAAAAUAAAAAAAAAAUAGAUAAUAUUAACGAGAAGGAGCACAUACAUCCUCCAGGAAUUUAAAAACUAGGAGUAAUAUAUAAUUUACUCAAAAAAAAAAAAUUCCUCAAGGAUGUUUUACUAGAGGAGCACCCCCACAAAAACAAUAAAAGAAAGAAAAAAUUAGUCAUCUAGUAAGUGAUCUAGUGAUAAGAGUUUGGAACUAAGAGGUUUGUCCCCCUUAUGAUCUCAGGUUCGAGUCUUGUAGUUGCUAAUAUAAUGACCAUUGGAGACUUACAUGGUCGUUAACUUUAGGGUUCGUGGGAUUAAUCGAGGUACGCACAAGCUGAUUCGGACAUCUACAUUAAAAAAAAAAAAAAAAGUUAAUUUUCCCUUUCCCUUUCUCUUUCUUCUUUUUCUAAAUGAAAGGCUGCUAGUAUAUUUUUUCUCCUCUGUCAUGCCAAUCUUCAAGGAGUUAAAAGUAAAAUACAGUAUGCUAAGCCAAACCACCCACGGAAUACCUAAAAAGGCACACUGAAUGAUUAGCAGCGGACCUUAUCCCUGUCACGAUUACCACUUUUUGGAUAAGCCCUUCCAUCACCCUUACCCAAACGUAUCCAAUUUAUUCAAGAAAGUUCAGCUUAAUAUAAAGAGAAAAAAAAUGUUGACGCUGUUUUGACUGCAUGCUUCCACGUAAGAUUCUUUGGGAUUGGAAGCCUUUGGAUGUGGAUUUUUUUUUUAGUUUAACGUGGGUGUCCGGACCAGCUUGCGUGCUCCUCAACUAAUCUCACAGGCCCUGAAGUUAACGACCAUGUAAGCCUCCAGUGACCAUCAUAUGAGCAACCACAUGGCUCGAACCUGAGACCACAGAGGGAGAAAACCUCUUAGUCUCAAGCUCUUACCACUGGGUCACCACCUAGAUGGUUUGGAUGUGGAUUUUUAGAUUUUUAGAGAUGGCUAUUUGACUAUAAGAUCGAUUUCGCAUUUUUUAUCGACGUGUGUUUUUGUGUGUUCAGAGUUUUUAAUAUGAAAAAAAAUUAAAUUUAUGUUUUGUUUAAAAUAUCUUUAAAAUUUUAAUGUAUUAAUGUUAAAAAAUUAUAAAAAAAAUUAUUUUAAUAUAUUUUUAAAUAAAAAUAAAAUUUUAAAAAUAUCAUACAUCACAAUAUUAAACACAAGCGUAAUAUCCCAACCCAUAUAUACCCAAAUAAAAGGAAUUAAAAAAACUAUUAUUUACUGAAAAUAAACAGUUGAUUAUAUGCGUCAAAAUUUAAAUAACUCUAACUAUUAGUAUUAUUAGCAAUGUGAUACAACAACAGUACCCAUCACCAUUUACUCGUGAGGUUGAGAAGAACCUCUAUUAACCCCCUUUUUUUCUAUUAUACAAAAUUAUUACAAGAAAAUAAAACAAAACAUAAUAGCUCAAUUAUACAACAUAAUAAUGCAAGAUGUCUUAACACCUUACACCUUACGACCACCACCUCUAACGGUUUCAUCUCCACUAGUUAUAUUACUAUUUAUUUCCGUUAUUUCAUAUAUAAAAAUUUUCACUAAUUUUAAAAAUACAAAGUUAUUAAGUUUAAUAGAGUUAAUAAUACGAAUUGUGGAUUUGAUAGGUUAACUCAGGUUUACUCAGGUUUUUUUUUAGCCUUUUCUUUAAUUAAAUUUUUUUAUUUACAACUUUGUCUUUCAAUAUAGGGUUGAUUGAGAAUUAGAUAUUAUAAUUUAUUUUGAUUUUUUUUUAAGAUGUUAUUAUGAUUUCAUGACCUGAUUUCUAAGUUUGGUUGGUUGAUUUAAGUUGACUAGGUCGAUCCAAUAUGUUUUCGUCUUAAUAUUUUUUAAAAAAUAACCAUCUAAUAUAUCACCAUAUUAAUAUUUAAAAUAUAUCAUCCAACAUGAAUUUGAUUUUGAAUUCAUUAUUAAAAAAACCUUUUAGAAAACACAUCAUCAAUGCCUUGAUAUUUUAUUUUUUUUACAUUAAAAAAAAUUAUGAUCUGCAGCAUAAUACAACCAAUUAGCUAAUUAAAAAAACAAAGUUAUGUGGUGAAUUCACUAUAGCAUUUGUAUUAUACACUCUCUUACUUUCUAUGGAUUGAAAUAGUUAUUUUUUUAUAAAUUUUUAAUUUGACUCUCUAACUUUUCUUUGCACAAUUAAGCCAUUUUAAGCUCAAAUUAGCAACCAAUAACUCUUUUUAUUUAAGGAAUAACUGGAUUGAAAGACAAAUAACUAAAGUAAAAAAAGCAAUUAUUAUAGGUGGUGGCUUUAAAUUUUAGUUGAAAAGUUCCUUUCAAUCCCCUAUUUUGUUUUUUAGUUAUUAAAUAAUCGGUCACUUGAAUUAUUAAAAAUUUUAUUUUAGUACCAAACUUUAUUUCCUUCAUUUUUCAAAUCCUUUUUGUGAGAGGAGAAAGAGGUUUGUCAAAUUUCAAUAUAGAGAGAUAAAGUCACCAUUGACAACUAUUCCAACCACAAAAAUGAUCGAUAUCGAUGUCAAUGGGUUUCAUUUCAUGAGAGGGGUUUCACAUAGGUGUUUGUUUUAUCCUGCUCCUUUUCUUAUGAGGCAUUUCUGACUGAAGGGAUAUAUUUGAGUUCGGGUUGAUUUUGGUUUUUUGAGUUGUAUUUUAAGUUUUUUGAGGUCACGUAUAGGUUUGUUAAGGUGUUUAGUGUGUUUUUUGUGUAUUUUUUCAAAAACAGGUUUAAAUGAGUUUUUUAACAAAAAAAACACUUAAGGCCUUAUUUUUCUGGCAACUUUAGUCGUUGGACUUUGUAUAAAGCAAACGACACACCAUCUGUUAUCCUUUUAAAAAAAAUGGGGCGAACAACAAGUCGCUCACGGGCUGAGCUAGAAGGUCUAGGCACGCAGACUAGGCUGUUUUUCUUUUAAUUUUAAUGCCCAUGCAAGUUAGGCCACCAUACCCAUAUGCCUAGGCUCCUUUUAGUUUUUUUGUUUUUGAUUUUAUUUUAUUAUUUUAUAUUUGGACUAGAAAAUAAUGAUAAAAAAAAAAUCAUGGACCCAAUUAAAUUUAUAAGUCAAUUGGUAGGUUUAAUGAGUUAAUUUGUAACAUUCAGGCUAUUAUUUGUUUGUUUUUUUUUCCUUCAAUUUAAUAUAUAUAUAUAUAUAUAUAUAUCAUUAUUUUUUUAUUGAUGGUCUAUUUUUUUAUUUAACUCAAACAUAAAAGAAUUUUAUUACUUGUUAUUAAUAAUCUACUUUUUUUAUCUCAACCCCACACGCUUACCACGUUUUUUUUUUUUUUUAAAUCAUACAAUAAAAUUAUUAUGCAUUUUGUUAUUAUAUAAUUUAAUUAAAUGAAAAAUAAUAUCUAUGAUAAAAAAAAUUAUUAAUUCAGAUGAUGUGCGAGUCUUAUUUAUUAACUUGAAUUCAUUUAGAUUUUUUAAAUUAAAUAUUAUUUUUUAUUAAUUUAAUCAUUUAAUAUUAAAUUAAUUAAAAAUUAAACAUUCUAUUUUCAACUCCGGAAAAGCAUUCACAAAUGAGGGUGAAGAUAGUGGCAGGCAGCAUCUUCUACAUCAGGUAAGAUGUUGUGGAUAAACAAAGAAGACAAAGAAACAAACUCAAAUUUAGAUAAGACUACAUCGAAGUACGAGAAUCCUUAUCACCAAUCACACUAAGCUCCACGCCCCCAAAGAUGGAUAAUAUUACCUAUGUCCACCUUGGAAAAACAUAACCUUAAUGUCUGAAAGUGAUCCUAUAAAUACUACUUCAGACCUUGGUGGUCACCUCUCCCCGUCUGUGAUCGUAUAUCAAUUCUGUAAACAAAAAACAAAGGCAUAAAUUUUAGGCAAUUUUACAGGUUUAUUUUGUAAGUGUUGGCUUGGAAAGCAGAGGAUUAGAAAAUGUUGGCAAUUUUUCACAAAGCUUUUGCUCACCCACCUGAGGAGCUUAAUAGUCCAGCAUCUCAAAAUGUUACUAAGAAGCCUAAGCUUCCUGAGGAAACACUCAAUGAUUUCCUUUCUCACCGCCCUCAGAAAACUUUCUCCAUGAACUUUGGUCAAGCUGCUGUGCUUGCCUAUGCUCCCCAAGAUAACCCUUUCUCUCCUCAACAAAAGUACUUGCAUAUUGAUUGAAUUUCCUUUCCAUUGUUAAAUAUUUGUUGUUUGAUUCAUUCAAAAAUUGUUAAAUUACUGUCUUGUUGAUGGUAUAUGUUCUGCAGGCUGUUUUGUGGUUUUGAUGGUAUAUACUGCCUUUUCUCUGGAAGCUUGAACAACUUAUGCACACUCAAUAGGCAGUAUGGAUUGACAAAGGGGACUAAUGAGGCCAUGUUUGUGAUAGAAGCUUAUAAGACUCUUCGUGAUCGAGGUCCUUAUCCAGCUGAUCAAGUUGUUAAGGAUCUUGAUGGGAGCUUUGCUUUCGUUAUCUAUGAUAGCACGGCUGGAAGUGUUUUUGCUGCACUGGUAUGUUAAAUUCUUCAUUUUGACUCCUUUGGUCAAUUGGUUAAUUCCAUCUAAUGAGCUAUGUUCAAAUCAUAUCCAAGCAUGUUUUAUUUUCUUGGUCUAGCUUCCAAGUUUACUGUAUGGUCACAGGGUUCUGAUGGUGGAGUUAAGCUGUACUGGGGUAUUGCAGCAGAUGGCUCUGUGGUGAUAUCUGAUGAUUUGGAAGUCAUAAAAGAAAGCUGUGUCAAAUCGUUUGCUCCCUUCCCAACAGGUACUUUGUAUUGUAAUAGCAAGGGCUAAUCACAGAUGACAAACAACAUCAAUGUUUUUGGAGCUGCAUUAAUAUCACAAUCUGGAUUUGCAUUAUAAUCAUCUCUCUUUUACAUGAGAAAAUGUUGCUGUGUGUCAUAUAUAAUGGUUGAUUUACUCAUCAAAAUGAUGAUGGUGAUGGAUGUACAGGAUUCAUGUUCCAUAGUGAAGGAGGCUUGAUGAGCUUUGAGCAUCCAAUGAACAAAGUUAGAGCAAUGCCAAGGACCGACAGUGAAGGAUUUCUCUGUGGGGCAAAUUUCAAGGUUGAUGUCUACACAAGGAUCAACAGCUUACCCCGUAGAGGAAGUGAAGCUAAUUGGACCGAGUGGCAAUCACACAGCUAAGAAUUUGUUGUGCUUCAAUUCAUAACCGGAUCAAAAAAUGUUAGCAUCAGCUACCAUCUUCCAAAUUGUUAUCUAUUCUUAACGUUUUCUCUGCUUUGUUUUGUUUUCGUUUCUAUUUUUGUUUAUUUUACUCUGUUUUCUUUUCACUCGGUACAGCCCUCAAUAAGAGGGCAACGUGUUCAAUCGGUGCCCAGAACCUUUUAUUUAUCUAUUCACUUUUAUGAAUCCUUUAAACCCCCAAUCAAAGCUCGGGCAAAAAAUCAUUUCUGCCAAUCACAAAAUUAGAGAAUCAAUCUGAAUUUGCAGUUUUGCACACACUUAAAACGUAUUGAUCCUAAGGAAAAGGCAUAGGCAAUGCCUCUCAACAAAUACUCACAAAAGAAUCUGCUUUAACAGCAAAUACCAAAGCUGUGAAAGCAUUUAGAGUCUAGUUUUAAGAAAUUUUUUGAAAAAAAGUUUAACUUCUGAUAUUUACUUGCCGCGUGAUUAUGUAUUGAAGAAAUCGAAGCUCUGAGAUGCGGAAAAGGAUGGCGUGCCAAAAAAUACCAACUUGAUUAAAACGCAUGAUAAGCUAAUCCAAGGCAGGGACAAAAAACUUGUAAUGCCAACGAGGGCAAUAAUACCAAAAUGGUCAUAUUUUCCAUGUAGGAUACAAGGUGAUAUAAUAAAACCAACAACAUGAGGAGGAGGAGGAGAUCAUUCCUUCCACAUGUCUGCAAAUUCAUCAGGCUCCAAUGGAUUUGAUAGCUCGUGCAUCUUCCUCCUCGUCUUGGCUUUGACUUUCUUGGCAAACUUCCCAGCCUUCUGCUUUUUCUCCAGUGCUCGAAUCUGCAAGAUUGAAAUGAAUAUCAUGCCAUUGAUGCCAAAAUACUAGAAGAGAGAAAAAUGAAUUAUAUAUAAUCACAGCAAUUGAGGACAAACACCUAAUAACCUCUGAACAAAAAGGUCAGUGAAUGAACAGACAGUGCAUGGUCGCAUUGGCUUGAACAUUUGUUGAACUCAGUUAUUAGGCAAACCCAGUAAGGGGGGGAACUCGACCAUGAAUCUAGCCAGAAGAUUCUUGACGGUUUCAUUUAAACAAGAAACUUAUCACUAUGGAAAACCAUCAAAAUGGUGGAUAUUUUGAUACAGCUCAUCAAACGAGGAGCUCUUCUCUAACUAAAGAAAAGUUAAUCAUACUUGUGAUGCCAAAAUGAAAAUUAACGUGAAGAAAACUCUGACCUGGUUAGGUGAUACAAAAAAGGGAUUUUCAUACAAUGUUGGGCCUCCAAAGCUGCCACCAAAAAUCUUGAUAGGAUUCAAGCAAAAUCUUGGACCAACCUGCACAAAAUCAUUCUAUCGAAAUUAAAUAACUACCGUAGGUGUUUCACUGUGUGCAUAAAUUCAAAAGUACAUCAGAGCAAAACCUCAACAAGGGUCAUCUUAUCCAGGCCUCCUCGAGCUAUUUUAUCUGUUUCGUUAUGAGGAACAGAUAUCUAUAUCAAAGAAGAAAAGGAGACGGUUAUGAGUUAGUUCAAAAAAAAUAAUGAAAACAGGGUGAAAAAAGCUUCAUAGCAAAUAAAAACAAGGGGUAUAAAAAACAUUUUCAAAACGCUAGAGAGCAUUCCAAAAUCAUGCAACUAAGACACUUGUAUGCAAUUGCAACAAGCGUUGUGCAUAAAAAGUUGAGGUAUAUACAUACAUAUAUAUUCAUAUGCAUAAAAAUUCAGGUAUUUUUUGAAAGUUUGAAAGCAGUGCAACUGCUGAUUUUGAGCAACCACUUUAUGGGUCCAGAAUUGUUCUCUACAUCACAUUGCUCUUGCACUAUUAAAAGGGACUCAGCGCUUCAAGCAAAGAAGAUUUCUGAGUGCUCACAUUAGAAUAAAAGAACUGGGACUGAGUAUCGGUAAUUCUAAUUGCAAUAACAUGGUUCUAAUUGGUGAUUACGGAUGCUGAUAGCUACAUCUGAGAAAGUUAUCCCACAGAAUAAUGGAAGACAACAUUGUGUGCUCGUCAAUACAGAUUUUACUAUGACAGCCAACACCUUUAAAUAAAUAAGAUAUUAAAGUAAUUUCAGUCACUGAAUCUGCAAGAGCACCAGAAGUAUAGUAUCUCUAUAACUGCAACUAUAAAACCAUCUGUAGUGGAAUUUGGAUGGCUGAACCAGCCUCUAAUAUUCAAGUAGUGUAUCCCUUUCAUUCCUAAAGCAGGCUGUAAGUAACACGGCAUAACAAUUUAAGAAUAUAUGUGAAAACAAGGGAUAAUACAGAGGAAUGAACAUCUAUCAUGAGUGAAGAAAAAAGUAGGAAGAAGAGGCAAAAGAUAGAAAAUGCAGCCAAAGGGUUAUCUGGGCUUUAUGGCCAGAAAAGAAAGAAAUCUUUCUUGUAUAAAUUUAUGAAAAUAUAAAAAAUGUGAUUUAUCACAGCAGUAGCAGCCAUUAAAUAAUAAGUAAACCCUAAAAAAAAAAAAGGAAAACCUGGCCCUUAAAAAUAACUAAAUCUUAGUUGUCCAAACCUCCCUAAUAAAUAGGGCAUAAUAAACAAGGGAAGGAAAAACCCUAAUUAUAUGAAGCUGGUACAGUAUUGUGAACUACACUACUUAGGAUUUGUCCUGCAUCAAGAUGUCCAAUGAUGAAAGUGGCCAUUCUGCAAGUCCAAUGAACAGACUAUUUGAUUGAUAGCUGUGCUUAAGGUUCCAAACUAAAAUAAGGAUCCAAUCUGACAAACUGAACAUCUCGUUUAUCAAAGGUUAACCUGAGACAUGCAACAUCUAUCUGGAAGGGUACAGUCAAUUAAAAACUGUUUUGAUAUUUAGUAGAAAUCCCAGCCUAGGAAAUUUGCAGAAAAGGUGAAGAGGAAAAGGAAAUAACUUUUUAAUAUAUGUGGGUUUCUGACUAGGGAUUUCCAAGUGAAUAAAGUAGCACAUUGUUUAGGAUUCCAAAAUACCAGACAACUAAAAGGUAGCCCAUACCACUUCAUAUGUAAAUUUCUAGCUUGAACAACUUGUGGAAGGGGGUAGUUCAUUAAUUUGUCGACUUGUGGAAGGGGGUAGUUCAUUAAUUUGUUAUAAUUUCCAAGUUAGAAACAUAAAGCUAGGAAAAACAUUAAAAACCUCAAUGCACAUUAGCAAGGCAGAAAUUGUAUGAAUGCUUCAAUAAAAUUUGACUUCCAAAUACGGUCUAAUAUACCUGGUAAUUCCGAAACCAUAUAUGGUCAUCAACAAUGGAGAAAACAAAGACAUGGUCAUAAAAAGGCUUAGAUUUCCUGUGAUCUUUUGGAGUUCCAAAUAUCUGAAAAAAAAGAUGAUAAGGUCAAUGUCCAAGUAUCAUAUAAAAUGACUUUUGAAGUUAACACACAGAGUUCAUCAUCAACAAUUGGUAUAGCAUAUGAGAAGGAAUCAGAAGUUACAUUUUGCAACCUUGAAAGAAAAGUUUGAGUGUUGUAUCCGUGCAGUUAACAGAUCAGUAUAUCCUCAACUAAUCUUAAAAAGCAAAAAUGACUAAAUCUUGAGCUAAAAAAGUUGCUUUAUGAAUGUAUCUGAUUCUACACAGCACCAGAAACAAAAAAGUCCAAAAUGGUCAUCUCUCUCACCAUACUGUUAUGAACAAGGCCAUAAGAUGCGAGAGGAGCACUUGUAUUAUUGCAAAAAUUGUAGAUACUAGAAUAUCAAUCAUAUUUGUUUACCAUAUUUCCUGGCAGACUUUGCCAUUGGAAGAUAUUUUGGAAAGGUAUUUCACGAUUGUCUUUUAGAGAAUGAAGAAUCUGGUGGUAUAGUCAUGCAUUAUAAGAUAGAACACAGAUAAAUGUUGCUUCUAAGGUGAGAAACAAAAAUCAAAAUACCUGAAUGAUCAUCUCCUUCAGGAGUUUCCAGUGGGCAUCUUUAUCAAAAUUAGCUGAGAAAGUCAAGAGGGGUCUUGACCCUUUCAGAUGAUUUCCUGUAAGCUUCAAUUCUUCCAUUGUGUGCACUAAAAUGAACAAGACAGGUUGCAAUGGUUAGGCUACUUAGUCAUAAUACAAGAAAAGAGCUAACCAUGUGAACAAAUCAAUUUAUUAGAUUAAUCACAACAGCAGCUUCUUUUUUCUUUUCUUCCUGUUUCUGUUUUUUUUUUUUUUUGGUUAAAGAGAUUAUACUAUCAGAAUGGGAACAGAAGAAAAUUACAAAAAGGACUGCAGGGUAUCCUCCAUAGUAGAGUGCAAGAAAUUGGAUCAAAGAAAAUCAGGAAAUGGCUCUCCAGUGCCACUGAAUACUAAUGGAAGGAAAAUGUUCGAAUGCCCAACCCAAAACACCACAAGAAGUCAGAAGGACUAUUCUAGACCAUAACAACUGCUUAAAAAUAGAGAAUUUUUGAGAUUUUCAAAUUUUACUCCACACAAAUACUCAAAGUCAAAGCAGACAAGGUACAUCUCUAUGAAGAUUUCGCUAUCUUCCACCUCCCAAUACCAUUAAAUGCAUGUGUUAAAAUUGUGAUGCUACAAACAUUAGCAUUUGAAUAUAAUAAGUGCAAGCCUAUUAAAAAACAUGAUUAUAAAAAAUAUCACAAAAAAAUAAAAAAUUAACAUACCAGCAUUGACUAAGAAUUUCACAGACGGACCACUAGGGCACUUGACCAUCCAUAGAUACAAAUCUUUAUGUUUCCUGCACUGAAAUAGAGAGAGAAAGGAGAACAAAAAAAUCAUCAACAAACAAUCUAAAAUAUGGCAACUUAAGUUCAUCUUUUUUUCCUAAUCUCAAAGUCGAUAGUUAUAUAAUCACCACACCUCCUCUCAAAGUUACCUAGUUAUUUUCCUUCAAAUUACCAAACCACGCAAACAAGUGGAACAAUUAUCAAUAUUAAAAUUCAUGUGAUGAGUUAUCGUAGGUAUUAAACCUGCAACCACUUGCACAAAUAAUAUGGAAUUAACCAGGUCAAAUUGUUUCUUUAAGGAAGAAAACAACUAAAUUUGAAGUUCACCUCAAAGAACAAAGAGGAAGAACCAUUCUUCAACUCAACAAGCUCAUUCAAUGUCGCGCCUUUAGUACUUGUAGACUCAACCUUACUAUCCUUCUUACAAUGCGGCAGAAGUGACACCAAAUUCAACAUCAAGUGCCUAUACCUGCAACACCAACAAUUCUUUCAAACACCAACAAAAUCCAGCAACCCCCCAAAAUCCCAACAAACCCCGAAAUCAAAUAUAUAAGCAUUAAUAUAAAAGGAUUGGAUCUUUAUGGAACCUGAAAUUGAUACGCCUAGAACAAGUAACCAAGACUUUCUCUUUAUUUCUAAAACCACCCUGUUGAGGAGGUAUAAAUUCAGUCUCUUUCACUUCGGGUUUAUCUUUCCAACCCAAGAGCGUCCUUUUGGGUCUCUCUGGUGCACCUUCAUCUUUCUUUGCAGGUUCAAUGACCUGUGUCUCAACGUGCUUUCUCUUCUUUCCCAUAGUUUUCUUUGGUUACGUACAGAUACCUGAAACACAUGAAAUCUUUAGCUUAAACACCAUGAAAACAAUACAAAGUCUGUAUUUAGUUGUCAAGAGAACUAAGCAGGAGAAGGGUUGGAACCUAAAGAGGGGAAAGCUAGCUGCAGAGAGACAACGAGUUUCUGUCAACGAGGAGCAAAACCGUGAUAAAAACCUAAGUUUUAAAAAAGGUAUUGAAAGUGCUCACGGCCCAAACUAGUCGAUUGGACUCUUAUAGCUUAGAUGGAUUGGCCCAAUAAAUGAUGAGCUCAAGCCGAGUAAUCCCAGAUGGGUGGAUUUUUAUGGAGAAAAGUGUCCUGUGUUUUUUUUUUAGUGUUUAACCUUUUCUUAUGUUAAGAACUCGAAAACUCUUUCUAUUUAUAUGGUAAACACAAACAAAUUAGCAGAAUGCUUUUUUCUUAUUUUAAUUAAACAUCUAAAUUGUUUAUAUAUAUAGCUUUACAAAGAUAACAUGCUUAUUAAUGCGGUAAAUCUUUAAGAAUCAAACAUCUUGUUCAUAAAAAAUAGGAAGUGUGGUUGUGGUUGUAUUUUAAAGUGUUUUUCACUCAGAAAUGCAUCAAAAUAAUAUUUUUUUAAUUUUUAAAAAAUUAUUUUUUAUAGUAGCGCAUCAAAACGAUCCAAAAACAUUAAAAAAUAUUAAUUUUAAGCAAAAACAAAUUUUUAAAAACACAAGUUGGACCGCUUUCCCAAACGAUCCCUCAAGUCCUAAAGACUAUUAAUUCUAACAACUAAUAGUUUUAAUAUCCUCCGUCUUGAACUUAUGUCUUAACAUAAGAACAUAACCUAAAGUACUUAUUCUGAUAUAAACCUGGUGGAUAUAAAGAUACAGAAACUCAUGGUCAAGAUUGAUCAUGAAUCCUAAAAAAAAACUAAAUUCAAACUUUUAAAUUGAGCUUAACACUACGAUGACUUGUAUCGAGACACCAAGAUUAUAAUAAUUGAGCCCUCCAAUGAUUAUAAAGAACUGCAAAUGAAAAGAAUACAAGACUCUAUGAAGAUUGGUUAAUACUUUGAUAAUUCAAUAGAAUUUCUUUGCAUAACCAAAGCAAGAGAAAUCUCUCACAACACAUAAUAAUAAUUGUUGAAAUCAAAAUCUAAAAAACAAAAACCUAAUUACAAGAUAAAUAACAUGUUUAUAAUAGGUAAAAAUAUAUUAAAUAAUGUUGGAGAAUAAUAAAAGAGUUCUAAAUUAAUUAAAUAAAUAUAAAUUAACUAGGAAACUAAUACAAUUCUUGUAUAGUAGAUUAUGGACCUUAUCGUAAGGCCUUAUCGAUGUCCGAUUGAUCUAAACUUUUAACCCAAUAUAAAACAAGGCCUCUGAAAUCUUCUGAUAAACUUCAGCUUGAUCCAACAGUCGGAUAAAAAAUUAUGCAUUUUAGAUUAAAACUAUAUAUUAUGAAUUUAUUAGCCCAUAAAAUAGAUGGAUCAGGCCCUUCUUGUGCAUAAAUUAAAUUGACUAAGAUCUGAUCAUCACUUGUUGAAGAUGUAGCCUCGUUGACCCAAAUACUCCAAAUAAACCCAUUGAAUGCAUCAUUGAGCUUUUUUGCCAUUGAUAUUGUAAUAUGCUCAUCUAAACUUCUAGUGGAUUAUUUGGUGUAGUUUGGAUCGCAUAAUCCUUUAUGUCCUUAAUAGGAUUUGACCUUGAAUCUCCACCAAUAUCAAAUAAAAAAAUAAAAAAAAUAUUGAAAGUAAUACUAACACUAUACUCAUUUGGUAAAUUCACUUUACAGACAUUAUCGUUAAUUCUUUCAAGGAUUUGGAAUGACUCAUCUCCUCUCAACAUCAAUUUAGAUCUUCUUUGUUUAAUAAAUCUCUUAUUUCAUAUAUCCACCCAAACCUAAUCACUUGGUCUGAAAAUAUCUAUCUUUCGCCUUUUUAUUAGCUUUGAAUGUAUAUUACUCGUUUUUUUUGUAUUUGUCGCCUCGCAUUCUCAUAAAAAUCAUUUACUACCUGUGAUUUUUUAUUGUCAUUAAGACUAGCCCUUUCAUCAAUAAAUUAAAAAAUUCAAAUCAAAUCCAAAAAAGUUAAAGGAUUAAAGUUAUAGACAAUUUCAAAAUAAGAAUAUUCAAUAGUAGAGUACACACUUAUAUUAUAAGCAAAUUCAAUAAAUGGCAGACAAUAAUCCUAGUUUUUUAAAUUCUUUUGAAUGAUAGUUCUUAAUAAUGUAGUUAAAGUCUGAUUAACUACUUCAAUUUGAUCAUCUAUUUGUGGAUAACUAGUAAAAAAUAACAAUUUUAUUCCUAAUUUCCCUUACAAAAACCUUCCAAAAGUGACCUAGAAAUUUAACAUCAUGGUCGGACAUAAUGCUCUUAAAUACUCUAUGAAGCUGAACCAUCUCACUAAAGAAUAAGUCCAUUAUGUUAAUUGCAUCAUCGGUUAUUGCUACCCAAUGUUUUCCUUCAUUUUUUGAAAAUUUUUGAAAAAAAACUAAAAAUAGCAAAAAACAACAAAAACCAAAAAAAUAUGUUCUUGAUGUCUUUGCGUCAGUUGCAAUGUCUUUUUCUAUGCGAUCAGUUAUUAACGCGUCUUUUUAAGUCAACAUUAAUGUUACUUUUUUUUAAAAUAAAAUCAAAAUAGAAAAAUAGAAAAAUCAAAAUUUACAAAAAGAACAAAUGUGAAAAGAAAAAAGUUGAAAAACCAAAUUGUUUUUUUGAGUUGUUUGAUCAUCAAGUUUGCUUAGAGACUAAACAAUUAAACAUAAUAAAAUCUUUUACUUAUAAAUAGAUGAUUUCCCCCAAAAAGUAGGAAUUAGUUAGAGAAGCAAACAAGAAAUCAAUAAAUAAACCUUCUCUCCCUGAAAACAUAAAAAAAGAUGACCCCCUCUCAUUCUCUCCCCAUCUACCAUCGCUGGUUAGGACCGUUUUCCCUUAUUCUUUUCCUUUAUUAAGAACCCUCUCCAGACCAUGCAAGCCAACACCAUUCACCAUUACCAUCUUUAACCCAUGAUCUCCUUAUCCCAUCCACCAUGAUGGCCCAUCAGACGCCAACAAAUCCAACCAUAGCCCAUCGUUAGCAGAGUUUCGAAAAGAAAACAGUAGCAAUGCUAAUAUAGUGAUAGUAGCAGCGACUGUCAUUUCCUUUUAUUUUCUGAUGUUUUUAGUGGGGUCUAAAAAGACUUUGGGGUCAGCAACAACACCUGUAAGCAAUAGUAAAGGUGAUGAGGAGGGUUCAAGAACAUCAACAAUAAUAACUUGGUUGAUUUCCUUAGAAGAGAUUUCGUAGCAGUCCAACCAUACCUGUUUGAUAUUGCAACAACAACAACAAUAGCUUUCAGCAUCUGUAGCUCCGAUCCCCAAAGUCCCAACAACUGUAAUUUCUCCUCUGUUUCCUUCAAGAGCAGCAGUCUCUCCUCAGAAGGUGCGAGCACCUCCACAGUGAUUUUCCAGCUCCAGCACUUCAGCACAGCAGCGCUGCAUCACAUGAACUCCAAUGGUAUCAGCUUCAACACAAAAGCCCAUCUAUCAAUCCAAUCAGCAGCUCAACUAAAGUCUCCCUAUACAUGGCAACCAGCAACAACAACAACAUUCAUUUCAUCAUCAAUCAACUACAACAAUGAAGGAUUUUUCUACAGUGAAAGAUGAAAGAAUAAAGAGAGAAAGAUGUGCAGAAGAAGUAUUACAGAAAUAUAUUUACUUAAUUAAUUUCUAUACUGUUACAUCAUGGUCUUAUACAUAUUAUAAGAUAUACACUUAAUUCCUAGAAUAUGUGUUGCAAAUAUGAUUACCAUUAUCUUCAGUAUCAGUAAUCUCUUAUGCAGAUAUGAUCAGAGAUCACGAUUAUCUUCAGUAUCAGUGAUCCCUGAUCAUGAUCUCUUCAGUAUCAGGGAUCCCUGAUUAUGAUAGCAAUCCCUGAUCAUGAUUAUCUUCAGUAUCAGUAUUAUCUUCAGUAGAUGUGAUAUUAUAUUCAGUAUCAAUAAUCACUGAUCAUGAUUAUCUUCAGUAUCAGUGAUAAUCUCUUGUGCAGAUAUGAUCAGAGAUCACGAUUAUCUUCAGUAUCAGUGAUCCCUAAUCAUGAUAGUAAUCCCUGAUCAUGUUUAUCUUCAGUAUCAGUAUUAUCUUCAGUAGAUUUGAUAAUAUCUUCAACACACCCCCGCAAUCUGAACGGGAGGUUACAAACGUUGAGAUUGGAGCACAGAAUAUUGAACCGAGCAGCAGAGAGUGGUUUUGUAAGGAGAUCGGCUAGCUGAUCACGACUAGACAGAAAAUUGACAGUUAAUUUAUUUUUAGAAACAAGAUCUCUGACGAAGUGAAAAUCAAUCUCGAUGUGCUUUGUGCAUGCAUGAAACACUGGAUUGGAGGAUAGAUAUGUGGCACCAAUAUUAUCAUACCAAAGAGUGGGACUUUGAGGUAGGUGCAAACCAAGUUCUGCAGCUAAAAAUUGUAACCAUUGGAGUGCAGUUGCAGUGUCUGCGAGAGCCUUGUAUUCAGCCUUGGUAUUGCUACGAGCAACUGUAGCCUAUUGUUUGCUACGUCAGGAAAUUAAAUUUGAGCCAAGAAACACACAGUAGGCACCAACAAAGCGACGAUCAUCUGUGUCCCCUGCCCAAUCUGCAUCAGAGAACGGCUGAAAUGUGAAGGAGCUGCUGCAAGACAAUAGUAAACAGUAGGAGAUGGAGUGUUUGAGAUAGCGCAGGAUUCUCUUUACACAUAUCCAGUGGGACUGUUUUGGUUGAUGCAUGAAUUUGCUAACAUGAUGAACAGCGAAAGCAAUAUCAGGCCGAGUGAAUGAGAGAUAAUGAAGGCUACCAAUAAUGCUUCUGUACAGGGUAGGAUCAUCAAAUGCUUCAGUAUCAAUUGUUGUCAAUGCCACAGUGGUGGACAUUGGAGUGGAACACGGCUUAGCACCAUCCAUUUUGGAUUUUGUAAGAAGAUCAGCAAUGUAUCUGCGUUGAGUGAGAUAGAGACCUGUAGCAUCACGUAUGGCUUCAAUGCCUAAGAAAAAGCUGAGAGGACCAAGGUCAGUGAUAGCAAAUUCCUUAUGCAGUCGCUGAAUGAUAUCUGUGACAACGACAGCAUUAGAACCAGUGAUGAUAAUGUCAUCAACAUAAAUGAGGAUGUAGAUGAUGUUAGAGGUGUCGGUGUGCACAAAGAGUGACAAGUCUGCCUUGCUGCCAACAAAACCGAAUUGUAUCAACACAGCAGCAAGGCGUGAAAACCACUGGCGAGGUGUUUGUUUAAGGCCAUAUAGGGAGCGUUUGAGCUUACAGAGAUGAUCAGGAAACUGAGGAUGUUUGAAGCCUGGAGGUUGAUCCAUGUAAACCACUUCUGACAGAUUGCCAUGAAGAAAUGCAUUUUGGACAUCCAGCUGACGAACUGUCCAAUUGUUGCAGACUGCAAUGGAUAAAACAAGCCGGAUAGUUGCAGGUUUUACAACUAGACUGUAAGUUUCAUGAAAAUCCACCCCUAGCUGCUGAUGAUAACCUUUAGCUACCGGUCGGGCCUUAUAUCUUUCAAUGGAGCCAUCAGCUUUCGUUUUAGUCUUGAAAAUCCAGCGACAACCAAUGACAUUUAAGAUGGCGUGAUGGAGGGACCAGUUCCCAAGUUUGAUUGCGGAGCAAGGCAUCAAAUUCAAAAUUCAUUGCAGAUCACCAGUGACAAGAUUUGAAGGCUUCAGUAAAUGAGGUAGGUUCCUUGCAGGAGGGAGAGGCAAAAACUUGUAGUGCUCGAGGUAGGGGAUAUAAGCUGUGUCCAUCAGGGGUUCUUUUUGGUUUGGAAAUGUGAUUUUUUGAUCUUGUAACCAUCGGGUGAGUAUUUGAAAUGGCUGGGAUUGUGUCUGUGGGAUGUGGAACUGGUAUGGGAGGAGAGGCAGGGGUAGUAUCUGCUGGGGAUUGAGGUGCCGGCUCUGGAGUUGGAGACGAUGCUGGCAGAGGAGAGUCAAUGUGUGGCGAUGGUGAAGUUACACAUGUACCUGCAGGCCGGGUCCCGGGUCGACCCGCCGGGCCGGUCCGGGUUUUAAAACACUGGUCUGGACAGAUAGAAGGUUGGUGAUCAGGACUUUUAUAUGGAAAAUGGUUUUCAUCAAAAACGACAUGACAUGAUACAUAAACUUUACCUGUUGCAAGAUCAAGGCAUUUAUAUCCAUGAUGGUCCAAGUUAUAACCAAUAAAAAUACAGUUUUUAGAUCUGAAAUCGAAUUUUAUGUUUGUUAUAUGGUCGAAGAUAAGGCCAGCAUGCACAACCAAAAACUUUAAGGAAAUGAUAGUCAGGAGUAUGACAAUAAACAAUUUCGUAUGGAGAUUUUUUAUUGAGAAUAGGAGUAGGGAGACGAUUGAUAAUAUAAGUGGCCGUGAGAAAAGCAUCUUCCCAAAAUUGUUGUGGAAGUUUAGAAUGUGAGAGUAAGGAAAGACUGACCUCAACAAUUUGUUUAUGACGACGUUCAACUGCACCCAUUUGCUGAUGAGUGUAUGGGCAUGCUCUACGGUGAUGAAUGCCAAUUUGAGUUAAAAGUGUAGACAUACGGCGAUAUUCGCCUCCCCAAUCAAAUUGAAUGUUUUUUAUGGUACGAUUAAAUUGUCGUUCAACUGAAGUUUUAAAGAGUAGAAAGACUUUCUCAACAUUAAGUUUAAGAGGAAACAACCAUAUGAAUUUAGUGCAAUCGUCUAAAAAACAUAAAUAGUAUCGAGCACCACUGGUUGACAAGAUGGGUGUUGGUCCCCAAACAUCAGUAUGCACUAUGUCUAAAGGAUUAAUAGAUUUGUGAUUGCUGGUUUUGAAAGACAAUUGACUGCUUCUAGCUAGUUGACAAUCGGAACAAACUGGAAGCCUUUUAUUUGCAACAGGUAACGUAAAUGUUGAAAUAGAUUUUUGAAGAACUGGAAAGGAUGCAUAACCAAGCCUGUUGUGCCAUAUUUGGUAAAAAGCUCGUACAGCAGUGAGUGCAUGAGGAGGGAGUGUGUCUGACAGGCUGGAGAAUGAAUACAGACCAUCUUUAAAGGUGCCGUGAUGAAGGAUUUUCCCCGAGUAGUCCUUAAUGAGAAAAAAACGAUCAUGAAAUUCAAAAAACACAAGAUUAUCACUGCAAAACUGUUGAACAAAAAUUAGAUUUUUUUGAAUUUCAGGGACAAUAAGUAAUUGUUUGAGCACAAAAGGUGUUUUUUAAGGAGUUAAAAUAGAGGAACCAAUUUGAGAAAUUUGCAAACCUGCACCAUUGCCAACAAGGACUUGAUCUGAACCAGUAUAGUCUUCACUCUUAGAUUUAAGUUGGCCAUGUUAUUGGUGAGAUGGUGUGUAGCACCUGUAUCAGGAUGCCAAUCAGUUACAGAAACAGAACUUGUUGUAGCCAUCAGACCUUGCACAUUGCUGGAUUUUGCAGCAUUGUCACGAUAGGUAACGUUAAACCGAUGAUAGCAUUUUUUUGCAGAAUGGCCAGGUUUAUCACAGACCUGACAUAUCAUAGUAUCUCUAUGAAAUGUGUUCCUGCCAUUGGAACCAUUAUAGAAAGAGACUUCUCUGUAAUUCUGACCUCUGCCUCUGUAUGAAUUUCGCCCUCUAUAGGAAGAAGAAGAGGACUGACGAGUAGCAACAUGAACAGUAGGCUGGACAAUGGGUGAAUUGUGGUGCUGCAGACAUGACUCAGUGGUGAGUAAGAGAGCAUAUACUUCCUCUAAGGUGAUAGGAUCUGUGCGAGCUGUGAUGGUAGUAACAAAGGAGUCAUAAUCAUGGCCAAGACCCGAUAGGAGAUAGGAGAUGAUUUCAUCACAGUGAAGAGCAUGGUCGGCAACAGCAAGUUCAUCUAUCAUACGUUUGACCUGCAUAAAAAAAUCAUAGCUAAUUGUGCACCUUUACGAGUGUUGACGAGUUCAGUGCGGAGUUGAAUAACCCGAGCACGUGAUUGAGAGGAGAAGGAUUUGGCUAGAGCACACCAGAUUGCAGCAGAGGUGGUGUGAGAGACCACUUGAAUAAGAACGUUUUCUGAAAUUGUAGAGAAGAGAAUAGCAACUAUGAUGGCAUCUUGUCGUUGCCAAUGUUCAUAGAGAGGGUUAGAGAUGGCAGAGGAGGUUUCAGCCAUGGAAACUUCUUUGGGUGGGAUGGGAAUGGUUCCAUCAAGGUAUCCAAAGAGACCUUGUCCACGGAAGAAAGGAAUUAAUUGAGCUUUCCAGACAUGAUAGUUGUCUUUUGAGAGUUUUGUAACAUUUAUAGCUGGAGGAGAAACAAGUGGAGGAUUGCCAUUAGUAGCAGGAUUUGAGGUGUUUAGUGAAGAGGAAGCCAUUUGUGUGACAUGAGUUCAUGGCUCUGAUACCAUGAAAGAUAAAAGAAUAAAGAGAGAAAGAUGUGAGGAAGAAGUAUUACAGAAAUAUAUUUACUUAAUUAAUUUCUAUACUGUUACAUCAUGGUCUUAUACAUAUUACAAUCCCUGAUUCAAAAAUCCUAUCAUUAAGAAUGCAAUUAAUGAUAAGAUAUACACUUAAUUCCUAGAAUAUAUGUUGCAGAUAUGAUUACCAUUAUCUUCAGUAUCAGUAAUCUCUUGUGCAGAUAUGAUCAGAGAUCACGAUUAUCUUCAGUAUCAAUGAUCCCUGAUCAUGAUCUCUUCAGUAUCAGGGAUCCCUGAUCAUGAUAGCAAUCCCUGAUCAUGAUUAUCUUCAGUAUCAGUAUUAUCUUCAGUAGAUAUGAUAUUAUCUUCAGUAUCAAUAAUCACUGAUCAUGAUUAUCUUCAAUAUCAGUUAUAAUCUCUUGUGCAGAUAUGAUCAGAGAUCACGAUUAUCUUCAGUAUCAGUGAUCCCUGAUCAUGAUAGUAAUCCCUGAUCAUGUUUAUCUUCACUAUCUUAAGUAGAUUUGAUAAUAUCUUGAACAUACAGAAACUUACCUUCUAAGCAACGUCAUCUUCAGCAGUAGCAAUAUAUGAUCUUCCAGUAGCAGUCAUGGAAGUUCCUCUAUCACAACAACACCAUAAGCAUUUUUUCUUAUAGUCAUGGUUUUCUUUAGCAACAGCACCGUAGGUUCUUUCUAGCCAGACCAGUAACUUUUGGUAACAGCACCGUACGUGAGCCUCUCUAGAGCAACCUUGAGCCUCUCUAGUGCAACCUUUUUUCAUCUCCAACAGCUUCAACCAUGGACCACCACCAGUCGCAACCCUUCUUAGCUAAACCACCACCAUCAGCAAAGAUUUCCCAGAACCAAUAAAUGCAAUCGUGGCAUCCUCAACACAGGUAAUCUUUCUCUUUCUUAUAUUCUUUUGCAUGUUAUUUUGAUGAAAUGUAAUUAAUGGUGGGAGAAUAGGAAUGCUGGAAAUGCAGACAUGAUAUGUAUGUGUGUAUAUUUAUUUGUUUAGCCGAGGAUAUCACGGUAUUAUGCUGAUGAGUUGUAGAUUUUACAUGUUAAUUUAAUAUAUUUUAAUUUUAAUUUUUUUUAUAUAAAAAAGAUGUAUCUUGAAAAAAAAAAACUAUGUUUUUUUUUCCCUAGUUGUCCAGUUUUUUUUUGGACUUGUCAAGUUGAUCAAGCCACAUCGGAUCAAUUUCUACAUGAUUUAUUUUUUCCUUCUUGAAAACACGUUAGCAAUGCCUAGAUAUUUUCUUUUAUUUUUAUAAAAACAAUUGACCUAGCCCACAACAUAACCCAGGUAAAAUGAUCUGAUGAGUUGCUAAUUAAAUUGGUAUUUAACCCAUUCCAUUUUUAGAGAUGACACUAGUUAUUUGACUACGAGUUAAAUAAUUUUUUUUGGCAACAAAAAUAAAUAUGCAAACUUUUCAAAUGUGUUUUUUUAAUCUAAUUAUAAAUCAAAAAGCUUAUGCAUGCAUUAAAUUAAAUAUAUUAAGAAUCGAAUAUGCCAAUAAAUGCAAAAAACAAAAUAUUAACGUAUCUAUUCAACACGCUUCGUUGCGGGUCGAACAAUUUUUUUGAAAAAAAUAAAUAAAUAUGCAAACCUUUCAAAUGUGUUUUUUUAUAUAAUCUAAUUAUAAAUAAAAAGGCCUAUGCGUGCAUUGAAUUAAAUAUAUUGAGAAUCAUAUGUGCCAAAAAAUGCAAAAAACAAAGUGUUAACGUGUCUAUUCAACUCGCCUCUCUGCAGGUCAAAUUUGUUUUUUUCUAACGCAAAAGAAUUAAUAUGUAGAUGUUAUUAAUGUGUUUUUUGACAUUGAGUAACAAAUAUAACCAUGAAUCAAAAAGUCAAUACUUACAUAUAAUAAAAUAUAGUAAAUAUCAUAUGCAUUAAUAAAAACAUGUAAGAUCUCAAGCUAACUUUUAACGUAGCAGAAGAAUAGAGCAAUGUUAUAAUUGUUAUUGUGAAACAUUAUUUUCUUAGUCUUUGUAUAAUAUAUUUUUAAAAUAUAAAUAAAAAAAUCACAAAAAAGUAAUAAAGAUAAGACAAAAAAUAUAUAUAUAUAAAUAGACAGAAUGUAGAGUGAUAAAUAUUCAAAGUAUAAAAAAUAAAAAAUAAUAUUUUUUUCCCAAAAAAAGUGUAAAGAAAAAAAAAUAAAAACUAAGAAAAUAUUACAAAAAGUGAAAAUAAAAAAUAGUGAUAAAUAGGCUAAGUGUAAAAUGCAUAGUUUUGAAAUCCGGCCUCUGCCUGGCAGGCCAACCCGGGGCUGGAACCGGGCCGGGUUGAAGAAAAAAAUAGGGGAAGGAAAAACCCAGCGUGACCCGGCUGACCCGGCAGGUUGACCCAGCGACCCGGUUGCAACCCGUUGACUUUUGUUUUUUUUUUAACAAAAAUAACGUCGUUUUGAUUUAAAAAAAAUAAUUGACCCGGUGACCCGGUCAAAACCCGAGACCCGGGCCUUGGACCGGGCCGGGUUUGAAAACUAUGGUAAAAUGAUAAAAAUAUCAAGUAUAAAGAGAAAUAAAAUAUAAAAAAAAAACUUGUUUUUUUCAAAAUAAAAAUUAUAAUCUUGUCACCGCUACAAUGCCACUACAGUAAUAGAUAAAAUUUAUAAUUGAACCAUCUAGGUGGUGGUCCAGUGGUAAAAGUUUGGGACCAAGAGGUUUGCUCCCUCUGUGGUCUCAGGUUCGAGCCCUGUGGUUACUUAUAUGAUGGCCACUGGAGGCUUACAUGGUCGCUAACUUCAGGGCCCAUGGGAUUAGUCGAGGUGCGCGCAAGCUGACCCGGACACCCACGUUAAACUAAAAAAAAAAUUAUAAUUAUAUCAUUUUCACGUAAAAAUAUCAUUUUUUUAAUAAUGAUGAUGAAGAAGAAGAAGAAAUAUUUUGACCAGGGACAAAAUUGAUUAACCCUAAAUAGAACGGAGACUUAUUUGUCUAUUCGUUUCAUUGAAACCAUGCAACAUGUCGCUUCAAGAACCAACGACAUGCCCUCCACCAGAUAUUCGCAACCCAACUCGAAGGUUCUCUCUUCUUUUUCAUCGAGUGAGAAGUGAAGAGGAAGUUGAAUUUCAGAGACACUGUGACUGUAAAGAGAGAAAUGGGAGACCGCUCCUUCCCAAAUGAAAUGCCAGACUACAUACCAGAAACAACGACAACAGCAGUGGACGAAACAGUCACUGAAAGAAACAACAAAGACUCACUUACAAAUCUCCUGUCUUUGCCGUACAACAUUCUCUCUCAAAGACUUAAAGCAUCAGCCCUGGACGUCAAAGACACAGUUAAGUUUCCCCUUUCACUCAACUCUAUCCUUUUGACUUCUGGCUUCCAUUUGUUUCUAACUUUCAGACACACCCCAUCAUGUUACUCUAGUUUUUUUAAUGUUAAAUAUUGAAGGGUUUUCUUUUUUCUUAUUGGUUGUGUUUUAACUUCAGGUGGUGAGGGAGACAUGGGGAAUGAGUGGGAAGAGAGUGAAAGAUUAUAGUUUGUACACCGGGGCAUUAGGGACUGCAUACUUGCUUUUUAAAGCAUACCAAGUUACCAAGAAUCAGAAUGAUCUUAACUUGUGCUCUGACAUUAUCAAGGCUUGCGAUUCUGUUUCUAGAGAUUCUGGGUAUUCUCUCUCUCUCUUUUUUCUCUGUCUGUUUUGUUGCUGGCUCAUCCAAGAAUAGGUGUUACUACUCUUGGAUAUUUUAAUGCGGAAGUUGCUUUAGUUGUAUGGGAAUUGAGGUUCUAAACAACUAUGGAUUCAAUUCUUGCUUUAUCUGAGGUUUAAUCGGGAUAAAUUCAUAUUGAAUCGGGAUAAAUUCAUAUUGAAGCUCGUCGAUGUGUUGUGCUGCGUUUGAUUAUUCUAUUAUUACGGGAAUCAUGCACUCAGUUAUGGUUGUCUCGCUUUCUAUUAGCAUUUUUCUCUUGUAUUUGGUUAUUUGGUUUGUGGAAAUGCUCAAUUGUGUAUUUGAUCCUGGCAUGGCUUGUCACUGUAAAUGUUUAAAUUUUUCAAUAUGUUUGAAGUCGGCACUUAAUUUUGUAUGCCAAGUCUAGGUUAAAUUUUAGGUGCAAGUGUUACUUCCCAAUCCUUGGGGAAAACAGAUAAGUCAACUUGAUUUAGUUGCUUAUGUGAUCCGUUGGGGCUGCAGACGUGUGACAUUUAUAUGUGGACGGCAGACGUGUGACAUUUAUAUGUGGACGGGCUGGUGUUUGUGCUCUUGGUGCUGUUGCAGCAAAGCAUGCUGGGGAUGGAAGGUUAUUAGAUCAUUACUUAGCUCAGUUCAAAGAGGUGCCUGUUGCAUUUCUUCCCCUUCUAUGCAUUUUUUUUCCAUCAAAAGUUGGUUGCUUUUAUAUAUCUUAAUUAAUAUUUUUUCAUCUUUUUAUAAACCUAAUUAAUAUGAUUUUUUUUUUUUUUUUUACUCGAGAGCAGAUCAAACUUCCUAGUGAUUUGCCAUAUGAGUUAUUAUAUGGGAGAGCUGGGUUCUUAUGGGCCUGCUCAUUUCUAAAUAAGCAUAUUGGUAAAGAAACCAUAUCUACAAGCCGCAAAGUAAGGCAUUUCUUUUAUUUCUUUUCAAUCCAGCAUUCAUUAUUGAUUAGAUGAACCCUUUGCUAAGUUGGCUUUGAAACUUCUGCAGAGAGCAGUUGUGGAUGAAAUAAUUAAGGCUGGAAGAUUGACACGCAAGGGAAAAUGUCCACUGCUGUAUGAAUGGCAUGGAAAAAGGUACUGGGGUGCUGCCCAUGGACUGGCUGGAAUCAUGCUUGUUUUGAUGGACUUGGAACUGACACCAGAUGAGGUGGAGGAUGUCAAGGGUACUUUACACUACAUGAUUAAGAACCAUUUUCCCAGUGGCAAUUAUCCUUCAAGUGAAGGAAAUAAAUCUGAUUGCCUUGUGCAUUGGUGUCAUGGGGCUCCUGGGAUUGCUCUUACCCUUGCGAAAGCAGCUGAGGUAAUCCUUGUAUAGUGAUGCAAGCUGCAUAAGGUAGCCUAGGUGCUAAUGGAAUUUGUCUAGGCAUGUAUGCUUGUGUGGGUUGUCUUUUACCAUGUGCAUUUUGGCUUGCGUACCUGCCAAUAAAAAUUGGUGAAAGUACCUCAUUAGUUGAAGAUUUAAUGCUAUUUUUUCAUGUAAAUGGACAAAUAAAUAUUCCAUUGUUUGAUGACAUUUCUGAUCUCGUCCAUAUUAAGAAAUGAAGAAAGAAUUUCAGUCUCAUAGAGGAAGAACCAUUCUUCCAAAGUGGAACGAUCACCUGUCUUUUUCUAGUGCUAAAAGUUCAAAACAUGAGAUUGAACAAGUCAUCGCUACCACUUUCCAGAUGUCUGCAUCCACCUUUUUGUUUUUCAGUUAAAGACCAUAAUCUGUAGUCUUAUUUGUAAUAUAGAAAUGAUACUGGGACCUCAUUAUGAAUUUCUUUGCAAUGUUUGAAUUAUUCAGGUUUUUGGAGAUAAGGAGUUUCUGCAGGCAGCAAUGGAGGCAGGGGAGGUGGUUUGGAACCGGGGUUUGCUAAAGCGAGUUGGCAUAUGUCAUGGAAUCAGUGGAAAUACCUACGUUUUUCUUUCACUCUACCGAUUAACAGGUAAUGUGGAGUACUUAUACAGGGCCAAAGCCUUUGCUUGCUUUCUACAUGAUAGAGCACAAAAACUUGUAUCAGAAGGGAAGAUGCAUGGAGGUGAUCGCCCCUAUUCACUGUUUGAGGGUUUUGGAGGAAUGGCUUAUCUCUUCCUUGACAUCCUUGAACCAUCGGAGGCCAGGUUCCCUGCUUAUGAACUUUAGAUCGCCAUAUAAUAUUUCGACUGUUACUAGAUGUAUCAUAUCAUGUUUGCUUGUAAACCUUAAUACAGUCUGUAUAUAUUUGAAAGGAUUUAGCUACUUGAUUAUAUGGCUCUAACUUUUUGAAUUGCUUUCUUCUCAAGUAUAGAAUGCUCAUCAGGGAACACUACUAAAGAUUUUUUUAGCUUCGGGGCAUCUUAUUCAUACUGUGUUUAGCCACAUCUAGGGCCACGCCCACCAUGUGCAAUUCUCUGGUUUUAUCUGAAUAACUAGGUUCUUUUUCUUCGGAUAAAUAGAAAGAAUUUUACUAACAAGGAUAGGCAUUGUAGAUGAACUUUUAUUUCAGUAAUCUCUCUCUCUCUCUCUCUCUCUCUACAUGAAUUCAUUAUUUGGGGAACACUUGCGGUCUCUUUCUUUCCUUGAGCCUGUGGGUUAAUGGCAUGAUUAGUUGAUAAAGACCAGGGAAACUUUUCCAAGUCUGAUAUGGAAAAGUGAAAAUGAUGAGAAGCAACAACUGUUUUCAAGCCGCUGAUCCUUAUUAUAGUCAAAAGUUAAGGAGGAAGCUUAAAAUUUGGAAAAUGGAUUGAGAGGGGUAGAAAACUGUAUACAAGGCAACAACAAGUGAUUUUGCACAACAACGAUUUUGCAUUGGCCUUGACAAAAUACCAGCAACAACACUUCCAGCCAUUUGGCUUCUAUAAGUGCAAAACAACGAACAGACAGUUAGACACCACUUAUUUAUUGCAAAAUGGUCCAUUUAGCUGUUAAAUUGGCAAUAAAACUCUUUUUCUGAUUUGAAAGUGUUGAACCUGCCAACAUUAAUCAGAGAAAUCUGAACUUUGCAGUACGGGUGAGUGAUUUUAGUGCCAAUUGAUUGAUACAGAGUCAUCUACUCCUACUAAGUGAAAAUUGUUUACAGAAGCAAAUCAUCCAAAUCCAAACUCACGAAAGGACGCAGUAUUUUUAUUUUUUUUUUGCACUAACAUCAUCCUCUCCCAUGGCAAAGAUUAGUACACAAGAAACUCUCUCCAGCCUUUCUUAAUUAGGCCAAACCAACGAGUUUCUCGCUAACCUCCCACACUUUACGAGCCUUCUCCUCAUCACUAGCUUCUUGAGAUAGCUGAUUCUCAAAAGAAGCCGAGUCCUUGUUCCAACUCCAGUAGACCCCUGAUUUUGUCAAGCUUGGAUCACUCACAACCUAAACAAGAAAGAGCAGAUUAUGUUAUUGCACGUUAUACAAGCCCAUAGCAGAGCAUUUUUAUUUCUAUAGUCUCCCCUGUUUUGGUUACCUGAGCAAGUCUUUUUCCAGCAUCUUCCUCGGAGACGAAGCCCUUAGUGAUGUACUUUUGGAAUGGAGGGAAUAGAAGCCUGAACAAAGGAAUGUGCUCCCUGAACAAGCCUGUUGUGGCAAUGCAACCUGGGUAAAGGGAAGCAAAUGUAAUGCCAGUUUCUUCAUGGAAACGCCUGUGGAACUCUUGCAUAGUGAGCAUGUUGCAGACUUUGCUAUCCUUAUAGGCUUUGGCACCAUCAAAUUCACCACCAUCAAUCAUAGCUGAGCUGUUUAGCCCAUUCAAGCCCCCUGCAAGUCCCCUCAAGUCACCAAGAUUGGCCUUGGGAGGAACAUUGCCAGCCAAUGUAUUUGUGUUCCCUAAAACAUUUCACAGAAACAACACCAAAUUUAGUGUAAACAAUCGAAACAUAUUCACAAGAAAGUGAACCUUAAAUGUAUUAUAGUGUAUAUACCUGUAAUUGAGCCAACAAUUAUGAGACGUUUCGAUGGGUAAUCAGAUUUCUUCAUGUCCUCAAGCAACAAUCUUGAAAGGAGGAAAUGACCCAAAUGGUUAGUUCCAACACUAAGUUCAAAUCCUUCAGCAGUGAAUGUAGGCUCUUUUGCAGUUGGCAGGUAAACAGCAGCAUUGCAAACUAGCACAUCAAGUGCCCUUCCUGAUCGCUUAAAGGUAUCCACAAAUUGGCGGACACUGUCCAGUGAAGCAAGGUCCAGAUGCAUAAUGGUGCAGUUCUCUUUGGCAAUGCCAGCUGAUUUAGCAGCCCUUUCUGCCUUAAGGAAGUCUCUGCAGGCCAUAAUUACAUGCCAUUUUCCAGUUUCAGCUAGAGCCUUAGCUGCUGCUAGACCUAAUCCAGAGGAGGCACCAGUGACAAUGCAGCAUCCCUGUCUAAGAGUUUUCUUGCCGUCUGAAGAAGCCCUGUUGACUGCUGGAGUAGCAGUGGCCAUUGAUUGGGCUCUUACAGUCCUAACUCUUUGGUUGAAUUCCCUCUGCGGUGAAUAAUAUUAUACAAAUGAAUUCAUUAGAAAAAUCCCUUUUGAUUGCGAGUUUGAAUUAAUGCAUUUUCAGCCAAAAAAAAAAAGCAAGAAUGAACCGGCAUAGUAGCUACCUUCCACUUCAAUGUAGAAGAGCUAAAGUCAGCUUUGACAUGGUCUGAGAGUGAAACUCCAAGCAAGCUUGACUCCUUCAAAGAUGCACUAGAUUUUCCCUGCAUAGACAAAACCACUGCCAAAAUCAACACUAAAUUUUCCAUCAAUGCAACAAGUAAAAACAAAAACAAAACAAAGCACUACUAGUAUCUGACCUCUUUGGGGACAACAAAAGCAGAGGAAACCAAAGAAGCAGCCUGGAGAGCCAUUACCGCUUGCAAAGCAAACUCUGUGCCUCGUAAAAUGGGUUUUCAAAUCCUUUGUUUUAAGGACUGUAGAUUUUGUAUACAGUACUGGCUGGAGUGAAGAGCUCAGCUUAGAAGUGUGCAAAGCUUGAGCUUGUUUGGAAUUAUAUGUGAUGUGUGUGUUGGGGGGAGGAUAUGUUUGGCAGACAGGAUAAGAUAAUUAGCAGUGAAUGUAUCUUCCACAUCACUUCCAAGCACCAAUGAGACUUUGAGUUUUGGAUUUCCCAUGAUAUUGAUGGCCUUGUUUUUUUGUUCCUUUGAUAAUUGACAAAUAGUUAGGGAUAUUUGGGUGCGUUUCCCAAAAUGUUCCACUCCUCUUAGCUAUGGGCUGGGAGAUAUGGAGGUGUUGAAUAUGACAGGGAAUGGUGGGGGCAUAUUUCUGGAUUAUGGAUUAAGAGGCUGUGCCAGUCGAGCCAAGGUUUUGCCAGCCUCUCUAUGGUUAGGGGGGUUGGUUGCAGACUUGGAGCCAAGGCGCCAUGACAAAGUGGAGGGUCCCCGGUUGCAGUGACGGGGACAUAAAUGUGUUUGGAUCUUGGUAGCCGCAAUGGGCUUCCACAGAAUUUUAUUUUUUUUGGUUCAGGUCCAUUUGUACUAUCACCCGCAAGCUCUCAGCUAACCCAUCACUAUGAGUUGGGGGAUGGUUAAGAGCGGCCCUCUUAGCUGCGGAAAUGUGCUUGCCUGCCAAAGCUCACACCAAGUGGUAACUUUUGGGAUAUAACCUUACUAGCUGUUAAGACCAAGCCUAGGAUUAAUGGACAAAAUGAUAAGCCAAUCUUCUUCAUUGUAAAUGUCUAAAUUAGCUCCAUGGAAAGAAAAUGGCACAACUCAUUUGGUUCUGAAACAAAAGAACUGCAGCUGUGAGGUCGCUUCAAGAACGGAUAAAAACAGUGCUGCUGAGCGCCAAUAAUUGAAUAGACAACAAUGGGUUAAAAGUUAGAACCUACAAGACUAGACAUGAUCAUUAAAGAAUAUGAAAGAAUUUCAUUUUAAUUGAAUAAGGUUUUUCCAUGCUCAUAACUCUACAUUUCCCGACUUGACAAAUACAUCGGUUUCUAAAUUCAUUGUGUAGCCCGCCCGCCCCCCCUUUUUUUUUUUAACAAAUCUAUUUUCUUCUCAAUGCUCAUCCAUCGGCACUCAAUAUCCAAUGAGCUGAAGCACAAGGAAAGAAGAAUUGGAAAUCGCUAAAUAUUACACAUCUCACCAAAUACCUCUGUACAUGUUUUAACAAGUGGCGAAAAUGAACUGCAUUGAUUUGCCAUAUCAUUUACCCCCUACUCAGAGACUGCCUCUCUUUUCAGCCCCUUAAAUCCGAACUGGCAAUCCAAAAUUUUGGAAAGUUCUGAUUUCCCCUCGAAGGCCGGCAGUUACAAUCACCAUACCAUAGGCAGACACACUUUCGCUUAACCCGUUGGAGAUAUCCACACUGGCAUGAGGACUCCUUGUUCUAGUCGCUAAAUUAAGCUUUUCCUCUGGCCAUGUUGCUGAUAUUCUGUCAAAGAAGUAACCAUUGGUUGCACUAGAAAUAAUUCCAUUUAGAGGACUAUUUGUGCACCCGGAUAAAGAUUGUGAACCCUCAAUACUUGCUUCCUCAACAGGAGUAGGGGGGUGAUUGACAAUGGAAACCUCAUCAAGAUGGUUAUCGAGGCCACUCUGUUCUCCAGAUAAAGUAUCUUGUAGUUCCCAGGUGUCUCCCAUGCCAGGCCAUGGGAUCGCCACCGAUGCAUCUUGACAAUGGAAAUGCUCAUAGGAGCUUGUGACAGUAACACCUUUGCUUCUGCUAAGUCGGGAAUCAGCUUCAUGCUUCCAGACAUAAACAUAUGAAUCCUCACUAGCAGAGACCACAUAUUUUCCAUUUGCUGUGAGAGAAGCUGAGAUUUGGCUGUUGGUGUUACGAAACCCUAUCACAGAAUCAUCAACUUAAUCUUUGAGAAUGGAACAAUCCUAAAAAUGCAUGCAUAGGAAAGAGGGGGGGGAGCAAAGACAACAAGCACUGCUAAAUAUAUGAUUUUCUAUGACAAGCAUUAAAAUGGAGGUUAAUGAAAAACCUUUCAGCUUUUGCUGAUUGAAACAACCAUUGAAGCAGCUGAAGAGAUCAAUUCGUUUCUGUUCAAGACCUACACUAUCAAAUUAUUACUCCAGAAGAUUUUCACCUUCAAAGUUGAAGAAACAGUAUUAAAGACCUUGAAUUCUAAAACAAGAUCGCAUCACUUGUCAAAACCUUAAAUAGAUAUAGAUAAUUUAAAUACUGUUACCAAGUCUAAAGUGGAAUCACAAGCACCAAAUUUUACGCCUUUGAUACAAGUUUUAGCCUUGGGAACAUGGGUUCAAAUGUACAAAAAAAAAACAAAUAAGCUACAUGCAAUCAAUUUCCAAAAAAAAAAAAUUGAAUAACAGUAAGAUCAAACAUUUCCUAUUCCACCUCAUAUGAAGACUCCUUAAUAUAUGCCAUUUCAAGUUGUUUAAAACUAAGGGUGUCCAUGAUUUGAUAUUGUGUCAUUGUAUAUCAUAAAAAAUCCUAAAAAUGCUUGACUUUAUCUUCUUACUGCCUGCUCAUACAAAAAACUGUGACUGAUUCCCAUCGACUCUUGAACUUAAGCAGCUUGUUCUCAUUAUUUCUACCAACAAAAUAUCUAUUAUAUUAUGGUCCACUAUACAAAGCCCAUUAGGAUAAGCUUAUCCUAGGUUUAGUUAAAUCAACCCCUAUAUAUAUAUAUAUAUAUAUCAACUUUAUUGACUAAUACCUGAUUACAAGCAUGUUACUGAUACGUGGGGAGGGGGAUGGUAGAUGAGACCUAUCAUACAGGGUGCACUUGAGAAAUCAAGGCAGAAAAUCAGGUUUUUCAAAGAUUCCACUUAUGAUGACAAAUAUACCAUAUAUUUUUCAAGAAGAUUAUGAUCUAAAUGCAAUUCAUCCUCUUUUCACUAAUACAGGAUCAACGUGUUUUUUCGACACUGCAUUACCAGCCCGUAUUCAAGCACUAGGCAAACCAAAAUAGUUGAGACAUUAUGAAAACUUGAGCUAGAAUAGCAUAGUUUAGUUAAAAGAUCUAUGUACACCAAACGCAAAACUGCCAUACAGAAAUUCUCUUCCAACACCCAGAAUAACCCAAAAAUCAAACUUAAUGUUAAAAUUCAGAAUUGUGUAAUCUGGGAAAUAUAUGCUGCUUACAGCAUACGUGAUAUUAUGGGGCAACAUAACCUUUACUCAGUUUUUUAAGAUAAGCCUGGAUAUCUUCAAAUAUUUUAACAGCAUAAAAAAGCCUGACUCCUAUAUGUCACUAGCUAUUGGAUAAGCAGGAAAGGAAAAGAAAAGGCUGCUAUCAUGGAGAAUUAAAUAAACAUGAUUUACUUCUCGUCCUCUUAAUUUUACAUCCAAUUUCUGUAUAUCUCACUUCAAAAGGCGGGAGAAAUUGUAGGAUUCAGUUCUUUAGGAUAACAUUUUAAAAGGCAAGAGUAGAAUGAGGUAUUUUACCCCUCGCAAGGCAUAAGCCUUGGAUUUUUACACACAUGCUAAGCAUGUAACUAGGUAUUAUAUCAAAUAAACAAAAUUAAGUAUAAAUGUAAAAGAAUAUAUUUACACUACCAAUAUAUGUUACUAACGAAACCAAGGAAAAUAUUGGCAAAUGAAGAAAUGCUUAAUGACAAAUUAAUAUUCCAUAAAAGUAAAUAUUGUCAAUAAAGUUUUUCAAAAAACAAAUAUGCAUAAUUGUGCAAAGUUAAUCUUUAAGGCAAACUGAGACCACAGUGCAUCAAGGCAUGCCCCAAAACAGAGAUUGGGAAGUUUGUUAAGGUCUCCAUGAGGUUUAGACCUGGGAGAACUUUUAUUUCAACACUGAUGUGUGGAAAAGAACUGGCAGCAUUGCUUUAAGUCACACUGAUAGGCAUGAUGUGCAAAGUUGUAUUCAAUGCUAGCUUUUUUCUAAAUCAUUGAAACAAAGACCUGAUGGACUGGGGUUUACUAUUUCACAGAGCCAAAAAGUCUUGGCUCAAAGUAUUUUUGCUACCUAAUUGCUUUGGUAUUAUUAACUUAAUCAUCCUAGUCAGGUUACAAGAUAAUGUUUUUCAUGCAUGAUUUCAUUACAACGUGGCCAGAAAAGAUCAGAAAAGAAAUGAUAAGCCAACAUUCUUACCUUUGAACUUGUGAACCAGAUCAACACCAUCAAUAACUCGAAUUCGAGAAUCAGCUGACGUGACGAUCACUUCUGAUGAACUUCCUGGAGCAAACUGUUUAAUAAAACUGAUCAGAGGACUGAAAGCACCAUAAAAGGUACUAGUGCAAAAAAUGCACAGCAGGUUGUUCCUUGUGCAAAAAAAAAAAUGUAGCAGGAAAUGGAUUCAAGUAUUUUUCAAAGCUAAACCAAACAUGUUAUCUCUGGAGUUGAACAUCAUACUAGAGCCACCAAAUUACCUGGAAUCCAGUGAUUUUUUUUAGAUGAGCUUUCUUCUUCUUAUUUUGCAGAUUAAUUUGACAUUUUUGUUGCAACUUAUUCUCUGAGAAGAAAAGACAAAUAACAAAAGAAUAAUUAGUAGUCAGUGAGUGGGUGAAAUUUGAGAAUGGUGGGUAAGAAUCAACUUGUACCACAUGUAUUGUAUAAACAGCAGCUUCCCUUGUACGAACCAACAAGUGCACCCUUCAGAAAACCAUAAAAAAAAAAAGUUAAGCAAAAACCUUGAAACCUUGAAUAUUAUAUACAGAAGGCAAAACGUGGCCUACCUGACCAUCUGGGGUAUAGCAAGCCGCAGUGACUAUCUCAUGCAGAUCAUUCCAAUCAACAACUUGACGAUCAGGAAUACUCCAAAUGCGAACCUUUGCAUCUAAGGACCCACUAAUGAAGUAUCUAUCAUCAACAGGAUUAAACUGGAUGCAUGUUACUGCAUCAUGGAAAUCCAUAAAUAAUGCAAUUAGCAAAGUUCAAGGAAAGGAGGAAAAAGAUCUUUGCUAGUUUUGACCAUCUCAUAAAAGAAAAUGUUAAGCCAAUCUACAAGAAGUCACAUUAAAUGUUAAGAAAAUCUAGAAUGUCAUUGAACCAGUGAAAUAGGGUUUUGAAAAUGCAGUUAAGUGUGAACUCCUGUCUUCCAUGCUUAUCACAGAUGAGAUCUUCUAUUGAAAAGGGGGGCAAUUGUAACAGUAGCUUUUUAAGUAGUAGGUUGCAAAGUUAUAAGCAAUGCAAAGAAUAAGCAUAAAAAGGUAUGGCAAAACAUACUUACCAUAAUCACUGUGAGAAAAGAUUUUCAAACAAGUAUUGCUAGACAAGUGCCAUAGGCGUACAGUUUUGUCCAUAGAAGAAGAAAGCAGGUGCUGGGAAAAGAAAAAAAAAUGAAUUUCGUUAGGAUAGGCAAGAAUAAACUGGUGGUUCAUGAUUCUUAACGAAGACAUUUGUGCACACAUCUCAGUUCACAGUAGAGCUAAGUAAACUUAAAUGGCAACAAGCCUCCCCAGGGCUUCUGAAACACCAUCCAGAUGAGGUUAAAACCUAGAACUCAUCAUCUCCCUCCCUCUCAAAAUCUUCACAGCAAAAUGUUAAAUAAACUUAAUUCAUAGUUGAAUAUCAACUUUUGUACACUUCCAAAAUAUGUUUAAGAUACUGCUUAUGAUCAAUAAGUCUGUUAUAACUCAUUAAAAUAUAAACAGACAACAAAAUCUGUGGUAGCAUCACUGCUUUAGAGAACAAACUACAGCAAUCCUCUUGUAGCCAUGCAGAAGUUCAUGAAAUCUCGACAACAAAAAAGAAAGAAAGAAAAGAAAAGGAACAUGCCAACAGAUAAAAGUUGUCAAUAUCAGAAAACUAAAACUAAGUUGAAAGAAUGAGAUGAGAUCAGAAUAAGCAGAAUCUGAAGGCAAGGAAUCUUCAGAACUUUUCCAACUUGAAAAGCUGCCCAAAAUCCAUGAAUUUCUACUGUAGAGAAAAAGGUAGAGGUCCUUCUCAACAUAGCCAAAAUAUCACAAAUUCCCACUCAGUUGCCAUUCAUCUAACUUUUAAAAUACACCAUGGUGACAGAAACAAUACCAAAGGAUUUAAGGUGUUUGGAGGUGUGGUAGCAAUUGCUUUUCAAAGUGCUUUUCGCUCGGAAAUGCAUCAAAAAAAAUUAUUUUUUAAAAAACAUUUUUGAUAUCAUCAUAUUAAAACGAUCCAAAAAAAAAACUAAUUUUAAGCAAAAAUAAUCAGUUUUUUAAGAAAUGUUGUUUGGAACGCAAUUCCAAACGGCCCCCUAGUCAUUCCUUGUGAAAUUUCAUUGCUAGACAUUUCAGAUCCUAUGAUUUGAGGGUGGUCAUAAGUGGAAAGCUAUGCGAACUACCUAUGGAUCCCACUUUUAUGUGAGCAGGGGAGCGCUAAACUGGAAGAACUUAAUAAUCUCUCAGAUACUAGACAAUAGUAGUUUCUUUUGCACUCUAAACUGUCCACGUAACCAACAAUGAAAUAUUGAGAAACUGAACUAAGAUAUACAUAAAGCAAAAGAACUGGCAUAAAUUCCACACUGGCAAGUGUUAAAACUCUAUCUGGUUGAACCUUCUAUCAAGACAGGAGUCGAAAAACUCUCCAUAAAAGAAGACCUGAAAGUGAAAAAGAAAUUGGAAAGAAAAGAACGUCCCGUGUAAUGCUGCAUGGGUAUGGAAACUUUUAAAUUGCUCAAAGCAAUUAAGAGAAGAAUUACUUGAACCACAUCAUAACAAGAAGGCGUGUAAAUAACUAAAUCAGUUUUGCAUUUGCACUGCAUUCCACAUUAAAGAGCAAGAAAAGUUAAUAGCCGGAUGGUAAUGGCUAAAGGGAGAGAAUUUCAAAACGUCAAUCAACUAUAACAGAUGCAUAUAACUGACCUGAGACUUGGACCUUAAUUAUGAUUGAUGAAUGUGUGUUGCUUUUAGAACAAAAUUAAUAAGUAAGAAUAACAGAGUUGUAAAUUAACUAACCUGAGACUUGGACCAUGAAAGGUCGAGCACGUCAUCAAGAUGCCCUUCGAAUGAACAAAUGGGUUUAUCCGUGAGAGCAAACACAGUCUCUGGCAUGAUGAUAUGGUCCAGGCUCAAAGAUUUUCUGCUUAUAGAUGACCUCCCUCUCCUCUUCUUCUCCUGAUGGGUAUCCACAAGUGGUGACAACAAAUUAGGUUCUGGAGAUCCAUUUGCCAUCAACAACAAAUUCAAGCCCCCAUCAUAUGGUUUCUCCAUCAAUAAUUCUCCUUUCCUCUCCGACUCCACAACCUGCCAAAUGUUAAUGACACAAUCCUCACCUGCACUUGCUAGAUACCUCCCGUCCAAACUGAACUUAAUACUCCAAAUCGACCCAUUAUGAGCCUGUAUCUCCUGGCUCUUAUAAAGUGCACUCAGCUCUUUAGACGGCCUCCCAUAUUGCCUUACCCUCACUCUCUCUGGCCCGUGAAAUGACACAUCCUGGCUAUCAUCCGUAGCAGAACUUGACCUCCUCCCUCCCUUCUCCGAUCCAGUAUCCCUCUCAUCACUACUUCUCCUCUCCUUAUUGCCUGUCACACUAUUCGCCACGCUCUUUAUACUCCUAAACCAACUGCCCUUCUUUUUAAACUUUGAAACCCCACCUCCAAUCCCUCCAUUAGCAUCGGCAUCGAGAUUUUCUCUCGUCCCGUCCUCCACGAUUUGCCUCCUCAUCAAUUCUUGCACGAUCGGCGAAUGCCCAACAGACAUUUCAAACUCCUCCAUAGUCAAUUGCCUCCCAGUCCCAACUUCCUUCAGCUUAUUCCACAUCCCAUCUUCUCUUAUCUCAUUAACAACAAACUCUUUCCCAUUAUCAAGAUUCUUAAUAGUACAAACCCGCGAACCUCCCUCGUCCACCACUGCCCCAUCGGUAUCUCCCCCAUUACAUUCCAACUCCUCCGCCAACUCUUCCGCAAACUCCACCGAACUCCCAACUGACAAACUGCCAUUCAAAUCCCCAUUAGAAUUCGCAGAAUCUGAUCGAUUCACUUCCAUUUUCCUACAAUGUUGUUUCCCCGAAGGCGGCUUAUUAGGCGAAACAACAUCAACACUAACACUACCCUCUUUCGGAGAAGACCCAUUUUUGCUUUUGCAUUUUUUACCGCAACCAGCAACAAAAAGCCCAUUAUUGCUGUGCCUGUUGUUAUUAAUAUUAUUAUCACUACAGCUAUAAUUACUAUCAUUACUAUUUACAUUAAUUGAAUCUUGCAAAAAAAUGGAAGAAGGCGAACAAUAAACAGAGGAAGAGUAACACGAAUUAAAUUCAUCAUCAUCAUUGUCAUGAUCUACCGAACCGCCACUUUCUGAUUUCGAUCGGGCGACAGCAGUGGAAUCACUUGGACACAGACCAUGCAGUUUCUCUCCGAUCAAACGAUCCGAUGACAGGGAGCGGUUAAAAUAAAAAUCUCCGUUGUGGGCUGUUUCGGGUUUGGAGCGAGAAAGAGAUGGGUCGGAGCUGAGACCCAUCUGGAGAAGAAGGCGUUGGCGGCGUUCGGAAAUGGAUUCGGGUUGAGAGAUCCAAACAUGAUAAUUACUGGCAAGAAGACGAGGGGAAUUGGAACGGGUCGGGUCAGGAUCGGAGUCGGAGUUGGAAGUGGAGCAAGAACAAGAAGAGGAAGCAAUGCGAUCCAAUGACUCGUAGAAAUGUUCAUCUUCUUCUUCUUCUUUUUCUUCAACUAGUUGUUCUUCACCGUUACUGUUGUCGUUUUUGUCAGUAAUGGUGUCGUUUCUGCUCAUUUUUUGAGGGGUCAUUGUUGAGAAUUGAGAUAGCGUUAAGGGAAAGGGAGGGGGGCAUUUCAUUUCAUUUCAUUUCAUAUUUUCAUAGAAAUAGAAAUAGAAAUACAAAUGGAAAUGGAAAUGGAAAUGCCCCUAGUGAAAUGGGUUUCCAACCAGGAAAAACAAAAACGGUUUUCACUGGGUUUGUUGGGGGGCGUUGUGAAUGCUGAUGUUAUGUGGAAUGACGACGGAUGACAAUGUGAGGGAGGAUCGGAGGUCCGGUAAGAGAGAAAAGAGAGGGAACGAAGCCCGUCUGGUGUGGUGUGGUGGGAGGAGAUGUGCCACCGUUGGUGGAUGCCCUUUUCUGUGCGUGUUUUUGAGUUCGUUUUGUGUUUUUAGACAUUAGUGUUCAGGAGCGCGAUAAAUUCUGUUUUUUUAUGCGUUUUGUAUUUUAAUUAAAAGAAAAUUAAAUUAGUAUUUUUGAUAUACUAAUAAUAUAAAUUUAAAAAUUUUAUUUUAAUAUAUUUUUAAAUAAAAAUAUUCCAAGAAAACAUUUUACGUUACAGUGCCAAAUAAGGGAGAUUUGAGUUUGGAAUUUCUUUUAUAUGGGAUGAGAGUGGAAGUAUUUGUUAGAAAAAAACUAAAAAAUUGAUUAAAUUUAAAUAAUUAAAAAAUCAAAUCGUUAAAAAAAAUCAAUUAAACCAAUUAUAAUUUUUUAAAAACCAACCAGUUUUGUUCAGUUUCGAUUUUAUAAGUCUGAAACCGAAACAAUCGAACUGAACCGAGCUCAAACCGGAAAAAAAACCCAAGCCACACCGAAAAAAAAACCAACCAGUCUUGCCAAAGUUCUUUUUGUUCCUUUUAGUUUAGAGAUAAAAUAUUUUGAUUCAAAAUUUUAUUUUAUUUUUAUUUUGAUCCUUUUGUUUUUUGUUUUUUGUUUUUUGAGAGGAGAAAAAGAGUUCCUGAAAAAUAAAAAAUAAACGUCUGGCCUUUUUUUUCUUCUUCUUUUAAUUUUUUAUUCAAACCCUGCAUCUUUUUUAUACAUGUAUUUUUAGUUUAUGUUAAAUUUUUUAUUUUAAAUUUUGAUUAAGACUUUUAUACAUGUAUUUUUUGUUUAUGUUAAAUUUUUUAUUUAAAAUUUUGAUUAAGACUCUCCCUCUUGUUAAGGGCUAAGACCUAGGUCAUGGAUUGGAUAGGUUUGACCCGGGUCUAUCUAAAAUAUUGUUACUAUGGUAUUUUUUUUAUAAAAAAAAAACAUUGGAUCAAAGUCGUUUUAUUUUUAAAAAAGCAAAUUGGAUUUUUACCUUGUUAAUCGAGUCAAUUGAGCCACAUUUUAAUACUCGGGUUCACCUAGAGCAUGGUUAUGUUAAUAUUCAUACAAAAAAAAAACAACAACAACAACAUCUAUAAUUUUUUUAGUCAGACCAGGUUUUGAUUUAUAUCAAUCGAGUCGUAUUAAUUCAAUUAUCACACGAUUUAAUUUGAAAAUCAUAUUAAAUAAGAGUCAGGUCAUGGAGCUUCGUGUUGAUCUACAUGGUUUAAUGAGAUAAAAAAAGUUUAGACUAGACAUAUAUCUUUUUUAUUCUUAUUUUAAAGAAUCCAAGAUGUUUCUUUUAUGUUGAUGGUGAUUGUUUUUUAUUUUUAUCAAAUGAAUAACAUAAAAAAACAAAACAAACAUAUUUGUUUAGAGAUAAUAUAUAUCAAUGAGAGAAUGAUGGGUUAUAUUAAAAAAUUAUUUUGUUUUAAUUAAAUUUAAAUUAUUAUUUUUAUCAUAAAAAUAAAUAAAACUUUGAUAGCACCUUGCAAAACAAUUCCACCAUGUGCUGGUAAGGUUUAGCAUCAUAGCUAGGUAACAAAAAGCCAAGUUUGCUCCUUUGGACCAGUGAGCAUGGAAAUUUAAUGACAAAAAUGAUUAUAGUUGCAUGGUUGUCCAUUACCACAGCAUUGGUAGUACCAAUUGUAGCUGUGACCAUCCACCGCCAAACCUCCAUGUACCAAAAUUGACAGUACUAAAACCUGUAAAAUCACUGCAAUUAUUACUAUUCUUAUUCUUUUUUUUAUUAAUGUUAUUAUUGAAAAAAAAACAUAAAUAAAAUUAAAUGAAUAAAAUUAAAAACCAUAAAUUAUUAUUAUUGCGAUUAUUAUCAUUAAUAUAAUUAUUAUUAUUAGUAACAUCGUUACUAAUAAUGAUAGCAACGAUUGUUGUUGCUAUUAUUCUUGUUCUAUUGCUAUCACUAUUGUUGUUGUUGUUAAUAGUAGUAGCAACAACAGUAUCAUCGUCGUCAUCAUUAUUUAUCAUUAUCAUUAUUACUACUACAAUUAUUAUAAUAAUUAUUAUUAUUAUCACAAUUAUUAUUAUUGUUAUUGUUGUUAUUAUUACUAUUAUUACUAUUAUUGUUACCACUAUUAUUAACAUUAUUAUUAUUAUUUUGCCAACAGUGGAUGUUCGGGCCAGCUUACGCUCACCUUGACUAAACCCUCAAGGCUCUAAAAGUUAACAACCAUGUAAGCCUCCAGCAACCCUGAGGUUUAUGGCAUUCGAACUGGUGACUUCUGGGAAACAAACUCAUGGCCUGACCAAUUGAGCUACACCCCUUUAUUAUUAUCACUAUUAGUGUUGUUGUUGUUGUUACCAAUAUUAUUAUUAUCAUUAUCACCACUGCUUUAAAUAUUGAAAAAACAAAAACCAUACACGCGAUUUAAAUGAUGAAAUUGAAAACCAUAAAAACUUUGAUAAAAUAGCUAAAGAAGAAAUUAAAAAAUCAAAAGAAGAAUAAUCAAAAAAACAUUAUAUAUUACAAAUUAUAAUUGAAGGAUUAAACUAAAAACAAAUAAAAUUUUAACAAAAGGAAAAAUAUAAAAAACCAAAACCAAAAGGACUAAAUAUGAAAUACCAAUAAUAACGAGGACCAUAUCUCAUUUUUCAGGCUAGAAGAAAGAAAUAAAAGGGGGGGAAGAAAGAAAGGUCAACCAACGAUAAACCGGUUAUUGUAAGCUGGCACGGGUCACCUAGAAAGGAAAAGGAGAUGAUAACAAAUGAAACGAGAAGGAGAAAGUGUAUUUUAAACUACCAAGAGACAUCACACGCGUUACUCAAAGUGCACAGCAUCCCCUGUGCGUCAACAACUUUUCCAAUAAAAAAAUGUUAAAUAUUGUUGAAUGAUGUUAUUGCCCUUGAUCAAACCAAUAAUUUACAACAUACUCGAGGCAAAAAUACCCUAUUAACCUUGAUUCCAUGUGUUAAUUUCUCUAGUUCUAAGGGCAUGUGUGUACUUUUAAUGUGUAGAAAAAAUAGAAAAGGAAAAAAUACCCCUACUUGACAAUGCUAGUUUUUUUUCGCUCGAGAAGCUUUUUGGUUAUUUAACUAUUUAUUAAUACAUUGAAGAGUUGAUAAUACCUCUAAACAAAUAUACUAAUUCGCGUGCAAAAAGAUAAAAAAAUAUCUAUAAUUCAAAGAAAAUUUUUUAUUUUGGAAUGACAAAAAAAAAAAAAUACCAUGGUGAUGAAUAGAAAAACAUGACUGAGCUACAAUGAUUUUACUUUCCAUUUUAGCUAAAGAGGGUAAAAUCUUUAAAUCUACUAUUUUUCUUCAAAAUAUGCCUUUUUUAUGUAAGAUUAUGCACUCUCUUGAAUGGUAUCUACCAAAUCAUUUUAUCAAUAGAAUGGUUGGUUGGUGAUUGUGGCUAUUUUUUUAAUUUAAUAAUAAUGAAUAUUUUCAUACCAUUUUAGGAAACUAAAUUUUGUUCUCAAACGAUUUUAAAAGUAUAUCCUUCACGUUGAUUUUCUGUAUUUUAAAUUUUUUAAUAAAUUAUAUUUUUAAAAAUAUUAAUAUUAAGAUUUUAACCUAGAAAAUCAAGGAAAAGAACAUGUUUUAUUAUCACUAAGGUUUGAAUUCCUAGAAUUAAGAAAGAGGACAUUUUUCUUUUAGCACGGGGUGAAUUCCUUCGUACUAGCUAUGGCUACAAUAUGGCAGGAGAAAUGCAACGGGAUAGGCUCCUAAUCCUGAGAUAGUGAUAUAAAUUGUUUUUUUUUAAUAUAUUAAAAUAAUAUAUUUUUUUAUUUUUUAAUAUUAAUAUAUAAAAAAAAUACAAAAAUACAAAAUAAAAUAAUUACUUUUUAAAACUCAAGUUUAACCAUGGAACCAAACACCCUAAAACACACAAAUGGGAUAGCCAAGAACUGCUGCACAAAUUGAGAAGGACAUGGAUAGUGGGCUUGAUAAGAUCCUGAGGGUGGAUAAGUAGUUGGGCUUGAUCUGCUGGUUGGUGGAUCGCAUUGAGGCCCACUGAACAAAACAGGACAGACUAGGAAGUAGGAACACGUGAUGCUGAGCAAGUCUACCACCUAUUGUGCUCUCAGGACACGCGCAUGCUGUCAAGCCCAUUACUUUGGUAAUUAAGGGAAGUUGACAAUGACAUCCCAAGCCAAGGCUUAGGCUUGUUAUCCCCUACCAUCUAGGAUGUUGUUCCAUUUUUCUCUGCGGUGUGAUUAUUUCUUUUUUUUAAAAUUAAAAUUAUUAUUUUUUAAUUAUUUUAAUACAAUGAUAUUAAAAUUAAAUUUUAAAAAUUAAAAAAUAUAUUUAAAAUAUCUUAAAAAUAUAGUUAUUAUUACUUUUCAAAGUAUUUUUUACAAAGAAAUAUAACAAAAUAAUUUUUUUUAAUUUUAAAAAAUUAAUUUUAAUAUCAAUAUAUCAAAAUAAUCUAAAAAAUAAAAAAUAAUAUUUUUUUAAAAAUAAAUAUUUAAAAACCAUUAUUUAUAACACAAUUUCAAACAACAUAUUAGUUCAUUCUUAUUUGUGUUUCAAAAGCGUUUUUGAAAAAAUUUGAAAUUUUUUUUUUAUUUGAAAUUACUAUUUUUUAGUAUUUCAGAUUAUUUUGUUGCGCUGAUAUAAAAAAUAAUUUUUAAAAAAUAAAAACAAUAUCAUUUUAAAAAAUUUCUAAAUAAAAAAUAUUUAAAAAAAUAAUUUCAACUACACUUUCAAAUACUCAAAUGAAAAGCCGGAAGCAGUGUGACAAAUUUUAUUUGAUCCAAAUUUCAAGAAAGAUGAAGGGUCAGGAUCCAAGCUAGCUAUCUACUUACAGAGAGCACUAAUUAAACAAUGUAUGAUCUUGCUAGGAAAAAGUUCCAAUAAAAUUGUUUGGUUCAAUUUUUAUAUGAGCAUAAUAAUAUAUUGCAUGUAGAGUAAAAUUGAUAGUAUAAUAAAAAUAAUUAAUUUAGCAUGCUCAUAAACACAUACACAUGACUUUUUGAAUUUGUAAGAGUUUAUUAACUAGGAAUUCUUUAAAAUAAAUUUUUUAUUUAUAUAUAAAUAGUUUUGAAUGUAUUAAUAUUUUAUAUUAAAAUAUUCAUGGUGAUAAAAUAUUUCUUACAAAGUUUUAACCCGUGCAACACAAGUUUAAAUUGUCAUUACCCGUCAAUCAUGUCUCAAAACCAAUUUUUUAACGGUUCUCACAAGCUAGCUAUGUCCGUUUAUUUGCAUUGUUGUUUCUGCAUUUGAAGCAACCACAGCAAAAAAAAUAUUUGAUUACAUAAAAAAUACAAUUUAUUUUUGGUGGACCCAUUAUAAUUCACGUUUGAAACACGAUUUUGCCGAAGCACCUUCAAGCUGCUUUUCUUCAAAUAGUGUUUUAGUGAACAAUGCAAUUCACUUGCACUGUUCACGUAACCCGUGCAACACAAGUUUAAAUUGUCAUUACCCGUCAAUCAUGUCUCAAAACCAAUUUUUUAACGGUUCUCACAAGCUAGCUAUGUCCGUUUAUUUGCAUUGUUGUUUUUGCAUUUGAAGCAACCACAGCAAAAAAAAUAUUUGAUUACAUAAAAAAUACAAUUUAUUUUUGGUGGGCCCAUUAUAAUUCACGUUUGAAACAUGAUUUUGCCGAAGCAGCUUCAAGAUGCUUUUCUUCCAACAGUGUUUUAGUGAACAAUGCAAUUCACUUGCACUGUUCACGUGAACAGUGCAAGUGAAUUACACUGUUCACUCAAAACAAUGAACAAUGCAAUUUACUAGCAAUGUUCACUUAAUGAACAGUGCAAUUCACUUGCAUUGUUCACGUGAACAAUUUUUUUAAAAAAAAACUAGUUUAGAGUGAAUUAAAUUCACUCGCAUUGUGAUGUGAAUAAUAUUUUUUUUCCUGAAAAAUUAGUGUAGAGUGAAUUAAAUUCACUUGCACUGUAAUAUUAAUUUUAUACCUGAUAAUAUUUUAUCUAAUUUUAUUACACGCUCAAAAAAUUAUGGAAACUGUAGUUCUUAUCGGAUAAAUUUUGUACGUAAUGGAAUUAUAGAUGGUUUAAUGGAAUAAUAAAAAAUAUUUUAUAUAAAGUAUUAUUUAUUUCAUGAUGUAAUAGUAGUAAUUAAUUCUACAAUAUUUAUAUAUAUAUAUAUAUAUAUAUAUAUAUAUAUAUAUAUAUAUAUUUUACUUAUUUUAUAACCUCAAUUUAAAAAACAUUAUUAACCAAACACAUUAAACUACUUUUUGUUCAACCUCAAUUUUAACCACAGUUUUAACCAAAUAUAUAUAAAUACCAUACCAACCUCAACUAAAAGUAUUUUUUAUAAAAUAAUAUUUUUCAAACCACAACCACAAAAGUUACUACAAUACUAAACACAUAAUAUUUGCACUAGGUGUAUGACUUUAUUAGUAGAGAAAAAGAAAACUAGGAAAAUGGUUCAUAACAUAAAGACCCUCUUGUGGGAUUUUUUUUAUCAACUCUCUAUAAAUUUAAUUGCAUCAAACAAAAUGGUAGCGGGAAGGCAAUUUUUUUUUUAUAAAUUCUAAUUUAUACGUAUUUCGAUUAAACUUUCAAGAUCUUAAAAUUAAUAACUAGGUAAGUUUCUAGUGGCUCUAAAGUUUGUAACACUUGAACUGAUGAUAUUUGAAAAACAAACUCAGAAUCUGACCAGUUGAGCUACACCGUAUUAUUUAUUUAUCAAUGUGAAUGUCUAGGUCAGCUUACGUGUCCCUCGACUAAUCCUAUUUGCCUUAAAAUUAAUAUUAAUGUAAGUUUUUAAUAAUCACGAGAGAUCUCAAACUCAUUAUUAGAUAACCAAUCCAAAACCUAUCCGGUUAAUUUAAGUGAAUCAGGGAAGCUGCAUUAUUAAAACAGCAUAACCUUGCUGUAAGUUUACAGAGAAGCUUGGCAGGGCAUACAUGUUAUAGCUAGAACACAUUAAAAAAAGAAGAAGGGCGAGUGCAAGUACAUAGACAACAGAGUCUAACCCUAAAGUUAGGCUAUAGGCUGAAAGAUUUGAUUGUGAUAAAGAUCAACGCGUAGAGAACUGGAAAAGCAUGAUGCUCUGAUGGAGAUAGAGAUCAGAAAAAGUCAAUGAAGGACAUGGUUUUACUGUGCCCUCACCUCUCUCUUUUUUUAAAAAAAGAAAUGAUUUUAUCUGUGUUUAUUGUACUCAUACCCUAGUCACGUGCUAUUAUUAGGAACUUCCCUUGAUGUCCAAUCCCACGCCUCCUGUAGGUUUGUACUUUGGUGGUAAAAAUUAAAUCAUGUUAUUUGUAAUUUUAUCAUUUUUUAUCUAUCUCUGAAAUUAUUCCAAAUAAAUUUAAAAUAAUUUUAAUUAAAUAUAUCAAAAAAAUAUCUAAACUCAAUAACUUAAAUUAUUAGAUGAGAUCCCAAGAUAUAAUUUAUAUGAUUCUCUAAUACAUCUCCUUAAAUGAAAGCUCCUUAAACUUGAAAUUUGCAUAGAUUUACAUUAAAUGAUGAGAUUCAAACUCGUGAUCACUUGGUUAUCAAGGCUCUAAUAUCAUAUUAAAAACCAUCUCAAUCCAAUAGUUUAAAUAGUUAGGUAAGAUCCCAAGAUAUAAUUUAUAUUAUUGAGCUAUUUUUGUAGGGGUAUAAAAACUAAAAUCAUUGGUGUCUUUAAAAAAUAAUGUGUAGAAAAGUCUGAUUUUUUAUUUUUAUUUUUUUAGAAUAUGCAUAAUUGAGGACUGUAAUAAAGAAAUGGUGUUAACAUGUGAUGUUUCUUCCAAAGUUCCAAUAUGCAUGUGCACCAGUUAAUGAGAGUUAAUGAAAAGUUUUAUAAUAUGCAUGUGCCCUAGUUAAUGAGAGAUGAAAAGUUUUACGGUAUGCAAGUAGAGUAAUUACAGAUAUUAUUUUAGUUAUUUUAUGAGAUUUUUUUAAAAAGACAUAAGAAUAUAAAAUUUAUGAUAUACUGAAAUUCAUUAAAAGUGAUAAAAUACUUGCAUUGAUGAUUUUUUUUAAGGAACGGUUAAAAAGAGCUUUUAAAAAUUUUUGAAUUAUUUUUAUUCCAAAUUAAUAUUUUAUGUUUUUCGAUUGUUUUAAAUUGUUGAUGUUAAAAAUAAAUUUUAAAAAUAAAAAAAAAUUAUUUUAAUGAAUUUCAAAGCGAAAAACAUUUUAAAAAGCAACCGCUACCACAAUUUCAAACACUAUUUUAAUUAUAAUUCUUUAUUUUCUUAAAAUGAGCCUUAGAAAUAAUCAAUGAGUUAAUGAGUUGUCGCUAUUUAUUCUUUGAGCACUAUAAAACUAUAAAAUUACUCAAGAGAGACUUGUACAAUUAUAUAAUAAUAAUAAUAAUAAUAAUAAAUUUAUUAGUUCGGUGUUGUGCAUGAUUAAUCAAGCAUCUUGAGGUUUAUAUAUAUAUAUAUAUAUAAAAGCAUUUUGAGGGUUUUUUUUUUAAUCAUAGGAUCUUGAGGUUUAUUAAUUAGUUGCUCACAUUUCAUAUGUUCAAUUAUAUCUUGGUUUAAAGAUGAAAGGUGGUAGCAAGCAAGAGAAGGCAUGGGUUUUCAACAAUCGCACCAUGAUCUCCAGUGGAAUUGAUCAAUUACUCACCACCAUCUUAUAAAAUAGUUACAUUCACCAAUCCAUAAUAGUAAGUUGCACCUUUAUAAAUAAAAUAACAAUUAAAAUAAUUAGAAUAGGAGGGUGGAAAAAUUUGGAUAAAAAAUCAGAUAAUAAUAAAUGAUUAGAGUUAAUAUAUAUAUAUAUAUAUAUAUAUAUAUAUAUAUAUAUAUAUAUAUAUAUAUAUAUAUAUAUAUAUAUAUAUAUUUAUAUAAGUUGCACCUUUAUAAAUAAAAUAACAAUUAAAAUAAUUAGAAUAGGAGGGUGGAAAAAUUUGGAUAAAAAAAUCAGAUAAAUAAUAAAAGUGAUUAGAGUUAAUAUAUAUAUAUAUAUAUAUAUGAGAGAGAGAGAGAGAGAGGUGCUCUAACAGGAUGGAGGAGAUUGAUGGUUGUAUUUGAUAUUGAAGUUGGAAAGUGCUUUUGAAAAAUUUUGAAUUUUUUUUAUUUUUUAUUUACUUUAAAUUAAUAUGUUUUUGAUGUUUUCAGAUCAUUUUGAUGUGCUGAUAUCAAAAAUAAUUUUUAAAAACAUUAAAAAGCAUUAUUUUAAUGUGUUUUGGAAUGAAAAGUACUUUAAAAAGCAACUACUACCACACUUCCAAGUACCCUGCAACCAUGUGACUAAAGCGGCACGUUAAAAAACAACACAGGUUUCUUUUUCUUUAAAGCAGCGGUUUCAUUUUUCAACGUUUAAAGGCACCGUAUGAUUUUGCAUUAUAAAAAUGUUUUUAAAAAAAUUAAUUUUUUUUAUUUUUUUACCUUAAAUUAAUAUUUUUUUUAUCAGGGAAGUUUAUGGAUGUAAAACAUUAUUUUUAUGUAAAAUAUUUUUUUGUGAAUUUUUAAAUUUUUUUAUGUUUUUAAAUUAUUUUGAUAUAAUAAUUAAAAAAAUAAAUUAAAAUAUUAUUUUGAUAUAUUUUUUUUAAAAAACAUUUUAAAAAACAACAUUAUCACAAUGUCAAACUGGAUCAUAAUUGUGUUGGCUUUCAGCUUAUAAUUAUAUCCAAUUUAACUUUGAAUUUUUGCAAAUUAUAAACCUUGCUCAUUUUAUUUUUUUACUAACCAGGAAUCUACCAACCUUAUUGACCUUUUUUUUCUCCGCCUAUGCAAUACUUGCUUGUGCUGCUUGAAUUCUUAUGUUUUAACUUAAUUCAUCAUUGUAAGCAUUUUCUUUAAAGAAGGGAUGAUGAUUUUUAAACCUAAUUAACAACCUCCAUUAUUAAAAAUCAUGCAUGUUCUCAAAAUAAUACCACAAGCUCCCCCCACCCCGUCACCAAAAAAAAAAAAAAAAAACAAAAAACAAUAAUGGAACCGGAAACCAACUAAACAUGUUUAGGUUCCAUUGAUAUUAUUAUUUAAACAAAAGAAAAUAUACCCUUUCUUCCACCUUCUCCAACGAAACAAGCACUUUCCCUUUCGAUGAAUCUCUGAUAAGAUUUAUUCUUUGAACAAUCAUAUGGUAGAAAAAUGAUAAAAGUCUAGCACGACUCUAGAUAAUAUGAAUAGAGAAGCCAAGAGUUUGGGAUUAAAAUUUUUUUUUUUUAUGGUUUUAAGUUCGAACUAUAUGGUUGCUAAUAUGAUGGUUACUGGACCCGGCCGACCCGGGCUUGGGACCGGUCCGGGUCUAAGUAAAAACCCGCCUGGAAGUUGGCCCGGAAAAACCCGGUCGACCCGAAACCCGGCUGAGACCCGGUCUCUCUCUCUCUCUUUUUUUUUAUACAGACACAUUAAACUACAUCGUUUUAAACGAUGAAGAUGAAUAAAUGCCUCCUAGCCGGGGGGGCUCUGUCAUUAGUUGGAAAAGUGGAUCUCCAGGAGAGAAGCAAGAUGCCUUUCUUUGAUCCACCUUCACGGACAGGAAAGAGAACGAAAAGAGACGCGCUAAGGUCAUGUGAUUGAGGCUCACAUUUGAUAGAUAUGGUUGAGGCUGAGCUGCCGCUAAUCUUGACCAAAACCAAUGUUGGGGAUGAGAUUCUUAGUCGAAAGCAAAGUUGUUGAUGCUUGGGGAUGAACUCAUGCUAUUAUUGGCGUGAUUGAAGCUCACGGUUGCUAGAGGCUGCUUGCUGCUGAAGAAGGAAACUGUUCACGUUUGAGAUCACAAUGGCUGAGCUGGUAUGUGACCAAGGUGUUGUUGCUGGAGAAGAAGAAGUCACCAGCGGCUAGCAGAGAAAAGUUAAUUAAUUUCUCUCUUGCUCUCUGGGUUUUCUAUUUUUUUUCUUUCUUCUGUGUGUGUGCGCGCGCGCUGGGGAACGAGCCAGAUGCUUAUGGAAGAGAACAUGAAAGAUCAGCCACGCUGGGGAAUGGCCCACACAUGUUUCAUGAUCACUUUGCUCUAAGCGCCACUGAGAAGUCAAUGUAUUGAUUUUUCUUAAACAUCCAAGGCCCAGACUUGAAUUCAAUACCCCUUCUGCUUGCUGGUUUUUUUUUGGGUUGACCCGGGUCAACCCAUCUGACCCGUGACCCGGUCAUUAGACCGGGUCGACCACCGGGUCGGGUUUCAAAACUAUGGUUUUAAGUUCGAACCAUGUGGAUGCUAAUAUGAUGGCCAUUGGAGACUUAUAUGGUCGUUAACUUUAGAACUUGAGAUUGUCGAGGUGCGCGCAAGGUGGUCCGAAUUGAGACUUAUAUGGUCCGAUCACCGAUAUUAAUAAAAAAAUAAAAGAAAAAAGAAACAAAAAUAAUUUUUCUCAAUUGAAUUUCAAAUAUAAAAAUUUUCCUCUAAUUUUUGCUUCGAAAAAAGGUCACCAACCUUGUAUAUUUAAUUAUGAUAAUGAUGGAAUUAUACACAACUUUCCAUGUAUAAUAAUUUGUUACAACGUGAUAAAUUUUGCCCACCACACAUUUACAAGUGUCACCUUCCCUUCAAGCAGGAAACAACUAGCGGUGCAUAAUAAUAUGAUUUCGACUACUGGAUUUUGCUGUUUGCUCUCAAUUUUUGUUCUUGGGUUGGAAACGCUUGGUGCCCCACAUGAACAUCAAAUCAAGUAUAAAAAUGGGGUCAUGAAUAUCAAUAAUUAUAUACUCUUUCAAAGAAGUAGACAACGUAGCAUCUUUUGAAACACAUCAAGACAUGCCCUACACACAGCAACUCGUGUAAUAUAUUUGCCAAUCUUUUCUGAUUUGAUCACAGUCAUGUAUAGAUACGAAGAAGAGGGGGGAAAAAACAAGAAAAAAAAAUGAUAUGGUAAAGUAAUCCAGUUUCUGGCCUAGCAGCCAAAGGCAAAAGGGGCCAAAUUCUUUGAGCUUGUGUUUUUUAAACUCCAAGUCGUUCUGGCUUAGAAGACUGAAAAUUGUAUGCUGUCUGUUUGAUAUUUUUAAAAAAUAUAUUACGAUAAUAAAUUAUUGCUAAUUGUUACUUAAAAUUAAAAGUAAAAAAUAAUAUUUUAUAAGUAAUAUAAAAAAGACUCUUGAUCAGUAGUUAAAAUCUGAAAAUGAAUUUUUCUUUGCCAAUAAAUUUUUAAUGCCUAUAAUCUCGCAAUUUAAUUGUUUUAAAAACAGCAACUUGUAAAGCUAUCAACAUGAAUAUUAUCUACGAAAGACAAAAUCGUUACCACAUUAAUUUUUUUUUAUUUUUUUAUUAACGUGGGUGUCUGGGCUAACUUGCACGUACCUCGACUAGCCUCACGGGCCCUGAAGUUAACGAUCAUAUAAGCCUCCAACAACCAUUAUAUUAGCAUCCACAUGCUCGAAUCUGAGACCAGAAGAAGAAACAAACUUAUUUUCUUUAUAUUUUUUCUUAAUUCGAUUAUUCAAGCUUCCCAAUGAUUUUGUCCACAAAAAAAAAAAAAAUCCUUCUUGGAGAUGCAUGCAAUCAGAGAAAUUGAGAAGAAACUCGAUGGAUUAUGAAUUUUUUGAGGUUUGAAAUGGAUGCCUUGUUUUCGUGUUAAUAAUUCGGAAAGUACAUGCUUGAAACUUUUAAGGAUUAGGAUCAACUACACAGGUGGCUUUCGCUAUAUCUGCCCUACAAGUGCAUGAAUAUGAUAUCUGCCCUGCACUACUGCUCCUCAAUCCUCUCUCAGGGUCUCGGAGACGAUAUACUAUACAAUCUCAUCUUACUGUAUUAAGAGCGUGUGUUCAGUAUUGCUGAAAUAUUCUUUAUUUAAAGUUUGAAUUUUAAUUAAAAAAAUUUAAAUAAUUUUAAUACAAGUACAUUAAAAAAUAUAUAAAAAUAAUACAACUUUUAUAUAUUUUCCAUUUUCCGGGUGCUAGUUUCCUCAUUGGUUAAUUAGUUCCUUUACCAAUUACCGGGCAUUAGUUUCUUUACUAGUUAAUUAGUUCUUCUACCAAUUAUAAAGCAUUAGUUUUUGUUUAUGAGAAACUAUCUUCUUUACUCAUUAUCGGGCACUAGUCCCUUUACCGGGAAGAUAGUUCCUUCGCUCAUUACCGAACACCAAUCUCAUUAUCAAGAAGCUAAUUCUUUAAAUAAAUCAUCGCACACACAAAAUUAUGGAUUGAUAAAUUAAAAUUCAUUUAAAUAAACAUAUUUCCAUCAUAAAUCAAAUAGCGCCCCUUGGUUGGCCAUAAAUGCCUUUCGGAUUACCAUGCUUUCUUCAUUGAUUCUCACUAAUUUAACAACCAAUCCUAACCCAAUUGAGUGAAUUUAUCAUCAAUUUACCCCCCAGGGUUAAUAUAGUCUUUGAAUCUUAGCUUGUUGAGAUUUAAAGGUGGUGAUUCACAAUUCCUCUUCAAUUUUGUUGGUUUUCUAAUGGUUUUUCCCCAAGUACUGUCUUCAAUUUUGUUUUUAUUUUUUCUUCUUUUCUUUUUACUUCUUGCUAGCCAUUAAAGAGGGAGGGAGAGAGUUUUUAACAGUCAAUUCUUUGACUAAUUACACAUUAACCCCACCUUUUCAUUUAAUUCUCAAUUUAUCCCCAUAAUUUUCUAAUUGAUUUCUCCUCUUGUUAUUUCAUUUCAAUUUUGCCCUUGAUAUUAAGUUUUAAUUCCCUCAAUUUUAAUUUAACUCAUUUUAUUUCCAGGUUAAAAUUUUAAUAUUCCAUGAAGAGUUUAGCCAGGACUUUACAAAUAUCCUAAGCCAAAAACCCCAAAUUAGUUGAAAAAUAAAAAUCAAAUUAAAAAAAAAUUCUCUCCCCAACCUCAAUUUACCUUUUUCAAGCGAUAUGAAGCCCAAAAAAUAUCUCAAUAACACUCUUUUCGUUAACAAUCUCCUUUUUCUUUCAUCAUUUUCAGCAAUUCUCUCUCUUUUGUCCUUCUCUCUUAAGCUCAUGGACCAAAACGUGAAGAAAAAAAAGCUAUGAACCAAAAUAUAAAAACCUUGUAAAAUAAGGACUAAAAAUGAAAAAAAAAUCAAGGUACUUGAGAUGCUAAAACCUCGCCACAACUAUAGUGAAAAACAGCAGCCUAGAGAUUUGUUCAAGUGUUGUAUUUGAUCCUUAAAGUUUUAAUUAUAUCUAAUUAUGAAAAUUGAACUUAAUUUUUUCAAAUAAAGAAUCAAUUUAAUUGCGGAACUUUUUGAAAAGCCAUGAGAAACCCUUGAAAAGCUCACAAAGAUAAAUCACCAACCCUAACCUUGAACUAACUAAACUUGUAAAGAUAAAAUUAAAAAAAUAAUUAAAUGUAUGAAAAAAUAAUGGAAAAGAAAAUAUGUGUGAUUCCACAUUAAAACAUUGAGCCAUCUUAGUGUUUUCUUAAUUAUCAAUCCCCUUUUUGCAUCGUGGCCAUGGUUCCAGCUUUUAUUUUUUAUUUUUCCAAUUCGACUUUUAUUUUUCUUUAGGUCAGAAUAUAUUCUUCGCAUGAUUGAGCAACUGAGUUACAUCCCCCUUGGUACAAGAGAAGUCACACUGUCCUCUGCUUGUAUCUUCACAAAUGAGACGUAGGCCACUGCUUUACAGGGGUAUUUAGUACAGUAGUAUUGAUUGUUUUUUAAAUUUUUAUUUAAUAGUAGUACAUUAAAAUAAUUUAAAAAUAUAAAAAAUAAUUCAAAAUAAAAAUUCAAAAUUUUUAAAAACUCCAAGUGCUGUAUUAAACGUGCAUUUAAUAAGUUCAGUGACCAAUUCUUCCCUUACUGGUUCUUGUUGGUGUUCGAUUCUAGAAAAUGCAUUACAGAAUAAGUAAUAUAUGGCAUGUGUGGGAGUGUAAUUAUGGUUAUUUUUUAAAGUAUUAUUUGUGUAAAAAUAUAUUAAAAUAAUAUUUUUUAUUUUUAAAAAUUAUUUUUAAGAUCAGCACAUCAAAACGAUAUAAAAUGUACAAAAAAAAAUUUAAAUUUUUAUAGAACGCGAUUUACACCGCGUUCCCAAACAGUUUUUAAAGCAAUUCCAAUUAAUUAAAUAGUCGAAUUCAGCUUCUUAAAACAUCUAAAUAUUCUGCUUCUCUUGCUGGCAAGAUUUGAUAUAGGAAGGAAACCUCCUGCUGAUUACCUAAACGUGCUGUGCUUUGCUUACAGCGUGAAUCAGAUAAAGAAUACAUGAUUAAUAAUAAUUUUAUAAAAAAAUAUACAACUCAUGUACAUAGAAGCAGAUUAGAUUUGAGUUUGACAAAGAGGAACACACCACGUGGCUUGAUUCCCCACGGCCUGUGCUAAGCUUGGAAUGGACUCCUUGUUUAUACAGACAGGAGAUGGAAGGAAAUGUGCGGUUGUGACAGUGAUAUAACAUGCUUUCCACUCAAGAUUUUAGUAUUCCCUUUUUCUUUUAAAAAAAAAAAAAAAACCUUUCAUCGCAUUAUAAACUCUCUGUAUGUUCUAUUCUGAGAGGGAUGGUUUUUUUUUUUAAUUGUCCGAUAAGAAGGGUAGACAAGCGGGGUGUUUUUUUUUGAAGGGGACAGCAUUAAGAUGGCUGUUUGUGCCCUACAAUUAUAGCCCGCUCAGGCUGUGAACUGGGUAGUGGUUCAGUGACUGUAAACCCAUGGCUCGGGCUUUAGUUGCUGCACCAUGGACCAUGACUAACUGGGCUGGCCCUAAUUGAAAACCCAAUUGGAGAUCCUGCUUUGCUAAACUUGCCAUGUACUUCCUUGCCUUUGAGAUUUUUUAAGAGCAUCAAAAUAUUAGAUUGGGAUCCUCGUAUUUUUUCUUCCAACAUAUACACUUGAUGCUUGCUCGAUGGAAGCUCUUAAGAUCUUUUUUGAUUGAAAUUGAACCUUUUAAAAUCAAUUGAACGAUUGAGAUUUAACUCAGAAUUCUUUUCAUUAUAAGAUGAUAAGGUCACUUUCUUUCUUUAUGCAAAUCCAUGUAAAUGGAAAGGGAGAAACAAAUCUUAGAAACAAAUUCCUAUUCUUCUUGGUAAUCGGUGAUCAGCCAAGAGAUACAAGCCUGUGUUCUUUGUAACGAGAAGGCUUUUGUUCAAAAGGGGGUUGCCGCAUUGAAUAAAGCUAUGUUUUCGGCCUAUCAGGAUAGCAUAAAAGAAAUUCACGAUGUUCAGGGAUCACUCGUAUAAAUCGUGGCAAGUGUUUAAAGAGGAGAGAUAUUGGGGGUGAGAGAGGAUCUCAAUCCGAGAGGAAGCAAACAAUGUAAAAGAUCACACAGGUUUUUUCUUAACAAGUAGAAUCCUUGAAUAAAGAGGUUAGAUUUUUAAUGAAGUCGUCUGCAUUCUAUUAUGUAUUUAUAGUUACAAAAGACUACAAUAAUCAGAAGGACUAUAAUUUCUAAGAACAAUAAUAGUAUUGCACAAUAUCAGGAAUCGAUGUUGCUAAUAGAGUUUCUUAUUUGGUGUUCUGCAUUCCUCAACGAUUUAAACCAGUCAGGGUUUAAUCAUGUUGAUCACCUUGAUUAAGUGAAGUGUAGGUUCCCAAUUCACAGCUGCUGCUACUGCCCGUCUCAAAUCCUCCAUCGGAGUUGAAAAAGCAGACAUAGCUCAUCUUAGAAACUAUGCUGGUGAUCAAUAUGAAGGCUGCUCCUGCCUCAAAAACUCCCGCGCUUAAGGUCUGGCAACGAAGCCCAUCAGUGCCUGAUAUGGUCCUGUAUUUGGUGUGUUGAGCAUUCUUGAUUGCACCACCCAGUAAGCAUGCCUCAGCAAUGAAGAAUGUAAUCCUGAUUUAUCAUACCAUGUUGCAUAAUUUUUUUUUUCAAGUAUCAAUAGUAGCAUGGAAACAUUGUUGCACUCAUAAUUAAAAUCUAUGAACAACUUUAAAGAUAGGAUUAAAAGAUUCUGAUAACUUGACUUGUUAUGAUCACUUACUUACCAGCUUAUUAUGGAUGGGAUGACAGCAGAUGUCCUACUACCUCCAUAGUUCAUACCCUUUCGAAAGUAGGAGCUAGCACCCAUUGAGAAAACUUGACUUGCCAAAAGUAAAACAAAUGCAAUAGCUCCCAACUUUGUUGCAAUGUCUGAGCUGUAGACGCAGUAGCUAUAGCUUGAGUCACUGUCAGUAGCAGCCUUGGCCUGAAAACAGAAAAAAAUAAAUUAUAAUGCAAUUAGUAUCUUCUGGGUUUUAAUUAUUAAACAUUCAGUUGUUGUUAGAGCAAUCAUAUACAAAAGUAUUUCAGAGAAAAUCUCAUUGUGUUCGCUGUUAAAUGGGUUCCGAGACAGUUUGGGUUUUGCCCUAGAUGUAUUAAUUAUUUCUCAAAAAAAAAAAAAAACAAUUUAUAAAGGAUCAAGUUAAAUGCUGUCCUGAUCUCCAAUUUGGCUCACAUAAUAGACAAGACAACAUCAUUGCAAGGAGUGGAAUGAAGAGGUAAGAAGCAAUACUUACAGUACUUCUCAUAUGUUCAGCUGCAAGGGCAAGGACAAAAGCAAUGAAAUCAAUGGCAAAGAUCGCCAUGAACACAAGUGUUGAUGCCAUUGCAAUCCCCACCAACCUCUCUCAAGCAAUGAAAUCAAUCAAAUCAGCUAGGCUUUCUCUUUGGGGUUUGACAAACAUCAAACUAUUCGAAAUAAAAUUAGCGGUUUUGAAACACAAUUGAUUAAACACAAAAAUCUAAGGUUAAUUGAGAAUAUCAAAGGAAAAAUCAUAAAUUCUUGGGUUUAGGAUACAACUAACCAAUUUAUUUCCUUGUGAAUGAGCAAUCGAUCCAAUAGAAUCCUUUCAGGGUUUUGAUUUUGGUUUAGAUACGGUAGGGGAGCACAACGAAAGGAAAAAAAGAGAGGAGGGGGAGAGUUUAUAGGUUUGAUUCUGUGUUUUUGUACCAUUGAUCUUUUUUUUCCGGUGUUUUAAAAUUUUUGUACCAUUGAUCUUUUUUUUCCGGUGUUUUAAAAUGGAUUCAGAAGCCAACCCAAUCCUGACAAGUUUGAUGUCAUUAAUUUAAUUUUUAUAAAUCUAUAUGGUGAUUGACAACAACUGCAGGAAGAGAGAGAGAGUUUCUAUAUAUAUAUAUAUAAGUGUUAAAAGAGUUCAAGUUGUUGUGCUUGCCGAUUUACAAGUUUCUCCUUCAUCUCUUAUAAAUAAUUAAAAAUAAAUUUUAUAAAGAUUUUAUAUCAUUAUAUUACAUAUUAUUAAAUUUCUUAACUUAAAACAUAUUUUAUAAUAAUAAUUCUAAUAAUAUAUUUUAUAAUAACAAUUCUAAUAAUAUAAAAUAUAUUUAAUUUAUGAUAAAUAUUAAUUUUAAAUAUAGGUUUAUAAAAUUGAUAUAUUUUACUAUUUAAAGAAUUAAUUCAUGUGUUUAAUUAUUGAAAUUAAAGUUUAACAAAAAGAGAUUUUAAAUAUAGGGAUUUGUUGUUUUUAUUGUGGAGUCAAAUGAAAACAUGUACAAACACCAACCUCUCAAUUCCCAAUUUUUUCUCCAAAUUAAAACCCUAAUAAAUUAUUAUCAUUAGAGAAUAUAAAGCCGUGAUAAAAAAAUGAUUGGAUUUGUGAGGAUGAACCAAAAAUUCGUCGACAAACGAAAUUGAAUUGUUUCAUAUUGAACUUCUAUUUUCUGCAAGGGGAUCCUUCACUACUUCAGUAAAAAGAGAUUUUCACUUGCAAGGCUUCAAGUUUCUUCUAAUAACUCUUCAUACCCUCCCGUCAGAUGUUGAGUUGAAUCUACUAAUACAAACGUGAAUCUUCAUGGAUGAGAAAUUUUCCUGCAUGGGGGCCGUCCUUUCUUGAUCUGGUUUUAAAAUUGAACAAACCAUCCCAUAACAAAGACUUUUCGCGUUGUUUGUUUCACGCUUUGAAGAUGCUUAGACCAGAAAAAUGCGGGGAUUCUUUAUUGAAGAGGCCUAGAUAAGAUGCUAUGUGAUGUUAGAUUGUAAAGCUUUGACGUUCAUUCCUGGGAUCGACUGAAAACAGGAUUUCUGUAGUAAUUUGAGAUGAACCUGCAAUUCCUCCAUGCAGGGACCAGAAGAAGAAAAAGGGUCCGGCAACACCAGUGAAGAUCAUGUAAAUUGUUUCUUGUUCAACAAGGUUACAUCACCAAUUCUUUAUGCGCUACGUAGAUACACAAACUGGAGUCUUCUAUUAUUGAUAGGUAUGGGAAAAACAAAAAAAUUCACAUCAUGUUGAAAGAAGGAAAAAAAUCAUGAAUAUGAUCUAAGAUACAAACUAUCACAAACUGAAUUGAACCCUUAAUGCAGUCUAAAAAUGAGGCCAUGGAGGAGGCAAAUUGAUGUAGAGAUCUAUGGUUACAUCAGAUUUACCCAGCUCACUUGUAGGUUCCCAUACCCACACCAACGUCUCCACUGUAUGGAUGGAAGCUGUCACUGGCCCUGGAAUAGCAAACAUAGUAGAACUCGGAAACUAUGGCAGUGAACAAAGUAAAUGCAGCUCCUGCUGCAAAAACUCCUUUCCUCAAUGAUGGGCAAUCCAGGUUUUCACCGAAAAAAUUCUUGUACUUGGUGUGGUAGGCAUUCCUUAUUGAACCCGCAAACAAGCAUAUUUCAGCAAUGAAGAAAAACACCCUGGAGAGGACAAUUGAAAAAGUUCAGAAAAAGAAAACAUGGGUUCUAUAAGAUACAUUGAAAGAAAUAGACCUAAUUUUAGCUUGCUCACAAAAACAUGGUUAUGGAUAAAGGUUAGCAGCAUCUAUGUUCAAUAAUGGAUACUUUUCAUAGUUCAGCUUUGGAUUAGCAUCACCUACCAGCAGACUAUAAACAGGAUAACCGCACAAGCCCUUGAACCUCCAGGACUCAAAGGCUUGCCACAGCAGAAACAUUUACUGGCAAACAUAAUAAGGACUUGGCUAGCCAAUAGGAACAAAAAUGCGCCAACACCAUAGCCAGAUGCAAUGUCUGAAUCAUAGAUGCAGUAACUGUAAUCUUUUUCAGAAUCUGGUCGGACAGUGGCCUGCAAAACAAGGUAUUGUAAAUUUGUUGCGUCACUACAAAUCAACCACUCAGCUGCCAAUAGGUGAUUGCUACAAUAAGAGGUCUACCAGACAUGUUACAAUCUUGGGGAGCAUUUUGAGUAGUUCUCAUAUAGAUCGCACCACCAAGCAGUAUUAAAAUCUAUUCAAGAGCUACAUAUUGACUUUCAAGAUAUAAUUUUUUAAUGUUCAAUCUCCAGGUUGUCUAUAAUGACUCAUUGUUUAAUCUAACUGCUGGCAAAAGGUUGGCAAAGGUAAAGAAAGUGAAGAAACUUGCUUUUUGGAACUAGAUUUACAUCAUCAAGGGCCCCAGAAAAGGAAAACCCACCUCUCCUCAACUUAGACAAGUACAGGUAUUAGCACCUAAACUAUGUGAUGGCCAGGGAAGUUAUGUGUACUGGGUGAAAUGUAAGAAUCAAUCUAGAUCCUUCUCUCUCCUUGUGAAAUUGGUAGCCGGUAAGUGUCGAUCAAUAACAGGGUGAAAUAGAUACCAGAAUAUUAUCCCACAGACACUUUGAGAAAAGGUUCUAAAUAUGCUCCAGGUUAUAAAUAAAUUUUGCAAACAAAAUCUGCCUGGAAAAUUUUCUUUUUCCUUCCCAUCUCAUUCAAGCUUCAGUUUAUUUCUAGUAGUGUCAUGGACAUAUGUGGUGAGAAAGGAAGUGAUUUGCUGUUUGCAUUACUAAAAAGUCCAAAACACUAUUCAUAUAAACAGAUCUGGUAAUUUGAUUGCUAAUACACUUUCAAUACCAAUUCAACAUUGAAGAUUUUGCUUCAUCAAGUCAAAAAUAUUAUUGCAUCUAGAUCUGCUAGUAUGAAUCCCAAAAACACUACCAAUACCCCUAGCCAUAUGAUUUCCAAGAAAAUCCUAGAGAAAAGAAACAAAAAAGGAUAUGGUGUCGCUCACAGCCAUACCAUUAACAAAAUGCACAGCUUAAGUAACAAAAAUAACAGAACUUAUUCUUGCUCAAUUAAACGUAUUAAACAUUUUCAGAUAAGAAACUGAAAAUUCAUGUCAGUUGGUUCAUAGUCAAUCAAGAUUCAGUAUUUCUUCAUUUUCUUCACAAUUCUUCAGAUUUAGUACUUCUCUCUCUUAUUAUUUCAUUUUUCUUGAAAACCAACAGACCCCUCUAGCAAAACCCCAAAACCUCACAUUUAUAUCUUCAAGAAAACCAGAAACCACGAAAAAAACAAAAGAUUGCCCAAACUUGGUACACAUAACCAAGGAAGUUAAAGAAGGGACUAUAAACAUAUACUUACAGUGCUUCUUCUCUGCUCAGCUGCAACAGCCAAGCCAAAUGCUAUGAGAUCGAAGAUAAAGACAGUAAUCAACAGUAGUUUCGAAGCCAUUGCAAAGCAACUUUACUACCCUCUUCACAGAUCUUGCUGCUUUCUCUUUAUUUCUCUCUAGCUUCUUCCCUGCCUCCCUCUGUCCCUCUUUCUCUAAAUAUGCAAAAAGACCACCUGUGCAAGCAUAGAAGGAACAGGGAAACUAGAGCCAUUACAAAAAAAAUAAAAAAAUAAAAAAAUAAAAAACCUAUAAAGAAAUAGACAGUAUACCCAAUUCAGUUCAUUGAAAAUGGGUAUGUCACCUGCCAAUCGUAAAGUUAGAUGCAAGGGUGUUUUGGGAAUUGCAUGUUGAUAAAGAAUUUCUGUUUUUGGUACAUUGUAAUAAAGUAUUCGGCAGCUUAAGCGAUUUUCGGGAGCGCGUUAUAAUCGUGUUUUUUAAAAUUUUAAUUUUUUAAUUUUAAAUUAUUUUAAUAUACUAUUAUUAAAAAUAUAUCUUAAAAAAUACCCAGCUUGAUGCGACUGAUUGUCGGUGAAGGAAUGAAUUGACGAGAAAUUAAAAGAGAUCUGAAUCUGAUGCUUCCGUAAAGUAAAGCCUACCCCAAAUUGUUAUUAUUAUUAUUUUUGUUAUUUUUUUGUUCUUACAAAUAGAUAGGGACUUGGGGUGGCAAUGCUCUCAAGUCUCAACAAAUUUCAUAAUGUCUCGACGGCUAAAUCAACCGCCGGUCCCCUGUAAAGCAAAGUAUGGCAUUCAUGCUUUGAGUGGCCAUCAACAAACAAACUUGCUUAAGUAAUCUGUGCUUACAAAUCUUCAAAGACUAGUUGUUCAAGAUUAAUAACUACCAAGGUAAAGAACAAUGCCUCAUGGAAAGUAACUAGUCCUCGAGAAAAAAAAUAAAAAUGAAGGCUUUGCAACAAAUACUCAAGCAGCACCAAGGAGUUCUGGGUUUUACAUACAAGCAGAAAUUUGAAUGAAUAUUACAAGAGUUUGAAAAACUAUUUCCUGCAUGAUAUACAGACCCAAAACACACACCAAAUAAAAGAAUAACUCUUUACACCCUCAACCUAGCAAUUCUCAAACCUGAUAAAUUACAAAAUAUACUCGUAUGGCAGCAACACCAAAGGCCUUAUUAUGUAUGAGAGCUAAUUCCUGGUCUCGCUUCUGUUGUUUUUGGGAGGUGGGUAGCUGUUGGCUGGGGAGGGUACGUGGUUUAAGUCAACAGUUAUGCUGCAUCAUCCAACACUUGUUCACAAGUCCAACCACUUGUCCUGUGGGAUCAGUUUGCAGCAGUGGCUCGGCCUUUCCUUCCAAACAAAAGAAGCUUUCUAAAACCUUUUGCAGCUUUAGGAGAGUUCUCAUCACUGUUCCAUUUCUUCCUGGAGUGGAUUGGUUCUGGGUUUAUUUCAUCAGGUGGUGGGGUCGAUAUUUCUAUUUCAGAUUUCUCAGGUAACUCCAAAAUUUCACUGAAUCCACCAUUUUCUCUGAUAUUGACAGCGCAUAGGUUCAGAGCCUUAUUUGGUGACUCUGGCACAUGAUGUAUUGUUGUUUCAGAUGUGUACUCACCAUGAUCACCAGGUGUUUCUAUGUAUUCACAAACAACUGGAGCUACUUUAGAGAAUCCCUCGUCACCUGCAGAUGAGUCUUUGUGGAGAGAAUCACCAUUGCAGCCUUUAUCAUCUAAGCUAUCUCCUGAAAUCAUAUUUCCUGCCUUAUUUUUUGCGGAAGAAACACUCUGCAACUCCUUGAUAUCUCUGAAAUCAUUAAUUCCUUCUGCAGAUUGAGAUGCUUGUGUCGGUAUUAAAUCCACAGGCUUCUCUGCUGUGGCUAUUGUUCCAUCCUUCUUUCGGUUGAUGUCAGAUUUGACCGUGUUUGGACUAGUAUUUCCAGCACCAGCAGCCUUUUGUGAUAAAACAUUUGCCUUCAAGGUUGCCUUUUUGGGUUGGGCAGCUUUUGAUUCAGUUGAUGACAACUUUGGGGUUGCCCGAGCAGUAGCAAGGCGAUCAAUAGUGGAACUCCUAAAGACUGGUUUCUUCGUAUCUUGGCUUGGAGAUUGGGUUUUAGGCUUCUCAUUCUUUAUAGAAAUAGCAGUAGGUACUUUCCCUGCAGGGAUUCUCUUAGAUGUCGCUGGACCACUGCCACCAGAACUCCUUUCUGCAAUUCUCUUCUGACGUUCAAUUGAUAAUUCCUCCAUUCUCUUCCUGUUUUCUUCUUCCUGUUUUCAAGUGGUAAUAUUAAGUGUCAACCAAAAAAGGGAGGUUAAGUAAUGGUAAAGUGAACAAUCAAGUAAGGAAAUUUUGUUUAACCGACAGCAUCUAACAAUUUCAGAUACAAUGAAACUCUUGUAUGGUUUCUCUUGCUCCAGUUUCCAUUAAGGGAAUGAAACAAAAGAGAAAUGCUUUAAUGCUAGCUUAAAUCCUUGUUCAAUACCUUCUCAGAUUUGCUCUUCAGAAGUGUGGUUCUGCUUGCUGAAGUUGGUUUCUUCGUCCUUGACAUGAUGUCAGAUUUGCUCCUACCAAGAGAUCCAUUAGGAACUUUUGACCUGGCUUCUUUACCAGCAACUUUUUUACCAGGAUUUCCACUUUUUUUGCCAUUGGUGUCCAUACUGUUAGAAGGAAGCUUAUCCUGAACAGCAUUUGUUUCAUAAUCCAUUUCUGGAGUCCAAGAUGAUAGAGCAUGCUCAGCAACUGAAUCCCGCCCAAGCACCAUGUAAAGGUCAUCUGGUUCAUGGACAUCAAAUACCUUAGAUUUAUCAAGCGAAAUCUCUGUUCUACCAUUCUCAUAUUGAGUAGCUUCAACUACAUCUGGAGCAAUGCUUAUGUCUGUUCGUAAUAGUGAAUCAGACUGAUCAUCUACUAAAGGUCGAGCUUGGAUCAUGAAUGAGUCAUCCACUAAUACAUCUUUCUUAUUUUUCUCAGUUUGGAAAUGCUCACCAGUUAAUGAUGAAUCAUAAUCACAACUGAAUGCUUUAUGGUCUCUGUGAUCAUCCAUGUUUACUGACCUGUCCAGUUGGCUGCUAAUAAACCAAUCCCCUUCUUUUUUACUUUUGGGUAUUGGAGAUUCAGUGGAGUAAUCAGCAAUGAUAGGAUAGUUCCCCGAUUCUCCAGCUCUUUGAGAAAAUAACAACUCCUCAUAUGUGCUAUCCCUUUUCUUUAUCAUUGGGUGGGCAUUUGCACCAGCUUCAAAGUUUUCAAUACGAGAUUCACCUUCAUUACCAGACUCCCUCUUUGUUGCGAUGAAUGAAUCAUCUGAUAAUGCUCGCUGCUUCCUUAUUCCCUCAGAUCCCAGGUUAAACUCCAAUGACCUUCCCUCCUCAUAGCUCUUAGCUGUAAUGUCAUCUCUCUGAAUCUGUGGAGGAUCAGGUUCAAUUCCGAAAGAGUUUGGCUCUCUUUCUUGCAUGAGAAGGCUCUGAAAGGCACCCCAAUGGUCCUUUCCUUUUUCUCCAUCAAGAUUAUUUGCCAUUAUAUUCUUGCCUUCCUGAUCAAUAGCAUCAUUUGAACCAUCUAUAGUGCUGCGCUGUGAUUUCUUGUGUUGCCGAGAGGUUGAUUUAUGCCGUCUCUCCAACGAACCAACAGCUUCCUGUACUUGCUGCUUGAGAGAUUCUCCAUCAAUAAAUUCAUCCUCAUCAGAUGUGCAGUCAGAUAUGCUGCCCUUUUCUCCAUCCUUCAUUGAAGUAAUGUAAUUGAUGUUGCGAAUGACAACCUUUCUUGAGGACUUCUUCCCAUGCCUUUUCCUGUGCAUCUUAUCCACCAAAGACCUCUUUUUGUCACUUUGCAGAUGUUCAUCUGAUUCAGUCUCUGAGCUGGAAUCACUGGGCUCAGUGGAUUGAUCUUGACUAGAAGCUUGCCGUUCUUUUCGAUGAGAAGACUUCUUCUUGCUCCUGGAGGAUGAUUUACGAUUUUCACGAUCAUCAGUUUCCCAAUCUCGACCAAGGCUAGAAUCAUCAACAUUUGGAGGCCAUUGCAUGUUCCCUGGAAAAUAUGGAGACCCAACCCGCAUACCAGGAAAAAGGUAGCCUUGAUACGGGGGCAUUUGUUGAAAUCCAGGACCUUGAAAAUUGUGCAUGAACUGAGGAUGAUGGUUUGGCCAUGGCAUUGGCAUAUGAGCUUUCCCAUCAGUUGAUUGCAUCUGAGCUGAUGGUGGAAAACCACUAUCUGUAAAGACAUUCAGCUACUUCAAAGAUUGGCCAAUAGUACAAUAGACCUUAAACUAUUGCUAGUUCUCUACUUAUUUUCAUCAGCUAUAAAAGGGGCACAGAUAAUUCAGGAAUAAUGAUCACCAUUUACUUCCUAAAUUGCAUGUGAUUGUGGCAACAAUAAUGGCAAGGCACAUUUGAUGGCAGUUACACCUAAAUGCUCUUGCAGAGAGAGAUUAAUAUAAACCACCAUAGGUUCAUGUCAUGAAUGACUAAACCAUACCUGGGUUUUGUUCUAAACUUCCAGGACUUGUAGCCGAGUCUGAUGCAUCCAUUGAACUAUUCUGCUUCCCACCAGAGAGACCACCAAUUUGACCAGGGUAAUUUUCCUCAACGGAAAGUACAAUACCAGAAGUUCCCAGAUAAGGCAAUUCCAGCUGCGAUGCCUGCAUUGCUGCUAUUUCAUCCAUCCAAAGCCGAUCUUGAUUCUUCUUCUUGCAUAGUUCCAUGAAAUUUAUGCAUGCUUCCCUAAGUGAAAUCAGAUAUAGGUUUUAAACCUUGACUAAAAUUUAAAGCAGGGAGCAGGUUUUGAAUAUAAUGAGGUUGACUUUUGGUAAUUCAACCACAAGUUGUUCAGGCCAAAAAAAUAACAUCCAGAAUCUUGAAGAUAAGAGAAAAAUCAUAAAACUAGAUUGUUUUCUUGAAAUACAAAGUGACCAUAAAUAAAGAUGAUUAAAUGUAUUCAUUUACAAUGUCAUUUGUCAAUGACCAGUUAAACUAGUUGCGCCACCACUUAGCAUUUUGUCUCGAGAGCCAACUGAACCUGAGGAUAGGUGGGAAGGGGUUCCAAAUGGGUGUGCGGGCAUUCCAUUAUGUGUUGCCCGAUGACACCAUAAAGAAAGAAAAAGGUCAUUACGGACAACAAAGAUGCUGAAUGGCCAUUGAUUUUGUCUUGUAUAAGUUGUGUACCUUAAACGUGAAGCUCCAAAAGCAUCAGCAAAGCAGAUAAGAUCAUUUAUAAAGUCUGGUUCAAAUCCAGUGACCAAGGCACGGGCAUAUGCCAUUGCUUGCUCUUUGUGAAGAACAGCUUUCCUAGUUUCCAAAGCACGUUGAAGACGAACCCUGUUCAAGACCGGUUGAAUAGUCAAUGCAUAAUAAUUUGAUGGCAUCUCAAUCAAGUAUAUUAUAUCAUCAGAUAUGGUGCUAUGUAAAAUUAAAUAUUACUUGGAAUUUUCUUCUUGUACACCAUCACUGCUUCCAUUUUGAUUUCCUUUGGACUAAAAAACCAAGGCAUCAAAUACAGGUAGAAUUAUGAUUUGAGGAUUUGGGAAAAAAACAAACAAACAAGGUCUUAUACAUGGAGUUUCAACUAAGUGGCAUACCUUAGAUGAGACAGUUGACUUUUGGUAAUUCCCAGCAGCACCUGAAAGAUUUUUCUCAAAUCCAGGUUAGUCCAGUAAAUGUGAUGUCUUAUGAUCACAGAGAAUUUGUCAUGACAAUUACAAGUUAUGUGCAACCCUACUUUCCAAAUGAACCACCAACAAAAAGCAAAUUCAGAUUUAUAUCAACAGCUAAAUGAGAUGUAACCAAAAGUCCUAAGAUUGAGCUUCAACCAUGAGCAAGGUAAGUAAUCCAUACUAUUACAUUGAACAAAAAAUAUAGCGCCAGGCAUACCUUCUGCAUCUCCAUUUAAUAGCUCAUUUGAUUGAACUGAACUCUCAAUCUGCUCUAUUUCUGUCUCUAUUGUCACAAAUCUCUCAAGAACUUCUGGUGAGCUGACAAACCUCACAAAUCUGCAAUGACAGAAACAAAUCAUAAAGUGACAAAUGCACAAACAGUAACCAGCUAUAAGGUCAUCGUUAAGAGAUUACAGUUUUAAAGCCACCAAUUUGUCAUAAUUUAGAUCCCAAACUCAGGGACAGUGAACUAUGGCUAAUAGCCUUUUUCAGGCAAAUAAAAAGAUGACCAAAUUCACAGGUGUUUGGAUCACGUAAGCCUUCAAAAUCCAGUUCAAGAUUGAAAUACUUCAUGUCAACUUUGAUCUGUACUAACUUAUCAACUUUCAACCUAUCCAAUCAUGAUAGCCACUCCAAAUUCCAAAACAGUGAUCUUGAUUAAUAAUGAGAAAUAAACCACAACAUUUGACUCAAACACUAAUCUCAAACCUCGAAUCUACUAGCCACCGACCAACUAAAAGAUCAAGCUUUUCUACGACUAGAAAAACCAGGAUAAAAAAAAAGAUCCCUCACAAACUCUACUAUAAGUUGCCAGCCAAAUCUCGUCAAAUUGAGCAAGAUUUACAGGGGAAGAUGUUUGCCACAUACUUUUUAUGCCAGUAAAUUUUUUCCGCGACUAACACUUUAUCAAUUACUAGGACCAUACCUCAAUGCAACAAAAUAUUUGCCACAAAAUCAGAUUAUGCAGUAGUAAUAAACAAGAAAUAACAACAUUCUGAUGUGCAAGUAAUUACAUUUGGAGAGUGGCUUUAGUGAACCAGAAGGCAUUAGGAGACAGAGGACGAAGAGAAAUGGAAUACCCUCCUUUUGAUAUCUGAUCUUUAGCAGUUUUUAAGUGUUGAAGGAAAGGUUCUAAAAGCCCAGAUGCCAAUCUCUCAUUCACACCACCAGCAUAAAUCACCAGAUCACACCUUCAUGCAACAAGAAAAAAAAAGAAACCCCCAUUAACAAACACAGAAAGAAAAACAUUUGAGGAGCAUUAGUUGCAGUGUUUAUGCAUUUGGGUGUUGAAUACUAACGUACCUGGUUCUAGUGGGUGUGAGUUGAAAGAGAGCAUGAUCAAGAAAAGUUCUUGAAUCCAUUAUUAGAAACAAUCUUAUCGAGAGAGAGAGAUAGAGGGAGAGCGAGGGAGGAAUGUGUCAAAAAAGGGUGUUAAAACUAAGGGUGGCUGAUUUUACAGUUGGACUUGUCGUUACAUAGCUUCAUGUUUGGAUUCUUGUAUAUAAAACACUACUAGAAUACAAGCAAGACUUGAUGGGAGCUAAAAUCACAUGGCAAGAGUUUUGAGGGAGGUACAGACAGAUGCUUGGCUGGUGGUGUGAGACUGUGAGAGGGAGUUUUUUUUACCGGUUUCAAGAAUGUGGGUCCCAUGUGAACUCGGGUCCCUCGUGAAAUACCGACAGACACUCUCUUCUCAGAUCUGAUCUUUACCACAUUAACUGACAUACAACUGCACAAAGAAUGAAAGAAUUACCUCCACAACUAAAAAAAACAGUUUUUUUUUUGUUCUCCACUUUUUUUUUUCAUUAUCUUUUAUGAAUGAUCCAGAUAAAGUUUUUAAUUGAAUUAGAAAGAGAAAAACUAAAGUAAAAGAACCAAAAUGUAAAACUCACAAAAUUCAUAGUCAAUCCAAAACAAAUUAAAAUUAAGUUUUGAUUUAAAAUUUCAGUCUUUAAAUUAAAGAAAUGAGACACAAACUUAUCAAAAAAAAAAAAAAAAAAAAAAAGAGACAUUUAUCAUUUAGUCACAAUACAACAAUAUCAUUUAUCUUUUAGACAAAAGAAAAAAAAUAGAAAAAACAUAAAGUGUAUUAACGUAGCUUUGUAAGCCCACGAGUAAGGCCUUUAUCUUUUAAUAAGCUAGGUGUUUAGUUUUUUUUUUUAUUAAUUGUUUUUUCAGAAUUUUCUUUUGAAGAUUUGAAAAACACACGUUUUAAUAUAUUUAAAAAAUUUAUGAUAUUUUUAAAAUAAAAUUAUCGAGCAAUAUUGUUUCCUAGCUUUUCAUGGUUUGCCUUUGUUUUUAUUCUUAAGUUUUGGUUUUUCUUUGUAAAUUUUUCUGUUUUUCGCAUGAUUAUAAGAGCGUUUCUUCGCAUGAUUAUAAGAGUGUUUGGAAACGCAGGUCAAUUUAUAUUUUUAAAAAAUUUAAUUUUUUUUAUUAAAAAUUAAUUUUUUAAAUAUUUUGGAUCGUUUUAAUAUGUUGAUCUCAAAAAAAUUCCCAUGUAUUUUUUUUUUCAUAUCUCCACGACAUUAUUAUGAAAAACAAUUAAUUAAGAUCUUCUGUUAUAAUUCUCAUUUUUUUAUGUCCAACAAGUAAAUAUUUUGAAAAAAAAAAUAUAAAUAGCACCGUCUCUUCUAUUUUUUUGUUAAAAUUUUCAGUAAGCAUUUUUUAAUUAGUAAUUAUUUUUAAAAUUUGAUGAUUUUCCAAGGAGAUUGUUUUAAUUUAUCGUUAUUCCUUUUCCUUUCGUAUUUUAUAUAAAUAAGUUUUAUUUCAACGAUGUAUAAUAAAAAUAAAAUUCACAUGUAUAAACUGUAUUAUAUUUUUCAAAGAAUCCCAAAAGCUUGAUUCUGCGAGAGGUGAUGAUGAAAGAGUGGAGUGAGAAUGGGCAGAUGAGUGGUAGUUUGAUUUUAUGGAUAAAGAAAGUUCGAGACUUUGAAAGUGGUGACCAGCAGUGUAAGAUCGAUGUGGAGUGACGAUGCAGCAAAGAAUAGCUGUAGCAACUUCUUCAACUGCCAUUUUAUAUAUAUAUAUAUAUAUAUAUAUAUAUAUAUAUAUAUAUGUCACGAGUAAAUGUUUUUCAAGGGUUGGUUUGGUAUCAAAUCUGGGGUGCAGUUUUUGGAUAGUCUUUUUUUUUUUUUGUGUGGUAGAGGUGCUGCUGUUCCUGUUUUGCUCGAAGAUAGCUCUCAGGUUGCUGCUGGCUUUUCCUUAUUUUUACUCGCUGCUUCCAUGGGUGCGGUCCCUCUCCUGCGGCUUCUCUGUUUCUCUUUUGGUUUUUGCUGUCUCCAGUGCUCUUGCGGCCCUUGGGCGGGCUUUAGGCUCCAGGUUGCUUCUUUUCUUCCUAAAAGGCGCAAUGCUUUGGUAGACAGAUGUUGAGCUUUUUCACUAGACAUGGUUUCCAAAAGCAUGGUAGGGUGACUUGCACCUUGUAUCACAAGCGUGUUUAGUAUUGCGGUAGUUGUUGUGGUUGUGAUUUAAAAAAAAUUAUUUUAUAAAAAGUAUUUUUAGUUGAGGUUGGUUUAGAAAAAUAUAUAUUUGGUUAAAACUGUGGUCGAAAUUGAGGUUGAACAAAAAGUAGUUUAAUGUGUUUGGUUAAAAAUGCUUUUGAAAUUGAGGUUAUAAAAUAAUUUUUAAAAAUAUAUAUAAAUAUUUAUGGUUUUUAAUUUAAAUAUUAUAGAUUUAACUAUUGCUAUUAUAUCAUGAAAUAAAUAAUACUUAAAUAUUUUUUAUUGUUCCAUUAAAUUAUCUACAAUUCCAUCACGUAUGAAAUACAUCUGACAAGGACUACAGUCACAAAUUUCUUAAGAGCGCAAUAACAUCAGGUAAAAUAUAAUCAGAAACAAAAUUAGGAUUGCGAUCAAAUUCUGCAAAUGCUACGUCGUCAAGCGAUCUCCGUCUAAUUCAUGUAGUGUCAUUAAAUAAUAUUUAACACUAGUUUUUCGAAUAAAACACAAUAUCUGUGAAAUUUUAUUGGAUUUUUUUAUUUUACUGGGUCACACCCGGUUCAAUGCAUUUAGGUUUGGAACGGACCCGGGUCAAUGCAUUUAGGUUUGGAUCGGACACGGUCCGACCCAUAUGGGCUGAGCUAAACCUAGCCAGCUCGCCCAGGUCACUGGCCCAAGCCAGUGACCUGGCUGGGCAAAGCAACACGCGUGUACUAAAUUCACGCGUGUUGCUACACUGUUCAAGUGAAUUAAAAUUCACGUGAACAGUGUAAUGUUGAUAAAAGCAAAGCGGGAGGAAGAUGAAAGUUGAGCACUUUUCUAUUCCUCUGCUCUGCUCCUUCUCCUCUCAUAGUGUCUUCUUGGUAUUGGAGUUGGACUCUUUCCCUGUUUUCCCUAGCCCCUCAUUCUUCUUCUUCUUCUUCUUCUUCUUCUUCUGCACUUCCAUGUCUCCACUGUUCACGUGAAUAGUGGAGACAUGGAAGUGCAGAAGAAGAAGAAACAAUGUGCGCCUUUGGUUAUUGGAAGAAGAAGAAAUAACACGUGCAGGAAGUUCAGUUGCACGCCUUUGGUUACUGUGUUGUAACACAGUUUGCAAAAAAAGCAGCUUCAAGCUGCUUCUUCUCCCCCUGCAUUGUAAACGCAAUAAACAAUGUGGCCCAUGCAAAGUAAAUCUUGUUUUUUUCUUUACUACACAGCUUAAAUAUGCGGUUUACUCAAAACGCUACCGCAACAGCGUAAGCAAACGCUACCUCAGACCUUAUUUUUUAAAAUUUUCCGUGCUUCAAUCCCUAUAAUUAUUACAAUAUUCAUUUAGGUCCUCGCAAUGCGGUCCUGAACUUCUUUCCCGGAAUCGGUCCUUAGGUUUGAAGAUUAUAACCCUGUAAUGAUAACAAUACUUGCAAGCAAAUCCUUGAUUUUGAAAAAUUAGCUUACAAAUAGAUCCUUGGUCCUAAGUUCGUUAGGCAUUGGCUUCCUUUUUCUUUUUAUUUAAAAUUUGAUACAAAACCUUACAAGUGUUGUGUAAACAUACCCCCUAUAAUUAUAAUUUGGUUCCAAAAUUUACCCCAAUUAAUUAAAUAUUCAUGCUCAAACUUUGGGUGACAUCCUUAAUCACCUAUUACUAAAGAUUAGUCAUAGCUAUAGCUAGAAUGAGUGUUUUUAUUUUCGCAAUCAAUUAGCACAACGCCAUGUGAAAUAUUGUGUGUUUAAAAGUGUUUUUAUAUUUGUUUUUGAAUGUUUUUUAAAGUAUUAAAUUGAUGUUUUUUAAUGUUUUAAUAUAUUAAUAUUAAAAAUAAAGUAAAAAUAUUUUCAAGCAAAACACUAUUUUAAAAACACUACACUACAAUUUCAAACACACAUGAAAUAUCAAUAAUUCAAGUUUAAAUGCUUAUUAUGUAGGAUCUUCCAUUUGAGUGGAGAGGAAUGAGCCUUCAAAUUGUAGUUGGAUAAGAGAUUGCAAUCAUGAUGUGUGCUUAAUAGGCCAUGAACUUAAGCUAUGUUGUUGGGUGAUCUAUGGCUGUCACAAGUGUUAGAAAAUAUUUAAUUUGAUAUUAAUGCAUGUAAUUAUUGGAUGGACGUGCCACCUUUAGGGGGCCCUAAUGAAUAAUGAUUCUCCUUUGAUUCGAAGACUUCCCAGUUAAACAAACAAUGUACUUUUCCGGUGGCCGUUCAACUGCAAAUUCACUCACCCAAGAUCUCGAUGAGGCCAUAAUUGGCGUUCAUUUAUUGUGGAACAAAUUUAACAGUGGAUCCCAUGCUGACCACCCUUCGUUAUAUUAGGAAGUUUUGGGCUCAAAAGGCUGCAGCACAGCUAACCCAAGAAGCAGAAAUUAAAAUUUCAUUUGUUAUAGUUACAAAGAAAAUAUUAAUUUUAUAGAAAUUACUUUGUUUUACAGGUUUGUCAUAGGUAUAUAUACCUGUUUCUUCUUUCCAGAACAGUCAUUUUGGUGGCUUGAACAUUACAAAUUCAACUCUUCAAAUCCCAAGUUCAAAAUCUAUUAGAGCAGGAACAACAAAUGUCCAAAUAUAUUAGUUCUUCAAACAUUUGCUGACGUUUUUUUAAGUUACUUCCCUGGAAAUCUUAGUAAGCUUCUCUUUGCUUGCUACGGGAGGCAAAGUUGCUACGCAGGAGCACUAGUGAUCAUCAGUCAAAAAGGGCAGCGUUUGAUGAGCCCUCCCAUAGCAAGCAAAGAAAAGCUUAUUGAUUUUUUCAGGAAAGUAACAUAAAAUACGUUAGCAAAUGUUAGAUCUCUAGUAACGUGGAUGCCAUUCCCAAACAUGAAGCAAACAAUCCACCUUACCAGAGCUGGAUGAGUGAUGGAUGUGUUUCAUGACAAAUUGUCAAUGAUGAUGACGACCAGACACCCAUAUGAACUGUGACAUUUCUGGGUCCAGAUUCCCACUUUCAAUCCCACCUAGCUAGUUUAUCCAUUUGACAAGAAAUCGCAACCACCACCAUUACCAAACAAGCAAAACUUACAUCCCACAAGUUGAAGCAGCCAAAAUGCUCAUUUCUCUCGUCAAUGCAUUUUUGCAUUCUCACGUCUUUUUCAUUGGUGGUGACUGCACCAAGUUCGUUCAGUCCAUUCAGUCCGAUCAUGGAUUAACUCGUUGGACCAAUCAUGUUCGAUCGUCAAUAUUUUUCCGAUUCAAGUUCAAACCAGGUCAAACUUUGAGUAGUGAAUUUUUCCUAUCAACAUGUGGAGCUGGCUUAUGCUUGGGUUUAACUACUCUGAUGUUCCCUUUUGAAUCGUUCUUUGAUGCUUCAAUGGACACAACAAUACUAGUGUUUUGAGGGGGAGGUGUAUCUAUUUACUUUAGAGAUAUGUGAAGAUUACUAUCAUUUUUAAAUCUUAGAAUUAACGGAAAAAAAAUUCUUAAAUUAUUUCGAUGUGAAAGGCAUGUCUUUAAAAAUCAAUCGCAAAUGUGAUUCUCAAUCACUACUGCUGUAAAAGUUAAUUUGGGAAUAUUUUUUUAUAGUCAAAUAAAAAGAAAUUUUUUGAAGGCAUUGGUCGGACCCAAAUUGGUCCUUUUCUGUACUCCGCACAACAUUUCACAGAUAUUCGCAUGUGAUAUUCGUUGGCCGUGAUUUACAAGAUGGUCGAGGCCCAAGCUGCAAAACAUUUGGUCGAGGCCUUGCAAUUGUCCACCUUCUUCCUGGGAGAAAAAUCGUCCGAAGACUGAUUUUGAAGACCAUUUCAAUCACUUGAUUGGUGUCAAGAAACUUGGGUUGUGACACCAAAAUUCGGAGAAAUCGGACGGCAUUUUCGUAAUACUCUUUGAUGGUCAGUGUGAUGCUUGAGACAUGGACUACGAUCAAAGUAUACUGUUUUCUGGCAUCAAUAAACUUUAUAAAAACAAAAAAAUAAUUUUUUUCUGGCAUCAGUAAAUCCAAUUCUAUAUCAAAGCAUUAUUUAAUCCGUUAAAAAACAAAAAAAAUAAACUUAAUAAAAAAUAUUUAUCAGUCCCGAUUUACUUUUUCCGGUAAGAUGAAAGUUCAAAAAUAUAUUAAUAACACUCCUCACAUCGGGGGUGUUUAACAUUGAGUUUUAACCCACUUUACAUUAAAAUUUAAUUUUUUUUUGUAUUUUUAGAACAUUUUGAUGUGCCAAUAUUAAAAAUAAAUUUUAAAAAAUAAAAUAAAUAUUAUUUUGAUGUUUUUUUGAGUGAAAAACACUUUAAAAAAUAACCAAUACCACACUUUCAAAUAUCUCAUAAAUAAACUCAAUGACACCAAGAUAAUCACAAACAUCAAAUGAAAAGACUAAUUUUUUAAAAAUAAAAUUCCGUCACUAAAUUGAAAAAUAAAAAGACACUUUUCAUUGAACAAUGUGGUCCCCUAUGAUCAAGACAUUUUUAUAAUAACAAACAGUGAAAGUGUGUUUUGGUUUAUUUAUGUUUAUUGUAUAAUAAUAAUAAUAAUAAAAUAAAAAUAAAACAAAAACAAGAGAAGGAAUGAGCCUACGUACGUACAGACAAAUAGCAACUUCCUCAUUACAAAUAAAUAAAUAAAUAAUAAAAAUAGCAACUUCCUUUGAUUGACUAUUCAACAUUUCUUAUUUAUUUAUUUUUAUUUCAGAUGCUAUAAGAAAAUGAUUUAAAUCAUGUUUCUUCAAGUGCAUCGUGAUAUAUAUUAUACUAGUUAUGUGACCUUGCAGGUUUAAUAUUUUUAUUUUUUAUAAAAAAAUUAUACAAUUUUUUUUAAUAUAUUUUUAUAAUUUAAAAAAUCUAAGUUUAAAUCAAAGAUUUUAUGCAUACAUGUAAUCGAAUUAAUCAAGAAUUAUAUGUGCAAAUAAAUAAAUAAAAAUUAUUAACAAAAUCAAGAGACAAGUGUAAAUCAAGAUUUUUAAUCUCGAAAGACAAAAUAAACCAGGUUAUAUUUGAUAAAUUUCUUUAUUAAUUUUUUUAUUUAAGUAAAUGAUAAUAGAAAUAAAGACACAAAUUAAAUUGAUUGAAUAAAAUAAAAGAAAAAAAAUCAUGCAAGAUUGCACAUAUUAGAAAUAUUAUUUGAAAAUAUUUUUUUUUAUUUUCAAAAAUAAAGUUCAUACAUACAAAAGAUAAAAAAAAAUUAUAGACGAAUCAUAAAAAACUUUUCAAAUUUAAAUGUUUAACUAAAAAAAUAAUCAUUCUCCAAACAAAAUGAAAGAGAGAGGGGUACUAAUUCAAAUAGAAAUUAAAAAAAUUUAGAGAAAAAACCAUAAAAAAAAUCAUUAAUUGAAAAAAAUAAAAAAACAAAUUUAGAAAAAAAAAAAAGCAAAGGCCAGACACUGUCGGGCCUAGCAAGCUAGACUAACUUGUUUGAUCUAUUUUGUCAGGGUCCACGCAUGGACUUGCACAAUUGAGCCCUUAAUUUUUUUUGUUUGUAAGUGGGGCGGACAACAUGUUAUUCAUCACUAUUUUUUUUGGAAAAAAAUUAAACGACACCUUGUCUAAUUUGCUCAGAUUUUGGCCUUUGUGGUGACCGGAAAAUCAGGGAUUACGUUUUUAUUUUUUUACCUAGAAACCCCCUUUCAACCCAUUUUUGACCCAGAACACCUAUAAAAACACCACCGUAGGAACCAUGAUAAACCUAUCCAUGGCCUAAAAAAGGCCACCACAAAAACUGAAAUCAACCCGAAUCCAAAAUCAACCCGAGCUCAAAUUUGUUUUUUUAUGAACUUUAACAGUAAAAAAACACCUAAUAUGAACUCCCCUCAUAAGAUGGAGUCAUUUGACACAAAUAUCAUCAAUUUUAGUGGCCUAAAUCAGUAUUAACAACACUUUUCUCUCUCCACUACGGGAAUCCAGUGACCCCUCUCUCUUUUCUCUCAACCAAGGACUAAAAAUAACAAAAUAAAUUUUUGUACCAUAAUUGAAUUGGAAAAAUAUUGAGGUACUAGAAUUGUAUAAUUAACAUGAUUUUUAAAGUUUAAGGAUCAAAGUGUAUCUUUUACAAAAUUUAUGGCUUGCCACUCAUGUUUGAUGUUUUUUAUUUAUUUAUUUUGGUCCCUCUUUUUUCAAUGCCAUCUUUUUCAUAAAAAAAAAAUCAAAAUCAAUUGGUUAAAUAGCCAAAAAAAUAAAUAAAUUUGAUGAUCAAAUUGAAAAAAUAUAAAAUUUUACACAACUUAUCCAUAAUAAUAUAUGAGGGGAUAAAUAGUGAGUCCUUGUACAAUGAAAAUAUAACACAUUUUAGAAUAAUACUUAAUACUUGCCGAGAUUAAUUAAGGAAUUUUCCGGUUGUCAAAGAAACCCUUGAAAGAGGUAAAAACGUGCAUGAAAUGUAGAUGGAUAUUCAGGCUAAAGAGAACAACGUGUCCUUAAUUAUAAUAUUAGAGAAAACAGUAUACAAGGAAAUAGCACACAAAUAGUGGCCUUUACUUUGAAAUCAAAGGAAAUAAAUUAACACCGUCGAGAGUCUUAAUCAAUGUUAUUUCUUUCUUGCAGUACUUUCUUCCUCAAAACAUUCCCUUGUACUUGUCAAUCCGACAAUAGGGCUGAUAAUUGAAUAAGUUGUCGUCCAUAUGCCUUAAAAAGAUUUUAAAUAUUAAGAUCAUAACUUAUUUGAAGGGUUCAACAGAAUUCCCGAUUGAAAGCUCAUAGAUGGUCAAGGGUUUUUAUUUGCUUUCAUAAUCUGUCAAAUCGAACACACGGUUAUUUGUUGAUGUUCAAACUUUUCAAAUUCAUCAGAAGAAGUAAAACAGUCAACCAAGAAUUAUAAGGUCCUAUUGAACCACCAUGGGAGUUUUUUUUUUAAUUAUUUUAAAAAAAACCCUAUGAAUUAUAAGGUCCCACAAACUGUUAUAUACUUCUCUAUAUAAGGGAGAUCAUACCCACCCUCCUACAACCACGAUUCAAACUACGACGAGAAACAAAGCAAAAUUAAGAAACAUUAUCUCAUCACAGAAGGGAUACUAGAUCUCCAACUAUUUUUUUCGUUGCAGUAACCAUGCAUCGCUCUUCAAUUGUAAACUUCCCACGCCAAUUUCUCCGUCAAUACCCCUCAAUACAGCCGGCGGUUACCAGUCGUAUUGCCAAACCUUGUGAUGUGUUCAUUAACCAUCGAGGGAUCGACACAAAGCGCACGGUUGUUACUUUGCUUUAUGAUCACCUUUUCCGGUUAAACCUACACCCCUUCCUGGACAACAAGAAUAUGAAGCCAGGAGACAAGUUGUUCGAUAAUAUCAACAGUGCAAUAAGGAAAUGUAAGGUUGGGGUGACUGUGUUUUCUCCUCGGUAUUGCGAGUCAUAUUUUUGCCUUCAUGAACUAGCUCUUAUUAUGGAGUCAAAGAAGAAGGUUAUUCCUAUCUUUUGUGACAUCAAGCCCUCGCAACUUCGAGUUGUGAACGAUGGGAAAUGUCCCAUGGAGGAUAUCCGGAGGUUUCGCUGGGCACUUGAAGAGGCUAAGUAUACUGUAGGGCUCACGUUCGACUCCUUGAAAGGGUAAGGAGCACCAUAACUUUCUUAGUUUCUGUGUGUUGGAUUUCGAUUUCAGAAAUUAAAAUUAUCUUGUCUUUCUUCUCACAUUCUUCCCUGUGUUUUCCAGGAACUGGUCGGAGGUUGUAACAAGUGCGUCGGAUAUUGUCAUUGAAACCUUGGUUGAGCUCGAGAGUGAGAAGCAAAUGCAGCGCCAUAAAAGCACUCCAAUAUUCCGUGCCUAGCACAUGUCUCAUUCGUUGAAGAAUAAAGUUUCAAUGCCACCGAGAGAUCGUCCUUCAUCAAAAUUUUCCUGCCUAUUUAUCAUUCAAUUUGUGUUAAUAAAUUGUAAAAUCAAUUUUUUCAUUUAUAAAAAAUAAAUGUUAAACAAAUUUCUUUAUUUUUUUAGUCAAUUCUACUCAGUUGAUUAAUUAUCUCUUUGUAAUAAGAGCAUGGCUCAAUGUUGCAAGCUCAAAAAAUAAUUGUAUCACAUAAUAUUGUAUGAUGUAUUGAGAUAUAUAUAACAAAAGGUUUAACUCUUAUCUUUGUUCAUCGAAAUUUUAUUACUUAUUUACUUCCUGACACACACAUAUAUAUAUACACACACACACACACACAUAUAUAUAUAUAUAUAUAGCACUAUUCUGGAUUGGACUUCUCUCAAUUAAUUUAUUGCUAACAUGAUAUAUCAUGAUAGUUAAAUUAUAGCCAUUAGAUUUUAAUUGAUAGUGAGGAUCAUAAAAAUAAAUAAAUUAUCUAAUUUGAUCACAUAAUAUUUAGAGCAAAUAAAAAAUUAAUUAAUGGUUGUUAAAAAAAAUCCCAAAUCUAUCUAAUUUCUCACAAAAACCAUAUUUUAUAAAACAAAACCAGACAUAUUCUUUUAACUUAUUUUCAUACGAAUCAGGAUCCAUUAAAUAAAUAAUUAACAUAAACUUGAAAAAAAAACUUAGUUCAAAUUUGCGUGAAGCAAUUAGUGUUUAUAUUUGAUUAAUAGAGACAAAAUUAACAACAUAUAAUUAAUUCACAAUAUUCUCUAAAUUUGAUCAAAAAUAGAUUUGUUUAAGUAAAAGAAAUCAUCUAAUAAAAGCUUGGUCUUUCAUUUAAUUUAAAAGGUUAAAAUUUAACUAAUAUGAUGUAUAUCAUGUUAACACUAAUUGAAGGAGCGCAAUCUGUUAUUCCAUAUCGUAUUAUCAGUCAUAUUGUAUACUUGUAGUAUUUGUCAAUGUAGGUGAUUUUACAUUUUAUGAUUGAUAAUUUAAUAUACAGGCAAGGGAAAAAUGCUAUAUUUCUAUCACUAUAAAAAUCACUAACAACUUCACUAAUGAAAAAGUAUUGGUGGUAAGUGUCUCGUUGUGAUGUCAUAUCUGGUGGUUAUUUUAUUAGUUAUUUUUAUACCCGAUAGAUUAUUGUUGACUAAAAUAGGUAUUGAUAAUUUUUUAUCAGCACACCCAUUGGUAAACAAAAUUUAUAUACCCCUCUAUCAAUUUUCAGGUGGUCUCUAAUGAUGUUUGCAUUGAAAUUGCUCUAUCAAGACCUCAAAAGUGAUCAACUUAAUCAAUCUUUACUGUGUUCCUACGGCUACGCAGUGUCUAUGACGAUUUUUGUUCGUUUACUUGUUCAUUAAGAGUCACUAGCUAGUAUUUGAUUCAAGAUUACUAGAAAACCUGAAUAUACUAAUCUUGUCAGAAAUUUGAGAAUAAAAAACUUGUGGUGGCUAGAAAAAAUAUUAACCUCCUAGCACACCCUACCUAAAUAAGCUGAUAUGUUUUAAAAGUUGACAAUUUCUUGUCAGUAACCUAUUAAAAAGAAAGAAAAACUCUCCGAUAAAAAAAUCAUUAUCUUAUUAGAUAAAAAAAAACAUUUAACAUCAACACAAAAAAAUCAAAACAAAUAACCUUUUUUAUUUUUUAAUAUAAAAAAUAUAUGUUACAUACCCUAGAUAUUAAAAGAAAACAAAAUAUAUUUCUCUUUUUUAGUAUCUUUUUUGAAAUAUAAACCAAAUUUAAUACAAAUUAAAACAUUUAAUUAAUUUUUUUGUGUUUUUUAAUUUUUUUGUCUUUUUAGUUUUUAUUAUUAAAAAAAUACAUAAAAAAAAAACAAACAAACAACCCCACACACACCACUUUUCACUAUUUUUACUCAUGUUUACAACAUAACAUAAACUUCAAAAAGAAAAUAUAACAGUAAUUUAAAUACAUAUUCAAGCAUGUAAAAAUUACAACACAAAUUCCUAAAAAUCCAGGAAUUGUAGAGGAGGCCUUCUGGAACUGCAGGAACAAUGGCGGCGCGUCUUCUCUAUGCACCCCGCCACUAGUGGCGCGUGAACCCACGCGACGCCGCCAGAAAAUCCAAACAAACAGGGGGGGUCUGUAACGACCUCCUCCCCUCUUCCUUUCCUUGCUGGCGGUGAGAAACAACGUCACCUGCAAAGCCAAGAAAACACCACAAACAGUUGAUUUUAUUUUGUUUUUUCUUUUCUUCCCCUUUUAGAUCUGUUUUCUUAUGUCUUCUUCCCCCUUCGGUUUACUGUUCUUUUUUUUUUCCAGGUGGUAGGUCUGGUGGUGGGCGGGUCACGGUGGACGCCGACGGGGUUGGCUUCGGGUUGUUGUUCUGGCUGUUGCUGUUGAGGAGAUGGGAGUGGUUGUUCAGUUGGCGGGUUUGGUUGGAAGUGGAUCUGGGUCUGCGGGUCUAGCCGUGUGCGGGGAAGGGGAGGCUUGAGGUGCGUCGGCCGGGAGAGGGUGGUGCCGAGGCCGGUCUCUGUCGGGUGGAGCUGGAAAUGACGAUAGGGAAAAUGAUCGGGGGAAGAGAGGCAGAUCCCUUCUGGGGUUAUGGUCGGUUGGCUGAGGGAAGAACGGUUGAGAAAGGAAGAUCUGUGGAAAUGGGGGCUGUGAGAGGAGAAGGGAGUAAUGUGGUGGCUGUCUUGUAGCUGAGAGGGAGAGCGGCAACUAGAGGGAAGAUCAGGUGAGGGGGAGCUGGUUUGUGGCUGUUGUUGGGGUCCUCUCGUUUUUUUAGCUAAAGGGAGAGACUGCCCUGUCACCGGGGAGGCGAGGGGCGGUGGCUUUGGCUUCCCAAAAAAGAUGAGAGUUAGGGUCUUUCUUCUCUAUUUAUAGAGAAAAAAAUCCUUUUUUUUCCAAAUGCUUAGUAAAAAAUCUGUAUUUGAUUUUUUCAAAAAAUGAGCAAUAUCAACGUCGUCCCGAUGAGAAAAAUUAAUGAUUUUAAAAAUAAUGCGUUAAAAGUCAAACGCGUUCAAAAGACCUUUGAAAAUUUAAAUUCCUUUUUAGACAACGCUGAAAAUGCUAAAAACGAUGCAAAUAUAUCAAGAACAUAUAUUCUUUUGGGUUUUUGUUGUUUUUUGCUAUUUUUGUUUUUUUUUCAAAAAUUUAUUAAAAACUAGGUCAAAAAUUAGGUAGGAACACCGAUUGUGCGAAAUCCACUUUUUUUUCUUAUAUGUUUACACUUGAUAGCUCUUAAAUGGGUUCUUAUUACUGUUUAAAAAUGUUUUCCAUAAGAUCAAAGGGCCAAAAACAACUCAUUGACUUUCAAGUUUAGCAAAACCACUAAAAACUUCAAAAUCAAGUUUGUUACAAAACUAUCAUUGUAAAAUCAACAAAGUACAUAGCUUUCAGCUGUUAAAACCUUCUUAAAACUCUUCCAUUUUGAUUAGAGGGUCAAGUAUUGAUAAAUCAUGAUCAAUCGUUGAGCAAAUCAAUCAAAGAAUCUUAACAAAAGAUUAUAAAUACCCACUGAAAAUCGAGAAAGAAAAAAUAAAAAGAAGGAAAAAAGGGAAGGAAAACCUUGAAUAAAAAACUCUAAGUGUGAAGGUUCAAAAGCCUAACACAAGAAUUUCUUCAACUUCAAGAGAAAGUAGCAAGGUUGGAAAAUAAAGAACAUAAAGGCAACAACCGUCAUUUGAGCUUGGAGGGUAUAAAACAUUUAUUUAGUCUUGUAUAUGAUGUCCACGAGACACAUUUCUAGCUUGUUCAUGCAUAUUUGAUGAUAUUUCUAAGCAAUUGUUGUGCUGUAUUGAUUUUGGUUUUGGUUUCAAUUAAUAUGUAAAAAUGUUAUUUUAUUGUUUAAAUCUUGCUUUGAGUUGGUUGUUAAUGUUCCUGAAUACUCAGAUGAUGUUUGUUAGAUUGAUUUUGAUGAAAUAAAAUGGUUUUGAAAUCUGCCAAAUAUGAAUGUAAGAUUUGUAAGGCUUUUAUGUGCUGGCUAAUACAUGUUCUUGCAUUCUGGUUUUGGUUGAGGCCUAUUAGAUGUUAAAAUAUCAGUUUUGAGCUCUAAAUUCUCAAGUUUGUUUGUUAUUUUAGUUUGUCAGUUUUUGAGAUUAAAACUCCAUGCAUGAUUUUUAGAAUGUGAUGUUUUUUUUUUUUACCUAUUUUGAUUUGAGUAUGUGUACUAUGGGUAGUGGGAUGGGGGUGAACCAAGAAAGCAUGGGUUUUUAAGGGCUUGAAAUGUGUUUUCUAGUAUUGUCAGGACCUGGGAAUUUUUUAGAAAUUUAAUGGGGCAAUGGUUCUGUUCUUCACAAAGAACAUUGCCUUAACUACAUCUUUUAGGAUCAAUUUUGAUUUUAAUUUUUGCAUUAGCAUCUCGAUAUGACAUGAUUAAUCAAUAAUCGAGGAUUUAAUUCUAGGGUUAGUUUUUUCAAACUGAACUCAUUUUCAUUAAAUUAUGUUGAUUCAUGGAUAAUCGAUAUGAAUGAAGCUAGAUUAUUGGUUAGUGAUUAAUUUCCAACAUGUCUGUCAUUGGAUUGUUAGUAACUGGUUUGGAUUUUGAUUCAUGUUGCUAGUAUGUUCUUGAUGUUCUUCAUUCGUUCUUCGUCUUCUUAUUUUUUUCUCGAUUUUGAUAAAAAAAAUUUGGGUUUCUGUGUUUUUAGCAAGCUUGAUUCAUUUUAAGUUUUGAUUUGUUUUUCGGGUCAAACUAAUGGUUUUUGGUUUGGUUUAUGAUCGAACCAAAGAUUUCGAGUCAAAUGGGUAAGGCCUUGUUUGACUCUUAAUCUUUUUGAUAAAACAAUUUUUGGCUUAAGGAUGUGUUUGACAAACAUGUUCUUAGACCUAUUUUGGUAGUUUUAUCCAAAAGAAAAUGGUUUUUUUUUUUUUGCCAAAUAAAGCCUUAAAGAAAUAUUAAUAAUUAAAAAUAUACAAUAUAAUUUUUUUUAAAAUAAUAAAUAAAUUUUACAAUCAAUUUGUAAAAUUCCAAAGAAUUUCGGUCUAUGUUUCAGAAAAUAUAAAAAAUUAAUUUUUGGUAAAAUCUAGUACUCGUUUUUAAUACAAGGAUUAAAACAUGUAUGAGGUUAAUAUCUAACAUAUUAUUAGGAGUAAUAUGACCCAUUCACUUUUGAUAUAAAGAUAAAAAACAUGCAAAUGGUUUUUUUUAUCUGAAAUGUUAUUAAAGAUGACGUAAAAGUACCUAAAAUUAAAGUUUGUUUGAAAUAAGCUUCAACGAUAAUUGGGGAUAUUUCAAUCUAUGUCCCAUGGUAUAAGAGUUAUGGACGUUUGAAAUACCAAAGGGAAAAAUAAAAUUUCAAUAAUUAUAAAAUUUCUUUGGAUUUCUAACCUUAGCUUUUUCAUGACAUAUAAGUUGUGAAUGAGUUUGCUUUCUUCUGAUGUCUUUUUAAGUCGGGAUCUUUUAGACCAAGUUCUUGAUCUAAAAAACUAGAAUUUGUUCAUUGUAAUAAAUUCGCCAUAAUAGACUGAUAGAACUUAGAAACAAGGUUACCUCAGGUAAGGCAUACUAGGGGUGUUAAUACAUUUAUUUUACGUAACCAGUCCCUUACCUAGAAUUUUUAAAAACUAGUUCGGAUUCCUAGUAACCAUAAUACUAGGUGGUGACUCCAUAUCAAACCAAAUACCUCUCAACCCGCCUGAAAAGGAUCAUCAUGAUAUUGCGCUCUCGUGAAAGGUACGACAACUUGUUAAUGGCAUCUUACUGCCAUCUCUUCAAUCUUCCUUUCUUUAGUAAUUUUAUUUACUUAAACAUGGCUCAUCGAAGCCUUUUUUCUUGUCAAGUGGUUGCUGCCACAUUCUUCAUUAUAGUUCUUUGGUCAUUGUCCAUCUUUUCUUUAGGUUCAUUUCUCAUUUCUCUUUUCUUAAAUGAUCUCCUUGGUACCACACCUUCUCUUGUGCAAGGAGUUGCUAGAUUGGACUAAGCCUCUUUUGGAUUUUUUCCCUUUCUCUUGAUGCAAAGCCUUAAUUUUUUUUGUUGAACUCUAUCAUCUUGCACCUCUAUUUUUUUUUUCUUGGAUGUCACUUGUCCACCACUCUCUCUUGAGAUUUCUCUCUUUCAUCUACACACAUGCUUUAAUUUCUCAAAAGCCCCACUAGAUCCUAAAUAAGUAGGGGAGAAGGUAGAAAUGAGAAGUCUAUAUGGACUUGGACUUGAAUACAAUACUUGAACAUUUAUAUUUAUACCAGUGUAGGGGAUACAUCAAGAGACUUAAAAUGAUUAAUAUUCUCUAAUAUUUAUACAUACACCUAAAAAAACUAAAAAACACUUUGAAUUCAAAAUUAAUUCCAUCAAUUCAAUAGAAACUACAAAAAUCAGAGUUUUGACGCAAAUAGGUUAAUGCUCCCCAAAGACCAUAAAAAAACCACCAACCAGACACUCAUGUCCUAAAGAAUUGGCCACACUGGUUUGCCAAGCAUUUCAAGAAACAUGAACACUGACAGAGAAACUCAUUGCCUUAUAGAUGCUGCAAGUAUAAUUUCUUCCAAGUAAAAGAGUUCACAAGCAGACAAAAUCCCUCAAACAAAAAAAUAAUGUUAUAUCCCUUGUUCAUCAAAACUGACCCUAUCUGAUUGAGAGAGCGAAGAACGAUUCCAAGAGCACAUAAUGUUUCUAGGGAACCCAUUCAAUUAAAUUAUCUUUCUCAGAUUUUCCUUACUAAAUUAACUAAAUUAAACAAUUUGACUUGUUAUCAAGAACGUCUAAUUACAUUUUGUAGAAAUAAAUUGCAUUGUGGGCAACCAUAAAAUGAAGCGAGAAUUGGUAACAUGCAUCCAACAAAAUUAGUGGUGGUACUAUAACAAGGUUUAAAAACCUGUGUAAAGUGUGGUUGAAAUCCUCAAUAAUAUUGAGGUUAUUGAUUCUCAUUAUAUAUAAUGUAUAUACAGUUGGAAAGAUCCUAUAUAAUAGGAAACAAAUAAAUGUAACAAAUAUUUAUCUUAUAAACUAGGAAAGAUAAUAAUAAAUAAUCUAAGAUCAAGGAAAUAAUCGGAUUCCUUAUCACCCUCCUUUAAGCUGAUCAUGGUAGAAGGAACCACGUGAAGCUUGUUACGGAAAAGUAUGAACUGAGGCUUGGUGACUCAUUUGGUGAAAAAAUCAACAAGUUGGAGAUGGGAUGAAACAAAUGCGACUUUUAAGGAACCAUUGACAAUGAGUUCAUGAACAAAAUGAUAGUCAAUCACAAUAUGCUUAGAUCGAGGCUGAGUGACAGGAUUGGCUACCAUAAAUAUAACACUUUUGUUGUCGCAUAGUAUCUUCGGAGGGGAAGACAAUUGUAGAUGUAGAUCACGAAGUAGAUGAACAAUCCAAGCAACUUCAACAUUAGCAACGGCUAAGGAUCGAUACUUAAGCUUCGACACUGGAGCGAGGAACAAUGGAUUGUUUCUUGGAGCACCAAGAGACAAGAUUGGGGCCCAAGAAUAUAAGAUAGUCGGUGGUAGAUUGACGUGUAUCAGGAUAGCCAGCCCAAUCAGUAUCAGAAUAAGCAAGCAACUCACGAGAAGGGGUGUGGUGGAGUUGAAGGCCAUGAUGGAAUGUGCCUUUAAUAUAACGCAAUAUACAUUUAAGUACUUGAAAAUGAUCUCCAGUCGGAGCAUGCAUAUAUUGGCAAUUGGAAUUGACACUGAACGAGAGAUUAGGGCGAGUAAUGGUUAAAUAUUGUAGGGCUCCGGCAAGAGACCGAAAUAGGAUGGGAUCUGAAAAUAGCUUGCCUUCAGUGGAGAGAUGUUCACUAACUAUAAAAAAAAUGGCAAUGGGUUUGGCCUCAACCAUGUCAGCACGUUGUAGGAGAUCAAGAACAUACUUGGUUUGGCUAAGAAAUAAGUCGUGAGAGUCAUGUUGGACUUCAACACCAAGAAAACAGUGUAGAGAACCCAAAUCUUUCAUAACAAAUUCUUUGGACAGCCGUGUGAUAAGAGUCUUGAUCAAAUUGGGAUUGUUUCCGGUAAGUACCAUAUCAUCUACAUACAACAAGAGAUAAACUGUGUAUGCCGUGGUAUGAUGGACAAAUAAAAAGGAAUCAGCCUGAUUGAGAAGAAAACCAAGGUUCAAUAAAAACAAACUAAAACGUUGGAACUAAGCACGAGGGGCUUGUUUAAGUCCAUAAAGAGCACACUUCAAUUGACAUAUAUGGUGAGGAAAUUACGAAUCAGUGUUGCCAGAUGGUUGAUCCAUAUAUACUUAUUCAGAAAUAUGACCAUAAAGAAAUGGCAUUCUUAACAUCUAAAUGAUGUAAGAGCCAUCUAGAAGUGACUUCAAUAGAUAGGAUAAUCCGAACAGUAGCAGGACGCACCAUAGGACUGAAUGUGUCUUCAAAAUCAAGGCCAUGAAUAUGAGAGAAGCCAUUGGCCACUAGAUGAGCCUUAUGACGCUCAAUGGAUCCAUUAACAUAGAGCUUGGUCUUAAAGAUCCCACGACAACCAACUGCAUUAUGAUUUAUAGGAUUUGGUACAAGAUCCCAAGUAUCGUUCUUCUUCAAAGCUUGUAUUUCAUUAUCCAUAGCCGAGAGCCAUUUAAGGUGUUUGGCAACAGACUUGAAACCCCGAAGCUCUUGUAGAGCAAGAAGGACCUGAAAAAACUAAGAAGAGGGUGAAAUUGUUAACACAUGAUAGGCCUUAGGUUUAAAUAUAUAAGAUUUCCUUCUAGUAACCAUUAGGUGAAGGUUGGUAGAAGUCGUUAGUAGAGGAACAAAUAGAGAGGGCAGACUAGAAGACGAGACGGUAGACACAGCAGGAGAUGUUUGGGGAAAUGAUUCACUAAGAUCGUCAUUGUAUGGCAAACAAAUAGGAUUCGAAAUAGGAUAAGAUAGUAACGAAUUCGUAGAGGUAGGAGACAUAUUAUUAUUAGAUUCCAAGAAAUCAGAAAAAGUAAUAUAAGGUGUUGAACUAUGAAGUUGUUGGAUAUCAUCACUCGCAUAAGAAAAUAUAGUUUCAUAAUAUGUCAAGAGAUAUAAAGACGUUGUAUCUUGCGAUCAAAACAACAAACACCUUUGUGAAGGGGGUAUAACCUAAAAAGACAUAAGGAGAGGAUUUGGGAGAUAAUUUAUUAGGAAUAUAAUCUCAUAAAUAAGGAAAGCAUAAACAUCCAAAAGUGCGAAGCAUAGUGUAGUUGGGGUAUUUACCAAACAGAAGCUCGUAAGGAGUUUUUCCAUCAAGAGUUUGUGAGGGGAGCCGGUUGAUGAGAUAAACAGCUGUCGAGAAGGCCUCAACCCAAAGAGGCAACAUAACACAUGCAUGAAACAUAAUAGCAAGUCCUGUUUCAAUGACAUGUCGGUGUUUAUGUUUAGCAAUCCCAUUUUGACUCGAUGUAUAAGAGCAAACAAUGCACAACACAAUGCCACAAGAUGUGAGGUUAGAGCAAAAUUUAUUAUUUGUAAGUUCAGUUCCACCAUCACAUUGGAAGGACUUAAUUUUGGAAGAAAAUUGAGUUUUAAUAUAAUGUUAAAAGUUGAUAAAGGUAUAAAAAAAAUUAGAUUUGUGUUUUAAUGGAAAAAAACCAAUUGAAUCUGGUACAAUCAUCAAUUAACACUGCAUAAUAUCGAAAACCAGUAGUGAAACAGACAGGUGAAGGAUCCCAUAAAUCACAGUUUAAGAGAUCAAAAGGCAAAUCACAAAGAGUCUUAUUAAGUGAAAAGGGUAAACGAUGGCUUUCGCCAAGGUUACAUCCAACACAUAAACCAAAAUCCAAACCCAUCAAUUUAUAACUACAAGAAAUAAAACCUGACUUGGAGAGAGAGUCAACAGUACGAAAACUAGGAUGACCUAGGUGAGCAUGUCACAAAUAAGCAAAGACACGCAGUUUAUUGGAAGAAACUAUGGAAACAAGGGCAUGAUGAUGUUGCUCGAGCACUUAUAGGCCAUUGUCACAUCUGCUAACCCCUAGCACUACUCCUGUGACUCAGUCUUGUAUGGUAAAACCAAAAUAAAAAAAGAUGACACAACAAUUAUUAUCCUUUGUAAGUUGACUGAUGAAAAUAAGUUUUUUUGUAAUACUAGGAACAACUAAAACAUUAGAUAAAAGUAGUGAGCUGUUGGUAACAAGAGUGAAAAUGAAGUUAGUGUGAGAAAUAUAAAGAGACUGACCAUUACCAACCAUCACCCUUUCAUUACCAAAGUAGACAACAAGAACAUUUAUACCCUCGAGAUCAUUUGUCAUGUGAGAGGUGGCACCAGAGUCCGGAUACCAGGCAGAGUCGUUGGAGUCCGGGGUUGAACAAGCAGCGUAAGCCUCAACAAGGUUGACAGACUACUUUUUCUUGAGAUUAAGAAAUUUCUAGCAAUGUUUAGCCAUGUGUCCCUCAUUGUCGCAGAGUUGACAAUAAACUGGAGAAAAAUUGAACAAUUUUGAGGCAGAGGCAGAGGAAGGUUUUGACUUUCCUGGUGCUUUUCGGUCUGGUGGAAGAAUGUCGCUGAGCAUAGAACGCUGAGUUGGUAGAUUGUUGAUACACCGAUCUUUCAAAAAUAUCAUGGCUCAAAGCUUUCGGUAUGAUAUCUGCAAAAGAAGGUAACGAAAAUUGGGAAAGCAUUGUAGUUGAGAAGAUCUUAUAAUUAGGACCUAAGGCUCUUAAGAAGCAGUGGACUUUAUCCAGGUCAUUAAUGGUCGAUCAAUUGCUGCCAGUUGAUCAUAGAGGCCUUUGAAGAGUCGAGAAAAUUCAGCCACGGAUUUGGAGCCUCGCUGCAUCAGUUGAAGCUCGUCCUUAAGUUGAAGUUCUCGAGUCUUAGAUCUGUGAGAGAAAGAGGCUUCAAGAGUAGUCCAGGCCUCAUGUGCAUGUUUAGACCAAGUACCUCACUCAUAGAUUCCUCCGGAAAAGAAGAAUUGAGGAGAUUUAAGAGAGUCUGAUCUGUAUUCAGCCAAGAAGUGUAGGUUGGAUUCACCUAGGUUGUGCCGUCAGAAUCAGUAAUCUGAGGAGAAAGGGUUGAGACACUACCAUCUAGAAAUCCAAGAAGAUCAUGGCUUGUUAACACCAAGAUCGUGUUCAGCGGAAGUGAAGUUGAUGAGGACGAUACAACCAUGAAAGGAAUUGGGUAAAAAAAGAAAAAACCUAAAUAUGCUUUGAUAUCAUAACAAGGUUUAAAAACGCGUGUAAAGUGUGGCUGAAAUCCUCAAUAAUAUUGAGGUUAUUGAUUCUCAUUGUAUAUAAGGUAUAUAUAAUUGGAAGAUCCUGUAUAAUAGAAAACAAAUAGACAUAACAAAUAUUUAUCCUAUAAACUAGGAAGAUAAUAACAAAUUAUCUCUAAAUCAAGGAAAGAAUCGAAUUCCUUAUCAUACUGUUUUACUCGUCAACGAGAAAUCUGACUGCUGCCCCUUCCUCUUCCUUUUGCAAGCACUCCAUUGGCACUUUCACUGAAUUGUUGGAACUAAAUUAAACGUCGAAGGCAAAACCUACACUAAUGGUAGGACAGGUUUCGAAGACAGUGAUGUUGGUAAAAAUUACUAUAGUACUUUAGUUUAAUUCUAUAUAAUCAAGAUAUUUUAUAUAAAAAUAAAUUAAAUAAUUAACGAGCAGAAUAAUAACGCUGCAAAAUUAUCAUGAGCAAAAAAUAAUAAUUGCAUACAAUUAUUUGCGGAAAUAUUGUAGAUGAUUUUUGAAUGAAUAAAAGAAAGUAAAAACCAUUGUUGUCAAGAAUUAUAUAAUUUGUUCUUAAAGCUAAAUCACUCAUCACUUGAUGCAAAUGAUUUCUAUAUAUGCAACUAUAUUCUCAAAAUUCCAACACGUCAUCUUAAAAUAUUGCAUUACCAAUCAACCUAAUAAUGUAGGAAGUUUUGAAGGAUAUGAACAAUCAAAUAAGAAUUUAUUAUAAUUUGACCAUAUAGAAUGUUUAAUAAAUAUGUUUAUGGACUAUAUAGACAAAUUCAAGUCUAAAACGAGGUUGGAACGUGCAAAACAAUUUUUCUAACAAAAACAAAUAUAACUUUUAAUUUAAUUAUUGAAAAAUUCUCAAAAAAUUUUAGGGAGUUUUAGGAGCCUUGUUUUGUAAUGGGUUAACUUGAUAUAUUCAUCUAAAAUUAGAAAAGAUGUGUCUGAAUUUUAAUAUAUAUUUUAAUUAAUUUUAGAUUUUUGCCUUUAUUUUUUCUAUCUAAAUAGAGUUUUCUUUUUCUUUUUUGGAUUAGGUGAAUGAGGGUCCUAUUUAAACUAUUUUAAGUUUUUUUUUCUAGAAAAGAGAUGCCUAAAAUAUUUUUAUUAAGAAUAAAUAGUAAGUUUAGGGUUCUUUAAGCCCUUUUUGUAAAUUUCAUCUUCUUAUUUUCCUUUGAUUCCUUGUCAGUCAGCAUCAAAGCCUAAAGUUUUUAAUGGCCUUUUCUGUUGUGAUAUUGAGUAAUCAUGAGUGGAGGUCACAGAUUCAGACGUGAUCAUGGUAAACGGGAACACAUUUUUUUAUUUUUUUAAAGAUUAGAGCAUAGUAAUUAAUUAAGAAAAAGUUUCAAUCAGUGUAAUUUAAAAUUAAUUAGUUAAUCUUUAAAGCUAUAAAGAUUAUUUAAUUCGUCUAAUAAAUAGAAGAAAUAUUUUUUAUAUAUAAAUUACUCAGGAAAGAAAUAGACACCUACCUUUCCUAGAUAGAUCAACGAAGUUUCUCUAUCUACCAGCCAUGAAAUAAGCCAAUAGCCGCCUGUUGGAACCAAAGAAAAACACGUGAAGUGUUCAUCAUUCCGUGAACAAGUAAAAUUCAUCGAUAUUAAUAAUUAAUGCUCAUUCUUUUUUUCCUCUUGUCCUUUCAAGAAAUCAAUGCUUAAUCUUACCAAAAUUAUUUCACUUCAUUAAUGUCAGAUUCAGCUACAAAUUGCAAAAACAAGGAAUAAAACAGCAAACAGAGACUAAUCUAUAGAAUAUCUCUGCCCUGAAAACCAUGCUACCUAACAAGAAAAUCUUGCAAAACUGCUUCUCUUGUUAAUUUGUGCUCUGAAUUUCAGCUCGACAGCUUCUUUCUUCGACUUCUUUGGAUUUGGUGAUCCACCAUCAGUGAAGAAAAGAAUCUGAAUAAGGAAGAUAAGUAGAGAGACUAUAAGAAGGCCUUCCUCUCAGUAUCCGGUGCAGCGCAUUACCCAUCACUUCCAUCAUCUCUCCUGCGUACCUUAUUAUCAAUGGCCGCAAAAACACAGCCCAUAGACCCACCACUGCCACUGCAAUUUCAACUCCUAAGCUCAUGUUCCUUCUUCUUGCAUUUCCUUUAUGAUGACUUGGUCUCUUGUUCUUUCCCUCUCCGAUCUCUUCCUAGUUAGCACUCUUUUAUCUUCUUGGAUUAACUUUUCAUCAUCAGCUAGGUGCUUAUAAACUUACGAGGAAGAUCAUGUAAUUCUAUGAAGUUUACUGGUCGAUUACAUGACCAUUCAAACGUGUGCGCAACUUUCACCUACCAAACCACCAUUCUCAACUGAUGGUCUCAUGGUCUUCAGCUGGAAUUACAAAUGCAACGUUUUUUCCUUUUAUCUUUUUGUGGCUCUCUUCAUUUAUUCAUUUAUUCUUGUAAACUAGCGAGACCACACAAGUACUCUCAUCUCAUAUGAAUAUACAAGGAUCUUUUUUUUUUUUUCUUGGAGAAGUCCAUGAUAAUCCCACAUAAAACAAAUCAACACAAAUUAUAAAGUUUAAUUUUUAAUAAACUCAAUAUUAAAAGAUAGAAUUGAAAAAAGAGCAAAAAAAUAACUCCAGUCAACUAAGUUAACCCGCUAAACUCACAAUUCGAGUCAUGAGAUCGAGAUAACACAAUAAAAAAUAAAUUAAAAUAAAUUAUGAAGUUAAAUUCUCAAUCAAUAUAAUGUUGAAAGAUGAGAUUGAAAAAAAAAUUAAAUUAAAAAAAAACACAAAAAACAACUCGAGUCAAUCAGAGUUAACCUGCCAAACUUAUUACCUGAGUCACGAGACAGGGAUAAAUUUANNNNNNNNNNNNNNNNNNNNNNNNNNNNNNNNNNNNNNNNNNNNNNNNNNNNNNNNNNNNNNNNNNNNNNNNNNNNNNNNNNNNNNNNNNNNNNNNNNNNUUCAACUUUGUUAUAACCCAUUUUUGGGUCCCCACACAAUAAAAGAAGAAUAUAUAUAUAUAUAGGAUGCCGGAGCGCCUAGAAAAUGGUUAGAAAUUGAUUGAGGAGGUUAAAAAAUAUAAAGAUUAAAAUUUGACAGUAGAUACUUGACUGAUGAGAGCCUUGUUGAAAAACAAAAUUCAAUUUUGAGGAGAAAAGUCCAAAAUCAGAUGUUUAUAGACUCAAUUGGAUUUUAUCGAAGGGUUAAUUGAAUUUAUAGAAGGUUUGAUUGCAAGUAAAUUAAUUUUUAAGUCAAUUUAGAUUUUAAUUGGAAGGAAUUAAAGUUCAGGCGUCAAAUUAAAAUUUUUAAGAGUUGAUUUUGUCAAAUCAGGUGCUUAAAUGCAUGAAUAUUGAAGUUUAGUGGCCACUUGGGGACUUCAUUAAAUUAACCCAAAAUCAAGGACCAAACUGGAAAAGACAUGUAAAUAGAGGAAUUGACAUUGAUCGAAUCAGGGACCAAAUUGAAAAAAAAUUAAAGUUUAUUGAUCAAUUGAGGGUCAAAAUGCACAAAUUCAAAACUAAGGAGUAAAGUAAAAAAGGUGGCCAAAUUUAAGGCCGACGAUUGAAGUUGGCAUGGAUGCAAUUGAAUUGAUUAUUAAAAAAAAAAUUGCAUUUUGAGGAUUUAAAUGAACAAAGGAUGAAUUGAGGACUGAUUUGGAAGUUGACGUGUUUUGGUGCCAUUUUAUUUAAAUGAAACGACGUGUUUUUUCCAAAACGACACCAUUUCAUGUUAAAAAAGAAGAAGAAAAGAGACGAAAGAGGCCGUUUCAUGUUAAAAAAAAAGAAGGAAAGAGAUGAAAGAGAGAGAGCAAGGAAAGAAGACAGGGAAGUUUGAAACAGGAGGGAUUUGAGAGGAAAAGAAACAGGGAACGAUGGGAGAAAGAAAACUGGGGGAGUAAUGAGAGUUAAACAGAGAGAACCGGGGUAGAGAGAAAUGAAAAAGACAGAAAAAGAGAGAGAAAGAAACAGGGCAGAACAUGGAAUACAAAAGGGGGAAGCCGAUUGACAAUGAAAGAAGAGAGAAGAGAAAGCAAAAUGAAACACCGGAAAAAGGGGGGUGGACGGUUGCGUCUCGCCGCUGCUUGGAGCUUCUGUCCGUGAGCCACGGCCCAUAUUAUUCCCGGCCGCCACCACAACCCACCGCCAGUUCCGCUACCAGAGCCCCUUUGUUCCAAGUAACACUCUCCUUCUCCUUGUCGAUUUCUUGUUGUUUAUUUGCAUGCAGAAACAUGCGUUGUUCACGUUUCUACAACAAGAAAUAUAAUUAGCCGGUUAAUGUGCAUAAGCACAAUAACCGGCUAAUUUUAAUUAACUGGUUACUGUGCUCAUACACAGUAACCAGUUCAUAGUUACUCCGGGCUGAGUCUGACCUUAUAGAAAUAAGUUUUUUUUUGGGCCGAUCUCGUCCUAGUUUUCCCAAUGGGCUUGCUGUGGCUCGGUGCCUUUUCUUUCCUUUUAGGCCAGUCAUGGCCCAAAUCAUGUUGGGCUAAGACUCAGCCCAUAUAUCUUGGGCCAGCCGAAUCACACCAUAAAUACAUUAAUACUAGUUACAUGACCCACGCGAUACCGCGGGUCAAUUUUUUUGCAUAAAAAUAUUAAAAAAACUAAGAUCUAAAAGUGUUAGGUUUUUUUACAAAACUAUACCCAAGAGUCUUGGGUUUGACUGCAACCUCUGACCCAAGAGUAAUAUUUAUAAUAUUAAUAAUAACAUUAAACUUGAAUGACCCAAGUUUAAGUGGGUCUGACUGCAAUACCAAACUUAAUAGUCUUGGAUGUGGGUCUGGCUGCAAGGUCGUGUCAUAAAAGUGUGAUAAUUAAAUAGAUUAAUUAAAAAGAAAAAAACAAAGAAAAAAAAACUAACAUGAAGAAAAAAACUAAUGAAGAAAAAGAAAAAAAAUCUGAAUCAACUGGGUUAACUCGUCAAAUUUGAGAUCCGUGUCAUGAAAGUUUAAUAACUAAAUAGAAAAAAAUUUAAUAUCAACAAACUAAAUAAAAAAAGUUAAUUAAAAAAAAAAAGGCAUCAACCUUUUCACCGUGGAUUGCACUGUGCAGUCCAUAUUGAAAGGUAUAAAAAGAAAAAAAGGAAAAAAAAACUAAAGGCAUCAGCUUUUUUUCCACCAUGGACUGCAUACAAUAUUAAAAGAUGAAAUCGGAAGAACAAAACUAAUGAGGAAAAAGAAAAACAAUAUGAAUCAACUGGGUUAACCCGCCAAAUCAGGUUAACCCGUCAAACCUGAGAUUCGUGUCAUGAAAAUGUGAUAACUAAAUAGAAAAAAAGAUUUAAUAUUAAUGAACUAAAUUAAAAAAAAAGAUUAAUUAAAAAGGAAAAGGCAAAGAGAAAAAAAAAACCUACAGGAAGAAAAAAAACUAAUGAAGAAAAAGAAAAAAAAAUCUGAAUCAACUGGGUUAACCCGUCAAACCAGGUUAACCCGUGUCAUGAAAGUCUGAUAAUUAAACAGAAAAAAUUUAAUAUUAAGAAACUAAAUUAAAAAAAUAAUUAAAAAAGAAAAAAAAAACUAAAGGCAUCAGCUUUUUCACUGUGGACUGCACUGUGCAGUCCACAGUGAAAGGCUUAGAAAGGAAAAGGAAAACAAAAAAACAAAGGCAUACGUCACGGGUUAUUUUUUUUUUCUUGCAUAAAAAAUAUCAAAAAAUGCUAAGAUCUAAGAGUGUUAUAUCUUUAUGUAAAGAUAUACCCAAGAGCCUUUGGUCUAGCUGCAACGCUUGACCCAAAAGUAAUAUUUAUAAUAUUAAUAAUAAUAUUAAACUUACAUGACUCAAGUUUAAUUGAGUCUGGUUGCAACACCGGACCCAAGAGCCUUGGAUGUGGGUCUGGCUGCAAGGUUGUGUCAUAAAAGUAUGAUAAUUAAAUAAAUUAAUUAAAAAAAAAGAAAAAAAACCAACAGGAAGAAAAAAAACUAAUGAAGAAAAAGAAAAAAAAUCUGAAUCAACUGGGUUAACCCGUCAAACCGUAGAUUCGCAUCAUGAAAGUUUGAUAACUAAAUAAAAAAAACAAUUGACGGGUUAACCCAUAAUUUACUGGGUUAACAUGUCAAGUUCGGGAUACGUUUCAUGAAAGUCUGAUAAUUAAAUAGAAAGAAAUUUAACAUUAACAAACUAAACUAAACGAAAAAAAAUUAAUUAAAAAGAAAAAAAGCAAAAAAAAUAAAAUUUCGAGUUGACUCAUCAAACCAGGUUAACCAGUCAAACUCGGAAUCCGUGUCAUGAAAGUCUGAUAACUAAAUAAAAACAAAUUUAACAUUAACAAACUAAAUUAAACAAAAAAAUUCAUUAAAAGAAAAAAACACAAAGAAAAAAGCAAAAAAAAAAAACUCAUAAAGGCAUAAAAAACAAAAUAAAUAAAUAAAUAAAAACAAAAAAAACAAAUUUUGUUUUUUAAAAUUUAUGUUAUAGUAAUAAUAAUAAUAAUAAUAAUAAUAAUAAUAAUAAUAAUAAUAAUAAUAAUAUAUAAGUACAAUUAAAAGGCGUAGGGAAAGCUAUAGUAUUUUCCCCAAGCCUUCAGGUUAACCUGUCAAACUCGGAAUCCGUGUCAUGAAAAUCUGAUAACUAAAUAAAAAUAAAUUUAAAAUUAACAAACUAAAUUAAACAAAAAAAAAAUCAUUAAAAGAAAAAAACAUAAAGAAAAAAGCAAAAAAAAAAAACCUAUAAAGGCAUAAAAAAAUAAAAACCAAAAAAACAAAACAAAAUUAAAAACGAAAAAAAAUGUUAUAAUAUAAUACAAUAUAAUAAUAAUAAUAAUAAUAAUUAUUAUUAUUAUUAUAUAUAAGUGCAAUUAAAAGGCUUGGGGAAAGCUACAGUGCUUUCUCCACGCGUUUUAGAGUAUUCUUUAAUUAUAUCAUAUAAUAUUAUAUAUUAUACAUUGUAUAUAUAAAGAAAAAAAACAACCAAAAAAUUUUCAAAAAUAUUUUUAAAAAAUUUGUGAUUUUCUUGUGUAUUUUUCUAUCUAUUUUGUGUAAUAUUGAUUUGUAUUUUUAUACCGUAAAGAUACAAAUUCGGUAUUAAAAUACUCAGUUUUCGUCAAAAUAUUGCAAAAAAAAUUCUAAAACAAAACCAAAAAAAAUAUUUUGUUUUCAUGCAUACAACCAAGUCUCUCAAAGAUAAGAAAAUCAUCAUAUCGUAUUUUCAUACAACAAAAAAAUAAUAAAAAUAUAUGUUUUAGCGUGCAUUUUGAAUUUAAUAACCAGUUUAUUAAAGUCAUGAGAACCAGACCAAUAUUUCAAAAAAUACCCAAAAAAAUAUUUUGUUUUUUUCUUUUAGUAUAUGGUUUAUGAAUUUAUACGUAAAAUAUAUUCCUGAUAUUAAAAAGGAAGUUCCUUUUUAUUGAUGUUAGAACGGUUAGGUUUUUUACCCGAUAAGAUAAGGACCUCCUUACUAAGGAGAACUUUUUCUUAAACCAUAGACGGACCAACAAUUAGAAAACACGACAAGACCUUAAUUUUUUUUAUCAAAUAAUUGAACAAUGCAGCUUAUCUUAGGUAGGGUGUAUUUGGGGUGCUAAUACCUUCUCUUUAUGCAACCAGUCCCAGUACCCGAUCUUUUAGACCAGUUAGAGUUCCUAGUGACUAAAAUAUUAGGUGGCGACUCCCUUUCCCACUUUCCACUGAUAAAAGGCAAGGAAACCUUGUCACCCCAUAUGUUUCGAUUUUCAGAAACUUAUAUGAGAGUGGAAUAUUCCGUGCGACGCCGCACACGUACGACAAACUUAAUAUUGAAUGAUAAAAUUAAAAAAAAAAUUGAUUAGAAAAAGGGUAAAAAACUCAAAACAACCGAGUUAAUUUGUUAAACUUAUGACUUAGGUUUUGAAACUGAGAUAACCUAAUAAAAAAUAAAUUAUAAAAAUUAUAAAACUUAAUCAUUAAAUGAUAAAAUUGAAAUUUUUUUUUAAUAAAUAGUAUUUUGUGAUUAGGGGUAGAGUAAAAUUCUCUUCUCUUCUAAUUUUUUUUAUUAAUUUUUAAUUGUUAAUGUGUGUAUGUAUUUAUACUUAAUUGGAAUUUUGAGUUUAAUUCUAGUUGUAGUUAUUGAAUUUGAAUGGAGUAAAGAGCUGUGAAGAGAACUGGAUCUACCAGAUUAGGCCCAUCGGCAUAUGAGACACUUGGGACAUCUUCUUAUCAGUAAUUUCCUUUUACCCCGAAAAAACAAUAAAAAUACAAAGGCCCAGACCAGAGAAUAGAUAAAAGGCCUAAAUUAAAUGGGCUUUAAGUAAAUCCAGCCCAACUACUAGAAGCGGCCAGAAGCCUCUACCGAUUUAAGCUGGUCCAUAGGCCUAAGCAUUAUGUAAAGUUGGACACUAUUUGCUGCAAGAUUCAGCUUGAAAAUCGACUCGGUUUAUGCUCCCAAAUCAGUAUGGCUCAGGAAAGCAGGCCUAAUCCAGGCCCACGUUCUUCGGGCCCAUGGCCUACACUUGCUUGCCCUUUCCUCUUUUGAGGCUAGCUUAUGGGAUUAGACCUUUGUUUAGGUUUGCAAUCACUUUCUUAACAAUUUAAUAGGAGCAUAGUAUGUUAUAAAUUAUAAAAAAAUUCAUAUUAAUAUUCAAUAAGAAUUAAAUAGUCUUUUAAUUGUAAAUUUUAUAUGGUUUUCAUGAAUUAGUUAUUAUUUAAUUUUUUUCAUAUAGCCACAUAAAAAUAAUGAAGACAUUAUUUACUUUUUUGUUUGAAACUUGCUUUUUACAUUGUGAUAAGUUUUUGCUUAAAAAAAUGCUACUGUUAAAAACAAUAUGUUUUCAUAAAAAAAAAUUAAUAAGAAAAAGAGUUUUUUUUAACUAGAAAUAAAAAUUUCUCAUUUAUUUUAAUUAUCUUGAUUAAAAAACAAUAUGUUUUCAUAAUAAAAACAAUUGAUAAGAAAAUGGAGUAAAGUUGCUAGUUUGAUUCCAUGUGUUAUGUUGUGGAAUGAAGUAUUUUUUUCAUUAAAUCAAAAAAUUUGCUGGCAUUGUUAACAUUUUUUUAUCAUUAAAGUUUUUGGUUAACUAUAAACUAAAAGGUUGUUUCAGUUUGAUAACAAGUUUAUAUAUGCUAAUAAAUGAUAACAAGUUUAUUGAUUCCAACCAAAAAUUAAACCGGGAAGCUAAGAUACAAAUGUUAUUUCUUAUAUAAAAAAACAGGAUGAAUAGUUGUUUCAGUUUGAAAUUAAAUUUUAAAAUUUUUAAUUAAUUUGAAUAAAUAAAAUAAAAUUUUAUUUUUUCAAAUAUACACUAUGUUGCAUUUUGCCAACCCAUAAUAGAUUGUCUUUCUUUUAUGUUUCAUUUUUUUUUUUUUUAAUAUUUUUUUCAUUUCAUAUUGCCUUACAUUUUAAUGAUCUCAAACAUUGUUACAUAAUUUAUCGAGAGUUAAUUUUAUAAAACUGAAUUAUAAUUAUUAAAUAAGAAGCAAAAUGACCCAAUAAAAAAUUCUAAUAAAACAAUAAAUUUGAGGGUGUAAAAAUAGUUUGACGGAUCCAAUAAAAAAAUGUAAAAAAAAUAAAUGAAAUGUUUCAUUUUUCAUAUAAAUGUUUCCGCCCAAUGUUUUUUUAAUAUAUAAUAUAAUAAUAAAAAUAAAAAUAGUAUGACAUCCUUAAUUUUUCUAUUAAUUAUUCCUAUUUUGAAAUGUAUUCUUCGUCGACUAUGGAAUCAAUCUCAAAAUUUUCAGCAAUCUCAUUUUCAAUAAAUAUAAAUAGUUGACUUUUUUGAACGAUGUCAACUAUUGGCAUAAUCAUCAACAAUCUUACAAAUAUCAAUAACAUUUCUUCUGGUAGCCACUCGUAGACAAAUAUAAUAAUACAUUUUUAGGCUUUUUUCUUGGUCCCUCUUCACCCCUAUCCAUGCCAUUAUACUGCUGCUUUUGAAGCUUCUGGUCCUCAUAUUAUGGCAUUUGUAUUUCUGAAUGAUCUUAUGGUCAAAUCUUCUUCAUUGUUGUGAUUAGAAGAGCCAUUUGCAAGGAAAUUUUUAUACCACUUUGCCGAAAGCUUUGGCACACGUUCAAGUGUCUGGCGAUCAACAUAAUAGAGUCCAUAUCGCUGGGACUCGUUCAAGUGUCUGGCGAUUAUCUACCAAGCUCCACACGAAAUAUCCACGAACAUCUGCUCCAUUCCUAUGUCAAUGUUUCAGGAAAAACAUUUUACUUCACACAACUUGUCAUUCAAUUUAUACAUGUAAUCAAGAUGCUCAAGACAAGAAAGAAAACUGUCUGAAAAAAGAAAAAAAAAAGUGACCCUUUCACCUUAUUGCUCUAGCCAAAGCAGCAAGAUAGGAUUUAUGGAAGUUGACUCUGUUGGUGUCUUGCAAUAACGCCUGAACUUGAUCAUUCUGUUGCGGGGGAGAAAACCCUAUAGUGCCAAAAUACAUUUUGAGUUAUAUUUUCGUUCACAUAAUAAAACCAAAACAAAUAUGAAAAUUAGCAACGAACCCAUGACAGGAGCAAGAUUAAAAGCAUUUCACUAACAGAACAGAGUGUUUUUGUACGAAGAAAAAUAUAUAACUGUGAUACUUCACCAUUUUCAGUCACAAACAUAGGCAUGUUAUUGUAUCUCUCUUUCAUGUAGUUGACAAUCUUCUCCAUUCCCUCUGGGACCACAAAGAACCUUGGAUUCCCACACUGCAAUGAUCACAAAAAUUAAAAUAGAAGCGGAAAGGGACUGCUAGGAAGAUAAAUGUUAUGAGUAAUACUAUCAUACUCGUCCUCCGAUCGGCUCACCAUCCCGUUCUCCAGUUGUGUGAACAAAGCCUCGAAUAGGGCGAUCCCCGCCUGAGAUGCAAGCAGAAUGGAUGCAAUCUUUGGCAUAUAAUGAAGUGUAAAAGUUCAUACCAAUGAAAUCUAAGCUUCCUUUUACGUAGCUAGUUUCUUCUGGUGAGAAUGUUGGCAGUGCACUUCCAAGAUAAAGGCGCAUUUCGGCAGGGUAAUCCCCAAAUACUACAGCAUCGAACAGCCUGCAUAAGCAAGAAAAAAUCAGCUUCUUACGAUCCAUCUUAAUUAGAGUAAUGCUAUACUGUUGGUUUAGGUUCCGGAACGAUCACCAUUAGUCAAACCAAUGGGACUCGCAGAGGUCCCUUGCGGGGAUCAAUCUGAAGCCCGCUAAUCUGACUAAUUGGAUUGAUUUCAGAACUUUCUAAAACGAUAUAAAAAUUCUCUACAAACUAUUAUGGAUCAAUUCGUAACUCAAACAACAUUGCAAACUUGAUACAAAAAACAAGAAAAAGGACAAACCAUGAAGAUACAAAGGUAUCAUUGGGAAUAUUAAAUUUAUUAAACCCAGUCCAGCUCAAUACCCGAUCACACAGGUUGGAUAAAUUUCAAAGCAAAUUAUUAAACGGUGUGUUUCAAGUUUCUUUUUAAUAAAAUAUAAGUUCAAACAAAGUUGUUUAACCGAGUCUAGAUUUGACCAAAUCAACUUCUAUCCAAUUUCUUUAGCUUAUAUUCAGGUUUAAUAUCACUACUAAUAUCUCAUAUCUCACUGGUGGUUAUAAAUCAUCAUGCAAAAUAAAAGACAGCAAUCUUGUGCACAUUACAAUGAAGUGAUGAACUCUCGCUUUUCAUCCACUGGAUGGAAAUUAUUUAGGGAUCGCGUGCUAAAAAUAAGGUGUUGUUCACAGAAAUCCCUAAAAUAUCUAGGUUGAUGGAAAAAAGAAAUCAUCACUGUGCUGUCAAUGGUGUAUUCUUUUGUAAUUUCAGAGUUAUAAUAAUCAAAUACACACCAUAUGUAUAUAUAUCAGUGUUUUAUCAUAUAUCAUAGAUAAAAGAUGGUUUUGGACCACCACGCAUGUGCUUGUCUACAUCAUUUCCCAUUAUGAUUGUCAGUUGGGUGGUUUGAAGACAAUUGAUCAUAUAUGAUAGAGUGACAAAGCAUAGGCCACGUCUUAAACCUUGCUACCAGUUAGAAUAGGAAGAAGGACAGAACAUAAAGUUUGACACCCACCCACGUUUUCUGAACAUGUCAUAGAAUUUAAUACUUUUCUGCAUCUACUUCUCACUUCAUUAGUAAUCAAGAACAUUUACCAGGCAUUAGUGAAGGCCAGGGCCCUACUCACAGCUUGCCGAUCUAAUUCAUUGUCUCUUAACGGUUCAAAAUAUUCUGUAAAUCCAACAAUCCCUAUAGAACCACCUUGUUUCAGCUGCAACAAGAGAAAUAAUUUUACUAAAAAAAUCAAAGCAAUGCAGCAGUGCAUAUUAUCCUACAACAGUGCUCAUUCUAUCACCUGAAAAUGUUCACGGUAUAGCUUUACUGCCUUGGCAUGUCCCAAUAUCAUGUUAUGCAUAGCAAUGAGAGGCUCUAUAUCAGAAUUUCCGGCAGAACAGUUGCCGAAAGGGGGUGAACAGUGAGCUGGAGGGUACCAUCCCCUUAUAUAAGACAUGUCCACGAGUAGGUUUGGCUCAUUCAUGGUUAUCCAAUUUUUUAUUCUAUCCCCAAAGCUCUUGAAACAAAUUUCAGCAAAAUAUACAAAGUCUUCCCUACAAGAAUAUCCAAAUUUAGGUAUUACAAUAACUUAAUUGCUUAAUGUCCAAAUGAACUUGAUAUAGCAUAUGUAUAACACAAGAACUGUCUCAUCCUAAGUAUCCAAAAUGCAUGUAUUCAAAAACAGCCCUCAAAAUGAAAAAAAAUAAAAAUAAAAAAAAUAAGUAAGAAUUUCAAGGACCAAAUCAGAAUUUUGAUAAUAAUGGCAAAAAAUGAGGAAACCCACCAAAAAGAAGCAAAAGAAUACAACAACAAAAUUAACAGAACCACUAGCUAAAGCUCAAAAUUUUUCACAAUGUGAGCAUUAAUUACUGCAUUAGAGGACUGAGCCAUCCUCCGUAUCUAUCCACGAGCUCUUGUGGGAUGUCGUGAUGGUGUAUCGUCACAAAUGGUUCCAAUCCUGCAUUUUAUUAUAAAAAAUUGCAAUGACUUAGUAUCAAUUUUCUUUAAAUAUCCAAAAAUCUAAACAAUAAAAGAACAAAAUUACCCCUCUCCAAUAGAUUGUCUAUAAGUUUGUUAUAGAACAUGAUUCCUCUUGGAUUAACUUGACCGAACUUUCCUCCUAUUACAGCCCCAUAAACAUCACUAAUCAUCAUAUAUUUCCAAAUUCAAAUCAAAUCAUACUCGAAUUCAUUGAAAUAUGAUUGCAGAUACACAUACUUGGCAGAAUUCUAGUCCAUGAUAUAGAGAACCUAUAUGCAUUAGUUCCAAGUGAACACAUUAACUCAAUAUCUUCCUGUCCACAAAAUUAGAAAAAAAAAAAAAGGUAUCCACUUUGAGAUUCAAGAUGUUUGAUUUGAAAAACAGGCAAGGCAAACGAAAGUCAAACUAAUACCAAGAAACGAUAAUAAUGGUUGUCUGCUAUAUCUCCAUUGUCAUUGUUCUUUAUGUUUCCUGCAAAUGUUUGAUAAUCAAAUUGACAUAGUUAACAACCCAAUUUGUGUCCUUAUAUACAAACUGGCAUAUGUUGAAUUAAAGUUUUAAUAUUUGAUUACCUGGGAUAUGACUAAAAACAUCCCAGUUGUUGAGACCCUUACCAUCUUCAAUAUAAGCUCCUUCAACCUGGAACAUAAAAUGAAAUUGAAAGUUGAAGCUUUUAAGGUGAUUUUGCAGAGAAAGAUCAGUGAACGCUUACCUGAUAUGAAGAAGUGCUUGUUCCGAAGAAGAAACCAUCCGGGAAAUGAGAUCUUUUAACAUCUUGUCCAUCAUCAUUUAAACUUUGAGCAAGAGAUGGAUUUUUUAGAAGGAGAAGAAAGGACAGGAACAGAAACAUAGUGUUUCGGUUUCUGAAAGCACUAUAGAUAAAACGAGUCCUGAUAAAUACCUCGUCUUUCGAGUUUUUUUUUUUUUUUAGUAGGAAAAUAAAUUUUUUUUUUUAAGAAAUAGGGUGCAUAAAAAUUAGUUGAAAAAAAUAGUACAUUUUGAAGUGUUAAGAGUUUAGUUGUUUUUGUAUUUUAAAAGAGUUUUUUAAAAAAUUUAAAACUUUUUAAUUUUUUCUUUCUUCACUUCAAUUUUUUUUUUCAGAUUGUUUUGAUAUGUUAAUAUUAAAAAUAAAUUUUUAAAAAAUAAAAAAAUAUUAUUUCAAUAUAUUUCUAAACAAAAAACACUUUAAAAAUCAAUAAUUAUCACAAUAUCAAACGGGCUCUUAGUUGGAUAACGAACCUAAAUAUUUGUUAUUUUACCAUAGUUAUAAAACCUGAACUAGCCUAGAGAAAUGACCGGGACUCAAUCGACCCGAGACCUAGUUGAUCCAAGUUAAAGGAAAAAUAAGGCAAGCGCGCAGUUAACCCAGUCAAAACCCACCAUUGCAAACCAAUCCAAUUCCAUUCAAUCACCUUGUUAUCUUUCCUUCAUUCCUCGUCAAUCCAUAAUUUCCUUUCUCUUUAACCACCUUCUCAAUACAUUUUUAUAUUAUCUAUAUCUCUGGCUUAUGGUUGAUAGAGAAAAAAAAAAGAUGAAAGAUUGAAAACAAAGAAAAUGAUGAUGAUGAUGAUGAUGAUGAUGAUGAUGAUGAUGAUGAGAGAUUGGAAUAAUAACAAAAAAGAAAAGAUUUUGAGCAUAAUAAUAAUUAUGACCAUGAAAUUGCUUCUUCUUUGGGUGAAGGUUGCGGUGUUUAGUUUAGGAGUGGUGAUUGUAGAAAAGGAAGUGGUGGCUAGGGAUAUUAGUUUGUCUAGGGUUUUUUUUUUCUUUUAUAUAGAAAAUUAUGGGCUUUAAAAGAGGGGUUUUAGUUUGUUUGAGAAAGACUUAGAGAAUUAUAGGCUUUGAUUUUUUUAAAAAAAAAAAUUAGGUCGAUCCAGGUUGACUCUUUCAACCCAUGACCCGAUUCUUGUCCCGAAUCAAGUUUUUAUAAUUAUGCAUUUUACUAGAUAAUGGUGACUUGACUAUUAAUGUUACCUAAUUGACACUAUAUUUGCUUAUGGAAUUUUACUUGUUUAUUAAGGAUUGAAUAAAACUAUGACAAAACGUUAUUCAUUAUUUUUAGAAUACUAGUUGACAUUAUCUAGAGCAUUUAUUAGUUUCUAUUUAGUGAGAAAAUUUUAUAGUGUUUCGAGAGUAAUUAAUGACAUCCUAUUAGUUAUUCAAUAAAAUUUACUUUACAUCAUAUUUAGAACCCUCUUAAUUGAAUUCAAUUAAGAGGUUUUAAUGAAAUUUCAUGUUUAAGACCCUCUUUAAGUGUUAAGAAUUGAAUUCUAAAUGGAAUUCAAUCUUUAAAAAUGUUAUAAAAGUAAAUAAAAUGUUUAACCCCUCUGAUUUACAAUUCCAAAGAGAAGAAAUUUAAUAUUAAAACUUAAAAUAUGAUCUCAACAAUGCUGGAAAAUAACCCUUGGUUUUAGACAUAAUGUUAAAUUGAGUCUCUAAAUUUUCAAUGCUUUUAAGCAAUAAAAUCAAUUUUUAUUUUGUAAAGUUGAACAUUAAUUAAAUGUUAGGAAAUUUCUUAACACCUUGAUAUCCUCGUAGCAAGCUAGCCAAAAUAACUUCUUAAGCUUAAAUAUGAAAUAACACAUUGUAAAAGGAUAAAAUAAAAAAAAUAUUUUGAUGACUAGAAAAAAAAACACAACAUUGUUGAGGUGAUCAAUGUCAUGUGAGGGUUACCUAGUCAUCUUACCCGUGCGCUAUUGUGUUGAUUUUUUUAAUUAAAAUAAAUAUUCAUUGGAAAGAAAAAUAUUUAAAGUUUGGAGAAAAAAUAUAUUCCUAUCAUAAAAAAAAACUCUUAUUUCUUAUUCAUGCAUUUCAUUUGAAAAAAUAUGUAAUUUUUUUUCUCGCAACUUAGUUUUUUUUUUUUAAUAAAAACUUAAGGCAAUUAAAAAAAAUAUUUGAAAGAAUUUAAAUGAUUUAAAUUAAGGAGAAAAUAGUAUUCAUUUAAUCAAAAUGUCAAUCCUUAUUCAUGUAUCUUUUUUUUUGCGCCAAAAACAUGUUUUUUUUUAUCACAAGCAUGAUUUUUUAAAAUAAAAAGAAAAUCAUGAACUAAAAAAAUUCUCAAUAAAACAAACAUGCUUUUACAAUUUUAACGUGAAUAUAUGAAAAAAAAAAAAGAAUAACUAAUAUGAGAAAACAAUAUUAAAAAAUUUAUAAUAGAAAAUAACAAAAUAGAUACUUUAUUUUUGUGUUUGUUGAUUAUUCAUGAGCAAUUUUUUAAAUAAACAUUAUGCAUAUAAAGUUCUUAUAUAAUUAUUUUUAAAAUAAUUAUUAAUAUUAUCAUAAAAAGCAUCCAAUCUUAUUUGAAUAUUAUGACCUAACUUGAUAUUUUUUAAAUAUCAUUUUAAUAAUUAUAUUGAGAGAGAAUUUCAUUAUAAAUUAUAAAAAAAAUAAAUAGAAAAGGGUAAAGGGCCAAAAGAAUAAGGCAAUUUGGCGUGCCUAGCCUUUUAAAAUAAAACUUAAGCACUCUUGGAUAUGGAAGAAAAGCCCAAACAUAUCUGACCUAUCAGAAAAAACCCAAGUAUGCAUGUUUUUUUUUUUAAAAAAAAAACUUACAUGGAUAACACUUUAAUCUUUUUUUUCAAUGAAUGGAUGACUAUGUUUGGGUAUUUUGGGCUAAAAACACAUUAUAUGAACCUCAAUAACUAUGUUUUCAACCUUAAAAUUAUCAUUCAAUCAAUUCAAAAUCUAAAAAUUAAUAUUGAAUCAAAACAAACUUGGAAGAUUCUGAUAUAUUUUUUCUGGCGUAAUUAAAGGUUCAUAUAACCUCCAUCAAACUUUUUUUUUUAAAUGAACUCAUUGACAACAAGAUCAACUUCUUUUAUAGUUAGAAUAUAAUCCAUCAAAACCUGUCUUUAUUGUAUCCCUUUUAAGCUACUUUCUCUCUCUCUCUCUCUCUUUUUUUAACUUUCUCUCCCAAAGUCUUAAGACUUAAAUAUCAACACCAAAAACUAUAGGGAUCCAAAGGUAAAAAUAAAAAAGUACAUUGACCAAAGUUUACUUAUCCAUGCCUUAAGAACAAUAAAAUUUGCACUGCCGAGGAAGAAUAAUGCUUUUUACAUUGAUAGUAAGAUAAGCUAAAUCAAUAUAACCUAAAACAAUAUCAGUUUUUUUUUUAUAUAAUUAAUAAAAAAAACUAAAAGAGAAAGAGUUUUUACUAUACCUCUACUCACAAAACACUAUUUAUUGGAAAAAUGUUUUGUUUUUUUCCUCUAUUUGACUGGUUUUCAAUCAAUGUUUUUUUAAAAGAAAAUUGAAUCAUUUAAUAUUAGAUUUAUUUUUUUUAUUAGGUUAUUUCACUCUCAUAAUACAGAUCUCGGGUUUAGCGAGUUAACACGGUUGACUCAAGUUUUUUUUUUAAUUAAAUAUUUUUCAAUUCCAUCAUUUAAUAUUGAGUUGAUUAGAAAUUAGGCUUCAUGCUUUUUUAUUUACUUUCUAUUAGGUUAUUCUGGCCUCAUGACAUGAUAAUAGUGCUUAACAGAUUAAUCCGAAUUUACUCGGGUUGUUUUUUUGUUGUUCGUUUUCUAAUUGAUUUUUUUUUUCAUUUUCAUCAUUCAACGUUAGUUCAGUUGAAAAUUGAACUUCAUAAUAUAUUUUGAUUUGUUUUUUAUGGGUAUAUCUUGGUCUCAUGAUCAGGUACUCGAUUUUUGGCAUUUUAACCCCGGUUAAAUUUGAUUGUGUUUUCAAUUUUUUUUCUAAGAGAUUAUCUCAGUCUCAUGACCCGAGUUAUAAAUCUUUCAACAUUGAAUUUGAUUUUUAUUCGGUUUUUCUUGUCUCAUAGCUCAGGUCUUGGGUUUGGGGUUAAUCCAAUUGACUCAAUUGUUUUUCUUUUUUAAUUGACUCCCUCCCUAAUUUUAUCAAUUAAUAUUAUAUUUGAUUGAAAAUAAAAUUUAAUGAUUUGACAAUUAAUAAUGUCAAGAAACACUACUAUUAAUGAUAUGAAUAAACUUCCUAAUUUUGUUUGGUUUUCUUAUCUGAUCAUGAUCACAAACCCUACCAAUAAGAUCAAAAUUGACAAAUUUCAAUGUUAUAGGCAAAAUCACAUAAAUAAAUAUAUAGAAUAUAAAGAAAUAAAAAAAAUUAGAUAUACAAAAGAAGCACCAUAUGACAGAAUUCUUUUCCCAUAACUUCCCAACUUACUAGAUUGGGACUUGAAAGAAAAAAAAAGUCUAGCUAGGUAGCUGAGACAAAUACUAUAGAUAGUAAUGGUAUCGUGAUAUAAUAUAACAGAAAAGGAGAUAGAAAUGCUCUAAAUACGGGUAUAAUUAAACUUGUAAAACUUUUGGUAAAGCAAACCCAGCAAAAGCCAAAGUAAGCAGUUCAACAAGUUAACAUUCCUCAUCUUGAAAAGCCAAGCAUCUCUCCCUUUGUUUCAGUUAACCCUGCUCGUCUUCUUCACUUCUCUCGCAUGAACCCUAUUCUAGCCUCCUCUUCUCUCUUCUCCUUUUUUGUUCCCUACUUUUGUGUCACAUACAAUACGUGCUUCUACUUUUUUUUUUUUUGGAACAAUCGUGCUUCUACUUGACAUAUAAGAAUAACAACAGUUGACUGAAACAAAGGAGCUGGACGUUAAUCUCUGUCAUUUGUUUUUAGAUUGAAAGAGAAAUCAUAGAUUGAGGUACCAACAUGGAAGAAGAGAUGGCUGACAUAGAGGCACAAAAUGAGAAACAACCAGAAGUUGCAGCCAUUUUCAAGAAAGCCAAUAGUGCUAUUGCUUUGAAGGUAGGACUGAUAUAUAAGAAUUUAAACUUUUUUCUUUCUUUCCAUUAGUUUAGUGCCAUUUUUAUUUUGAUAUAAAUGGCUUGAUUACAUGAUGGUUUCAUUGCAUGUUUUCUGGUUCAUUUUUUUUAUCUGUUUCUUGCAUUUUUAAGGUACGUAAUCUUGGUUUUGAUUAAAUGCACAGUUUGAGGAUGUAGUCUACAAGAUCAAAUUCACGAAAUCAGGUUUUUGUGGAAAGAUUACCAAAACAGAAGAAAAAAUUAUCUUGAAGGGAGUCACAGGCAAGGUUCUACCUGGUGAAAUGUUAGCCAUGUUAGGUCCAUCAGGCAGUUCCAAAACAACUCUAUUAACUGCAUUAGGAGGCAAACUUGGAGGACUACUUGAUGGGAACAUAACCUAUAAUGGAAAGAGCUUCUCCAACUCAAUGAAAAGGAACAUGGGAUUUGUUACUCAAGAUGAUGUUCUUUACCCUCAUUUAACAGUGGCAGAAACAUUGGUUUUCACUGCCCUUCUUAGGUUAGAAAAUACUUUUACUAAAGAAGAGAAGAUCAUGCAUGCAGAAUCUGUAAUCACUCAACUAGGUUUGACCAAGUGCAAGAAUAGCAUCAUUGGGGGACAAUUUUUGAGAGGGCUUUCUGGGGGUGAAAGAAAGAGGGUUAGCAUAGGCCAAGAAAUGCUCAUAAACCCUAGCCUUCUUUUGUUGGAUGAGCCAACAUCAGGUCUUGAUUCGACAACAGCUCAGAGAAUUGUGUCAACGUUGCGGGAACUUGCAAAAGGAGGAAGAACAAUUGUAAUGACCAUCCAUCAACCUUCAAGUAGGUUGUUUUACUUGUUUGACAAGGUUUUGUUGUUAUCAGAAGGCAACCCAUUGUACUUUGGGGAGAGAUCACAAGUCAUGGAUUACUUUUCCAGCAUUGGAUAUGCUCCAGCAGUUCCCAUGAAUCCUGCCGAUUUCCUUUUGGAUCUUGCAAAUGGUAUGUUUAAUCAUACUAAUCUUUAUUUUAAUCUUUACUUAAAGAAACUACUUGAGGUAUACUAUAUUCAGGAAUUUUACAUAUUUACUUUGCUAGUGGUGAUACUUUGCUUCUACACUUCCUGAAAAAGUUUUGCAUGCAUGCGUUGUUAGUGGUUGUUAAUUUUAGUACUUUACGUGUCUGUGAUUCGAGUUGGUAAGAGGCUUACUAAAAUAGUUAAUUAGCUGAUUGUGUAUAGCAUUGAGCUUUGCCUGAUUUACUUUCUUGCACGUAUUUCAGUUUCCAGAUAGACAAUUACUUAGUACUUGUUUUAGCUGAUACUGUUUUCUAACUAGCAAUGUGAUUAGCUGAUUUCGUGUACGUAUUUAAGUUUCCUCAAGAUGAUUUUAGCAUUCCCCAAAUAGAUAUAGCACCCACUUUCUUUCUUUUCAAAAGCAAAGUGUGGAUAUCCUCAAAAAAAGAAAGAAAGACAGAAACAAUUAAUGACUGAAAUGCGAAUUGAAUGAACUGAAUCCUCUCUUGUUUUCUUUCUUUUUAUUAGCAAUGAGGUGCUUUUUACACUCGGCGGCAAGUUUGAUAAGAAAAUGUUCCCAUGCAGUGUAGAGAUCUGUGGAAAAAUUACUGGUAGGAUCGAAGUCAUGUCCAAACUCGUUAAGUAUACGGGAAAUUGUCGAACAAACCAAGGAAAUGUUUCCGAACUCAUGCAAUUUAAUUCGGUGGAAUUAAUGCUUUUAAUCUUAUAAAUCAAAUGCAAUUAGAAGGUUUUAAUAAAAUCUCAUAUUUGUAACUGUUUUUUAAGAAUUAAAAAUUAAAUUCUAAAUAAAAUUUAAUGUUUAAAAAUACUACAAGAUAUCCAUUUAGCUUUAAAAAAAAAAUUAAAGAUUUUUGAAAAAAUAAAAUGAAAGUAAUAAGAAUAAUAUAGGAAAUAAAUAAAAAAUUAAAUUUUAUCUUCUCUAAAUAUAUAAAUUCAAUUUAUCUAUCAUAUCGAUAAUUCAAAUCAAACAAUUUAUUUACAAACAAAAUGUAUGUUUCUACUUUGUUAAUCGGUCUCUAUGGCAUUAAGUAACUGUCGAUGCAAUAUAUACUUGUAAUUAAUUCACUUUCUACAAGUUUCCUUUGCGGUUCCCAAUUUCCUGCGUUCACAGGAUUCUAUAUAGCAGUAUAUUAUUUGAAUGUUCGGAACUCGAUGAAAAUUAUAUUUUUAAUUUUUUUAAUUUUUUUUAAUGUUUUUAGAUUAUUUUUAUAUAUAAAAAUAAUUUUUAAAAAAUAAAAAAAUAUAUUAUUUUAAUAUAUUUUUAAAUAAAAAAUACUUUAAACCACUUGUAUAGUAUAGAAGAAUCCUUCAGUUCAUCCGUAGUAAACUUCAUUUCUCAAACGUAGAAAAUUAGCACCACAAUUUGUCGUGCAUGCAUGUCUCCCAUUUCUCUAGGGACUUCCAUAGAGUUAAUUCCAAUCGCUGAAAACAUUAUUAAUUCUCCGGACCGAUUUUAAUUUGUCGGUCCUCUUAGAUUAAUCCCUUUUCCAAUUAAAUUAAAAGUGAUUUUUUUAUAUCAAAUUAAAAUUGAAUUUUAAAUAAGAGCUUUGGGAUGGCUAAACAAAAAGACGAAUUGAGAAAUUGAGACAGAAAGAGUAGACUUUAAACAGUAGAAAUUGAAUAGUUGAUCAUCAUACGUACGAAUUACAAGCACAAGCAUUCAACUUCAAUGGACCUUCUCUGUUAGACUAGAAGAAUGCUUAAAUAUUCUAUUUUGGCAUUGCUCUUAGACUGGCCUGAGUGGCUAAUUAUUACAAAUCAGUAAAACGAUCAAUGAGGACCUUGUGUUCUUGUGCUGCAUAUGUUGUACGUAGGUGUAUCAUCAAAUAGUGAGGUUCCUGGCACUGUUAAGCAGAAUCUAGUUUCAGCCUACAAGAGCAAUCUUGCAAACAAGUUGAAGUCAGAGGUUCAUGAAAUUGAUAACCCGUCUCAAGAUGGAUUAAAUGAUAAGCAAGUCUCACGGUGGGCCAUAACCUGGUGGCAAGAGUUUUCUGUAUUGUUGAUAAGAGGAGUGAAAGAAAGGAAGUAUGACUCCUUCUCUGGCCACAAGAUUGGCCAGGUCUUGGUAGUAGCCAUCCUCUCAGGGCUCAUGUGGUGGCAAUCUGAUGUAUCCCAUAUACAAGAUCAGGUAACAUUUCGCAACAAUUCAUCAUUUUCUGAAAGCAAGUUCGUCAACUGAAAGGUUAGUUUUUAAACUGUAUCUAUAAUCUUAACUUUGAAUACAAUGCAGAUGGGGCUCCUCUUCUUUUACUCAGGAUUUUGGGGCAUCUUCCCUUUAUUCCAAGCUAUUUUCACUUUCCCCCAAGAACGCCGAAUGCUCGAAAAGGAGCGAUCUUCCGGCAUGUAUCGACUCUCAUCAUACUUCAUGUCAAGGAUUGUCAGUGACCUCCCAAUGGAGCUAGUCCUUCCUACUAUAUUUUUAACUAUAACCUACUGGAUGGCAGGGCUGAAAGGCAGUCCUGGAAACUUCUUUCUCACACUGUUUGUUCUCUUGUAUUCUGUGUUAGUAGCAGGAGGUCUAGGACUGGCUAUUGGUGCUCUGGUGUUGAACCAAAGAUCUGCUACCAUAACGGGAUCAGUAAUCAUGCUAUCGUUCCUGCUCGCUGGUGGAUACUAUGUUACACAUGUCCCUGCCUUCAUUAGCUGGGUGAAGUACAUCUCCUUUAGUCAAUACACAUACAAGCUGUUGCUGGGGUCCCAAUACAAGCCUGGUGACACCUAUACAUGUGGUGGUGCCGGAGGAGUUUGUUUAGUCGGAGAUUAUCCUGCAAUAAAAAAAGUGGGGCUUGAUGACCAAGUUCUUGGUGCCGUAGCAUUAGGGAUUAUGCUUGUGGGUUAUCGCCUAAUCGCUUAUCUAGCUCUCAUGAGGAUUGGAGUGGCUAAAAGGUAGAGCGAAUGUUUUCCAUUUGUUUAGUUUUAUGUCAGAACAUUGUUGUAAGGUUGGCCAUAAAAUCGAAAAACCAAAGAGGAUGUUUCAUAUGAGUUAAGAAACAUUUCCUCUUCACUUCGAUGCAUAAUAUCCAUGUGUUUUUGCCGUUUUUCUAUUUUUUUUUCAUAUGAGUUAAAGAAUUUUCGCUAAUUUAGAUGCUAAUUGCUUGCACACAUGAAAAUGGAUCAAAGUUGUUUUGCCGUUUUGAUUCUGAAAUAGUUAGCUGUUGAACAGAAUUCAAGUAAUAUGAUCAGCUUUAGUUAUUUUUUAAAGUGUUUUUUAUUUAAAAAUAUAUUUAAAGUACUUUUUACUUGAAAAUAUAUUAAAAUAAAAUUUUUUAUUUUUAAAAAAAUUAUUUUUAACAUUUUAAAAACAUCAAAAAAAUAUUAAUUUAAAAUAAAUUAAAAAUAAAUAACUUUCAAAUUUUUUCAAAAAUUAUUUUAAAAUAUAAAAAAUAAAUAUGCUAUAAAUACAUCACUACCACGUAAUCAAACUGUAAAGUGCCCCAAUUAUAUGUAUUGCAUUAGGAAUAGCGAUUUCUUCGAGGCCCAUCUUUCCCAAGGGUAAAACAUCAACUUUUAGAUGAUGGAUGGGCUUUAUUUGAGUUUUAUAUUCGAGUUCUUCAAAUCACAAUAAAAUAAAAUAAAAUAAAAUAAAAAAGGGAGGGGCCUGGCUAGAGAAAACACGUGCAUCAUGCCCGUGUUGAUUCCAUCGGUCCAAAUGGCAUUAUAGCUCACGAAAAGGGAAAAAAAACUAUAUAACAAACACUUGCCCACUUCAUUCUAGCCUAGGAAUGAAUUAUUAAAAUCACUUGACAUAAUAUGAACGAAAAAGAUAAGCUGUCUGCCCGUCAGCAUGCAAUCAAUGUCUUCUGACAACCUGCAAGAGAUAAUGACCUCCUAACUUGGUGGCUUGUCUAGUCAUAGGUUCAUAGUCCAUUUACCAAAAUGGGCUUCUUAAAAAAAGGUCAUGGAGCACAACUGAAGCACGUGAUGGCAUUUAGAACGAGGUUGAAAUUUGAAAAACAUAUUAUAUAAUUUGAUCUUGACUGUUCCGAGUCAAAUUCAAGCUCGGAGCUUGAAGUUAAUUCACGCUUUCAAUUCAAUAAUAAAGAAGUGUGUAGUCUCAUUAUAUUUGCCACAUAAAUAUUUGUUGAUGGAUGUGCUUACCGCUAUGAUGGUCAAAACGAAUUAAAUCCUGUUUUAAUUGUGCCGUAAUGCUAUUUAUCAUAUAGUGUUUUCAGUAGCGUUUAGAUACGCUUUAAAAGUUUAAUUUUUAAUGUUUUUUUAUUAAUUUUCAUAUAUAUUGAUAUCAAAUAUUAAAAAAUAUAAUAUUUUUUAAUGAAUUUCCAAAUAAAAAUAAUUUUAAAAAAUAUCUCACACUAUAUUUGUAUAACAGCUUUUACAGCCCAUUAAAGGCAAAAAGUAAAGGAGAAUAUAUUAGGUAUUUAUGACACUCGAUUGGUUGUCUCUUAUAUAUCCCAAUAAUCACGUAAUCUCUGUAUUCCAUGAUUUUGGCCAGUGGGCUGCUACGAACGCACGAGUCGCAUACUUUGAAUAAAUUAAGGCCUUUUGAUAGUAUGCUCAUCGAGUCUCAUAUUGAAGUCCUUUAAAGAUUUUAAUUCGACACUUGACCUAAAAGGCUGAUUUUCUUUUUUAAUUUUUCUCAGCAUCAAAAGAGUGAAAAUUUUGCAAAAUACUAUGGGCUUAUGUAGAGAGAAUAUAAUAUGAAACCAAAGUAGGCCAUUUUUUUUUUUUAAAUUAACGUGGGUGUUCAGACCAGCUUCUGCGUACCUCAAUUAAUUUUAUAGAUUCUGAAGUUAACAAUCAUGUAAACUUCCAGUAGUUCUGAGAGUACUUGAACUUGUGACCAUUAGAUAAUAAACUCAAGGUUUGACUAGCUGAGCUACCUCUUAGGAUUAUAUGAUGAAGACUUUAAUUUUUUUUUUUUGAAAUACAGGGGGCUUACUGUGUCUAGGUUGCCCAAAGCCUUCGGCCAAUUUUAGAUAAUUCAAAAAAAACAUAUAAGAUUUAAUAUCUUGAUGUAGCUAUUUACUAUAAAAAAUUGGCGUAAAAUACAUACAUCAUUAUUUAUAUAAACAGUAAAGUGUAUGUUUUUUUUAAAAAAAAUUUUUGUUCUUUCAUUUUAAAGUCAAAUAAUAAUUUUACUAAUCAUUCAUGUUAUUUUCUAACAUGUAUUUGGACUUUUUUCUAGUUUUUUUUUUUUUUUUUGUCUUCAAACUUGUCAAAUCUAUUAAGGAAACUUUCAUAUAAUUUAUUUAAAACUUGGUAUAAAUAAGAAAUUGAGUUAAUUUUUUUUUUAAAUUUGACUUAGACUGAAAUUUAUAACAAUAAUAAUAAAAAAAAAACUCUCUGUCUUAAAUAUCUUUUUAUAUUCAAAAUAUUUUUGCUUCGAUCGGCAGUUGAUGGAUGGAAUGAGAUAUCGAAACGAAUAAUAGUAUAAUACAAACUCCUUUAGAAUUGUGGAAACUUUUGUUGUUAUCCUUUAAUUUUUGACCAUCCAAGUAGGCUGCACAAGCCAAACCUUUUUAUUAUAUUUCUUUCCAAUUCUUACAGUCUGUAGUCAAAUUACCACUUCUAUUAAAGCAACAUGUUUUAAACCAAUUACCACUUACCAAACAAUUAAGAAGCUACUCUCGUUAACAUUAUUAUACUAUAAAAUGUUUGUGCGUGAGUCAAACACUGUAUCUAAAUACAAGGGGUGAUUAUUUUCGGUAUGAUUCGGUUUUUAUAAAAAAAUAACCAAAUUGAAAUUAAAAAAAACCGAACCGAAACUGGUUCAAACCGACCGGUUUUGGUUCGGUUUGUUUUUAGGACAAAACCGGUUCAAACCAGUUUGACUCGGUUUUUUCGGCCUGGCUCGGUUUUUUUCCGGCUUGGCUCGGCUUUUCUCUGUGUUUUUUCGCUUUCAAGCUUAUAAAACCGAAACCGAACCGGUCGGUUUUUUUAAAAUUUUAAUCGGUUUAAUCGGGUUUUUUUUACGGUUCGGUUUUUUCAGUUAUUUUUUUCCGGUUUUCUCGGUUUAAUUGGUUUUUCAGUUUUUUUACUCACCCCUACUAAAUACCACUAGAAAAUAGCAAAAUAUUGACCAAAUAUUCUGUUAGUCUUUAAAGUUUAAUUUUGUUAGAAAUACAAUUCUCAAUAAAAUAACGGAUGAAAAAAUAUUUUAUAAAUCAUAUUAUUAAUGAUUUCAAUUUCAUCAGUAAUAGAAUUAUUGAUUGGUUUACUGAUAAAAUUAUCGCGCCAAACAAAAAACCUUACUGACAAUAAUUCUAUCGAUAAAUCCAUUAGUGAUUAUGCAUAUUACUAAUGCAAUUAAUUCAUCAAAGAAUUACAUUUAUAUGUCAAUGAAAAAAACCAACAAUCUUAAAUCGCACUCAAGCACCGUAGCCUAAAAAAAAAACUAUUGUUAAUUAAAAUUUUUAAUAUAAUACAACAAUUUAAAAAACAUAAUCUUACCAUCUACUUUAUGAAAUGAACGGAAUGGAUUCGCUAGUAUAUAUGGUCAUAGAACCAUGACUUUUCUUGGUUCAGUUCUCCAAACCAAUUGGUGAUUGCCUCAAGAAAUGUUCCGACAUCACAUACUAGAGACAAACAUUUAGAUACCCUCGGUGACAUGCAAAUGUUUGAAAUCUUUCGACACGGCUAUGUCUUCCCAACUUGAAAGACCUUUAUCUUUUGCAUAUUUCUUUGUUUUUUUUGGCAUUGUACCAGGAAUCACACAACCUGGUCCAUAAAAAAAUCAAAUAAGAUAAUGAAAAAUAAAAUUUUAAUUUUUUUAAAAAAAAUAUCAUAGUUUGAAUUCAAUCUUACCUAAUAGUGUUGUGAUUCUCCCACACUCUCCUGAUCACAUCGUCAUCAUCCUCCUCCCAACAAAAAUUUUCCUUUCAUGUCAAUUUCAUAAAAUAACUAAUUUAUUAAAAUUAAAAAUUAACCAAAUUAAAUAUUAAAAAAAUAGUUGUUUAUGUAUAUACUGACAUCAAACUUUUCGAACCAAGCAUCAAUCAUAGGCUUUAAUUCAGGAUCUUUGGGAACUUAACUCCAUUGAAUCAAAAACACUUCUAUUGAAGAUUUCAUCGGUGAUGUUAUCGUGCGACCAUCCUCAACAUUUGUAAAUCUAAAUUUCAAUUUAUUCAUUAAAAUUAAUUAUUCAAACUUUAUCUAUUAUUGUUUAUUUUUUUAUCGUGUUGGAAAAGAAAACAAACUUACAUAUUGUGAUUGGGCUUCCACUAAUUAAUAUACUUUCCAGAGUAAACAUCCUACUCAUAAGGGACACUCACUUUGUGAGUCUCAUUCUCACUCGAUGAGCUUGCGUUGAGAGAGGGUGCCUGAAGUGCCUCAUCAUGGUCGACUCCCAACAGCAUUGCUCAUGCUCAUUAAGAGCGUUGUCAGAAGAACAAAUAAAGUUCUUAUUUGUCCUUAUCUAUACUAACAUUCUAUUCCUCAUCUAAACAAAUUUGAUAAAAAUAAUAAUAAUAAUAACAUUAAUACUAUAUCCUAUUUAAAAAAAAAACAUUCAGCAACACCUCUCUUAUACGAGAGCCUAUCUAAAAUUUUAAAACCUGCAAAUACAUAUUAAUAACUCAUCCCGCAGACCAAUUGAUUUUAUUUAUGACUAAUAUUUAAUUUAUGUAUAUAUUUAGAAGAAUAAAUCCCACUUAAAACUAGAAAGAAACCUUAUUUUCAUUUGUCAAUAUAGGAACUUAAUCAUUCUAUUAUGAAUUACUUAUUUAAAAGAAGCUCGAAUUGAAUGUUAUAUGGUUAUGUUGAAUCCAAUAUGUGCUUUAAUUAUAUAAUAGAUCUCAUUCCAUGCUUGAUCAAUAAAAAGAACAUUAGUAUCUACACACAAUAAUAAUAAUAAGAACUCAAACUUCUAAUAGAAAUUAGAUUUUGGCAACUAACUACUAGCAUUCUUUUUCAUUUGAUAAAUCUCGUACAAGAUUAUAAUUACCAAUAUUUAAAGAGAAAAGUUUAAUAAACUUUGUAUCGAUAAAACUUUUUCUGUCAUCCGUUAUUAGUAACUGUUGAAAUAUUUCAUCUAGUUUAUAUAUACUUGUUUAGUUCUUUUAUUUAAUGUGCCAUAAUAAGUCCCAAGCUCUCUUAAAUGGCAGCACUUUUAAUAUGAAGUCUAGUAAUUGUUUUCCUCCGCUUCUCUAACUUUUACAAAAGGAGAUUCGAUAGUAUGAUUUCGUAAUUUUGGUUAUCUUUUAGGACAGAUUAAUGUAAUUCAAAUCUUUAUCUUGAACUAGUCUUCAGAGUCAAGAACUCGAAGAGGCGAAUUUAGGUUAGCAUUUAGAAACUGAAAUGUGGUGUCUAUCCGAUUGUAGAUCGAGCCUUCUCCUACCAAAACAAAACAACAAAUUAAAUCCAUUAAUUUCUACCCUUUGCAGUUGAACAAUGAGCAAAGCAACUCUCAAUCUAUUUCUUCGUCGGCACUUAAUUGAAACGUUCUCUCUAUCUAGCCACUAAGUCAAAUGUCGUGGUAUUGAAAAUCUUGAAUUCAAAGUGCUUAACUUCACCGCUAAUGCUUUGAAUUAUUGCUUUAAUUUACUUUCAUAUUCAUAAAAAUUGUUUUUUUUGGGGAUAAAAUUCAAUAUUGUUGAAGCUAAUAUGAGAAAAAGCUCAAAUUGCUGAAGCUAAAUUCCAUCCCAUAUAUAUGUGUGAAGUCACCCUAGCUAGCUAGCUAGUCCUCAUUAUAACAUGAGUCGCCGAAUAAUAAUUUGUGGCAUUCAAAAGAAGUGAAAGUUCGAGGAAGCAUCAGUCAUGCAUGACUUUACUUUGCAUCAUCAGACUAGCAAGGUUUCAAAACCCACGUGUGGAACCUCAACAACUGUCUGGAAACUUACAUGCCGCCGGCACAAAGAUUUGGUCACUCCGAAUCUCCGAUUUCCGUGAUAGCUGCAAGUCUCUCGUCAAAGUUAGAACCAUCCACCUCCACUCAGUGCCCAAACGACCGCCUUCAAACACUAUUCAUCUUCACGUGUUGUAUAAAAAUAAUAUCCCCAAGUCUCAGCCUUCACAGCACACACAAAUCACUUUAUCUUUAUAUGUGAUUUUUUUUCUCUUUAUUUGUUUGACAAGAAAACUCUAAAAGGUGGAUUGAAUUUUAUAACAGAGAUAUAUAUAUAUAUAUAUAUAUAUAUAAGCAUCAAAUUGUCAACAAAGAGAUAAAAUACAAACGUGUCACUAAAUGUAUAUGACCAUUGCUCCUUCACCCACCAAACCUCUUGACAUCCUUCUCUCUCUCUACACCUAAGUAUUCGGCGUCCACAUAAUUCUGAAAUAAUAAUUUAUAUAUAUUUUAAAAAAAUUUACUUUUUAUAUCAAUAUAUUAAAACAAAUUAAAAAUAUAAAAAAAUUAUUUUUAAAAGAUAUUUUUUCUCCGCGAAAACAAACCGCUAUGAUUAAUCAUGAGAACACGCCAUAUCCUUUUAUUUUUUUUCUUUUGCUCAAACUUUGACCCACCCGUCAUCAAUCAUGGCCAGCAUAUUCUCUCUUUUUGUUAAAAUGACACAUAAAUGGUGUCACAAAAUAAGAUUAAAAAAAUGUCAUCCUUGGAAGCCAGUUCCUGAAAGGUUUUGAGUGAAAGAAACCCUAAUCGUCCACAUACUCUCCAAAAAAAAAAAAAAAAACCCAGGUUACGUGUCUAAAUAUAAAAGCCUCAGUUUGUAUGUUGUAACGCCAUGUUUUUUUUCCUCUGCUUUCCCUCUCCCACCUUCCUCUCUUCUAAGAAAAAAAAACUCCAUCCCAUGCCUAACUUCACUCAACAAAACACCCACGUGUCGUCACGUGAUAAAUGAUUGAACACAUCAUGUUAAGAAUUUUUUGUUGGGACAUGCAAGAUUAAGGUUUCUAGAAUGUGAUGUUUGUGUUGACACGUGUACAUUCUAUAGAUGACUCACCACUGUCCUUUAGAGACGGUUCAUGCACCAAAGAGACUACAAGUAUCUCUCUCUCUCUCUCCAUAACGUAGUAGUUCCACUUGGAUAAGGUCGGCCAUUUGAUGGAGCACGUGUCGUGCUCUUAACGGUGACAAGCAUAAAGUGGACCCCGUUAACCCAAACACUAAGACAAGGACGACCGUACUUAUCUCUCUCCCGCUCUUCAUCCUCCCCUGUAUAAAUAAGUCCCAUUUCAUCUUGUCAGAGAAAAAAGAAAGAAAAGAAAAAAAAAAAAAGGAAUAGAGAAUUCUAGCUCUAGUUCUUCUCUCUAGUCCAAGAAGCAAUUGUGCGCUAAGCUGCAGUCUGAAAAAUGGGAGUGCAAGAAACAGACCCUCUUGCCCAACUGAGCUUGCCACCGGGUUUUCGGUUUCACCCGACUGAUGAAGAGCUAUUAGUGCAAUAUUUGUGCAGGAAAGUUGCUGGUCACCAUUUCUCGAUGCAAAUCAUUGGUGAAAUUGAUUUAUACAAGUUUGAUCCAUGGCUCUUACCAAGUAAUUAAUAAUCUUGCUCUCUAAUAAUGUUCUCUUACUGAAAAGAAUCAAUUAUUAGUUAUAGCAAUAAUAAAUUUCUUGGGUUAAUAUUCUUCUUAAUUUGUUGUUGUUACCAGGCAAGGCGAUAUUUGGUGAAAAAGAAUGGUACUUCUUUAGUCCUAGAGACCGUAAGUACCCAAAUGGAUCCCGACCCAAUAGGGUUGCCGGGUCUGGGUAUUGGAAGGCCACCGGUACUGAUAAAAUUAUCACAUCAGAUGGACGUAAAGUAGGUAUCAAGAAAGCUCUCGUCUUUUACAUUGGCAAGGCCCCAAAAGGAACCAAAACUAAUUGGAUCAUGCAUGAAUACCGCCUUAUUGAAUCCUCUCGCAAACAUGGAAGCACGAAGGUACCAACGAAAGAAAUUCCACCUGCAGAUUAAUUUUAAUUUGUUUUGAUACGCCUCAAUAUUAAUUAAUGAUUUUUGUUAAUUUUCUUUGUUGUUACAGUUGGACGAAUGGGUAUUGUGUCGGAUUUAUAAGAAGAAAUCAAUUGCUGCACAGAAAUCCAUGUCAGGUGUUUCAAGCAAGGAACCUAGUACUAAUAGUCCAUCUUCAUCAUUCUCUUCUCAUUUCGAUGAUGAUGUCCUUGACCCGUUGCCGGAGAUUGAUGACCGCUUCCUUGACUUGCCUCGAACCAACUCACUCAAACCAAGGCAUCAUGAAGAGAAAAUCAACUUGGCCACUCUGGGCUCAGGGAGUUUUGAUUGGGCGACUCUUGCUGGGCUCAACUCGGUGCCUCAACUCGUUCAAACACAGCCUUGUGUGAGUUACUCGAACAGUAAUGUUCAUGAUGUGUAUGUUCCUUCAAUGUCCCAACUAUGCCACAUGGAUACAUCCGCGGAGAGGAUGGAAAACUUGGUUGAAGAGGAGGUUCAAAGUGGAGUUAGAACUCGGCUGGAUAGUGUUGGUAACCCAGUGUUUUUCCAACAAAACUCGAGCGUGAGGCCACAGAGCUUCUCUAACUCAUUUGACCCGUAUGGGUUAAGGCACUCGAUCCAACCGGGUAGUGGGUUCGGGUUUAAUCAGUAAGAAAAUGUUAGGGAAGAAUUAGGAGUACAUUUCUGUAAAGAAAAGUACAAAGGGAUGCAUUUAUGUAAAUAUUUGGAUUCUUUGGGGGCUAACUUUUGAGUUUAGAUUCCAAAAGAGAGAAGAAGCUAGGGAGCUGCUUCGUUCAAAAGGCAAGAGAAAAUUGCCUUCCCUUCUGGGUUGCUAGAGGAUUAGAUGCCAUGUACACGAAAAAACUUACUAGUAUUUUGCAGCACAAUUUUCUUUGAACAAUGAAUUACAAACAUUGCGAUACUUGGAAAGUAAAUAUUAAUUGGUAUGGAAAUUAAAUUACAGGUCUCUGGAUUUUUUAGUUUUAUUUUUUAAUUGUGGUUGUUUUAACUAGCUUAUAUAUAUAUUUUAAAGUUAACAAUGAUGAAGUAAAUUUUAUAAUAUUCAAAUUGAUAAUCUAUUUACGUGAGUGUUCGAACUAACUUGUUUAUACCUUAAUUAAUUUUAUUUUAUAAAUUUUAAAAUUAAUAAUUAUAUAAAUUUUUAAUAACCUUUAUAAAACUUAAACCGAUAGAAAUUUAAAAUCUAAAACAUAAAGCUGCAUUUCUCAAGGUUAUUGAAUGGCGAUGAUGUGUUUUGUGUGGCUGUAUGGAACAGCUAGCAUGGGGGAUGCAAGUACUGACAAUGAAUUUAGGAUGUUGUGGCACCGGCCGUCCAUGUGAGCAAUGUCAGGGAAUGAUAGUGGUUUUUUCCUUUUUCUUUUUCUUUUUCUUUUUCUUUUUCUCAUUGGGAAAGAAGCACUGUCUAGCAUCGAGAGCAAGCCAUUCAUGUCCAAAUUGAUGUGUUUUACGGCGGAAAUUAUUGUUUUAUAUCAUUGAAUGAUAACUAUUUUACCUUUUUAUGUAUUUUAAAUCGAAGAAUUAUGCAGGUAACUAUUUUAUAUUAAAGAAGGGAAGCAUGUUCGCAGCCUUUUUUUUUUUCCAGUUUCCUAAAACCUUACUUUUAAUUUUUAUCUAAAUUUCUCUCUUUUUUCUUCUAUUAAAGAGUAUUUUAAUAUGAAUAAAAUUUUCAUAAGAAUCCAGAUAAAUAUUUAUCUUUUUAAAAAAAAUGAAAAUUUAAAUUUCAAAUUAAAUUAUAAAUUAAUCAAUAGGAUAAGUCAGUCAUUUUCAAUGUGUGUAUAUAUAUAUCACUAAUCAACAUAAUAGUAUAAUUAUUGUUUUGCCAUUUCAAAACAAAAUCAAUGAAUUAAAUAUUGGGACUAGAGGUAAUAUAAUAUUUUAUGCAUAGUUCAUUAGUUAUUAUUAGAUUGAUUUGGAAUAAUUUUUUUUUUUUUUGUAUUUUGAAGGCAAAGAAAAAUGACUAACUUAUCUUUAAAAGAAAACUUUUCAAGUUGGUGUCCUGAGAUUUUUUUGUAUUUUUAGCAUGAUUGUUUUUGUUAUUAUUAAGUUCACUUAAGGGAAAUUUUUUGUCUUCUAAUAUAUAUAUAUAAGGAAUUAUUUUAAAAAUUAAAGUAAUUGGCACGUGCAACUCAUGCGCCAGCGAGUAGGGGGCAUCUACACCUUUCUGGCAGAGCGUAAGGCGUCGUCGCCAACUCAUGUAUUUUUUUAAUUGCUUUUUAAAAAAAUAUUUUUUUUAAAUUUCUCCCUUCAAUAUAAGGGUGUUUGAUAAUUAAAAUUUGUAUUCCAUUCAAUUUGUUUUUGACAGGGUUACUGUGAGACUUGCUCAGGCCGCCCUNNNNNNNNNNNNNNNNNNNNNNNNNNNNNNNNNNNNNNNNNNNNNNNNNNNNNNNNNNNNNNNNNNNNNNNNNNNNNNNNNNNNNNNNNNNNNNNNNNNNNNNNNNNNNNNNNNNNNNNNNNNNNNNNNNNNNNNNNNNNNNNNNNNNNNNNNNNNNNNNNNNNNNNNNNNNNNNNNNNNNNNNNNNNNNNNNNNNNNNNNNNNNNNNNNNNNNNNNNNNNNNNNNNNNNNNNNNNNNNNNNNNNNNNNNNNNNNNNNNNNNNNNNNNNNNNNNNNNNNNNNNNNNNNNNNNNNNNNNNNNNNNNNNNNNNNNNNNNNNNNNNNNNNNNNNNNNNNNNNNNNNNNNNNNNNNNNNNNNNNNNNNNNNNNNNNNNNNNNNNNNNNNNNNNNNNNNNNNNNNNNNNNNNNNNNNNNNNNNNNNNNNNNNNNNNNNNNNNNNNNNNNNNNNNNNNNNNNNNNNNNNNNNNNNNNNNNNNNNNNNNNNNNNNNAACCGAUCGCGCAGUGGAGACAGAACAAAAAUAUGAGCUUAGGUUAGGUUUUAUUUACCUUUUUCAUAUUGUUUUUUUUUUUUUAGUUUAACGUGGGUGUCCGGGCCAGCUUACGCGCACCUCGACUAAUCCCACGGGCCCUGAAGUUAACGACCAUGUAAGCCUCCAGUGACCAUCAUAUGAGCAACCACAUGGCUUGAACCUGAGACCACAGAGGGAGCAAACCUCUUGGUUCCAAACUCUACCACUGGCCCACCACCUAGAUGGUUACCUUUUUCAUAUUGUUAAUUUUUUGUAUUGUUGUUGCAUUUUUUUGGCCAGGGCAUGAGCUUGACUUGUUAAGCCUAACAAUUUAUUUAUUAAUUAAUUGUUGCAUUCUUGAAUAUAUAUAUUGUUUUUUGGAUUUUUUUAUGAAUAUUUACAUUAUCUCGGGUCUUGUAAUUUUAACACAGUUUAAAUUUUUUUUUUAAAAAAAUAACACAUAUUAUAAAAGUAUGUGAAAAUAGCACAGUUUGAACGCAAUAACUAUUAAAAAUAACAGUGGUACGUAAUCAUUAUUGAGAAUAACAGUUGUUUUAAAAGUUAUUUUUCAAUCAAAUUAAUUAAUAACUUUUUGAGAAUAAAAUUAAUUAAAAACUAUAAAAUUCAAUCCAAGUUUUUAUGAAAAUAUAAUUGCCAAAAAAAUAAAAUUUAAGAUUUAAUGACCAAGAAAAAAAAAUCAUCAGAUACACAUAAGAUCUUUGUUUUUAACAUUCUUAAUGCCAUUAAAAAAAAUUUGACAAACUUAAAAAACCACCUAAUAUAAUUAUAAUUUAGUAGUGAUUUUAUUCGGAUUAAUUUAAAGGUAAUUACUGCCUGGAAUUUUCAAAUGAGUAGAUUCAAUAUGUGAACGUGCUUGAACGGGCCCUUGCCAGGAAUCAUAAUUGUGACUAUUAUUACGGUGACGUUUGUCUUGUAGUCCCAUCAUCAUAUAUUCCAUGACUAGGUGUAACUUCCCUCUUGAAGUCCGAGGGGAAAAAAAAGUAAAUGGGGAAUUUGUUGAGCAGAAUUGGAACACAAUUUCUCAGGAUGAGAAUGAUAGAAUGCUUUUUAUUAUUAUUAUUAUUGGGAUUAAUUAUUAAUUAGACGACUUCAUCAAAUACAAUGCAUCUCAUGCCCCAUGCAACUACGGAUCCACCCCCUCCAGGAUCUCUUCAAGAAUAUAUUUCAGUCAUGUUGAAAUUUGAAACAUAAAUCAAUAACACAAACAAUCCAUUAGUGAGUUUUGUAAGAUCAGAAGUCUUUUUUCAUAGAUUUGGAGGUAUUAAUUAGACACAAAGCUGCUUUUUUCAAGAUUAGAUCAAGCUACGACUACCAUUACAACGUUAAUCGCGGCCAAGACGUGUAUCCUAGCCAGGACAGAGAAAGAAAGCGUCUUAGCUUUUUUGAAACCAGGAUAAUUAGUUGUGGAAAUUACUUGAUCUAUAUAGGUGAAUGUAGAUUUUGACUUCAUUUUCUUUGACAGCACAAAUUAAUAGAAGAAGCGUGUCUCUUGAUGGAUUUUCCUGUCUGGCCCGGUUAGUCCAGCGUCCAGUCCAUGUUCGUUUAAAAAUAGAAGGCUGAUUUGAAGGCCGCCGCCGCCACCGCCGCCGCCCAUCGAUCUGUCAUUAAUUGCUUUCUCUCUAGCUUAUAAUCGAUCUUGCAUUUUUAGUGAUGAUGCCAUAGAUACAUCGUGCUAACGAAUUAGGCAAAUUGAUGCGUGUAAAAAUUAGAGGAGUCGAUUCACAUCUUAUCCUCUUUGGAGUGUGGAAAGGGUAAUUGGCGAGGAAAAACAAAAUAAUACGAAGUUGAUGUAUAAAAAUUGGCAAGGGUUUCCGAUUCAUCGGUCAAAUCAAUGGCCUAAAAGCAGACCAGGUACGUUUAAAAGUCUAUGACAGGCAAACAGGGAAGAAAUAUGCGAUUAUCCAACAAAACCAAUGUUGUCAAUUCCGUUUCGUUUCGUCUGGAAUGAUUGAAAUAUUCUAUAUCAAUUUAAAAAACAGAACAAAACGGAACAAAUUUUAUUUCAUUUUAAAUCUUGGUCCGUUCUAGAUUUUUCGGCUAAAUUCCGCCCGGAACGUUCUGGUUUUAUUCCACAUGUUCCGUUCUGCUCUUGAAAAGCCAUUGAAUCAAAUUGAACCUUGUUCAAUUUAAUUAAUUAAACCAUCCAAUUAUAAUAAUGAUAUUGAUAAUAAUAUUGAAAAUUAUUAUUACUAUUUUCAUUAACAAUGAUAUUAAUUUUUUAAAAUUAGAUUUAUCACUAAUAUAUAUGGUUUAUAUUCAUGUUUUUUUCACGUUUAUACUUUGUAGAAAUUUGAGCAAAACAAGGGAUGCUUUAGAUUGCAUUAGCCUUGAUAACAUUGACCUAACUUUAUAUUUAAAAUAUUUGUGUUAAAACAUUUUAUUUUCAUAAUAUUUUGAUAUUUUGUUUAAGUUGAAUUACUUUAAGUUAAAAACCUAUUUAAUCUUGACUAUUUAGGAAUAUUUUAAAUUUUGAAAUUAUAUUUGUUUGGUAAUGUGUUUGUAUUGCAUAAUUUAUAAUUAAUUUAUCUUGAAUUUGAAUUAUGUUUGUUGAAUAUAUAUAUAUAUAUAUAUAUAUGAACAGUACAAUCUUGAAACGGCACGCCGAAACACUCCAAAACUAAAAUAUUCCAUUUCAAUUAAAAAAAUAAAACACCUAUCAAAACGAAAUUGAUAACCUUUUGCAAAACUACACCAUGGUACUAGGUUUUUAGUUGCAAACAGAAAGCAUAUGGGAUCGUUCUUCAAGAUUCUCCAAGCAAUUCCCAAUAAUUUGUCCAGUCUUUUAACAAGAUAGAUAUGCUUUGACCGUUGAUUUGUCCUCCCUUUUAUUUUGAUUUGAAAUUCUCUACUUGCACGUGUAGUUAACCUCCUCGUGGUGUCUUCGUCGAAAUCGACACAUGCUUCCAAAUAUUUAACGAUCCAGGAAUCGCUAUAGGAUAUAUGACUUAGCCAAUCCAUUUAAGAAUUUUUAUUUUCAUAUAAAAUAUUGAAAAACCCAAAAACAAAACCUCAUUUAAAUUUAGAAGCAAAAAUUAGUUGCACAUGCAAAUAUUUGACCAACUUUUUUAUUUAACUAUAUGGAAAUUAAAAUUGAUAUUCAUAAAAAAAAGAUGACUAUUUAAAUUCUAUAAAAAAAUAUAUUCUCUUAGUCUAAAUUCGUUUUUUUACUCAUGUAUUUUAUCUCAAAAACAUAUAUUUUUUUAUUAAUAAUAUAGUCUAUUAAAUAAAAACUGAAGAAAAUUAAAAUAAAUAUUUCGUAAUUUUUUAAUAAUUUGAAAUAAAAAGAAAAAAAAUGUAUUUUGUUAACCAAAACUUUCUUUCUUAUUCAUGUGUUUCUUUUAUUAGAAACUUUUUUACAUGUAUUUAAAAAAUAAAAAGAUGGAAGCACAUGUAAUAUUUGACUUAGUGACGUGGGUAACUUUUCAAAGUUUUUUAUUUAAUUUUGUGGCAAUAAAAAUAAAUAUUCAUAGUAAAGAUAAUGAUUUAAAUAAUGUAUUUUUUAGUUAUGAUUCUCUUUUUUUAUUGAAGUUUCUUUUGUUAAAAAAAACAUAUCUUUUUUUAUUAGGAUGAUGGUUAAUUGAAUAAAAAUGAAGUCAUUUAAAGUAAAAUAUAGAACAAAAUAAUACUGUUAUGAAAUAAAGAGCAAAAAAUGUAUUUCUCUAAUCAAAACUUCCUUCUGUUUUUUAUUUUAUUUGAGUGUUUUUUUCUUUUUCUUUCAAAAACCAUGUCUAUGUUAUUUUAUAAGAAUUAUUGCUUUUAAAUUAAAACUUAUCAUAAUUCUAAAAAUAAACUUUGAAUAAAAAAAUUUGUAAAUCAAUAAUUUCUACGUGAAAUAAAAAAUAUAUAAAAAAAAUAUUUCAAAAAAUUAAAAUAAAAAAUAAUUAAAUAGAUAUUUUUUCUUCAUUAAAUGUUCAUAAGGGGGUUUAAAAAAAACAUUAAGCAUAUUAGAUUCAUACAUGAUUAUUAAAAUAAUCAUUAAUAUUAUCAUAAAAGUUAUAAUAUUUUAUGAAAAUAUUUAUGACAUAAUCAAAUAAUUAUUUAAAUAUUAUUUAAAUAAAUUUAUUUAAAAUCAAUCAAGAAAAUUAGGUCCAUUUAUAAAAAUGGUUAUGCGUGUGCCUAGGUUAGAGAGAUAGGCCCGUGUACUUGGGCAUAAAAGGUCCAGCCCAUGUGCAUGGUUCUCUUUUUUUAAAAAAAAUCAAUUAUCACAAAUAACAUUAUCUCUGAUGAUUCAAAAAUUAAAAUCCAAGUUUAAACUCUAAGAACCCAUAUUUCAACUUUUUUUUUUAUUAAAAUGUGAAAACAAAUUAUUUUUUUUUUCAAUGACUUUCUCUCUUCUCUAGACAUCUAGAGAUUGAAAUGCAAGACAAUAAAUUUACAGGACAAAACAUUAAAACCAAAAAAAAAAGAUCAAAUAUGAAAAAAAUGAAAGUUGAGGGAUAAAAUUGAACAUUUCCACGCCAUUUGAAAAUGAGUGAAAAUGUUUAUUUUUUUGAAAUGUCUAUUUUAGUUUUAAUAAAAACAAAAAAUUGAUUUUUAUAAAAUUGAUUUCUAAUUCAAUAUUAUAAAAUUUAAUGAAAAUUAAACCAAACAUACAUAAACAUGCAAAUCAAAACAGAUAACAAUAUAUAACUAAUCCAUUUCAAUGUUUCAGACUAUAAAGAAAUUAACCCUCUAAAAUAUUUAAAUCUGAACUAUUCACAUAAACAGAUAAUUAAGUUUGAGCCAGUGAUUUAUGAAUGAGAGAACGAGUCGUCGUACUAUUAAAUCUUAUUGGUGAAAGAUCCAAAACUGCUAAUUAGAAUCACUUUUCUUCAUCAAGUUAACAUACCACCACAUAAACAAAAUCCAAGAUCUUUCUUGAAAGAGGACUUGGCAGAAUGAGAGUUUUUCUACAUUAAUCUUGGGUUGUUUGGGUUGAAAAACUCAUUAAUCAACAGAAAAUAAUAAAAAAAGAUAGGAUUUUAAUAAUAAAAAAUUUGAAAGCCAUCUUGAACAUAUAGUUGUUUUGUCUUGCACGUAAAUAUUUAAAUGGUUGAGAUUAACAAAUAACGAAUAAAGGUAUGUUUUGAGCUGUAAAGGGUGCUGGAAUCUUUUGCAAAUUUGGAAAGAGGUAUAUUUGGAUCUUUUAUGAAAGAAAUAUUUUGAAGUGUUUGAUUGAUAAAGUGUUCAAUGAAUUUAGACAAAAAAAAAAAAAAAACACAAGUCAAAGCGAGAAAUGAUUAAGGACUAUAUAAAAAUAUGAUAACGGUUAUUUUUUAAAGUAUUUUUUUAUUUAAAAAUAUAUUAAAAUAAUUUUUUUAUUUUUUAAAAGUUAUUUUUGACAUUAGCAUAUUAAAACGAUUCAAAAAUACAAAAUAUUAAUUUUAAAUAAAAAAAGUUAAAUUUCAUGAAAUUCUGUUUAGAACAGAAUUCCAUUCCAAAUAGCUUACCCUAAUACUACUGGAUUCACAUAAGCUUCAAUGAAAAACGAUGCAAUUUAAUUUAAUUGGGAAGGAAAUCGUAAGUGUAUUUUUAUGAAGAAUAGUCAGGCGCCUCAAUUUAUAGCAAUUGCACUUGUUUAUAUAUAUAUAUAUAUAUAUAUAUAUAUAGAGAGAGAGAGAGAGAGAGAGAGAGAGAGAGAGAGAGAGAGAGAGAGAGAGAGCAUGUUGAUUGGAAACUUCCCUAAAAUAUAUUCUCUAUAUAUAUGCAAGUUAUUAAAUAAUGCUCUAAAUAAUCAGUGAUAAUGAUGGCCAUAAAGGGAAAGCAUGCAGCAAGUGAAGUGGAAGAUUUAUCAUGAAAUGGGCAUAGCAUGAAACAAGGGUAAGGUUUAUCAGGAAAGCAUGCUAACGAUAAGGUGGAUGGUGCAGUGAGCUUUUUAUAAAGUGUUUAUUUAUGAGAUUGAGAGUUCGAGUUCGAUAUCUCAUUUACUAUAUAGUUUAUUAUAAUAGAUAGUACAUAUACAUUCUCACUUGUAAUUGUAAUUAUAUUUAGAAAGGGUGUGUGGUUGUCAUUGUUUUUUAAAGUGUUUUUUAGUAGGGGUGUUCAAAAAAACCGACCAACCGAUUAAACCAAAAUAACCGAGAAAAAAUUAACCGAAAAAACCGAACCGAUAAAAAAAACCGAAUAAACCGAUUAAAAAAUAAAAAAACCAUCCGGUCCGGUUCGGUUCCGGUUUAAAACAGCUUAAACCGAUUGAACCGGACCAAACCGAACCGGUUUAAAAAAAAGGUAUAAAAACAACAUUUCCUAACCCUAAUAUCACUUUUCUCCUUUCCAGCCGCCACCCCCCCUCUCCCUUUCCAGCCUUCCCUUCCUUUUCCCUUCCCCUUCCCCUUUCCCCCUUUCCCCUUCCCCCUUCUCAGCCGCCCCACGCCCUUCCCUUUCCCCCUUCCCCUUCCCCCUUCCCAGCCGCCCCANNNNNNNNNNNNNNNNNNNNNNNNNNNNNNNNNNNNNNNNNNNNNNNNNNNNNNNNNNNNNNNNNNNNNNNNNNNNNNNNNNNNNNNNNNNNNNNNNNNNUAGUACAUAUACAUUCUCACUUGUAAUUGUAAUUAUAUUUAGAAAGAUUGUGUUGUUGUGAUUGUUUUUUAAAGUGUUUUUUAGUCAGAAAUGUAUCAAAAUAAUAUUUUUUUUAUUUUUUAAAAAUUAUUUUUGAUAUCCGCACAUCAAAAUUAUUUAAAAACAUAAAAAAUAUUAAUUUAAAAAAAUAAAUUUAAAUAUUUUCAAAAAUAUUUUUGAAAUAUUAAAAAAAUAAAAAAGUCUCCAAGUUCCUGAUGUGGUGGGAUCUUUCCAGAUAAAAGGAUAAUGUGAUUUAGGCAUAAUAAUGUCAUCUGUAAAAAAAUUGUAAGAUAAGUACUACCUAUUUUUCUAUUUUCAUUAUAUAUAUGUAAAAAAAAAAAAAAAAACACUCGCCAUGAUUGUUUAAAGAAUCCAAAUUUGAAACCACUACGUCGUUUCCAAUCAAAUUAUAUUAUUAUAACAUAUAGUUUCUUUCUUUUUUUCCUCCCAUACGAGAAGACUUCCACUUAGUAAGCUUAUUAUGAUUAGAGCAGGGUAAUUAUUUUUGGUUCGAUUUAAUUUUUAUUUAUAAAAAUAAUCAAUUUUUUUUUUUAAAUCUGAAAUCAGUUCAAAUCGACCGGUUUCGGUUCGGUUAUUUUAGAACAAAAACCGAAACCCAACCAACCGGUUUUGGUUCGGUUUGAUUAUUUUAUAUUAAAAACUAAAAACUAUAUUGUGUUUUGGGUUUUUUUUUUUGUAAUUUCCAAUGAGUUUGGUUUUGGUUUGGCUCGGUUUUUUGUUUUCAGUUCGGUUUGGUUCGGUUUUUCAGUUUCAGGCUUAUGAAACUAAAACCAAACCAAACCAGUUGAUUUUUUAAAUAUUCUAAUCGGUUUAAUCGAUUUUUUUUUAUGAUUCGGUUUUCUUUAUUUUUUUUCCAAGUUUUAUUGGUUUAAUUAAUUUUUCAGUUUAUUUUUCACAUGUAGACUAGGGUAGUAAUUCAACACAUGCAGUCUAUAGUAAGCCAGCUCUUGCUAGACAAUUAUUGGAUUUAUUUUUAAACAAAUUUAAUGAUUCAAGAGAGUAAGCAUUGCAGCAACACCACAUCCUUAGUAUUACAGAUAUUUUGGAAUGAUAAGAGAAGAAAAAUGUGCCAUUCUCUUGAAGUAGUUUGGAAAAUAAUCUUGGAACCUUUUCAGAAAGAAGAUCAUUGACCAUCCUUUUCAUUAUUCUUCAAAAGAGUGCAGGCAUAUUCUUCUUGAUAGGUUCAUUCCCUUUUUUUACUCACAAUUCUUGCGAACCCAAGACCCUUUUUGUCUGCCGCUUAUUAAUCAACUAUAUAUAAAUCCAUGACUUUUAUUUUCAUGUCUAAAGUAUGUUAAAUACUAUACUAUAUUUUAAAAAACAUGGGACAAACACUGUGUAUAUACCGUAAAUAUAAAUUCAUUGCACUAUAAAUAUCUUGUUAAAGAACCAUAUCAACACAAUAGCUUAAGCUAUUAGGUGAGGUCUCAAGAUAUGAUUUAUGUUAUUCUCUAACACAUCCCCUCAAGUGAAAGUCCUUUAAACUUGAAACUUGCACAGACCUAUAUUACCUUAUGCUUAAUUUUUAUCAAAUAAAUGAAAAAGGUGAGAUUCGAACUCGAGACCACUUGGUAAUCAAGACUCUGAUAUCAUGUCAAAGAACGUAUAUGUUACAUAUGUUUUUAUAUUGCAUAUGGUCUGGUAUUGAUUAUACCUGUCGCAUCUUUUUAAUUAUUUUCUGCAGCACUCGAAUGAUAUAAUUUUGGGCAUGGAAUAUGAGAAAUAUAAGCCGCUUCAUAUAUAUAACUUUAAUGGACACAUUUGAAGCCCUUAUAUAUACUGAGAAAAAAAAAUCUGAUCUGUUUUUGUACUCUUUUUACCAUUCCCAUAAUAACAUAUUUGCAAGAUAAUUGUAACUUUAUCUAUGUGAAAUCGAACUCUCCAAACUUGAAGGAAUUUGAGAGAACAUGAAGAGGGGAAAUAAAAAUUUGUGCCCAAAGCUGAAGCCUUUAAUUAUGAAGUGAAAAUUGAGUGACUUUCUUUGAUCACGAAGAAGAUUCCCUGUCAAAUAACUUUGUUCCUUUGAGGCCUUACAUGAACACUGGAAAAAAGUCAAUGCUAAUGGUUCUGGCGGUUCAAGGUCAUAUUUCCCACCACUCAACCAUGGUUUAAGCACCUGUACCAACAAAAACAGAGGUGAGUGGUUCAAGUGAGUAAGCAUUGCAGUAACUCCAUAUCCUUAGUAGUAGUGAUAUUUUGGAAUGAUAAAAACAUGCAAGGGAAGAAGAACGUGCCAUUAUUCUCUUAAAGUAGUUUUGGCAAUAAUUUUGGAGCCUUUUUAGAACAAGUCAUGACCAUCGUUUUCAUUGUUCUUCCCAAGAGUGAAAGCAUCUUCUUGAUCUUCUCAUUUUGGGCUGAGAUUCAUUCCCUUUUUCACUCAUAAUUGUUGCAAACCCAGGACCAUUCUGAGCUGAAAUGUCUAUCGCUCGCUUACCGAUCAAGUACAUGACCUUUAUUUUAUGUCGAACACAUGUUGCAUAUGCUUCUAUAUUGCAUGUGGUCUUGGAUUGAAUAUACCUACCGCAUCUUUUUAAUUGUUUACAUGCAAUAUAUUAUGAUUUUCUCCCUCUGAUGUCGAUAAGGUUUACAUAGUUUUAUUCUCUCUGUAUUUUUCAGUACUGAUCAAAUUGUUUGUGUUUGUUAUAAUUAAUAUAUAAAUUUCUUCAAUCCCCCCCCCCCCUCUUUUUUUCCAAGUCUUUCCUUUUUUCUUUCCUUUCAAUAUCAUCCUUUUUAAUUCUCUCAAUUUCUUCCUUAGGUUUUUUUAACAAUUAUUCAUGAUGUUUUUGGAUUGCCAAGUCAACUGAAUCAUGUAGAAACAAUUCUCAUACGAUUUAAUUUUAAAUAUAAACUAGGCAAUGAGUCAAGUCAAUAGGUUUUUUUGUCAUGUUUAUUAUUUUUUCUCAAUUUCUUCCUCAUAUAUUUUUUACUAGUUGGUCGGGUUGUUUUUGAAUUAAUCAAGUUGAUCGAGUCAUGGAGAGACAAUUCUCACAUGAUUUAAUUUAAAUCCAAGCUACGCAAGAAGUUGGGUUGAAAGAUUUUUUUUCCUGUCAAUUUCAUAAUUUUUUUUAUAAUUUCAUCCUUAAAUAAUUUUUACUAGUCAAUCAAGUGUUUUUUUGUACCGCUCAAGUUGAAUGAGUUAAGUAGAAUUAACUCUUAUACAAUUUAAUUUUACUCUUGAAUUAAGUAAUGAGUCAUGAGUCGGAUUAAGACAUUUUAAAAUUAACCUGUUAAAUCAAAUUUCAUGAUAAUGUUAAAUAAUUAUUUAUAUUCUGAAUAUUUUUUUGUCAUGAGUGAAAAAAAAAUUAGCUGACCGACGAGAGAACAGAAGAGGACGCCUGUAAACUAGUAAUUUUCUAUAAUUAGUAUAUCCUGGCCCAAUAACAAUUGUCCAUCGGUCUGUUUGUGAGUGGAAUCCAUGUUUAUUAAUUUCACAACGAGAAGCUCAGUUGAUUGUAAUCCAGGCCUAUGAGCUGUAUUGGACUUCAAAUGAGGAAAAAGGACUGGUAUUUAUACUGGAACUCUUGCCCAUAUAGCUCGAACAAGGAUAAUUUCUAUAGCCCAUUGCGCUAUAGGCCGUACUAUGUUGGUGGCCCAACUCAAGUAUUACUAGGUAGUGUUGCAGCCUAAUGCCGCGGCGACGUCUAUUAGAUUUAUACAUGAUUAUUUAUAAAGUAAUUUUUAAUAUUAUUAUCAAGAAUUCUAACUUAUACAUUAUUGGAUAAUAUCUUAAAUAUUAUAUUAAUAAUUUUAUUUAAAAUUGAUUUUAUUAUAAAAAACUAAAGCACUAUUUAAAAAAAAUAAAGGGUAAAAUAAAACUGAAAGGACAAGCUCAUGUGUCUAACCUUAAAGGAAAAAACCUGAGUGCACUCUUUGUUUUUUUAAAAAAAUGAGGGGAAGACACAUCAACCAUUCAAGAGUUUUUUUAAAGCAAAAAAUAAAAUAGACAAUGCGUUAUCCACUCCAACAAAUUCUAGUCAUAUAUAGUGAUAAACAAAAUUAAGAUCCAAGUUUUUUUUUAUAUAUCUAGAGCCUAAUUUUAAACAUGUUUUCACUAAAAACAAAUAUAAAAAAAAUCACUUUAGAAACCUCAAUAAUUAUAUUUUCAAUAAAAAAACAACCUCUAAUUAAUUUAAAAAUUCAAAAUUAAACUAGAUAAAAAGCCCUUGAAUUUUAAUCUAUGUUUUGUUUUUGCUUGAUUAAUGGUCAAAACCAUAUGCAUCUAACUCCUCUUUGUAAGAGGAACCCAUUGAUGUCAAGUUUGGAUUUUUUUAUGAUCGAAAUGUGAUUAUCAAAACCAUCUGCAUCUAACUCCUCUCUAUAUAUUUUUUUAACUCACAAUGAAGCAUAAAAAAAAUAAAAAUUUAGGAAUGAAAUGUAUAUACCUAAAAAGAGAACAAAACAAAUUUUAAUAGAAACUAUAAGGACCAACAAUGAAAAAUAUAUAUCUUACAAAAUAUUUUGAGAAGUGAUUAAGGGGACUUACUUGCAAUUUGAUUAUGUCAAAUUAUGUAAUAGUUUAAUCAAAAUAAUAUUUUUUAUUUAUUAUUAUAGUUAAUAUCUCACAUAGAAUUUUUUUGGAACAAUAUAUAUAAAUAUAGACUAUAAAAAAAAUAUAAAAUAUGAAGUGUAGUAUAGUUAUCUCAUAUAAAAAAAAUUUAAGAAAAAAAAAAUAUGAAAUGUAAUGUACUCAUUUCACAUAAAAAAAUUUAAUAAAUUAUUCUACAUGAAAAAAUUAUGAAAUAAUAUAUAUAUAUAAAUUAUGAAAUAAUAUAUAUAUAAAGAUUGCUAUAUUAAGCGAGCUAGCCCAUCCAAAACACUAUAGUCCACAAAAGAAAAACAUCAAAUCAACAAGCAAUCUAAGAAGAAAGUUUACAUGGACGGGUCAAACUCGAUGAAUAUAUGCAUUGUUCCAAAUGCUUUAAGUAGUGGAUUUUUUUUUAUAUAAAAAAAGUUAAAGCGUAAACAAAACGUAGGUGCACAAAUAAACCUAUUUCCGAGGAACGAAAGCAAAAACAGUAUUGAAAAUAAGCACUUGGUGUUUUAGCCCAUUGUUCCAUAGUUGAUUUUCUAAAUCCUAAGGAAGAAUAUUGUAAAAUAUUAAAGUCUAUACCACGAUACUUAUACAUAUACAAAAUAAAAAAAAUAUUAAAAUAAAUUGAUUUGUUUUUAGCUGAGUCCAUACUUUAAUGUUUGAAUUUCUUACAUCUUUAGGCAGUUUAGAUCCUUAUAAAACAAUUAGUUACUUAAUCCUAUUUGUCUUUCAAUAUGUCGUUGAGCAUAUAGAAUAUUUUAGUUUUUAUAUGCAUAUGAUAACUAUCGUAUCUCGAUGGACGUCAUGGUAGGAGCAAAAAACAUGUAUAAUGGAUAAUUAGAAAUCGUUAUCUAAUAAUUAAAAAAAACUAAAGAUCCUAAAAUACUCUCUAUUUUUGUAGGUUGGUGAAUACCUCAUAUGUUCUUUGUUGUGUGUUCCCUUUAUAAAGAGAAAAGACUGGAAUUUAAAUGAUUCAUAGAGAUUUAAUUGAAGACUUGUUGGGAUUCUAUGAUCGAGUAGUUGAUUCAAGACAUUAAGAUGCAAUACCAUUGUUAAAACCGUAAAUUGAUUGAUCUCAAUUUGAGAGCUAGAAUUGGAAUAUUAAAAUUUGGUUUUAAUUGUUGGGAUGAUGACUGAAAGAUAUGAAAUGGAUUCCUUGAUUUGAAUGGAUUAUAGACUAAAUUGAAUUAAUUUGGCAAAAUGAAUUGAAUUAAUUAGAAACAAUUGGACUAAAUUGAUAUUUGGACUGAAAUGAUUGUAAAAAAACAACUAGGAUAGAAAUUAAAUUACAUCAAUAGUUAAAUAGUUAAAUGGUACUUGGAAUAUUUCCCUCUUUUCAUUAUAGUUUUUGACUUUUGAAUUUUUUCAAUUUAAUUCAAUUAGGGCUUUAAAUCUUGAAUUCUCUCAAUUUAAUCCCUAAAUCAAGUCUUUCCAAUUUAGUCUCUUUAAUUUUGACCUUGUUUCUCAAUUUCUUACGAUUUCAACCGAAUUUGUUCUAAAUCCCCAUUUUCUUUUCAAUUACAUUCUUAAUUGGAUAAAUUUAGACAUUUGGAUUUAAUUACUUAUUGCAAAUCCACCCCUGGUUCUCAAAAUUAUGCAAUUUUGACCAAUCAAACUCUUGAUUUUGACUUCUUCAAUUAGGUCCUUAAUUGAUUUCUAACUUGGCUAUUUGUUUCAAAAUCAUUUUUGAACUUCAAAUUUCUUUAAAUCUUAGCCAAAUUAAAUCAGAUUAAAUUUUUUUUCUUAAUUUACUUUUCAAUCCAAACCUUAAUUAAGCAAAAAAAAUAAAAUCAUAAACUUAAUUUAUUUGCAUAUGAUGCUCAAUUAUUGGCCCAAUUUCAAACCCCAGCUAUUUUUGUAUUUCUUUAAUUUUUCUAUGAUUUCAAGAUUUCUUUUACAUAAAAAUGAAAUAAAAAACGAAGAAAAUAACGAAAUUAACUAGAACUAAUGAAAAGACAUAAUUUUGGAUUUUUCUAAUUUUCAAUAUAUAAAAAAAUAGGAGUAAAAAAUUAGGUUACAACAAUAACAAAAAAAAAAUCAAAAACUAUUUGUCCAUGAGAAUAAAAUUUAGUUUCCAUAAUUAUUUAAAAUAAUUAAAUAUAAUUUUUAGAUUUCAAUUACUAUUGCUGAUUGUAUUGUUAAGUUUGGUAACAUUAAUACGCGAUACUGUGGAAUUUUAAUUAUAGUUAAAGAAAACACAAAGUAAUGUGCUUGUUUAAUAUCUAAAUAAUAUUACAAAGUGGAAUUGUAUUCAACUUUAAAAAGAAAGAAGAUAAAAAGAUGCAUAUAGAUUAGUUCAAGAUUUAAUUAUUAGAGAAUAAUAUAAAUCAUAUAUUGAGAUCUCACCUAAUAACUUAAGUUUUUGGAUCGAAUUGGUUAUUUAACAUGGUAUCAAAGCCAUGAUGACUAAACGAUCAUGAGUUCAAAUCUCACCAUCCCCAAUUAUUUGAUAAAAAGAUGCAUGUAGAUUAGUUCAAGAUUUAAUUAUUAGAGAAUAAUAUAAAUCAUAUAUUGAGAUCUCACCUAAUAACUUAAGUUUUUGGAUCGAAUUGGUUAUUUAACAUGGUAUCAAAGUCAUGAUGACUAAACGAUCAUGAGUUCAAAUCUCACUAUCCCCAAUUAUUUAAUAAAAAUUAAGCAUAAGGUAAUAUGAGUUUAUGCAAGUUUCAAGUCCAAAGAGUUUUUAUUUGAGCGGAUGUAUUAGAAAAUAAUAUAAAUUAUAUUUUGAAACAUUACCUAAUAACUUAAAUUUUUAAAUUGAAUUGAUUCUUUAAUAUUAACAUAUGCAAGCAAUGUGACUAAUCAAGAUAUUCUCAAAGAUAAAGUACUUAAUUUUUUCAUCAUAAGAAAAGGCUACCACACAUUCAUAAAUGGGGGAAAAAGGAAAGAGCUUAUGUACUGAAAUUGUCCUUCGGUAUAUAGACCAACGUUCUUGAUUGAACCACCAAUUCAUAGCCGAAUUCAGACGGAGAAUAAAAGAAUUGCAAGCUGUUGAUUUUCCACAUACCCUUUACAAGUUUGUGAUACAUAUUAACCAAUCGAAAUAAAAUGUUAAAUAUGAAAAAAAUUAAUUUCCAACAACCAAUAAAAAAAAUUAAAACCCACAAAUACAAAUGGUUUUGUUUGGUUUACAUGUGAUGAGAACUUUCAAGAAAAUAUUUUCAUCAUUUGGUUUUUUUUCUAAAAAAAAACUAAUAAAUGUCAUUAAUUAAGAUAUAUUCGAAUUAUAAAAGAGUUUUUCAUAUCAUGAUGUCAAUACAAUGUUGUUCAUCUUGUCUCAAGGUAGACAAUCCAUUCAAAAUUCUUUAGGACUCCACGUAAGGAAAAACAUCAAAUCAAAUAGCAACCUGAAACCUAUGAAUAAAGUUUGCAUGGAUGGGUAAUUAGAUAUCAAACUAAAUGAAUGUAUGCGUUGUUAUUCCAUCUGCUUUGAGUAGUGCAGUUUUUUUUUUUUUUUUUUUUAAGAAAGUUAAGGUAUAUGUCAAGAAUUUAUUUAACAUGCAUGUGCACGUGCAUCCAUAUCUAAACCUGUUACCCUGCAGUGAGAAAGGGACGAACGAGACUACUAUAAUUGGAUAAUGGCCUUUGAAAUUUAUCUCAAAUCACCAUGAAACCUUAAAAUCACAUCCAUGGUGGCUUGACCUCUGGAGAUAAGUAUUGGUCAAGCUGCAAGAUAGCAUUAAAUGUGAAAACAUUUCUGGUCGCUUCAAGGAGAUUCAAUGGACUUGAAUUUUUAUUUAUCAUGCGUCCUCUUUAUCUUUUUAUCUGCUUGGUGGAUCAGAACAGUAGCCAUUUCUUGUCCUUGAUUAUGAAAUGGCAAGUGAUUGUGUUUGCAACAGUAUUAAUUAUAAAAUUUAUCGGCUUGGAGAAAAAGGUAGUAUUUGUGAAAGGAACCCUAGCUAGCUCUAUAAUGCGGAUCGAUCAUAUCACGCAUCCUAUAUUAAGGAAAAGAAAACUUUUUCCACUAACACCUGUUUGUUUGGCUGUGUUAAGCUCUACUCAUUUGAGUCAUCAAUCACCAUAAUUUGCUUUGUGAAUGUGUACCUUUCCAAUGUGAAAGGUAAAUAUAUUUUCAUGACUAUUAAAAAGAUCGAUGUUAACAUGACAAUGAGGGCUUUUCUUUUCUACCUUUUACUCUAGAUGCUAAAGGCUUAUCACAAUCAUUAAUUGUGUGGAAAAAAUUCAGAAUGGAUAAUCUAGACUAACAUUGGGCAUAUGGAGUUAUCUUUAAUAGCACCUAAUUACUAUGCUAUGUGGAUAUAUAUAUAUAUAUAUAUAUAUAUAUAUAUAUAUAUAUAUAUAUAUAUAUAUAUAUAUAUAUAUAUGUGAUGCGGAUCUCAUGAUCACGCAAUCGAGUAAUCCACACGCUAAAAACUCAAUUCCAAAAAAGCCAAGUAAAUUAGGUUUGAUAGGAAUGUAACAUAAUGAAAACUUGUUCCAAGACAUCAGCAUUAAUGAAAUAAAAAAACCCUCACUUAACAAAUAUCAAUUCGCGAACGAGAAAUAUAUUGAAGACGCUACAAGGUUAGUUAUACCUUGUUAAGUCAAAUAUGUUUCAAUACGCAAAAUACAAGUUUAUUUCAUAAAUUAAUAGCUGCUGAAAAUUUCAGCUUACAAAACUUUAUAUAAUAGUUCAAUUGGUAACCUAAUGAACUCAAAACUUGUGGGCUAAUAUUUACCCACUUACAAUAAACUCAAGUUUGACAAAUAAACUAAAGUUAUUUCAUCUAAUUAAAAAAAAAAAUCUAAGAUAGAUAAUUUUUCUAGUUGUCAUGAACAAAAUUUUCAUCCUAAAAACACUAGGAUCUUUGUUCUCAUCUUUAGAUAUCCAAAAUAAAUUAGGAAAUUGAUUGUUGAAGUUGUAUUUUCUUUAGUUUCUUUAUUUGUCUAGAAUAAUUAAUUGUAACUUUAAAGAAUUCUCUCAAAAUAUAAAAAUCCUUGUUGCCUUCCAAAACAAUCUGUCAUAUCCUUAUAGGAAAAAAUAUCCUUGCAAAAUAGAAAGUACACAAGUCAAAAGAAAGUAAAAUAUUUUUUGUAUAGCCUAUUCUGACCUGCAUCGCAAGGUUUUUCUGAAUUCUAAUUGACUUGAAAUUGUACCCCAACAUAGAACAAUAUUCCGGGAAACUCUUGGUAAAUUUUCAGCCCAAUCAAAUGGUCGAAUUGAUAAUUAUAAUUAUUACCGUAAAAUUGCACAGUAGACAUAAUUACGCUAGAAUUUAAAUUUUUUUAUUCAACUGUUUUCUGGUAUUGUAUUAAUAUGUUUAGCAAAGAAAUGUUUGGUGCUAAAUUUUGGAAUUAGUGCUAUAUAUUGCAUUUCUUUAGGACAUGCUAACCGAACUAGGCUUUGUAAUGAUUUACUACAGAAGCUGGGAGUGGAAGGUAUCCAUAAACAUAACCUAAGAUUGAUAUUUAGGCUCACACCUCGAUCGAUACAAGAAAAUAAAGAAAAAGGGUAUAUUUCUUUUUCUUUUUUUUUGGGUCCUCUUCUGAUAAACUAGAAGCUAAUCCAUUUAUCAUCUCCUAAUUUUCGUUUGAAAACAAAAUAAUGAGGUUAACUACUUGGGGAUUUGUGAUUAAAUUAAAGGUUGUAUCCAGCCUAAUUAUUAUUUUCAUAUGCCCAAAAGAUAUAUUAUUGUGACAGUACUAAGGUAGAUAGGGUAUGCUAAAAGUUUUUGUUCUUCACCGGAACUCUAACCAGCAGCUAGCAUUCACCAACUUCUUGAAUAGCCAUGUAAGGAAAAUAACAUUUAACAUCAAACACCAAGCAUGGAUUUUGACAUCAUCUCAAAUCUUGUUGCCUUGUUAAUUAAGGCAUCGCUUCUUAAUUAUUAGGCCAAAGUGGCUUGUGUUUUUAUCCUGAUAGAUCCGUUGAAUUUUAUACAUGUUAUAGAAUCUAGAUGUGAGACUUACGAAAUAUGAGUUCCAAAUGCAAAAGAAAUGCAGAUUGACAAAUACGCAUUCCCUUCAUCUGUACUAGUUUUUUGUAUUUGUGGGUCAAAAUACAUGAAUCUGUUUCUAGUUUCAGUAAGUCUAAUCCUUAUAGGAGGAUAACUAAACUUGUUCAUUUACUUCCCAUGUUUUGAGACACCAAAUGGAGAAAACUUCCAAAGCUUGAGCCUACCGAAGAGAAAACUAUUUUGACAUUUGACAAUCCUUACACAUGCACAAGCUCUUUUCUUCCCUCUGAUCAAAUAUAUCCAUGAUCACAGACUUCCAAAUUUGAUCUCAUAGUAUUUCUGUUCUUCAAACGUUUCCGGCCCUUUCAAGAUUACGCCACAUAUAUGCAUUCGGCUGGGAGCAGAAUUUAACCUCUCCACUCCGUCUUCAUCCAUAUAAUACCUUUCUUUCUUUGAUCAGAAAAACACCAAAAAUAUAAAGACAUUAUAACUUAUAUAUGUAACUUGUUGGGAAAAUUUUAAAUUAAAUUAACACGCCCGGUGUUUUUAUUAGUAAGAGCUUAAAUUAAAAGGGCAAGUAUACAAAUAUACUACAUCAUCAGAUUGUGAUUCUAGAUAAGCAAGAUACAUGUAUAAGACCUGUUCUUAUACACACUUGUAUUCAUGCAUUAUAUCCGUAACAUCUAGUCUAGAUUAGCGUGUGACAAACGUUUUGCGGUUUUAAGCCUCAAGAACAACGUGCAAUAAAAGCCAGCUAUUCUUUUGGGUUUUUGGGUGUAAGCAGAUAAUCAAGAAUAGGUUUCACGGAACAUACUGGCUUUAUUGACGUCACUAGUAUCUUUGUCCAUUGAUGCCUUUGUUGCAAUAAAAAAGCAAUGUAUAUCUGCCUUGCAUUGUGUAGUACACAAUGAAAGACAAGCAAUCAAUAGUGACAAAAUCCCCACAUGCAAGAAUAUAUAUAUAUAUAUAUAAACUUCCCACAUGAUGGCAUGAUGCCAUAUGAAAGCUAGCUAGCACUCAAGUUUUGGAGAAACGAAUGGCAUUGAUUAAAGUGAAAGAUUGUGAGUCUGAUGUUUUGUACGUACAGGCUGCCUCCAGUUAAGUUUUUUAUUUUUUAUUGAAAGUCGUUUAAAGUCAUAGAUGUUAGGUCAAUAAAGUGAUAUUAAGACAAAUCCAGAUAUAUAGUUCAAGUCGCCUGUACAUGUUUUUGUUAUCGAUGCCAUCGUGGUAACGCGAGCCUUGAUGGCCUCAUUUGGUUUUGUGAAAAUGACGUUUACAUUAGGUGGUAAAGGUUUUGAUUACCACGUGGUUUGGAGCUCAAAAGCAUGAAACUUUAGUUUUGCAGAAUUUGGUGCACUGUGCCAAGCUGAGUAUCUGGAUAACAAAUGAGCUUGCUAACGAAAAUUAGUGAGGUAUAUAUCACAUGUUAAAGGGUCAUGCAAUUGACUUGCUCGAAUCAGUUAAAGGAGAGGAGGGAAUUAGGCCUUUCUUAUGGCGUAAAUCAUGGAGCUUUGCCUCAACCCUCAAGAUUAAGCUUGUUUUGUAUAAAGAAAUAUUCCCAUGGAAAAUAUCGAAGCCACAAGGGUAAAACGAAAAAGGUUUAUGCCAGAAACAUUGAAGCAAAUCUUAAUCCACGCAGAGAAAAGUUAUAAUGCAAACCUACAGAUUGAUGGUAUGCUUGUGAGAAAAGUUUAUUCAAAUGUAAAGUAAAAGGGAUGUUCUUAUCAUGAAAAGCAAUUAAGAUUGCAUCACAUCCACUGUGAGCAUAUCUAUCAACUACAACAGCUGGUGAAAAUUCAAAAGCAUGCUGACAGUAUUUCCUUCAAAAUACCAGGGUCGAUGCAGUCACCGUUCAUUUUGUCGUGAAAUUAACACCCAUUAAGAGCUUCAUUUUGCUCAAGCUUUUCAUGCCGAAGCAUGCAUGAAAACAGACUAAUCAUCAGUGGAGAAAAGAAGAUCACAUCACAGGUUAUGGAAACAAGCAUCAUAAAUAUGCACCUGCACUCCUUUAACACUCAUCCACAAAAGAAAAGGAGAAAAGAGGGAGUUAGGUUUACCAUAGAAGAGAAAGAAAUUGACCAAUGCCAUAAUUUGGUAACAUAUCAUCAUAAGCCAUUGAUUUAAUACUUACGCAACUCACAUGGAUUGUAACAAAAAUAACCACUCGUGUUCCUAAGAGCUCCCAUACCCAUAUAAUGAUCACAUUUUCUCUCCACGGAGAAGAAAAUUAUUAUUAGAAAAUAAUGACACUAGUUAGAAGUCGAGAUAUAGACAUCCGACAUGCCACAAACUUAAGUAAUUAUUGUCAAUAAGAAAGAUAUUAGUUAAUUCGUUGUUCUUUUCAAUUUCUGAUUUUUAAAUCAAUAUUUUGAUUUGUACAUUUAUAUGCACAGGUCAUAUAAGAAACGAAUGGAUUGUGUGAUAUAAUGGAAUAAUUAAUAAUUAAUAUGUAAGAACUUUACAUGAUUUGAUCUCAAAAUCUAAAUUUUGGGUCACACUAGGCACUAUAAGCAUGUUUUGUUUAGUAUUAUAAUAAUGAUUGUUUUUUAAAGUGAUUUUUUCUUAGAAAUACAUUGAAAUAAUAUGUUUUUUAUUUUUUAAAAUUUAUUUUUGACAUCAUCAUAUUAAAAUAAUCUGAAAAUACCCAAAAAAAUUAACUUAAAGCAAAUAAAAAAAAUUCUAUUUUUUCAAAAAAAACUUUUGAAAUGCAAAAAAAAAAAGAAGAUAAAUGAAUAUGUGCUAAACUAUUCACUAGAAAGAAAUGUCAAAGCUCUCUCAUCUAUUGGGUGAUUGAGGAAUGACUAAAUCAUUAUAAAAGUAGAUAAAAAGAAUUAGUUGGGUGUUAGAGAUCUUAUAUAAGGCCUUUAGCAGGCUGGAAAAGAGUUUUUGUGGUAAUGUUUAGGAGUGAUAAGCUUUUUUUUUUUUUUCAUUUUGAAUUGAUAUGAAAAUUGAAAGAUACAACAAAAAAAUAUUGGAUCAUUAAAUUAUUGAAAACAUAUCUUUACAAGCAACACACAAUGGAUUUUAGCAAAGAAAAUCAUUAAGUGACAAGUAAUCACUGCAUGAUCUUUACACUUCAUUGAAGGUGUUAAACAAUAUAAAAAAAUAAAGAGAAAUACAUAAGUUAAAAAGAAGAAAGCUAGGGUUUCAUUGAUACUGUAUAAUGCAAUCAAAUAAUCAAAAAGAAUAAUUUUAAUCUAAAUACAAAGAGACUAUAUAUAGGCUAAACAAAGAAAACUGAAAAGAAAAUGAAAAGAAUAUUCUACCCUUAAUAAAUAAUAAAAUAAAAUAACCCUAUAUUUAUUAAUAUCUCCCUUCAAACUCACAAUGUAACAACUACAAGCAUCGAGAGUCUGUCAACUAGAAAACAAAAGCGGGAAAUAAAAUGUAGUUUGAUAAAGAAAUCUGUAAUAUGUAAAGAAGAAGGAACAAAGGGCAAAGUAAUGGUGCAAUGCUUGAGAUGAUGACAAGUAAGAAAACAAUCGAUCUCAAUGUGCUUAGUUCAUUCAUGAAAAAUCGAGUUGUGAGCAAUCUGAAUAGAACUCUAGUGUCAUAAUAUAUAUGAGUUGGAUGAGAAUGAAAAACUCUCAAACCUGCAAGUAACCAACAUAACCAAACAAUCUCUUUGGUAGUUGAUUUCAUAGCGCGAUAUUCUGUUUUGGUUGAAAAUUGAGAAACAAUAGGUUGCUUGUUACUCUUACAUGAAAUAAGAGAAUCACCCAAAAAGAUACAAAAAUAGUAACAAAUUUGUGAUAUGUGGGAUCAUUAUCAUGAUCAACAUUAAAGUAUGCACGCAACUCUAAGAAAGAGGUGGAUAAAAGUAAAAGACUCUAAAAGAUUGUGCCCUAAAGAUAUCACAAAAUACAAAGAACAACUGCUCAAUGAAUAGUAGUAGGAGAAGUAACAAACUGACUAACAACAUGAACAACAUAGGCAAUAUCUAGACAAGUAAUAGUGAAAUAUAUCAAGCUUUCAAUAAUAGUAUAGUAUAAAGUAGGAUCUGAUAAAAGUAAAACAUCAGAAGAAGAAUACUUUAUGUUAACCUUAAUUGGAGUAUCUACAGUCUUAUUAUCAGUAAGUUUAGCCCAUUCAAGAAUAUUUGCAACAUAUUUCAACUGAGAAAGAAGAUAACCUCUAGAUGAGUAGGCUACCACAAUAUCCAAGAAAUAUCAUAAAGAACCUAAAUCUUUCAUUUCAAGCUGUCUAGCUAACUCUAUCUUCAAAACUAAAAUAUCAUUAAUAUCAACACCAAUAAUAAUCAUGUCAUCAACAUAUAAAGACAGAAUGAUACAACCUGCAUUAGUGCAUUUAACAAAAAAAAAAGUAUCAUUACUACUAGAAAUAAAUCCAAAAGAAAAGAUUAUAACAUAAAAUUUCUCAAACCAAACAGGAGGUGCUUGUUUGGGACCAUAUAACGUUUUUUUAAGCUUGCAACAUACUCAUAAUCAUGUGAAAACAAGGAUGCGGCGCCAUAUAAACUUCUUCUUGAAGAUAUCCUUUCAAGAAGGAUUUUUUAACAUUAAGUUGAGAGAUAUGCCAUUGACGAACUGAAGCCACUACAAUGAGCGUACAAAUAGUAGUCAUUCUUGCAACAGGAGAAAAUAUCUCAUAAUAAUACAUACCAUAUUAUUGAGAGUAUCCUUUUGCAACCAACCUAACUUUGUAUCGCUUAAUAGAUCCAUCAAAAUUAGUCUUGAUCUUAUACACCCAACGACAACCAACAACACUCUUACUACGAGGUAUAGGAACUAAAUCUCAAGUAUUUGUCUUAUGUAAAGAUGAAAGUUCCUCAUCCAUAGCUUGCUGCUAAAGAAGAUUAAGAAUUGUCUCUUUAUAGGAAGAUGGCUUAGAGAGACAAUGAAUAGAAGCUAAAAAAUAGAAGUAAAAAAUCAAGAAUAACAAUAGGCAAAAUCUAGUAGUGGACUUAUGAAUGUAUAUGGAUUGAUGUAAAGGUAGAUCCACAAUCUCAAAUGAAGCUUAAGGGACUAUAGAAGAAAAGAGAGCUUCAAGUGUACCGGAGAGUAAAGUGUCAGUACCUUUAGAAUGAUCAAUACGAAUUGAUCAAGUAGAAUGUAAAGGUAACAUGAGAAGGGGGAUUUAAAGUAUUAGAAACCUAAGAUGAUAAACUAUUAGAAUCCUAAGAAAAAAGGAUCUAUAUGAAUAAGAUUAGAUAUAGUCAAGCUAUGAGUAGUGGAUGGAAUAGAAAAGAAAGGUAUAUGCUCGAGAAAGACAACAUGACGAGACACAUAAAGUUUCUGAGUUAUUACAACCAAAAACUCUAAAGAAAGAAUAAUCAGGGGCAUACCCAUAGACACAAAUAGCAAAUCGAGAGGACAACUUGCUGCAUUCUACAUGAGGAAAAAAAAAACAAGUACAACCAAAAACUCUAAAGAAAGAAUAAUCAGGGGCAUACCCAUACAACUUUUUGAAACAAUAGAAAAACUUGGAAUAUAAGAAGAUAGAAUUGGAUUAAUCACACCUACAACAGUAAGAGCAUGUUCACCCCAAAACACACUAGAAACAUAAGUAGACAACAAGUAGUUUCAACAAUGUGCCUAUGUUUUCUUUCAACAAUGUCAUUUUGCUUAAGAGUACAUGAAGUUUGGUGAAUAGUUCUAUUUAGAGCAAACAACUCAUAAAAUUUAUUAGAGGUUUAUUCCCCACCCAAAUCACACCUUAAACAUUUUAUAACAAUAAAAUAUUGAGUUUUGAUAAGAGCAUGCAAGGCUAUAUAUAUAUAACCUCAAAGAAUUUAGAACGAUGUUUUAUUAAAUAAAUCCAACAAUAACGAGAAUGAUCAUUAAUAAUAGAAACAUAUUAUCAAGACCUUCCUUUUAUGGCAAUAGGAGAAAGUCCUUAUACAUCAGAAUGAAUCAAAUCAAUUGGAAAAGAAAAAACAAAAAUACUUUGAUUAAAAAGUAAAGCAGAAAAUAUUAUCAGUUUACAUCCACUACAAUUAGAAAUAUCAAAAGUUUCAAAUUUUUUAAAUCUCCUACAGAUGCUAAAAAUCUCAAACAAGAAGGUGAAAUAUAACCUAGAUGAGAAUGCCAUAAAUAAAAACUAAGAGAAAAAAGACUCAAACGAAAAAAAGACAAAUCAAAACUACUAGCAGCAACAACUGACACUUUUAACUCAUCCAAAAUAUAUAUUCCUCUCUUCCCACGGCCUAUCACAAUCAAUUUCUGAGAUUGCAGAUCGUGCACAAAAAAAGAAAAAGAUGACUAAAUAAUUACCAGAAUCACAUAAUUGACCAACAGAAGCAAGAUUCAAUGUGAGUUUUGGAAUAAAUUAAACAUUAAGGAGUGACAAGUGAGGUGUGACAACAUAACCAAUACUCGUUAAAGGCAUAAGAGUGUCAUCAACAAUCAUUACACGAAUAGAAGACGAACAAGUCAUAAAAGUAAAAAAUGAAGAAUCUGGAGACAUGAUGUGAAACACCAAAAACCAAGACCCAUUCAGAAUGUGACAUUCAUGAAGAACUAUGAGGCAACUGACCUAUGGAAGAAAAUGCAGACAUAGCUUUUGGGUGUAAAGAGAGAAACUUCUGAAAUUGCUCAGUCAAAGUACUACGAUCGGUGAAAGGACCUGAUGAAACUAUUGUUGCAGUAUUAGACUAUGGUGGUUUGUAACCCUGAGGUAGUCUACGAGCAUUAAAUUGUGACUGGUUAUCGGGCUUGUAAGCUUAAGAUUAUUGUUGCGAUUGAUUUUAUUGUCUCAACUUAGGACACUGAGCCUUCCAAUGAGCUUUCUAAUUGCAGAAACUGCACUCAUCGAUGGCAACCCUUAUAUAAUGCUUAUUCUGAUUAUUAAAAAAUGGCUUAAAAUGUACUACUAGCACAGAAGGAUUAGAAGUAGAAAUAAUUCUCUUUUUAGAAUAAGACUGAAGACGUAUUUCUUCAGCCAAUAACUAUCUGACAAUUGAUUCAAUAAAAGAAAGUGGAGAACGAUGCAAAAUUAAACCUCUAAGUCCUUCAAAAUCACUACGAAAUGCCACUAAAAAUUAUACUAAAUAUUGUUGCUCUCUAUGAGCAAUAUAGGCACCACAUGCCUCUAAAUCUUCUGAUUCUGUAAGAGCUAAUUGAUCCUAAAGAUCUAUCAUAACAAAGUAAAACUCCUGAAUACUCGUAUUCUUCUAGUGAAGAGCUCGUAUGUCAUUCUCCAAUUGAUACUGCUUUGCAAAAUUUGAUUGAGUGAAUAAUCUUUUUAGAUGAUCCUAAACUUUCUUUGUUGUCUCAUACUUCGCCAACUACGUACCUAUGGAAUACUCAACAAAAUUGUUUAUCCAAAUAAUAAUUUUUACAUUGUUUGCUUCUCAAACAUCUAUCAAAGCAACAUAACUCUCAUCAGUAUUCCUAGGUUUCAUAGAAGUUCCACUAACAUAUCCCCACAUCAUUUUACCCUUAAGAAAAUUUCCCAUCACGUAACUCCAAUAUGAAUAAUUCUUUUCAUCCAACCUCACACUCACAUACUGAAAUGAAUAAUCUCUUUUAGCAGCCAUAAUAAACAAACAAAGAAAACCAGAAUGAAAAUUAAAGGAAAAUGAUAUACCAAAUUGCAAAAACAAAGGACAACAAAAUACCAGAUUGUAGAAACUGAACGAAUACCCUCUCGAAAUUUUACAGUCACUCCAAAAACUGAAUGCAAAAGUUGGAUCUAUGAAAGCUGAGUUUGAGAUUAAGUCUCGUCCUAUGAAACCUUGCUCUGACACCAUGUUAAACAAUCUAAAUAAAUAAAGAGAAAUACAAAAUAAAAAGGAGAAAGUUAGGGUUUCAUUAAUACUGCAUAAUGCAAUCUAAUAAUCAAAAGGAAUAAUUUUAACCUAAAUACAAAAAGACUAUAUAUAGGUUAAACAAAGAAAACUGAAAGGAAAAUGUAAAGCCUAUUCUACCCUUAACAAAUAAUAAAAUAAAAUAACCCUAUAUUUUUUAACAAAGAGACCAAAAAUAACAAUAAAAAUUAGCUAAUUCUCCUCUCUUUUUAAUUCCUAAGGGAUAUCAUUCUUUAUCCAUGAUAAAGUGAGGGAUAGAAAUUGAACUACUAAAGAUCGUCUCACAAAUUGAAGUUUUUAGUUUAAGUUCGAGUACUAAACUUUAUCAAUUAAAAAUUAAUUUUAGUUUAUAAUUAGUUACAUUUUUCAUUUGUCUUUUUAAUAAUUUUACUUUGCAUACACUUUAAAUCAAUUUAAUUGGAUUUAAAUUAUCAAUGAUUUAAUAAUAUCGAUCUCAAUUGUCCUCUAUCAAGGAGUUAAAAAAAUAAAUAUUUUUUAAUUAUUUUUAUUUCCUUUUGUUUUAGUUUAGGAAUGUUAAUUUUUUUCUAUUCAAUAUUAAUAGAUUUUUUAGUUUUUUUCCAAUAUAAAUGGUUAUAAUAACAUUUUAGCAAGUGACAUUUAGAUGAAUAAAAAAUAUGUAUUUUGUAAAUCUUCUUUGUUAUAGGUUUUCUUUGUCUUUAAGAAUUUUUAUUUUAACAAACUCUAUUAUCAUUUUCUUUUUCACUUUUCUUAGUUGAUAUCAAAGCUAAGUUAGUUGGAAUCAGAGAUCAAAGAAUCAUGGUGGUUAAAUGUUUUGUGUUGUUAUUGAAAAUCUUAGAGAUGAGAAGCAUGGUAUGGGGCAACAUGCACAAAAGUGUUAGAGGCCCACGAUAAGACAAUCCGCAAAUAAAAAAAUCAUUGGUUUUUUGACAGGGGAGAUUUAACUCAAUAAAUGUUACGUUGAAUAUUUCUAUGGUGCAACUUGAUUUUUAACUAAGAAGGUUAUGCCCUAACGAAUAAUUUGAACUCAAGGAAGAGUUUCUUCCAACCUAAAAAGACUAUUGUAAGAACUUUUUAAAAAAAUAAAUAUUUUUUUAAUUAUUUUUAUUUCUUUUUUUCUAGUUUAAAAAUAUUAUUUUAUUUUAUUUUUAUUUUUAGUAUUAUUAAACUUUUCUACCUUUUCUAUUUGAAUGGAAUAAUUUUUUAGUUUUAUUUUUCUUUUCAAUAUUAAUAGGGUUUUCUGGGUUUUUUUUUUAUAUAUAAAAGAUUGUAAUGGUUUUUUAGCAAUUGAGACUUGGAUAAAUAAAAAGUUUUUUUUAAAAUAAAGAACAAGUCAGAACAUAUAUAUUCAGAAUAAAACUUAAAAGAUAAAUUCAUAUGUUUUCUUAUAUAUUUUUAUUCCUUAGAGUAUAAGACAAGUAGACUAUUUAUAGGAGAAUAAAAUAAGAACAUUAAAGGACACUAGAAAACUCAAGUGUUAUGAAAAAUCAAUAGACUAAAUCCAAGAGUCAUUAAGUCUAAGAGAUUCUAAUGGGCAUUCAAUAUAUAUAUAUAUAUAUAUAUAUAUAUUAUAACACUUCCCCUUGAAUGAUCAUGUAGUAAAAAUAUAUCUCAUUAAAACCCUACAAAGAAAAACCCAGUGGGAAAAAACCUAAACGAAGAAAAAAGAAUACAACAUUCUUGUGUGAUUUCUGAAUACUUCAAAAUUCAAUAGAAGGUUUAAUAUAGAUACUUCAAGAUCCAUAUUUGAAUACUUCAGAAUUUAUAAAAAUAUCAAAUUGUAAAAACCUUGCAAUGGAAAACUCAUUGGGGGAAAAACAAAGCGAAGGAAAAAAAUUUCAAUUUGAAUUGACUUCACCUUAAAAGCACAUGUCUUAUGAUAAAUCUUUAAGAUGGCACAUUCAAAUAUUAAGGAUAAGUUUCUUGAAAGUUGAGGUUGGAAAAGACUUUGUAAAUAAGUCUUUUAAAUUAACAUUUGACCUCAUUUUCUUGAUAUCAAUUUUUUCCUUUUGUAGAAGCUCAUGAGUGUAAAAUAAUUUUGGUGAAAUGCAAUUUGUUUUGUCUCCUUUGAUGUAGCCUCUAAGUUGAGUGAUACAGACAACAUUUUCUUCAAACAAUAUUGUGGGACUAUCUUCAAUGGUUAACAAACCACAUUUUUCUUUUAUAUGUUGGAUAAUUGACCUUAGCCAUAUAUAUUCUUGACUUGCUUCAUGGAUUGCAAUAAUUUCUUAAUGAUUUAAUGAAGUGGCAACUAAUAUUUGUUUGACAGAUCUCCAAGAAAUUAUAGUACCUACAUAGGUAAAUAGAUAAUUUGUUUGUGAUCUCUUUUUGUAGGGAUUAGAGAGAUAAUAUGCAUCUGUAUAUCUAAUCAAUUGUGAAUUUGAUCCACUAUAAAAAUAACCUCAUUUUAGUUGUUUUGUGGAGAUAACGAAGUAUAUGUUUGAUCCCAUUCCGGUGUCUUUUUGUGGGGGUGGAACUGUAUCUUGCCCAUAAAUUGAUUGUAAAAGUUGUAUUUGGUGUUUUACAAUUUGCAAGAUACAUGAGUGCUUCAAUAACACUAAGAUAUGGUACUUCUAGACCAAAAAUUUCUUCAUCCUCUUCCAGCGGUCGAAAAGGUUAUUUCUUCGCAUCAAGUGAUCAAACAACUAUAGGUAUACUCAAAGUAUGAGCAUUGUCCAUGUAAAAGUGAUUCAAGACCUUUUCUCUAUACGCUGAUUGAUGGACGAAUAUUCUAUUUGAAAUAUGUUCAAUCUGUAAACCAAGAUAAAAUUUUGUCUUUUUGAGAUCUUUCAUCUCAAAUUCAUCUUUCAAAUAGGCUGUAGUUUUUAUGAGCUCUUCAAGAGCACCAACAAGAUUUAAAUCAUCAACAUAUACUACAACAAACCUUUUUUCAUAAAAAUACAUGGGCAAAUCUCAUUAUUCUCAAAGUAUAAGGUGUUCAUUAAAAUGAUUAUAACACAUACAACCAGAUUGCUUCUACCCAUAUAAAGAUUUUUGUAGUUUAAAAAAAUAAACACUUUUAAGUUUAUCAUAAAAGGCUUCAGGCAUUUUGAAUCUUUCAGGGAUUUUCAAAUGGAUAUCUUUAUCUAAUGAUCCAUAUAGAUAUGUUGUAACUACAUUUAUUAAACGCAUAUCUAGAGUUUCUGGGACUACUAAACCAAUCAAAAAUCUGAAAGUGAUUGCAUCCAUAACUGGAGAAUAAGUUUUCUCAUAAUUAAUGCCAGGUCUUUGUGAGAAUAUUAAGGAAGAUUAGUAUUAGGAGAUGAUUUUAACAUAAUAUUUAUCAUCUGUUUUAAAGAUGAGGAAUCUUCAGGAGUACCAUCAUCUAUUUGUUGUGAUUUUUUUUCUAGGAUUUUUGUCCUUAACACCUACAGGUUUUCCACGUUUUAGGCAUGAUAUAGAUUCAUUUACUACUAUAUUGUCUUUUUUUUAGAGAUUUCGAUUCUAGAUCGAGCAUUUGCAGCUAGAAUAUAGGAUUUAACCACCUUCACUGUUGGUGAAAAUAUCCGGUAAUUGAUUUGCAAUAUUUUUUAAAUGAAUUAUCUUUAAAUUUCAAGUUCACAUUGAUUUUUCCUUAGAUCAAAAUAAAAAAACUUCAGGUUAUUCCAAGUAAUUUAUUAUCGUGCUUUAGGCACUAACUUAUCUUUCCCUAAUGAUGGGAAAAUGUUCUCAUAAAAAUGGUAGUCUUCAAAACAUGCCUUAAAAACAUCACCAGUUAAAGAUGUUCUAACCAAUGAUCUCUUGAUCUAAUUUUAACCAAUGAUGCAGCAUGUAAUAUAGCAUGUCUCCAAAUAGAUAUGGGCAAUUUUGAUAAUUAAUUGAAGGCGUUUUAUAAAUGAUUCUGCUAUAAAAUUUCGAGUAUGUAUAUGAGCAACAAGAUAUUCAACAUCAAUUCCAAUAGAAGUAUAAAAAUUAUCAAAUGCAUAAGAAGUAAACUUACCAACAUUGUCCAAUCGAAUUUUCUUGAUUGGAUAAUUAGGAAAUUGUGUUCUUAGUCUGAUAAUCUAUGCUAUUAAUUUAGCAAAUACAAUAUUUUGACUAGAAAGUAAGCAAACAUGUGACCAUUUACUUGAUACAUCAAUUAAUACCAUAAAAUAUCUAAAAGGUUUGCAUGAUAGAUAAUAGGUCCAUAUAUAUCUUCUUGAAUUUUUUUGAGAAAAUAUAGUGAUUCUAGAACAACCUUUAAUGAGAAUGGUUUGGUAAUUAAUUUACCUUGAGAACAUGCAACACAUGGAUUUUCACUUGGUAAAAGAAUCUUCAGGUUCUUUAAAGGAUGCCCAUGUGAAUUUUCAAUAAUUCAUCGCAUCAUUAUCGAUUCCCGGAUGUCCAAGUCGAUCAUGCCAAAGCAUAAAUAUUUUUGGGUUGGAACGCUUCUGGUGUAUCACAAUAUUUGUUUCAAUAGAUUUCAUGAUCAUAUAAUAAAUUCUAGAAGAGAAAGCAGGUAAUUUUUCAAGUACAAGCUCCUUGCCUGAAAUACAUGAAAUAAUAUAAAGAUAUUCUUUUUUUUUCAUCUAUUGUUUCAAUAUGAUAACCAUUAGCAUGUAUAUAUUUAAAAAUGAGUAAGUUUCUUCUGGACUCAGGUGAAUAUAAUGCAUCUUUGAUGCCCAGUUUUGUGUUAUUUAGUGACAAAGUAUUAGCUCUUCCGUAGCCUUGAAUCAUGUAUGUGAGACCUGAUAUUGUAGUAACAUUAGCUUUGGUUAAUUUCAAAUAUUCAAAGUAUUUUUGUUCCUUGAGAAUUGUGUGCAUUGUUGAAUUGUCUACUAGACAUAAAUCUCCAUCAUGAAAAGUCAUGUCUCUAUUCAAAAUAUAAUUAAAGUUUAUUAUUCAACUGAAAUAAUAUUUACAUUGUUUAUUCAAAUUUCAAUAAGAUAAAUAUCCUAGCACAAAUAAAAAAAACAUUAAUCAUCCCUAAGGAUUCCACCACUAAGCAUGCUAUCUAUUUUAUCUAGGUUUUUAAAGAAAUAAAAAACAUCAAGAUAAGUAUUAUGACCCUCAAAAUCAUCUUUAUGAAUAAAAUUAGUCUCAACUGCAUUCUGUUUCAGAGAGGCUUGAUAUAUAAAUCUACAAGAUGUUUUAGCAUGCAACAAGAGUGAGACCAUUGACCAUGCAUACCACAUCUAUAACACUUAUCUUCAAGUCUAUGCAAAUUCUUGCUUUUUUUUUGUUUGGGUUCAUUGUGUCUCUAUUUCUAGUGGUAUAAUGGGUUGUCUUUUAAAGGAUUAUAAAUCUGUAUUAUGACAUAUUAGUCUCAACUGCAUUCUGUUGAGACUUGAAUAAAAUCUGUAUUAUGACUAGUGGUAUGGUGGGUUGUCUUUUGAAGUAUUAUGACCUUUAAAAUCAUCUUUAUCAAUAAAAUUAGUCUCAACUGCAUUCUGUUUCAGAGAGGCUUGAUAUAUAAAUCUGUAAGAUGUUUUGGCAUGCAACAAGAGUGAGACCAUUGACCAUGCAUACCACAUCUAUGACAUUUAUCUUCAGGUCUAUGCAAAUUCUUGCUCUUUUCUUGUUUGGGUUCAUUGUGUCUCUAUUUCUAGUGGUAUGAUGGGUUGUCAUUUGAAGGAUUAUCUCUUUUCUUUUUCCAUUUAUUUUUUCCAUAUUUAUACCCUUAGUUCUUUCUUAUCUUUUAGUUUGGUUCUUUCUUGUCUUUUGAACAAAGGUUCUAUUCACUCCAGGGAAUGGUUUAGAACCUGUGUGAUGGGAUUGAUGAUUUUUUUAUUAAAAGCUCAUUAUUUUGUUCAUCCAUAAUAAGACAUGAAAUUUGUUCAGAGUAUCUCUUGAAGUUACGUUCUCUAUAUUGUUGUUGCAAGAUAAUAUUUGAGGCAUGGAAAGUAAAGAAUGUUCUCUUUAAUAUUUAGUCUUCCGUGUUAUUUUCACCACACAAUUUCAACUGUGAAGUAAUUUAAAAAAAGCAAAAUUAUGUUCACUAAUCAAUUAAAAUCUUGCAACCUCAUGUGCAACCAAUCAUAAUGAGCUUGAGGAAGUAUAAUAAACUUUUGAUGGUCAUAUUCUUCUUUUAGAUUUUGUCGCAGAACAAAAGGAUUUGUUAUUGUAAGAUAUGAAACUUUUAAUCAUUCAUGGCGAUAGUGGCGAAUGAAAAUUAUUGCUUUUACGCGAUCCUAUAAGGAUGCAUUAUUUUCUUCUUUAAUGGUCUCUCCAAGAUUCAUAACUUCUAGAUGAAUCUCAAUGUCAAGGAUCCAUGACAAAUAAUUAUUCCUAAAGAUAUCAAGAGCAGUAAAUUCAAGUUUUCUCAUAUUGACAUUAUCUCACUAUAUAUAUAAAAAGAAAUAACUUAUCAAAUAAAAUCAUGAAUAUUAAAAAGAAUCAAUCUUUUAAGACGGCUAUUUAUGUAGUUAUUUAGAAAUACUAGUUUUUCAAUAAUUGUAUUUAAUUUAUUUAAUUUUUUAGGAACUUAUAAUAUUAGUUCUUCCAAAAUUUUAAAUCUUAAUGAAUAAAAAAAGAAAAAUUAUCUAAAUAAAUUAUAGAACAAAUAUAUUCCAUGAAAUAUAAAAUCUAAUGAGAGAAUAAAAAAAGAACCGUGUAUCCUCGAGUAUCUUGAAAAGUUUUCACUACCAGCAAGGAUUUGACUCACAGGAAAGACUAGCCCUUGCCCCUAUGCCCAACCCUCGUUGAUAGGGAAGUAGAGGUCGAUGUGUGAGAGUUUUCUGCUGCUGAUACGACGUAGGAAUACACAAGAAGUGACAUCCAAUUGAUGGGUCCCAUUGGUCUGUUUUGCAAGCAGCACUGGACCCCACAGAGCCAUAGUUUCCCUCAACUUUCCAGCCUCCACUUUCCACCAUGAACAUGUUCUUACCACCACGCCCGACGGUUAAGGCAUCAAUCAUCAAAAUUCGAUCUUUUGUGCCCAUUCCUACUGAGUCAAAGGCACUGGAUGGGCACUGCUCCCAGUCAAAUGCCCCUCUUUUCCUGCUUCUUUCCGCCUCUUUUCCUGGCAUAGUAUUAUUCCUAACAAGAAACUAAGAAAACCCACUUUCCUCUCAAUUUAUAUUUGUCUUUAGAUUUGUGUACAAUAACUAGACAUUGAAACACAUGUAAAAGACACCGAUCCAAUCUGUUUGAAGAUUUAGUGCUCACUCACCCGUAUCAUGUUAUUUUCCAUCCUUAAUUUCCUCGUUCUAAUUUAAUUUAAUGUAAAAGAUAAUUAAGAUCAAUUUUUAAAUUUGAUGCUUUCGACCCAAUGUGUUUAUCACCAUCAAACUAAAACUAAAACUAAACCUAAAAAGGAUCAGAGAAUCCACGUUUAUUGUGAGAAAAAGCAGUAUGAAUUUGCACAGUGCUUCCCCCUUCUUUUUAGUCCUUCAAAAUUCUGUCACUUAAUUCUUUUUUAUUUCAUCUUUUUGGAAUAUUGGAUUUAUUUGGGAUUUCACUUAGUAGUUUUUUUUGUUAACUUGUAUGGUUUCUUGCAAUGUUGUAAAAAGAAUCCAACAUUAUUUAGCAUUUUGGCUCUCAAACUUCUUAAAAUUCUCAUUAUUUAUUCCUUGUUUUCUAUUUUUUUUUCUUUUCAUUUUGGUGAAGAACUUUAUUUUAUUUAUGUUUUACUCCAUGUGUAAAUCAUUGGUUUGCCAUGUACCAGCGACUAAAAAGGUUGUUAUUAGUGUAGUUUCAUUUGAUAUUAGGUAUUUUUUGUGUCCCUCGUAUUGCUGCAAAAGAUAUAUUGAGGUAGAGAAAGAAAUCAACAAUGAAACGCGUGCCAACUAAAAGCUAAAAAAAGCAUAUGUAUAAAAAAAAGAUGUUAAUUCGUGUUAACUUUUCAAAUUCGUAAUUCGGGACAUUAGACUAGAAGUACUAUAUCCAGAAAAAACACAAAGCUCAAUUCUCAACCAAUUAAAUGUUGAAGAAUUAACUUGAAAAAAAAUAUCAAAUCCACAAAAGGAUCUAAAACAACAAAUGACAAUUAGAAAAGUAAGGAACAAAAUUGAAAUACAAAAUAAAUUUUAUUUUUCAUUGGAGGGUUAGUGGAAAGAAAAAUUAAUUCAAUAAAAGAACAAAAAAAUUAAUCAAAAGAAUAAGGAUAAAAUUUUUUUAAAAAAUAAAAAUAUUUUUUUUAUUGAAUAGUAAAAUUGAAAAGAAAAAUCGAUUCAAUAAAAGACCCAAGAAAUUAAAAGAAUAAGGAUCAAAUUAGAAAAAAAAUAUAUAUGAAAAAUUAGGAUAAAAUGAUGAAAUGGAAAAGAAAUAAAAUUAUACAAGAGGAUUAAGAACAAAAAUUAAAAUCAAAAUAAUAGGAAUUGAAAUUGAAAUACUAACAACAAAGAGGGACAAACUGUAAAUUUCAAGGGAGGAGAGAAGAUAAAAGGGAAAAAAAUCCUCAUCGACAAAACACUAGACCACCUCCGCUAACAAGCGUCGCACCACUAAGAAAAGGACAUGGUAGCACUUCCAACGACACGAUAAAAAGUUAUUUUUGGAUGCCGGUAGGAACCUCCGACGCACGGAGAGUGCACCGCACACGCCCCAACCUUUUUAUUUUAUUUUUGUUUUUAUAUUGUUAAAAUACCAAAUUGCCACUUAACUAACUUGAUAAUAACAAAAAAAUAUUAUGAAAAACCCCUAGAGGCUAGUUUUAAAUUUUUGGUUUUCAAAGGUAUUGUGGUCGUUUCACUAUAUUUGUUUUUAUUAUUUAUAUUUGAUCAAAUAUCAAAUUGCUCAUCUACUGACUUAAUAAUAACUAAAAAACUAUUUAAUUUUUUUGCUUCUAAAGGUAUUUUGAUCGUUUCACUAUGCAACUGAAACUAGAAAAAAAACUUUAGUAAUGACUAAUAAGCCUUGUAAAAAGACUUCAAUGCCUGCGCAAAAUUGUAAAAAAAGUAUUCUGAUAAACAAUGUUUUCACUCAUGUGCUACAGUGAAAAUCCCUCCUCAAUUAGCUUUUGUUAAUGGAGAACCUUUUAUGUUUUUAUCUAUCAUGUUUUUUUUUUUUUUUUUAUGAACCUUUUAGGGUGUGUAUGUAAAUGAUAAAUAUUUUACAUUAAAAAUAAAUGAGAAGAAAUAAAAAUGUUUAUAUAAAAAAUUUAAUUGGAGGUGGUGUUUAUACUAUAUGUAAGUCUUAGUGCUCAUAAGGCGAAUAUAGAGUUUCAUAAAUCUCUUUGAACAAAGACAAUUUCUUAACACUUAGUUUGGAUUCUCUCAUUUUUCCUUAAAAUUAUGAUAAGUCAUAUUCCAAAUCUCAUAAUUAUUUUUGAAUUAUGAUGAUAUCCCAAAAUCCAAAUAGCUUAAGAACAAGACUUAUAUAUAUAUAUAUAUAUAUAUAUGGUACUUGAUUCAAAUAAUAUGUUCUUCUCUCCCUAACCAAGAUGGCUGGUAGUCAAUACCUGAUACCUGGUAACCCAAGGUGGCUUUAGGUGGCUUUAACUAGUCCUGAAAAUGAUUUUUUUUUUUUGUGGAUUUAAAGAAUCUCCAUGUUUAAGUAAGUAUCUUUUUAGAGAGAAGAUAAAAUGAUAUUUUAGAUGGAGAUGCUCUUAAAAAAUAUAUGCGGUAGAUAAUAGAGAUUAUGAACUCGAGCUCUUUGAAGGAAUCAUUCGACCUUUUUAAUCUAUGUACCUUGUCCUUUUAUGGGGAGGAUCGAGGGGCUAGAGUGUUAUCUUACCUUGAUAACAUUUAAAGAUAGAUAAAAAUCUCUUACACAUCAUUAACAAGGGAUAAAGUAACAAGUCCUUUUUAAAAACUUUAAUACACUUAGUGAUAUAGAGAGAUAAGUAUAUUUAACCUUAACUACUUAUGUUAAGGGUUACAACAGAAAACAAGCAGAGUCAUGGACCCAAUAAAAAGCCUAGUUUAUUAAUAAUGGUUAGAUUUGAAUAUGAUUGGUCAUAGUUUUAAAGAAAGAAGAAGAUCCAAACAUGGUAUAAACUAGAUCAUUACUUGUACUACACUAUAGGUUGGAUUAAAAUUUUCUUUUAGCAUAAGAAAAUAUUUAGGCGUUGCUAGCAUUUUUAUAGUAGAAAAAAAAUUAACUACGUGAGAAUUGUCCCAAUGUGAUUCAAAUGACUUGGCAAGUACAAAAGCAACUUAAACGACAGAUAAAAAUAUAGUUUGACUCAAAAUAAAUAUUCAAGAUGAUAUUUUUUUUAUAAAUAUUAAGACGACAACAUAUUGUAUCAAUUAGGAUCAACAUGUGUUAAAUUGGAUCGAUUAAGGUCAAUCUAUGUUAACUUGUCAAUCCAUGUGUCAAGUCAUGAAAUUAUGAUAACCUCAUAAAAAAUAAUUUAAAAUAAAAUAUGAAGCCUAAUUUUUAAUAAACUCAAUGUUAAAGGAUAAAAUUUUAAAAAAAUUAAAAACAAAUAAUAUGAGUCAACCCAAGUUAACCUGACAAACCUGCGACUUGAGUCAUGAGAUCAGAAUAACCCAAUAGAAAAAAAAUUAAAAUAAAUUAUGAAUUCUAAUUCUCAAUCAACCUAUUUGUUGAAAUAUGAAAUUGAAAAAAAUUAAAAAAUGAUAAAAAAAACAACUCGGGUUAAUCCCCAAACCCGUUACCCGAGCCCUGAAUAUGCGAUAACCUCAUAAAAAGUAAGUUUAAAAAAUAAAUUAUGAAAUUCAAUCUCUAAUAAAUCUAAUAUUGAAGGAUAGAAUUAAAAUUGAAAAAUCAAUUAAAAAAACACAAAAAAACAUUAAAUUAACAUGUCAAACUCGUUACCCGAUUCAUGAGUUAGAGAUAACCUCAUAAAAAUCAAACCAAAAUAAAUUACAAAGUCUAACUUUUAUUCAAUGCAAUUCUAAAUGAUGAAAUUGAGAGGGGGAAGUCAAUUAGAAAAAUAAAAUAAAACUUAAGUCAACUAAGUUAACUCAUGAAACUUGCAAUCUAGAUUACAAGAUUGUGAAACCUCAUAAAAAGUAAAUUAAAAAUAUUAUAAAUUUUAAUACCCAAUAAAUAAUAAAUCUAAUGUUAAAAGAUAUAUAUAUAUAUAUAUAUAUAUAUAUAUAUAUAUAUAUAUAUAUAUAUAUAUAUAUAUAUAUAUAUAUAUAUAAGGUAUCAAUUAUAAAAAUUCGAUAUUUUAUACCCAUUGCAGCUGGGUUGGUGGUCAACGGCACUGUAGCCCCCUCAACCUCUCACCUCUUGCGCUUACAGCUUCUUGUAUUAUUCCUAACAAGAAACCAAGAAAACCCACUUUUUUCUCAAUUUAUAUUUGUCUUUAGAUUUGUGUACAAUAACUAGACAUUGAAACACAUGUAAAAGACACCAAUCCAAUCUGUUUGAAGAUUUAGUGCUCACUCACCCAUAUCAUGUUAUUUUCCAUCCUUAAUUUCCUCGUUCUAAUUUAAUUUAUAGUUAAAGAUAAUUAAGAUCAAUAUAUUUAGUUUGGAUCGUCUUAUAUUCUUUUGCAUUAUAUAUAAGAAGAUGUUGUCGUUUAAUUUUAUCAUUCAUUCAAUUCAUUUGUCGUUUUAUCAUUCAUUCAAUUUAUAUUCAACGAAUUCAAAUCUAACGGUGACAUUUGAAAUAUGAUUGGCAGUAACUUGAGGAAGAAGAUCCAAACGUAUAAGAUGAUUUAAUCAAUUCUUGCUUUUGCUAAGAGAUUUGGACCCAGGCUAACGCACAAGACUUCCUGUAGGGGCUGAAAAUUGAAAGCCAUGAGGCUUCCACGCGUGCGAGCCGAAACAAAAUACAUGUAAUAAUUUCAUAAAUAAGUGUGUUUGAGAUGAUAGUAAUGAUUAGUUUUUAAAAUGAUUUUUAUUUAAAAAUAAAUUUGAAGAAUUUUUUAUUUAUUUUUAAUUUUUUUAAAAAAUUUACCAGUUUAGAGUGUGAUUGCUGUUGUUUUUCAAAGUGUUUUUCACUUGGAAAUAUAUUAAAAUGAUAUUUUUUUAUUUUUAAAAAAACUAUUUUUGAUAUUAGCACAUCAAAAUGAUAUGAAAACACCAAAAAAAUAUUAAUUUGAAGUAAAGAAAACAAUAAAAAAAUUUAAUUUUUUUUAAAAGCUUUUUUGAAACGUAAAAAUAAAAUAAGUUUAAAAAUAUUUUAAAAAAAUUAUUUUAAAGAGAAAAAAAAUAAAAUUUUUAAAAACUCUAGGUAAAACACUUUUAUAAACAGAUAGUAAAAAAGUGUAAAAAAUAUGCUUAAAAGGAUGGAGAGGGAAGAGGGUCCCUUGAAAUGGUGGGAUAUGCAGAACAAAAGCAUGACAUCUUCUCUGCUCCCACACCAAAAACUUAUCCGUCUAUAUUUAUUUUUAUUUUAUUUUUUUCAUCUUUUUGUUGCCUUGUGGUGGGCUGUGGCCCCCACAACUCCCACUCUCCAUCUACGUGUCGAUCUGUACCACGUUUCGGAACUACACGUGUCAGGCCAUCAAUGGUCUUAUUUCAAGUUUGCGUCAUUAUCAGCUCGCAUCACCCCCACAUCAAUCCCUUCUCCUUCACUAACCAUUGCAUGCCUUUGCCAACCUAUGCAUGAAUUUGGCGAAAACAGCCAUGGGUAAUUAUGUAAUCACAACAACCACAAUUACUAAUCAGCCCUUCAAUUGUGUUACAUGCUGGAUUAUGAUUGGUGAUUAAGGUAAAGUCUAAACAGACUCCUUGGUACCUGAUUCUUGCCCUAAAUAUCCAUCAGGGUAUAUAGCUAGCAACUCUCUCCCCUUUGUCCUUUAAAAAGAAAGGUCAUGCCACCUCUAUGCAACAUUUGAACCACCUCUCUAAAUUGCAUGUUCUCUGAUAAUAAACGCUCUAAAUCUCAGGACUCCUCAAUCUCACUACUCCAUCAAUGGAAAGAACUGAUUCCUCCACAGGAGGUGCGGGCGGUGGUGGUGGCGGUGGCGGUGGCCGCGGCUCGCAACAACCAAACCUUCCACCGGGGUUCCGGUUCCACCCCACUGAUGAAGAGCUAGUGGUUCACUACCUCAAGAAAAAGACCACUUCUGCCCCUCUCCCUGUGGCGAUUAUCGCAGAAGUUGAUCUUUACAAGUUUGAUCCAUGGGAAUUACCAGGUUACAUACAAUUCUUAUUAAGUAUUGUGUACUAUAUAUAUAAGGAAUUAAAGCCUAGUAAAUCUUGGGUUCAUCUUGUUUUCAGCUAAGGCCACUUUUGGUGAACAAGAGUGGUACUUUUUUAGUCCGAGAGACCGGAAGUACCCGAAUGGAGCUAGGCCAAACAGGGCAGCAACUUCAGGGUAUUGGAAGGCUACAGGAACUGAUAAGCCAGUAUUAUCUUCAGGAGGUACACAAAAGGUUGGGGUUAAGAAAGCACUAGUCUUCUAUGGUGGUAAACCUCCUAAAGGGAUCAAAACCAAUUGGAUCAUGCAUGAAUACCGGUUAGCUGAUAACAAAGUGAAUAACAAGCCACCAGGAUGUGACUUGGGAAACAAGAAAAACUCUUUAAGGGUAAUCAAUGAUCGCUUUCUACAAAGUUUUUGAUUACAUAUAUGUUGUCCUUCUACUUUCGAUACUUUUCAAAUACACAGCAGGAUUAAUGGUGAUUACUGUUUGUUUGUUUGUUUUACCUUUCUUUCCAGCUUGAUGAUUGGGUGUUAUGUCGGAUAUACAAGAAAAACAACACGCAGAGACCAAUGGAUCAUGAUAAAGAUGAUUCCAUGGAUGAUGUGCUUGGAUCAAUACCGCCUUCGAUAUCAGUUGGAAGCCAUCAGAAUGGAACACUGCAUCUUGCAAAAGGAACAAACUUUGGGGCAUUGCUUGACAAUGACCACAAUUUAUUCGAAGGAAUAAUCAGCAGCAGUGAUGGUAUCAGAAGCAGCAGCUCUUCUUUGUCUCACAUGGCCUCUUCAGUAACCAAGCGAGACCUACUUAUGCUUCCACCCAAAAGAACACUCCCAUCACUAUAUUGGACCGGCGAGGACAUGGUUGGCCCUUCAUCAAGUAAGAGAUUUCAAGGGGGUAUUAAUGGUGAUGAAAUUGUUGUGAGGACCGAUGGGAAUAGUUCCGUAGCUACCCUGCUCGGUGAACUUCCACAGACACCUCAAUUGCACCAACAGACAAUGUUGGGAUCUAUGGCAGAUGGGAUUUUUAGGUCACCAUAUCAAAUUCCAAGCAUGAAUUGGUACUCUUAAAUUAAAAUUAGUCUUAAUUCAUUGGUCUAUGCAUAUAUUAUAUUUAGGCCUAUGAAUACAUUCCUGGUGGGUAAUUUGAAGCAGUCAAAUGAUGAUCACGGUAUAUACUUGUUUGUAUAUACGAUCGCGAUUAAUUCGUAGUAGUAUCAGCUUCCCAUUGGGGUAUUGAUCAGAUUUUGAUUGUUAUGAAGAGAUUAGAGAGUCAUUUAAUGGCCUCCAGUUUCUCCAAAUUAAUGAAACAUGUAGCUGCCAAUUUGAAGCGAGGCCAUAGAUAUAAAUCAUAUAUAUAUAUAUAUAUAUAUAUAUAUAUAUAUAUAUAAAGACAUGUAUAGUUGCAUAUAUAUAUUCUAUACUUGUUUGGUUUUCGAAUAUUGUUGUUAGGGAAGCGAAGAAAAAUUGGAGGUGGGAUCCUGAUAUUGUAGAAAAAUAAAAUUGUUAAGUGAUUUAUAUAUUGCUUUAGGAGACGGUAGAUUAAACCUUGUAUGUACAACAGUAUAUUCUUACUAGAAGUUGCUUAAUUAUCCCAAAAACAUCACUACUGUUUAUCGUUUGCCUUUGUGUAUAUUAAUUUGUGUUCAUCUGGGUGAUCAUUUAAUAAGAUUGUGCUAUGAUGAGUUGUUUUCGUUGUUCAAUGAUGCUUGACGUUUAAAGAUGGCAUGCUUGGCUCGAUCUUUUGCAUUUCAUGGCAGCUAUUUUUUGGUGAAUGCAUAAACCCUAGAAGGUAAAAGAGAUCUUGGUGCUUUUUGUUACUUUAUCUUUUCCAGCCACGUCCAUGUUUGUGAAGAACAUGUACAAAAGCAUGUGUAAUUAAAUUGUGAUCAUGGAACUAGCAUAGUUGAUUUUCUUAUGACAUAAUAUAUUUUCUGUAAAUCCUGAGAGACUUGAUAACUUUUUUAAGAUGGAAUUGCCACUUAAUUUCGACAAAAAGAAGAAGAAAUAAUACAGAUAAUUAACACAGAAAUAUAAAUGUUGGUGGUGGAUCAUCUGUAGAUGUUCAAGAUAUACUAUAGCAACGUGAAAGAAUCGACACACAUGGUUGUCGCAUGAGAGAGAUUGAUGAUCUCGUGAGCAAUAAGCGAAAAAAAGGAUUGAUUAGUCGAAAAUGAAGUUUACUAACCUCUUGUUGGUUUUUCCCUCUGCAAGAUUAUAAAAAGAGGGAUGGAACUUUAGCACUAAGGUGUAUCUCUUCUGCAACAAAAAAAAACAAAAAGGAAAAAAAAAAAGACCUUCUUUGGAUUUUAUAAGCAUCUCUUCUUUGAAAGACACUCAUGAAUAGUUCCUUAUAAGGAUUAUCCUUUAGCUUUAUAAAUCUGAAUGUAAAGCUAAGCUAUGAGGUGAAAUUUAAGUUACUAUGAGGUGAAAUUUAAAGAUAUAAUUUAUAUUAUUUUUUAAUAUAUUUUUACAAGUAAAAAAUUAUUUGAACUUGAAAUUUAUACAAAUCUAUAUUAUCUUGUGUUUAAUUUUUAUCAAAUAAUUAAAUAGAGAUUGUAAGAUUUAAACUUGUGACUGUUGAGACUCUAAUAUCAUAUCAAAAAAUUAUUUUUAUCUAAAAAUUUAAAUUAUAAAAUGAGAUUUUAAAAUAUAAUUUAUAUUAUUUUUUAAUAAACAUGAAGGAUUGAAUUACAAAAAGCUGAUUUUCUUUUUUAACCUUCGAGUAUAAAUUAAAUUGUAUGUUUGGUAUGAUCUCCAAAAGAAUGAUAGGUAUUCGAGGGUGGGUGUCCUUUUCUUGAUUUCAUCUGCCAAGUGAUGAUUGAUUAGACAUGGCUAGCUAGGUAUAUUCUAUAUAUUGGAUGACCUAGCCAGAGUCGAGGGUCACACACUAAUAUUGACAACAAGAGGCUACCUCACAAAUGGCUUUUCUCUUGCUGACCAUGGGACCAUCUCGCUAUCACCAUAAGGAAUCAUUAUCACAAAACCACACAAAAUCAAUAUCUCCUUUAAUUGCAUUCCUUUCCGAGGAAAGCGUACAAAACAACUUUUCGAAAAAUUCAAUUCAUUAGUGCUUAAUCUCGGAAUGUAAAUUGAUAUUUGAUAAAAUGUGCCAUUAUCGAUUCAUCCCAGUCUCCUUUUCGGACGAUGCUUUCUAUUAAUUAAGCCUUGAAAGCUCUGCGAAUAUGAUUUAUUAGAUGAAUGCUAGCUUCCAUUAUAAUCUUUUUUGACAUACAUGCUAGCUUGCGUACGUAGAUUGAUAAUCAUGUAUAUACACACACACAAAGACGUGUCUUUCCACUGAUCGAUGCCUUACAGACAUAAAAUGUUAGUGAGUUGAGUGGUUAAUUACCAGCUUAUAAAUAAAUAAAUAUAUAUACAUGAGAUCUGUGAGGUCGAGUGGUGAAAACCAACAGGAGAGCACUUCUUGAUUGAGAAUAAAUUCUAUGCAUCAAUUAGGUCUUUUUCUGCUAAAAGAUGGCCAUUGUCAACUCUGAAAUGCAAAGUUCAAGAAUGCGAGUUUCAUUUUCAUAAAUGAAGGUGCCAAAAGGAUGGGGUUCUCCUUGACGAGGCCAUGUCCAGCCAACUAAAGUUCUAUACAAUCUUUAGGCGCAUGAUUGAACUUGAAGAACGGUCAAGAGGGAUUAACAUCUAGUUUUAGCUGCGACCCACAAAUUGACAGAUGGUUCAGGCAGAAAAGUACCCUGGACCAUUGAUGAUUCAGUUGACAAGGGCGAAGUCGCCCCGUAAUCAUGGCUUGUUAUAGUAAAUGGUAGGCACUAGAUUAGCAAUUUGUAGCUCAUAAUUGAACAUUUCGCCACGCCCCCACAUACAAAAUGGAAAAAGAUUGAGCUUUUUAAUAAACCUAUUUGUCAAUCAUCGUCGACAAGAGUCGGGAUUUGGGUUGCAGAUAGCUGGCGGUGGGUUGGGCUAGCUUGGAAUAAAAGCAGAAGUUUAAAAACAACUACAUCCCUUCCAUAAAAAAAAAAUCUAUUUUAUUUUUUUUACAUAAACUAUAAUUCAUACUUUUUUAUAUAUUUACUAUGUUGUCUUUUAUAUUUAAUUUAAUUUAAUUUAAUAGGAAAGCAUGUGAAUUUAAUUUUUUUUUAAAUAGUAAAGUAGUGAAUUUUGAUGUUCGAUUUUUUACUUUAAAAUAAAGAUUAUAUAUUUUGAGACAUCUAAAAAAGGAUUAUUUUUAUGAGAGUGAGGGAGUAGUUUGUAAGUUGUUUCAGUGUUCAUCAACAAAUCUAUCUAUAGGCAAUUUCUCUUGAAAACAGCAGGCUCCUUUGCAAACCGAAAAGAAAGCAAAAACAAAAGUUUCUUUAAGACAGAAAAAAGAGUCAGAAUUAUGCCAUAUUGAUUUGGAUGAGGCCAUGCCAACACCUGACCAUAUUGUCAAGGCAUUUAUUUGGUGUUGCGGUCCAAUUAUAUUUUUAUAAUUUUAAUUUUUAAUUUUAAAAUAAUUUUUUUAUAUUUUUAGAUUAUUUUGACGUAGUGAUGAUAAUUUUUUUAAAAUAAUAUAAUUUUAAUAUAUUUAAAAACAAAAUAUACUUAUAAACAAUUUAAAACAUACUCACAAAAAUUAGAUGAUGCAUAAGAUUAUCAAAUUUACCCCUAAUGAGACGGGGGUGGCCAAUUAUUUUCGUGCAAUUUGCAUGCUCACCUUUGGUUAGUCUUUUGUAUUAUUUUUUAGAGUACUAGUUCUUUGUUUUUAAUCGUGUGGGUGAAUACGUGUGGAAUGUCUUAGAGAUCGCGGGUUUGAGGUUGGGAGAUGUGCUUUAUUAAUUUUGAGGAGUCUAUCUCUUUUUUUCUUCAAAAAAAAAAUAAAUACAUUCAUCCCUUAUAAAAAGCAAAAACAAAAAGCCUAAGCCCGCAGACCUCCCUCAUCUCCACCUGUCUAGAUUUCGUUGUAACAAGCCUUUUGAAUUUUUGUAUUGGCCAUUUGGGUUUUUUGUCUUUUUUUUUUUAUUUUUGUUUUAUUUUUUUUUUAUUUUCAAUUAUAUUCUUUAAUAUGGAGUUUUUAUGUUCUUUGAGUUUUUUUAUCUUUUUAAUUUUAUUUUUUUAAUUUUAUCAUUUAAUAUAUGAUUUUUAUUUAAUUUUAUCUUUCAAUAUUAAAUUAAUGGUAAUUCAAUUUUUUUAUUUUUAUCAUAUAAUAAGAAGAAAAAUUGACCCUUUUUUAUCUUUUAGUUUUUUUUUCAAUUCCAUCCUUUAAUAUGGAGGUUUUGUUUCCUUUGAGUUUUUUUUUUUAAUUUCAUUAUUAAUAAGAGCUUUUUAUUUAAUUUUAUCUUUUAGUAUUAUAUUAGUUUUUUUCUUUAGACUUACCUGGUGAACAAGUCCGUAUUAAAACAAUUCUUACAUAAUUUAAUUUAAAACUUAAUUUAAGCAAAUUAUCAGGUUAUAAUUUUUCAAAUUUAAACCGUUGUAUCCAUGAAAAUGCCAAAAACAAUUCCAACAAUCUAGAUAUUAUUUUAUUACAUUCAAUUAAUAAACUAGUAAGAAGCUACAUAAUAAACUAGUAAGAAACUACAUGAUAACGGGGAAACAUUCGAUGUAUUUUUAGAUAUUAGUUUUCACAUUAAGAUUAUUGAAUUUUGUUUUUUAAUUGGAUCGUAGACGUGUUAUACAUAUAUAUUCAAAUUGGUGCAAUAACAAAACAUAAAAAAAAAAAAAAAAACUUUUUCACAAAUCACCAUCCACACCAAACACCUCAAAAGGUUCCAUUCAAAAUAAAAUUCCAUAACUUGCCAAUGAAUUGGCAAAAGGAAUAAAUAUUAGUAAAAGGGGGCAAAAAAAAAAACAAGAAGGUUCCAUUUAUAGGUAUUGUUUAUUUUUGUAUUUUAAAAGUAUUUUUAAAAAAUUCUUAAAACUUUUAUUUUUUUAUUUUAAAUUAAUAUUUUUUUGUUUAUUCAAAUUAUUUUAAUGCACUAUAUCAAAAAUAAUUUUUAAAAAAUAAAAAAAUAAAUUUUAAAUAAAUUUUUUUUAAAAAAAUAAUCAUAACUAAAUUCUUAAACACCCAAAAUCGAGUCGGUGCUGGUCAUCGAAGCCAUUAAUAUGCCGAGUAAAACGUUGUGGUUGACAAGUAGUCUAACAUUUGAAAGUCAAAAACAAUGGCUUUGUAUCCACCAAGCCAUAAUUGACACACUACCAGGUGCUUAACAGUUCAAGGUCUUCUUGCCAAGCCCAACCAUAUGGAAUCAUGAGAAAGUCCUGAAGAAAAGCCUCGUCAAAACAUGCAUGAUUGCAUUACUAUUUAAAAAGCUUUUAACAUACGAGAAGCCAACUGUGGCAGAACAAUUCUCUCUCAUUUCCAGCUCAAAAUCACACCCCCAUCUCUUUCUUGGCUCACAAAAUGGAAACCAUCUCCCAAAAACAGACUAGAGGAAGGCUCCAACCUCCAGCAAGACAGUCACUUGGUGAGGGCAACAGGGUUAGGAGAAAUAAUCAAGUAGCGUCCAUCUCUCCUAGGCCACGGUCAACUUGUACGUGCUCAAACCGUCCGGGGUCAGUCAGGUGUAGCAAGCACGGCUAUCUGGUGCCUAGUGACAAGUUAAGAAGAAAUCAAGCAAAUACAGAGAUAUUAAGGAGGGCUUUAGCACCACCAAAUCGGAGGUUAACCCUUCGGUGGUUUAACUUCCAGCCAACGCCUAGUCGGCUUUCUAACAUGUCCAUGGCAUAGUUAUUUGCAAUAUUUUUUUUAGAUGGGUGUUCUGUAUUUAUCUCAAGAAAUGAUUGUCUAUAUGUAAAUCAAUUGAACAGCAAUUCCUUUUCAUUUGUCUUCUUUUUCUAACAUUUCGUUAAUAUGGCAUCGCUGUUUUUCAAAUUUAUGUAUCUGCUUGGUGGAGAUUCUUAAGGUUGACCUGUUCUAUUCUUGUUGUUAGAAAGCGGGAUGACCUCUUCAAAUCUUUACGGCAUGAAAUUCAUAAGGUUGGCCUUUUCUUUUCUUGUUGUUAAAAAGAGGAAUCACUUGGAGUUUUCCAAUUUCAUUAAGAACAGAACAACACCAGAAAAAAGAACAGUAAAAGAUAAAAAAUAUAUAUAUAAAAAAAUGAAGUGCUUUUUUAGUGCCGGGAUGUAGCGAUAAAAACAAACAUUUUAUUAGAUUAGUGCCUUUGAAGAUGCUAUAUGGACAGACACUAAAAUGUAUGCAAAUACUGUGCAUGGAAUCAUGAAGUUGCAGCAUUGAGAGCAACAGUGGAUGCAUUUUCAAGUCCCAAAGUUGUAGCUUAAUCAAUAUGGAAAGCUUAAGAAUUACGUUCAAGGGUCUUAAAUUCAUGCAGUAUCAGGACUAUCCUUUGGAGGGUAAUUUUUUGGAGACCCUAGACUUUGCUCGACUACCCAGUAUGCUGCUUGCCUUCUUACUUGCAAUGAAUAAUUUUACAGAAAUUUUGUUCAGCUUGGAAAAACAAAAACCAUUCCUCUUCGGAUGCAGAGUUACUAACAAUUAUGUGACAUCGAUUUAUUUGAUUACAAUGUCUCACCCUGCUGUAUCCGCAUCAACAAAUACAGGGACCGUCAGCCUGAACAUGUAUAAGCUUUCAGACGUUUAAAUUGUGAACCACAGUACGGUGUGGCUAUUGGCUUUCAGUUCACUCCUUGUUUAUGUUAGAGGGGAAGAGCGCAGGAUCGCAGAGAAUGUGCAAGAGAUUAGGGGGCACAUAAUAGGAGUCUAGAGAAAGGAACCUACAACAAUUUCAACCGUAGGCAAACAAACAAGUCAUUAUACUCCGAAUUAUGAACUGGAACCUGUCUGGAUUGUUGAAAUUGAGACAGCAAAAAAAUCAUUCUAAAGAAAAAGGCCUCUUAUCUCCAUUGCUCUGUCAUCCACCUUCUUCCUUUCCCUUCUUCAAUAGCAAUGCAACCACAACUCAAUU